GGCAUUUGCAUACUUGAUCAUGGAUAUUAUACACAUUUGGGUUAUCUUUUUCUCUUUGUUAACCCAAAUGGCACUCUCAUACCCACUAACCCUAACCAUUCUUUGAAGCCAACAUUAAUUUGCUUGAGUGAGGCCUUUUACUAAUAGCAUGUCAUGUGCAAAACCUUGAGAGUAUUAAGAGCGACAAUGGGUUGUUCUCGCCUUUGGCUAACAUUAGGACCUCAUUUAGGCUAGCCUCUAGGAUGGUUGUUGGGUUUGUGAGUUUAAAUUAUUUUGAUCUUGGAAAUGAGAGAGAUUGAGUGAGAAAAAUGAACCAAAAAGAGUUCUUAAAGUAAAGAAAUCCACAGGAACAAAAAAAGUUAGAAAAGAGAAGCUCUAGAGUAUAAAUAGAACCCCUUUCCAAAGAAAAACAAAAGAGCUGAGCCAAAAAGAUCUAAAGUCAAAAAAAAAAAAAAAGAUCCCUAGUUGGUUUAAAUCAAAUGAGAGAAAAGAGUGUUCAUUGGGUGAGAGAUGAAAGUGAGAGUAUUUUGGGUUUGUGAAUGAAGGAAAAGAAAGGUAGAACUUAAAGCUACUUAGGAAAGGGGUAGAAUGAUGAGAACAAGCAUUGUGUGCAUGAAUUGCUCAUUUUCUUAGAUAAAUUUUGCAUAAUGAUCUUGCUCCUAUUCAUGAGUGUGAGUCACUAUAAAUAAUGCAAUUGAAACCCAUUUUUCUUCACAUUAGACCAUCUUCUCUCACCAAGCCAAAUGAUUGAGAUCAAUUUGCAAGAAUUCACCUUGUGUGUGUGUGUGAAUAAAUGUGAGAGUUGGCUAAGUAACUUGUUGGUUGAAUGACAAUGUAAUUUGUGUAGAGAUAAAUGAGUCUUGAUAGGCCUUGAGAAGCUAUAGUGCAAUAAGAAAGUGGCUCAUGCUAUUUGCUAUGUUUCUCUUAGGAUGUCACAUUGAAGGUUAGAAAGUGUGUCUUUUGGUUCUAAGCUCCCAAUUUUAAAUAUCUCUCUCUUAAUUGAUAUUGAAAGUUUGCAACACGUCGAGCUUGCACUGGUCACGGGCAGCGGGCUGAAGUGGUCGCUGUGCCUCACACGAUCAAUGGAGCGGGUGUUCGGAGCGGGAUGAUGAAGCCGCUCCCACACUUUGAUUGGUUGAGUUUUAUUUAUUUUAUGGGCCUUUUGAGAUUUUUUAAUUGGCCCACUCGUUUUUAGAAUUUCUAUAUAUAUAUUUUAGACUUAAAAUGAGGGAUAUCUUGUUUUCUAUCUAAUCAAAAAGCCACUUUUAGGUGAAAGAUCUAAUCUUGAUCAUUAUCUUUUGAGAUUGCUUGAUUGCUUUGAUCAUUAAUCAUGUUUUAACUUAGAUCAACUAAUGAUUUAGUGUCUACCAUGAUAAUGAGUGAGAGUAGUCAUUUUUGGAUUCAUGGGUUAGGAUGAUUAGGAUGAUCAAGUGAUGAUCUAGAAUGUUUAAAAUAGAUUAAUAUGUUUCCUUGCUUGAUUGAGUGAUCUUAAAGUUAAUCUAGAGUUGGCCAUUUUAGAUUAGAAAUCUAGACAUUUCAUUGCCCGGAAAGUGUUCGAUGAAAUGUCUGAGAUAACUCAACGUGCUCUUAGCUUACCCUAAUCUUAAUGAUUGAUUGAUUGACACAAAUCAAAGGAAUUUGAUGUUUGAUCAAUGAGAGUAAAUGAGCUUUUGUCUUGACAAAGAACUUGCUUAGAAUUGUUAUCUAGACUUAGAAAAAUGUGUUGAUUGAAACUUUGCCAUUUUAGAUUAAAUCUUAGUCAUCUGAAAUCAAUUCCUAUACCCAUGACUCCUUCUUUAUCUAUUUGCUUAAAAGUUGCUAGUAAAUUGUGUUAGAGUCAUGUUAGCUUAAUCAUAUCAUUUCAUUACAUUGAAUACACUUAGCUUAAGUAUGAACAUGUAUUCUCAUUGAAUUGAAACACUUAGAAAUGGAUUGAUAUCUAAAAUACUACAUUGAUUUGAACCUUGGACCCUUGAGAAGUCCAUAUAAUAUAUCCGCGCUAAUUUAGUUAUAUACCGAAUAGUUACUGACUAUUGAAUUAUUCAAUAUAUUUGAUAUUUCAUAAUUUUGUAAUUUGUUAAAAAUUCAAAAAUGAUAGCACGUAAAAAUACUUGUAUAUACAAUAUUCAUUUACUCUCAAGACCAUCACACCAUCAUUUUUAAAGCAUAGCUAAGGAUGUAAGUGUAAUAUUUCUCACGAGCAUUAAUUUUUUCUUGAUAAUUAUGCAAUUAAUCUGAUUUUCAUUACUUGAGAGUAAAUGACUAUAUAACCAUUAGUGACAACCUGUGGCUUAGUCUUAAAAUGAGGGGCAACUUUAGCAAUAUACACAUGAAUAAAAGAUUUAUUUCUAAACGUACUUUUUAAUAGAGAUGAUAUUUAAUUAAAGUUUUAUAAAAAACUGAAAAAAAUCACAUAAAUUUUUCAUUAAAAUUAUUUGGGUAGACGAGAUAUUUCUCCAUGAAAACUAUCAUAUAGCAUCAAAUGUCUCCCAAACUAUGAUGUCGUUCUAUUUAUCCCCAGAAACAAAGUUGUAGUUUUAUUUCCCAAUAAAUCUUGGUUUUGUCAAACCCAAUUCAAAAUCUUGAUUUACCAAUUGUAAACCAAAAAUCCCGAAAUCUAACCAAACAUAAAACCAAUCAAACUAAAUUAACAUAAUCUUAACCAUCUAAAUCAAAACAUAUCAAAUCACUUCAUUUCUCUCCUUCCCCAAAAGCCACGGCAAUUCCAGAACAUAAGCUUUUUCCCUUGCCCCAUAGAAUUUCUUCUUCUCUCACAAUCAAACAAUAGAUUCAAAAAAAAAUGUAACAAUCUUGUAACACCCGUAUUUUCUAAAAUAACUUAAAUAAAUAAAAAGUCUGAAAUCUCCAUUUAUUACUUCUCAAAAGUCAACUCCAAACCAGAAAUCCAAUAAAUAGCCAUAAAUCCAAAUAACAUAAUAAAUAUCGAAAAUAUCGGUAAAAGCAUAAAACCACAAGUCUGAAAAAGAAAGUAAAUAAAACUCCCAAAGUACCAGUCUGAUAGCAAUCACUUAUGCUCGUCAGUCUCACCUGAAAUGGGAAGGAAUAGAAGGGGUGAGUAACAGGGGAGUUACUCCGUGAGGUAUGAGAUGCUAAAUACGCAAACCACUGACUUGAGUAAAUAGAACUCCCACUAUGGAAGUUUAGCUCUAACAUGAACACACACGACGCUUAGAGCAUCACACAAACACAAACAAUGCGAUGAUAGCAUAUAGCUAGUCCAUACACCCCCAUCUCCUCAUAUGGAUAUAUAAUACGUAGCAUCGCUAGUACAAUAAGUCUCUGUACCCCCGCCCUCUCAAGUAGCAUCCAUGGUACAAACGUCUCUGCACCACACACCCGCACAAGUAGCAUCGCAAGUCCAGACGUCUCUGAACCCCUGCCCGCACAAGUAAAGUAGCGUCGCUAGCCCAUACAUCUUUGAACCCCCGCCCGCACACAUAGUCCCUACUCAUAACUAUGUGUACAUACAUAUAUAUACCGCAUUUCUUAACAUCACAAAAUCCAAUCAAAGGUUGAAUCCUCUAGACCCUUAGUUCCAGUUUACAAUAAAUGAACUAACUAACAAUCAAGACUCAAUUGAAACAGACGGAUCAUGAUUUGAAAUCAAAAUGACGAUAGAGAGAAUUCUACACUGGUACAUGAUUUACGGAAUAGACUCUGACCUUAGCAAUGUAGAAAAGUGAUAGCUAUGAACUUCAGCUGCUGAAACAAACUCCAAAUCUGAAAUCAGGGCGAAAAAUUGAAUGAGAACGUCUUUCGAACGGUCCAAAACGGAUAACCGGCGAUCUGGUCAAAAAGUAAACCCGCUGGUCAAAGGUCAGCCUGGUCAACUCUGACCCAAGCCGGUCAACCCUUGACCAAAUUGAAAUCGAAUUGAACCACCCGGUUUUCCUUAACCGAAUUCAAUUUCAACUGGACCAGAUUCAAAUCGAUUUCAAAUCGGUUUAAUACUAACCGAAAAUCAAUCCAAUAACCGAUCAGUUUAAUCAAUAACCAAAAUCAAUUGACCAACCGAACCGGCUUGACUGGUCAACGGCUUGACUCGCUGAGUCGACUCGGCCGAGUCACCGAGUUACCAGCGUGUCGACCGGCGAGUCGCGGCCAACAACGGUGGUGGUUUACCGGAAAAUCACCGGCGGCGGCGGAGACGCGGCGGCGAUGCAGCAGCGGCUUACUGACAGCAAAAGGGAUGGUGGCCGGCUGCGGUGGCUCCGGCGAACGUCUGGCGGAGAUGGUGGCGCGUGAGAUUCACGCGCGAAUCUUUCUCCUGCGCAUGUAGGCGCGUCGCGGCGGAUCUCCGGCUGAAACUCUUGCCCCGGACUCGUCUCGACGUCACAAACACACUGGUAGCCUUGAAAUCGCGAGAAACCCAAUGGUUAGAGAGAUAUCGACGAUUUACUAAACGGCCAACACUUAACCAAUCGGAAAAGGCGGUUCACGGAUUACCUAGGGUGUGAGACGGCGGCGACGUGAUGGAUCAGAUCUCAGUCGACGGUGGCUGAGACAGUUCACCAAUAUCUCUCUCUGACGGCUCAAACUCUGCAGAGGUUCGACACCUUAGACUUUUCUGAAUAAAAUAAUGUGUGGGGAUAGAAUUUAUAAGGAAGUACCUAGGGUUCUCUGCAAAUUAAUUGGGCCUUGUUGGGCCUGCGGAUUUGGGUCACUACAAUUCUCCCCCACUAAUAAAGAAUUUGUCCCUGAAUUCGGCUACUGAACCGACUGUCCAAUACCGUCCUGAAAAAGCUAUGGAUAAUCAAUCCUCAUCUGAUUCUCGCCUCCCAUGUUCCUCCUGGAUCCCGUCUCUCUCCCAACGAACUUUAACUAAACUGGUCAUCAUCCCCUGAACAGCUUUCACUUGCCGAUCUAAAAUCUCAACUGGCUGACAAGGUGCAUACAAAAUUUUCUCAAGAUCACUGGGUGGCUGCUGCAAAAUGAGCUCUGGUUCUCUCACAACUUUCCUUAAAACUGAUACAUGGAACACAUCGUGGAAAUCUGACAACUCUGCUGAUAACCGCAAUCUGUAAGCCACUGCUCCAAUCUGCUCCACAAUAGGGUAUGGUCCUAUAUAUCUCGGUUUAAGCUUCUUUAGCUUUCUAGUCUUAGAUCCUCCUUGGAAUGUCCUCAUUUUCAGGUAUACUAAGUCUCCUACCUGAAACUCCAACUCCUUAUGACGCUUAUCUGCAUAGCUCUUCUGGCGGUCAUGGGCUUCCUUAAGCCGAGUCUUAAGCAUCUCUACGUGCUCUACUGUUGAUGCGCUCUUGAGUAGCGCAUCGGGCAAAACAGACAUGCAUGGCUUGAUCAUGGAAAGCACUAAUGAUAUAUGUUCAUUGUUUGACUCAUAUCUUCCAAACCACGAGUGCUCUACGCAUGAAAUCCCUUGGAGAAUGUGUUCAACUCAAUUACGGAGCUCCUCGAAGAAGAAUCAAAUCAAACGGAGUUCACAUGUGAAAGUUAUGCAAUUUGCAAAUCAGGAAAAUCUUCAGUUCUCGCGAAUUUGGGCCGUACGGAUCGUCCAGCCCACAUCUUGAUCCUUACCGCAAAGGAACCACUUGGUUCAGAUGAACCUGGACGUUAGCCGAAGAGCCUCUUUGACCAGAUCUGAGAUCCAAGAGUUUUAGUACAUUGUCUUUAAAUUUCUCAUCUAGAUUCGAUUUACUAAGUUUGUCAUUAAUACAUUUUUAAGUCUUUUUCUAUUCCUCAAGUAGUAUAAAUAUGUAAACAUUUCUCAUAAUAAAAUCAGUCUAAGUUUGAGUUUAUUUUUGUUUUCUUCUUUUCUCUGAGUGAGAGAGAGAGUUCUAUAGCUAGUUCAUUGGUCUGAACCGGCUUGUUGAUUUGGUGGUCAACCAAUUCAUCUUUGUGUGUUGUUUGGUGGUUAGCCAGCACAUUCAUUCUUUCUUAGGUCGCUAGCCUUAGAUCAUGGGUAUAUCAAGAGCCAUUCCACAUCUCUUGACGAUCCUUUCAAUCCAUAUCAGUUCCAGAAAUGCCAUUUGCCUUCUCAGAUCAUAUCCAACACCCAGCUAACGUGAUCCUUCCCGAUGUAGGGCGUAUCAAGUGGUAUCAGAGCCACUUUGGCUGGUUUGUUUUCAUUUCAUCUUUUCAUCUACUCAUCUCUCCACGAUUUUCUUUUCUUAUUUCUUGUUGGAUCCGGGCUGUUCCUUUACUCCCUUGUGAUCGCCAGUUAUUAAAAAAAAAAGAGAAAAAAAAAUCGAUAAAAAAAAAAGAGUAAAAGUUUUGGCUUGAAUCACUUCUGAAGAGAAAUCCAGGGGGAGUGGUAAAAGAGAAACCCUGCUGGCUGAAGAGAAACCCAGCCUUAGGACAGUUAAGGAAGAUUCACACAAAAAUCUCUUCAUUUUUCUUUCUCUUUUCUUUUUCCCACAAAGUUUGUUUUGGGUUUUGACUGCUGAUUUUUUACUGCCUAUCAUCCUUUGAACCAGUGAAAAAACUCUGAGUGACCAUCUAAAAAUCGUGAGCUAAACACUUCAGAGUGUGAGGAUUUUUAUUUGCUAACUUUGUUAAGUGUUUUCAGGAUGUUUGGACUUCUCAAGAAAUCAAAAUCACAACAAGACGUCUACUUUCCUUUUAAAACUGGUUUUGAAAAGGAGCAAUUGAUUUUUGAUAAGAAACAGUUUGCUUCUAAUGGGUUUGACUUUGUGCAGAAACAAAAGAAUAGACAAAACAGGUGCGAUGAUGAGAAGUGGGUCAGAAGUGGUGAUCGUCCCUUCACCAAAGCCAAGAGAAGCAACCGUGAUGUGCCUGCUCAGAACGAGCUUCAGACUUAUGCCAGCUUGGAAAAGAUGUUGCAUAAGGCAAUUUUUGCUAUUCAGCAACUCAAAAAGAAGGGAAACACCAACACUUCUUCUGCACCAAAACAGCAAUGUAAGUUCUCUUCUCUUUCAAAUUCCGAUUUGAAAACUAAUGUGUUUUCUUUUGAUAAAAGCGAAGCUGUGAAACACACAAUCAAAGCUCAUUCUACCAGGUGCUUCAAAUGCCAGAUGAUCGGUCAUUAUGCGAACAAGUGCAAAAACCAGAAACCGUUGGUGACUUUGGAGAAUGAGAGCGUUGAAACCGAGCCAGAAAAGGAAGAAUUUUCAGACCCAUUGCCAAUUUUCGAUGACUACACACAUGAGCCAAUGGCAGGUUUGAAAUCUUGUGAACAUAAGAACUUAUUUUCUUCUCAAUCUGAAUCAAUUCCUGAUGAAUCUUGCUUGCAAUUAACUGUUUUACAACCAGAGAAUCCAAGUAGUUUUGAAUUAAUUUCUUAGUUUGAAAAGAAUUCUGAAAACGUUUUGAACAAGGAUGAAUUUUCUGGUCCUUUGAAUGCUCUUGAUAUUGGUGCAUAUGACCUUGGUCUUGGAAGUUUUGUGUCAAUGCAGGAAGGGCCAUACGAAGAACAAAACUGUGGUCAUCAAGGAAACCAAGAAAGCUCUUCUUCCAUUCAAAAACCGGACCAAACUCAAGGUUAGCAAUGUUCUGAUUAUGAUUUCUUUGCUUAUAAACCUUUUUCGUUUAAUGUUACAGAUUUGAGGACAAAUCUUUUUGAAGAGGAAGGGAAUGAUGCACCCUUGAGUAGCGCAUCGGGCAAAACAGACAUGCAUGGCUUGAUCAUGGAAAGCAGUAAUGAUAUAUGUUCAUUGUUUGACUCAUAUCUUCCAAACCACGAGUCCUAUAUGCAUAAAAUUCAUUGGAGAAUGUGCUCAACUCAAUUACAGAGCUCCUCGAAGAAGAAUCAGAUCAAACGGAGUUCACAUGUGAGAGUUAUGCAAUUUGCAAAUCAGGAGAUCUUCAGUUCUCGCGAAUUUGGGCCGUGCGGAUUGUCCAGCCCACAUCUUGAUCCUUACCGCAAAGGAACCACUUGGUUCAGAUGAACCUGGACGUUAGCCGAAGAGUCCCUUUGACCAGAUCUGAGAUCCAAGAGUUUUAAUUCAUUGUCUUUAAAUUUCUCAUCUAGAUUCGAUUUACUAAGUUUGUCUUUAAUACAUUCUUAAGUCUUUUUCUAUUCCUCGAGUAGUAUAAAUAUGUAAACAUUUCUCAUUAAAAUCAAUCUAAGUUUAAGUUUAUUUGUGUUUUCUUCUUUUCUCUGAGUGAGAGAGAGAGUCUAUAGCUAGUUCAUUGGUGUGAACUGGCUUGUUGAUUUGGUGGUCAGCCAAUUCAUUUUUGUGUGUUGUUUGGUGGUGAGCCAACACAUUCAUUCUUUCUUAGGUGGCUAGCCUUAGAUCGUGGGUAUAUCAAGACCAAUUCCGCAUCUCUUGACGAUCUUUUAAAUCCAUAUCAGUUCCAGAAGUGCCAUUUGCCUUCUCCGAUCAUAUCCAACACCCAGCUAAAGUGAUGCUUCCCGAUUUAGGGCGUAUCAACUGUCUCCUGAACCAUUGUUGGUUCUAAAUCCCUGCAGCACGUCUACAACGCUACAUACUAUGCAGUCAGUUCGGAAAAAGGCAGAGCCUCGGGCAAUACAUAGACUCUCAAUUCAAGAUACGACAAAGAUGCACCAGACUCGAGGACACUCGACUACUAACUGCAAAGUCUUGGGAGCGAGACUGGCCGCAAAGCUACUAGCCGGAGAGCUCUCCGAAGCAGCCAGCAUUAAAUAUCUCAUCCUUGAGACCGAUCGUCCUCCAAAAACCGACAAACAUUCACCUGCAGAAAAUUCUCCUCGGAGAAAUCAAGCAGGGGAUAAACGCGGAAGGAGAUCAGACGACAAAGGACACGAUAACAAUCGUCGUAGAGUAAACAUGAUCAUCGGAGGAUCACAGUACUGUAACGACACGGUCUCGGCCAUCAAGGCCUACCAGAAAAAAGCCGAGUCAAGUGCAAAUUGGCCAACAUGGUCUCCUCCCUGAGAUGGUCGAAGCGAAUCGAUAACUUUCACGUAAGAGGAAGCCGGCGGAAUCGAUCAGCCUCACUGCGAUCCACUCGUCAUAGAUCUCGUCAUAUGAGAUCUGGAAGUCGCAAGAGUCUCGUCAGACAAAACGUCAAUGAGUCUCAGAUCAAUCCGCCCCGACGAACACAUCAACCGUCUUAAACAAACGCACCAUGAUCAUUCUGAUCCUCAAACAUCCGACACAAGGAUAAAAGUGCGCUAUAUAAAAAAUCAGAAAUUUUGGUCAAGCACUUCCAGUUGGCUUAAAAAUUAUCGCUGGAGAGAUGCUCGAUUCACACCAUACAAGUCGUAUAAGCCGAGAACCUAUCGCAGACUUUAAAUCGGUAUGAAUCAGGUUGAAAUCACAAUAGAAAAAUUGAUAGCCAGCCAGUCACCGCAUAAACCUUAAAAACGAAUGUAAACCUAGGUCUUGCCCUAAACCCAACACACUGGUCUCUAAAAUCUCAAGACAUGGUAUCUAAAAAAUGAUACGAGAUCUUAAAACAUGUCUCUCCGUCCAUAUCUUAACGUUCAUGAAACUUCGUAAAAAUAAAUAAACAAUUUUUGCGAAAAUUCACAUCUCGAGCAAACCAACAGAUUGAAUGUCUUGCUAGAACUAAAUAAGAGACGACAACUCAUAUUUAUUCCAGACAUAUUCAGAACAAAGUAGUUCGAUAAAUAUUCAUCAUAUAUAAAACUGCAGAGUGGUAGGGAUUCGAAGACACCAACGGCCAGUCCUGAUAAAAACAAAGCGGCCAAACAGGCCCACACAAAGUUUCAGCAUAAAGGCCCCACUCGGCCAUAAACACAAGAUAGGGGGAAAUUUCUUCCCGUCAAAUGCUAACUUCGAUUCUCACAGAUCAAAGUUAAAACCCCCAGACAUGGAAGCUCCAAAUGCUUCUGCGGGACAGUCCACCUCCUCAUCAUCGCCAGUAACCCGGUCUUGACCUCCCCCGUAUAAGGAGAAACUGGGAUGGGAUCCCAGAAUCCCUGAAUCCUCCCAUCGAUCAGCAGAAAUAAGCGCCUCGGCAUGGGCAUGAUCAUUCAUGCCAUCUUUCAUGAUAUCCAUAUCAUCCUUGAAAACAAAGUCGUCCGCAUGCGUCUUCCAGAGGGUACCAACUUAACCACGACACUCGCCAAAAUCGCCCACCAAGGAAUAAGCCUCCUUAAGGUUUCCAUACUCGGUCUUGAACUGAGUAGCACGGUUUCUCAUCAUCUCGACAAUCUCUGUCCUACCUCUCCUUUCUGCUUGAUGGACGGCCUUGGCAUGAUCCUUGGCAAGUUUCGAAUAUCGCUCUAAAAUUUUGUUUUGAAUACGUGCAAGAUCUUCUUCCGCUUUCUCUGCCUUGAAGCGAUAAACUAUGGCCUCCCUGUGGCUUGUCACAAGGGCUGAGCCAAGCAUGUUCAGACCCUGCAAAAACGACUAACGUGUUUAAAAAAGGGGGCGCAUGAUUCUAUCCGUGAAGUUUCUAAAGAAGAAAGAAACAAACCGCGUUGAUUAUGCGAGAUCCUUCUGCAACUACUGAUGUGCCCCUGUCCGAGGAUCAGUCCAUGGAAUCAGAUCAGAACGAGGAUCAGAACGUCCGGAACAAUGCAACUGAGGUUCAGUCCAUCGAUCGGGCGAAACAGACUGCUCGGGCCGUGUAUCGUCUCGACCCGCACUCGUCCGGAUUGGAGCUUCAGCAUAACCCGUGACCAGAUGGCCAAAUCAACCGUACUGAAGUUCGCCUUUCCUGUCCUGUUUGUCAUGCUAAGUCCAUCGGUCAAGUCAGAAGUGAAGUUGAUCGAGUGGAAUCCAAAUCCGACCAUGGUCUUUCUCUCUUAAGCCAUCUCGGCCGAACCAGUGAUCGUUCUGAUGAACUGAUCCGACACUUCGAUCAGUUCAUGAACUCUUGAGGUUGUCCGAAGACUUAGCCACCUUUUGGCCCGUAACAGUCCAUGAAAAUCACCCGUCCGUACAUGAAGACCGUAACGGCCGUGUACUGCUCCUUAUCGAGGGAAGUGCUAUCAGUUACACCGAACCUGGACAAAAGUAGCCGAAGAGUUCAAAUCGACCAGUGAACAUUAUUUUCUGUGCUUUGACUAGAUUUGGUCUUCUAUCUAUUUUCUAUGUCUCUUUUUCAUACAUUUUUAUUUAUUAUCUUUGACUACAAGUUGUAUAAGUAUGAGAACACAUCCCUGAAAUAAGAUAAUCGAUUUUCCUUAUUCAUUUUUGUGUUUUCUUUCUUUGUUCUUUGAUUAGAACAUUCUUGUUCCCUUGGUGAGGCUAUCUCCAAGUGAAUCCCCUUUCUUUGAGCCGGACUUGUGUGUCAAAUCAAGCGGCCAUUGAGAGUUCUAGUAGUAUCACUGGGUCUUCCGCAUCCCUUUGUGUCACUAAACAAUCCAUCAGUUAUCUAUCUCUUCAGAUCGAGUUCAUAUCAACAGAUCUGGUUGAGUGUUCGUUCCUUAGGAUUCUUUAAGUGGAAUCAGAGCCACUCUUCCGGUAUCUCUUUUCAUUCCAUCUUUCUCAUCUAUCAUUUUCUUCAUAAAAAAAAAAAUUCUUCUUCUAUCCAUCUUUGAAUCUGGGCCCCUCUUUACCAUCCAUAUAUUAAAAAGAAAAAAGAAAGAUCUAAUCAAAAAAAAAAAAAGAAAGAAAAGAUAUCAAAAGUUUUCAAUUGUGGUUUGGUGGUGGAAGAGUUAGCCUGCUGGCCGAGGAGAAAUCUGGCCUUGGAGGUGGUUAAUACGGAUUCCCCUUGUUAAAUCACUUAUCUUUCUAUCUUGUCUCUUGGGUGUUUCACUUGGGAUUCUCAUUUUGGGUUAUCUAGUUUGUUCUCUUAGAACUUUGAGGGAAACUCUCUUGUGUGACUACCAAAUUGAGUGAAACACGUGUGUGAGGUUUUUAAUCGAACUUUACCUUGUUUAAGUUUUCAGGUAGCCAUGGAUAGUGAAGAAGGAGGAAACCGACCCAGAAAUUCACAUGCCGGAUUAUCUAACUUGCAAAUGCGUGCUCUCAAUGACUCUAUGUCUAACUUGUUGAAUACAGGUUUGAAGGCAAUCCAUUAGAGGCUAGAUGAACUUCAGGGCCAUCCAACUCAGCCACGAACCAGAACCAGACGUGACCAUCCAAGGAGGAACAGCCGGUCCGACCUAGAAAUCCGAGAAGAGUCUUAUGAUGAUGAUCGAUCCAUCAACCGUCCAAGGAGAGUUCCUAGGCAUCAAACCGAGGUGAUGUCAAUCCUUUUGGUAGAAAUGAAAGAAUCAAUGAUGGCUUGGGUGGUUUGAAAUUGAAAAUUCCAAGUUUUGAGGGCAAAAAUGAUCCGGAUGCUUUUCUUGAAUGGGAAAGAAAAAUUGAACUUGUGUUUGAUUGUCAAAAUUUUUCUGAUAUUAAAAAGGUUAAACUUGCUGCUGCUGAGUUUACUGGCUAUGCUAUUAACUGGUAUGAUCGAGUUGUGACUAGCAGGAGGAGAGCAUGUGAGGCGCCAGUUGAUACAUGGGAUGAGCUUUCCAUGCUGAUGCGGAGACGCUUUGUUCCCGACCAUUACCACAGAGACCUACACCAUAAACUCAGGCGUUUGCUUCAAGGUUCUAAGUCAGUUGAGGACUAUCACCAGGAGAUGGAGACCUUGAUGAUCAAAGCUUAUGUAGAAGAGCCCUUAGACGCCACCAUGGCCAGAUUUCUUACCGGGCUCAACUGGGACAUACAAGAUCGCAUGGAGCUGGAAGACUAUGACAGCAUGGAGCAGAUGUUACACAAGGCCGUGUUGAUCGAGCAACAAGUCAAGAGAAAGGGUCUAACUAAACUGACCUUUGCUUCUAAACCGACCUUUGCUUCCAAGCCAAACUAUCAAGACAAGGGUAAGUCUUCUUCCACAACGAAUACAGCUUUUCAGACUAAUGUCCCUGCUCGUGUUGAUAGAGAAAAGAAAGAAGAGGCUACCAAACGAACCAGAGACAUCCAAUGCUUUAGGUGUCAUUGCCUUGGCCACUAUGCCAACCGAUGUCCAAACCAAAAGGUGAUGGUGCUCUUGGAGAAUGGAGAAGUUGAAUCUGAAGAAGACAAGAAGGAUCUCGGACCAGUGUAUGAUGAUGAUGAUGAGGAAGAAGCACUUGACUUCCCGGUUCAUGGUCCCCUUCUUGUUACUAGGAAGGUCUUGGACGACACCACUGAUCCCAUCUUUGAUGAGGAAGUCGAUGGAGUGAUCGAUGAGUUUUGCUCGACCUUUGUGGAGAGUUCUGAUCCGAUCUAUGAUGUGGAUGUUCUUGAUGAGCCGAGCCAUGGUUCACUACUGGUUACUAGGCGUGCCUUGAGUGUCCAACCAAAAUCCAAUGACAAAGAUCAAAGGGAGAAUCUCUUUCACUCUAGAUGUCUCAUUUCUGGUAAAGUUUGUUCUUUAAUUGUUGAUGGAGGAAGUUGCACUAAUGUGGCUAGUGACACUCUUGUAAAGAAACUUGGGCUUGUUACUCGGCCUCUUUCUCGUGCUUUCAGGUUGGAGUGGAUCAAUGAGUCCAAAGAACAGUAUGUGAAGGAGCAAGUCACGGUUCCACUCUCCAUUGGCCAAUAUGACGAUGAGGUUGUUUGCAAUGUGCUUCCCAUGGAUGCUUGCCAUGUUCUCUUGGGCCGGCCUUGGGAAUUUGACAAGAAGGCAGUGCAUGAUGGUUUCACAAACCGUCAUUCAUUUGAUCAUAAAGGAAAGAAGAUCACCUUGGUGCCUUUGUCGCCUUCGGAAGUCCAUCAAGAACAGGUCCAACUUAAGAAGAACCAAGACCAAGACUCUAAAGCUGAUAAACCUGAGACCAGUACCAGAAACUCCAACUUCUUUGUCAAAGAAAGUCAGGUAAGGAAGUCUCUUUGCUCUCAAAAGCCAUUUCUCUUACUGAUUUAUAAAGAGUCUCUCUUGGCCUCAUCUUCUUCUGACCUUGCACUGGAGAUUCCGAGUGAGUUAUUAGGUAUCUUGUAGGAUUAUUCUGAUGUGUUUCCAGAAGAAAAUCCCAAAGGAUUGCCACUGGUGAGAGGCAUUGAGCAUCAGAUCGAUCUCGUCCCGGGCGCCUCUCUACCGAACUGACCAGCGUACCGCACCAAUCCGGUCGAGACCAAGGAACUGCAGAAACAGAUCAACGACUUGCUUGAGAAGGGAUACAUCAGAGAGAGUCUCAGUCCCUGUGCUGUGCCUGUUCUACUUGUACCAAAGAAGGAUGGCUCCUGGAGGAUGUGUCUGGACUGCCGAGCCAUAAACAACAUCACGGUAAUCGACAUCCUAUCCCUCGUCUUGAUGAUAUGCUUGAUGAACUCCAUGGUUCUAAGUACUUUUCUAAGAUAGAUUUGAGAAGUGGCUAUCAUUAGAUUAUGAUGAAAGAAGGUGAUGAAUGGAAAACGGCCUUUAAAACAAAACUAGGUUUGUAUGAGUGGCUUGUCAUGCCCUUUGGUCUCACUAAUGAACCUAGUACUUUCAUGCGCUAAUGAAUCAUGUCUUGAGCUCUUUUAUUGGUCAUUUUGUUGUAGUUUACUUUGAUGACAUAAGCCUUGAUGAGCACAAACAGCACUUGAAAUCUGUUCUUGAAGUCCUUAGAAAGGAACGUUUGUUUGCUAACCUUGGAAAGUGUUCUUUUAGCACAGAUCAUGUGGUCUUUCUAGGUUUUGUUGUAGGUGCAGAUGGCUUGAGAGUGGACGAGCAGAAGGUCUGAUGCACCUCAGAUCAUGGAGCAGUCCGUUGGACAAGUCCAACAUGAAGAUCAGAACAGUCCGAGAUUUUCAACAGAGGUUCAUCCGGACGACCGUACCGAACGCACUGACCGGGCCGUGUACCGGAUCGACCCGCGUACGUCCGGAAUGGAGCUUCGUUUGGAUCCACGUCCAGACGAUCGAUCUGACCGUACUGAAGCUCGGCUACCCCGACCAACUCGUCAAGUUAGGAAGAUCGAUCAAGCCAAACUCUCAUCCGAACGCACCGAUUUCGAAUCAGACCGCAGCUUCUCAUUUCUGACCCGACUGGCUCUUACCGCGGGCACUGCCGAACGUACCGCCGAACGUUCUGAAAAUCCGACUUACCAGUUUGAUCCGAUUCUUCAGUUUGAUCAUCUGAGCUUCUCAAGGGGAAGGAUACUUAAGCUCUCUGAAGAUAUUGGACACAUUUGGAACACAUCAGUUCAUGAGUUUCCUUCAUCCGAUCAUGCAGACCGUCCGGACCAUGUACUGCUCCUUACCGCGGGACAUGCAUCCAGAUUCAUCGAAUCUGGACAAGAGUAGGCAAAGGGUUCACUUUGGCCAGUCAACAUAAUUUUCUGUGUAUUGACCAGAUCUGGUCUUUGUUAUAUUUUCUAUGUCUUAUUUUCACACAAAAUGAUUUAUUUCAUUUUGACUAAAACUUGUAUAAGUACUCCAUCAUUUCUGAAUAAAGAUGAUCGAUUUUUCCCUUCAAAACUUCUUAAGUUUUCUCUCUUUGUUCAUUGCAAAGAACUUGUUCUUAGUUUACUUUGGUGUGGUUAGCAUCCGAGCAAACACCUUGUCUAAUCGGACCGGUGAGUCACAUCCGGCGAUCUAGUCAAGUCAGUCUCCACAACGGACCUGUGAGUCACAUCAGGCGUUGUUCAGACUUGGAAAUAUCGAAGGCCUUCCGCAUCCUUCGUGAGAUCCCUCGAUCCAUCACUUCUCCAUCCGGAGAUCCUAUCAAAUACCGUACCGGCUGAGUGUUCCGAUCUAAGGGUCUAUCAAAGUGGUAUCAGAGCCACUCAACCGGUAUCAUCUUCUCAUUCCAUCUUCUCAUCUACCAUCUUCUUCAUCUAAAAAGUUCUUCUUCUAUCUAUCUUGAACCCGGGCCACUCAUUACCACCAUAUAAAAAAAAAAAAAAAAAAAACAGUAUAAAAAAAAAAAAAAUAAGAAAGAUUGUGGUGGUGGUGGAAGAGAAAGCCUGCUGGCUGAAGAGUAAUCCGGCCUUUGAGUUGGUUAAGGCGGGUUCCCCUUGUAAUCUCUUAUCUACCUUCUCUUGUGACCCUUGUUUGAUUGGAUCUGACCCACUGAGUAUCUUUGGACUUGUCUUUCUCUGAACUUUGAGAACAAACCAAAAUCUUGUGUGAACCACUUCAAAUCUUUGAGAGAAACACGUGAGUGGGAAAGGAAACAAACACUUGAGAGUGUGAGGUAUUUGUUACCCUAACGUUUAUUGUUGAGAAUUUCAGGAAGAACCAUGAGCAGUGAGGAAGAACGGAACCGUCCCGGAAAUUCUGUAGCCGGACUCUCAAACCUCCAAAUGAGGGCUUUAAACGAUACUUUUACUAACCUUAUGAAUGCAGGACUUGAGCAGAUCCAUCAAAGGUUAGAUGAGAUUCAGGAGAGCCAACAAACCAGAUCUAGAACCGGAACCAGACGAGCUCAACCUAGACGGAACAGCCAAUCCGAUCUAGAAAUCUUUGACGAAGAUACCAACGAUGAUCAAUCCAUCAACCGACCCAGGAGAGGACAUAGAAACCGAAACCCAGGUGAAGUCAAUCCUUUUGCUAGAGCUGAACGAAAUGAAAAUGGGUUGGGUGCUUUGAAAUUGAAAAUUCCAAGCUUUGAAGGAAAGAAUGAUCCUGAUGUCUUUUUAGAAUGGGAAAGGAAAAUUGAACUGGUUUUUGAUUGUCAAAACUUGUCUGAUAUUAGGAAGGUUAGGUUAGCAGCUUCUGAAUUUUCUGGCUAUGCUAUUAACUGGUAUGACCGAGUUGUGACUCACAGGAGGAGAACAGGUGAAGCACCAGUGGAGACUUGGUUGGGGCUUAUUACGCUUAUGCGGAAACGCUUCGUACCGGACCAUUACCAACGCGACCUACACCACAAACUCAGGAGGCUACUUCAGGGAACAAAGUCGGUUGAGGACUACCAUCAGGAAAUGGAGACUUUGAUGCUUAAGGCUGAUGUGGAUGAACCUGUAGACGCAACCAUGGCUAGAUUCCUCACUGGACUCAACCGGGACAUCCAAGACCGCAUGGAACUUCAGGAUUAUAGUGACAUGGAACAGAUGCUACACAAGGCUAUCCUGAUUGAGCAGCAAGUCAAAAGGAAAGGACUCUCCAAAUCCACCUUCCCUUCAAAAUCACCUUUUCCAUCUAAGCCUAGCUACCAAGACAAAGGUAAGUAUCCUGCCACAACAAAUACUGCUUUGAAAACUGAUGUUCCUACUCGUGUGGAUAAAGGAAAAGCAGUGGAAAACCCCAGCAGAACAAGAGACAUAAGGUGUUUCAAGUGUCAGGGCCUCGGACACUAUGCCAACAAAUGUCCAAACCAGCGGGUGAUGGUUCUUUUGGAAAAUGGUGAUGUAGAAUCCGAGGAGGACAAAGAGGAAAAAGAGGACCUUGGUCCCAUUUUUGAUGAGGAAGAAGAGCCCUUUGAUUACCCAGCCAGUGGACCACUUCUUGUUACAAGAAAGCUCUUGGAGGAACCGAUCUUAGAGGACGAAAUUGAGGAAGUAAUUGAUGAGUUCUGUUCCUCGUUUGUUAAAGAAACAGGACCGGUCUACGACGAGGACAAUCUCAGCUUUCCAGCUACUGGUCCUCUUCUUGUCACUAGACGAUCCUUAAGUGUUCAGCCUAAAACCGACGAGAAGGAACAAAGGGAGAAUCUCUUUCACUCUAGAUGUUUUGUUUCUUCUAAAGUUUGCUCUUUGAUUAUAGAUGGUGGCAGCUGUACCAACGUGGCUAGUGAUACCUUGGUGAAGAAACUUGGACUUGUUACACGUCCACUUGCCAAACCUUUCAGGUUGGAAUGGUUGAAUGAGGACGGAGAGCAAUACGUCAAGGAACAGGUGACUGUUCCGAUCACUAUCGGACGGUACGAGGAUGAGGUCGUGUGUAACGUCCUUCCCAUGGACGCUUGUCACAUUCUUUUGGGUCGACCUUGGCAGUUCGACAAGAGGGCUGUCCAUGAUGGCUACACAAACCGCCACUCCUUUGAACACAAUGGAAAGAAAAUCACCUUGGUUCCCCUUUCUCCCUUAGAAGUUCACCAAGAUCAAAUCCAACUUAAGAAGGGACGAGAACAAGACUCCAAACCUGAGGCAUCAGCAAGAAAUUCCAACUUCUACAUCAAACAAGGUCAGGUAAGAAAAACCCUUGCCACCAAAAAGCCAUUCCUUUUGCUUGUUUAUAAGGAAUCUCUUAUGGCCUCAUCUUCUUCUCACCUUGCACCGGACAUUCCGAGUGAUUUGAAAGGAUUAUUGCAGGAGUUUUCUGAUGUAUUUCCUGAAGAAAAUCCAAAAGGAUUGCCUCCAAUCCGUGGCAUUGAACAUCAGAUCGAUCUCGUUCCAGGCGCGUCCUUGCCAAACCGACCAGCGUACCGCACUAACCCCGUCGAGACCAAGGAACUCCAAAAGCAGAUUGAUGAUCUUCUUGACAAAGGAUACAUCCGAGAAAGCCUCAGCCCAUGUGCUGUACCUGUCCUACUCGUGCCAAAGAAAGAUGGGUCGUGGAGGAUGUGUGUGGACUGUCGGGCCAUAAACAACAUCACGGUAAAGUAUCGCCAUCCCAUCCCUCGUCUUGAUGACAUGCUUGAUGAACUUCAUGGUGCUUGUGUCUUUUCUAAGAUAGACUUGAAAAGUGGAUACCACCAGAUUAGAAUGAAAGAGGGAGAUGAAUGGAAAACGGCCUUUAAAACAAAACUAGGAUUGUAUGAAUGGUUAGUUAUGCCUUUUGGUUUGACUAAUGCACCUAGUACUUUCAUGCGUCUGAUGAACCAUGUGUUGAGAUCCUUUAUUGGUCAUUUGUUGUUGUGUAUUUUGAUGAUAUUCUUGUUUAUAGCAAAAACCAUGAGGAACAUCAAAGGCAUUUGAGAGCCGUUCUUGAAGUCCUUAGGGACGAACGUUUGUUUGCUAACCUUGGAAAGUGUUCUUUUGGUACAGAUCAAGUUGUUUUCCUAGGUUUUGUUGUAGGAAAAGAUGGCCUGAAGGUUGAUGAAGAAAAGGUCAAAGCCAUCCGCGACUGGCCCAUUCCUAAGUCCGUAAGUGAGGUUCGAAGCUUCCAUGGCCUUGCUGGUUUCUAUCGACGGUUCGUCCAAGACUUCAGUUCUAUAGCCGCUCCUCUCACUGAGGUUAUCAAGAAGAAUGUGGGUUUCAAGUGGGAACAACCUCAGCAGGAAGCUUUCCAAAUCCUAAAAGAGAAGUUAACUCAAGCCCCUCUUCUUGCUUUACCCGAUUUUUCUAAAACUUUUGAGAUUGAGUGUGAUGCUUCCGGAGUGGGUAUUGGUGCUGUUCUUAUGCAGGAUAGGAAACCCAUCGCAUACUUUAGUGAAAAACUUGGAGGAGCUACCUUGAAUUACCCAACCUACGACCAGGAGCUUUAUGCUUUGGUGAGAGCACUUCAAACUUGGCAGCACUACCUUUGGCCCAAGGAAUUCGUCAUUCAUACCGACCAUCAGUCCCUGAAACAUUUGAAGGGACAACAGAAGCUUAACAAGCGCCAUGCUCGUUGGGUUGAAUUCAUUGAGACAUUUCCAUACGUGAUCAAGUAUAAACAAGGUAAGGAAAAUGUUGUGGCCGAUGCCUUGUCACGCAGGUAUGUUCUCCUUUCAGCUCUUGAGACCAAACUUCUUGGAUUUGAAUUUAUCAAAGAGAUUUAUGCAUCUGAUCCGGAUUUCAAAGAGGUUUUCAAAAAGAGUUCCAAAACUGCUUAUGGGAAGUAUUAUCAGGUUGCUGGUUUCUUGUUUUAUGAUAACCGCUUGUGUGUUCCCCAAUGUUCUUUGAGGGAGUUGUUUGUCAGGGAAGCACACGGAGGUGGCUUGAUGGGACACUUUGGUGUGAAGAAAACCUACAAGGUUGUGUUCGAUCAUUUCUAUUGGCCGGGUCUCAUGAAAGAUGUUGAGAGGAUUUGCAGUCGAUGUGUUGUGUGCAAAAAGUCUAAAUCCAAAGUCUUGAACCAAGGUUUGUAUACAGCUCUACCCAUCCCUUCUCAUCCAUGGGUAGACAUUUCUAUGGACUUUGUACUUGGAUUGCCGCGAUCCAAGUCAGGUAAGGAUUCCAUCUUUGUUGUGGUUGAUAGAUUUUCAAAGAUGUCUCAUUUCAUUGCAUGCCAUAAGACUGAUGAUGCUACUCACAUUGCUGAACUGUUCUUUAGAGAAGUGGUUAGGUUGCAUGGAAUGCCUAAGACUAUCGUUUCAGAUAGAGAUGCUAAGUUCCUUAGCUACUUUUGGAAAACUUUGUGGUCUAAAUUAGGCACUAAAUUGAUGUUCUCUACUACUUGUCAUCCUCAAACUGAUGGACAAACUGAGGUUGUGAACCGUUCACUAUCUGCCUUGCUUAGGUCUUUGAUAAAGAAAAACUUGAAAACUUGGGAAGAAUGUUUGCCGCAUGUGGAAUUUGCUUAUAACCAUUCUAUGCAUUCAGCUACUCAGUUUUCACCUUUUGAGGUUGUGUAUGGGUUUAAUCCUCUUUCUCCACUUGAUCUUUUACCUCUUCCUUUGAGUGAACGUGUUAGCACAGAUGGCAAGAAGAAGGCGGACACAAUAAAGAAGAUGCAUGAACGGGUCCGAGCUAACAUCAUGGCCAGAACAGAAAGGUACACUCGACAAGCCAACAAGAAACGUAAGGAGGUCGUUUUUGAAGAAGGAGAUUUGGUUUGGGUUCACUUGAGGAAGGAACGUUUUCCGGAAGAAAGAAAAUCUAAGCUCAUGCCCCGUGUGGACGGACCAUUUCAGAUCAUCAGAAAAAUCAGUGACAAUGCGUAUCAAUUGGAUCUGAAAGGUAAUUAUGAUAUCUCUUCAAGCUUCAACGUUUCUGAUUUAUCUCCUUUUCUUGUAGAUGUUCCGGAUUUGUGGACAAAUCCUCUUAAAGGAGGAGGGAAUGAUGCACCUCAGAUCAUGGAGCAGUCCGUUGGACAAGUCCAACAUGAAGAUCAGAACAGUCCGAGAUUUUCAACAGAGGUUCAUCCGGACGACCGUACCGAACGCACUGACCGGGCCGUGUACCGGAUCGACCCGCGUACGUCCGGAAUGGAGCUUCGUUUGGAUCCACGUCCAGACGAUCGAUCUGACCGUACUGAAGCUCGGCUACCCCGACCAACUCGUCAAGUUAGGAAGAUCGAUCAAGCCAAACUCUCAUCCGAACGCACCGAUUUCGAAUCAGACCGCAGCUUCUCAUUUCUGACCCGACUGGCUCUUACCGCGGGCACUGCCGAACGUACCGCCGAACGUUCUGAAAAUCCGACUUACCAGUUUGAUCCGAUUCUUCAGUUUGAUCAUCUGAGCUUCUCAAGGGGAAGGAUACUUAAGCUCUCUGAAGAUAUUGGACACAUUUGGAACACAUCAGUUCAUGAGUUUCCUUCAUCCGAUCAUGCAGACCGUCCGGACCAUGUACUGCUCCUUACCGCGGGACAUGCAUCCAGAUUCAUCGAAUCUGGACAAGAGUAGGCAAAGGGUUCACUUUGGCCAGUCAACAUAAUUUUCUGUGUAUUGACCAGAUCUGGUCUUUGUUAUAUUUUCUAUGUCUUAUUUUCACACAAAAUGAUUUAUUUCAUUUUGACUAAAACUUGUAUAAGUACUCCAUCAUUUCUGAAUAAAGAUGAUCGAUUUUUCCCUUCAAAACUUCUUAAGUUUUCUCUCUUUGUUCAUUGCAAAGAACUUGUUCUUAGUUUACUUUGGUGUGGUUAGCAUCCGAGCAAACACCUUGUCUAAUCGGACCGGUGAGUCACAUCCGGCGAUCUAGUCAAGUCAGUCUCCACAACGGACCUGUGAGUCACAUCAGGCGUUGUUCAGACUUGGAAAUAUCGAAGGCCUUCCGCAUCCUUCGUGAGAUCCCUCGAUCCAUCACUUCUCCAUCCGGAGAUCCUAUCAAAUACCGUACCGGCUGAGUGUUCCGAUCUAAGGGUCUAUCAAGGUCCAAGCAAUCCGGGACUGGCCGAUUCCGACCACCAUUGGUGAAGUGAGAAGCUUCCAUGGCCUUGCCGGCUUCUAUAGGCGAUUUGUUCAGAACUUCAGUACCUUGGCCGCUCCUCUUUCUGAAGUAAUCAAGAAGAACGUGGGGUUCAAAUGGGGACCAGCUCAGGAAGAAGCAUUCGAAAUCCUUAAAGGGAAGUUGACUCACGCCCCUUUACUUGUACUUCCAGAUUUUUCUAAAGCUUUUGAAAAUCGAAUGUGAUGCUUCUGGUGUUGGUAUUGGUGCUGUGUUGAUGCAUGAUGGAAAACCAGUGGCUUAUUUCAGUGAGAAGCUUGGAGGAGCCAUGCUCAACUACCCCACAUACGACCAAGAACUCUAUGACUUGGUGAGGGCCCUUCAAACGUGGCAGCAUUAUGUUUGGCCUAAGGAGUUCAUCAUCCACACUGAUCAUCAGUCUCUAAGACACCUUAAGGGUCAGCAUAAGCUCAACAAGAGGCAUGCUCGUUGGAUGGAGUUCAUUGAGACAUUCCCUUAUGUGAUCAAGUACAAACAAGGUAAGGAGAAUGUUGUGGCCGAUGCAUUGUCUCGAAGGUAUACUCUUCUCUCAGCCCUUGAAACAAAAUUGCUUGGUUUUGAGUUUAUCAAAGAUUUAUACAAAUUGUGGGAACCGAAAUUCGCACUGUCGAUUUCCGUUUAAAUAAGGAAACUAGGAAAACCCUAAUUUUCCAGAGGACCCAGAUAUCUGCUAAUAACCACACGUCAAGCAAUCAGAACACGAGAAUAACAACGACAAAGUAUAAUAAAUCGAGAAAGAGAGCAAAGAAGAUCUUAUUCCGAAUUUGCGUAUGAGCGUUUACAACAAGGUAUAAGCCUGAGCUCGAGAGCUGUCGGCGAGAUUCUUAGUUCUAGUAACCCUAAGACGGCUAAACCUAAUUGAGUCGCAGCUCAAAAUAACAAAAACGGAAAAUUGCCUAAAUUUCUCUAAGUGCUAAGUUUGCUCUGAAAAGUUCUCUCUCAUGCUCCUCGCCUAGGACUCCUUAUAUACUAGCUCCAAGGUCGGUUUACGCUUUUACUCUUCUGCCCUUAAGCCGUCAUAAAAAUGGAGAUAUUCCAUUUUUCCCGAUUUUCACAAUUAUCUUCAAAACUUCCGUAUUUAUCCGCGGAAACUUGACAUUUAUCCUUCCUUGUGGACCAAGCGUAAACCGUGCUGUGGUUUACGGGCUUUUGGUUAAGAAAUCGCAGGAUGGGCCUCAAGUCGUGUUUUAGGUCCCUUUGGGCCGUCUUCCAACUCGAAGCGUUUACUACGAUUUCUUUCGACAAAGAAAGAACUUUCCGCGGUUUCUAAUCCGCGAAGUUUGAUCGAUGAUUUAGAAUAGCGGAAAACAUAGACUGAGCUCGUUACGGUCUUCGGGAGAUAACAUUUGAAGGUUUGACGAGAAUGCAUGUACUGAUGUCAUACUGAUGUUCGGAAGAGCUUGGUCACUACGCAGCGACCGAACUUUGGCUCGAGCCCGGUCGCUACGUAGCGACCGAGCGAGACGGACGCUCGGUCGCUACGUAGCGACCGAGCGAGAUGGACGCUCGGUCGCUACAUAGCGACCGAGCGAGACGGACAUGUUCAUGAUCGUCUGGAUAUGUUGCUAGCGUUUAGACGAAUAUUAAGAUUGUCGUUUGCCUAUUCUUGACGAUUUGCAGAAGUUUUUUGAAGUUUGGGAGUAUACGAGUAUAGUAUACGUACCUACUCCCACUUUUUUUUUUUUUACGAAAGAAAACGGUUGAACCGAUACUUUGAAGGGUUGUGUACGUUUCCUCCUUUGAUGUUUGGAAUGAUCGAUAAUUCGGGGCGAUUUAUAGACGACGCUUGGACUGUGAUUUGGUUGUUUCCACGUUGACGACUUGGGAUAUGUCGGUUCCGAGAAAAUUGCCAGAAACGAAUCGGUUUUAAGACAACGUUCAUGUCUCUAACUUUUUCUCUCUUUAGGAAGCGAGCAUGAUAUACGUGGCGAUCGUUUCUCGACUUUCGGAGAGUUUAGAUCGGUUUGCAAGAUCUGGAUGAACAAUUAUGGAACAAUAUACCGAGACAGGAAAAAUCGCCUAAGACUUAUUUCGCUAGACUAUCCACCUAGGUUUUAAGUUCCCUAAAGUUCUACGGCAGUCUCUUAGGCGUUUCUAUUUCUUAGUAAUUUUCUACGAAAUUCCAAGCCUGAUUUCAAGUCGGGAAUACCUUAGUUCUCUCGUAAAUCUGGGUUAGCGUCUUCUCUGUUUUGCUUGCUCAUUUGCCCUUACUUUUUUCGUGUCUGUCUGCUCAUUUUGAAUAGCAAGAAUAUUGAUUAUUCCUGGAUAUCUAUGCUUUCCUGGCCGCUUUUAGGCAGCUACCAAUUUUCUCGAUUUUCGUGAUCCAUGUUUCGAUCUUAAUAUCAUUGGAUUUACGAAAAUGAAUGAGCAUAUCGUCGAAAAAAUCGAGUUGUGAGAGGAAGGAUUGGGAGAUCAUGGAGAGAGGCGGAUGGGCGAAUUCUGAUUCUCGGAUUUUGCUCCAUCGCUUCCCUUAUCAGAGAUUCUUUUUCUACGAUUGUUGUUAGAAUUUUGAAGGUUGUCAAAUGUUGCUUAUUUUAGUUUUACGAAAGUUUUUCCGAAAAAAUAAUAGCGAUCGACUCGUUCGCAGGUUGGUCACUACGAAGCGACCGACCGAGUGGCUAGGUCGCUCGAUACGUAGUGACCGACCGAGUGGCUUGGUUGCUCAAUACGUAGCGACUGACAGAGUGGCUUGGUCGCUCAAUACGUAGCGAUCGACCGAGUGGCUAGGUCGCUAAAUACGUAGAGACCGAUCGAGUGGCUAGGUCGCUCAAUACGUAGCGACCGACCGAGUGUCUUGACCGACCGAGUGUCUUGGUCGCUCAAUACGUAGCGACCGACUGAGAGUCUUCGUCACUCAAUACGUAGUGACCGACGGAGUGUCUUGGUCGCUCAAUACGUAGCGACCGACUGAGUGUCUUGGUCGCUCAAUACGUAGCGACCGACUGAGAGUCAUCACUCAAUACAUAGCGACCGACGGAGUGUCUUCCUCGCUCAAUACGUAGCGACCGAUCGAGUGGCUAGGUCGCUCAAUACGUAGCGACCGACCAAGUGUCUUGGUCGCUCAAUACGUAGCGACCGACUGAGAGUCUUCGUCACUCAAUACGUAGUGACCGACGAAGUGUCUUGGUCGCUCAAUACGUAGCGACCGAUCGAGUGGCUAGGUCACUCAAUACGUAGCGACCGAUCGAGUGGCUAGGUCACUCAAUACGUAGCGACCGACGGAGUGUCUUGGUCGCUCAAUACGUAGCGACCGACUGAGUGUCUUGGUCGCUCAAUACGUAGCGACCGACUGAGAGUCAUCACUCAAUACAUAGCGACCGACGGAGUGUCUUCCUCGCUCAAUACGUAGCGACCGAUCGAGUGGCUAGGUUGCUCAAUACGUAGCGACCGACCGAGUGUCUUGGUCGCUCAAUAUGUAGCGACCGACUGAGAGUCUUCGUCACUCAAUACGUAGUGACCGACGGAGUGUCUUGGUCACUCAAUACGUAGCGACCGAUCGAGUGGCUAGGUCACUCAAUACGUAGCGACCGACCGAAUGUCUUGUCACUCAAUACGUAGCGACCGACGGAGUGUCUUGGUCGCUCAAUACGUAGCGACCGACUGAGUAUCUUGGUCGCUCAAUACGUAGCGACCGACUGAGAGUCAUCACUCAAUACAUAGCGACCGACGGAGUGUCUUCCUCGUUCAAUACGUAACGACCGAUCGAGUGGCUAGGUCGCUCAAUACGUAGCGACCGACUGAGUGUCUUGGUCGCUCAAUACGUAGCGACCGACUGAGAGUCUUCGUCACUCAAUACAUAGUGACCGACGGAGUGUCUUGGUCGCUCAAUAUGUAGCGACCGACGGAGUGUCUUGGUCGCUCAAUAUGUAGCGACCGACUGAGUGUCUUGGUCGCUCAAUACGUAACGACCGACUGAGAGUCAUCACUCAAUACAUAGCGACCGACGGAGUGUCUUCCUCGCUCAAUACGUAGCGACCGAUCGAGUGGCUAGGUCGCUCAAUACGUAGUGACCGACCGAGUGUCUUGGUCGCUCAAUACGUAGCGACCGACUGAGUGUCUUCGUCACUCAAUACGUAGUGACCGACGGAGUGUCUUGGUCGCUCAAUACGUAGCGACCGAUCGAGUGGCUAGGUCACUCAAUACGUAGCGACCGACUGAGAGUCUUCGUCACUCAAUACGUAGCGACCGACGGAAUGGCUAGGUCGCUCAAUACAUAGUGAGUGACCGAGUGCCUUCGUCGCUCAAUAUGUAGCGACCGACCGAUUGGCUUGGUCGCUCAAUACGUAGCGAAUGGUCGGACCAAGGCCGAUCUACCCCCAGUUUUAUCUGUACUUCCACAGUUUGGUCGUUACCGCGCGGUUCCAGGCCUAUCGAGUGGUGUUGCGAAGUCGAGUCUUUUCCCGCGAGCUUUAGUGGUUCCGCGGGGAUGGAUUGCUCGAGUCCUUGCCGUUAAGGUUUCAACCUGUUUGGUCAAGGUAUUCACGAGCUUAUCCUGUUCUUCCGACCUUUUCUCAUAGGUGGCGAACAUCUUUUUAAACUCCUCGAGCAUCGCGGCGUUGGCUUGUGCAUUGGCCGCGGAUAAGUCCGCUGCUGGAGAAUGGAGAUCGGUGCCGCUGCCUCCGUUAAGAGGGAUUUGCACGUUAUCCGCGUCGUUAGUUGACAUGUCUGAUUGAGAGUGUUGUGGCUUUUGCGGGUUAGAUUGAUCCGUAAGUCCCCCUCCUUCUAGCGCCAAACUGUGGGAACCGAAAUUCGCACUGUCGAUUUCCGUUUAAAUAAGGAAACUAGGAAAACCCUAAUUUUCCAGAGGACCCGGCUAAACCUAAUUGAGUCGCAGCUCGAAAUAACAAAAACGGAAAAUUGCCUAAAUUUCUCUAAGUGCUAAGUUUGCUCUGAAAAGUUCUCCCUCAUGCUCCUCGCCUAGGACUCCUUAUAUACUAGCUCCAAGGUCGGUUUACGCUUUUACUCUUCUGCCCUUAAGCCGUCAUAAAAAUGGAGAUAUUCCAUUUUUCCCGAUUUUCACAAUUAUCUUCAAAACUUCCGUAUUUAUCCGCGGAAACUUGACAUUUAUCCUUCCUUGUGGACCAAGCGUAAACCGUGCUGUGGUUUACGGGCUUUUGGUUAAGAAAUCGCAGGAUGGGCCUCGAGUCGUGUUUUAGGUCCCUUUGGGCCGUCUUCCGACUCGAAGCGUUUACUACGAUUUCUUUCGACAAAGAAAUAAUUUUCCGCGGUUUCUAAUCCGCGAAGUUUGAUCGAUGAUUUAGAAUAGCGGAAAACAUAGACUGAGCUUGCUACGGUCUUCGGGAGAUAACAUUUGAAGGUUUGACGAGAAUGCAUGUACUGAUGUCGUACUGAUGUUCGGAAGAGCUCGGUCACUACGCAGCGACCGAACUUUGGCUCGAGCCCGGUCGCUACGUAGCGACCGUGCUUGGCUCGGGCUCGGUCGCUACGUAGCGACCGAGCUUGGCUCAGGCUCGGUCGCUACGUAGCGACCGAGCGAGACGGACGCUCGGUCACUACGUAGCGACCGAGCUUGGCUCCAGCUCGGUUGCUACGUAGCAACCGAGCGGGACGGACGCUCGGUCGCUACGUAGCGACCGAGCUGUGUGCAUGCUUGGUCGCCGCAUAUCGAGCGAGCUUAGCUUGUCCGCGGUCUGAUUUCCAUACUCGAGUUUGUACGCGGCCGAUUUGGAUACAUGUCCGUUGCCUUCGGACAAUCGGUAUUUAGUGGUUCGAUUGAGAUUUGGACGAUAUUUUACUGCAAGGCUCUUCGUAAAGAUAUCUUUACGAAGAUUACUUUUCGUAAAAACGUUUAUGCUGAUUUUUACGGACUUUCAGACAUUGAUUCCGUCGUGACCGAUUUUGACCCCAACACGAAUCUGAUCAAGAUUUCAAAGAGGUUUUCCGAAAAUGUUCCAAGGUCGCUUAUGGAAAGUAUUUUCAAAACUAUGGAUUCCUAUUCUUUGAUAACCACUUGUGUGUGCCCCAAUGUUCUUUGAGGGAGUUGUUUCUCAGGGAAGCUCAUGGAGGAGGUCUUAUGGGAGACUUUGGUGUUAAAAAAACUUACAAGGCGGUUCAUGAUCACUUCUAUUGGCCAAUCAGAAAAGAAAGGAGGUUAUUUUAAAAGAAGGUGAUCUUGCUACGGUCCCGCUCGGUCGCUACGUAGCGACCGAGCACUCGUGUCACUCGGUCGCUACGUAGCAACCGGGCGCGAGCCAAAGUUCGGUCGCUGUGUAGCGAUUGAACCUUUCCGAACAUCGAUACGACACCAGUCCAUGCAUUCUCGUCAAACCUUCGAAUGCUAUCUCCCGAAGACCGUAGCAAGCUCAGUCCAUGUUUCCCGCUAUUCUAAUUCAUCGAUCAAACUUCGCGGAUUAGAAACCGCGGAAAAUUCGUAGUAAACGUGUCGAGUCGGAAGACGGCCCAAAGGGACCUAAAACACGAUUCGAAGCCCAUCCUACGAUUUUCCUAACCAAAAGCCCGUAAACCACAGCAUGGUUUACGCUUGGCCCACGAGGAAGGAUAAAUGUCAAGUUUCCGCGGAUAAAUACGGAAGUUUUGAAGAUAAUUAUGAAGAUCGGGAAAAAUGGAAUAUCUCCAUUUUAUGCUAUGACGGCUUAAGGGCAGAAGAGUAAAAGCGUAAACCGACCUUGGAGCUAGUAUAUAAGGAGUCCUAGGGGAGGAGCAGAGAGAGAACUUUUUCAGAGCAAACUUAGCACUUAGAGCAAUUUAGGCAAUUUUCCGUUUUUGUUAUUUCGAGCUGCGACUCAAUUAGGUUUAGCCGUCUUAGGGUUGCUAGAACUAGGAAUCUCGCCGACAGCUCUCGAGCCCAGGCUUAUACCUUGUUGUAACGCUCAUACGCAGAUUCGGAAUAAGAUCUACUUUGCUCUCUUUUCGAUUUCUUAUUUUUAUCGUUGUUGUUCUCGUGUUCUGAUUGCUUGACGUGUGGUAAUUAACAGAUAUCCGGGUCCUCUGGGAAAUUAGGGUUUUCCUAGUUUCCUUAUUUAAACGGAAAUCGACAGUGUGAAUUUCGGUUCCCACAGCCGCCUGUUAGACUAUAUUAUUAGGGUUUUGUAUCAUUUUAGAGGCAGACUUGCCUAGAGACCUUUUAGGCCUAGUCUGGAGAGAAGCAACCAACCACCAUUUGAGGGAGAGAGAGCUUAUGAUUGGAGAGAUAGAUGUGAACAACAAAACAUAGAAGAUCUUGAACUCCCUUGUUUUCAUUUUCUCUAUUGUUUUCAUUUAUUUAAGUAUUAUUCAGACAAUCGUACUGCUGAUUAUUUGGCUAAGCAAACCCUAAUGAGCCAUCGUACUGCCCCUCUGGGCUAGACUACUCGGCCUGAGGCCAAGACUUUUUUCACAUUAGCUUUAAAUAUAAAAACAGUUUGACAAAAAAAAAGUAUUAUUCCGACCAUCAUAACCAUGUUUCUUAUGAAUAAGAUACCACUCAAAUUAUCCUAAGGAGGGAUUUAUACUCUCUCAAAUAAGAGGUCGAGUUGUAGUACUUAGGGAUCGAAUUCACAAGGAGUUAGGGAACCUAGAGUUUAUAAUAUGUUUUGUUAAGCAGGUGGUUUUAAGAGUUUUUAAAAGUAAAUUGCAGAUUAUAUAUUGAACAAAUAAUUGUUCAAUAGCAAGUUUCGGGUUUUGGUGCUUUAAAAAGGAAAUAGCUACUUAGGGUUUUUACUCAGGAGAGUUGGAAUUAUAAUCCUACAGAUGCCUAAUGAGUUGCAUGCAUGAUAAUGUAAAGCUCAACUAUUUGAUCAACAAGUCUUUCGGCCUUUGCGAGCAUUGACUUAUUGACUAUUAACUAGAUCUAUGAUCUCAACUCUUGUUAUAUUGAUCUAUAGAAAGUGUCGACCGAUAUUCCAAUGGGCGCAUCGAUCGAUACACCUUUUGCACCGUCGAUCGAUUAUUCAAGUAUGAUAUCGAUCGACGCGCUCUAGUCAAGCUUUAUGCGCAGGUUGAAUAAAUGUUUACUAAGCUUAGUAGAUCAGCUCUCGCCUUGCUCAUAGUAAGAAACAAAGUUCAGUUAGAAUGUUUUCAGGAUGAGAAUUAGCAAUGGCUUUUAUCAAUCAAUCCUAGGACAAGUUUUAGGUAGCUAAUCUAGAGACAAACAUUAAUGAACAAUUCUAGUGAUGAUUAUCACAACUCAGCUAUCCAUAGUUGGAGCUAAUCCCUCCUAACCUAUUUAAACCCUAAAAUCUAACAAGAGAACUACUCAGACAUGGCUAAACAAUUCAUAACAAUAGUUAGAUAUAAAAACUGCAUAGAAUAGAUAAGAUAAAUAUCAAUGAAGUUCCAGUCACAAAUUAUAACUUUGGAUCUUCUCUCCUAUAUAUCAGUAAACAAUAAAACACAAAGAAGAACACAAAACAAAAGCACGCUCUGCCUAUAACAGGGAUGCAAAGCUUAUAUAAUUAGGGUAAAACUCGUCACGGGCAAUCUUGUAAAAUAGUGAAAUCUUGGGCUUCAAGUCGGCUGUGACCAAACGGGCUUCUGCACGCUUCGAUAUCGAUCGACACCAUAACUUGUGUAUCGAUCGAUUCUAGCUCUCCAAUAUCGACUGAUUCUCGAUCUCGAUGGUCAUCUCAGUUGCUUGCUCCAAAUAUCUCCAAAAUGCUCCAAAAUCAUCACUUAUCUCCAAAACCUUCCUGGUCUUAUAGGUAUAAUAAAUAAGCUCUAUAAUAAUAUAAAUAUUAGUAAAAACACUUAUCAACUAGGGAUAAAAAUGGGUCAAAUCCAUAGUCUACCAAUCAGACAUCUCCCUUAGCUAUUGCAAUCUGGUGAUAUCCCGAUGCCAAGUCAAUCUUAGAGAAUAAUGAAUCUCCCUGCAACUGGUCCAACAACUCGUCGAUACGCGGAAGAGGAUACUUAUUCUUGAUGGUCACUUUGUUCAUACCUUUGUAGUCGAUAGAAAGCAUGAAACUCCCAUCUUUCUUCUUCACAAAUAAUAUCGGUGCUACCCACGACGAAGUACUCGGCCUGAUAAAACCCUUAUCUGAAAGUUCCUCAAACUGUUUCUUUAACUCAACCAUCUCUGCUGGCGCUAAACGGUAUGGAGCUCGUGAAACUGGUGCUGCUCCUGACUCCACCUUUAUCUUAAGAACACGUCUGCCCUAGGUGAUGGUGGUCUUUUUAAAGCCUCAAAAAUGUCCUCGUACUCUGCAACAACUGGAAUGUCAUGCAGCUCCUGCUGGCCAUCCUCCUUAACCAUCGAAAUGGUCACCAAAAACCCCUUUGCUCCUCUCUCCAAUAACUCCUCUGCGUGCCACAUGGAGAAAAUGGAAAUUCCCUGGUGCUCGUAAAGCUUUCUGGGAGAAGCAUCGAUUGACGCGACGACCGUUUAAGCGAUCGAUAUUUUGAAAGGUGUAUCAGUCAAUAUUCUUUACAAAUCAUGGAUCCACACUUUCUUGUGAUUAACAUACGAAAGUUGAAUUCCGAGAUCUAGAUUAGAUAAUCUUAUUGAUUUUACCUAAGUUUGAGUUCGAUAACAAUUAAUAUCAAUAAACCCCUAAAAACCAAAAUUAAGUUGUUUACUUAUCAUACCCGAGAAUAUACCUGAAUUAGCUAUUUCCCCAACUAUCAACAACCUCAAAUCAAACCAAUCGAGCAACUGCCUUGCUCACCAUUUCAUUUACUGCUUAAAACCUAUUAAUCUAAAUUUAUUUCGAAGACUAUAAAUUUACUGUGUAAUCAUAUAGUCUCUGUGGAUUCAAUUCCUAUCUACAUCUGAACCUCUUAUUUGAGAGAGUAAUUCACUCCUAAUGGUAAUUUAAGUGAUAUCAAAUUUGGUGCCAUUGCCGGGGACUCUUUCUUAUAACCAUUAGAUUAAGUUUAGAAUAUACUCUUGAUUUUGUUACUGAAUUUGCUAAAGUUUUCCUUCUUUCCCUGCUGACACAGGCACUUAAGACGGAGAACAUGGAUUUCGGCUGGACAUUGAUCGACGUAAUAGCAACAAUGUCGAGCGAAGAGUCGAUGGAAACAUCGAUCGACGUUGCACUACAAACAUCGAUCGACGCUGCACUACAGACAUCGAUCGACGAGUCAACGGAAACAUCGAUCGACGCUUCACUACAAAUAUCGAUCGACCACACUCCGCCGGAAGCAGGUAAGUUUUCUCUUACCAAUCAUGCUAAUGAAGAAGUAGUCCUAGGUGAACCCAAAUUUCAACUAAGCCAUGCAAUUAACCAAAUUAUAAAUAAACAGGGGACUGAAAUCCCUGUUAAAAUUAAUUCAAUCUCAAAUGGAGAUGAAGAAACAAAAUUGCCUUUGCAAGACUACUUAAAUCCUGGCAGGACCUAUUCCAAUAGGCCGGCCAUUAGAUUACCAAAUGACGAUACCAAGAAAUCCGGUCUUAACCUCGAAUACCUAAUCUUUGUACGUCAAAAUCCCUUCGGUGGAACCGUCUCAGAACACCCACACGAUCAUAUCAAAUACCUAGAAGACAUGAUGAUGGACAAAUACAACCGUUGUAAACUCUUCUCAUUUUCCUUAGAGGGCGACACAAGAAAAUGGCUAAAUCAACUACCAGCAGGAUCUCUGACCUGGUGGAAGGAAAUUAGGAGUGUCUUCAUUAAUCAUUUAUUCGAUGAGACGCGUUAUUGUGAUGUGAUGAAGAAAAUCUCCACAUCCUGCCAACGUCCACAGGAAUCAUUCAAAAACGCCUGGGGAAGAUUCAAGGGUUAUCAACUUAAAUAUCCCCAUCAUGGUUAUUCAGAACGACAGCUUAUUAACACCUUUUACGGGGGUGUUAACCUAUAUUACCAAACCACGCUUGACACAGCAAGUGAAGGGAGCUUCAGCACCAAGAGCCCUGAAGAAGCAAAGGUUUGAUUAAGAAUGUAGCAACAGGUAGAUCCUACGAGAUGAUGGACAUAGAACGAGGAAGAUGAGUUGAUUCCAUAAAUGGGCCACAUUUUUCUGAAAUUAAAGAGUCUCUGGACUCACUUCAUUCAGUUCUAGAGGAGCAAAAUAAAUUUGGAAUUUACCAAAUUGAUGAUGAUGUCAUUUCUGAUCUAGAACAACAUGUAGAUUUCGUAGAUAUCCCAAACCUGAAAGAUCGGUAUCCCAAUCCUGACACCGACAGCUUUACUCGAAAUUAUGAUGCUACCGUUGGAUCACGUUGAGGCAGAGAAAAAUUUAGGUUAAACCAAGCCUUCACGGGAAAUUUUCAAAUAGCCACUGACCUGAACGAAAAGAUAAAUAAAAUCUACAAUAAGCUAAUGAGGAAAUUCGACGCUCUGAGUGAACACAUUAAGAGACUGGACAGUCAGGUAGCGGAAAAUGCGACUGCCAUCAAAAGAGAAACAUGACGUCUCCCUGGGAGAACAGACGCAAACCCAAGACGUCAACUUAAUGUUGUGUUACUAAGAAGCGGAAAACGCCUUACCCCGAGUACUGUAGAAAUCACCUCUGCGGAAAAACCCGUUGAGGCUGAGAAAAUCCUGAUCGAGGAUCAGAACCUUCUCAGGAGAAAGAACCGUCCAACACUAAAAAAACUGAGAAGGCAACGAUCAGCCUCGAUGAAGAAGAGGAGGAGUCGGAAGAAUAUGUGGAAAUCGAUCGACAAGAGGGAAAUAAUAUCGAUUGACCGACUACGGUAAAUAUCGAUCGACAAACAGGAAAGAAUGUCGAUCGACACUCGACUCCAGCCAAACCGGCAGUAGAGAGAGUGUAUAGGACUUUGCCGCCCUUUCCUCCCAAAAAAUUGCAAACCAAGCGAGAAUUGGACAAAGCGAUUUACAAGAAAGUAUUCAAUAAAAUCACGUUAGAAAUGACACUAAGGGAUGCCAUGACAGUAUUGCCCUCAAUAAAGAAAUAUGUAUCCAACAGCUUCCCAGCUCCUAAACACAGCGUCAUGAUGGUUUCAGAGGAAGUAAGUGCAAUAAUCCAAGGCGAAACCCCGAUCAGGAGACCUGAUCCUGGCAGCUUUGUUCUAGAUUGCAACAUACGAAAUAAAAGUUUUCCUCGAUCCCUUUGUGACCUACGUUCCAAUGUUAAUCUCAUGCCGCACUAUAUUGGGAUAUCCCUGUGAUAUAACGAGUUCAAACCAACAAAACUAACUUUGGUUCUUGCUGAUAGAUCUGUUAGAGUACCUGACGGAGUACUAGAUGACGUGCCGAUAAUGAUUAACGACUGUCACGUACCAACGGACUUCGUUGUGUUGAAAUACCAGAAUGAACCAAAACAUCCCCUCAUUUUAGGUAGACGAUUUCUAGCUACAGCUGGAUCGAUCAUCGACGUCAAGGAAGGUCGGAUAUGUCUAAACAUUGGAAACAUUCCAAUGACCUUUGAUAUGUAAAAACUGAUAAGACGACCUCUAAUCGAUAAACAAGCUUUAUAUGUGGAUGAUAUCUCUGAGUUGGCUGAAGAAUCUUUCAUAGACCUAUGCUUAGACGAACCCCUGGAAAAAGUGCUUACAUUUACCGAAAAAGAAAUGUUCAGCAUCGACAGCAGGGCCGAUGAAUACGCACGAUUAAUGGACGCAAGUGUAGAGAUAUGAAAUGUCGAUGAUGUGGAGGAUGACAAUUCGGAAAUCAAUGUCGAUCGAUAUUUAAAGGGCACCGUCGAUUGACAACCAUCCACUCUAGAAAAUUGGAGCACCGCAAAAGCACCUAAAAUUGAAGCAACUACCUGCCGGACUUAAAUAUGCUUUUCUUUAUAAUAAUUCCUACCCCAUAAUCGUAAACGCCAACCUAACUAACAGAGAACUUACGUUGUUAUUGAAUAAACUGCACAAGUAUAGGAAAGCUCUUGGGUACUCUCUCGAGGAUAUUCCUUGUAUAUCUCCAGAUUUGUGCAUGCACCAAAUUCAAUUAGAAGACGAUUCCAAAUCGUCAGUGGAAAAUCAAAGAAAGCUAAACGCGAAAAUGAAUGAAGUUGUUAAAAAGGAAAUUAUCAAACUUCUAGAUGCUGGAGUCUUCUACCCAAUUUCAGAUAGUAAUUAGGUGAGCCAUGUGCAUGUUGUACCUAAGAGAGGCGGUAUUACAGUGGUGGAGAACGAUAGAAACGAAAUCAUUCCUACGCAAAUGUGUAUCAAUUAUAGGAAACUAAACGCUGCCACCAGAAAAGAUCACUUUCCUUUACCAUUCAUUGAUCAAAUGUUGGAAAGACUGGUGAAUCACCAAUAUUAUUAUUUUCUUGACGGAUAUUCUGGAUUUUCCCAAAACCAUAUACAUCCUGACGAUCAAGAAAAUGCCACAUUUACAUGCCUUUAUGUUACAUACCGCAGAAUGCCAUUCGGUCUUUGUAAUUCCAAGCCACUUUCUAAUGAUGCAUGAUGUCAAUCUUUACGGAUAUGAAAGAAGAUUUCAUGGAAGUUUUUAAGGACGAUUUCUCAGUCUAUGGAUCCAGUUUCAAAAACUGCCUCGAUAACAUGUGUAAAGUUUUGGCAAGAUGUGAAGAACAUAACCUUGUUCAAAAUUGGGAAAAAUGCCAUUACAUGGUUAACGAUGGAAUCUUCUUGGGACAUAAAGUAUCUGCUGCCGGUAUAAAAGUAGAUCGAGCAAAAAUUGAGUUAAUGAUCGGUUUGCCUGCGCCCACAAACGUAAAAUAAGUGAGAAAUUUCUCGGGCAUGCCGGAUUUUACAGGAUGUUUGUUUAUACAAGAUUUCAGCAAAAUCGCUAGACUAAUCACAGCCCUCCUAUGCAAAGAAGUAAAAUAUGACUUCACACCAGAAUGAAUAAAAGCUUUCGAAGAAAUUAAGAGAGCCUUAAUAACUGCCCCAAUCGUACAAGCACCUGACUGGAACCUUCCUUUCGAAAUUAUGUGUGAUGCGAGCGAUUUCGCUGUAGGAGCAGUUCUAGGCCAAAAGAAAGAAAAAAAAGCUACAUGUUCUCUACUAUGCCAUUCGAACUCUCGAUGAGGCACAAAGGAACUAUGCAACAACAGAAAAAAAACUACUUGCUGUGGUUUAUGCAUUUCAAAAUUCCGCCAAUACGUAGUCGGUUCGCGAGUUAUUGUUCAUACCGACCUUGCUGCAAUAAAAUAUUUAAUGCAGAAGAAAUACGCGAAACCACGACUCUUGCGAUGGAUCCUUCUACUCCAGGAAUUUAACAUCAAGAUUAAAGACAAACAAGGAGUAGAAAACAGAGUCGCAGUCACCUUUCUUGGAUACUAGUAGAGGAUGACGUCCCUAUCGAUGAUUUCUUGCCAACAGAGAACGUUUACCAAACGUCUUCAUCAUUUGUUGGUAACAUAUGUCUCACAUCCGAGGAGCCAUCAAUCGACACCAGAGAUGCUAUGCCGAUCGACAUUCUCGAUGAUUAAAACCAAGACACUUCCCCCAUAACCAUCACUUUUGAUAUUAAAGUCAGUGUCGCCUCCAACACCUUGCACCCUGAACAUGUUUCUCUUGGACACAGAAGCUUAAAUCAGGGGAUGCACGCAAUCGAAAGAAGUUUAAGGGAUAGACCUUGGUACGCUGACAUAGUAAACUAUCUAGAUGCUGACAUAGAACCCGAAGAGCUAAAAGGUUAUACAAGAAAGAAAUUUUUAAGAGAAGUCAGGAGAUAGCACUGGGAUGAACUAUACCUCUACAAACAUUGCUGUGAUAGACGAUGUGUCGCUGAAACUGAAAUUCCAGAUAUUUUAUUCUAAUGCUAUGGAUCUGACUACCCUGGAUUUUCUGCAAUCUUUAAAACAGUAUUAAAAAUUGUCCAAGCGGGAUUCUGGUGGCCAACCAUGUUUCGCGAUGCUCAUGCAUUCAUAGCACAAUGCGACAUAUGCCAAUGAAGAAGAAAAAUCAGUAAAGGACAUGAAAUGAAACAAAAAUCUAUUCUAGAGGUAGAAGUCUUUGAUUGUUGGAGAAUAGACUUCAUGUGUCCUUCCCGUCCUCAUACGGGAACAAAUAUAUCCUAUCCUAUUCGCUGUUGAUUAUGUAUCCAAAUGGGUUGAAGCAAUAGCUUCCCCAAAUGGGUUGAAGCAGUAGCUUCCCCAACAUUUGUAGUUAUAAAGCUUUUCAAAAGCAUUAUUUUCCCAAGAUUUGGAGUUCCUCGAGUAGUCAUAAGUGACGGUGGAUCCCAUUUCAUCAACAAAGUUUUUCACGGAUUACUCCAGAAGAACGGAGUGCACCAUAGAGUUGCUACACCUUACCCUCAGACAAGUGGAAAAAUAGAAGUUUCAAAUCGGCAGAUCAAAGAAAUCUUAGAAAAGACUGUAGGAACCUCUAGGAGAGAUUGGUCUAGGAAACUGGACAAUGCACUCUGGGCUUACCGGACUGCAUUCAAAACCCCAUUAGGAACAACCCCGUUUCACCUACUCUAUAGAAAAUCCUGUCACUUACCGGUUGAGCUAGAACACAAGGUAGCAUGGGCUUUAAAACUAAAUUUCAACAUCAAACCAGCUGCCGAAAUGAGACUUAAGAAGCUUAACUAGUUGGAUGAAAUAAGACACUUAGCCUAUGAGAGCUCGACAAUCUAUAAAGAGAAGAUGGAAGCAUAUCAUGAUAAAAAGAUCAUCUCCAGGCACUUCAAACCAAAUGAUCAAGUGUUGUUAUAUAAAUCUCGGCUCAUGCUAUUUCCCAGAAAACUCUGAUCUCGUUGGUCAGGUCCUUUCACUGUUGUGGAUGUCAAACCAUAUGGAGCCAUUACACUCAUAAACGAUAAAGAAGAAGAACUUAUAGUGAAUGGUCAAUGAGUGGAACAUUGUUGGGCUAGACCGCUGAUUAGCAGGCUUUUAAACUUAGGCCUUCUUCCUGAUAGUUACACAGAUCGGACCUCGAUUGAAGCUCAGGACUUAAAAUAAGCGCUGGAUAGGAUGCAACCCAUUUCUAGUUUUAGGAUAUUAAGAAUUUAGUUUAAAAAAAACUUAAUUAUCAGAAAACAUAGCGGCUGUCGAUCGACGAAGAUAUUUCUUCAUCGAUCGACGGGAAAUGAAAAAACACGGACUCACUUAAGUCGACAUUAAGUCGACAAUAAGCCUAACCCAAAAACCCUUCGAAACAGCCUCCACUCUCUUUCUCUCUCGUUUCUCAUCCAAAUCGGACGAUUUGUGCGCCUAAUCCACUUGAUUUUCAACUCUCUAUCCGUUUAGAUCACUUAAUCCAUGAAUCAACAUGGUAUGAAAAAGAAAUUUUCUAAAUUUUCGUUCGUGUUAGGGUUAAGAUAAAAGAUGAACUAGAACAGGGAUUUUAUGGCAUGUAUAGAUCGAUUUGUGUUGAUGGAAUGAUAGAAUAGGGAUUAAAGAUCGAUUCUACUGAUAAUUAUGCUAUGCAAACCGAAUUGCAUCGAAUGGCUUUUUGCAGGUUCUCACGAUGGAGAUAUCGAUCGAUGAUAGCCCAUUUACAUCGAUCGAUUAUAACACUGAUAUAUCAAUCGAUAUCGACACAGACCUGUCGAUCGAUAUCGGCCACUAAACCAUCGAGAUUCACUGAUUUCGUAUAUUCAUUUGUAAACUUUGGUUGCAGAUGAACGAAAGGAGAACGAAGAGGAGAUUCGACAGCAGCGGCACCAGCACAGCUCCACCCCCACCACCGGUUCGCAACCAGCACCCUUGGCCAAUAGAGCGCGAGGAAGACCCCAUCCCACUCUUUGCACACUUCACUGCGGCUAAAAGCUUGGAAUGCAAAAACCGUGCGAUAAGGGACGAGUGGAACGACUAAGACAUCAUAUUCUACAAUGUGUGGCUGAAGGUUACCAUUGAGCCGACGCGAUUCGUCGACGCGGAUGUGAUUAGACAGCUGGGCAUCAGAGACGACCUGGAGGACAUGUUCGUGGAGCUGGGAAUGGGCAACAUGUGCACCAAACAACACGUCCUCUACACGGAGCUGGUCCAACAGUUCAUAGCCACUGUGCAGGUCUAGUACACCCGCGAGAGAGGGAGGAGAGCCAGCGAGGGUACCUUGACUUUCUUCGUCCGCGGCAUCCGCUACGAAGUCCCUCUCAUGACUCUUUGCACCAUCUACGGGUUUCAGAACUCAGAGCUUCAGCACGCUUCAGUUCCUGGCUUCCCUGGGAGAUCGACGUUCUGGGGGCAUAUAGCUACUGGCAUCUUCGACUCAGGCUCGGCCACUCAGACGGACAUCCGUCACCUUACUUGGCGAUACGUCAUGAAGGUCCUUGCCAACACUCUUUUGUUCAAGAUGGAACCUAGUAAGGUUCGGGUGCAGGAGCUCACAUUGGUCUACUAUGCAGUGAGGAGCCUGGUUCACAUGGAGGAUAUUGAGGAGCCAGAUGACUGUGAGAACCGAAAUUCACACUGUAAAUUUCCGUUUAAAUUAGGAACCUAGGAAAACUCUAAUUUCCCAGAGGUCUCGGAUAUCUGCUAAUACUACACGCCAAGCAUUCAAAACACGAGAUAACAACGAUAAAGUAUAUGGAAUCAUAAAAAGAGAGCAAAGGGAAGUCUUACUCCGAAUUUGCAUAUGAGCGUUUACAACAAGGUAAUAAGCCUGGGCUCGAGAGCUGUCAGCGAGAUUCCUAUUUUAACAACCCUAAGACAGCUAAACCUAAUUGAGUCAUAGCUCGAAAUAACAAAAACGGAAAGUUGCCUAAUUGCUCUAAGUGCUAAGUUUUCUCUGCAAAAGCUCCUCCUCAUGCCUCUCGCCUAGGACUCUUUAUAUACUCGCUCCUAGGUCGGUUUACGCUUUUCCCCUUCUGCCCUUAAGCCGUCAUAGCCAAAAAAUGGAGAUAUUCCAUUUUCCCGAUCUUCGUAAUUAUCUUCCAAAACUUCGUAUUUAUCCGCGGAAACUUGACAUUAAUCUUUCCAAUCAAACCAAGCGUAAACCGUCCUACGGUUUACAGGCUUUUGGUUAAGAAAUCGUAAAUUGGGCUUCGAGUCAUUCUUAGGUCCCUUUGGGCCGUCUUUUGGCUCGAAGCGUUUAUUACGGCUUCUUUCGAUAAAAACAAAAUUUCUGGGGUUUUUAUCAUAAAGUUCGAUUGAUGACUUCAAAUGUCGAGAAACAUGAAAUGGGUUUGCUACGGUCUUCGGGAGAUAGCAUCAAAGAGUAGACGAGAAUGCAUGGACUCAUGUCGUAUUCGACGUUUCGGGAAAGCUCGGUCGCUAUGUAGUGACCGAGUGGGAUGUGCGCUUGGUCGCUACGUAGCGACCGAGCUUGGCUCGAGCCCGCUCCCUACGUAGCGACCGGGCAGUGCGCAUGUUCGGUCGUUGCGUAGUGACCGAGCUUGGCUUGUCCGUGUUCCGUUCGUCACACUCGAACUUAUCUGUGGCUGGUUUAGAUACGUUUCCAUUACCUUAGGACAACUUGUGUUUGAUCCAACCGAGACUCGAACAAGGUUUUAUCUCGAGAUCCUGUGUCGUGACAUUUUUUACCAAGCAUAAUUGUCGUAACCGUUUUCGACCCCACAGUUAGCCCCCAAGCCCGUUAGAAUCAUGGAUUCCCGAUGAGAUUCUAGCGUACGGUAUGGCGAGUUUGGACGAGAUUCGCGUAUUUGGGCCUAAUCAUAUCCAAAAGUCUGCAGGUAAAUAGUAAUUUCUCAUGCCUAUAAGAAGCAAGGUAACUUCUUCAUAAUUUUUCACUUGCUUGCUUUCAUAAGGAGCUUUCUUGAAAGAAUUUCUCCCUCCUCUCCAUCUUUUUCUUCUUAUUUUCACUUAAAAAUUACGAAAUGUCAAGUUGGAAAAAGACUUCGAAGAAAGGCACACCUUGUGCCGAAGAUCGAGUUUGUGCCUCAUUCGGUAGAUCCGGCUGAGAACGAGGCAUGGUGGGUUGCGAGGUAUGGUUCGAUCACACCUCCCAACGAGAAGUCGUUCCUAGUCAUGAACCAUCGUUUGGUCGAAGAAGGUGCACCGAGUAGGAACACUAGCGACUUUCUUCGGACCGUGUGGUCGUUCUACCGAAUUCCGGAUACGGUAGAAUUCCAGGUUCCUCGUCAAGGAGAGCGUGCUAGUAGUCCCCCAGAGGGUUACUUUACUUGUUACGAAGCAUUCAUAGUGCGCUGCCGCUUGUGGUUUUCGAUUCCCGAAAUCAUCGUCCGCGUGUUGGAUCGUUUUUGAGGUGUCGAUAAGUAUCCAGCACCUUGUUGGAGUUUUGAUCUUGAGCUACGAGCACGGUCUCUCCUAUACCGUCGACCACUUCGAAGCGCUUUUCAAGUUGCAGAUCGUUAGGAAUACGGACAAGUACCGACUGGUCCCUCGGAACUUCAUGUCGGUGGUCAAGGGUUUCUUUCCAACUUCAACUCGUGGAAGAAAUUUUUCUUCUUUGUUCGUAUAAACGCCGCGUCUGUCGAAGAGAGUUGCAUCCCAUUGUUCCGGAGUCUGCCGAACGAUCGUCCCUUCAUCAAUCUGAUUGCUCUGUUUCCUGAAGAUACGAUCGCAGUGAGGGAUCUUCUCAGGAACAGUCCGUUUUUCUGGACCUCCUUCACGCCGAAGAGAGUUCGAAAGGCGUUGAGGCUCGCGCAUCCCGGUCCUGCUUCGGGCGCGGAAACAGACAGCGACUCCGAGCCUGAUGCUCCGCGUUUUGAUGUUGCUCCCACUGGCACAAUGGGGUUGAGCUCCUCGAAGGGGAAAUAUAUCACCCUUGGCGACAUAGAGUGUUCAGUGGAUGAUUCUAUGCUCCCAGGAUGGGACCCGGACCUUGCUUACGGCGAUGGAAGUGGUACGAGCGAGAUCCCUAUCCAGAAUUUUGAUGAUUUCUUCGCCGGUCUACCCUCGAGUUUUGAUCCUCCCCCGCCUGUGGAUGAAUCGGGAAGGUCGAGAGUCGUUGCAGAGGAAUCUCGUAUCAUCAAUGGGGUUAGUUUUCAAGAAUUUUGCCGAUAGUUCUAUAUAUUCCUUUUCCCGCCUAAAACAUGUUAAUUGGUUUUGCAGGGUCUGAACUUGCUUGGCUCGGCCCUUGAGGCGAGCCAUAGAGAUGCCAUGGUCUAUCGCUUCAAAGCGGAGAAGGCAGAGAGGGAUCUUGCUCGUAUGCAAGGCGAGAUGUUGGAGCGAGACUCGAAACGUGCUCGUGAUCACGCGAGGGCCGUUCGAAAGGCGGAACGGAAGGGUAAGAGGGAGAUCAUCGAGGUGAUGAAGAGUCUUGUUUUUUAGUUCCAGAUUGAGUACGGGAACCUCAAGGAUGCUUACACUUUGGAGGGUGAUUACCGUGAGUGCCACGGUUCAGUCUUUGGAGGACGCAGGCGGAAGACUAUGUUUUAGAGAAGGAGAUGAGGUUCAUGAAAGAUGGCAUGAAAAACCAUGCCCAUUCUGAGACGCUCAUUCCCCCGAUCGACGGGAGGAUCCAGGGAUUCUGGGAUCCCGUCCCGGUUUCUCCUGAUACUGUAGAGGCCACGACCGAGUUCGCUGGUGACGACGAGGAAGUGAACUAUCCCGCGGAUGCAUUCGGAGCUUCCUUGUCCGGGAACUUUGAUAUGUGAGAGGUGAGGGUUUGACGGUGAAGGACCCUAAGAUCGGCUCACUCGAAUGGAUCAGAUCUGGAUAUGAACUCCGAAUGGAGAACUAGAUGGAUUGAAGGGUCGCACGAAGGUUGCGGAAUGGCCAUCGAUAUUCCCGGCUUCAGUUGGUGCUUGAUAUGACUCACAAGACCACCAAAAGAAGAAUCUCGAACCGUUGCUUGAUAUGACUCACAAGACCAACGAGUUUGAGGGGUGUUUACUUGGAUAUAACUCACCAAGAAACUAAAAACAAGUUCUAAACGAAGAACAAAGAGUUUAACUCAAACUUUAGACAAAAUCGAUUUUCUCUAUUCUAAAUGAAGAGUUUACAUACUUAUAGAGUUUUGUAGAUCUAGGAAUUAAAUAUAAAAGUAGAUCUAGAUCUAGAUCUAGAUCUUGAUCUAGUCAUUAAACAAAAAUAAAGACAAGAAUAAUUAAUGUGACAGAUCGGCUUCCAUCAAGAUGCAUCUGGACCGGCUAAGUCCAAGGCGGUAAGGACAGUCACAUAAGCGGGACGAUCAGCAUGGGUCGCGGGACGUUCUGCUAAGACCGCAGGCGUUCUGAUCAGACAAGUUGCGUUCCAACAAAACCCAACUCUUCUGAUAGCUUAAGGACUUUUUCCUUAGAGAAAUGUCCAAAGGAAAAGUCCAUGAUUGGAUCGAACAAGGAAGAGAGAUCAUCAGCACGGUCGUCGGUACAUGCGGUACGAGCCAAUCGAGCCAAAAGAGAGAAGUCUCGAUCAUUUUGUGAAACCUCAUGAUCCAAGUCAAGUCUGGCAUGAUCUUUCUCAAGUCUGGGAUGAUCUUUCUCAAGUCUGGCAUGAUCUUUCUCAAGUCUGGCAUGAUCUUUCUCAAGUCUGGCAUGAUCCAAGUCAAGUCUGGCACGGUGAAAAACAUGAACCUCGGUUGAAAUGUUCAGAACGUCCUGAACUCCAUGCUGAGCUGGCUCCAUGUAAUGAUCCGUGGACUGCGGCACAUCAGACGGGAAUAAGUUUUUUCCCUUAUCUAGUAUUUUGCGGCCGAGUGUGGCUUUCGUUCGUCUAAGUCCGGCCGAAUGUGGCCUUUGAACUUUGUAUUGGCCUGUUUUGGCCGUUUUUAUCUUUAUCGGGACUGGCCGUUGGUGGCUUCGAAUCCCUACCGCUAUGCGGUUUAUAUAUAUAACGGAGGUUUGUUUGAGUUACUUUGUUUCAAAUGGGUUUGAAGUAAACAUAAGUUGUCGUCUCAUAUUUAAUUCCGUUGAGACGUUCCAUCUGUUGGUUUGUUCGAGACGUGAGUUUUCGUAAAAAAUAUUUAUUCUUACGAACUUUCGGGAACGUUGAGACAUGAACGGGGAAACAUGGUUUAGGAUCUCGUAUCAUUUUUAGAUAUCAUGUCUUGAGAUGUCUCGGGGAAACUGGAAGUGCUAGACCCAAAUUUUGGAUUUUUUUUGUAGCGCGCUUUCGUCCUUGUGUUGGAUGUUCGAGGAUCAAAAGAGUGAUCGAGUUGCAUUUGUUUAACACGGCUGGCGUGUUCGUCGGGGCCAAUCGACGAACGGGGUGUAAAUAUUUGUUGGGUUUUUAUGAUCGCGUUCGAACAAUUGUUUGCAGAGUUUUCGAUUUUUAACUUGGCGACGUCUCGCAGUUGUUUCGAAGACUGUACGUAUAUUUUAGGUGCUGAAGAAUGACUGCUUUGUGAUUUGGACAGGAUAAGGCCGUUGAUAAGAGUCUAAUGUUUGUAGAUUUUCUAAGUGUGUCAUGAGACUUUUUGCGUUAAAUGGAGCGUAAAUGUUUAAUAAAAGAAAAUAUGUGUAUUGUAGUAAUGUUUUAAGAAACUCGAUUACAAUGACGCAUCUUUUAAAACUCGGUGGUUGUCGCCAUGCUGACCGCCUUGAUCGUGGUGACUGUGGCAGGGUCAAUGUUUUUAUCCGGGUUUUCCGGUUGAGUCGUAGUGUCGGCUUUGGAAUCGUGCUGAGUUUCAGUGUCUGAAGCAUUCGCGUCAGCAGACGAUAUCAAAUCGUCUUUCUUUGAAGUGUUUUCGGCCGAAGGUUGAGCUAACUUCGUGUGCUUGCGAGUUGUCCUUGCGGAAGUCGCGAUUUACCUUAACUUAUGCUCCGCGAGGAAGCAUAGCCGCGACUGUUUCUGACAACCCCAGAUGGCUGCGACUCCGUUCUGAGUUGGGAAUUUGACGCCGAGGUGGUAUGUAGAUGGAACGACUUUCAUGGCGUUGAGCCAUGGGGUUCCCCUGAUCACAUUGUAGAUGGCAGGAUGAUCGACCACCGCGAAAUCGACAAUUUUUGUGAUUUCCUUGGCCAUCAGCUGGAUCGAUCCGAGAGUCAUUGACACUUUGCCCGAAAAACCCGUAAGUGGUUUUGGCGUUGGAGGUACUUCUCCGAGUUUGAUGUUCAUCCGAUUGAGAGUGUCGCAGAAGAUAACAUUGACCGUGAUUCCCGUGUCAAUGAGGACUCUCCCGACUUCCAGAUCUCGUAUGACAAGAUCUAUGAAGAGUGGAUCGCAGUGAGGUUGAUCGAUCCCUCCGGCUGCAUCCAUCGUAAAAGUUAUCGAGUUUCUUUGACCAUCUCGGGGAGGGGACCAUGUAGGCCAGUUUUCACUUGAUUGGGCCUUCUGUUGGUAAGCCUUGAUGGCCAAAACCGUAUCGUUGCAGUAUUGCGAUCCUCCGAAGAUCAUGUUGACUCUGCGACGAUUGUUGUCAUUUCCUUUGUCGUCCGGCCUUCUUCCGUGUUUAUCCCCGGAUUGGUUUCUUUGAGAGGACUUAUCCGCGGGCGGAUUUCUGUCCAUCUUUGGGGGGGGGCGAUCAGUCUCGAGGAUGAGAUCUUUUACGCUGGUUACUUCCGAGAGCUCAUUGCGGCCAAUCUCGCUCCUAAGACUUUGCAGUUGGUCGUGGAGUCUCCUCGGGACUGGUGGAACUCGCAGAAGGUGUUUUCGUCGUAUUCUUGAUUGCGAAUCCAUGUAUUCCCCGUGGUUUGACCUUGAUCUGAACUGAUCGCAUAGUUGUGCGCCCCUUGGAGUUCUUCCCCCUCGUGAUGGACGUACUUGUCGUUACGAGAGUUGUUCUUCUCGUUUUUGGGUCUACAUCUUUCGAGGAUGGCCUUGUCGGCUUAUGCUUUUGCGACAAAAAUUUUGUUUGCUCUUCGAUUAUGAUGUAGUCCGUCGCAUUGUGGAGGGCGUCCUGGAUCGUCUGCGGUUUGUCGAGGGUUAUCCACUUUCUGAAUUUCGACUUGUACCAUAGUGUCUUUCUGAGCGCGUCAAUAGCCACUUUGUCGUUUAUCCCGCUGACCCUGGACAUCAUCAGCUUAAACCGGCUGAUGAACUCGCAGAGGGGUUCGUCUUCCCUCUGGGACAGACUCCAGAGAUCAACAUCGGAAGUUUCUCUAUCUAUAAACAUAGAGUAUUGCUUGAGAAAUUCUGAUGCGAGCUGUCAGUAACUUCCGAUAGAGUUUCGCUCAAGGCGUACGAACCACUUGAGCGCCGCUCCUUCCAGAUUCUUGAAGAAUAGACGGCAGUAGCGGGCGUCUUUUUCGCCGUCCUUCAGUCUGGCCCUUCCCAUCGUGAUGUGUGUUAGGGGAUUUUUGUGUGGGCUCUUUUAGAGUACCACGGAACGAUGGAUAAGCUGGUAAACCUCGAGUGUUUGUGGUUAUUUAGUAAGGGUUUUAGGAUGUUUAAAGAGAAUAAUAAUAAAAUAAGCUUGAAGAAACUUAUUAUUAGAUGAAUAGGCAAGAACAAGGUAUCGUUACAAGAUGUUUUAUAAGAACCCUAAUUCUAGCCGUCUAACCCUAGUCUCUAAGCCUUGGAGAAGUCGAUCCCUUGCUUGAGGGCUGUUGUCGCUCUUAUAUAAUCGUCUAGAAGUCGGUUUCAUUAGGUUAAACACUUCCAUAUUCGGAAAUAUGGAAGGCUUUCCUUGUCGGAAGUUUUCCAUUUCUAGGAAGGGAGUAGGGUCCAGGGAUCGAGCCCAGGGUUCCCUCUGGUGGGGACCCGGGGAACCCAUUUACCAGGGAUCCGGGGAUCCGAGUCCUGCCUGGAGGCUGGGGGAAAUAAUACUGGGAUAUUUUUCCCCAACAGUUUGCCCCUUAUUUCUCGACUUUUUCAUUGAAGUCGGGGAAUAACCUGUGCACUCAAGUCAACCGGGGUUACUCAUUGUUAGCCUAGGUUCCACUCAAGUCGGAACUCAUUCUGAACCUAGGUAAGGACCGGUCCCUUCGUGUUCAGUCGAUAUCUGAUAGUAAUUUCUUCUAUCUUCUUGGAGAUGACAAGGCUGGAGCUUUGUCAUGCAGUUCACGCACGGGUCCAAAAAGAUAGGAGUCUUUUCCGUUCCCGGAUGAUUUCUUCUUUUAAUAUCAGAGAUUCGGCUGAUAUUUUUCUUCCUUUCUUUUGCGAAGGAAUCUUUUUGAAUUUUGAAUCCCGCGGCCCGAUAUCUGGUGAGAUGCGCGUCUUUCCAGGGAAGAAUUUCAACGGCUUCUUCUUUUUUGUAUAUAUUUCUGCACGCUCUUCUUUUGUUCCUCGCCUUUCUUCGUCUUCGGCUCAGGUACUUCUCUCAUCCUUCUUUCUUUAGCUUGUCUGGUGUGAUUAGUUUGCUUAUUCUGCUGUGGUCGCCAUCUAUCGAUUAGGAACCGAUCAAUCAUGUCCAAACGAUCCGCUUCUCUGACGUCCCCGAUGACCGAUUGAGCUGGCUCGAGGAGAAGAAUGGAUUCUCCGGCUUCACGAUCCGACAGCUCUCCUAACCCAGGCGCGGGGUCAGAACAAGACGUAGCAGCUCCUUCCCCGAUAGGUCCUCCAUCUUGGAGAUUACUCCUAGCCAUUCAGAACCUAGGCGAUCUAGAAAACCUAUCCUUCAGAGUUAACGAGGUUUUGUACUCCUACCAUCUGGCCCCUCUUAAUGGGAAUGAAGGCCAGCUCCAUCUUCGUCCUCAUAGUGGAUUGUCUAUCGUGGAGGAGCUGUCGAGAAGUGAUCGUAAGGGGUCUGCUUUUAUUUAAAAGUGGCAGGAACGAUACGUUUUUAUGGCGCUCCCUGGGCACUCCUAUCAUUGGAACUUUAUAGGUGGGUCUAGGGGAUACGCAUGAUUCUGCUCUGUCUGAUCUCUGACCCUCUUUGUUGUGUUUGCAGCUGGAAUGCAUCCUGACAUUCCGGAGGGAGAGGAUAUUGUGGUUCGAGCACGCCAACUUCCUCUUGAUCGUCGCCAAAUAUCUUUCUUGCUUAGUGAUAGCACCUUGCGACGUAGCAGCCUCUGGGUAAGCGUUUUCACAUUUGAUUGCUUUGCUCUACAUACUCGUGAGGAUUGACAUUCUUUGGCUCAAGAAGCAUGUCUGGAGAUACUAGCAAUGAUCCUUUCGUAGCUUAUCAAAAGGCAGCAAAGAGUAUGUCCGCAAAAAAGGGGUCUGCGAGCAGAACCGUAUCCGGCGAUGAUUUGAUGAUUACUGGAAGUCGUCAGGCGACGAUGGUGAAAAUCGAACCCUCUGUUUUGACUCGUGCUAAGAAGGCCAGGGCUGGAGGUGUGGCGACACGGGCAUCAUACCAGUCGGCUGAAGUUGUGUGUUCUGUGGGGAAUCUUGCCGCGGCUUUAUCUAACUUAAAUCUUCAAGUGUUUCCUCAUGAUGGUACCACUCUCCCUUUGGGAAAGCCCCUGGAAGUUAUCCAGGUUUUUCAAGGAGGACUUCUUCGGGUAUGUUGUUAUGAUUUUGAUUUCUUUCCGUUCCGGAUCUUUGAUAGGUUGAUGUGGUUUUGUGUAGAACAUCUCCCAGGUAUAUCACCUUGGGGAGCAGCUGUCUCUUGAGAGCUCGUCGAUCAGCUGAGAGGAGCUGGAAAAACUGAAGAAUCAACUUUCGGAGGAGAAGACCCAGCGCCUAGCCCGUGAAUUAGAGAUUCGUGAUCUUAAGGAUAAGAUCAAUUAUGUGGAGAGGUCGGCCGAGAUAUCCUCAGCGGAUACAUUGAGCAUUGGCAAGAAGAACCAGGAGCUAGAAGAGGCCAUGGAAAAUCUGAGGCUUGAGACGGUGAUGGCUGUAAGCGGGGCAAUAAUUACCGCUCGGUGGGAGUUGAUGAGAGAAUGGUUGCAGAGAAAGAACGACCAAUAGGAUCUGGCCAAAGCUUUGGUGCAAUACAAGAUAGUGGUCUUGGAGGAGGCCAAGAAUAAAGUUUCCCGGUUCCUACAUUUGAGAACAAGCCCACCAUUCCUCCGGAUUCUGGGAUGGAUAUCGAUUCAAGGCCUGGGGGAUCUUCCUUCUAAAUUUAUGUUCUUUCCAUUGUUGUAGUAGCGGCCUUUCUUGGCUUGCUCUGAAUUUGUUUGAAUGAUGGCACUGUUGGGGCUUUAAAUAAGAUUUUCUGGAUUUUCUUUUUCCUUCUUUUGAGAUCUUUAUAUGAUGCUUGCUUCUGCGAUUGUCUCUCUUUUGGAAAAAAUGCAGGUCGUCUAAAGAUCUUAGGAUCUUGGAUCGUCUUCGAAGAACUGGAGGGUCAAGCGUUGAUCCAAUCGUUUGGUAACCUUGAGCCUUUCUGGGCUUUUUAGAUUUGGAUUCAGGGAUCUUGAAAGUCUAGAUUCCUUAGAACCUCUGGAUUUUACGACGAUCGGACCUCAUAGGUCUCAUAGGGUUGAAUCUCUUUCGAGGCCCCUGGGACCGCUUAGAGAUUUUAAAUGACGUUGGGACCCGGAGGUCCCUUUUUAAGAACCCGUAGAUUCUGGACCCUGAGGUCUUGAAUUGGACUCAUAGUCCUUGGACCCUGAGGUUCUUUUUAGGGAACCCGUAGGUUCCUGACCUUUAAAGCCUAUAUGAGCCCGGAAUUCUCAGAAUCCGAAAUUAAGUUAUAAAGAGAACCGAUAGGUUCCUGACCCUGAGGUCUUGUUUUAGCCUCAUGGUCUUUGGACCCUGAGGUCCUUUUAAGGAACCCGUAGGUUCUUGGCCCUAAGGCCUAUCUGAGCCCGGAGUUCUCUCUCAGAACCCGAAAUUAAAUUAUAAAGAGAACCGAUAGGUUCCUGACCCUGAGGUUUUGUUUUAGACUCAUGGUCUUUGGACCCUGAGGUCCUUUUAAGGAACCCAUAGGUUCUUGGCCCUAAGGCCUAUCUGAGCCCGGAGUUCUCUCAUAACCCGAAAUUAAAUUAUAAAGAGAACCGAUAGGUUCCUGACCCUGAGGUAUUUUUUUAGACUCAUGGUCUUUGGACCCUGAGGUCAUUUUAAGGAACCCGUAGAUUCUUGGCCCUAAGCAUCUGAGCCCAGAGUUCUUUCUCAGAACCCAGAAUUAAGUUAUAAAGAGAACCAAUAGGUUCCUGACCCUGAGGUCUUGUUUUAGACUCAUGGUCUUUGGACCAUGAGGUCCUUCUAAGGAACCCGUAGGUUCUUGGCCCUAAGGCCUAUCUGAGCCCGGAGUUCUUUCUCAGAACCUGGAAUUAAAUUUUGAAGGGACCGCAUUCUGCCACCCUAGGUGUGGCCACUCUCAGAUCCUGUUGGGUAUCGCUUUCUACCGCUCGUGGCUGGUCACUAUCGAGUUCCCGUGCUGCACUCUGCUUUCUGCAGAAAGCCACUAUCAGUCUUAGAGGGUGCUGGUUUGGGUGAAAACCCAAGUGCCAGACUUACGCUGUUUUUCAUGGCUGGAGAAACAUGAUAUUAUUAAGGUGCUCCCUAACUUUUGCACUUUCUCAGUUAGCACGUAGCGUUUUAAUAUAUGUACCUUUCUCUUUUUUGGUAUUUUAGUUUGGGACCCCGAUAUGCCUGAGGCUAUACAGGGGUUUUAGGUAGUAGUGACGGCAUACGCAGGCUUGCGCAGACCCAUUCCUACCUUAUGUCUCAUACCCAUUUUGUUUUUGUGUGGUCGUGCCACUUCUAACUGACGGUUGGCCAGGAUCGGAAGUCUCUUUGACCUGAUCCAGCUUGUUUGCCCCUUUAAGUAUUAUGGUAUUCGUACUCUCUCUUAUAAUCGGAACUAUUUUAUUAUAUAGGCUAUGUCCGUAGACUUUCAGCGUACAUAUGAGUAGAAAAACAUAAUGCUUAAAUAAAAGAUUAAAUAAUUAUAAAAAUCAUGGUCCGGAGACCGUACAAGAUAUCAGCUUGCGAGAUACCCUAGUGGUUAUACCAUGUUUUACGUCUUAUUGCUGCGUGACCCGUGGGAUUCAACUUGCUUUUGAGACGAAUGUCUUCGCUGGAGGGUUCCGUCAUCCUCUGUAGGGUUCUGCAUCUUUUUUAAUCUAGGGACAUCAUUUGGGAGUUGUUUCAUGCCCCAGCCCUUGCGGAUCUCUGUGUUGUUGACGUUCGGGGGCCACUGUCUUCUAUCGAUGCAGGUUUUCAGCGCUUCCAUGAAGCAUGUAGUUGCAUUCAUCCACUGGAGCAAAUGUGUUCGGAGGUCUCCUAUCUCUCUCUGGUGCCAGCUGGGAGCUCUCUUCCGAGGGGGUUUUUUCGAGGUGUUUGUGCCCCACUCGUUUAUCUGUGAGAUUGCCGGUUGAUAACUGUUGAAGCUUCUGGCUAUCUUAUCUAUGUGAGGCGGAGGACGAGGGUCCUGUGGGGACCAGAUUUUGCGAGCAGGUGCAGCCUUGCAGGUUCUUAGGGGAGACCAUGGGAAGCGGUUGACGUAAGCUGUCUGGAAACUUUUUGGAUGUAGGGUCCGGACUAUGCAGAGGGUUCCUGAAUUACCCCUAUUGUUGACCCCUGAUUACCGAUUCUGCGGGAUCUGAGGUCUCCUCUGUAAUUGCUAUAAGACCUUGGUCUUCCCUUUUAAGGUUGUCUGGUAGCAGGACCUAGAAUUCUCCUGAUCUCCUCGGAUUGCUUUUAUGCCCAGGGUGUAGGGAACUUCACUAUUUGAUGGAGGGCUGAGGGGACUGCUCCCAUGUCGUGAAUCCAUGGUCAUCCUAAGAUCAUGUUGUAUCCCUUCAGCAUAUACUGGCAGAACAACCUCCCCAGCGGUUUGCUUGAGCUCGCCGCUGAACCCGAUGAGUGGAGUUACUUUGCCCGUCAGGGUAUUCUCCUCUAACCCUAGGUCCUGGUACGCCAUCAGGAAGAUGAUAUUGCUGGAGGACCCGUUGUCUACUAGUAUUCUUUUCACCAAAGAGUUCACUAUGGUGAGGGAGACAACUAGAGCGUCAUGGUGGGGAGCUAAUAUCUUCUCUUGCUCCUUGGCUGUGAAGCUUAUCUCGUCAGUACCUAGAAGUAGGCGUUUAGGUUGAGCAGUCUCCAGGCCGUGUUUAGCAUUACGGGUGCUCUUCUUCGCAGCUGCAUGACUCACGCCACUUACUUCCGAGCCUCCUGAGAUGACAUGAAUCACCCGGUCCUGGCGAGGUGGUGAGCUUGGUGCGUCUCCUUUGGAUUUCCCUGAUGCUUCUUUGCUAAGAUGAGCCUUGGCUUUCUCUGAAAGGAAUUCUCGGAGAUGCCCCUUUUGGAGCAGUUCGUUGACCUCGAUCUUCAGGGCGACACAGUCUUCAGUUUUGUGGCCGUGAUCGCGAUGGAAGUCGCACCAGAGUCUCGGGUUCUGGAAUGAGUCAGGUGCUUUCAUCUUUGGGGGCCACUUGACCUGUUGGCCUAUCUGCCUCAGCGUGUUGACCAGCUCUGGUGUGGAUGUUGAGAGAUGGGUGAUAUCUGGCCAGGUAGACACAAACAUCCCCGCUUCUUUUUCUAAUGGUCGAUAUUGGAACCUGUCCCGGUUCCUGCUUUCGGAGUCCUUGGAUCCCUUUUGGGAGGAUCUUUCUUCUCGGUCUCCCCGGUCUGAUCAGGUGGACCUCUGAUCCUGUUUGGGUUGAGUCUUGGCACGGCUAGCGACGUCCUCUUCCCACUUCACAUGUGCCCACGUUCGGGAUAGCACAUCCUCCAUGGUUUUGCAAGGGUACAUGGUUAGCUCUUUGUAGAUCCCUCCGUAUGGAAGUAAGCCUCUCUUGAAGGCAGAGAUUACGGUAGGGAUGCUGCAUUCAGGGACAGCUACCUUCUCUUGAUUGAAACGGGCUAUGUAGUCCCGCAGGGGUUCUACUCGAUGCUAGAGGAUCUCGUAGAGACUGUCUGAAGUCUUCUCCAGGCUCCUGCUACUCGCGAAUUGUUCUACGAACUUGUCGCUCAGGCCGACAAAGGAAGAUAUGGACCUGGUAGGGAGAUUGAUAUACCAUUGCAAGGCGGGUGUAAUUAGAGUGGAGCCGAACCCUUUACACAUGGUAGCUUCACGGGACUCCUUGGGGAGCACAACCGCUAGCAUCCUCUAAUUAUAUUGUGCGAUAUGAUUGUCGGGGUCUCUGGUGCCAUCGCACAUCUUGAUGCUGGCGAAGGAGAAUUUCCGAGGAUCUCGACUGAGGUGAUCUCCUCUGCGAAGUGAGUAUCUGUGUACGAGUCGGGGUUGCUCCUCCGGAUUGAGGGAGCUACUCCUGGUAGACGUUCCACUAUGGAUUGCAUGGCGUCGAACCUCUUAGAAAACAUCUGCUCCAGAUAGUCGGUUAUGGAAGACUCGGCUGCCGUCUUCUCGGGUUCUUUUUUCUCGGGUUCAGGUUUGGAAUAACUUUCCUCUAGGUCAUGGAUCUGGUGAUCCUCGAUCCCUCUCGUGUUGCCCCGGCCGCUCCGGAUGCAGGAGUCGCGUUAGUUGUGCCUUCUCCGGUGUUGGGAGUGCUCAGGCUUCCCAUAGGUCAAACUCGAGUGUUGAAGCGACGCUUCUUGUUGCUCGCCGUGUUGGGAGCUUUGUUUUUGUCUCGGAGUGCAGCGUUCUCCGUCUGUGGUUGGUUGAGUUUCUCGGUGCUUAACUCCAGCUGUUUGGAGUGUUCACCAAGUUUUUCCUUCAGGCUCUGAACCUUGGAGGAAAGCUCUGGAUUUUCGGUUGUUUCCCGAGCCUUGUGCAUGUCGGUCACUUGGCUCCGCAGUCCGUCGAACUGUCGUUGAAGCUUGGCUUCUCUUGGGGUAAAUUCUGAUGUAUUGUCUUGCUCAUCCACCGCCAUCGUCACGUAGCUUAGAUUACUCCCCUCCUUCUUGUGCCAAACUGUUAGGGGAUUUUUGUGUAGGCUAUUUUAGAGUACCACAGAACGAUGGAUAAGCUGGUAAACCUCGAGUGUUUGUGGUUAUUUAGUAAGGGUUUUAGGAUGUUUAAAGAGAAUAAUAAUAGAAUAGGCUUGAGAGACGUAUUAUUAGAUGAAUAGGCAAGAACAAGGUAUCGUUACAAGAUGUUUUAUAAGAACCCUAAUUCUAGCCGUCUAACCCUAGUCUCUAAGCCUUAGAGAACUCGAUCCCUUGCUUGAGGGCUGUUGUCGCUCUUAUAUAGUCGUCUAGAAGUCGGUUUCAUUAGGUUAAACUCUUCCAUAUUCGGAAAUAUGGAAGGUUCUCCUUGUCGGAAGUUUUCCAUUUCUUGGAAGGGAGUACGGUCCAGGGAUCGAGCCCAGGGUUCCCCCUGGUGGGGACCCGGGGAACCCAUUUACCAGGGAUCCGAGGAUCCGAGUCCUGCCUGGAGGCUGGGGGAAAUAAUACAGGGAUAUUUUUCCCCAACAAUGUGGAAAGCCUGAAGGUGCGCUUUAGGAUCCGUCGUACCAUCAAACUUUGGUGAUGCGAGCGGUGAAGGGCGUCUUCCAAGCCCCUUCUGGCAGUCUGUUCAUCUUGGGGGCAGCACUGGUAGCGUGAUAGAUCUGGGAUUUCACGGCCCUUACUUCCGCCGCAGUUUUGGUGAUGUAAUCGCGAAGAUCGCGGAUGUCCAACGUCUCGUCAGCAGAUUUCCAAGCUUGUCGGCGUUUACUGCGAGUGAUCUCGGUUUGCUUUUCAGCCAGCUCUUCUUGUUCGUUCCAAUAGAGGAUUUUCUCCUCUUCCGUCAUUGGCUUAUCGAACGGAGAGCUUUCCCGAGCAAAUCAGCUUCUGGUCCUUCUUGGAUGUUUGUCGGCGUCCUCCUCAGUAUCGUUGGAGACGUCGAUGGGAUCCAAGUCGACGUGCUCAACUUCAUUAACCUUCGAGUCCUUCACGGUAGGUGGAUGACUCUCAGAGUUUCUUUUCUCGGAUGGGGAUUUUUCGCUAGGGUUUUGGCCCGAGGGUCGUUCCCACGUCGUUCCAGGCCUGUCGAGUGGGGUUGCAAAGUCGAGUCUUUUCCCGCAAACAUUCGUGGUUCCAUGGGGAUGGAUUGCUCGAGUCCUUGCCGUUAAGGUUUCGACCUGUUUGGUCAAGGUGUUUACGAGCUUAUCCUGUUCUUCCAACCUUUUUUCAUAGGUGGUGAACAUCUUUUUAAACUCCUCGAGCGUUGCGGCGUUGGCUGGUGCGUUGGCCGCGGAUAUGUCCGCUGCUGGAGUGUGGAGUCAGUGCCGCUUCCUCUGUUGAGAGGAGUUUCCAUGUUGUCCGCGUCGUCAGUUGACAUGUCUGGUUGAGUGUGAUGUGGUUGAGGGUUAGAUUGAUCCGUACCCCCCCCCCCUCCUUCUAGUGCCAAAUUGUGAGAACCGACAUUCACACUGUCGAUUUCCGUUUAAAUUAGGAAACUAGGAAAAUCCUAAUUUCCUAGAGGUCCCGGAUAUCUGCUAAUACCAAACGCCAAGCAAUCAGAACACGAGAUAACAACGAUAAAGUAUAUGGAAUCGUAAAAAGAGAGCAAAGAGAAGUCUUAUUCCGAAUUUGCGUAUGUGCGUUUACAACAAGGUAAUAAGCCUGGGCUCGAGAGCUGUCGGCGAGAUUCCUAGUUCUAACAACCCUAAGACGGCUAAACCUAAUUAAGUCGCAGCUCGAAAUAACAAAAACGGAAAGUUGUCUCAUUGCUCUAAGUGCAAAGUUUUCUCUGAAAAAGGUCCUCCUCAUGCCUUUCGCCGAGGACUCUGUAUAUACUUGCUCCUAGGUUGGUUUACGUUUUUCCCCUUCUGCCCUUAAGCCGUCAUAGCCACAAAAUGGAGAUAUUCCAUUUUGUAAUUAUCUUCCAAAACUUCGUAUUUAUCCGGGAAAACUUGACAUUUAUCUUUCCUUGCGAAACAAGCGUAAACCGUCCUACGGUUUACGGGUUUUUGGUUAAGAAAUCGUAAAGUGGGCUUCGAGUCAUGUCUUAGGUCCCAUUGGCCCGUCUUUUGGCUCGAAGCGUUUAUUACGGCUUCUUUCGAUAAAAACAAAAUUUUUGCGGUUUUUAUCGUAAAGUUAGAUUGAUGACUUCAAAUGUCGAGAAACAUGAAAUGGGUUUGCUACGGUCUUCGGGAGAUAGCAUCAAAGAGUAGACGAGAAUGCAUGGAUUCGUGUCGUAUUCGACAUUUCGGGAAAGCUCGGUCGCUACGUAGCGACCGAGCGGGACGUGCGAUCGGUUGCUACGUAGCGACAGAGCGGGGCGUGCGCUCGGUCGCUAUGUAACGACCGAGCGGGAUGUGCGCACGGUUGAUACAUAGCGACCAAGCGGGACGUGCGCUCGUUCGCUACAUAGUGACCGAGCUUGGCUCGAGCUGGGUGGCUACGUAGCGGCCCAGCAGUGCGCAUGUUCGGUCGUUCCGUGGUGACAGGGCUUGGCUUCCAUGUUCCGUUCGUCACACUCGAACCUAUCUGUGGCUGGUUUAAAUACGUUUAUGUUACCUUGGAACAGUUUGUGUUUGAUCCAACCGAGACUCGAACAAGGUUUUAUCUCGAGAUCCUGUGUCAUGACAUUUUUUACCAAGCAUAAUUGUCGCCGAAAGAAACUCACACUUGUUUUUGCGGAGGUUUGAACAUUAACUUCGUUGUAACCGUUUUCGACCCCAACAAUGACGACACGUUGCUUAACCUGGGAGCCCUCUUUGCCGAGCACUUCAUCAAUCUCAAGAUGAAGCCGUUCCAGACAUCGGGAAUGAAGAAGGAGACGGUUGAGAGUCUGCUUACACUGAUCGUCAUGCACUGUAGGAUACCAUUAGACGGGGCUGCAAUGGAUGAUCAGCUCGUCUAAAUGGACGCAGCACACCUCACGAGCGCACACUGGCUCAAGGACGACCACUUCUGGACUUUCAAAGACGCGGAUGGCACACACUUGAUAGAUCUACCCAGCCGUUCGGUCAAGGAAUUCUCAGGGGGCCUCGCUAGCAUCCAGUUUCACCCCGAUUAACGCCUCCUCCAUGGCCCAUCAACCAUGCCGUGCCACUACACCGUACAGCGAGCUAGAGGACAUCAGCAGGAGCAGACAGGGCCAGCACUUCCACCAUUCUCGCCUAUGCCAGACAUGUCUACACGUCCUGAAGGAGAUUUCCAGUGCGUCGUCGUUGAUGCUCUCACCGCCAUCUCGGCUAGAGUAUCGAGAUGCUGCUGUUUGAGCAGGAGGAAUCUGCUAGUGAAACAAUACCAAGUUUGCUGCUAGUGAAACUGUUUGGAAACAUAUAGUAAAUAGAGGAUUUACUCUAUAUUACUAUAUCUAGUUUAACCACGGAGAAGGUGAUAAUAGGAAUGAAGCUAGUAGUAGUAAUCAGGUUGAAAAUGUUCGUAACAGAUCAGAUGAACUACAUUUUCCUUUUGAAAGUUAUAACCUUCAAGAGGAUCAUAUGGUAGAUCAUGAUAGGAUGCAUGAUAUGGUUACAGAUGCAUUUCGUGAAACAAGAUCAGUAAUAGAGGAGGUAGAAAAUGUAGAGGGGCCUAACUUGGAUGCAAAAAGAUUUUAUGAAAUGCUAGCAGCAACUAAUUAGCCAAUUUAGGAAGGUUAUAGAGAAGGUCUUUCUAAAUUAUCAUUGGCAGCUAGGAUGAUGAAUAUCAAAACUGAUCAUAGUUUUCCUGAAGUUUGUACGGAUGCAUGGGUUCAGUUGUUUAAAGAAUAUUUGCAUGAAGAUAAUCUGUGUGCUGAAUCUUAUUAUGAGAUUCUGAAAUUGGUUAAUAGCCUUGGCUUACCAUCGGAGAUGAUUGUUGUGUGUAUAGACAACUGUAUGAUAUACUGGGGAGAAAAUGCAGAAUUGUUAGAGUGUAAAUUUUGCAAGAAGCCACGAUAUAAACCGCAAGGACGUGGGUGGAAUAGGGUGACGUACCAGCGGAUGUGGUACUUACCUAUUAAGGAUAGUCUGAAGAAAAUAUAUCAAUCUGAAAAGACGGGAGCAGACAAUACUCGCUUUCGCCAGUCUUCUUGACGCCACAUAACCUUCCACCAGAGAUGUGUAUGGAAAAGGAAUUGCUUUUCAUGAGUAUAUUGAUACAUGGGCCAAAGCAUCCGAAGAGGUCCCUUGAUGUUUUUCUACAGCCUUUGAUAGAAGAAUUGAAGGAAUUAUGGUCAACAGGCGUGCAGACAUAUGAUUGUUCAACGAGAACAAACUUUACAAUGCGAGCAGUUCUUUUGUGGACCAUUAGUGACUUUCCUGCAUACGGGAUGUUGUCAGGUUGGAGGAGGCUAUCUUGUCCUUAUUGUAUGGAAAGCACAGACGCAUUUCAGCUGAAGAAUGGUAGGAAGACGUCCUGGUUUGACUGUCAUUGGAGAUUUCUUCCCAUUAACCAUCCGUACCGAAGGAAUAGAAAAUUGUUUCUGUCAAAAAGGGUUGUACAAGACACCACUCCACCAUAUCUAUCUGGAAAGGAAAUCAUGAAGGAGAUUGAUUACUAUGGUGGACAAGACACAAUCAAGAAAGGGGUAAUUGUCAUACUAUUGCAAAUAUGUCUGUUGGUUACGGGACACAGCAUAAUUGGCAUAAGAAGAGUAUAUUUUGGGAACUUCCAUAUUGGAAGUAUCUACUUCUAUGCCACAAUCUUGAUGUGAUGCAUGUAGAGAAGAACUUCUUUGACAACAUCAUCAAUACAUUGCUGAACGUCCCCGGGAAGACAAAAGAUAACAAGAACUCAAUGUUGGAUUUGCCUGUAUUAUGUUAUAGGAUUGAGCUGCAUAUUAAAAACAAUGGGAAAAUUCCAGUUCCCAUUUUCAGAUUGUCAGCAGAAGCAAAAGGAGCGUUGUUCAAGUGGGUGGCAUCAGAUGUGAAGUUUUCUGAUGGAUAUGUUUUAACUCUAUCAAGAUGUGUUGAUCAGCAGGGACAUAAGUUUUUAGGGAUGAAGAGUCAUGACUGUCAUGUGUUUAUGCAACAACUUCUACCAUUUGCAUUUGCAGAGUUACUUCCAAAAAAUGUUCAUGAGGCACUUGCAGGUAACAAAUAAAGUUAUUAUUACUUCUUGAUAGAAAAAAAGUUAUAAAAGUAUCUUACAUUGGCUUGUACAAUUGUAGGCAUCGGAAAUUUUUUCUCACCUGUGAUUCUAGUAUCUUUCUUCUCUUUUUUUCAAAUAUAACAACGGUAGUCCCUAAUUGGUAGUAAAGGACUUCAUCCCACAUUGGUCAUAAAUUUACGUUUCUUUAACGACUGCUAGUCUCUCAUUGGUCGUAAAUAAAAAUAAUAAUUUAGUCCCUUAUUGGUCGUAACACUAUUUGGUCUCCCAUUGGUUGUAAAUUUACACCUCCUAUACGACCCUUAGUCACUCAUUGGUCGUAAUAUUACAACCCAUUUACGACUAACACCAAAACUCUAUAUAUACGCGGACCUCGCGAAGCCAUUUGGUUGCUCAUUCCCUUCUCUCUAACAACGAUUUCCUUUCUCUCUCUAGGUAAUUUUUUAUUUUUAUUUUGUUUUAGUUUUAGGUGGUUAGUUAGGUGAUUAGAUUAGAUUUGGAAUUAGUUUAGGAUGGAUGUAGAUUAGGAUGGAGAUAGAUUAUGAUGGAAUUAGAAUAGGUUUAGAUUAUUUUUAUAUAAAAAAUUUGAAUUGUUUCUAAACGUCAAUUUUUUUUUGGUCAGAUUGGCGAUAUAUAUUGCUAUGGCUAGCGGUAGACAGAGACUUAGGAACCUUACGCCUAGAAACUCUUACGCGAAUACCUUUCUCGGACAGGUGGAUCCAUCAGCUUCUUCGUCCGGCACAUCAUCUGGCCAAGAGAAUGUCCCUGAGAGCCAAGUUCCUACUGCUCCAUAUGUGCCUCCACAGGCAUAUGACCCUGCAGCUUACUAUCCGCAGUUUGAUGACCCUGCUCCAUUCUAUCCCCAGUACGAUGAAACUCCACAGCAGCCUCGGCAUGAUCAGCAUCAUUCUCCACACCAUCCUCAGCAGCAGUUUACUGCUCCCGAAGCUGCUCCGGCUCCUGCAGCUGUUCAUCCAGAUUUGAUGGUGCCAUCGAAUGCGCCAUAUGCAAGAUAUACAGUGGAAGACCUUCUCCAGAUGCCGGGACGAGAAGGUUUACCAAUCAUCAAUCAAGAUCGACCACCCAACACUUACUGGUAAUUUUUAAUAUUUUAAAUCAACUAAUUAUAUAUAUUGGUCUAAAUAUAUGUAUUCUUUCAAAUUUUGUAGGUUUUUGACGGACAAUUGUGUCGGACAGAGCGUUGGAGAUAUCAUCAGGACAAACUUCCGGGAAGCGCAUCCGAAUUGGUCUCUUACACCGGACCAUGUCCGGAGGACUUCGUUCAAGUGCUUCACGGUUAGUUUUAAAUAUAAUUUUAUUUAUUUUUAAUUUAGAAAAUAAUAAUUUAAUUAAUUAAUUUUUUUUAUUAAUUUUUUUAUUAAUUUUUUUUUGAAGCAAAAAUGGAAUUGGUCCAUUGCUGUCAACGAAACGUUGAAGGAAGCGUUCUACAAAAAGGCGAUGGCUCGCCUAAAGAACAUUGUUGGUGAUUGGAAGGAGAAGUGGAGGGUUCUGGGGGAUGACGCAAAAGAAGCAAACCUCAGCAAUGACGUUUGGAAGGGCUUGAAGGCUUAUUGGAAUUUGCCUAAGUCAAUUCAAAGGUCUCUCACUUGCUCAACUGCCCGGUUGACCCGUGAUGAAGAUGGUAACCUGCCAAUACCUCAUACUUCCGAACAGAUUCCACACGCUGGGAGGACACUACAAAUUGUAAGUCUUUGAUCUUUUUAAUAUUUAUUAAAUAUGUAUUAAUUAAGUAUUUAUUGAAUGCGUGAGUUUAAUUAAAAAAAAUUUUAAUACAGGCUGCCCAAGAAGGAGCACCACCAUCUCUGGCCCGAGUUUACAGGACGACACACCAGCUUUCUGAUGGCACCUUUUCGCAUCCUCAAGCAGAGAGGAUCUGAAACAAUGUUGUGGCUCAGAUCCAGGAGGUCUAGACUCAGUUGUCGCCUAUGAUGCACGGGGAAGUGAGUUUGGGUGACGUCCCGGUACCGGAAACGUAGCCUGUCGAUCGAAGAUGAGUUUGCCUGCAAAAAAUUUUGAUUAGUAAUUUUAUCAAUAUCCCUUUGGGCAUGAAGUAUUUGACUAGACAAUUUGUUUAAAUCUAGCAUGACUGGUGAUACGAACCGGUCAUGCAUGUCCUCGUAAGUUUGCAGCCUAUCAUCCAUGGCUGAGAUCUUAGUGUCGAGCGAUGUGAUGGUACACACAUCGAUCGAUGUGGCUGGUUGUUGGUCCUUCUUGCGAAUGGUGUCCAAAUCUUGCUGUAGUAGCUCGAUUUUAGUGCUCAGCCAGUCCACGUUGUUGUUGAGAGGGUAGUACAUGUCGUUUAUCCUCGUGUUGAUGUAUGAGACUUCCCAUUCAUCCUUGUGUUCUACUGAACAUUGCGGUUCUGCAGGGAUCUGGGCUGUAGGAAGACUGACGUCGAUCGAUGGUGCAUGUGGCGCGUCGAUCGAUGUUGAGGUCGUGGCUUCCUUCUCAAGUUGCUGACGUAAACUCUCAAUUUCUGUCCUGAUUUCUACCAUACUUCUGAAAAGCUCAUUGUAGCCUCUAUCAAAAGGUUGAUGUGUAUCUUCUACCAAUGAUUUGAGUUCCUCUCCCAGUUUUUCCUGAGCUCCACAAAUACCAGUCACCAUCUCGUUGAUUUCAUCUUUGGUGUUGAGUUCUGGUGCCAGUCUUGUGAGUGUGAAGGAAGUGGCGUGUUCUGGAAGACAAAUGUGGCCCUCUUCAAAAAGAAAUGCUCUUUCCAGUAAUUUCCUGAUGUCGUCCUUUGUGACAGGUAUCAUCUCACUAGCUACGCCUCGUGCGUGUCCACACUCAUCUCUGUAGACUCCAUACUCGUCCCUUCGUUCCCAAGUGAACUUUCUUGCUCCAUACAUGUCAAAAGCGCGGUAUCCAAAUUCAUAACGUCUGUCGAUCAACGUCGGGUCAUCCUUACCGAUCGACGUUGGUGUUAUCCUGUCGAUCGAUUUCUGAGUUGUCCCGUCGAUCGAUGCAUGGCCUUUUGGUUGGCAUGAUAGAUCUGGAUUGAUUUUUGUUGCGGCGACUCCUACGUGUUUGUUAGGAUUGGUUUGAAUGACGUCUGGAGUGCCACGUUGCUGUGAGAAUAGGUUGUCAGGUCCAUUGGCCACUUGAAGGAUAUCUGCUAUGUCCUCUCUAGACACUUGUAAGAUCCUUCCAUCUAUUGCACGUGCGUUGCCAUCUAGGUCCCUGAAAAUACCAAAUUCAUCAGGAGUUAGAAAACCGUAAUCAAUUUUUGCAUUAUCAUUCAAUUUAGAAAUAGAAAGAUUAGGUUUAAGAGUAGUAUCGAUCGAUGUUGAUACAGAUGCAUCAAUCGAGGACAGAAUAGUUUCUGCUGAACUUGUGUUCUUGAGAUGAUUGCUCUUCAUGAAUUUUCAUGUUGAUGUAGAUGGAAGAGUGUUCAUCUUUUCUGCUUGUGUGUCUGCUCUGGUGUGUGGAGGUGGUUUCAGGGGUGCAAAACGUUUUAAAUAGGUAUCUAUAAGCCUAGUUUGAGAGGGAAUAUUCUCCUGUUCCUGGAUUUUCGCUGCAGUGCGAAUAUCGAUCGAUGUUCCUCUGUGGGUGUCGAUCGAUGUGAGCGGUUGUUUUGCUGGAAGAGGGUGGGUAUCGACCGAUGUGGAGUGCACUUCGUCGAGCGUUGUUGGGAACGUGUUGGUGAACUUAUGCGUUUCAAAUAUUUCAUCCUGCAAAGACAUUUCUAUUGCACGUUCCUUCCAAUAAUCCUCAUCGUAUUCUUCUGUGUGUUCCUCGUUAGGUAAAGCAAUUAUAGUGUCAACUGCAAAAAUUUCAUGGAAACCACUGUCUGCCCAAAUGCCUAUGAAAUAAUCAUCACGUCCUCUCUUGCUUGGAGGUUGGAAGACAAAGUGUAGGUAACAAUGAUUAGGUGAAGCGAAAUGGUCAACCGGCUGAUCAACGUCGAGCGACGUGUUGUUCCGGUCAUCAAUCACUGUUGACUCAUUGGAAUCGAUCGAUGGAAAAGUGGGGGUGUCGAUCGAUUCCGAGUACUCUGAUUCGUACUCUGCUCCACAAUGGCAUGCGCCAAUGAAGCCAAGUUCUUUCCCGUAAUCCACAGAAUUAAUAACCUUUCUCUUAGGUUGGAUAGGGUCGUAGUGGAUGUUGGGGUCUAUCAGCGUCAUCACAAUUUGUUUUUGUUCAUGUCACAUACAACUCCUACUGUAGCUAGGAAAGAUCUUCCAAGCAAAACUGAAGAGUUCCAGUUAAACUCUAUGUCUAGGACAUGAAAAUCUACCGGGACAAGAGCAUUACCAAUCUGUACCUCCAGAUCUCUUAUGAUACCUCCUGAUCGUUUUUAUGAAAGAUCCACGAAGGUGAAGGAUUCUGUUGAAGGUUUGAUGGUCAAACCAAGCUGGUCUGCCAUGAUCCUAGGGAGGAUACUAACUGAUGCUCAUGUGUCACACAUAGAAUGGGGAAAUUCAACACCCUUGACUACGCAUGGUAUUGCAAACUUCCCAGGAUCACUCUUCUUCGUCAAUGUGAUCCUGUGCUUCAUAUUCUCUCUGACUUGAUGAAACAUUCUCCUAAUGUCCUCCUCAGUUACCUUUGUUUCUCUGAAGAACAUCCACAACCGGUGUGUGAAAUAAGCUUCAUCAAAAGCUUUUUUGAUUGAGAUUCUGAGGACUCUCUUAGUGAAACCAUCCAUCUCCUUAUCAUUAGCUUCCCUCUUAAGGUUCUUAGGAAUUUUUUCCUUUCUUUUCCUUAACCUUCUCCCUUCAUUUUCCUGAUCUUCUUGAACUGGUUCUGGUGAACUAUUUAAAGGGUUGGGUUUUGGUUCGAGCUGGUUAGCUAAUUGUUUCGGUGGUGGUUUGAGUGCGUUGAUAUAGUCAUUAUCGAUUGAGGGAAACCGCACUCGGUAUUUCGGAGGUGCAUGUCGAUCGAUGGGAGGUGUGUUGUGACGAUCGACGUCGGACUCACUCUGUCGAUCGAUGGUUGGCUCGGCCGAUCGAUCGAUCUUAUCAUAGAAAGGGGAGGGUGGGUGAGGAUGCUUAGCUGCGAAUUCCUCAUGAGUUAGAAUUCGAACUGCAUUGCAUUUAGUCGAUUUAGCGGACGACGUCAAUCGAUGACUAGAGUAAUCCGUCCAUCAAUCUUCGUUAUGGUCUAUCGAUCGAUGCGAGUUCAUCGACAUCGGUCGACACCAUUGGGAUCCGCCGAGACUCAUGGAUCUUUCGAUUUUGAAAUCUCCUUCCUCAAGCUUUUCAUGUCUCACCACUUGCCAGAAAUCAUCAUCUAUGAUGGCAUUUACGUGGUGUUUUCCUUUAUCAGCUCAUGCCUCUCUAGCGAAAGCUUCUUGCCUCUUUAUAGUCUCGCCAGUCUGAAUCACUUGCGUUUCAAGUUUUCUCACCUGAGUCCCUAAGGUCUCGAUUUUAGUGUUCAGAUUGUUGUAGGCGGAGUCUAUUUUACCGUUGAAAUCCACAGUGAUUUGUUGUUGUCCCAACAGUACUCGAUCAAGCAUUUCUUCGAUCUUACUUUCCUGAGUCUGGGGUGGUGGAUUCUGGUAGUAGGAGUUCGAGUAGCUUUUGCUGUUGUUGAAGGGUUUUUGAAAUUGUGAACUCUGGUUACUUCUUUGACCAUUUCCAAAGAAGCUUUUGUUUCCGCCCUGGUUUCCAAAUUUCUGGAAUCCGGUACCUCCGAUGUAGUUCACAUUUUCUUCUCCUUCCGUAUCUACUACUUCUCCUUCAGCUAAACAGACUUGCUUCCUAAGAAGCUCAUGAACCACAUCUAACUUAGCUCUUACUUCGUCCAUCUGUUCCUUCCCGAUAGAGGCUACAUACUUCUUCCGUUCAGAGUCAGUGUUUUUGGUGCUGCUACUGUUAGCAAGGUUUUCGAUAAGUCUCACAGCUUCUAACGGAUUCCGAGUAGUGAAGUUUCCUUCACUCGCUGUAAGGCGAGACCUCGGAAGAAAGUGCUUAGCAGCUGCACGUCGUUAAAUCUGUGGUGUGGACAGUCUCGCUGGAAGAACCUAAAUCUAAUCCACGCAUCUUUGAAGGACUCUCCAGUCUCUUACGAGAAUGUGGAAAUUUUGUUUCGAAGUUCUUCAGCGCGCGCCUCAUCGAAGAAGUUUCGUAAGAAAGCAUUCUUGAUGUCGGCCCAGGAUGUUAAGGAUCCUGUGGGUUGCUGCCUAAGCCAGUGCAUCGCUUCUCCAUUCAGCAUGUAUCUGAAGAGCUUGCACAGCAGGUAAUCUUCGGGGACUCCUUCCAUCCGAAUUGCAGCGAUUAAAUCCUCGAACCGUUCUAGAUGGUCCAUAGGAUGCUUGUGCGGUAAACUAGAGUAGGGUAUCUGCGACACGAGAGUGCAGUAUUGAGGCUUCAGCUCAAAAUUCUGCUUCUGGAUCUCUGGAAGUCGAAUAGCUGAUCUGUUGGAAUAGUACUCAUCCGGGCGAUUGUAGUCGGCCAGUGGUUUCGAUCGAGCGUCCUCAUCUACAGGUUGAGCCUGUAGUAUCAGCAUCAGGGAUUACAGUCUCCUGAGUGUCUACUUUCUGACAUGUUGCAUUACGCAGAUGACAGUCAUGGUCAUACAGGUUUCCGUUCUCAUACUUUUUUAAAAUAAUAAUGUUUACCAUUUUUUACGACACGAUAUCAAUCGACGUACGCGGUGUAGUAUCGAUCGUUGUCGAACGAUUAGGAUCGAUCGACGAUGAAUGUCUGGUGUCGGUCGACGGUUGGUUGUGAGUAUCGAUCGAUGACAAAGUUGUAGCGUCGAGCGAUGUGUAACGUUGACCUCUACGGAGGGUGCAUUCCAAGUGAGCAGGAUCGUCUGAGAACAGCAAGUCUUUCUCCUUGUUGCUUCUGGUACCGCUGGGCAUGCACCUAAAAAGACAAGAAAAAGAUUAUGUUAGAAAGGGGGGUAGAGAAGAGAAUAAGAAUCAAUAAAACUAAAUCUAAUGGCGAUCAAAGCUCCCCGACAACGGCGCCAAAUUUGAUACCACUCAAAUUACCCUAAUGAGUGUUACUCUCAUCAAAAGAGGUUCAGAUGUAGUACUUAGGGAUCGAAUCCACAAGGAGCUAGGGAACAAUUAAAUCUAGUGUUUAUUAAUUCUAAGAGUUGUAAAUGUUUAAAUGAAAUAACAAUAGUAACAAGCGAAGCAAAUAGUAAAUGUAACUUGUUUGGAAAUGAUAUUAGAUGCAGGACCACUAUUCAGGUGUUGGAGAUUAUAAUAUCUAUAGAUGCCUAUUUGUUGCAUGCAUGAUAUGUUAGAGCUCAACCGCUUAAGUCAGUGAUCAGCUGUUGCAUGUUUCACUGGUUAACAGGCUAGAUCUCGUGUCUCAAUGGUUAGUAUGUUGACAACGAAAGAGUGUCGAUCGACGGUCCUAUUGGGAUAUCGACCGAUACACCUUUGCCUAAGUCGACCGAUAGUCAGUUGAGGACAUCGAUCGACGGGUUCUAGCCAGGCCUAUGCGCGAGUAUGAUAUGCCCUAUUAAGAUACUAAAUUGGCGGUUAGCCCUCUCUAGCAGUCCUAAUAUGAUAGAUAGAUGUCAGGAUGGGAUAACAAGGGUGCAUGAGUAUGCAAUCCUAUAAUCAUGUUCUAGUUAGCAAGGCUAAAACAAGCAAUGAAUACAAAUCUAUCAUGAAUAUCACAACAAGGCAGAUCUAUAGUUUGGGGCUAAUCCCACAAACCUAUCUGAACCCUGGAUCUAAUAAAUGAACUACUCAGACAUAGCAAAGCAAUUCAUAACAAUGAAGAAAUGGGAAUUCAUAGUAUAGAUGAAAAGAAAUGAAAACAAGGAGUUCCAAUCACAAGUGAUCUUCUAUCCAAAACUCUCUCUCUCUCUCAAAGUAAAACUCUAACAAAAAGCUCUCCCUGCCGUCAAAACACUUAGGCAGUAUAUAAUCUACUAGGUUAAAAACUCUUCAGGGCAUUUUUGUAAUUUGGCUUGGACUUGGGCUUCAAGUCUGCUGGAUCCAAAAUGUCGCAUGUCCAAUGUCUCGACAUCGAUCGAUGGUACUUGUGUACAUCGAUCGAUAUUAAUCUUCAUUUGUCGAGGCAUCUCAUGGUGUCAAUCGACAGCACUGGAUGUGCAUCGAUCGAUUGUUCUUCCUCUCGUCGACCUCUACAUGGUCAGCUCGGGUGAAAUGUCUUUUAACCUCCAAAAUGCUCCAAAGUCAUAGCUUUACUCCGAAUGCACAUGAACAUGAAAACAUACCUAGAAGAGUAGAAAACAUGGAUAUAUAUAUAGUAAAACACCUAUAUACCAUGGAUGAAAACGGGUCAAAUCCAAGGUAUAUCAAUCCCCCUUUAAACCUAGAUCUUAGGAUUAAUUGGGAUCAAGCCAUUGCUUGACUCAAUACCUGAAAAUUAACUAGUAUGAUCUAACUGACUAGAUACAGACGAGAGUUGAUCUAGUGAGUUUGAAAAUAUAAAUUAAACCUGUCCGUAAAAUUUUCUGGAAGAAGUAUCGAUCGACACAUCGAUAGCCCUGUCGAUCGAUAUUUUGAAAGGUGUAUCGAUCGAUAUUCAUAUAGAAUUAUCGAUCGACAAUUUCUCGUGAUUAACAUACGAGAGUUGAAAUCCGAGAUCCAGAUUAGAUAAUCAGAUUGAUUAUAUCUAAAGUUUAAAUUCAAGAAUAAUUAAUAAAACCUCUACAAACCCAAAUUAAGUUUACUUAUCAUACCUGGGAAUAUACCUGAAUCUAGCUAUUUCUCCAAACUGUAAACAACCUCAAAACAAAUCAAUCGAGCAAUAAAAUUGCUCACCACUCCAUUUACUGCUUUAAAACUUAUAAACCAUUUAAUCUAGAUUUAUUUCAAGGCCAUAAUCUAUUGUGUAAUCCUAGAGUCUCUAUGGAUUCGAUCCCUAAGUACUACAUCUAAACCUCUUAUUUGAGAGAGUAAUUCACUCCUUAGGGUAAUUUGAGUGAUAUCCGUUAGCUUACGACUAAUAAACAUCGACAUUAAAGGUAAAUUGGUCAUAAGGUUAUGACCAGUGUACGACUAAUAUAUGAGACGUAAAUGUACGUCACCUUUACGACAAAUGUAUUUACUUUUAACUUACGACCAACUUAUUGAGCCGUAAAGCUACGUCUGAUAUAUGACUAAUUUUUCUAGACGCAAUAUUACGACCAAUGUGCCUCUAAUUAUUAAUUACGAUCAUCUUAUAACGACCAAUCGAUUUUCGAAGUUAAUUGGUCCUAAAGCCCAUAUUACGACCAACUAGCUACUAAUACUGUAGUCGUUAAGGUCAUGUUUUCUUGUAGUGAAAAGUCCCCAGAAAAUAUUUCUCGCAAUAUAAAUUCCGUAUAAUUUUUAUCCACAAUAAGAAGCAAACAUUGUUGGGAUCAAAAACGGUAAUCCAAAACCUGUGUUUCUGUAUGAAAGCUUUCUCGACACACUCUCGACAAAAUUUCCUGAGCAAAAAACUCGAGAGAAAUGGAUCACAGAACCAAACAAGCAGUCCAACUCGUUUGUUCGUACGUUUUGAGGUGCAGAACUGCACAGACGAGUCAGAUGUUUAGCUAUGGAUGAAGACCUUCCCGUGGUAUGAUUGAGCUUUGAGUUAGCUUUCCAAUGCCACCGGUCAGAGGUUAAUCAGCAUUCUGUAUCAUAAGUUAUGUCUAUUUUAUUGAAGGGUGGAAAGAGCACACCGUCCAGCUCGGUGGAUGGCCGAGCUGGAUCGACCACGCGGCCAGCUUGGCCAUCCGCCGAGGUGAACCAAACCAGCUCGGCCAUCUGCCGAGGUGAACCAGUCCAGCUCGGCGGAUGGCCGAGCUGGAUCGACAACACGACUAGCUCGUCCAUCCGCCAAGCUGAACCAGUCAAGCUCUGCGGAUGGCCGAGCUGGAUCGAACACGCGACUAGCUCGGCCAUCCGCCGAGCUGGAUCGACAACACAACCAACUCGGCCAUCCGCCCAGUCCAGCUCGGUGGAUGGCCGAACUAGAUCAACACACGACCAGUUCGGCCAUCCGCCGAGUUGGAACGAUCGUGUUGUCAUAGUCCCGUCCUCGUAGCUCCCUCCUUCGGGAUUGGAUCGAACAUGCUCUUGUUUCAUUUCGAUCAGAGUCACCGAUGGAACUUUACGAUUUAAAACCGCAGUAACUCGUUGUUGGGGAAAAAUAUUCCAUGAAGAGAUUACUCCAGCUUCCGUUUUCCAGGUCUCUGCCCCCAGGGUCUAGGUUCCUGCAUUUGGGUCCCGGGUCCCUGUCCCCGAGUCUGGGACCUUCCUCCGUCUUCCAGGCCAAGUGAUUUCUCCUGCCUUAAGAUAAAUGAAAAUCUUCCAUUUAUCAGGUAAUCAGCUUAGAGAAGAAGGGAUCUUCCUAAAUCCAAGAGAAAGAGGAAGUAUUCCAAUAUAUAGGCUGCCCUUAAAGAAGAGUGGAAAUAUUCUAUUAUCUAAGGAUUUAUGGAAUAUUUCCAAACCCUAAAGAGGAGGCAUGACCUCCACUAUAAAGAGAGGUUUCUAAAUCUAAAGAGGAGGUCCAUAACACAGAGAGAGAGACACGAGCUCAUCAUCUCCAUAGCCGGCAAGGCAAGAUUCGAGACCUAGAAGGCCAUCGUCAUCAACAUGCUUAUAACCGAUGAAUCCCUGCGAUUAAUACCAACAAGAUGAAGUUCUCCAUUCAUGGGAACACGUCCAUCUAUGAGGAAAACACGUCAAUCUAUGAGGGGGAGACUUCCAUUACCAGAGCUCACCAAUUCUACAGCCGCCAAGGCAAGAUGCUACACAUAGAAGAUCUUCUUCUCGGACAAGCCUAGGAGAGGCUGAUCCCGGCGGUUACUAUCGACCAGGGGAAGAUAUAUGCUCCCUGCAACACGUCUACAACGCUACAUACUGGCCCAGGCCACGAUCUCCAGCACACCGACAGGGACACUCCAUGCUCAACAAAGCAUAUCGAAGCUCCAUGCUCCCUGCAGCAUAUCGCCUACUCCACCAUCUGUUCCGACCAUGUGCCCCAUCGAACAGAUGACUCCUAUCACCUUGAUAUACCUUGGAUUUGGCCCAUUUUUAUCCAUGGUAUAUAGGUGUUUUACUAUAUAUAUAUCUAUGUUUUCUACUCUUCUAGGUAUGUUUUCAUGUUCAGGUGCAUUUCGGAGUAAAGCUAUGACUUUGGAGCAUUUUGGAGCUUAAAGGACAUUUCACCCGAGCUGACCACUUAGAGGUCGACGAGAGGAAGAACAAUCGAUCGAUGCGCAUCAGUGCUGACGAUCGAUAUCAGGAAAUACCUCGAUAGAUGAAGAUUAAUAUCGAUCGAUGUACACAAGUACCAUCGAUUGAUGUCGAGACACCAGACGCGACAUUUUGGAUUCAGCAGACUUAAAAACAAAGGCCAAGCCAAAUUACCAAAAUGCCAUGACGAGUUUUCAACCUAGUAGAAUAUAUACUGGCUACGUGUUUUGACGGCAAAAAGAACAGAGCUUUUUCUAGACCUAGUUUUGUUACAAGUUUCAUUUAGGAGAGAAGAUCACUUGUGAUUGGAACUCCUUGUUUCUAUUUCUUUUCAUCUAUACUAUGAGUUUCUAUUCUUUUAUUGUGAUGAAUUGCUUUGCUAUGUCUGAGUAGUUCAACUGUUACAUCCAGGGUUCAGAUAGGUUUGUGGGAUUAGCCCCAAACUAUAGAUCUGCCUUGUUGUGAUAUUCAUGAUAGAUUUGUAUUCAUUGCUUGUUUUAGCCUUGCUAACUAGAACUUGAUCAUAGGAUUGCAUAUUCAAGCACCCUUGUUAUCCCAUCCUGACAUCUAUCUAUCAUAUUAGGAUUGCUAGAGAGGGCUAACCACCAAUUUAGAAUCUUAGUAGGGAAUUUCAUACUCGCGCAUAGGCCUGGCUAGAACCCGUCGAUCGAUGUCCUCAACUGACAAUCGAUCGAUGUUGGCAAAGGUGUAUCGGUCGACGUCUUACUAGACCAUCGAUCGACACUCUCUCGUUGUCUGCAUACUAACCGUUGAGACACGAGAUCUAGUCUGUUAACCAGUGGUACAUGCGACAGCUGAUCACUAAGUUAAGCGAAUGAGCUCUAUUAUAUCAUGCAUGCAACAGUUAGGCAUCUAUAGGUAUUAUAAUCUCCAACACCUGAAGAGUGGCCCUGCAUCUAAUAUCAUUUCCAACCAAGUUACAUUUAUUAUUUACUCGCUUGUUACUAUUGCUAUUUCAUUUAGACAUUUACAACCUUUAGAAUUAAUAAACACUAGAUUUAAUUGUUCCCUAGCUCCUUGUGGAUUCGAUCCAUAAGUACUACAUCUGAACCUCUUUUGAUGAGAGUAACACUCCUUAGGGUAAUUUGAGUGGUAUCAAAUUUGGCACCGUUGCCGGGGAGCUUUGAUCGCCAUUAGAUUUAGUUUUAUUGAUUCUUAUUCUUUUCUUUACCCCCCUUUACGAAUAUGGAGUCUACAGAGAUGAGUGUGGACACACACGAGACGUAGCUGGUGAGAUGAUACCUGUCACAAAGGACAACAUCAGGAAUUUACUGGAAAGAGCAUCUCUUUUUGAAGAGAGCCACAUCUGUCUUCCAGAACAUGCCACCUCUUUCUUCCAGAACAUGCCACCUCUUUCACAAUCAGAAUACUGGCACCAGAACUCUACACCAAGGAUGAAAUAGAUGAGAUGGUGUUUGGUAUUUGUGGAGCUCAAGAGAAACUGGGAGAGGAGCUCAAAUCAUUGGUAGAAGAUACACAUCAGCCUUUGGAUAGAGGCUACAAUGAGCUUUUCAGAUGUAUGGCAGAAAUGAGGACAAAAAUUAAGAGUUUACGUCAGCAACUUAAGAAGGAAGCUACGACCUCAACAUAGAUCGGCGCAACACCCGCAACAUCGAUCGACGUCAGUCUUCCUACAACUCAGAUCCCUGCAGAACCGUAAUGUUCAACACAACACAGGGAUGAAUGGGAAGUCUCAUACAUCGACACAAGGAUAAAAGACAUUUACUGCCCUCUCAACAACAACGUGGACUGGCUAAGCACUAAAACCGAGCUACUACAGCAAGAUCUGGACACCAUUCGCAAGAAGGACCAACAACCAGCCACAUCGAUCGACAUGUGUACCUUCACAUCGCUCGACGCCAAAGUCUCAGCCAUGAAUGAGAGGCUGAGGACUUACGAUGACAUGCAUGACCGCUUUAUAUCACCAGUCAUGACAUAUUUAAACAAAAUGUCUAGUCAAUUACUUUAUGCCCAAAAGGAUAUUGAGAACAUUACUAAUCAAAAUUUUUUGCAGGUAAAAUCAGCAUCGAUCGACAGGCUACGAGGGCCUUGGAUCGAUGGCAAGAAACAUGUGGAGCUACUUCCUUACACAGCAGCAGAGGUUGACAAGAUCACAUCCAAGAUCUACACUGCUCUAGACAACAUGGAGGAACGACUUGACAAACGCUGCGAUGACAUCUACUUUCCAUUCGAAAACAAAAUCAGUGGACUAGACAACCACGCAGAAUGGCUACAGAAAGAAGUCAAAGCCAUUCAGAGGCAACUCGCAGCCCAACACCAGAUAUCAGCAUCGAUCGACAGGACACUAGCGAAAUCGAUCGAUGGAAACUCGCCAAGAUCGACCAACGAACACAUAAUCGCAUCGAUCGACGCCGAGUCUACACCAAUCGGCGAGCAGCUGAUACACAAGACAGUAGAGUCAAUGCAAAAGGAACUGACAGAUCUUUCAGCAUACGCCUAUGACAACAUAGGCUGGCACCAGGUCAGCAUUGACAACGUUCAAGAAAGGCUACAAAACAUCUCCAAUGUACUUGAGAAAAUGGAUGACAAAUGGACAAGAAAUGAUGAGGCCAUAAGAAGUUUCAUUGCAUCUUGGUCCAGAAUGCGCAGAGAUGACGUGGAUGCUUGCUUUCCAACAAGCAGCUGUUUCUCCACACAAUAGCCAAUCACCACCACAGUCAAGCUAAAUGACUAUAACCAAGCGCUGAGUGGGAGGCAACCCACUAUUAGGUAUUUUAUUUAGGUUUUAUUAGCUAGCAUUUAUUUCCUUUCGUUUUAUAUCUUUCAGAUUUAGGAGACCCAAGUAGGAGGACCUGAAUAUCGACCGACGACGAGACGUCGACAUUGCUCGACAUAGACAACCACACGACGAUCGAUGUAACACUUACACAUCGAUCGAUAUCUAAUCCGGUCAGAUGUAUCUUCCUUACUUGUUACAUUUUGUACAUUGUAAACUAUUCAUCAUAACUCCGGCUGAGUUACACUGGGACAGUGUAAUUUAAGUCUGGGGGGAGAUUUACUGAUAUAAUUUAUUUUAUUCUUAUGUAAAAAGAAAUUUUAAAUAAAUUAUGCUUAGCUAUUGAAAAUAGGGACUAUAAUCUUAUAUUGAUUUAAACAUGAAUAUCUAACCAAUCUUUAGCACCAUUUUAGAUUUACUGAUUGCAGAUAACACUAAAUAUGCUAAAUCGGAUUAACCUAUCAACUACACACUUGCCUUGAACCGUAUGAAGUAACCAAAGCUGAUUUCCAACACUAAACCUGACAUAACCGCUUGUCUUGGGGCUUGGUAUACAUGGGAUCGGAUUCUUCAGAAAGGUCUGGAAGGUAACGCCUGGUUUAGAUUAUUUAUCACAUUUUCUCUCUCUAAAUUUCGACCCUAGAUUAGUUAGUGAGUAUUUAAAAAAAAAAAAAUAUAUAUAUAUAUAUAUAUAUAAAAUAAUAAAUAAGAUCUAUUGUUUAAUUAGGAUGAGUCUGAACAGGACUUGGUGGCUAAAACCAUUAAGGCUUGAUUCAUAAAGACUCAAAUAAAAGAGUUCGAAACGGGACUUGGAGGCGGCAAUCUUCAAGGCUCGCUUUCGCAAAGAACUCUUGGAUAUAGGUCAAAAAGAAGUGAACAGAACUUGGUGGCAACCACCAUUAAGUUUUGAUUCAUAGAAGCCUGUCCAAUCUUGGUCACUGAUCCUGCAAUGGAAGCAUACUUUGACUCAAGAGAGAAAAUUAGAGAGAGAGAAACUAGGAACUAACUUUUACCUGCAGCUCCAGAUACCUGUCUGAAAUCCUUGCAUCAUGUGAUCGAUACUCCAAAGGUAAAGCAUUCACUUUAUAUUUAUGCUAAGAAAUGAAAUCAUUAGAGGAGAUGUCAGACGUGAAUUGAUGAGUUGUGUUAUGUUAGAAAUGGUUGCUAAGCUAGGAUAUUGCAUAGUGUGCUUUUGUGAUUAGGACUUUUUAAAUGUGGUUGCAAAAUUGUUUAGGAAAGAUUUCAAUGUUUUAAAAUCUUAAAUCCCCAAAUAUUUUCAAACCUCUUUCAGAGAGACGGCAUGUAUGUUUUUCUUGAGGACAAGCAAAAGGAUAAGUCUGGGGGAGUUGAUAUACCUUGGAUUUGACCUAUUUUUAUCCAUGGUAUAUAGGUGUUUUACUAUAUAUAUAUAUCUAUGUUUUCUACUCUUCUAGGUAUGUUUUUAGGUUCAGGUGCAUUUUAGAGUAAAGCUAUGACUUUGGAGCAUUUUGGAGCUUAAAGGACAUUUCACCCGAGCUGACCACUUAGAGGUCGACGAGAGGAAGAACAAUCGAUUGAUGCACAUCAGUGCUGACGAUCGAUAUCAGGAAAUGCCUCGACAGAUGAAGAUUAAUAUCGAUCGCUGUACACAAGUACCAUCGAUCGAUGUCGAGACACCAGACGCGACAUUUUGGAUUCAGCAGACUUAAAAACCAAGGCCAAGCCAAAUUACCAAAAUGCCCUGACGAGUUUUUAACCUAGUAGAAUAUAUACUGCCUAAGUGUUUUGACGGCAAAAAGAACAGAGCUUUUUCUAGACCUUGUUUUGUUACAAGUUUCAUUUGGGAGAGAAGAUCACUUGUGAUUGGAACUCCUUGUUUCUAUUUCUUUUCAUCUAUACUAUGAGUUUCUAUUCUUUUAUUGUGAUGAAUUGCUUUGCUAUGUCUGAGUAGUUCAACUGUUAGAUCCAGGGUUCAUAUAGGUUUGUGGGAUUAGCCCCAAACUAUAGAUCUGCCUUGUUGUGAUAUUCAUGAUAGAUUUAUAUUGAUUGCUUGUUUUAGCCUUGCUAACUAGAACUUGAUCAUAGGAUUGCAUAUUCAAGCACCCUUGUUAUCCCAUCCUGACAUCUAUCUAUCAUAUUAGGAUUGCUAGAGAGGGCUAACCGCCAAUUUAGAACUUAGUAGGGCAUUUCAUACUCGCGCAUAGGCCUGGCUAGAACCCGUCGAUCGAUGUCCUCAACUGACAAUCGAUCGAUGUUGGCAAAGGUGUAUCGGUCGAUGUCUUACUAGACCAUCGAUCGACACUCUCUCGUUGUCUGCAUACUAACCGUUGAGACACGAGAUCUAGUCUGUUAACCAGUGGUACAUGCGACAGCUGAUCACUGAGUUAAGCGAAUGAGCUCUAAUAUAUCAUGCAUGCAACAGUUAGGCAUCUAUAGGUAUUAUAAUCUCCAACACCUGAAUAGUGGCCCUGCAUCUAAUAUCAUUUCCAACCAAGUUACAUUUAUUAUUUACUCGCUUGUUACUAUUGCUAUUUCAUUUAGACAUUUACAACCUUUAGAAUUAAUAAACACUAGAUUUAAUUGUUCCCUAGCUCUUUGUGGAUUCGAUCCAUAAGUACUACAUCUGAACCUCUUUUGAUGAGAGUAACACGCCUUAGGGUAAUUUGAGUGGUAUCACACCUACAAGGCCACGUGCCUCCAUCAGAGCUACGUGCUCCUUAGGCCAUGUGCCCAUUAGGCUAUGCGCCCACUUAGGCUCCAUGCCUCCACCAAUACAUGAACUACGAACGGCUUGAUCCCUCACUGAAGGGUACGUAGGCAAUCCCCCCUAAAGGAUGCUGCUAUAUAUCCCAAACACCUUCCAUGGUUCCACCCCUAGAAGCUCAAAGACCGCCCCUGGUGGUCGGAACCAUCAAUUACAGAUCAGGAGGCAUCCAAGGACCGACCCUGGAGUCAGGACCAUCAAUUGCAGACCCAGAAGACCCUGCGAUCUUCACGACAAACAGACGGUUCCUGCCUAACAACCGACCUUUCUUACUGCUACUAAGGCACUGAUGACAUAUACCAGCCCAUACCCGUAUGGCACUACCCUCAGAGUAGGAUCUACUGACUUAUCCACGACCGAAGCAGGAGAAAGUACCACGACGACCAGUCUACUUCUUCCUAUCAUUCCGUAGUGCUGAGCACGAAUCACUUGUACGCAAAAAUUCCCUAACAGUUUUGCGCUAGAAGGAGGGGCAGUCAUAUGCUACGUGAUGAUGAUGAUAGGUGGAAGAGACAUUACAUCCAUUACUUCAGAAUAUUUCAACCACAGCCAUCUAGGGGCAAGAAACGACGUAUUCUCACGAGAUCUAAACCUCAUUAAGCUGGAAACACCUCUUCAAAGGAGGAUAACACAACGCUAAACAGAAGUAACAAGACCCAACACAGGAAUUACCAACUGGUUCCUAUUGGUUCCUGCUGGUUCUGGGUCCUAUCCUCAGAUUAAACUUUCUGCAGUCCCUGGUUCCUGCUGGUUUCGGGUCCUAUCCUCAUAUCAGAUCCCCGCAGUCUUCGGAUCUGCCGGUUCCGGGUCCCAACCCAAAGCCGAUGUCUACAAUUAUUGACUCAUGCUGGUUCUGGAUCUUCACUACACAACAAGUCUCACCAACCUUCGGACCCAAUGGGGGCAGCCAUCACCAAGCAAGCCCUAGACGACAUCCAUAUUUCCAGACUCACAACUCCGCCUCAUAUGAGAAAGAUGCAAGGUUCUCAAACAGGACACAACAUUUUCCGCCCGGGUUUACAACUUAGACGAAUUCUAAAGACAGGAAGAGUCACACGAAGAGCUCCUGGAAAUACCACGGGCCUACCAGGCAACCACUAAGAGGUAACCAGAGAACCACCUUUCUCUUUAGGCUUUACAAUGUAAGUGGUAGUGGAAUCCUAGAUAAGCCUAAUAGCUGGGUGGAUAGAAUGCCUUUUAGUACUCAUCAACUUCCAUUGGAGUUGUUCCGCGAAAGGAUCCCUGCCCAAGCGACUGGAACACUGCUUCUUUGCAUCCUGCAAAGGAGCCGAAGAAAAAUGAGAACUCUACAUCAAGACAUGCUGGCCUUCUGAUUCUUGGGUCCAAUUAGAGCAAAGGAGAGUAAAAGAAGCCGGAGAACACACGUUCCAGCUACUAAUCAUCUAUGGGUUCCAGGUUCCAGCUUCCAGGUCCCAAAUCCCAGGGCCUGGAUCCCAGGUCCCAAAUCCAGGUUCCGGGUCUCCAGCUAUCCACCUUACAUGGAGGGAAAUCCAAUGGCUCCACGAAAAAGCAAGCUCCGACCACCUUACUACUGCUUUUUCCGGCAACAAACCCUGAUAUACCUCUAAAGGAAAUUAAGGCCUUUUACCCCCUACAAACUCCCGGGGAAACUCAGGAUCCGUGCCUCUCCAAGUUUCCAAGGCUGCACCCCUCGACAAGUUGUAAGAAACGGGAAUUCCCAGUGAAGGAGUCAAGAAUACGCCAGUCUACAAGGAAGUAGGUCCAAGGUACAUACCUUCCUGAACUUCUACGAAAGAGAUAACUAAGAGAAAAGAGGGGGCAAACGAGUUAACACUCAACACAAGGGGCAAAUAUGCGUCAACAAAUCUUGUUGGCUUGCCCACUAAAGGGAGGAUUCAAGACAAAGCGACGGUUCAUUUAGUGACAUCCAAGAAACGCUGAGAGUGGCUCACCCAAGAGGGAGCAGAGAGCAGCCAGAAAAAGUUAGUAAACGACAUCGACAAAAAGAGAAUAUCUACAGAUCCUCAUUUGCCAGGGCACUAGUUCCAAGGAGCCUCCAGGCUCUCAAAGAUAAAUCUACUGGUCCUCCAAGAGAAGUAGCCCCCACGCCUCAAAAAAAAAUCUAUGUUCCUCCAAGGUCCUGUUACAGGUCUAAGGACCCUUUAUCCAGCUAAUGAAUGUCAAACUCACUGAAGCAUCAACAAGUCCAUCUCCGUAGAGCCCUACAUCACUGGGAGAAACCUACGUGAGUUACAAGACCAGAAAUCAAAUCUUGUCAUCCACUGAAAUACAAGACCAAGGUCUUGAAUCCUACAAGAUCACCUUCGAACAGGUCCAGAACCUGGAAGUUCUCAUCAAGACCCUGGUCUACCAUGUGGAAAACCAAUUCUCCUCCAGGUUUUAACACGGUCCACGCAUAAGAAGAAAUCAGAAAAAGGGAAGCAGCGUCCUGUCCACUAUAAGCAUGCUGAGAUGGAACGACUCCGGUUGGCCAAACUACACAUGUUAUCUCCCGACUUCACCCAUGAAACCGAAAGAUAAGGGGCAAACUAUUGGGAGUGAAUAAUUUUGGAAAAUACUACGCUUGUUUCCGGGCAGGACCCUGGUCUCCAUAAACCCGCAUGAAGAAGUUCCGAGUCCGACUUCGACUACGAAGCUCCGGCUCUGACCUCUGCUCCUAUCCUUAACACCAGGUAAAAAUGAAAGGUAAAAACUUUCCAAAUUUCUAACGCAAAUGCAAUGUACUGUAUUCAAACUCAGAGUUUGUACAGGGAGCGACAAUAACAAUGGGUAUGAGACUUAAGGCAGGAAUAGGUCUGAUUAACCUGAGUAUGCUAGUCAAGACUACCUAUAACCCCGGUAUAGGCCUAGAGCCAUAUCGGGCCACCAUAAGCUACAGUACUGUGACACCUCCUGGUUUAUUCAUGGAGUUUGCAUAUUGCAUAAGUACUGCCACGUGUAGGGAGCAAUAUAUAAAUUCCUGCUUCUCCAGACGUGGAAAGCAGCGUAAGCCUGACACUUGGGUUUCCGAAUCCAUAACCAGCACCCCUAAGUCUGAUAGUGGCUUUCUGCAGAAAGCAGCAUGCAGCACGGGAACUCGAUAGUGACCAGCUUCCGAGAGGUAAAAUGUGAAUUCCCAACAGGUACCGGUAGUGGCCUCACCUAGGAUGGCAGAAUACGGUCCCUUAAAAUACAAAUCAAAUACCCCUGGGUUAUUAAGAACUUUCGGGUCCCCAUGCAGUCUCCGGGUCCUGAACAAAUUUCUUCAGGACCUGUAAAAGGUAAACCUCCAGGUUCUUUAUAACCCUCGGGCCCAACAACGACCUCAGGGUCUGAAGGAACCUCCGGGUUCCCAAAAGACCUCCGAGUCAAGAAGCAACCUCCGGGUUCAAAACGACUUCAGGGUCCUAAAUACGACCUUAGGGUCUAUAGGAACUUCCAGGUUCCCAAUCGACCUCCGGGUCCCAAAACAACCUCAGGGUCCUAAAAACGACCUCGGGGUCUAGAGGAACCUCCGGGUUCCCCAUCGACCUCUGGGUCCUCACUCAACCUCCGGGUUCUAAAGGUGAUCUCCGGGUCUAGGGCAACUGAUAUACCAUGAUUUUCACCCGUUUUUUUUACAUGGUAUAUAAGAGUUUUAAGAUGUAUUAAUCAUGUUUUAGAGUCUUUUCAAAGCAAUUACAGGUUUAUUCACCUGAUGGAAGGAAAUGAUACUUUUGGGACAUUUUGGAAUGCUUUUACCCAAGGAGAAUCGAUCGACGCUUGAAGAGCAACAUCGGUCGAUCAUAAUCACAUACCAUCGAUCGACAAACAUACAUGUGCAUCGAUCGAUGCCCAGUCACACGAGUUUGGAGAAGGAGCAUUUUGGCUACCAUUAGAAGAGCUUAGGAUUGGAGAGAUAGAUCUGAGACUGCAAAACAGAGAAGAUCUUGAACUACUUUACUUCUAUUACUCUAUCUAUUUGCGUUCUAUGUUUCAUUUGAGUUUAUUUCACACCAUCAUGACUUUGUCUCUCAUGAAUAUGUUUGAGUAAACCAACUGUUAGAUUUAGGUUUCUCGCCAUGGUUGAAAUUAUGUACUGCUAAUAUGACUAUUUAAAAAGGUGUUUUAAUUGAUCUUUCAUUGCUUGUGAACUUAAUGCUAAAAUUGAGAUUGAUCACCUUCAUUUUAGAUCUUAGGAUUAAUGGAGUCCAACUAACUUUUUCCCCUCAAUACCUGAACCCACUUGCGUGAUCUAACUAACUCAGGCGCAACGACAGUUGGUCUGAGAAGGUUAGACAACAAGUUAAACCCGUUUGCAAAGCUCGCUAGAAUAACCAUCGAUCGACGCAACUAUCGUUAUGUCGGUCGAUCGUUACAAAGGUGUAUAGGUCGAUGUACAUCAAGUCACAUCGAUCGACACUCUCUCGAGAUCAAAAUACGACAGUUGAGAUCCGAGAUCUAGUGAAGAUAACCUAUCCAGUUAAAUCAAUGUUUAGUUCAAGAACCAUUAAACCCUUUAGUCUAAACUAAGUGCAUACAUUUUAUACCUGAGAAUGGCCUGAAUCUAGCUGCUUUCCCAAUCUUGAAACCACUUCAAUUCAAUCUAUUGAUUCACUGUUGUUUUCGAUUUAUCAUUUACUGCUUUUAAAACUAUUAAAACCUUUUAGUCUAUCUUCAUUUCUAAUUAUUUAAGUCUCUUGAGUAAUCCUAGAGUCUCUGUGGAUUUGAUCCCUAAGUACUACAUCUGAACCUCUUUUGAUGAGAGUAACACUCUUUAGGGUAAUUUGAGUGAUAUCAAAUUUAGCGCCGUUGCCGGGGACUCUUUCUUAUUACCAUUAGAUUUAAUUUAGAAUUUAGUAUAGACUUGUUAUGAAAAUCUUGCUAAAGUUUUAUUUCUUAAUCUGUUACGCAGACACAAAGAAUGGAGAACACAGAGCGCGACCAACCAUCGAUCGACGGAGACAUGUUUCCAUCGAGCCAUGUUGAGUCAGAAAAAUCGACCGAUACGGAGCUGCCAACAUCGAUCGAUACCGCCCAGCCGGAAGCAGGUAAGCUUUCUCUUACCAAGCCCGCUAAUGAGAAAGUAGUCCAAACUGAAGUAAAUGGUCAAACGAGCAAUGAAGCUAGCCAAACUGAACAGGGGACUGAAAUCCCUGUUAAGGAAAAUUCCACCUUAACUAAAGGUGAAGAUAUAAAUUUGUCCAUGCAAGACUACCUUGAUCCUGGUAGGACCUAUUCCAAUAGGUCCGCUAUCAAAAUACCUGGAGACGAUACCAAGAAAUCUAAGUUUAACGCAGAUUACUACCGUAUGGUUCGUCAAAACCCAUUUCGUGGAUCCCUCCCAGAGCACCCACAAGAUCACAUUGAAACUUUGGAAGUAUUAAUACCAGAUGAAUAUGAUCGUUGCAAACUAUUCUCAUUCUCCCUAGAAGGAGAAGCCCUCAGGUGGUUAAACUGUUUAGCAGCAGGAUCACUCACUUGUUGGGAAGAGAUUAGAAGUGCCUUCCUUAGAGAAUUUUUCACUGAUGAACGCUACUGGGAAGUAAGAAAGCAAAUUUCUACAUUUCGCCAAGGUCCACGCGAAUCGUUUAAAAACGUCUGGGGAAGAUUCAGAGGCUAUGAACUUGAAUGUCCCCAUCAUGGUUAUUCAGAACCACAACUUCUUAACAUCUUUUAUGGAGGUGUUAACUUGAGCUAUAAAACCACACUCGCUACAGCGAGUAAUGGAAAUUUCAUCACUAGGAAUCCCGAAGAAGCUAGACGCCUUAUCAAGAAUAUGACAACGGGAAGAUCCUAUGAAAGGAUGGAUGAAGAGAUAGAAAAUUUCACAAGUCCAAAAGACAAUUCUAAUUUGAUAGAAAUUAAGAAUUCCCUUAAGUCCCUUCAUUCCUUUUUUCAAAACAAACACCGAUCUGAUAUAGCCCAGAUCGAUGACGACGCUUUGUCUGACACCAAUGAUAAUUUGGAUGAAGGAACGAACUGUUCCGAUCCCUACUCUGUGCUUAAUGUCGAUAGCUUUACCCAAGCUUAUGACACUGCUGUAAAAUCACGUACCGGAAGAGAGAGAUUCAAUAUCAGACAAGCUCUUACUGGCAACCGAAACUUCUUCGAUGAGGCGCACGCUGAAGAACUUCGAAACAAAAUUUCCACAUUCUUGCAGGAGGCUGGAGAGUCCUUCAAAGAUGCGUGGAUUAGAUUUAGGUUCUUCCAGCGAGACUGUCCACACCACAGAUUUAACGAAGUGCAGCUACUCAGCACUUUCUUCCGAGGUCUCGCCUUACAGUAUCAAAUGGCUCUUGAUACGGCGAGUGAAGGAAACUUCACUACUCGGAAUCUGUUAGAAGCUGUGAGACUUAUCGAAAACCUUGCUAACAGCAGCAGCACCAAAAACACUGACUCUGAACGGAAGAAGUCUGUAGCCUCUAUCGGGAAGGAACAUAUGGACGAAGUAAGAGCUAAGUUAGAUGUGGUGCACGAGCUUCUUAGGAAGCAAGUCUGUUUAGCUGAAGGAGAAGUAGUAGAUAUGGAAGGAGAGGAAAAUGUGAACUACAUCGGAGGUACCGGAUUCCAGAAAUUUAUAAACCAAGGCGGAAACAGAAACUUCGUUGGAAAUGGUCAAAGAAGUAACCAGAGUUCACAAUUUCAAAAACCCUUCAACUACAACAAAAGUUACUCGAACUCCUACUACCAGAAUCCACCACCCUAGACUCAGGAAAGCAAGAUCGAAGAAAUGCUUGAUCGAGUACUGUUGGGACAACAACAAAUCACUGUGGAUUUCAACGGUAAAAUAGACUCCGCCUACAACAAUCUGAACACCAAAAUCGAGACCUUAGGGACUCAGGUGAGAAAAAUUGAAACCCAAGUAAUUCAGACGGGCGAGACUAUAAAGAGGCAAGAAGCUUUCGCUAGAGAGGCAGGAGCCGACAAAGGAAAACACCACGUAAAUGCCAUCAUAGAUGAUGAUUUCUGGCAAGUGGUGAGAAAUGAAAAGCUUGAGGAAGGAGAUUUCGAAAUCGAAAGCUCCAUGAGUCUCGGCGGAUCCCAAUGGUGUCGACCGAUGUCGAUGAACUCGCAUCGAUCGAGCUCGAUCGCUAUGUAGCGACCGAGCUGUGUGCAUGCUUGGUCGCCGCGUAUCGAUCGAGCAUGGCUUGUCCGCGGUCUGAUUUCCAUACUUGAGCUUGUCCGCGGCCGAUUUGGAUACAUGUCCGUUGCCUUCGGACAAUCGGUAUUUAGUGGUUCAAUUGAGAUUUGGACGAGAUUUUUACUGCAAGGCUCUUCGUAAAGAUAUCUUUACGAAGAUUACUUUUGGUAAAAACGUUUAUGCUGAUUUUUACGGACUUUCAGACAUUGAUUCCGUCGUGACCGAUUUUGACCCCAACAGUUAGCCCCCCAGCUCGUUAGAACCAUGAGUUUCUAGCGUGAGGUUCUAGCGAGUGGCUUGGCAAGUUAGGCAAGUUAGGUGAGUUAGGCGGAAUUAAUGGUUGAAAAGGUCUGUGGUAAGUGAUCUUCUCGCUCUCCUAAAAGUAGAAAACGCGAUAAGAUUGGGGCUGCGCCUUAUGACGGCUGCCUACGUACCCUUGUUGAAGGGAUCAAGCCUUUCGUAGUUCGUCUUGGAGUUAAGGUUCUUAUGACUAGUUUUCCAGUAGGACCUUUAUGGUCUAGUUUUUAUGUAGCGGUUAUAAGGCGUGUUGCUGCCGAUGGCAUUUUGUAUGGGUGUAGAGGGAAGACUACGAGUUCUCGUCUCGUUAUCUAACUCUGUGUGAAUUGUCAUAUCCAUAAUCUGUUUCGAGAGUUUUCCGCAGUGUGUAAACUUGCGGGAAUUUCUGAAGACGUUCGAAUAUUGGCAAAGAGACAAAUUUUGGGAUCUCGUAUCAGGGUGUUUGAUACUAUGCCUAGAGAUUUUAGAGACCAGUGCGCUGGGUUUAGGGCAAGACCUAGGUUUACUUUCGGUUUAAGGAUUGUGCGGUGACUGGCCGGCUAUCGUUUUUCCUGUUGCGAUUUCUUCCUGAUUCGUAUCGAUUUAAAGUCCGCGAUAGGUUCUCGGCUUAUACGACUUGUUUGAUACGAAUCGAGCAUCUCUCCGGAGACCGGAAGUGCUGGACCAAAAUUUCGGAUUUCUUUUAUAGUGCUAUUAUCCUUGUGUCGGAUGUAAGAGAGUCAUCUUCGUGAGAUGGCUAUGUCUGUUUAGGACGUUGAGAGUUUGUUGUGAUCAGCAACAAACUUAAUGGUAAAAAAUACCGUUUCGAGUCUUCGCGAAGAAUAUUUUUUGAGAAGAUGUUAGUGCGUAUGACUGUUUGGUCUUCCAUGAAGGUGUUUAUAUCGAGGAAGGAAAUUUCGUCAAAGAACUAAUCUUCAAGCGUCUGCGACGUCUCGCGAUGCUGAAGAUUUGUUAUUCUUUCGUAUGCCACGUUUCGUGCUUGAAAUGUUCGCGGGCUUGAAGAUAUUUCGCGAUGUUGCAAGGGUUUAGUCUUAGCCAUGCGUUUGAAAAACAUUCUAGUUUGACUACGAAUGUUCGCAGCCAAAAUUGUUGUUCAUGUUUGGAUGCUAAUAGUUUUAUUUGCGAUCGAUGAAUUAUGACUGAGGUGUCGUGUAAAUUUGUCCAUGGGAACAAGCGUUUUCCUUCAUAGUGCUUUGUGAAGUGUUGGCCUUCCGAGAUGUAUUUCGUGCAUUUUUUAGGAUGUUUCAUAUAGCUCUAGAAGCUUUGUUAUGAAUUUUUCCUUACAUGCCGCGUAUUAUGGUUAAAACGUUGCGGGCUUAAAGUGAAUUGUGGAGCGUAUUGAACUUGGUCAAUUUUCGAAAAGUUUAGAUUUUUCGUUAACCGUUUGGUUGUUAGGACUUAGUUUCGUUACGAAGAAUUUAUCAUAUGAUUUCCGACUGUGGGCUAUACGAUAAUUUAUCAUCUCAUAUAACCGAUUUUACGAAGGUCGUAAAUCAGUGAUAUGUAUACAUAUGUCAAAGUAGCAUUGUUUCUGCGGGUUCUACGAGAAACGUUCCCGCUGUGAUUUUGAUCUUAGGUGAAAGUUGCUUGGAGUUACCCAUGGAGUAUUACCAAAGUUAAUUUCAAUACGAUCUAGUCGCGGAACGUUUUUCAUAGGUUUUUCGAGAGGAUUCUCAUGACACAUUCGUUUCUUGAAAGAAUUGGUCAACCAGAAGUGGAUCUAGCUAACCAUCGGGAGGAAAGUACUCCUUUUAAUGUGCACGAUGCUACAUAUAUUCUCGAGUUUUCUUCGUCGCAAAUGUUUUCGAUGCUUUUCCGUGACUUACUUGGUACAACGGAAACUGAAAAAAAAAAUGCUUUGGUGAUUGAAGAUUUCUCGUAGAAAUUUUUAAAACGAAACUGGCUUUCUGAAGCCGGAAAAGGCUUCAAUACUUUGGCUAAUCGUCGAGUUUCAGUUUGAUAUUGGUACAAGUUUUCUGUACGCAUGAUUGCGACAAGAAAUGAUGUAUAGUUUUUGAGAUUAUGUUCAUGAUCGUCUGGAUAUGUUGCUAGCGUUUAGACGAAUAUUAAGAUUGUCGUUUGCCUAUUCUUGACGAUUUGCAGAAGUUUUUUGAAGUUUGGGAGUAUACGAGUAUAAUAUACGUACCUACUCCCCCCCUUUUUUUACGAAAGAAAACGGUUGAACCGAUACUUUGAAGGGGUGUGUACGUUUUCUCUUCUGAUGUUUGGAAUGAUCGAUAAUUCGGGACGAUUUAUAGACGACGCUUGGACUGUGAUUUGGUUGUUUUCCACGUUGACGACUUGGGAUAUGUCGGUUCCGAGAAAAUUGCCAGAAACGAAUCGGUUUUAAGACGACGUUCAUGUCUCUAACUUUUUCUCUCUUUAGGAAGCGAGCUUGAUAUGCGUGGCGAUUGUUUCUCGACUUUCGGAGAGUUCAGAUCGGUUUGCAAGAUCUGGAUGAAUAAUUAUGGAACAAUAUAUCGAGACAGGAAAAAUCGCUUAAAACUUAGUUCGCUAGACUAUCCGCCUAGGUUUUACGUUCCCUAAAGUUCUAUGGCAGCCUCAAAGUAAUUUCCUACGAAAAUUCCAAGUCUGAUUUCAAAAAUUUCAAGUCGGAAAUACCUUAGUUCUCUCGAAAAUGCAGUUUUGUCCCUUCUCAGUUUUGCGUGCUCAUUUCCGUUUCCUAUUCUCGUGUAUGUUCGCCAUUUCCGAUAUUGGUGUUUAUCCUUUGAAACUUGACAUUUAUCUUCCGAACUAGACUGUUAUCUUCUCCUUAGAUAAGACGUCAAUUUUUGUAAAAAGGUUCAACGUAAUUGUAUAGUUAAGGCGGCUAAGGUGUUAAGUUAACCGUUGCCGUUUUAUACGAUUAAUCUGAAUCCAUGCGAGAAAAUAGGUCUUUGCGGCUUUUUUUUUUUUUAUAUCAUAAAGUCUCAAUGGUAACUUCAAUCGAGGCGAAACAAGAGACGUUUCGAUCGAGAUUCGAAAGUGAACGCAAAGAUGGAGGUAGGGUGAGCAGAAACAAGCCAAGGAGUUUAAGAUGAGUUUCACUUGUUUUUGUCGUAAAAUCUCAACGGAAGCUCCGAUUGAGACGAAACAAAACGCGUUUCGAUGAGAAUUCAAAGGAGAACGCAAAGGAGGACCCCUUUGAGGCCUGACAGGUCGCUAUAACGAGUGAGGAUGUCAUCUCGGUCGCUAUAACGAGUGGAAGGGAGCCGAGACGAAUCCCACUUGUUUUCGUCGUAAAAUCUCAACGGAAAUUCCGAUUGAGACGAAACGAAAAGCGUUUCAAUGAGGAUUCAAAGGAGAACGCAAAGGAGGAACCCUUUGAGGCCUGACAGGUCGCUAUAACGAGUGAGGAUGUCAUCUCGGUCGCUAUAGCGAGUGAAAGGGAGCCGAGACGAGUCCCACUUGUUUUCGUCUAAAAAUCUCAACGGAAACUCCGAUUGAGACGAAACGAAAAUCGUUUCGAUGAGGAUUCAAAGGAGAACGCAAAGCAGGACCCCUUUGAGGCCUGACAGGUCGCUAUAGCGAGUGAGGAUGUCAUCUCGGUCGCUAUAGCGAGUGGAAGGGAGCCAAGACGAGUCCCACUUGUUUUCGUCGUAAAAUCUCAACGGAAACUCCGAUUGAGACGAAACAAAAAGCGUUUCGAUGAGGAUUCAAAGGAGAACGCAAAAGAGGACCCCUUUGAGGCCUUACAGGUCGCUACGUAGCGACUGACGGUCUGACAGGUCGCUACGUAGCGAGUGGAAGCAAGCCAAGAAGAGUCCUACUUGUUUUCGUCGUAAAAUCUCAACGGAAACUUUGAUUGAGACGAAACGAAAAGCGUUUCGAUGAGGAUUCAAAAGAGAACCCAAAAGAGGACCUUUCUGAGGCUUUACAGGUCGCUACGUAGCGAGUGGAGAGUUGGCUUGAGCUUGGUCGCUACGUAGCGACCGAGCGGUGUGCGUGCUCGGUCGCUACGUAGCGACCGAGCAGUGUGUGCGUGCUCGGUCGCUACGUAGCGACCAAGCAACGUGUGCGUGCUCGGUCGCUACGUAGCGACCGAGCAGUGUGCGUGCUCGGUCGCUACGUAGCGACCGAGCAGCGUGCGUGCUCGGUCGCUACGUAGCGACCGAGCAGCGUGUGUGCUCGAUCGCCACGUAGCGACCGAGCAGCGUGUGUGCUCGGUCGCUACGUAGCGACCAAGCAGAGUGUGUGCUCGGUCGCUACGUAGCGACCGAGCCGUGUGCGUGUUCGGUUGCUACGUAGCGACCAAGCAGCGUGUGUGCUCGGUCGCUACGUAGCGACCGAGCAGCGUGAGUGCUCGGUCUCUACGUAGCGACCGAGCAGCGUGUGUGCUCGGUCGCUACGUAGCGACCGAGCAGCGUGUGUGCUCGGUCUCUACGUAGCGACCGAGCAGCGUGUGUGCUCGGUCUCUACGUAGCGACCGAGCCGUGUGCGUGCUCGGUCGCUACGUAGCGACCGAGCCGCGUGUGUGCUCGGUCGCUACGUAGCGACUGAGCCGCGUGUGUGCUCGGUCGCUACGUAGCGACCGAGCCGUGUGCGUGCUCGGUCGCUACGUAGCGACUGAGCAGCGUGUGUGCUCGGUCGCUACGUAGCGACCGAGCAGCGUGCGUGCUCGGUCGCUACGUAGCGACCGAGCAGCGUGUGUGCUCGGUCGCUACGUAGCGACCGAGCCGUGUGCGUGCUCGGUCGCUACGUAGCGACCGAGCUGUGUAAUCGUUUUGUUGUGUUUUCUUUUUCCGCGAUUAACGUAGGGGUUUUUCAGCGGUUUUUUUGGGAGAACAAGUUUUAUCCUUCCGAAAUGUUUUCGGAAAACGUGUUUUGGUAAAACCCUUACGCAUCGAGAUUUCUUUACGGGGUUUUGAUAAGAUUUAUCGUUUCCCUUCGUGUUUACAGGGAGAAAUCGCGAGCUUGUUUUUGUGCUCUUCCUGUGGCGGAAGGUCGCGACUAAGUUAUCGAUUUUGUUGAAAACUACGGUGUUUGCGUAAGCGUUGGCCAUAGGAGCAGUCAGUGCAGCGAGUUUGUCUUUCAUAUAUCCAAACAUCGUUUCGAUCAAGCGUUUUGUGGCCAUGAGUAAGAAUAAUCCGUUACCCCCCCCCCCCUCCUUCUAGCGCCAAACUGUGGGAACCGAAAUUCGCACUGUCGAUUUCCGUUUAAAUAAGGAAACUAGGAAAACCCUAAUUUUCCAGAUGUCCCGGAUCUCGGCGAGAGCCAACGACAAGUGACCGAGUAUAUGCGGAAAUCAUGAAAAGAUAACAAACGAGUUUAGAGAAAACAGUAGAUCUUAUUUCGAGUCCGCGUAAGAGCGUUGCGAUCAUUACAAGAGAUCAUAAAAGCUUUGGCCGCAAAGGCUGUCAGCGAGUUACUUAGUUCUAGCGGUCUAAAAGCUCAAACCUAGUUGAGUCGCAGCUCGAUAACAAAAGACGAAAAAGAUACAUAAAAGGUUUUUGAUUGAUUUCGGACUGAACCUUGUUAAAGGCUGCCUACGUACCCCUUUCGAGGAUCAAGCCGAACGUAGUUCAAUUGAUAGAGUUGGACAAGAGAUCGAACUGCCUGGGCGAGUUCGUCUAGUAAUUGAGUGCCAGUCAUAGAAACCGAACUUGUCGAGAAUAAGCCUAAAGUUUCUAAGUGCAGAGAAUUCCGAAUCUAAAAAGUUCUCCCCCAUGCUCCUCGCCUAGGACUCCUUAUAUACUAGCUCCAAGGUCGGUUUACGCUUUUACUCUUCUGCCCUAAAGCCGUCAUAGCGUAAAAAUGGAGAUAUUCCAUUUUUCCCGAUUUUCACAACUAUCUUCAAAAAUUCCGUAUUUAUCCGCGGAAACUUGACAUUUAUCCUUCCUUGUGGACCAAGGGUAAACCAGGCUGUGGUUUACGGGCCUUUGGUUAAGAAAUCGCAGGAUGGGCCUCGAGUCGUGUUUUAGGUCCCUUUGGGCCGUCUUCCGACUCGAAGAUUUUACUACGAUUUCUUUCGACAAAGAAAGAACUUUCCGCAGUUUCUAAUCCGCGAAGUUUGAUCGAUGAUUUAGAAUAGCGGAAAACAUAGACUGAGCUCGCUACGGUCUUCGGGAGAUAGCAUUUUAAGGUUUGACGAGAAUGCAUGGACUGGUGUCAUACCGAUGUUCGGAAGAGCUCGGUCGCUACGCAGCGACCGAACUUUGGCUCGAGCCCGAUCGCUACGUAGCGACCGAGCGAGACGGACGCUCGGUCGCUACGUAGCGACCGAGCUUGGCUCGAGCUCGAUCGCUAUGUAGCGACCGAGCUGUGUGCAUGCUUGGUCGCCGCGUAUCGAUCGAGCUUGGCUUGUCCGCGGUCUGAUUUCCAUACUUGAGCUUGUCCGCGGCCGAUUUGGAUACAUGUCCGUUGCCUUCGGACAAUCGGUAUUUAGUGGUUCGAUUGAGAUUUGGACGAGAUUUUUACUGCAAGGCUCUUCGUAAAGAUAUCUUUACGAAGAUUACUUUUCGUAAAAACGUUUAUGCUGAUUUUUACGGACUUUCAGACAUUGAUUCCGUCGUGACCGAUUUUGACCCCAACAAGGCACAAAGGAGAGGACUUUUUCAGAGCGAACUUAGAACUUAGAGCAUUUAGGCAACUUUUUAUUUUUGUUAUUUCGAGCUGCGACUUAACUAGGUUUUGCUGUCUUAGGUUGUUAGAACUAGGAAUCUCGCCGACAGCUCUCAUAGCCGAGGCUUCUACCUUGUUGUAACGCUCAUACGCGAAUCCGGAACUAGGAAUCUUUUCUACGAUUUCUUUUUUUUUUUCGUCUUUACUUUCGUAUUCUGAUUGCUUGGCGUGUGGUUUAGCAGAUAUUCGGGACCUCUGGGAAAUUAGGGUUUUCCUAACUUUCUUAAUUUAAACGGAAAUCGAUGGUGUGAAUUUCAGUUCCCACAGUUUGGCGCUAGAAGGAGGGGGGGGGGGGUUACGGAUCAAUCUAACUCACAGCCACAACACGCUUGAUCAGACAUAGCAGGCGACGACUCAAACGCCAUGCUAACUCCUCUCAACGAAGGAGGCAACAAUGGUCAGAACACUCCAGCAGCAGACGUUUAUGCGGCAAACGAAGCAGCCAACGCCGCGACUCUCGAGGAGUUUAAAAAGAUGUUCUCCGCCUAUGAAAAAAGGUCGGAAGAACAAGAUAAGCUCGUGGACACCUUGACUAAACAGGUCAACACCUUAACAGCAAGGCCAUAAGCGGUCGUUCCCCGCGUAUCAACAAAGAUUCGUGGAGGAAGACUCGACUUCACGCCCCACACGACAUGGCUGAAACUUUGCGGGAACAUCCCACAGGGCAAAACCCUAGCGAAACAUCUCCUGCCAAAGGAAGGGACCCCGAAAACCCCUUUUGUCUCCAAUAAAGGAUACAUGGAUCGACGAAGUCGAACAUGUCAACUUGGAUCCCAGAGAUCCAUCCGAUGAUACGGAAGAAGAUGCAGACGGCUCGGGAAGAUUCUCCGUUCAGAAAGCCCAUGACCGAAGAAGAAGAACAUAUCUUCUAGGUUAAGCAGGAGAAGUUGGCUGAAGAGCAGGCCGAAAUUACUCACAGCAGACGCCGAUAGGCUCGAAAGGCAUGGGGUGGGGAUCCAGAUAUUCGCGAUCUUCGCGAUUACAUAAAAAAGACUGCUGCAAAAGUAAAGGCCAUGAAAUCCCAUAUCCAUCAUGCUACUAACACCGCCCCUGAAAUCGACCAGUUGCUGGAGGAAGCGUGAAAAACGCCCUUCACGGCUCGCAUCGCCGAAACCAAGGUUUCUGAUCCGGGGAAGAUCAAAGUGCCAACGUACAACGGCACAACCGAUCCUAAUGCGCAUCUGCAAGCCUUCCAGAUCACCAUGGGGUGCGCCAGACUCAGAGAAAGCAAGAGAGACGCUGGCUAUUGUCGCCUUUUCGUCAAAAACUUGGAAGGGGCAGCUCUCGAGUGGUUUUCCUGCCUUAAGCGGAACUCUAUCGGAAGUUUUUUCCAGCUCACAUCGGAGUUUCUCAAUUACUACUCUAUGUUCAUAGAUAGAGAAACCUCUGACGUCGACCUAUGGCGCCUUUCCCAAAGGGAAGACAAGCCUCUCCGAGAUUUCAUAAGCAAGUUCAAGCUGGUUAUGUCCAAAAUAAAUGUAUUCGCUCUGUAGCGGAUCUUUUACUAGACCAGCUCGGGUUCGCCGCUCGGAAUAAUCCCCCUUUUGCUGAAUUAUUACCAAUAUAAUCAUAAAAAUUUAAUUUUUCUCAGCGAAAUAAGCGACAAGGUAGCCACUGAAGCGCCCCGAAAGACGCUCUGGUACAAGUCGAAAUUCAAAAAGUAGAUAACCCACGACAAGCCGUCUAUGAUCCAGGAUGCUCUUCACAGGGCAACCGACUACAUUAUCAUCGAAGUAGAGACGAGAGUCCUGUCGUAAAAGCAUAAGCCGACGAAAUCGUCUUCGAAGGACGCAGACCAAAAGCCCAAGAAGAAAAGCUCUCAUAACGACUAGUACGUCCAUCAUGAGGGGAAAGAACUCCAGGGAGCGCAUAAUUACGCGAUCAACUCGGAGAAGGGUAAGACUUCGGGCAAUACAUGGACCCAAAAUCCCAACUACGACGAAAACACCUACUGCGAGUUCCAUCAGACCCAAGGGCACUCCACAAUCAACUAUAAAGUCCGGGGAAUUCUCCGAAAUCACUAGCGUCAAGGAGACGGAUCAUCCCCCAAAGACUGACAAAAGUUCACCCCUGAAAGCUCCUCCUUAAGGAAACCAAUCGGGAGAUAAGCGCGGAAGGAGGCAAGACGACAAGCGUAACGUCAGCAAUCGCCACAGGGUAAACAUGAUCAUCGGAGGAUCACAGUACUGCAACUAUACGGACUCGGCCAUCAAGGCUUACCAGCGUGAAGUUGAAACAAGUGCGAACUGGCCGACCUGGUCCCCACCCCGAGACAUUCAGAACAGUGCAAUCAUCUUCGAGGAAGAAGAAACUGGCAGGAUAGAGCAGCCUCACUGUGAUCCACUCAUCAUAGACCUUGUCAUCCGAGACCUGGAAGUCAAUGGAAUCCCUGUGGACACCAGAAGCACGGUCAAUGUCAUCUUCCGCGACACCCUUAAGAGGAUGAACAUCAAUCUCGGCGAAGUCGUACCGAAACCACUAACUGGUUUCUCAGGCACAACAUCAAUGACCCUCGGGUCCAGUCAUGGCGAAAGAGGUAACGAAGAUAGUCGACUUUGCAGUGGUUGAUCAUCAAGCCAUCUACAAUGUCAUCGUGGGAACUCAUUGGCUCAACGCUAUGAAGGCAUUCCCAUCUACCCUCACCUGCGCGUCAAAUUCCCAGCCCAAAACGGAAUUGCUGCAAUCUGGGGAUGCCAGAAGCAGUCACGGCUUUGUUUUCUCGCUGAACAUAAGCUGAGACAAAUCACAGAGACAGCAAAACUGAAACGAGCGAAGAUAACUCAGCAGCUGGCUGAAAACGCUUCAAAAAAGGAUGAUGCAACAUCAUCCCCGGUGACGGACCUAAAACAGCAGCAUGCUAGUCCUGAUGCCUUCACCAACCGGAGGAGACAAACCUGGAAAAGGCUGUAAACCCAUCUAAAGUUAGAAUGACUGAAACAAUCGACGCGACCGCCGAAAACAAGUAAACCUUUUCGCGGCCAAAACAGAACUACGAGAUGGCUUGAUUCUCAAAAGAGGUACGUAGGCAGCUCGCCAAAAUGCGAGUUCAGCUAUCCCCCUCUCGAAAAAGGGGGGGGGAGUGGGUACGUAUACACAGACGUGUAUACUCCCAUAUUCUUAAAAUAUGCAUUGUUGUACUUCAUAUUUUUAAAAACUUUUACAAUAAUACAAAAACUUCUCUAUCUUGCAUAAACAAUCCUAAUCAUACCAGACUCUAAACUGCGAGAAAUUUGCAGCACUUAGUAAAAAUCAACACACCUCUUUAAGACGAAAUGUCGAGAUAUAGCGAGAUGUCGCGGAAAAAUCUCAGGACAAUGCGUCUAAAAAGACAAAAGAACAGUCCAAACGCGGCUAUAAAAUUUUAAACCACCAUUACAUCAUGUUCAUCGAUUGGCCCCGUCGAACAUAUCAGCCGUCUUAAACAAACGCAUCCUGACCUCUGUCUCAAGAAGAAUUGGUCCUCGAACAUCCGACAAAAGGAUUAUAGGGCUAUAAAAGAAAUCCGAAAUCUUGGUCAGCAUUUCCAGGAGGCUUGGAAAUUUCCUUUGGAGAGAUGCUCGGUUCCAACCAAACAAGUCGUAUAAGCCGAGAAUAUAUCACGGACUUUACAUCUGUUUGGAACCAGGAUGAAACUGAAACGGGAUACGUAAGUCGAACUAGUCAUCGCACCCCCUAAAUCCAGGAGUAAACCUAGGUCUUGCCCUAAACUCAGCACUCUGGUCUCUAAUAUCUCAAGACAUGAUAUCUAAAAUUGAUACGAGAUCUUAAACCAUGUUUCACCGUUCGUUUCUAAAUGUUCACAAGACUCUACACUUUUACGUACGAACUAACAAAAACAACGAUUCACUAGAUUUAGGUAUGAGAUGACAACUCAUAUUUUUUUUCUCGACAAUCAAAAACGCGCAUGCAAAGAAAACUCUUAAACACUCAUAAUAUAUAUAUAUAACCGCAUAACGGUAAAGGAUACAAAGCCACUGAUAUCACUCAAAUUACCCUAAGGAGUGUUACUCUCAUCAAAAGAGGUUCAGAUGUAGUACUUAGGGAUCGAAUCCACAGAGACUCUAGGAUUACUCAACAGACAUAAAUAAUUAGAAAAGAAGAUAGACUAAGAGGUUUUAAUAGUUUUAAAAGCAUUAAAUGAUAAAUCGAAAACAAUAGUGAAACGAUAGAUUGAAUUGAAGUGAUUUCAAGAAUGGGAAAACAGCUAGAUUCAGGUAAAUCUCGGGUAUGAAAUGCAUGCACUUAGUUUAGACUAAAGGGUUUGAUGGUUUUUGAACUAAACAAUGAUUUAACCGGAUAGGUUAUGUUCGCUAGAUCUCGGAUCUCAACUGUCGUAUUUUAAUCUCGAGAGAGUGUCGGUCGAUGUGACUUGAUGUAUAUCGACCGAUACACCUUUGUAACGAUCGACCGACAGAACGAUAGUUGCGUCGAUCGAUGGUUAUUCUAGCGAGCUUUGCGAACGGGUUUAACUUGUUCUCUAACCUUCUCAGACCAACUGUCGUUGCGCCUGAGUUAGUUAGAUCACGCAAGUGGGCUCUGGUAUUGAGGGGAAACGGUUAGUUGGACUCAAUAAAUCCUAAGAUCUAUAAUGAAGGUGAUCAAUAUCAAUUUUAGCAUUAAGUUCACAAGCAAUGAAAGAUCAAUCAAAACACCUUUUUAAAUAGUCAUAUUAGCAGUACAUAAUUUCAACCAUGGCGAGAAACCUAAAUCUAACAGUUGGCUUACUCAAACAUAUUCAUUAGAGACAAAGUCAUGAUGGUGUGAAAUAAACUCAAAUGAAACAUAGAACGCAAAUAGAUAGAGUAAUAGAAGUAAAGGAGUUCAAGAUCUUCUAUGUUUUGCAGUCUCAGAUCUAUCUCUCCAAUCCUAAGCUUUUCUAAUAAUGGUAGCCAAAAUGCUCCUUCUCCAAAACUAGGUCUUUUUGCAAGUGUCUCCUAAAAUGAUACAAAACCCUAGUACAUAUAGCCUAACAACCGGUUAGAGACUUAAGUUGCAAAUAAUAGAUCUUCUGGGAAAUGAAAUCUUUUAAUUCGCGAUCACACUCGUGUGACUGGGCAUCGAUCGAUGCACAUGUAUGUUUGUCGAUCGAUGGUAUGUGAUUAUGAUCGACCGAUGUUGCUCUUCAAACGUCGAUCGAUUCUCCUUGCGUAAAAACACUCCAAAAUGUCCCAAAAGUAUCAUUUCCUUCCAUCAUGUGAAUAAACCUGUAAUUGCUUUGAAAAGACUCUAAAACAUGAUUAAUACAUCUUAAAACUCUUAUAUACCAUGUAUAAAUAACGGGUGAAAAUCAUGGUAUAUUAACUCCCCCAGACUUAUCAUUUUACUUGUCCUCAAGUUAAAUCAGCGGACAGUCUCUCUGGAAAAGGGUUGAAAUCAUCAGGGACUCACAGAUUUGAAACAUGGAAAUCAUCACCUCCAUAAUAUUGUAUUCCACAUCUAAAAGUUCCUCAUUACAGAAAUACAUUAUGCAAUAUCCUAGCUUAGCAACCAAAGUCAUCUAGCCAACAAUCUUAACUAAUCUUCUUAUCAAUCUCCUCAAUCAACCUCAUUUCUCAAUGUAAAAAGUGUAAGCUUUACCUUGGGAGUAUCGAUCAUAGGAUGCGAGGAUUUCAGACAAGUAUCUGGAACUGCAGGUAAAAAUUAGUUCCUAAUUUCUCUCUCUCUCUCUCUAAUUUCUCUCUUGAGUCAAAGUCUGCUUCCAUUGCAGGAUCAGUGACCAAGAUUGGACAGGCUUCCAUGAAUCAAAACUUAAUGGUGGUUGCCACCAAACUCUGUUCACUUCUUUUUGACCUAUAUCCAAGAAUUCUUUGUGAAAGCGAGCCUUGAAGAUUGCCGCCUCCAAGUCAUGUUUCGAACUCUUUCAUUGGAGUCUUUAUGAAUCAAGCCUUAAUGGUUUUAGCCACCAAGUCCUGUUCAGACUCAUCCUAAGUAAACAAUAGAUCUUAUUAUUUUAAUAUUAUUAUUUUUUAUUUUUAGAAUAGAAAUAUUAAUUACUGACUAAUCUAGGGUCAAAAUUAGAGAGAGAAAUGUGUUAUAUAAUUCUACACAAGGCUUUACCUUCCAGACUUGUCUGAAGAAUCCGAUCCCAUGUAUACCAAACCCCAAGACAAGCAGUGAAGUCAGGUUAGUGUUGGAGGUUAGCUUUGGUUCUUUCUAACAAGCUAGCAAGUGUGUAUAGUUGAUUGGUUGAUCCACUUUAGCAUCUAUAGUACUAUCUGCAAUCAAUAAAUCUAGAGUGGUGCUAGAAAGUGGUUAGACAUUCAAGUAGAAAUCAUUAGUUCAUAAUCCCCUUCUCGACUCAAUAAAAUUAUUUUUGAAAAGAUUUUUGACAAAAACUCAAGAAAGUGGUGUUAGUAACUACCUCCCCCAGACUUAAAUUGCACCGUCUCGGUGCAAAGUGCCCAAGGGUAGGUUAAAAAAAAAGAAACAAGUUAGAUGUGUGAGAAUGUUAGAGUAAAAUGAAGUACCUAUCCGCACUAUGCAUCGAUCGAUGUAAUCCUCUCCAUAUCGAUCGAUGUUACUUGCCGAGAAUCGAUCGAUGUAAUCCUCUCCAUAUCGAUCGAUGGCGAAGCACAGAAAUUUUGCAUGUGCUUGGAUUCGAACUUGAAGUUCCUGCCUAAUGUUAGCUCGGUUAGACAACCAAGCAUAAGAAUAAUAAGCAUUCACAAACAUAAGAUAUAAGUAUAAAAACUUAAAUCCUACAAGUUCAGAAAAUAAAGAGACAAGUCCAUAAUAGGAGGAUAAUAGAUAGAGAUAUUAGGACUAGUCGGUGUCCUUGUCAGUCGCCUCAUCGUCCUCCGGGGAAGGGUCCCUGUACGCUGCUGGUGGUGCUGGCGCCUGCGCUCCUAUAGCUCUCCCGCUCCGAAAAGACACUCUAGCCCAGAUGGCCCGAAGAGCGUCCACCACGAACCUCUGAAAGUCUCCCUGGUCGUGCAUGGGGAUGUCUGGUAUGUUCGGGAAGUCGGGGAGCGGCGGUGCCUGUGCGUCCUGAGCUCUGGCGCGGCGAAUGCUGGGAGGUCUGUUCGACAUGUUCCGGGGGUUGCGGAGAAAUGCCUCGUCUGGCAUGCAUCAAAGCUGCUCCACGCUGUUCCCAAAAUCAGUGAUCCUCCUGUCCGGUAGGGGUAGAAGGCGAUUCUCACUGCGGAUCCUGAAACGCCAAAGUUUCCCUUCCUCGAGCCAUAGCGAGUGCACCAAGUGCUGCUCGUUGAGGAAGGCGUGGUCGCGGUCGGCAGAGCGAGGGUCGAGGCGGAUGCCGAGGUACUGGAAAAUCUGGGUCAGAAGACUCCCAACUGUCUCCUUCAUCUUACCCUUUCUGUUGAAAGGCUUCUUCUUCAACUCCACCAAGUGCGCGGCAAAGACCAGUCCGAGGUUUGGCGGGUUCACUUCGCCGUCCUCAUCCAACUCAACCAUAUCCACCACGCCAUUCACUGCACAGAAAAGUAAUGUGAGCUCCUUUAUCCUGACCUUGUUGGGCUCCAUCUUGCAAACCAGUGUGUUUGCAAAGAGCCGUAGGAAGUAGCGAAGUGCAGGAUGGCGGAUGUCUGAUAGCACGGCCCUGUUUGUGUCCCAAACUCCUGUGCCGACGAUGUCCCAGAAUCUCUCGAGGUGUAGGAAUGGUGGGACCGUGUGGGAGGCGACGUUCUCCUCGAAACCGUAGAUGCGGCAGAGCUCGGGGAUUGUGAUCCUGUAGCGUGUCCCUCUGGCAAAGAAGGUCAAAGUACCAUCUCGCGCUACCCUCGCUGAUGAAGUCCUGUAGGUGACCUCGACGGUGGCCAUGAACUGGCGGACGAGAUCGGGGUAGAGGUCGUAAGCGCGAGAGGGCAUGGUGCCGAGUCCGAGCUGUGUGAUCAUAUCGUGAACAUCUCUCUCGAUCCCGAGCUUCUUUAGGAUGGGCCGGUCGAGGAAUUUGGUGGGCUCGAUAGAGACUCCCAGUCAAGCAUUGUAGAAGAGGCUGUCGAAGUCGUCCCAGUUGCCGGACAGGGGACGGUGGCGACACUCGUUACUGUUGAUCGCUGCUCUAGGAUCAUCAUAGCCUGCGACAUCGAAGGGUGUGUUUUCGGUGCGAGGCCAUGGAGGGCGCUAUGGGUUGUUGGAGCUGCUGGUCUCGUCGAAUCUCCUUUUCGACCUGAUUUCUCUGUUUCGAGCAUUUGUGUGUGAACUGCUCAUCUGAAACCAAGAAUAAAAGAAAGUUAGUAUUGUCGAUAAAAGUUAAUAUCGAUCGGUGGGUUAUACUGCAUAUCGAUCGAUAUUGUCGAGUCGGAACAAUCGAACAAGAGAGAGCAUCGGUCGAUGCGAACGAGUUCAUAUCGACCGAUGUCGAAUCGCGAAACCUGUAACAUCACUCAACUCCAAAUCGCGUUUAUAGGAGUUAAAAGGCAAAGAAAUCACAAACGGAACUCUAGAUAAGCAAUAUGAACUACAAAAACAUCUCUCAAUCACACCAAAUCAAGCGUUCUAGUCCAACUCAAAACGAAAACUCUAAUUUUUCAAAAAAUUGAAAAUUUCGAGUGCAUACCUUGAAUGUUGGUUUCGAGAGUGGAUUUAACAGUUCCAGAGUGAAAAAUCGAGUAGAUUAAGGCGAAGAACGGACGAAAUCCGUUAAGAAAUCAGAGAGAAAAGGGUUGUUUUUGUUUUCGGUUUCGGUUGCGAAUGAGGAAGAGGAACAGACUGAUAUCUUAUGAAAUAAGGGUUUUCACCGUCGAUAUGCCUGCAUCGAAUGAUGGCAGUGAUGCCUCGUCGAUUGAUGUCAUUUUCAAAGACAAAUCCUAAUUUCUAAAUCUCCUAAAUAAUGCUAAUAAUAAAAAGAAAUACGAAAAUUACUAUUAAAUAUAAAAAUUACUAUUAGAUAUAUAUUUUUAAUUUUUUUUUAAAUAAAAUGGGUUGCCUCCCAUUCAGCGCUUAAUUUUUAAGUCUUUACCUCGACUUCGUGAUUAAGCUAAUUAUCAGGUUCAUACAGCACCAUGGGCGUUUUUGCUGGUGGUUUUGCCCAAUAAUGCUUAACUCGUUGGCCGUUCACUGUAAAUUCCUGGCCUUUAUCAUUUUGUAAGGUGAUAGCUCCGGAGGGUUGAACGUUUGUUACGGUGAAGGGUCCAGACCAACGGGAUUUUAGCUUUCCAGGAAAUAAAGUUAAUCUAGAGUUAUAAAGGAAGACUUGAUCAUCCGGUUCGAUGUGCCGGGAUAUGAUCUUUUUAUCGUGAUAAGCUUUAGUCCUUUCUUUAUAAAUUUUCGAAUUUUCGAAAGCUAAAUGUCUGAUUUCAUCAAGCUCGUUAAGCUGGAUGAGUCUCCUUUCUGCAGGUGGUUUGAUAUCAAAGUUCAAAAGUUUGGUAGCCCAAGCUGCUUUGUGUUCCAGUUCGACUGGUAAAUGACAUGAUUUGCCAUAAAGGAGGUUGAAUGGUGUUGUUCCUAACGGCGUUUUGUAGGCGGUCCUGUAGGCCCAAAGUGCAUUAUCUAGUUUCCUAGACCAAUCUUUUCUGGAGGUUCCUACGGUUUUCUCUAAGAUUUCCUUAAUUUGCCGGUUAGAGACUUCUACUUGUCCACUGGUUUGUGGGUGGUAAGGUGUGGCUACUCUAUGAUGAACACCAUUCUUUUUAAGCAAUCUAUCAAAGAUUUUGUUAAUGAAAUGAGUUCCACCGUCACUAAUGACUACUCUUGGAACUCCAAAUCUUGGAAAGAUUAUACUCUUGAAGAGUUUAAUAACCACAGAUGCGUCAUUGGUAGGAGAAGCUACUGCUUCGACCCAUUUGGAUACGUAGUCUACAGCGACUAGUAUAUAUUUGUUUCCAUAUGAAGACGGGAAGGGUCCCAUAAAAUCGAUACCCCAGCAAUCAAAGACUUCAACUUCAAGAAUGAACUUCUGUUCCAUUUCGUGUCUUUUUCUGAUUUUUCCACGUCUUUGGCAUCAGUCACAUUGGGUUAUAAAUGCGUGGGCAUCGCGAAAAGUGGUCGGCCACCAAAAUCCUGCUUGGAGGAUUUUCGAAACCGUUUUAAAGGUAGCGAAAUGUCCUGCAUAAUCAGCUCCGUGACAUUGGUAAAUAAUGUCCGAAACUUCAGCUUCGGAUACGCAUCAUCUGUAUAUGCCAUCAGAACAAUGCUUAUAGAGGUAAGGUUCAUCCCAAUGAUAGCGUCUUACUUCUCUGAAAAAUUUCUUCCUCAUAUAUCCCUUGAGUUCGUCUGGCUCAACCUCAGCUGCCAAAUAGUUAACUAUGUCGGCAUACCAGGGUCGGUUAUUCGAGUUUCUACCAAUCACGUCUACCUCCCGUUGUGAUAAUUCCUCAGGUGUAUGAUUAAUCUCAUCACCGGAAACAUUAACUUGUAAAUUGAAAUUGAUUUUAAUAGACGAGGGUUCGUGAUCUUUGUUAUUCGAGAGUUGAGAAGUUACAUCAUUUUCGUCAUCGAUCGAUGUAUCACUACGUAAAUUGACCGAUAUACCAUCUCUCUCAUCGAUCGAUAGAUCUUCAGAUGUGAGAGAUAUUUGACCGACGAAAGAUGUAUCUAUGUGUGCAACAUUCUCUGUGGGGAAGAAAUCGUCUAUAGGGACAUCAUCCUCUAUUCUUAUCCGGGAAAGAUGGUCAGCGACUCCAUUAUCUACUCCUCUCUUAUUCUUAAUCUCAAUGUCAAACUCUUGGAGUAGUAGAAUCCAGCGUAUGAGUCGAGGUUUAGUGAUAUACCAUGAUUUUCACCUGUUUUUAUACAUGGUAUAUAAAGGUUUUAAAAUGUAUUAAUCAUGUUUUAGAGUCUUUUUAAAGCAAAUACAGGUUUAUUCACCUGAUGGAAGGAAAUGAUACUUUUGGGACAUUUUGGAAUGCUUUUACGCAAGGAAAAUCGAUCGACGCUUGAAGAGCAACAUCGGUCGAUCAUAAUCACUUACCAUCGAUCGACAUACAUUUAUGUGCAUCGAUCGAUACCCAGUCACACGGAUGAAAUCGCAAAUUAAAAGAUUUCAUUUCCCAGAAGAUCUAUUAUUUACAACUUAAGUCCCUAGCCGCCUGUUAGGCUAUAUGUACUAGGGUUUUGUAUCAUUUCUAGCAGACACUUGCAAAAAGACCUAGGUUUGGAGAAGGAGCAUUUUGGCUACCAUUAGGAGAGCUUAGGAAUGGAGAGAUAGAUCUGAAACUGCAAAACAGAGAAGAUCUUGAACUCCUUUAUUUCUAUUACUCUUUCUAUUUGUGUUCUAUGUUUCAUUUGAGUUUAUUUCACACCAUCGUGACUUUGUCUCUCAUGAAUAUGUUUGAGUAAACCAAUUGUUAGAUUUAGGUUUCUCACCAUGGUUGAAAUUAUGUACUGCUAAUAUGACUGUUAAAAAGGUGUUUUGAUUGUUCUUUCAUUGCUUAUGGACUUAAUGCUAAAAUUGAGAUUGAUCACCUUCAAUUUAGAUCUUAGGAUUAAUUGAGUCCAACUAACCGUUUCUCCUCAAUACCUGAACCCAUUUGCGUGAUCUAACUAACUCAGGCGCAACGACAGUUGGUCUGAGAAGGUUAGAGAACAAGUUAAACCUGUUCGCAAAGCUCGCUAGAAUAACCGUCGAUCGACGCAACUAUCGUUCUGUCGGUCGAUCGUUACAAAGGUGUAUCAGUCGAUGUACAUCAAGUCACAUCGAUCGACACUCUCUCGAGAUCAAAGUACGACAGUUGAGAUCCGAGAUCUAGUGAAGAUAACCUAUCCGGUUAAAUCAAUGUUUAGUUCAAGAACCAUUAAACCCUUUAGUCUAAACUAAGUGCAUAUAUUUUAUACCUGAGAAUUGCCUGAAUCUAGCUGCUUUCCGAAUCUUGAAACCACUUCAAUUCAAUCUAUUGAAUCACUGUUGUUUUUGAUUUAUCAUUUACUGCUUUUAAGACUAUUAAAACCUUUUAGUCUAUCUUCAUUUCUAAUUAUUUAAGUCUGCUGAGUAAUCCUAGAAUCUCUGUGGAUUCGAUCCCUAAGUACUACAUCUGAACCUCUUUUGAUAAGAGUAACACUCUUUAGGGUAAUUUGAGUGAUAUCAAAUUUGGCGCCGUUGUCGGGGACUCUUUCUUAUUACCAUUAGAUUUAAUUUAGAAUUUAGUAUAGACUUGUUACAAAAAUCUUGCUAAAGUUUUCUUUCUUAAUCUGUUACUCAGACACAAAGAAUGGAGAACAAAGAGCGCGACCAACCAUCGCUCGACGGUGACACGUUUCCAUCGAGCGACGAUGAGUCAGAAGAAUCGACCGAUACGGAGUCGCCAACAUCGAUCGAUACCGCCCAGCCGGAAGCAGGUAAGUUUUCUCUUACCAAGCAUGCCAAUGAGAAAGUAGUCCAAACUGAACUAUAUGGUCAAACGAGCAAUGAAACUGCCAAACUGAACAGGGGACUGAAAUCCCUGUUAAGGAAAAUUCCACCUUAACUAAAGGUGAAGAUAUAAAAUUGUCCAUACAAGACUACCUUGAUCCUGGUAGGACCUAUUCCAAUAGGUCCGCUAUUAAAAUACCAGGAGACGAUACCAAUAAAUCUAAGUUUAACGGAGAUUACUACCGUAUGGUUCGUCAAAACCCAUUUCGUGGAUCUCUCCCAGAACACCCACAAGAUCACAUUGAAACUUUGGAAGAAUUAAUACCAGAUGAAUAUGAUCGUUGCAAACUAUUCUCAUUCUCCCUAGAAGGAGAAGCCCUCAGGUGGCUAAACUGUUUAGCAACAGGAUCACUCACUUGUUGGGAAGAGAUUAGAAGAGCUUUCCUUAGAGAAUUUUUCACUGAUGAACGCUACUGGGAAGUAAGAAAACAAAUUUCUACAUUUCGCCAAGGUCCACGCGAAUCAUUUAAAAACGCUUGGGGAAGAUUCAGAGGCUAUGAACUUGAAUGUCCCCAUCAUGGUUAUUCAGAACCACAACUUCUUAACAUCUUUUAUGGAGGUGUUAAUUUGAGCUAUAAAACCACACUCCAUACAGCGAGUGAUGGAAAUUUCAUCACUAGGAAUCCCGAAGGAGCUAGACGCCUUAUCAAGAAUAUGACAACGGGAAGAUCCUAUGAAAAGAUGGAUGAAGAGAUAGAAAAAACUACAAGUCCAAAAGACAAUUCUGAUUUAAUAGAAAUUAAAAAUUUCCUUAAAUCCCUUCAUUCCUUUCUUCAAAACAAACACCGAUCUGAUAUAGCCCAGAUCGACGACAACGCUUUGUCUGACACCGAUGAUUAUUCGGAUGAAGCAACGAACUGCUCUGAUCCCGACUCUGUGCUUCAUGUCGAGAGCUUUACCCAAGCUUAUGACACUGCUUUAAAAUCACGUACCGGAAGAGAAAGGUUCAAUAUCUGACAAGCUCUUACUGGCAACCGUAAGACAAGAUCGGAGUUUUACGGAAAGAUAAAUAUGGUUUACGGAGAAUUGAUGGAGAAAGCAGAUUCUUUAGGAGAACUAAUCCGAUAAUUAGAAGGUCAAGUAGCUGAGAUUGCAACUGCCAUAAAGAGAGACGCUGGAUGUCUUCCCGGAAGAACUGAUCUAAACCCAAGACGUCAAGUCAGUGCCGUAAUGCUGCGCAGCGGGAAAAACCUCGCAGCAGAUACGAGGAAUAAUUCAGAUGUUGGAAAGCCUGACGACGCCGACAAGACCGGGAAAAGCAACUUUCAUCCUAUUCUUCUUAAUGAUCUUGACCCAAAUCCAUCUCAAGAGAACCGGAAAACCACCACUGAAACGGCUAAGGAAAAGACAAUAGACUUAGAACUAGAAGAAGAUAUGGAGAUUGAGAAUGAAAUCGAUCGACAGUACGGAACUGUCGUCGAUCGAUCCAAAACACCUACCAUCGAUCGACAACCUGAAAAACCCGUCGAUCGACAACCUGAAAAACCCGUCGAUCGACGGUCUACUCAACCCGAGCCCAUAAUUGAAAGAGUCUAUAGAACUUUACCACCUUUUCCUCCUAAAACGCAAACUAAGAAAUCAUUAGAAAAUGCAAUCUGCAAGAAAGCCUUAGAUAAGAUUACUGUCGAGAUGUCCCUUAGUGAUGCUAUAAAAAUAGCACCUUCAAUUAAGAAGUAUAUAAAGGAUAUGACAUCUCCAAACUAUCCGAUUGCAGAACAUAGCGUGAUGAUGAUUUCAGAAGAAGUAAGUGCUAUGAUUAAAGGAGAAACUCCAACGAAGAGAUCAGAUCCUGGUAGUUUCGUCCUAGAUUGUAAAAUAGAAGACACGCGCUUCCUUAGAUCAUUAUGUGACCUCGGCUCUAGCGUGAACCUUAUGCCUUACUAUGUUGCAGUGACGUUAGGAUAUAAAGAGUUUAUGCCAACUCCGAUCACCCUGGUUUUAGCUGAUAGAUCUAUUAGGGUACCCGAAGGAAUUCUCAAAGAUGUUCCCAUAAAGAUUAACGAUUGCAUCGUGCCUACGGAUUUUGUUGUGUUGAAAUACAGACAAGGAUCCAAAGACCCCCUCAUUCUGGGUCGGCCAUUCCUAGCUACAGCUGGAGCAAUCAUUGACGUCAAAGAAGGACGAAUUAAUUUGAACAUAGGGGAUAUCUUGAUGACUUUUGAUAUGGAAAAACUGAUUAAGCGACCCCUAAUAGAUGACCAGGCCUUCUACGUGGAAAAAGUUUCUGAGGAUGAAAGAGACUCUUUCAUAAACAUGUGUUCAGACAACCCCUUAGAAGACACCCUUAACCACGUGGAAAAUGAAGUUUUUGGCAUAUCAGAUAGGACAGACGAUUACAUGCAACUAAUGGACGCUAGCAUCGACGUUGCAAACGUAGAAGAAAAUGACGAUUCCGAAGUUGUCAUCGAUCGAUACCUUCAAGAUACCGUCGAUCGACAACCUCCCUCGCAAUCAAAUUAGUCUAAAGAUAAAGCACCAAAGGUAGAAUUAAAACCUCUACCCAGCGGUCUUAAGUACGCUUACCUUUAUGACCAGUCCUACCCUGUUAUUGUCAACGCCAAUCUCACUAGUGGAGAACUUGCUUUAUUGCUGAAUAAAUUACGCAAGUACAGGAAAGCGAUCGGGUAUUCUCUCGAUGACAUUCCUGGAAUCUCUCCCGAUCAUUGCAUGCAUCGGAUUAACUUGGAAGAUGACGCUAAAACGUCAAUAGAACAGCAAAGGAGAUUGAAUCCGAAUCUAAAGGAAGUAGUUAAAAAGGAAAUUAUAAAACUCCUUGAUGCUGGAGUUAUUUACCCUAUUUCGGAUAGUAAAUGGGUAAGCCCCAUACAUGUUGUACCCAAAAAGGGAAGUAUCAUUGUAGUGAAGAAUGAAAAGGACGAACUCAUUCCGACUCGUACCAUUACUGGUCAUCGGAUGUGCAUUGAUUAUAGGAAAUUGAAUGCCGCUACUAGGAAAGACCAUUUUCCCCUUCCCUUUAUUGAUCAGAUGCUGGAGAGAUUAGCUAAUCACCAGUAUUACUGUUUUCUUGAUGAAUAUUCCGGAUUUUUCCAAAUUCCUAUACACCCGAAUGAUCAAGAAAAGACAACGUUUACAUGCCCCUAUGGAACUUUCGCAUAUCGCAGAAUGCCAUUUGGUCUAUGUAAUGCCCCCGCUACUUUCUGAUACCACUCAAAUUACCCUAAGGAGUGUUACUCUCAUCAAAAGAGGUUCAGAUGUAGUACUUAGAGAUCGAAUCCACAAGGAGCUAGGGAACAAUUGAAUCUAGUGUUUAUUAAUUUUAAAGGUUGUAAAUGUUUAAAUGGAAUAGCAAUAGUAACAAGCGAGUAAAUAAUAAAUGUAACUUGGUUGGAAAUGGUAUUAGAUGCAGAGCCACUAUUCAGGUGUUGGAGAUUAUAAUACCUAUAGAUGCCUAACUGUUGCAUGCAUGAUAUAUUAGAGCUCAUUCGCUUAACUCAGUGAUCAGCUGUCGCAUGUACCACUGGUUAACAGACUAGAUCUCGUGUCUCACCGGUUAGUAUGCAGACACAAGGCCUAUACGCGAGUAUGAAAUGCUGUACUAAGAUUCUAAAUUGGCGGUUAGCCCUCUCUAGCAAUCCUAAUAUGAUAGAUAGAUGUCAGGAUGGGAUAAAAAGGGUGCUUGAAUAUGCAAUCCUAUGAUCAAAUUCUAGUUAGCUAGGCUAAAACAAGCAAUGAAUACAAAUCUAUCAUGAAUAUUACAACAAGGCAGAUCUAUAGUUUGGGGCUAAUCCCACAAACCUAUCUGAACCCUGGAUCUAACAGUUGAACUACUCAGACAUAGCAAAUAAAUUCAUAUCAAUAGAUAAAUAAAAACUCAUAGAAUAGACGAAAAGAAAUAGAAACAAGGAGUUCCAAUCACAAGUGAUCUUCUCUCCCAAAUGAAACUUGUAACAAAACUAGGUCUAGAAAAAGCUCUGUUCUUCUGCUGUCAAAAACACUAGGCAGUAUAUAUUCUACUAGGUUAAAAACUCGUCAGGACAUUUUUGUAAUUUGGCUUGGCCUUGGUUUUUAAGUCUUCUGAAUCCAAAAUGUCGCGUCUGGUGUCUCGACAUCGAUCGAUGGUACUUGUGUACAUCGAUCGAUAUUAAUCUUCAUCUGUCGAGGCAUUUCCUGAUAUCGAUCGUCAGCACUGAUGCGCAUCGAUCGAUUAUUCUUCCUCUCGUCGACCUCUAAGUGGUCAUCUCGGGUGAAAUGUCCUUUAACCUCCAAAAUGCUCCAAAGUCAUAGCUUUACUCCGAAAUGCACCUGAACCUGAAAACAUACCUAGAAGAGUAGAAAACAUAUAUAUAUAUAUAUAGUAAAACACUUAUAUACCAUGGAUAAAAAUGGGUCAAAUCCAAGGUAUAUCAACUCCCCCAGACUUACCCUUUUGCUUGUCCUCAAGCAAAACAUACAGGCAGUCUCUCUGAAAGAGGUUUGAAAAUAUUUAGGGAUUUAAGAUUUUAAAACAUUGAAAUCUUUCCUAAACAAUUUUGCAACCACAUUUAAAAAGUCCUAAUCACAAAAGCACACUAUGCAAUAUCCUAGCUUAGCAACCUUUUCUAACAUAACACAACUCAUCAAUUCAUGUCUGACAUCCCCUCUCAUGAUUUCAUUUCUUAGCAUAAAUAUAAAGUGAAUGCUUUACCUUGGGAGUAUCGAUCACAUGAUGCAAGGAUUUCAGACAGAUAUCUGGAGCUGCAGGUAAAAGUUAGUUCCUAUUUUCUCUCUCUCUAAAUUUCUCUCUUGAGUCAAAGUCUGCUUCCAUUGCAGGAUCAGUGACCAAGAUUGGACAGGCUUCCAUGAAUCAAAACUUAAUGGUGGUUGCCACCAAGUUAUGUUCACUUCUUUUUGACCUAUAUCCAAGAGUUCUUUGUGAAAGCGAGCCUUAAAGAUUGCCGCCUCCAAGUUCCAUUUCGAACUCUUUUAUUUGAGUCCUUAUGAAUCAAGCCUUAAUGGUUUUAGCCACCAAGUCCUGUUCAGACUCAUCCUAAUUAAACAAUAGGUCUUAUUUAUAUUUUUUUAUUUAUUUUAUUUUUAUUACAUAUAUAUAUAUACAUAUUUUAAUACUCACUAACUAAUCUAGGGUCGAAAUUUAGAGAGAGAAAAUGUGAUAAAUAAUCUAAACCUGGCGUUACCUUCCAGACCUAAUGAACUCCUAGGAUGUUUCUUUGGAUUGAACUGGAUAGAUCCCUUGUAUAAACGAAUCAGAGACUCAAGUUUAUCAAGGAGAUGGAUCGUAUGGUGACACAAAGAGUUGCGGAAAGACUCCUUGAUACUCCUAGAUGACUAGCUUGGAUAUUACACACCAAAAUAGACACCCUUAGUUGUUGGAUAUGACACACCAACGGAAUUCACUCAAGACUUGAUGAGAAGUAAAGAGAGAACAAAGAAAUCUGAUAGAUUUUUGUAGGAAAAGAUUGUGUCUAAAAGAGAGAGCGCAUACAAGCUUAUAUAGAGAAGUAUGGAACAGGCUCCAUAUUCUCGAGAUCAUUAAAGGGAACAGGCUCCCUUGGAACUACAACAAAGACUAAAGACUUAUUCAAAUUUGAAAAGAGUUUAAAACAUGAAAUAAAAAACCAUAGUUUAAAAAUAACAUAAGGUGGAACCAUGAUACAUCAUCUAAGGUUUAUGUAAGUAACUUGUGGCCUCAUUAAAAAUCUGCCUUUGGAAAACCCAAUGGGACAAAACCAAAGGUUAGGAAAAGAGCACACACAAGCACUUGCUUAGAUGAUGAUCAGUUUGAAACAAUUGCUUGAAUGGUGAUAAGAGUGUCUUGAUUGAUCAAACGUCCUUCAAGGCUGUCUUCUUGCUUCCAUGAGAUCAUAAGUAUACUUCCAACAGCUUCUUUGAGUCUUCUAGCUUUGGCACGAGUGAUGGGACCUGGUGGAAUGACUAAGGCAUCCUCUUCUUCACUUGAUUUGUCUUUGAGCUCUUCAUCUCCAUCCUUGUGCUGGUCCAUGAUCAUAUCAUCCCCUCCCUCUUGAAAAGGAUUUGUCCUCAAAUCUGGCUCAUCAGCAAAAUAAGGAAUCAAGUCAGUGAUAUUAAAACUAUUGCUCACAUCAUACCUUCCUUGGAGAUCCAGCUUGUAAGCAUUGUUGCCGAUUUUCUUUAUGAUCUCAAAUGGUCCAUCAAUUCUUGGCAUGAGCUUGGAUUUCCUCUCAUUAGGAAAUCUUUCUUUCCUUAGGUGAAUCCAGACUUGAUCACCCACUUCAAUGACUCUUUCACGCCUUCCCUUGUUUGCUUGUUUGGCAUAUUGCUUAGUCUUCUCUUCUAUGUUGCGCCUUGCUUGUUCAUGAAGCUGUUGUACCUUCUCUGCCUUUUUCUUGCCAUCAAGACUAACUCUUUCACACUCAGGUAAAGGUAUUAGAUCCAAAGGAGAGAUGGGAUUGAACCCAUAAACAAUUUCAAAUGGAGAAAACUUAGUAGCAGAAUGCACAGCAUGAUUAUAUGCAAAUUCACAAUGAGGCAAACAAUCUUCCCAUGAUUUCAAGUUCUUCUUUAUGAUUGCACGCAAGAGUGUACCAAGAGUUCUAUUAACUACUUCAGUCUGACCAUCAGUUUGUGGAUGACAAGUAGUAGAAAACAAUAGCUUAGUGCCUAGUUUAGACCAAAGAGUUUUCCAAAAGUAGCUUAGAAACUUAGUAUCUCUAUCAGAUACAAUAGUCUUAGGCAUGCCAUGUAAGCGCACAAUCUCCUUAAAGAACAAGUUAGCUAUAUGCAAUGCAUCAUCAGUUUUAUGACAAGCAAUGAAGUGUGCCAUCUUAGAAAAUCUAUCAACUACCACAAAGAUUGAAUCUUUACCAGUACGAGUUCUAGGCAAUCCAACAAUGAAGUCCAUAGAGAUAUCAUUCCAAGGAUGAUAAGGGAUGGGUAAAGGAGUAUACAAACCAUGGUUUUGGACUUUGGACUUAGCUUGUUUACAAGUUGCACACCUUUCACAAAGUCUUUCCACAUCUCUUUUCAUCAGCGGCCAGUAGAAGUGAUCCUGCAAGGUCUUGAGAGUUUUUGCAACACCAAAAUGUCCCAUGAGACUUCCUCCAUGAGAUUCCCUAACAAAUAAAUCUCUCAAAGAACAAUUAGGCACACAAAGUCUAUUAUCAUAGAAAAGAAAUCCAUCCUGCCUAAAGUAAUGUCCAGCAGCAAAUUUCUCACAAGACUUGUAAGCAUCUUUAAAAUCAGGAUCAGUUUCAUACAUACCUUUAAUCUGCUCAAAACCCAACAGUUUGACAUCAAGAGUGUUUAAGAGAGCAUACCUUCUAGAUAGUGCAUCAGCAACUAUAUUCUCUUUACCUUGUUUGUACUUGAUCACAUAAGGGAAAGUUUCUAUGAAUUUAACCCACCUUGCGUGUCUCUUACUGAGCUUGUUCUGUCCUUUUAGAUACUUGAGGGACUCGUGGUCUGUGUGUAUGACAAAUUCUUUGGGCCAUAGAUAAUGCUGCCAAGUCUGCAAAGCCCUUACUAAAGCAUAUAGCUCUUUGUCAUAAGUUGCAUAGUUGAGAGUAGCUCCUCCACGCUUCUCACUAAAGUAUGCAAUAGGUCUUUUCUCCUGCAUCAACACAGCACCCACACCUAUACCAGAAGCAUCACAUUCUAUCUCGAAAGUUUUAUUAAAGUCAGGUAAAAUAAGGAGAGGAGAAUGAGUGAGCUUCUCUUUAAGGCAUUGGAAAGCAGUUUCCUGUGGCUCUCCCCAUUUGAAUCCCACAUCUUUCUUGAUUAUCUCGGUCAGUGGAGCUGCAAUGGUGCUAAAAUCCUUGACAAAGCGCCUGUAGAAGCCAGCCAACCCAUGAAAGCUUCUUACUUCACUCACAGUAGCAGGAAUUGGCCACUCCUUGAUUGCUUUGAUUUUCUCCUGAUCCACCUUAACUCCCUCUGCACUUACAACAAAACCUAGAAAGACCAAGUUAUCCGUUCCAAAAGUACACUUCUUAAGGUUAGCAAAAAGAGAUUCCUUUCUAAGCGCAUCAAGAACAGCUCUAAGAUGUCCUAUAUGAUCAUUAAAGCUCUUACUGUAUACCAGGAUGUCAUCAAAGUAUACCACAACAAAUUUGCCAAUGAAUGAUCUAAGAACAUGAUUCAUUAAUCUCAUGAAUGUACUAGGUGCAUUGGUUAAUCCAAAUGGCAUGACUAACCACUCAUAUAAACCAUGUUUAGUUUUGAAUGCAGUUUUCCAUUCAUCUCCUUCUUUCAUCCUAAUCUGAUGGUAACCACUUUUCAAAUCAAUCUUAGAAAAUAUGCAAGAACCAUGCAAUUCAUCAAGCAUAUCAUCUAAUCUAGGAAUAGGAUGGCGAUACUUUACAGUGAUAUUGUUGAUGGCUCUACAAUCAACACACAUGCGCCAGCUUCCAUCCUUCUUAGGCACAAGAAGUACUGGUACUGCACAUGGGCUCAUGCUUUCACGGAUAUGCCCCUUUGCCAUCAGAUUGAUUUUGUCCCUGGUUCUACACUUCCAAAUAGGCCAGCUUAUAGGACUAAUCCCGUGGAGACUACAAUCCCUCUAAGAGGUGGAAGACCUUGAGGAGUUUCUUCUGGAAACACAUCUAUAUAUUCCUGUAAAAGAUACUCAAUUUCACUCGGAUAUACCGGUGUUGGGUUAGUAACAUUCAAAUGAGACUCUUUAAAGAUAAGUAAAAGAAUGGAUUGAUGAGCAUUGAGAGUUCUUUUGAUAUCACCCGAGUUGGCAUAGAAACUAUGCUGCUUCUUUGAAUCAGGUUUGAGGUCUAUUUCUUUCUUCUUUUGUAGCUGCAGUUGAUCUUGGUGAACCUCCUUUGGUGUUAGAGGAACCAGCACAGUCUUCUUCCCUUUGAACUCAAACGUGUGCUUGUUGGUGUAGCCAUCAUGUAUCACUCGUCUAUCUGAUUGCCAUGGCCGACCAAGAAGGAUAUGUCCAGCUUCCAUAGGCAGUACAUCACAGAGAACCUCAUCCUCAUACCUUCCAAUUGCAAUGGGAACCGAAACCUGACUAGAAACCCUCAUUUCUCCUUCUUCAUUCAACCAUUGAAGCCGGUAGGGCUUUGGAUGUUUCUGUACUUGGAGGCCAAGCUUCUUUACCAUAGUUUCACUAGCUACAUUCACACAACUUCCUCCAUCAAUGAUAAGACUACAGACCUUUCCUUGCACAAGGCACCGAGUGUAGAAUAGAUUCUCUCUCUGUUCUUGCUCUUCAGCUUUACUUUGCAAACUCAAAGUUCUUCUAGCCACCAAUAGCUUUCCUCUCACGGGUUCUUCUUCAUAUUCUUCUUCAGUAAGCGCCUUAUACUCAGACUCUGAAAGCUCAUCCUCAGAUUCAUACUCUCCAUUCUCAAGAAGAAUCAUGAUUCUUUUAUUGGUGCACUCAUUUGCAUAAUGGCCUCUACCCUGACACUUAAAGCACUUAACAUCUCUAGCUCUUGCACUUGAAACCUCAGCCUUUCCUUUAUCCUUACUGUAAAUGGGAUUUGGCUUUGAAUCUUCUUUCAGUUGCGGUUUGCUUUCCUUUUGAUAGCUAGACUUUUCUUCUUUAGUUCCCUGAAGUCUGGUGUUGUAACGAGAGUGAGAAUGGCCCUUCCUUUUAACUUGUUGCUCAACUAGUAUAGCUUUGUGAAGCAUCUCCUCUAUCUCCACAUAGUGCUGCAUCUCCACGUUAUCUUGUAUCUCUCGGUUGAGACCUCCUAAGAACCUAGCCAUAGUAGCUUCUUUAUCUUCAGAAACACGAGCUCUCAGCAUCAACAACUCCAUGUCUUGAUAGUAUUCUUCAACAGACCGAGAUCCUUGGGUGAGUCUUCUUAACUUCUGGUGCAAGUCGCGAUGAUAGUGAUUUGGCACAAAUCUUUUACGCAUGAGAGCCUUCAUCUCGUGCCAUGUUUCAACGGGAUACUCUUGGUUAAGUCUUCUGGAAGUCACAAGCUGAUCCCACCAACUCAACGCAUAGUCAUGAAACUCGGUUGCUGCUAUCUGAAUUCUUUGGGCAUUGGUGUAGUGCUUACAGUUAAACACCAACUCCAUCUUCUUUUCCCAUUCCAAGUAAGCAUCCGGAUCAACUUUGCCAUAGAAAGGAGGUAUCUUCAGCUUUAAACCAGCAAGAUCAUCUCUGUAAGUUCUCCUUUCAUCAUGAUCUCUUCUAUAUCUCCUUCUACUAUCUCUAGAAGAGGAACUGCUGCGCGUGGCUCGGUUGCGCUCAUAGUAGGGGUCUGUUUCUUGUGAUUCAGCAUGCUCUCGUGGGGUUUCAUCACGUCUUUCUCGUCUAGACUCAUUGCUAUGACCUUGGCCAGUAGCUUGCCUUAUCUCUUGCCUUAUUUCAUCGCGAAGUUCCUUCAUACUGCUCUUGAUCAUAUUAGCAACGGUAGUGAUCAUCGUUUGGUUUAAUUGCUCAGUCAUCUGAUCUCUCAAUAACCUGUUCUGUCUCACGAGUUCUGCUUCUUCUUCCGACUCAUUCACCAUGGUACCUGAUUCAGAAAACACUCAAACAAGUAAGAUGUUCACAAGAAUCAAUUCAGAACAAUUAGUCGACGCGGAAACAACUUUCAAAAGAUUCAAAAGAUAGAAAACUUGUAGAUCACGGAUUAGAGAAUUCAAAUCGACAAGACUAAGAUCAGUUCUAUCAAUUUUGGAUUUAUGCAGAUCAGAUUCAAGAUAAAUAAGAACAGAUUUAUCACAGAAACUUCACAAAUCAAAUUAUUCAGCAAGUGAUUCAACAGAUCAAGUGAUUCGAUUACUUCCUUCACACGGAUCGGAUGAGUUUGAUUCAAAAUAUGAUAAGAACACUUAGAUCUAACAGGAUUCAACACAGAUGAUUAGUAAUCAGGUGAUAUGCUACUUAGAUAAUACGAGAAACAACAACAGAUCUCAGAUCUAUCAAUGGUAAUCAAAGGAGUUGAAGAGUUUAUUUGAAACCAAAGAGAAAUCGAAAACUUCCCAAUCCAAAGCAGCUCUGAUACCACUUAAUGAACUCCUAGGAUGUUUCUUUGGAUUGAACUGGAUAGAUCCCUUGUAUAAACGAAUCAGAGACUCAAGUUUAUCAAGGAGAUGGAUCGUAUGGUGACACAAAGAGUUGCGGAAAGACUCCUUGAUACUCCUAGAUGACUAGCUUGGAUAUUACACACCAAAAUAGACACCCUUAGUUGUUGGAUAUGACACACCAACGGAAUUCACUCAAGACUUGAUGAGAAGUAAAGAGAGAACAAAGAAAUCUGAUAGAUUUUUGUAGGAAAAAGAUUGUGUCUAAAAGAGAGAGCGCAUACAAGCUUAUAUAGAGAAGUAUGGAACAGGCUCCAUAUUCUCGAGAUCAUUAAAGGGAACAGGCUCCCUUGGAACUACAACAAAGACUAAAGACUUAUUCAAAUUUGAAAAGAGUUUAAAACAUGAAAUAAAAAACCAUAGUUUAAAAAUAACAUAAGGUGGAACCAUGAUACAUCAUCUAAGGUUUAUGUAAGUAACUUGUGGCCUCAUUAAAAACCUGCCUUUGGAAAACCAAAUGGGACAAAACCAAAGGUUAGGAAAAGAGCACACACAAGCACUUGCUUAGAUGAUGAUCAGUUUGAAACAAUUGCUUGAAUGGUGAUAAGAGUGUCUUGAUUGAUCAAACGUCCUUCAAGGCUGUCUUCUUGCUUCCAUGAGAUCAUAAGUAUACUUCCAACAGCUUCUUUGAGUCCUCUAGCUUUGGCACGAGUGAUGGGACCUGGUGGAAUGACAAAGGCAUCCUCUUCUUCACUUGAUUUGUCUUUGAGCUCUUCAUCUCCAUCCUUGUGCUGGUCCAUGAUCAUAUCAAGACCUGUCUGAAGAAUCCAAUCCCAUGUAUACCAAGCCCCAGGACAAGCGGUUAUGUCAGGUUUAGUGUUGGAAAUCAGCUUUGGUUACUUCAUACGGUUCAAGGUAAGUGUGUAGUUGAUAGGUUGAUCCGCUUUAGCAUCUUUAGUGCUAUCUGCAAUCAACAAAUCUAAAAUGGUGCUAAAGAUUGGUUAGAUAUUUAUGUUUAAAUCAAUAUAGGAUUAUAGUCCAUAUUUUCAAUAGCUAAGCAUAAUUUAUUUGAAAUUCCUUUUUACAUAAGAAUAAAAUAAAUUAUAUCAGUAAAUCUCCCCCCAUACUUAAAUUACACUGUCCCAGUGUAACUCAGCCGGAGUUAUGAUGAAUAGUUUAUGAUGUACGAAAUGUAACAAGUUGGGAAGAUACAUCUGACCGGAUUAGAUAUCGAUCGAUGUGUAAGUGUCACAUCGACCGUCGUGUGGUUGCCUAUGUCGAACGAUGUCGACGUCUCGUCGUCGGUCGAUAUUCAGGUCCUCCUACUUGGGUCCCCUAAAUCUGAAAUAAAUAAAACGAAAGAAAUUAAAUGCUAGCUAAUAAAACCAAAGUAAAAUACCUAAUAGUGGGUUGCCUCCCACUCAGCGCUUGGUUAUAGUCAUUUAGCUUGACUGUGGUAGUAAUUGGCUAUUGGGUGGAGAAGCAGAUGCUUGUUGGAAAGCAAGCAUCCACGUCAUCUCUGCGCAUUCUGGACCAAGAUGCAAUGAAACUUCUUGUGGCCUCAUCAUUUAUUGUCCAUUUGUCAUCCAUCUUCUCAAGUACUUUGGAGAUGUUCGGUAGCCUUUCUUGAAUGUUGUCAAUGCUGACCUGGUGCCAGCCUAUGUGUCAUAGGCGUAUGCUGAAAGUUCUGUCAGUUCCUUUUGCAUUGACUCUACCGUCUUGUGUAUCAGCUGCUCGCCGAUUGGUGUAGACUCGGUGUCGAUCGAUGCGAUUAUGUGUUCGUUGGUCGAUCUCGGCGAGUUGCCAUCGAUCGAUUUCGCUAGCGUCCUGUCGAUCGAUGCUGAUAUCUGAUGUUGAGCUGCGAGUUGCCUCUGAAUGGCUUUGACUUCUUUUUGUAGCCAUUCUGCGUGGUUGUCUACUCCACUGAUUUUGUUGUCGAAUGGAAAGUAGAUGUCAUCGCAGCGUUUGUCAAGUCGUUCCGCCAUGGUGUCUAGAGCAGUGUAGAUCUUGGAUGUGAUCUUGUCAACCUCUGCUGCUGUGUAAGGAAGUAACUCCACAGGUUUCUUGCCAUCGAUCCAAGGUCCUCGUAACCUGUCAAUCGAUGUUGAUUUUGCCUGCAAAAAACUUUGACUAGUAAUGUUCUAAAUAUCCUUUUGGGCAUCAAGUAAUUGAUUAGACAAUUUGUUUAAAUAUGUCAUGAUUGGUGAUAUAAAACGGUCAUGCAUAUCCUCGUAAGUCCUCAGCCUCUCAUUCAUGGCUGAGACUUUGGCGUCGAGCGAUGUGAAGGUACACAUGUCGAUCGAUGUGGCUGGUUGUUGGUCCUUCUUGCGAAUGGUGUCCAGAUCUUGCUGUAGUAGCUCGAUUUUAGUGCUUAGCCAGUCCACGUUGUUGUUGAGAGGGCAAUAAACGUCGCUUAUCCUUGUGUCGAUGUAUGAUACUUCCCAUUCAUCCCUGUGUUGUGUUGAACAUUGCGGUUCUACAGGGAUCUGAGCUGUAGGAAGACUAACGUCGAUCGAUGUUUCACGUGGUGCGUCGAUCGAUGCUGAGGUCGUAGCUUCCUUCUCAAGUUGCUGACGUAAACUCUCAAUUUCUGUCCUCAUUUCUGCCAUACAUCUGAAAAGCUCAUUGUAGCCUCUAUCCAAAGGCUGAUGUGUAUCAUCUACCAAUGUUUUGAGCUCCUCUCCCAAUUUCUCCUGAGCUCCACAAAUACCAAACACCAUUUCAUCGAUUUCUUCUCUGGUGUAGAGUUCUGGUGCCAGUCUUGUGGGUGUGAAGGAAGUGGCUGGUUCUGGAAGACAGAUGUGGCUCUCCUCAAAAAGAGAUGCUCUUUCCAGUAUUUUCCUGAUGUUGUCCUUUGUGACAGGUAUCAUCUCACCAAUUACGCCUCGUGCGUGUCCACACUCAUCUCUGUAGACUCCAUACUCGUCCCUUUGUUCCCAAGUGAACUUUCUGGCUUCGUACAUGUCAAAAGCGCAGUUCCCAAAUUCAUACCGUCUGUCGAUCGACGUCGGGUCAUCCUUAUCGAUCGACAUUGGUGUUACCCUGUCAAUCGAUGUCUCCGUUGUACCGUCGAUCGAUGCUUGCACUUUUGGUUGGCGUGAUAGAUCUGGGUUGAUCUCUGUUGUGGCGACUCAUGCGUGGUUGUUAGGAUCUGUUUGAAUGACGUCUGGAGUGCCACGUUGCUGUGAGAAUAGGUUGUCAGGUCCAUUGGCUAUUUGAAGGAUGUUUGCUAUGUCCUCUCUGGACACUUGUAAAAUCCUUCCAUCCAUUGCACGUGCGUUGCCAUCUGGGUCCCUGAAAAUACCAAAUUCAUCAGGUGUUAGAAAACCGUAAUCAAUGUUCGCAUAAUCAUUCAAUUUAAAAAUAAAAAGAUUAGGGUUUAGAGUAGUAUCGAUCGAUGUAGAUACAGUCACAUCGAUCGAUGGCAGUGUAAUUUCUGCAGAACUUUUGUUCUUGAGAUGAUUACUCUUCAUGGAUUUUUCUGUUGAUGUAGAAGGAAGAGUGUUCAUCUUUUUUACUUGUGUGUUCGCUCUGAUGUGUGUAGGUGAUUUCGGGGGUGCAAAAUGAUUUAUAUAGGUAUCUAUAAACCUAGUUGGGGAGAUAAUAUUCUCAUGCUCCUGGAUUUUCGCUGCGACGCGAAUAUCAAUCGAUGUUCCUUUCGGGGUGUCGAUCGAUUUGAGCGGUUGUUUUGCUGGACGAGGGUGGGUAUCGACCGAUGUGGAGUUCACAGCGUCGAACGAUGUUGGAAACGUGUUGGUGAACUUAUGUGUUUCAAGUCUUUCAUCCUGCAAAGAUAUUUCUAUUGCACGUUCUUUCCAGUAAUCCUCAUUAGGUGAAGUAAUUACAGUGUCAACUGUAAAACUUUCAUGGAAACCACUGUCUGCCCAACUGCCUAUGGAAUAAUCAUCAUGUCCUCUCUCGCUUGGAGGUUGGAAGGCAAAAUGUUGGUAACAAUGAUUUGGUGAAGCGAAAUGGUCAAGUGGGUGCAUUACGUUGAGUGACGUGUUGUUGCGGUCAUCGGUCACCAUUGACACAUUGAAAUCGAUCGAUGGAAAGAUUGGGGUGUCGAUCGAUUCCGAGUACUUCUCUGAUCCCUACUCUGUGCUUCAUGUCGAGAGCUUUACCCAAGCUUAUGACACUGCUUUAAAAUCAAGUACCGGAAGAGAAAGGUUCAAUAUCUGACAAGCUCUUACUGGCAACCGUAAGACAAGAUCGGAGUUUUACGGAAAGAUUAAUAUGGUUUACGGAGAAUUGAUGGAGAAAGCAGAUUCUUUAGGAGAACUAAUCCGAAAAUUAGAAGGUCAAGUAGCUGAGAUUGCAACUGCCAUAAAGAGAGACGCUGGAUGUCUUCCCGGAAGAACUGAUCUAAACCCAAGACGUCAAGUCAGUGCCGUAAUGCUGCGCAGCGGGAAAAACCUCGCAGCAGAUACGAGGAAUAAUUCAGAUGUUGGAAAGCCUGACGACGCCGACAAGACCGGGAAAAGCAACUUUCAUCCUAUUCUUCUUAAUGAUCUUGACCCAAAUCCAUCUCAAGAGAACCGGAAAACCACCACUGAAACGGCUAAGGAAAAGGCAAUAGACUUAGAACUAGAAGAAGAUAUGGAGAUUGAGGAUGAAAUCGAUCGACAGUACGGAACUGUCGUCGAUCGAUCCAAAACACCUACCAUCGAUCGACAACCUGAAAAACCCGUCGAUCGAAAACCUGAAAAACCCGUCGAUCGACGGUCUACUCAACCCGAGCCCAUAAUUGAAAGAGUCUAUAGAACUUUACCCCCUUUUCCUCCUAAAACGCAAACUAAGAAAUCAUUAGAAAAUGCAAUCUGCAAGAAAGCCUUAGAUAAGAUUACUGUCGAGAUGUCCCUUAGUGAUGCUAUAAAAAUAGCACCUUCAAUUAAGAAGUAUAUAAAGGAUAUGACAUCUCCAAACUAUCCGAUUGCAGAACAUAGCGUGAUGAUGAUUUCAGAAGAAGUAAGUGCUAUGAUUAAAGGAGAAACUCCAACGAAGAGAUCAGAUCCUGGUAGUUUCGUCCUAGAUUGUAAAAUAGAAGACACACGCUUCCUUAGAUCAUUAUGUGACCUCGGCUCUAGCGUGAACCUUAUGCCUUACUAUGUUGCAGUGACGUUAGGAUAUAAAGAGUUUAUGCCAACUCCGAUCACCCUGGUUUUAGCUGAUAGAUCUAUUAGGGUACCCGAAGGAAUUCUCGAAGAUGUUCCCAUAAAGAUUAACGAUUGCAUCGUGCCUACGGAUUUUGUUGUGUUGAAAUACAGACAAGAACCCAAAGACCCCCUCAUUCUGGGUCGGCCAUUCCUAGCUACAGCUGGAGCAAUCAUUGACGUCAAAGAAGGACGAAUUAAUUUGAACAUAGGGGAUAUCUCGAUGACUUUUGAUAUGGAAAAACUGAUUAAGCGACCCCUAAUAGAUGACCAGGCCUUCUACGUGGAAAAAGUUUCUGAGGAUGAAAGAGACUCUUUCAUAAACAUGUGUUCAGACAACCCCUUAGAAGACACCCUUAACCACGUGCAAAAUGAAGUUUUCGGCAUAUCAGAUAGGACAGACGAUUACAUGCAACUAAUGGACGCUAGCAUCGACGUUGCAAACGUAGAAGAAAAUGACGAUUUCAAAGUUGUCAUCGAUCGAUACCUUCAAGAUACCGUCGAUCGACAACCUCCCUCGCAAUCAAAUUAGUCUAAAGAUAAAGCACCAAAGGUAGAAUUAAAACCUCUACCCAGCGGUCUUAAGUACGCUUACCUUUAUGACCAGUCCUACCCUGUUAUUGUCAACGCCAAUCUCACUAGUGGAGAACUUGCUUUAUUGCUGAAUAAAUUACGCAAGUACAGGAAAGCGAUCGGGUAUUCUCUCGAUGACAUUCCUGGAAUCUCUCCCGAUCAUUGCAUGCAUCGGAUUAACUUGGAAGAUGACGCUAAAACGUCAAUAGAACAGCAAAGGAGAUUGAAUCCGAAUCUUAAGGAAGUAGUUAAAAAGGAAAUUAUAAAACUCCUUGAUGCUGGAGUUAUUUACCCUAUUUCGGAUAGUAAAUGGGUAAGCCCCAUACAUGUUGUACCCAAAAAGGGAAGUAUCACUGUAGUGAAGAAUGAAAAGGACGAACUCAUUCUGACUCGUACCAUUACUGGUCAUCGGAUGUGCAUUGAUUAUAGGAAAUUGAAUGCCGCUACUAGGAAAGACCAUUUUCCCCUUCCCUUUAUUGAUCAGAUGCUGGAGAGAUUAGCUAAUCACCAGUAUUACUGUUUUCUUGAUGAAUAUUCCGGAUUUUUCCAAAUUCCUAUACACCCGAAUGAUCAAGAAAAGACAACGUUUACAUUCCCCUAUGGAACUUUCGCAUAUCGCAGAAUGCCAUUUGGUCAAUGUAACGCCCCCGCUACUUUCUGAUACCACUCAAAUUACCCUAAGGAGUGUUACUCUCAUCAAAAGAGGUUCAGAUGUAGUACUUAGGGAUCGAAUCCACAAGGAGCUAGGGAACAAUUAAAUCUAGUGUUUAUUAAUUCUAAAGGUUGUAAAUGUUUAAAUGGAAUAGCAAUAGUAACAAGCGAGUAAAUAAUAAAUGUAACUUGGCUGGAAAUGGUAUUAGAUGCAGGGCCACUAUUCAGGUGUUGGAGAUUAUAAUACCUAUAGAUGCCUAACUGUUGCAUGCAUGAUAUAUUAGAGCUCAUUCGCUUAACUCAGUGAUCAGCUGUCGCAUGUACCACUGGUUAACAGACUAGAUCUCGUGUCUCACUGGUUAGUAUGCAGACACAAGAGAGUGUCGAUCGAUAGUCUAUUAAGACAUCGACAGAUACACCUUUGCCAACAUCGAUUGAUUGUCAGUUGAGGACAUCGAUCGACGGGUUCUAGCAAGGCCUAUGCGCGAGUAUGAAAUGCUGUACUAAGAUUCUAAAUUGGCGGUUAGCCCUCUCUAGCAAUCCUAAUAUGAUAGAUAGAUGUCAGGAUGGGAUAACAAGGGUGCUUGAAUAUGCAAUCCUAUGAUCAAAUUCUAGUUAGCUAGGCUAAAACAAGCAAUGAAUACAAAUCUAUCAUGAAUAUUACAACAAGGCAGAUCUAUAGUUUGGGGCUAAUCCCACAAACCUAUCUGAACUCUGGAUCUAACAGUUGAACUACUCAGACAUAGCAAAUAAAUUCAUAUCAAUAGAUAAAUAGAAACUCAUAGAAUAGACAAAAAGAAAUAGAAACAAAGAGUUCCAAUCACAAGUGAUCUUCUCUCCCAAAUGAAACUUGUAACAAAACUAGGUCUAGAAAAAGCUCUGUUCUUCUGCUGUCAAAAACACUAGGCAGUAUAUAUUCUACUAGGUUAAAAACUCGUCAGGACAUUUUGGUAAUUUGGCUUGGCCUUGGUUUUUAAGUCUGCUGAAUCCAAAAUGUCGCGUCUGGUGUCUCGACAUCGAUCGAUGGUACUUGUGUACAUCGAUCGAUAUCAAUCUUCAUCUGUCGAGGCAUUUCCUGAUAUCGAUCGUCAGCACUGAUGCGCAUCGAUCGAUUAUUCUUCCUCUCGUCGACCUCUAAGUGGUCAGCUCGGGUGAAAUGUCCUUUAAGCUCCAAAAUGCUCCAAAGUCAUAGCUUUACUCCGAAAUGCACCUGAACCUGAAAACAUACCUAGAAGAGUAGAAAACAUAGAUAUAUAUAUAUAUAUAUAUAUAUAUAUAUAUAUAUAUAUAUAGUAAAACUAUAUACCAUGGAUAAAAAUGGGUCAAAUCCAAGGUAUAUCAACUCCCCCAGACUUACCCUUUUGCUUGUCCUCAAGCAAAACAUACAGGCAGUCUCUCUGAAAGCGGUUUGAAAAUAUUUAGGGAUUUAAGAUUUUAAAACAUAGAAAUCUUUCCUCAACAAUUUUGCAACCACAUUUAAAAAGUCCUAAUCACAAAAGCACAAUAUGCAAUAUCCUAGCUUAGCAACCUUUUCUAACAUAACACAACUCAUCAAUUCACGUCUGACAUCCCCUCUCAUGAUUUCAUUUCUUAGCAUAAAUAUAAAGUGAAUGCUUUACCUUGGGAGUAUCGAUCACAUGAUGCAAGGAUUUCACACAGGUAUCUGGAGCUGCAGGUAAAAGUUAGUUCCUAUUUUCUCUCUCUCUCUAAAUUUCUCUCUUGAGUCAAAGUCUGCUUCCAUUGCAGGAUCAGUGACCAAGAUUGGACAGGCUUCCAUUAAUCAAAACUUAAUGGUGGUUGCCACCAAGUUAUGUUCACUUCUUUUUGACCUAUAUCCAAGAGUUCUUUGUGAAAGCGAGCCUUAAAGAUUGCCGCCUCCAAGUCCCAUUUCGAACUCUUUUAUUUGAGUCCUUAUGAAUCAAGCCUUAAUGGUUUUAGCCACCAAGUCCUGUUCAGACUCAUCCUAAUUAAACAAUAGUCUUAUUUAUAUUUUUUUAUUUAUUUUAUUUUUAUUAUAUAUAUAUAUAUACAUAUUUUAAUACUCACUAACUAAUCUAGGGUCGAAAUUUAGAGAGAGAAAAUGUGAUAAAUAAUCUAAACCAGGCGUUACCUUCCAGACCUGUCUGAAGAAUCCAAUCCCAUGUAUACCAAGCCCCAGGACAAGCGGUUAUGUCAGGUUUAGUGUUGGAAAUCAGCUUUGGCUACUUCAUACGGUUCAAGGUAAGUGUGUAGUUGAUAGGUUGAUCCGCUUUAGCAUCUUUAGUGCUAUCUGCAAUCAGUAAAUCUAAAAUGGUGCUAAAGAUUGGUUAGAUAUUUAUGUUUAAAUCAAUAUAGGAUUAUAGUCCCUAUUUUCAAUAGCUAAGGAUAAUUUAUUUGAAAUUCCUUUUUACAUAAGAAUAAAAUAAAUUAUAUCAGUAAAUCUCCCCCCAUACUUAAAUUACACUGUCCCAGUGUAACUCAGCCGGAGUUAUGAUGAAUAGUUUAUGAUGUACGAAAUGUAACAAGUUGGGAAGAUACAUCUGACCGGAUUAGAUAUCGAUCGAUGUGUAAGUGUCACAUCGAUCGUCGUGUGGUUGCCUGUGUCGAACGAUGUCGACGUCUCGUCGUCGGUCGAUAUUCAGGUCCUCCUACUUGGGUCUCCUAAAUCUGAAAGAAAUAAAACAAAAGAAAUUAAAUGCUAGCAAAUAAAACCAAAGUAAAAUACCUAAUAGUGGGUUGCCUCCCACUCAGCGCUUGGUUAUAGUCAUUUAGCUUGACUGUGGUAGUAAUUGGCUAUUGGGUGGAGAAGCAGAUGCUUGUUGGAAAGCAAGCAUCCACGUCAUCUCUGCGCAUUCUGGACCAAGAUGCAAUGAAACUUCUUGUGGCCUUAUCAUUUCUUGUCCAUUUGUCAUCCAUCUUCUCAAGUACUUUGGAGAUGUUCGGUAGCCUUUCUUGAAUGUUGUCAAUGCUGACCUGGUGCCAGCCUAUGUGUCAUAGGCGUAUGCUGAAAGUUCUGUCAGUUCCUUUUGCAUUGACUCUACCGUCUUGUGUAUCAGCUGCUCGCCGAUUGGUGUAGACUCGGUGUCGAUCGAUGCGAUUAUGUGUUCGUUGGUCGAUCUCGGCGAGUUGCCAUCGAUCGAUUUCGCUAGCGUCCUGUCGAUCGAUGCUGAUAUCUGAUGUUGAGCUGCGAGUUGCCUCUGAAUGGCUUUGACUUCUUUUUGUAGCCAUUCUGCGUGGUUGUCUACUCCACUGAUUUUGUUGUCGAAUGGAAAGUAGAUGUCAUCGCAGCGUUUGUCAAGUCGUUCCGCCAUGGUGUCUAGAGCAGUGUAGAUCUUGGAUGUGAUCUUGUCAACCUCUGCUGCUGUGCAAGGAAGUAACUCCACAGGUUUCUUGCCAUCGAUCCAAGGUCCUCGUAACCUGUCAAUCAAUGUUGAUUUUGCCUGCAAAAAACUUUGAUUAGUAAUGUUCUCAAUAUCCUUUUGGGCAUCAAGUAAUUGAUUAGACAAUUUGUUUAAAUAUGUCAUGAUUGGUGAUAUAAAACGGUCAUGCAUAUCCUCGUAAGUCCUCAGCCUCUCAUUCAUGGCUGAGACUUUGGCGUCGAGCGAUGUGAAGGUACACAAGUCGAUCGAUGUGGCUGGUUGUUGGUCCUUCUUGCGAAUGGUAAGCAGAUCUUGCUGUAGUAGCUCGAUUUUAGUGCUUAGCCAGUCCACGUUUUUGUUGAGAGGGCAAUAAACGUCACUUAUCCUUGUGUCGAUGUAUGAGACUUCCCAUUCAUCCCUGUGUUGUGUUGUGUUGAACAUUGCGGUUCUACAGGGAUCUGAGCUGUAGGAAGACUAACGUCGAUCGAUGUUUCACGUGGUGCGUCGAUCGAUGCUGAGGUCGUAGCUUCCUUCUCAAGUUGCUGGCGUAAACUCUCAAUUUCUGUCCUCAUUUCUACCAUACAUCUGAAAAGCUCAUUGUAGCCUCUAUCCAAAGGCUGAUGUGUAUCAUCUACCAAUGUUUUGACCUCCUCUCCCAGUUUCUCCUGAUCUCCACAAAUACCAAACACCAUUUCAUCGAUUUCUUCUCUGGUGUUGAGUUCUGGUGCCAGUCUUGUGGGUGUGAAGGAAGUGGCAUGUUCUGGAAGACAGAUGUGGCUCUCCUCAAAAAGAGAUGCUCUUUCCAGUAUUUUCCUGAUGUUGUCCUUUGUGACAGGUAUCAUCUCACCAAUUACGCCUCGUGCGUGUCCACACUCAUCUCUGUAGACUCCAUACUCGUCCCUUUGUUCCCAAGUGAACUUUCUGGCUUCGUACAUGUCAAAAGCACGGUUCCCCAAUUCAUACCGUCUGUCGAUCGACGUCGGGUCAUCCUUAUCGAUCGACAUUGGUGUUACCCUGUCAAUCGAUGUCUCCGUUGUACCGUCGAUCGAUGCUUGCACUUUUGGUUGGCGUGAUAGAUCUGGGUUGAUCUCUGUUGUGGCGACUCAUGCGUGGUUGUUAGGAUCUGUUUGAAUGACGUCUUGAGUGCCACGUUGCUGUGAGAAUAGGUUGUCAGGUCCAUUGGCUAUUUGAAGGAUGUCUGCUAUGUCCUCUCUGGACACUUGUAAAAUCCUUCCAUCCAUUGCACGUGCGUUGCCAUCUGGGUCCCUGAAAAUACCAAAUUCAUCAGGUGUUAGAAAACCGUAAUCAAUGUUUGCAUAAUCAUUCAAUUUAGAAAUAAAAAGAUUAGGGUUUAGAGUAGUAUCGAUCGAUGUAGAUACAGUCACAUCGAUCGAUGGCUGUGUAAUUUCUGCAGAACUUUUGUUCUUGAGAUGAUUACUCUUCAUGGAUUUUUCUGUUGAUGUAGAAGGAAGAGUGUUCAUCUUUUUUACUUGUGUGUUCGCUCUGAUGUGUGUAGGUGAUUUCGGGGGUGCAAAAUGAUUUAUAUAGGUAUCUAUAAACCUAGUUGGGGAGAUAAUAUUCUCAUGCUCUUGGAUUUUCGCUGCGGCGCGAAUAUCGAUCGAUGUUCCUUUCGGGGUGUCGAUCGAUUUGAGCGGUUGUUUUGCUGGACAAGGGUGGGUAUCGACCGAUGUGGAGUUCACAGCGUCGAACGAUGUUGGAAACGUGUUGGUGAACUUAUGUGUUUCAAGUCUUUCAUCCUGCAAAGAUAUUUCUAUUGCACGUUCUUUCCAGUAAUCCUCAUUAGGUGAAGUAAUUACAGUGUCAACUGCAAAACUUUCAUGGAAACCACUGUCUGCCCAACUGCCUAUGGAAUAAUCAUCAUGUCCUCUCUCGCUUGGAGGUUGGAAGGCAAAAUGUUGGUAACAAUGAUUUGGUGAAGCAAAAUGGUCAAGUGGGUGCAUUACGUCGAGUGACGUGUUGUUGCGGUCAUCGGUCACCAUUGACACAUUGAAAUCGAUCGAUGGAAAGAUUGGGGUGUCGAUCGAUUCCGAGUACUGCCCUGAUCCCUACUCUGUGCUUCAUGUCGAGAGCUUUACCCAAGCUUAUGACACUGCUUUAAAAUCACGUAUCGGAAGAGAAAGGUUCAAUAUCUGACAAGCUCUUACUGGCAACCGUAAGACAAGAUCGGAGUUUUACGGAAAGAUAAAUAUGGUUUACGGAGAAUUGAUGGAGAAAGCAGAUUCUUUAGGAGAACUAAUCCGAAAAUUAGAAGGUCAAGUAGCUGAGAUUGCAACUGCCAUAAAGAGAGACGCUGGAUGUCUUCCCGGAAGAACUGAUCUAAACCCAAGACGUCAAGUCAGUGCCGUAAUGCUGCGCAGCGGGAAAAACCUCGCAGCAGAUACGAGGAAUAAUUCAGAUGUUGGAAAGCCUGACGACGCCGACAAGACCGGGAAAAGCAACUUUCAUCCUAUUCUUCUUAAUGAUCUUGACCCAAAUCCAUCUCAAGAGAACCGGAAAACCACCACUGAAACGGCUAAGGAAAAGACAAUAGACUUAGAACUAGAAGAAGAUAUGGAGAUUGAGGAUGAAAUCGAUCGACAGUACGGAACUGUCGUCGAUCGAUCCAAAACACCUACCAUCGAUCGACAACCUGAAAAACCCGUCGAUCGACAACCUGAAAAACCCAUCAAUCGACGGUCUACUCAACCCGAGCCCAUAAUUGAAAGAGUCUAUAGAACUUUACCACCUUUUCCUCCUAAAACGCAAACUAAGAAAUCAUUAGAAAAUGCAAUCUGCAAGAAAGCCUUAGAUAAGAUUACUGUCGAGAUGUCCCUUAGUGAUGCUAUAAAAAUAGCACCUUCAAUUAAGAAGUAUAUAAAGGAUAUGACAUCUCCAAACUAUCCGAUUGCAGAACAUAGCGUGAUGAUGAUUUCAGAAGAAGUAAGUGCUAUGAUUAAAGGAGAAACUCCAACGAAGAGAUCAGAUCCUGGUAGUUUCGUCCUAGAUUGUAAAACACGACUCGAGGCCCAUCCUGGUAGCUACGUAGCGACCGGGCUCGAGCCAAAGUUCGGUCGCUGCAUAGCGACCGAGCUCUUCCGAACAUCGGUACGACACCAGUCCAUGCAUUCUCGUCAAACCUUCAAAUGCUAUCUCCCGAAGACAGUAGCGAGCUCAGUCUAUGCUUUCCGCUAUUCUAAAUCAACAAUCAAACUUUGCGGAUUAGAAACACUUCGAGUUGGAAGACGGCCCAAAGGGACCUAAAACACGACUCGAGGCCCAUCCUGCGAUUUCUUAACCAAAAGCCCGUAAACCACAGCACGGUUUACGCUUGGUCCACAAGGAAGGAUAAAUGUCAAGUUUCCGCGGAUGAAUACGGAAGUUUUGAAGAAAAUUGUGAAAAUCGGGAAAAAUGGAAUAUCUCCAUUUUUAUGCUAUGACGGCUUAAGGGCAGAAGAGUAAAAGCGUAAACCGACCUUGGAGCUAGUAUAUAAGGAGUCCUAGGCGAGGAGCAUAAGAGAGAUCUUUUUAGACUCGGAAUUCUCUGCACUUAGAAACUUUAGGCUUAUUCUCGACAAGUUCGGUUUCUAUGACUCGCACUCGAUUACUAGACGAACUCGCCCAGGCAGUUCGAUCUCUUGUCCAGCUCUAUCAAUUGAACUACGUUCGGCUUGAUCCUCGAAAGGGGUACGUAGGCAGCCUUUAACAAGGUUCAGUCCGAAAUCAAUCAAAAACCUUUUCUUUAUCUAUUUUGUCUUUCGUUAUCGAGCUGCGACUCAACUAGGUUUGAGCUAUUAGGCCGCUAGAACUAGGUAACUCGCUGACAGCCUUUGCGGCCAAAGCUUUCAUGAUCUCUUGUAAUGAUCGCAACGCUCUUACGCGGACUCGAAAUAAGAUCAACAGUUUUCCCUAAACUCGUUUGUUAUCUUUUCAUAAUUUCCGCAUGUAUUUGGUCACUUGUCGUUGGCUCCCGCAGAGAUCCGGGACCUCUAGAAAAUUAGGGUUUUCCUAGUUUCCUUAUUUAAACGGAAAUCGACAGUGCGAAUUUCGGUUCCCACAGUUUGGCGCUAGAAGGAGGGGGGGGGUAACGGAUUACUCUUACUUAUGGCCACAAAACGCUUGAUCGAAACGAUGUUUGGAUAUAUGAAAGACAAACUCGCAGCACUGACUGCUCCUAUGGCCAACGCUUACGCAAAUGCCGUAGUUUUCAACAAAUCGAAAACUUAGUUGCGACCUUCCGCCACAGGAAGAGCACUAAAACAAGCUCGCGAUUUCUCCCUGUAAACACGAAGGGAAAUGAUAAAUCUUAUCAAAACCCCGUAAAGAAAUCUCGAUGCGUAAGGGUUUUACCAAAACACGUUUUCCGAAAACAUUUCGGAAGGAUAAAACUUGUUCUCCCAAAAUAACCGCUGAAAAACCCCUACGUUAAUCGCGGAAAAAGGAAACACAACAAAACGAUUACACAACUCAGUCGCUACGUAACGACCGAGCACGCAGACGGCUCGGUCGCUACGUAGCGACCGAGCACGCACACGGCUCGGUCGCUACGUAGCGACCGAGCACACACGCUGCUCGGUCGCUAUGUAGAGACCGAGCACACACGCUCCUCGGUCACUACGUAGCGACCGAGCACGCACACGGCUCGGUCGCUACGUAGCGACCGAGCACACACGCACACGCUGCUCGGUUGCUACGUAGCGACCGAGCACACACGCUGCUCGGUCGCUACGUAGCGACCGAGCACGCACACGGCUCGGUCGCUACGUAGCGACCGAGCACACACGCUGCUCGGUCGCUACGUAGCGACCAAAUACGCACACGGCUCGGUCACUACGUAGCGACCGAGCACACACGCUGCUCGGUCGCUACGUAGCGACCGAGCACACACGCUGCUCGGUCGCUACGUAGCGACCGAGCACGCACACGGCUCGGUCACUACGUAGCAACCGAGCACACACGCUGCUCGGUCGCUACGUAGCGACCGAGCCCGCUCACGCUACUUGGUCGCUACGUAGCGACCGAGCCCGCACACGAUGCUCGGUCGCUACGUAGCGACCGAGCACGCACACACUGCUCGGUCGCUGCGUAGCGACCGAGCACGCACACCGCUCGGUCGCUACGUAGCGACUGAGCUCAAGCCAACUCUCCACUCGCUACGUAGCGACCUGUAAAGCCUCAGAAAGAUCCUCCUUUGGGUUCUCUUUUGAAUCCUCAUCGAAACGCUUUUCGUUUCGUUUCAAUCGGAGUUUCCGUUAAGAUUUUACGACGAAAACAAGUAGGACUCUUCUUGGCCUUCUUCCACUCGCUACGUAGCGAUCUGUCAGACCGUCAGUCGCUACGUAGCGACCUGUAAGGCCUCAAAGGGGUCCUCCUUUGCGUUCUCCUUUGAAUCCUCAUCGAAACGCUUUUCGUUUCGUCUCAAUCGGAGUUUCCGUUGAGAUUUUACGACGAAAACAAGUGGGACUCGUCUUGGCUUCCUUCCACUCGCUAUAGCGACCGAGAUGACAUCCUCACUCGCUAUAGCGACCUUUCAGGCCUCAAAGGAGUCCUACUUUGCGUUCUCCUUUGAAUUCUCAUCGAAACGCUUUUUGUUUCGUCUCAAUCGGAGUUUCCGUUGAGAUUUUACGACGAAACCAAGUGGGACUCAUCUCGGCUCCCUUCCACUCGCUAUAGCGACCGAGAUGACAUCCUCACUCGUUAUAGCGACCUGUCAGGCCUCAAUCCUUUGCGUUCUCCUUUGAAUUCUCAUCGAAACGCUUUUCGUUUCGUCUCAAUCGGAGUUUCCGUUGAGAUUUUACGACAAAAACAAGUAAAACUCAUCUUAAACUCCUUGGCUUGUUUCUGCUCACCCUACCUCCAUCUUUGCGUUCACUUUCGAAUCUCGAUCGAAACGUCUCUUGUUUCGCCUCGAUUGAAGUUACCAUUGAGACUUUAUGAUAUAAAAAAAAAACCGCAAAGACCUAUUUUCUCGCAUGGAUUCAGAUUAAUCGUAUAAAACGGCAACGGUUAACUUAACACCUUAGCCGCCUUAACUAUACGAUUACGUUGAACCUUUUUACAAAAAUUGACGUCUUAUCUAAGGAGAAGAUAACAAUAUAGUUCGGAAGAUAAAUGUCAAGUUUCAAAGGAUAAACACCAAUAUCGGAAAUGGCGAACAUACACGAGAAUAGGAAACAGAAAUGAGCACGCAAAACUGAGAAGGGACAAAACUGCAUCUUCGAGAGAACUAAGGUAUUUCCGACUUAAAAUUUUUGAAAUCAGACUUGGAAUUUUCGUAGGAAAUUACUUUGAGGCUGCCAUAGAACUUUAGGGAACGUAAAACCUAGGCGGAUAGUCUAGCGAACUAAGUUUUAAGCGAUUUUUCCUGUCUCGAUAUAUUGUUCCAUAAUUGUUCAUCCAGAUCUUGCAAACCGAUCUGAACUCUCCGAAAGUCGAGAAACGAUCGCCACGCAUAUCAAGCUCGCUUCCUAAAGAGAGAAAAAGUUAGAGACAUGAACGUCGUCUUAAAACCGAUUCGUUUCUGGCAAUUUUCUCGGAACCGACAUAUCCCAAGUCGUCAACGUGGAAAACAACCAAAUCACAGUCCAAGCGUCGUCUAUAAAUCGUCCCGAAUUAUCGAUCAUUCCAAACAUCAGAAGAGGAAACGUACACAACCCUUCAAAGUAUCGGUUCAACCGUUUUCUUUUGUAAAAUAAAAAAGGAGAGUAGGUACGUAUACUAUACUCGUAUACUCCCAAACUUCAAAAAACUUCUGCAAAUCGUCAAGAAUAGGCAAACGACAAUCUUAAUAUUCGUCUAAACGCUAGCAACAUAUCCAGACGAUCAUGAACAUAAUCUCAAAAACUAUACAUCAUUUCUUGUCGCAAUCAUGCGUACAGAAAACUUGUACCAAUAUCAAACUGAAACUCGACGAUUAGCCAAAGUAUUGAAGCCUUUUCUGGCUUCAGAAAGCCAGUUUCGCUUUAAAAAUUUCUACGAGAAAUCUUCAAUCGCCAAAGCAUUUUUUUAGUUUCCGUUGUACCAAGUAAGUCACGGAAAAGCAUCGAAAACAUUUGCGACAAAGAAAACUCGCGAAUAUAUGUAGCAUCGUGCACAUUAAAAGGAGCACUUUCCUCCCGAUGGUUAGCUAGAUCCACUUCUGGUUGACCAAUUCGUUCAAGAAACGAAUGUGUCAUGAGAAUCCUCUCGAAAAACCUAUGAAAAACGUUCCGCGACUAGAUCGUAUUGAAAUAAACUUCGGUAAUACUCCAUGGGUAACUCCAAGCAACUUUCACCUAAGAUCAAAAUCACAGCGGGAACGUUUGUCGUAGAACCCGCAGAAACAAUGCUACUUUGACAUAUGUAUACAUAUCACUGAUUUACGACCUUCAUAAAAUCGGUUAUAUGAUAUGAUAAAUUAUCGUAUAGCCCAUAGUCGGAAAUCAUAUGAUAAAUUCUUCGUAACGAAACUAAGUCCUAACAACCAAACGGUUAACGGAAAAUCUAAACUUUUCGAAAAUUGACCAAGUUCAAUACGCUCCACAAUUCACUUUAAGCCCGCAACGUUUUAACCAUAAUACGCGGCAUGUAAGGAAAAAUUUGUAACAAAGCUUCUAGAGCUAUACGAAACAUCCUAAAAAAUGCACGAAAUACAUCUCGGAAGGCCAACACUUCACAAAGCACUAUGAAGGAAAACGCUUGUUCCCAUGGACAAAUUUACACGACACCUCAGUCAUAAUUCUUCGAUCGCAAAUAAAACUAUUAGCAUCCAAACAUGAACAACAAUUUUGGCUGCGAACAUUCGUAGUCAAACUAGAAUGUUUUUCAAACGCAUGGCUAAGACUAAACCCUUGCAACAUCGCGAAAUAUCUUCAAGCCCGCGAACAUUUCAAGCACGAAACGUGGCAUACGAAAGAAUAACAAAUCUUCAGCAUCGCGAGACGUCGCAGACGCCUGAAGAUUAGUUCUUCGACGAAAUUUCCUUCCUCGAUAAAAACACCUUCAUGGAAAACCAAACAGUCAUACGCACUAACAUCUUCUCAAAAAAUAUUCUUCGCGAAGACACGAAACGGUAUUUCUUACCAUUAAGUUUGUUGCUGAUCACAACAAACUCUCAACGUCCUAAACAGACAUAGCCAUCUCACGAAGAUGACUCUCUUACAUCCGACACAAGGAUAAUAGCGCUAUAAAAGAAAUCCGAAAUUUUGGUCCAGCACUUCCGGUCUCCGGAGAGAUGCUCGAUUCGUAUCAAACAAGUCGUAUAAGCCGAGAACCUAUCGCGGACUUUAAAUCGAUACGAAUCAGGAAGAAAUCGCAACAGGAAAAACGAUAGCCGACCAGUCACCGCACAAUCCUUAAACCGAAAGUAAACCUAGGUCUUGCCCUAAACCCAGCGCACUGGUCUCUAACAUCUCUAGGCAUAGUAUCAAACACCCUGAUACGAGAUCCCAAAAUUUGUCUCUUUGCCAAUAUUCGAACGUCUUCAGAAAAUCCCGCAAGUUUACACACUGCGGAAAACUCUCGAAACAGAUUAUUGAUAUGGCAAUUCACACAGAGUUAGAUUACGAGACGACAACUCGUAGUCUUCCCUCUACACCCAUACAAAAUGCCAUCGGCAGCAACACGCCUUAUAACCGCUACAUAAAAACUAGACCAUAAAGGUCCUACUGGAAAACUAGUCAUAAGAACCUUAACUCCAAGACGAACUACGAAAGGCUUGAUCCCUUCAACAAGGGUACGUAGGCAGCCGUCAUAAGGCGCAGCCCCAAUCUUAUCGCGUUUUCUACUUUUAGGAGAGCGAGAAGAUCACUUACCACAGACCUUUUCAACCGUUAAUUCCGCCUAACUCACCUAACUUGCCUAACUUGCCAAGCCACUCGCUAGAACCUCACGCUAGAAACUCAUGGUUCUAACGAGCUGGGGGGCUAACUGUUGGAGUCAAAAUCGGUCACGACGGAAUCAAUGUCUGAAAGUCCGUAAAAAUCAGCAUAAACGUUUUUACGAAAAGUAAUCUUCGUAAAGAUAUCUAUAAGAAGAGCCUUGUAGUAAAAAUCUCGUCCAAAUCUCAAUCGAACCACUAAAUACCGAUUGUCCGAAGGCAACGGACAUGUAUCCAAAUCGGCCGCGGACAAGCUCGAGUAUGGAAAUCAGACCGCGGACAAGCCAAGCUCGAUCGAUACGCGGCGACCAAGCAUGCACACAGCUCGGUCGCUACAUAGCGAUCGAGCUCGAGCCAAGCUCGGUCGCUACGUAGCGACCGAGCGUCCGUCUCGCUCGGUCGCUACAUAGAGACCGAGCCCAAGCCAAGCUCGGUCGCUACGUAGCGACCGGGCUCGAGCCAAAGUUCGGUCGCUGCGUAGCGACCGAGCUCUUCUAAACAUCGGUACGACACCAGUCCAUGCAUUCUCGUCAAACCUUCAAAUGCUAUCUCCCAAAGACAGUAGCGAGCUCAGUCUAUGCUUUCCGCUAUUCUAAAUCAUCGAUCAAACUUCGCGGAUUAGAAACUGUGGAAAGUUCUUUCUUUGUCAAAAGAAAUCGUAGUAAACGCUUCGAGUUGGAAGACGGCCCAAAGGGACCUAAAACACGACUCGAGGCCCAUCCUGCGAUUUCUUAACCAAAAGCCCGUAAACCACAGCACGGUUUACGCUUGGUCGACAAGGAAGGAUAAAUGUCAAGUUUCCGCGGAUAAAUACGGAAGUUUUGAAGAUAAUUGUGAAAAUCGGGAAAAAUGAAAUAUCUCCAUUUUUAUGCUAUGACGGCUUAAGGGCAGAAGAGUAAAAGCCUAAACCGACCUUGGAGCUAGUAUAUAAGGAGUCCUAGGCGAGGAGCAUAAGAGAGAGCUUUUUAGACUCGGAAUUCUCUGCACUUAGAAACUUUAGGCUUAUUCUCGACAAGUUUGGUUUCUAUGACUGGCACUCGAUUACUAGACGAACUCGCCCAGGCAGUUCGAUCUCUUGUCCAGCUCUAUCAAUUGAACUACGUUCGGCUUGAUCCUCGAAAGGGGUACGUAGGCAGCCUUUAACAAGGUUCAGUCCGAAAUCAAUCAAAAACCUUUUCUUUAUCUAUUUCGUCUUUCGUUAUCGAGCUGCGACUCAACUAGGUUUGAGCUAUUAGGCCGCUAGAACUAAGUAACUCGCUGACAGCCUUUGCGGCCAAAGCUUUCAUGAUCUCUUGUAAUGAUCGCAACGCUCUUACGCGGACUCGAAAUAAGAUCAACAGUUUUCCCUAAACUCGUUUGUUAUCUUUUCAUAAUUUCCGCAUAUAUUUGGUCACUUGUCGUUGGCUCCCGCAGAGAUCCGGGACCUCUGGGAAAUUAGGGUUUUCCUAGUUUCCUUAUUUAAACGGAAAUCGACAGUGCAAAAUUCGGUUCCCACAGAUGUCAGGAUGGGAUAACAAGGGUGCUUGAAUAUGCAAUCCUAUGAUCAAAUUCUAGUUAGCUAGGCUAAAACAAGCAAUGAAUACAAAUCUAUCAUUAAUAUCACAACAAGGCAGAUCUAUAGUUUGGGGCUAAUCCCACAAACCUAUCUGAACCCUGGAUCUAACAGUUGAACUACUCAGACAUAGCAAAGCAAUUCAUAUCAAUAGAUAAAUAGAAACUCAUAGAAUAGAUGAAAAGAAAUAGAAACAAGAGUUUCAAUCACAAGUGAUCUUCUCUCCCAAAUGAAACUUGUAACAGAACUAGGUCUAGAAAAAGCUAUGUUCUUCUGCCGUCAAAAACACUAGGCAGUAUAUAUUCUACUAGGUUAAAAACUCGUCAGGGCAUUUUGAUAAUUUGGCUUGGCCUUGGUGUCUCGACAUCGAUCGAUGGUACUUGUGUACAUCGAUCGAUAUUAAUCUUCAUAUGUCGAGGCAUUUCCUGAUAUCGAUCGUCAGCACUGAUGCGCAUCGAUCGAUUAUUCUUCCUCUCGUCGACCUUUAAGUGGUCAGCUCGGGUGAAAUGUCCUUUAAGCUCCCAAAUGCUCCAAAGUCAUAACUUUACUCCAAAAUGCACCUGAACCUGAAAACAUACUUAGAAGAGUAGAAAACAUAGAUAUAUAUAUAGUAAAACACUUAUAUACCAUGGAUAAAAAUGGGUCAAAUCCAAGGUAUAUCACUUUCCAACGUUGUGUGAUGUCAAUCUUUACGGAUAUGAUCGAGGAAUUCAUGGAGGUAUUCAUGGAUGAUUUUUCAGUCUAUGGAUCAGAUUUUAAGAGUUGCCUCGACAAUUUAUGCAAAGUAUUGGAAAUAUGCGAAGAAAAGAACCUUGUCCUAAACUGGGAAAAAUGCCAUUUCAUGGUAAACGAUGGAAUAGUGUUAGGACAUAGGGUUUCCGCUGCUGGAAUAGAGGUCGAUAGAGCUAAUAUUGAAGUAAUGACCAGUUUACCUCCACCUAAAACCGUUAAGGACGUGCGAAGUUUUCUUGGACACGCCGGAUUUUACAGGAGAUUUAUACUGGACUUCAGCAAAAUCGCUAGACCUUUAAAUAACCUACUAUGCAAGGAUAUUAAAUUCGAUUUUACCCCCGAAUGCAUGAAAGCUUUUGAAGAUUUAAGGAAAUCCCUUAUCACUGCCUCCGUCGUACAAGUCCCCGACUGGAAUCUUCCUUUCGAAAUCAUGUGCGAUGCGAGUGAUUUCGCAAUUGGAGCAGUUCUAGGCCAAAGGAAGAUAAAAAGCUACAUGCCAUUUACUACGCCAGCCGCACGCUUGAUGAAGCACAACGGAAUUACGCAACAAAAGAAAAAGAACUAUUAGCUGUAGUUUACGCUUUUGAAAAAUUCCGUCAAUACUUGAUUGGCUCACGAGUGAUAGUUCACACUGAUCACGCUGCCAUCAAAUAUUUAAUGCAAAAGAAAGAUGCUAAACCUAGACUCAUACGCUGGAUUCUACUCCUCCAAGAGUUUGACAUUGAGAUUAAGGAUAAGAGAGGAGUAGAUAAUGGAGUCGCUGACCAUCUUUCUAGGAUAAGGAUAGAGGAUGAUGUCCCUAUAGACGAUUUCUUUCCCACAGAGAAUGUUGCACACAUAGAUACAUCUUUCGUCGGUCAAAUAUCUCUCACAUCUGAAGAUCUAUCGGUCGAUUCACGUAGGGAUACAUCGAUCGAUGACGAGACUGAUGUAAUUUCUCAUCUCUCCGAUAACCAAAAUCACGAACCCCCGUUUAUGAAGAUCAACUUCGGUUUACAAGUUCAUGUUUUUGGUAAUGAGAUUAAUCUCACAUCUGAGGAAUUAUCACAACGGGAGGUAAACGCGAUUGGUAGAAACCCGGAUAACCGACCCUGGUAUGCCGACAUAGUUAACUAUUUGGCAGCUGAGGUUGAGCCAGACGAACUCAAGGGAUAUAUGAGGAAGAAAUUUUUCAGAGAAGUAAGACGCUAUCAUUGGGAUGAACCUUACCUCUAUAAGCAUUGUUCUGAUGGCAUAUACAGACGAUGCGUAUCCAAAGCUGAAAUUCCAGACAUGAUUUACCAAUGUCACGGAGCUGAUUAUGCAGGACAUUUCACUACCUUUAAAACGGUUUCGAAAAUUUUCCAAGCAGGAUUUUGGUGGCCAACCAUUUUUCGCGAUGUCCAUGCAUUUAUAACCCAAUGUGACAGAUGCCAAAGACGUGGAAAAAUCAGCAAAAGACAAGAAAUGAAACAUAAGUUCAUUCUUGAAGUUGAAGUCUUUGAUUGCUGGGGUAUCGAUUUUAUGGGACCUUUCCCGUCUUCAUAUGGAAACAAAUAUAUACUAGUCGCUGUAGACUACGUAUCCAAAUGGGUCGAAGCAGUAGCUUCCCCUACCAAUGACGCAUCUGUGGUUAUUAAACUCUUCAAGAGUAUAAUCUUUCCAAGAUUUGGAGUUCCAAGAGUAGUCAUUAGUGACGGUGGAACUCAUUUCAUUAAGAAAAUCUUUGAUAGAAUGCUUAAAAAGAAUGGUGUUCAUCAUAGAGUAGCUACACCUUACCAUCCACAAACUAGUGGACAAGUAGAAGUCUCUAACCGGCAAAUUAAGGAAAUCUUAGGGAAAACCGUAGGAACCUCCAGAAAAGAUUGGUCUAGAAAACUAGAUAAUGCACUUUGGGCCUACAGGACUGAUAUCACUCAAAUUACCUUAAAGAGUGUUACUCUCAUCAAAAGAGGUCGAGUUAUAGUACUUAGGGAUCGAAUCCACAAGGAGCUAGAGAAACUAUUAGAUCUAAUAGUUAUAUGAUUAAGCUAGGCUAAUAGGUUUUAAAACAGUAAAUAAAGCAAGUAAUAAAUAAAACAAUAAACAAGAUGAACAAGGUAAUUGUUCAGCUUGGCAAGGAGUAGUUUGAUGGAGGGAUGAUUGAUAGAUCUAGGGUUUCUAUUCAGAUGUUGGAGAUUAUAAUUCCUAUAGGUACCUAUUUGUUGCAUGCAUGAUAUGUUGAGCUCAACCGCUUAACUCAGUGAUCAGCUGUCGCAUGUUUCACUGGUUAACAAGCUAGAUCUCGUGUCUCAACGGUUAGUAUGUUGACAACAAAAGAAUGUCGAUCGAUGGUCCUAUUGAGACAUCGACCGAUACACCUUUGCCUACGUCGGCCGAUAGUCAGUUGAGGACAUCGAUCGACGGGUUCUAGCCAGGCCUAUGCGCGAGUAUGAAAUGCCCUAUUAAGAUACUAAAUUGGCGGUUAGCCCUCUCUAGCAGUCCUAAUAUGAUAGAUAUAUGUCAGGAUGGGAUAACAAGGGUGCUUGAGUAUGCAAUCCUAUGAUCAAGUUCUAGUUAAUUACUCUAAAACAAGCAAUGAAUACAAAUCUAUCAUGAAUAUCACAACAAGGCGGAUCUAUAAUUUGGGGCUAAUCCAACAAACCUAUCUGAACCCUAAACCUAACAAGUGGAUCUACUCAGAAAUAAAAACAUAAAUCAUAGAUGAAUAGAUAUAAAACUGAAAUAGAAUAGAUAAGAAAACCAAUGGAGUUCCAGGAGGACUCUGAUAGGAGUUCCUCCCUUUUAUACUAAGAGAAACAAUGGAAAUGAAAGUGUGUAGAAAGCGUAGAAAGCGUAGCCGUCAACAAUGGCUUAGAAAUAACAUAAAUAGGGUUUCUGGUCGUCCAAGGGCAUUUUGGUAAUUUGUGGCUUCUAGGGCAUCACGCAGUCAUAAAAUAUACAAGGCCCAUGAUCUGGAAUCUCCAUCGAUCGACGUGCAGAAUGCUGCAUCGAUCGACGCGGCUUCCUCUUCUCGGCAGCUUCCUCUCGCGAGGCAGACUGACCACUCUUCAGUAAAACGGGCAUAACUUCUGCUACAGAAUGCUGAUUGACCUGAGACCGGUGGCAUUGGAAAGCUAACUCAAUGCUCUUUCUUGUGUCAAAAUAUGAGCUCAAUCUAACGGUCGGAAAGUCUCUAUCCAUAGCUAAACAUCUGACGCGUCUGUGCAACUCUUCACCUCCAAAGGCUUCAAAAGACUCCAAAAUCACCAUAUUUCCCUAAACGUCCCUGAACCUGUAAAUACUCUAAAUAGACUCCAAAAUAUAAUAAUUGUAUCUUAAAACACUUUAAACACUUAUAGACCAUGAUUAAAAAUGGAUAAAAUAUAUGGUCUAUCAACUCCCCCAGACUUACCAUUUUGCUUGUCCUCAAGCAAAACAGACGGGCAGUCUCUCUGAAAGAGGUUUUGAAAACAUCAGGGACUCACAUGAUUUAAAACUUAGAAUCAUCACCUCUACAAUAUUGCAAUCCACAUCUAAGAAUUCCUAAUCACAUAACCACAUUAUACAAUAUCCUAGCUUAGUAACCAAAUUUCACCUAGCCAACAUCUUAGCAAAUCAUGUAUGACAUUCCCCUCUACCAACCUCAUUUUUUAACAUAAAUAAAUUUGUAUGCUUUACCUUGGGAGUAUCGAUCACAAGACACAUAGACUCUUGCCCCAACAGGUAUCUGAGUAAACAGGUAGUCUUGUUCUGGUUUCUUUUACUCUAUAUCUCCCUUCUCUGAAUACUUUUUAUCUCAAUUCCAAUGAACAAAGAUGCUGAUGCAAUCCAUCUUAUUCACCUUCUUUUCGAUUUUUUUUUUUUUUUUUUUUUUCUUUCUUUUUCUUUUCUUGACAAAGUGUAGGCGAAUAGUGGGGUCAUCGGUAAUGUACCUACCCUUCGCUUCCAACAAUGUGUGAUCAUUCUAUUAGAGUAGAAUAAUGGGGUCAUCGGUAAUGUACCUACCCCUCUAAACCGCAAGAAAUCAUCUCAACCUUUUAUUUUAUUUUAUUAGGAUGCCAAAGGGAGGAGAUAAGGAAACCAAAAUCACUCAGACUUUUACCUUUCAGACCUGAAGGAGGAAUCCGAUCCAGUGUAUACCAAGCCCCAAGACAAGCAGUUAAGUCAAAUUAGGUUGGAGGUCAGCUUCGGUUCCUUCAAACAAUCUCAGCAAGUGUGAACAUAGUUGACAGGUUGAUCCACUUUAGUAUCUUUAGUACUAUCUGCAAUCAGUAAGUCUAGAAUGGCGCUAAAGAGUGGUUAGAUAACAAGCAUGAAUCUAAUAAGUUCAUUAUCCCCUUCUUGACUCAAUAAACACAGAUUUUGAAAAUAUUUUAAAUAAGACUCAUAAAAGUAGAUAAACGUAUAUCAAUAAACAUCCCCCCAGACUUAAAUUACACUCUCCCCAGUGUAUAUCUAGUCGGAGUUAUGGUUAGAACAUAAAUAAUAAGUAAACAAUUUAACAAGUAAGAACGAUAACCUGCUCGACAUCAGUGUCGAUCGACACAAUGAAUAGACAAUCGAUCGAUGUUGAUGAAGUGCUGUCGAUUGAUAGUGACAUGGUCUCAUCGGUCGAUGGCUAGAGCAAUCAUUCGACACAAUGAAGAGACAAUCGAUUGUUGGAUAUGAAGCGCUGUCGAUCGAUAUCGAGCUGGUGUCAUCGGUCGAUGUGCUGAGCAAUCGUCUACUCGAAUCUGUUUUUUUUUUAUCUAUGAAUAACUAAGUAAAACACAAUAUUAGCAGAACCUCCCCCAGACUUAAACAACACUAUCACUAGCGCUAUCCAGUCUAAGAUUGGUGGGAAAAUAAAUCAUAAGGACAAUAUUUAACAAGGAAAAACGGUAUACAUGCUUGGAUGUGAGUGUCGAGCAACACAGUUAAGUGGCGAUCGAUACUCUUGAUGCUCUGUCGAUCGAUGCUACGUAGCCAUCAAAGAUUCUCCUGCAAUCUCGUCUUCCUCGGAUCUUGUCCUUUUACUUAACAUAAACAAAACAUUUAAUACAAUUAAUAAAUAAAUAAUAAAACCAAUAAUCAAUAAAAAUAAUAAUAAUAAUAUUUUUUUAUUUUUUCUAUGAAAAGUGCUUUGCUAUAGUGUCCCUUGGUGUUGCUGCUACAGUGUCUCUGCUACAGUACGUCGUUACUGUUCAUUUUUUUUUUGUUUUUUUUUAACCUGAAAUCUUUAGAAAACAAAGAAUCAGUAAUAAAUGAAAGAUAAACCAUAUCUAAAACAAACCGAACAGUGGGUUGCCUCCCACUCAGCUUUAUUUUUAGUCUUUAGCUUAACUUCUGGAGAUCUGAUUAAGUCCGCAUAAGAAUGAGAACUUGCUCCAAACCAAGUUUCAAUGUCUACUCUUUGAAGCUUUAUCAUUCUUGUGUGAAAGCCUCCUCCAUAUACCCUUCUCCUUUGUCUAUCAUUUCAGCAAUAAGGAAUCCUUUAAGUUUUGCAUAUGGAUGUGGGAAGCAUUUGCUGCGCACUCUUGAUUUUCUGAUACUAUCUGAGAAGUAAGGAGUCAAUGGUAAUUGAGAACCUCCUUUGGUUCGUUUCCGCUUCUUCCAAUUUCUCCCCUUCUUUCCCACGGACUUGUGUAAUCUCACUAUGGACUUCCUGGCAUCAUCUGAGAAGUGAUGAAUCAAUGAUAACUGAGAACCUUCAUUGAUUCUCUUUUUCUUUUUCCAGUUCCUCCACUUCUUUCCCUCAGACUUGUCUGAAUGCGUGGUUGUAUCUCCAUAAAUAAUAUUUCCACACAAUUCAUACUCAUUCUACUCUGAUUCGCAUCUGGUGUCGAUCGAUGGUAUCUGAUCGGUGUCGAUCGAUGAUGAAGUGUUAGUGUCGAUCAAUUUUUUUCUGUUGAUGUUGCUCGAUGGUACUUCUGUUGGGCAGUUAUCUACUUCAUCUCUAAAUCGCAGCCCUCUCUGAGAAGCUUCUACAUGAUGUUGAUCAUUCAAUACCUCAAUGUAAGUACUCAGAUACACACCUUUAUCUGGUGGGAUAGGAGAUUCAACUUCAAACACUGCACAUGGAACCAUAAUCUUCACAGGAUCAUGUAUCAUCUUCACUCUUUUACAAAUCCCUACAGCUUCUUCUGCGCAUAUAGGUGGUCUUAGAUGUUCGGGGACAUCAGUGUGUGAUGUCUUAGACAUGUGCAUUAUCUCCUCAAUCGGUCCUGGUUCAAUUGGGUAUCCAGAUAGUUCAUCCAAACAUGGGUGUCGAUCGAUGCAAUCGGGUGGGUAUCCAGCGAUACAGUCGGGUGUAUAUAGAUUCAUGAUGUGUGGCGACUGUCGAUCGAUGGCGUAGGGUGGGUGUUGAUCGAUUAUGCAUGGAGUGUAUCGAUCGAUCUCAUCAGGUUGAUGUCGAUCGAUGUCGUCAGCCUUUUGUGAAAUUUUCAGACCUCUUCCCGAAGGGUGCUGAUCAUCAAACUUCUGCUUCGGGUUCUGGUCUAAAUCCUCAAGCCAUUCCUCCAUCUCCAAGAAGUCUUCCAUAGUUACUUCUUCACUCGAAUCCAAAUCUCCAAGCUGUUGCCCAUCCUCUAACUCCAAGAAUUCUUCUAGUUCCAAGAAAUCUUCCAUGGUGAUUUCUUUUUCUACUUUUUGGUCAGGAUAACAACUUGAUACAUCGAACGCUCUUCAGUGUCGAGUCUGCAAUGUCCUGAGGACAACUCGAUUUUUCAGGGAUUUCAAGUGGUAUCGAUCGACAACAGGAGUUUGUGUUGAUCGAUGUUUGAAGGCUGGGGUCGAUCGAUGUUACGGUUGGGAUGUCGAUCGAUGCUGAGGUUGGAGUGUCGAUAGGUUCUGAGCUCAUGUCACUAAUAUCGAUUUCUUCUAUUCUGCUCAGCUCUCCAGACACAUGUUGUUCAUCAUCUUCCACCAUAUAUUCCAUCAUAGAUCUCAUCUCAAUCUCUAGACUUGUUGCAGCAUCAUAGAGAAACUUGUUGACGAAAGCGUUUGCAAUGUCAUUCCAAGUAUUGAGAGAUCUUGAUGGUAGCUUCUUCAACCAAUGAGCUGCAUCCACAACAAAAGAGUAUGGGAAUAAUUUGCAUAAAUAGUAAUCUUCAGAGACUCCAUUGCAUUUGAUGGUUGAUGAUAGAUCUAUAAAUGUCUCCAGGUGGCUAGUGGGAUCUUCAUGAGGAAAACCAUGGAAAGAAUGCUGACCCACAAGAGAGAUAUAUGGAGGGUGCAGCUCAAGGACAAUAUUCUGAAGUGUUGAAUGACGCAAUGCAGACCCUUUAGCAUAAGCAUCCUCAGGACUGUUAUAGUCUCUAAUUGCCUUCGUUCGUCCAGUCCUAACAUACUCAGUGGUAGCAUCAGGGAUUGUAGAAGGUAUCGAUCGAUGAGAAAUAUCUGUAUCGAUCGUUUCUGAAGUGCGGAUAUCGAUCGAUUCUGAGUUACUACUGUCGAUCGAUUCUGAAGUCGGAUCUUUUAUAUCAGCUUCUUCUACUUUGCUCUGCUCUCCUGAUACAUGAUAUUCAUCAUCCUCAACUGUAUCAUGGUUGACCAGCUUUUCUCUGUUCAGUUCGUCCUUCUACUUACUCUCAUCUGCAUGGUGAACCUGAAUGUCUGGCUGCUUGACAUGAGUUGUCGGUGUUCCAAUAUCUCCAUUCUCCUCGCUGUAGAUGAAGUCAAGAAUCUGACUCAUACUAAUCAUUAUUCCUUUCUCCCAUUCUUUAAUCAUGUAAUCAAGCCUUUUACUUCGAGUUGCUACAGCCUCGCUGAAAAAUUUGCCUAUGAAAACCUCUUUGAUGUCUUCCCAACAUGUUAGAGAUCUUGGUUGCAGCUUACUGAACCAGCUAAAAGCAUCUCCGGAUAAACAAUAGGGGAAGAUCUUGCAGAAAAUGUGGUCUGCAGAUAUUUCAUCGUGCUUGUUUGCUGAGGCUAACUCCUCAAGUCUCUUGAUAAGAUCUUUGGGAUCCUCAUGAGGAAGACCGUAAAAUGGAUCCUCACUUUCCCAAUCAUACCAUUGACUUUUCAGAUUAAAGGUAUUCGUCUCAGCCACAUCAAUUACAUCAGGGAUUACACUACCCUCUGCAUUAAUUAAUUGUCCUGUGAGGCUGCAAGGACGACCUUCUUCGUCUCGCCAAAUACCUUUCUUGUCGAUCUUAAGUAUGAGCGCUUCGACCUUCUCUGUUUCUCCGUAAGUGGUGAUCGUCAUUGGAGGAACAGUGGCGCGAUGAAUAGUGUUUCGAUGAACAGUGUUCGGAUGAACAGUAUCGUGAUGAACAGUGUUCGGAUGAACAGUGUCCGUGUGAACAGUGUCACAAUGAACAGUGUUCUGGUGAACAGUGUCGAGCGAUAGAAUAUGAACAGUGUCGAUCGAUGGAAGAUUAAUAGUGUCAACCGACACGGGCUGAACAGUGUCGAUCGACGGGAUAUGAAUAGUGUCGACCGACACGGGAUGAACAGUGUCGAUCGACAAGAUAUAAAUAGUGCCGACCGAUAUGGGAUAAACAGUGUCGAUCGACGGAAGAUGAAUCGUGUUGACCGACACGGGAUGAACAGUGUCGAUCGACGUGAUAUGAACAGUGUCCGUGUGAACAGUGUCACAAUGAACAGUGUUCUGGUGAACAGUGUCGAGCGAUAGAAUAUGAACAGUGUCGAUCGAUGGAAGAUGAAUAGUGUCAACCGACACGGGCUGAACAGUGUCGAUCGACGGGAUAUGAAUAGUGUCGACCGACACGGGAUGAACAGUGUCGAUCGACAGGAUAUAAAUAGUGCCGACCGAUAUGGGAUAAACAGUGUCGAUCGACGGAAGAUGAAUCGUGUUGACCGACACGGGAUGAACAGUGUCGAUCGACGUGAUAUGAAUAGUGUCGCGAUGAACAGUAUCGCGAUGAAUAGUAUUAGGAUGAAUAGUAUUUGGAUUAAUAGUAUUAUGAUGAACAGUACCUGGAUGAACAGUACCUGGAUGAACAGUACCUCGGUGAAUAGUAUGGCGGUGAACAGUACCCGGAUGAAAAGUAACAUGAUGAACAGUACCCGGAUGAAUAGUACCUCGAUGAAUAGUGUUUUCCGACACAUGAUGAAUAGUGUCGUUCGAUGCUUGGCUCACGCUAUCGAUCGAUGCUGCUUUGAGGGUGUCGAUCGAUACAUCCCUCGUAGCCUUAUGGAUCGUGCAUAAACCAGCAGACUCCUUCCUUGAAGGACCUAGAAAUCCUCUCUUCAUUGUUUUUUGUUACUAAGAGUUAUGCACCCGAAAUAGAAAAAAACAUUUUAUGAGUUUUUCAAACAGUAACAAAACCUAGACUAAAUCUAACUAAACAAGAUCUAAUGGCGAUCAAAGCUCCCCGGCAAAGGCGCCAAAUUUGAUAUCACUCAAAUUACCCUAAAGAGUGUUACUCUCAUCAAAAGAGGUCGAGUUAUAGUACUUAGGGAUCGAAUCCACAAGGAGCUAGGGAACCGAUUAGAUAUAAUAGUUAUAUGAUUAAGCUAGGCUAAUAGGUUUUAAAAUAGUAAAUAAAGCAAGUAAUAAAUAAAGCAAUAAACAAGAUGAACAAGGUAAUUGUUCAGCUUGGCAAGGAGUAGUUUGAUGGAGGGAUGAUUGAUAGAUCUAGGGUUUCUAUUCAGGUGUUGGAGAUUAUAAUUCAUAUAGGUACCUAUUUGUUACAUGCAUGAUAUGUUAGAGCUCAACCGUUUAACUCAGUGAUCAGCUGUCGCAUGUUUCACUGGUUAACAAGCUAGAUCUCGUGUCUCAACGGUUAGUAUGUUGACAACGAAAGAGUGUCGAUCGAUGGUCCUAUUGGGACAUCGACCGAUACACCUUUGCCUACGUCGACCGAUAGUCAGUUGAGGACACCGAUCGACGGGUUCUAGCCAGGCCUAUGCGCGAGAAUAAAAUGCCCUAUUAAGAUACUAAAUUGGCGGUUAGCCCUCUCUAGCAGUCCUAAUAUGAUAGAUAGAUGUCAGGAUGGGAUAACAAGGGUGCUUGAGUAUGCAAUCCUAUGAUCAAGUUCUAGUUAAUUACUCUAAAACAAGCAAUGAAUACAAAUCUAUCAUGAAUAUCACAACAAGGCAGAUCUAUAGUUUGGGACUAAUCCAACAAACCUAUCUGAACCCUAAACCUAACAGGUGGAUCUACUCAGAAAUGAAAACAGAAAUCAUAGAUGAAUGGAUAUAAAACUGAAAUAGAAUAGAUAAGAAAACUAAUGGAGUUCCAGGAGGACUAUGAUAGGAGUUCCUCCCUUCUCUCCUAAGAGAAACAAUGGAAAUGAAAGUGUGUAGAAAGCGUAGAAAGCGUAGCCGUCAACAAUGGCUUAAAAAUAACAUAAAUAGGGUUUCUGGUCGUCCAAGGGUAUUUUGGUAAUUUGUGGCUUCUAGGGCUUCACGCAGUCAUAAAAUAUACAAGGCCCAUGAUCUGUAAUCUCCAUCAAUCGAUGUUCAGAGUGCUGCAUCGAUCGACACGGCUUCCUCUUCUCGGCAGAUUCCUCUCGCGAGGCAGACUGACCACUCUUCAGUAAAACGGGCAUAACUUCUGCUACAGAAUGCUGAUUGACCUGAGACCGGUGGCAUUGGAAAGAUAACUCAAUUCUCUUUCUUGUUUCGAAAUAUGGGCUCAAUCUAACGGUCGGAAAGUCUCCAUCAAUAGCUAAACAUCUGACGCGUCUGUGCAACUCUGCACCUCCAAAUGCUCCAAAAGAUUCCAAAAUUACCAUAUUUCUUCUAAACGUCUCUGAACCUGUAAAUAUUCUAAAUAGAUUCCAAAACAUAAUAAUUGUAUCUUAAAACACUUUAAAACACUUAUAGACCAUGAUUAAAAAUGGAUAAAAUAUAUGGUCUAUCAAGGACCGCCUACAAAACACCGUUACGAACAACACCAUUCCACCCCCUUUAUGGCAAAUCAUGUCAUCUACCAGUCGAACUGGAACAUAAAGCAGCUUGGGCUACCAAACUUUUGGACUUUGAUAUCAUACCAGCUGCAGAAAGGAGACUCAUCCAGCUUAACGAGCUUGAUCAAAUCAGACAUAUAGCUUUCGAAAAUUCAAAAAUCUAUAAAGGACUAAAGCUUAUCACGAUAGAAAGAUCAUAUCCCGGCACUUCGAGCCAGAUGAUCAAGUCCUCCUUUAUAACUCUCGAUUGACAUUAUUUCCUGGAAAGCUAAAAUCCCGUUGGUCUGGACCCUUCACCGUAACGAACGUUCAACCCUCCGGAGCUAUCACCUUACAAAAUGAGAAAGGCCAGGAAUUUACGGUGAAUCGCCAACGAGUUAAGCAUUAUUGGGCCAAACCACCAGCGAAAGUGCCCAUGGUGCUGUAUGAACCUGAUAAUUAGUUUAAUCAGGAAGUCCAGCUAAAGACUUAAAAAAUUAAGCGCUGAAUGGGAGGCAGCCCAUUUUUAUAAAAGAAAAAAAGAAUAAUAAUAAUAAUUUAAUUUAAAAAAUCAUUAAUUAAAAUUAAUAAAUUAUAUUUACUAGUAAUUAAUAGUAAUUUCCGUAUUUCUUAAUAUUAGCAUUAUUUACAAAAUUUAGAAAUUAGAAUUUGUCUUUAAAGAGGACAUCGAUCGGCGAGGCAUUACUGCCAUCGAUCGAUGCAGGCAUAUCGACGGUUUUAACACUAACUUCACUCGAUAUCAACCCAGUUCGUCUUCCACACUCACAAACGAAACCAAAAACAAAAACCCCAUUAUCUCUCUCGAUUCUCGACGGAUUUCGUCCGUUCUUCGCCUAAAUCCACUCGAUUUUUUACUCUGUAACUGUUAAAUCCACUCCCGAAAUCAACAAUCAAGGUAUGCACUCGAAAUUUUCAAUUUUUCGAAAAAUUAGGGUUUUCGUUUUGAGUUGGAUUAGAACGCUUGAUUUAGUGCGAUUGAGAGAUGUUUUUGUAGUUCAUAUUGCUUAUCUAGAGUUCGGUUUGUGAUUUCCAUGCAUUUAGAUUCGUAUAAACGCGAUUUGGAGUUGAGUGAUUUUGCAGGUUUCGCGAUUCCACAUCGGUCGAUAUGAACUUGUUCGCAUCGACCGAUGCUCUCUUGUCCGAUUGUUCCGACACGACGAUAUCGAUCGAUGUUCAGUAUAACCCAUCGAUCGAUAAGACAUUUUAUCGACAAUGCUAACCUUCUUUUCUUCUUGGUUUCAGAUGAGCAGCUCAGAGACAAACGCACGAAACAGAGAACUCAGGUCGAAAAGGAGGUUCGACGAGACUAGCAGCUCCUCCAACCCACAGCGUCAUCCAUGGCCUCGCGCCGAAAACACACCAUUCAAUGUCCCGGGCUAUGCUGAUCCUAAGGCAGCGAUCAACAGCAACGAGUGCCGUCAGCGUCCUCUGUCCGAUGACUGGGACGACUACGACAGCCUCUUCUACAAUGCCUGGCUAGGAAUUUCUAUCGAGCCCACCAAAUUCCUCGACCGACCCAUCCUGAAGAAGCUCGGGAUCGAGGGAGAUAUUAAGGACAUGAUCACACAGCUAGGACUCGGUACCAUGCCCUCUCGCGCUUACGACCUCUACCCCGAUCUCGUCCGCCAGUUCAUGGCCACUGUCAAGGUCACCUACAGGACUUCAGCUGGGAGGGUAGCGGGAGAUGGCACUUUGACCUUCUUCGCCAGAGGGACACGCUACAGGAUCACUAUCUCCGAGCUCUGCCGCAUCUACGGUUUCGAUGAGAGCAUCGCCUCUUACACGGUCCCACCUUUCUCACACAUUGAGGGAUUCUGGGACAUCGUCGGCACAGGAGUUUGGGACACGAACAGGGCCGUGCUAUCAGACAUCCGCUACUUCCUACGGCUCGUUGCAAACACACUUGUUUGCAAGAUGGAGCCCAACAAGGCCAGGAUAAAGGAGCUCACACUACUUUUCUGCGCAGUGAACGGCGUGGUGGAUUUGGUUGAGUUGGACGAGGAUGGCGAGGUAAGCCCGCCGAACCUCGGAGCUGUCUUUGCCACGCAUUUGGUGGAGCUGAAGAAGAAGCCCUUCACCAGCAAGGGCAAGAACAAGAAGGAGACAGUUGGGAGUCUUCUGACCUCGAUUUUCCAGUGAUCAGCUGUCGCAUGUUUCACUGGUUAACAAGCUAGAUCUCGUGUCUCAACGGUUAGUAUGUUGACAACGAAAGAGUGUCGAUCGAUGGUCCUAUUGGGACAUCGACCGAUACACCUUUGCCUACGUCGACCGAUAGUCAGUUGAGGACACCGAUCGACGGGUUCUAGCCAGGCCUAUGCGCGAGAAUAAAAUGCCCUAUUAAGAUACUAAAUUGGCGGUUAGCCCUCUCUAGCAGUCCUAAUAUGAUAGAUAGAUGUCAGGAUGGGAUAACAAGGGUGCUUGAGUAUGCAAUCCUAUGAUCAAGUUCUAGUUAAUUACUCUAAAACAAGCAAUGAAUACAAAUCUAUCAUGAAUAUCACAACAAGGCAGAUCUAUAGUUUGGGGCUAAUCCAACAAACCUAUCUGAACCCUAAACCUAACAGGUGGAUCUACUCAGAAAUGAAAACAGAAAUCAUAGAUGAAUGGAUAUAAAACUGAAAUAGAAUAGAUAAGAAAACUAAUGGAGUUCCAGGAGGACUAUGAUAGGAGUUCCUCCCUUCUCUCCUAAGAGAAACAAUGGAAAUGAAAGUGUGUAGAAAGCGUAGAAAGCGUAGCCGUCAACAAUGGCUUAAAAAUAACAUAAAUAGGGUUUCUGGUCGUCCAAGGGUAUUUUGGUAAUUUGUGGCUUCUAGGGCUUCACGCAGUCAUAAAAUAUACAAGGCCCAUGAUCUGUAAUCUCCAUCAAUCGAUGUUCAGAGUGCUGCAUCGAUCGACGCGGCUUCCUCUUCUCGGCAGCUUCCUCUCGCGAGGCAGACUGACCACUCUUCAGUAAAACGGGCAUAACUUCUGCUACAGAAUGCUGAUUGACCUGAGACCGGUGGCAUUGGAAAGAUAACUCAAUUCUCUUUCUUGUUUCGAAAUAUGGGCUCAAUCUAACGGUCGGAAAGUCUCCAUCAAUAGCUAAACAUCUGACGCGUCUGUGCAACUCUGCACCUCCAAAUGCGCCAAAAGAUUCCAAAAUCACCAUAUUUCUUCUAAACGUCUCUGAACCUGUAAAUAUUCUAAAUAGAUUCCAAAACAUAAUAAUUGUAUCUUAAAACACUUUAAAACACUUAUAGACCAUGAUUAAAAAUGGAUAAAAUAUAUGGUCUAUCAAGGACCGCCUACAAAACACCGUUACGAACAACACCAUUCCACCCCCUUUAUGGCAAAUCAUGUCAUCUACCAGUCGAACUGGAACAUAAAGCAGCUUGGGCUACCAAACUUUUGGACUUUGAUAUCAUACCAGCUGCAGAAAGGAGACUCAUCCAGCUUAACGAGCUUGAUCAAAUCAGACAUAUAGCUUUCGAAAAUUCAAAAAUCUAUAAAGGACUAAAGCUUAUCACGAUAGAAAGAUCAGAUCCCGGCACUUCGAGCCAGAUGAUCAAGUCCUCCUUUAUAACUCUCGAUUGACAUUAUUUCCUGGAAAGCUAAAAUCCCGUUGGUCUGGACCCUUCACCGUAACGAACGUUCAACCCUCCGGAGCUAUCACCUUACAAAAUGAGAAAGGCCAGGAAUUUACGGUGAAUCGCCAACGAGUUAAGCAUUAUUGGGCCAAACUACCAGCGAAAGUGCCCAUGGUGCUGUAUGAACCUGAUAAUUAGUUUAAUCAGGAAGUCCAGCUAAAGACUUAAAAAUUAAGCGCUGAAUGGGAGGCAGCCCAUUUUUAUAAAAGAAAAAAAGAAUAAUAAUAAUAAUUUAAUUUAAAAAAUCAUUAAUUAAAAUUAAUAAAUUAUAUUUACUAGUAAUUAAUAGUAAUUUCCGUAUUUCUUAAUAUUAGCAUUAUUUACAAAAUUUAGAAAUUAGAAUUUGUCUUUAAAGAGGACAUCGAUCGGCGAGGCAUUACUGCCAUCGAUCGAUGCAGGCAUAUCGACGGUUUUAACACUAACUUCACUCGAUAUCAACCCAGUUCGUCUUCCACACUCACAAACGAAACCAAAAACAAAAACCCCAUUAUCUCUCUCGAUUCUCGACGGAUUUCGUCCGUUCUUCGCCUAAAUCCACUCGAUUUUUUACUCUGUAACUGUUAAAUCCACUCCCGAAAUCAACAAUCAAGGUAUGCACUCGAAAUUUUCAAUUUUUCGAAAAAUUAGGGUUUUCGUUUUGAGUUGGAUUAGAACGCUUGAUUUAGUGCGAUUGAGAGAUGUUUUUGUAGUUCAUAUUGCUUAUCUAGAGUUCGGUUUGUGAUUUCCAUGCAUUUAGAUUCGUAUAAACGCGAUUUGGAGUUGAGUGAUUUUGCAGGUUUCGCGAUUCCACAUCGGUCGAUAUGAACUUGUUCGCAUCGACCGAUGCUCUCUUGUCCGAUUGUUCCGACACGACGAUAUCGAUCGAUGUUCAGUAUAACCCAUCGAUCGAUAAGACAUUUUAUCGACAAUGCUAACCUUCUUUUCUUCUUGGUUUCAGAUGAGCAGCUCAGAGACAAACGCACGAAACAGAGAACUCAGGUCGAAAAGGAGGUUCGACGAGACUAGCAGCUCCUCCAACCCACAGCGUCAUCCAUGGCCUCGCGCCGAAAACACACCAUUCAAUGUCCCGGGCUAUGCUGAUCCUAAGGCAGCGAUCAACAGCAACGAGUGCCGUCAGCGUCCUCUGUCCGAUGACUGGGACGACUACGACAGCCUCUUCUACAAUGCCUGGCUAGGAAUUUCUAUCGAGCCCACCAAAUUCCUCGACCGACCCAUCCUGAAGAAGCUCGGGAUCGAGGGAGAUAUUAAGGACAUGAUCACACAGCUAGGACUCGGUACCAUGCCCUCUCGCGCUUACGACCUCUACCCCGAUCUCGUCCGCCAGUUCAUGGCCACUGUCAAGGUCACCUACAGGACUUCAGCUGGGAGGGUAGCGGGAGAUGGCACUUUGACCUUCUUCGCCAGAGGGACACGCUACAGGAUCACUAUCUCCGAGCUCUGCCGCAUCUACGGUUUCGAUGAGAGCAUCGCCUCUUACACGGUCCCACCUUUCUCACACAUUGAGGGAUUCUGGGACAUCGUCGGCACAGGAGUUUGGGACACGAACAGGGCCGUGCUAUCAGACAUCCGCUACUUCCUACGGCUCGUUGCAAACACACUUGUUUGCAAGAUGGAGCCCAACAAGGCCAGGAUAAAGGAGCUCACACUACUUUUCUGCGCAGUGAACGGCGUGGUGGAUUUGGUUGAGUUGGACGAGGAUGGCGAGGUAAGCCCGCCGAACCUCGGAGCUGUCUUUGCCACGCAUUUGGUGGAGCUGAAGAAGAAGCCCUUCACCAGCAAGGGCAAGAACAAGAAGGAGACAGUUGGGAGUCUUCUGACCUCGAUUUUCCAGUGAUCAGCUGUCGCAUGUUUCACUGGUUAACAAGCUAGAUCUCGUGUCUCAACGGUUAGUAUGUUGACAACGAAAGAGUGUCGAUCGAUGGUCCUAUUGGGACAUCGACCGAUACACCUUUGCCUACGUCGACCGAUAGUCAGUUGAGGACACCGAUCGACGGGUUCUAGCCAGGCCUAUGCGCGAGAAUAAAAUGCCCUAUUAAGAUACUAAAUUGGCGGUUAGCCCUCUCUAGCAGUCCUAAUAUGAUAGAUAGAUGUCAGGAUGGGAUAACAAGGGUGCUUGAGUAUGCAAUCCUAUGAUCAAGUUCUAGUUAAUUACUCUAAAACAAGCAAUGAAUACAAAUCUAUCAUGAAUAUCACAACAAGGCAGAUCUAUAGUUUGGGGCUAAUCCAACAAACCUAUCUGAACCCUAAACCUAACAGGUGGAUCUACUCAGAAAUGAAAACAGAAAUCAUAGAUGAAUGGAUAUAAAACUGAAAUAGAAUAGAUAAGAAAACUAAUGGAGUUCCAGGAGGACUAUGAUAGGAGUUCCUCCCUUCUCUCCUAAGAGAAACAAUGGAAAUGAAAGUGUGUAGAAAGCGUAGAAAGCGUAGCCGUCAACAAUGGCUUAAAAAUAACAUAAAUAGGGUUUCUGGUCGUCCAAGGGUAUUUUGGUAAUUUGUGGCUUCUAGGGCUUCACGCAGUCAUAAAAUAUACAAGGCCCAUGAUCUGUAAUCUCCAUCAAUCGAUGUUCAGAGUGCUGCAUCGAUCGACGCGGCUUCCUCUUCUCGGCAGCUUCCUCUCGCGAGGCAGACUGACCACUCUUCAGUAAAACGGGCAUAACUUCUGCUACAGAAUGCUGAUUGACCUGAGACCGGUGGCAUUGGAAAGAUAACUCAAUUCUCUUUCUUGUUUCGAAAUAUGGGCUCAAUCUAACGGUCGGAAAGUCUCCAUCAAUAGCUAAACAUCUGACGCGUCUGUGCAACUCUGCACCUCCAAAUGCUCCAAAAGAUUCCAAAAUCACCAUAUUUCUUCUAAACGUCUCUGAACCUGUAAAUAUUCUAAAUAGAUUCCAAAACAUAAUAAUUGUAUCUUAAAACACUUUAAAACACUUAUAGACCAUGAUUAAAAAUAGAUAAAAUAUAUGGUCUAUCAAGGACCGCCUACAAAACACCGUUACGAACAACACCAUUCCACCCCCUUUAUGGCAAAUCAUGUCAUCUACCAGUCGAACUGGAACAUAAAGCAGCUUGGGCUACCAAACUUUUGGACUUUGAUAUCAUACCAGCUGCAGAAAGGAGACUCAUCCAGCUUAACGAGCUUGAUCAAAACAGACAUAUAGCUUUCGAAAAUUCAAAAAUCUAUAAAGGACUAAAGCUUAUCACGAUAGAAAGAUCAUAUCCCGGCACUUCGAGCCAGAUGAUCAAGUCCUCCUUUAUAACUCUCGAUUGACAUUAUUUCCUGGAAAGCUAAAAUCCCGUUGGUCUGGACCCUUCACCGUAACGAACGUUCAACCCUCCGGAGCUAUCACCUUACAAAAUGAGAAAGGCCAGGAAUUUACGGUGAAUCGCCAACGAGUUAAGCAUUAUUGGGCCAAACCACCAGCGAAAGUGCCCAUGGUGCUGUAUGAACCUGAUAAUUAGUUUAAUCAGGAAGUCCAGCUAAAGACUUAAAAAUUAAGCGCUGAAUGGGAGGCAGCCCAUUUUUAUAAAAGAAAAAAAGAAUAAUAAUAAUAAUUUAAUUUAAAAAAUCAUUAAUUAAAAUUAAUAAAUUAUAUUUACUAGUAAUUAAUAGUAAUUUCCGUAUUUCUUAAUAUUAGCAUUAUUUACAAAAUUUAGAAAUUAGAAUUUGUCUUUAAAGAGGACAUCGAUCGGCGAGGCAUUACUGCCAUCGAUCGAUGCAGGCAUAUCGACGGUUUUAACACUAACUUCACUCGAUAUCAACCCAGUUCGUCUUCCACACUCACAAACGAAACCAAAAACAAAAACCCCAUUAUCUCUCUCGAUUCUCGACGGAUUUCGUCCGUUCUUCGCCUAAAUCCACUCGAUUUUUUACUUUGUAACUGUUAAAUCCACUCCCGAAAUCAACAAUCAAGGUAUGCACUCGAAAUUUUCAAUUUUUCGAAAAAUUAGGGUUUUCGUUUUGAGUUGGAUUAGAACGCUUGAUUUAGUGCGAUUGAGAGAUGUUUUUGUAGUUCAUAUUGCUUAUCUAGAGUUCGGUUUGUGAUUUCCAUGCAUUUAGAUUCGUAUAAACGCGAUUUGGAGUUGAGUGAUUUUGCAGGUUUCGCGAUUCCACAUCGGUCGAUAUGAACUUGUUCGCAUCGACCGAUGCUCUCUUGUCCGAUUGUUCCGACACGACGAUAUCGAUCGAUGUUCAGUAUAACCCAUCGAUCGAUAAGACAUUUUAUCGACAAUGCUAACCUUCUUUUCUUCUUGGUUUCAGAUGAGCAGCUCAGAGACAAACGCACGAAACAGAGAACUCAGGUCGAAAAGGAGGUUCGACGAGACUAGCAGCUCCUCCAACCCACAGCGUCAUCCAUGGCCUCGCGCCGAAAACACACCAUUCAAUGUCCCGGGCUAUGCUGAUCCUAAGGCAGCGAUCAACAGCAACGAGUGCCGUCAGCGUCCUCUGUCCGAUGACUGGGACGACUACGACAGCCUCUUCUACAAUGCCUGGCUAGGAAUUUCUAUCGAGCCCACCAAAUUCCUCGACCGACCCAUCCUGAAGAAGCUCGGGAUCGAGGGAGAUAUUAAGGACAUGAUCACACAGCUAGGACUCGGUACCAUGCCCUCUCGCGCUUACGACCUCUACCCCGAUCUCGUCCGCCAGUUCAUGGCCACUGUCAAGGUCACCUACAGGACUUCAGCUGGGAGGGUAGCGGGAGAUGGCACUUUGACCUUCUUCGCCAGAGGGACACGCUACAGGAUCACUAUCUCCGAGCUCUGCCGCAUCUACGGUUUCGAUGAGAGCAUCGCCUCUUACACGGUCCCACCUUUCUCACACAUUGAGGGAUUCUGGGACAUCGUCGGCACAGGAGUUUGGGACACGAACAGGGCCGUGCUAUCAGACAUCCGCUACUUCCUACGGCUCGUUGCAAACACACUUGUUUGCAAGAUGGAGCCCAACAAGGCCAGGAUAAAGGAGCUCACACUACUUUUCUGCGCAGUGAACGGCGUGGUGGAUUUGGUUGAGUUGGACGAGGAUGGCGAGGUAAGCCCGCCGAACCUCGGAGCUGUCUUUGCCACGCAUUUGGUGGAGCUGAAGAAGAAGCCCUUCACCAGCAAGGGCAAGAACAAGAAGGAGACAGUUGGGAGUCUUCUGACCUCGAUUUUCCAGUAUCUCGGCAUCCACCUUGACUCUCGCUCUGCCGACCGCGACCACGCCUUCCUCGAUGAGCAGCACUUGAUGCACUCGCUAUGGCUCGAGGAAGGGAAGCUCUGGCGCCUCAGGAUCCGCGACGAGCAUCGCCUUCUACCCCUACCAGAUAGGAGGAUCACUGACUUCUGCAACAACGUGGAGCAGCUUCGAUGCAUGCUAGACGAGGCAUUCCUCCGCAACCCGCAGAACAUGUCACGCCGACCUCCCAGCAUUCGCCGUACCAGAGCUCGGGACGCACAUGCACCUCCUCUUCCUGACUUCCCGAACAUCCCGGACAUCCCUAUGCACGACCAGGGAGACUUUCAGAGGUUCGUGGUGGACGCUCUUCAGGCCAUCUGGGCUAGAGUGUCUUGUCGGAGCAGGAGAGCCACAGGAGCGCAGGCACCAGCACCAGCAGCACGCAGGGACCCAUCCCCAGAGGCCGAUGAGGCGACUGAUGAGGACACCAAUUAGUCCUCCCAUCUCUAUCUCUUCUCCUCUUAUUAUGAACUUGUUUAUUUAUUUUCCGAACUUGUAGGAUUUAUGUUUUUAAACUUAUAUUUUAUGUUUGAGGAUGCUUAUUAUUUCUUAUGCUUGAUUGUCUAACAGAGCUAACAUUAGGCAAGGGACUUCGAGUUUGACUCCAAGCACAUGCAAAAAUGUAUGUGCUUCGCCAUCGAUCAAUUUAGAGAGGAUUACAUCGAUCGAAUCUGGGCGAGUAACAUCGAUCGAUAUGGAGAGGAUUACAUCGAUUGAUGUGUAGUACAGAUAGGUACUUCAUUCUUACUCUAACAUUCUCAAACAUCUAACUUGAUUUUAACCUACCCUUGGACACUUUGCACCGAGUCGGUGCAAUUUAAGUCUGGGGGAGGUAGUUACUAACACCAUUUUCUUGAGUUUUUGUCAAAAAUCUUUUCAAAAAUAAUUUUAUUGAGUCAAGAAGGGGAUUAUGAACUAAUGAUUUCUACUUGAAUGUCUAACCACUUUCUAGCACCAUUCUAGAUUUACUGACUGAAGAUAAUACUAUAGAUGUUAAAGUGGAUCAACCAGUCAACUAUACACACUUGCUAGCUUGUUAGAAAGAACCGAAGCUAACCUCCAACACUAACCUGACUUCACUGCUUGUUUUGGGGCUUGGUAUACAUGGGAUCAGAUUUUUCAGACAAGUCUGGAAGGUAAUGCCUGGUUUAGAUUAUUUAUCACAUUUUCUCUCUCUAAAUUUCGACCCUAGAUUAGUUAGUGAGUACACCAAAAAAAAAAAAGAUCUAUUGUUUAAUUAGGAUGAGUCUGAACAGGACUUGGUGGCUAAAACCAUUAAGGCUUGAUUCAUAAAGACUCAAAUAAAAGAGUUCAAAACAGGACUUGGAGGCGGCAAUCUUCAAAGCUCGCUUUCGCAAAGAACUCUUGGAUAUAGGUCAAAAAGAAGUGAACAGAACUUGGCGGCAACCACCAUUAAGUUUUGAUUCAUGGAAGCCUAUCCAAUCUUGGUCACUGAUCCUGCAAUGGAAGCAGACUUUGACCCAAGAAAGAAAUUUAGAGAGAGAGAAACUAGGAACUAACUUUUACCUGCAGCUCCAGAUACUUGUCUGAAAUCCUUGCAUCCUGUGAUUGAUACUCCCAAGGUAAAGCCUACACUUUUUACAUUAAGAAAUGAGGUCUGUUGAGGAGAUUGAUAAUAAGAUUAGUUAAGAUUGUUGGCUAGAUGAUUUUGGUUGCUAAGCUAGGAUAUUGCAUAAUGUAUAUCUGUAAGAAGGAACCUUAGAUGUGGAAUGCAAUAUUAUAGAGGUGAUAAUUUCAAUGUUUCAAAUUUGUGAGUCCCUGAUGUUUUCAACCCUCUUCCAGAGAGAUUGUCCAUUGGUUUAACUUGAGGACAAGUCAAAAGAUAAGUCUGGGGGAGUUGAUAUACCAUGAUUUUCACCCGUUUUUAUACAUGGCAUAUAAAGGUUUUAAGAUGUAUUAAUCAUGUUUUAGAGUCUUUUCAAAGCAAAUACAGGUUUAUUCACCUGAUGGAAGGAAAUGAUACUUUUGGGACAUUUUGGAAUGCUUUUACGCAAGGAAAAUCGAUCGACGCUUGAAGAGCAACAUCGGUCGAUCAUAAUCACUUACCAUCGAUCGACAUACAUUUAUGUGCAUCGAUCGAUACCCAGUCACACGGAUGAAAUCGCAAAUUAAAAGAUUUCAUUUCUCAGAAGAUCUAUUAUUUACAACUUAAUUCCCUAGCCGCCUGUUAGGCUAUAUGUACUAGGGUUUUGUAUCAUUUCUAGCAGACACUUGCAAAAAGACCUAGUUUUGGAGAAAGAGCAUUUUGGCUACCAUUACGAGAGCUUAGGAAUGGAGAGAUAGAUCUGAAACUGCAAAACAGAGAAGAUCUUGAACUCCUUUAUUUCUAUUACUCUAUCUAUUUGUGUUCUAUGUUUCAUUUGAGUUUAUUUCACACCAUCAUGACUUUGUCUCUCAUGAAUAUGUUUGAGUAAAUCAAUUGUUAGAUUUAGGUUUCUCACCAUGGUUGAAAUUAUGUACUGCUAAUAUGACUGUUAAAAAGGUGUUUUGAUUGUUCUUUCAUUGCUUAUGGACUUAAUGCUAAAAUUAAGAUUGAUCACCUUCAUUUUAGAUCUUAGGAUUAAUUGAGUCCAACUAACCGUUUCCCCUCAAUACCUGAACCCAUUUGCGUGAUCUAACUAACUCAGGCGCAACGACAAUUGGUCUGAGAAGGUUAGAGAACAAGUUAAACCCGUUCGCAAAGCUCGCUAGAAUAACUGUCGAUCGACGCAACUAUCGUUCUGUCGAUCGAUCGUUACAAAGGUGUAUUGGUCGAUGUACAUCAAGUCACAUCGAUCGACACUCUCUCGAGAUCAAAGUACGACAUUUGAGAUUCGAGAUCUAGUGAAGAUAACCUAUCCGGUUAAAUAAAUGUUUAGUUCAAGAACCAUUAAACCCUUUAGUCUAAACUAAGUGCAUACAUUUUAUACCUGAGAAUUGCCUGAAUCUAGCUGCUUUCCCAAUCUUGAAACCACUUCAAUUCAAUCUAUUGAAUCACUGUUGUUUUCGAUUUAUCAUUUACUGCUUUUAAAACUAUUAAAACCUUUUAGUCUAUCUUCAUUUCUAAUUAUUUAAGUCUGUUGAGUAAUCCUAGAGUCUCUGUGGAUUUGAUCCCUAAGUACUACAUCUGAACCUCUUUUGAUGAGAGUAACACUCUUUAGGGUAAUUUGAGUGAUAUCAUUUAGCAUCUUUCUUUUGCAUUAAAUAUUUGAUGGCAGCGUGAUCAGUGUGAACUACCACUCGUGAGCCAAUCAAGUACUGACGGAAUUUUUCAAAAGCGUAAACUACAGCUAAUAGUUCUUUUUCUGUUGUUGCGUAAUCAAGCGUGCGGCUGGCGUAGUAAAUGGCGUGUAGCUUUUUGUCUUUCCUUUGGCCUAAAACAGCACCAAUUGCAAAAUCGCUCGCAUCGCACAUGAUUUUGAAAGGAAGGUUCCAGUCGGGGGCUUGUACGACGAAGGCAGUGAUAAGAGAUUUCUUUAAAUCUUCAAAAGCUUUCAUGCAUUCAGGGGCAAAAUCGAAUUUAAUAUCCUUGCAUAAUAGGUUAUUUAGAGGUCUAGCGAUUUUGCCGAAGUCCAGUAUAAAUCUCUUGUAAAAUCCGACGUGUCCGAGAAAACUUCGCACAUCUUUAACAGUUUUGGGCGGAGGUAAACUGGUCAUUGCUUCAAUCUUAGCUCUAUCUACCUCUAUACCAGCGACAGAAACCUUAUGUCCUAACACUAUUCCAUCGUUAACCAUGAAAUGGCAUUUUUCCCAUUUUAGGACAAGGUUCUUUUCUUCGCAUCUUUCCAAUACUUUGCAUAAAUUAUCAAGGCAACUCUUAAAAUCUGAUCCGUAGACUGAAAAGUCAUCCAUGAAUAUUUUCAUGAAGUCCUCGAUCAUAUCCGUAAAGAUUGACAUCAUGCAACGUUGGAAAGUGGCAGGGGCGUUACAAAGACCAAAUGGCAUUCUGCGAUAUGCGAAAGUUCCAUAGGGGUAUGUAAACGUUGUAUUUUCUUGAUCAUCCGGGUGUAUAGGAAUUUGGAAAAAUCCGGAAUAUCCAUCAAGAAAACAGUAAUACUGGUGAUUAGCUAAUCUCUCCAGCAUCUGAUGAAUAAAGGAAAGGGGAAAAUGGUCUUUCCUAGUAGCGGCAUUCAAUUUCCUAUAAUCAAUACACAUCGGAUGACCAGUAACAGUACGAGUCAGAAUGAGUUCGUCCUUUUCAUUCUUCACUACAGUGAUACCUCCCUUUUUAGGUACAACAUGUACAGGGCUUACCCAUUUGCUAUCCGAAAUAGGGUAAAUAACUCCAGCAUCAAGGAGUUUUAUAAUUUCCUUUUUAACUACUUCCUUUAGAUUCGAAUUUAAUCUCCUUUUCUGCUCUAUUGAUGUUUUAGCGUCAUCUUCCAAGUUGAUUCGAUGCAUGCAAAGAUCGGGAGAGAUUACAGGAAUGUCAUCGAGAGAAUAUCUGAUCGCUUUCCUGUACUUGCGUAAUUUAUUUACUAAUAAAACAAGUUCUCCACUAGUGAGAUUGGCGUUGACGAUUGAUACCAUUCAAAUUACCCUAAGGAGUGUUACUCUCAUCAAAAGAGGUUCAGAUGUAGUACUUAGGAAUCGAAUCCACAAGGAGCUAGGGAACAAUUAAAUAUAGUGUUUAUUAAUUCUAAGAGUUGUAAAUGUUUAAAUGAAAUAGCAAUAGUAACAAGCAAAGCAAAUAGUAAAUGUUACUUGGUUGGAAAUGAUAUUAGAUGCAUGGCCACUAUUCAGGUGUUUGAGAUUAUAAUAUCUAUAGAUGCCUAUUUGUUGCAUGCAUGAUAUGUUAAAGCUCAACCGCUUAACUCAGUGAUCAGCUGUCACAUGUUUCACUGGUUAACAGGCUAGAUCUCGUGUCUCAACGGUUAGUAUGUUGACAACGAAAGAGUGUCGAUCGACGGUCCUAUUGGGACGUCGACCGACACAUCUUUGCCUAAUUCGACCGAUAGUCAGUUGAGGACAUCGAUCGACGGGUUCUAGCCAGGCCUAUGCGCGAGUAUGAUAUGCCCUAUUAAAAUACUAAAUUGGCGGUUAGCCCUCUCUAGCAGUCCUAAUAUGAUAGAUAGAUGUCAGGAUGUGAUAACAAGGGUGCAUGAGUAUGCAAUCCUAUAAUCAUGUUCUAGUUAGCAAGGCUAAAACAAGCAAUGAAUACAAAUCUAUCAUGAAUAUCACAACAAGACAGAUCUAUAGUUUGGGGCUAAUCCCACAAACCUAUCUGAACCCUGGAUCUAAUAAAUGAACUACUCAGACAUAGCAAAGCAAUUCAUAACAAUGAAGAAAUGGGAAUUCAUAGUAUAGAUGAAAAGAAAUGAAAACAACGAUCUCCAAUCACAAGUGAUCUUCUCUCAAAAACUCUCUCUCUCUCUCUCUCAAAGUAAAACUGUAAUAAAAAGCUCUCCCUGCCGUCAAAACACUUAGGCAGUAUAUAAUCUACUAGGUUAAAAACUCGUCAGGGCAUUUUCGUAAUUUGGGUUGGACUUGGGCUUCAAGUCCGCUGGAUCCAAAUGUCGCAUGUCCAAUGUUUCAACAUCGAUCGAUGGUACUUGUGUACAUUGAUCGAUAUUAAUCUUCAUUUGUCGAGGCAUCUCAUGGUGUCGAUCGACACCACUCGAGGUGCAUCGAUCGAUUGUUCUUCCUCUCGUCGACCUCUACAUGGUCAGCUCGGGUGAAAUGUCUUUUAAGCUCCAAAACACUCUAAAGUCAUAGCUUUACUCCGAAUGCAGAUGAACCUGAAAACAUACCUAGAAGAGUAGAAAACAUAGAUAUAUAUAUAUAUAUAUAUAUAUAUAUAUAUAUAUAUAUAUAUAUAUAUAUAUAUAUAUAUAUAUAUAUAUAUAUAGUAAAACACCUAUAUACCAUGGAUGAAAACGGGUCAAAUCCAAGGUAUAUCAAUCACCCUUUAAACCUAGAUUUUAGGAUUAAUUGGGAUCAAGCCAUUGCUUGACUCAAUACCUGAAAAUUAACUAGUAUGAUCUAACUGACUAGAUACAGACGAGAGUUGAUAUAGUGAGUUUGAAAAUAUAAAUUAAACCUGUCCGUAAAACUUUCUGGAAGAAGUAUCGAUCGACACAUCGAUAUCCUGUCGAUCGAUAUUUUGAAAGGUGUAUCGAUCGAUAUUUUGAAAGGUGUAUCGAUCGAUAUUCAUAAAUAAUUAUCGAUCGACAAUUUCUCGUGACUAACAUACGAGAGCUAAAAUGCGAGAUCAAGAUUAGAUAAUCAGAUUGAUUAUAUCUUAAGUUUAAAUUCAAGAAUAAUUAAUAUCAAUAAACCUCUACAAACCCAAAUUAAGUUUACUUAUCAUACCUGGGAAUAUACCUGAAUCUAGCUAUUUCUCCAAACUGUUAACAACCUCAAAACAAAUCAAUCAAGCAAUAAAAUUGCUCACCACUCCAUUUACUGCUUUAAAACUUAUAAACCAUUUAAUCUAGAUUUAUUUCAAGACCAUAAUCUAUUGUGUAAUCCUAGAGUCUCUAUGGAUUCGAUCCCUAAGUACUACAUCUGAACCUCUUAUUUGAGAGAGUAAUUCACUCCUUAGGGUAAUUUGAGUGAUAUCCGUUAGCUUCCGACUAAUAAACAUCGACAUUAAAGGUAAAUUGGUCAUAAGGUUAUGACCAGUGUACGACUAAUAUAUGAGACGUAAAUGUACGUCACCUUUACGACAAAUGUAUUUACUUUUAACUUACGACCAACUUAUUGAGCCGUAAAGCUACGUCUGAUAUAUGACUAAUUUUUCUAGACGCAAUAUUACGACCAAUGUGCCUCUAAUUAUUAAUUACGAUCAUCUUGUAACGACCAAUAGAUUUUCGAAGUUAAUUGGUCCUAAAGCCCAUAUUACGACCAACUAGCUACUAAUACUAUAGUCGUUAAGGUCCUGUUUUCUUGUAGUGAAAAGUCCCCAGAAAAUAUUUCUCGCAAUAUAAAUUCCGUAUAAUUUUUAUCCACAAUAAGAAGCAAACAUUGUUGGGGUCAAAAACGGUAAUCUCGAAAUAAACGUCCAAAACCUGUGUUUCUGUAUGAAAGCUUUCUCGACACACUCUCGACAAAAUUUCCUGAGCAAAAGACUCGAGAGAAAUGGAUCACAGAACCAAACAAGCAGUCCAACUCGUUUGUUCGUACGUUUUAAGGUGCAGAACUGCACAGACGAGUCAGAUGUUUAUCUAUGGAUGAAGACCUUCCCGUGGUAUGAUUGAGCUUUGAGUUAGCUUUCCAAUGCCACCGGUCUGAGGUCAAUCAGCAUUCUGUAUCAUAAGUUAUGUCUGUUUUAUUGAAGGGUGGACAGAGCACACCGUCCAGCUCGGUGGAUGGCCGAGCUGGAUCGACCACGCGACCAGCUCGGCCAUCCGCCGAGGUGAACCAGUCCAGCUCGGCCAUCCGCCGAGGUGAACCAGUCCAGCUCGGCGGAUGGUCGAGCUUGGUCGACAACACGACCAGCUCGUCCAUCCGCCAAGCUGAACCAGUCAAGCUCUGCGGAUGGCCGAGCUGGAUCGAACACGCGACCAGCUCGGCCAUCCGCCCAGUCCAGCUCGGCGGAUGGCCGAACUGGAUCAACACGCAACCAGUUCGGCCAUCCGCCGAGUUGGAACGAUCGUUCUGUCAUAGUCCCAUCCUCGUAGCUCCCUCCUUCGGGAUUGGAUCGAACAUGCUCUUGUUUCAUUUCGAUCAGAGUCACCGAUGGAACUUUACGAUUUAAAACUGCAGUAACUCAUUGUUGGGGAAAAAUAUUCCAUGAAGAGCAUACUCCAGCUUCCGUCUUCCAGGUCUAUCCCCCCGGGGUCCGGGUUCCUGUCUCUGGGUCCCGGGUCCCUGUCCCCGAGUCUGGGACCUUCCUCCGUCUUCCAGGCCAAGUGAUUUCUCCUGCCUUCCUCUGUCAACCGCUUAACUCAGUGAUCAGCUGUCGCAUGUUUCACUGGUUAACAAGCUAGAUCUCGUGUCUCAACGGUUUGUAUGUCGACAACGAGAGAGUGUCGAUCGAUGGUGUAAUAACCCUCAUGAGCCAAUAAAUUUUUGGUCGAGAAAAAUCCCGCUCGACCAGUUUUUAGUUGGUUUAACAAGGAUUAAUAAAAAUAAAAAUCGACCCGGUAGAUUAAUUUCUCGAAGGGACUGUCUUGUGGUUGAAAGACCUUCACUUGAUAGUUUGGUCGAGUCUUAAAUAUUUUGGUCGAAUUUUUAUUAAACUGGAAGAGAGUUUCCGAGAACAAGACGAGAGCCAAAGACAAGGAAUAUUUGGUUGAAAAAUUAUUGAAAAUUAUCAACCAACUGCUACAAGUAAUUUUGGACCAGACUCAUGUCUUCCACCAGCCGCUUGCUCAGUCUUUAGUCACAUGACUUGCACCUGCCUGCUUGCCUAGCUUCUUCAGUAACUGGCACAUGAUAAUCACAAGCUGCCUGCUUGCCUUGUUUCUUAGAUUGUCAUGUGAGAAGCACAUGAAAGGGCUGGAGUUUCUUCAGGUUAAGGAAAGGACAGCAGCUUGUGCUGAGAGUGCUGAAGCAGCUGGCCAGCUGUCCCCACUCAGCUUAGCUUUGUCCUGAGUGAAACCCUCACCUGAAGCAAGCUCACCUCACAUUUAACCCCUCUCCAGCUGCUUCCCACGUUCAGAACCCUGCAGAAAAUCUAGAGAAUUUCAGUGAGAAAGAGAGAAAGAAGAACAGAAAAAUCAGAGAGAAAAAUCAAGAAAAUAAAUCAAGAAAAAAUUGGUGGUGACCUAAUCUUCAACCUUAGCUCAGUUUCUUACCUUGGGAAAGAUCAGAAGGUGAGAUUUUUAAAUAAAACCCUAGACCUAGUUGAGUUCAGAUCAUGAUCAGACCUUGAUCUUUCUCUUUGAUCAGUCCAGCCACAAGCUUACCUUGGAGAAGAGGAUCAGCUGAGGCCAUCUAGUCCUUUGGUUCAUCUUGGUAAGCUUUGGUCUCCUUGCCUCAGUCAGUAUCUGAUCAGAACAGUUGAUGUUUAGUUUAGGUCUUGGUCGGAUCAGUUGUAUAAGUUCUGAUACAGUUCAGUUCUUGUUAAUUUCGGUUUGAAUCAACCUCUUAGAACAACCAGCUAUGAUAUUUUGAUCUGGCUUUGAGUAAACCGAUUUGAGCUCAGUCUGAUCUUGUCCUGAACUUUGGUAGACUGACUAGAACCGAGCUGAACUUGUAUAGUCUGAGCAGAACCAAGCUUGAACUGAUCUGAUCUAAGGUGUUAAGGCAUGAACCAAACUGAUCUUGUGAUCAUACCACUCUGUUUCAGGUCAGAGGUAGAGUAAAGCUUGAAGUAUCCAGUCCUGUCCAUUCAGCCUUGUUCAAGUGGAACUCAAGUCUUGUCCAAGCCAGUUUCAAGACUAAUCUUUAGGUGAGUCUAGAGAGAAGAUGAGAUAGAUCAUGAAUGUGUACAUGAUUGAGUUUAAAUUGUAGUAUCUCAAUUAGAUAGUAAAGUCUUUGAAUCCUUUAAGAAGUGUAUGGGUUUACUUAGUGUAAACACUUACACUUAAAGAUUAAUCAAAAGGUUAAAGUGAGGUUAAUCAUAAUCAUAGUACUUGUUCCCAAGUACUAAUCUUAUUAUGAAAUAAUCAUGGUUUUGAUUAAGGAUUAAUCAUGGUUUAAUUAAGGAUUAAUCUUGGUUUAAUUAAGGAUUAAUCUUGGUUUAAUUAAGGAUUAAUCUUGGUUUAAUUAAGGAUUAAUCUGAAAUUAAUUAAAGAGUAAUCAUGAUUAAUUAAGUACUAAUCUUGGAUUAAUUAAAGAUUAAUAUGAGAUUAAUUAAGGAUUAAUCUAGGAUUAAUUAAGAGUUAAUUAUGAUUAAUUAAGGAUUAAUUAUGGAUUAAUUUUGGAAUAAUUAUGGAAGUAAAAGCAUGUGAAAUCUUGUUAUAUUCACUAUCCCUAAAGCCCCCGCAUUACCGUGACUUGGUCCUGCGAAUGGAACAAGGUCAUGAAGACACGAUGAUGGGGUAGCUCCCUGGAGACCGUGUACUGCAUGACGAUGCAGUGUCGGAUUGUUCAUACCGGACAUUCGACAAUGAUGGUGAUGCUAACUCACUAGUCUCGGUUAGCCUUAGUGGUUUCUCGGGUCUAGUAUAUAUAUUGUAUUAUAUGAGUAUGGUAACGGGCGGGUGUUGUGGAAGUGAUGUUUAAAAUAAGAAUUCACAAUGAUGAUCGAUAUUAAAGUAUAGUACUAGUACUUGCAUGAUCAUGUAUAUGCAUUUGAUAAUUGCUUGAUUUAUUAUUGAUUGUGUUGUGAUUCUAGAUUCACUGAGUAAACUAGUUGCUCAUGACUCAUUUGUGUGUGCAGGUAAACCUUAGGCGGGAGACACUUAAAUCUUUUGGACGGAAGGAGCGGCCAACCAGCGGUAGUAUUUUGUUGUCCUUGCAACGUACAUUUUGAUGUAUAUUUACUUAAAACGUUGUUGGGCGAUAGGCCGUAGGGUAAACAAUAACAGUUUGUAAGAUGUUUAAAGUAAAUAAAUAAUGUAUAAAAGAUGUUUAUAAAUCACGAGUUCUCAUAUGAUAUUAGUCCUUGUCCGGGACGAACUAACUAUCGAAUAUUGCUUUAUCGGGUUGAAAAGCCUAGAGUAAUAUCCGAUAGGAGUGUCUGUGUUCUUUGGUUGUUGGUCUAAGGUGAUCGGAUUUAUUUCGAGAACCUCGGGUCGACCAUCAGGGAACAUCGACCGUGUCAUUUCCGGUUAUCUACGAUCGGGGGUGUCACAAAGGUGGUAUCAGAGCAUUGUUAUACGAUGCUAGAAUGGGACUUGUUUUAAAAAACUUUCGAGUCAGAAAAUGUGUCGCAAGGAUAAUUAGGAUAUGCUGGUUUGUUCCUUCUUUUAUAAAUAGAUAGACCUGGGUAGAAACUUACCAUGAUCUUUUGUUGCAGAUGCCACCGAGACAGGCACAUCGUGGUGGACAUUAUCUACCGAUACCUAUUUCAUCAUCUUCAGACUCCUCGCCGCCAUCUACUCCGGCACCACUUCCGACUCCUAGCUUUGAGGCUACACCUUCAGGCUCUAGCUUUGAGACUGACCCGUCUGAAGGGUCAUAUGAUCAGACACCGGAGCACAUUCCUUUGUCUCCAGACCCAUACUUUAUGGACAUCGAGGUGGAUGUGGUACACGAUAGUCCAGUGCAUGGAGAUCAUCCCGCAGCUCCUGCAUCUCCUGCCGCUGAUAUUCCACCAGCUCCUGCCGCUCAUAUUCCACCGGGCCCUGCCGCACCUAUUCCGGCAGCACAACCUCAACCAGCGCCAACCGAUCCAGCUAUGAUAGCACUUCUGGAACUGAUGGCUGAGAUGGUGAAUUUGCAAUAUCAAGCACUGAAUGCACAGCGAGAAGCACAGCGUGCUCAGCCAGCUCCAGUACCUACCACUUCUCACCCGGACUUCCUGAAGAUAGUCAUGAUUAUGAAGAACUUGGGGACGAAGCAUUACCAGGGAGGCACUGAUCCCUUUGAAGCUGAUGCAUGGCUUCACAAUCUCGAGCAGAACUUUGCUGCAACCCGUUGUCCGGAAGAAUUUAAAAAGGACGUGGCUGUUUACUAUCUAGAGAAGGACGCCAUCAGUUGGUGGUUAUGCGUAGAGAGGAACUUUGGAGACUUCAAUCUGAGUUGGGCUGACUUCCGUACAGCGUUCGUUCGAAAGUACUUCCCACCGGAAGCCCGUGAUCGAUUGGAGAUUAAAUUCAUGGAGCUAGUUCAGGGAGGAUUAUCUGUUAGGAAGUAUGAGGCAGAGUUCACCCGUCUCAGGAAGUAUGUCCACUAUGGUCGAGAGGACGAGAUGAUGAUUAUCCGUAAGUUCCUUCGAGGACUUAACCCAUAUAUCAGGAGCAGACUUGAGGCAGUAGAGUUUCAUCGGCUUGCUGAUCUUGUUGAGCGUGCUGUGAAUGUUGAGGAGGCCAUUGCUGCUGAGAGAGCUUCUUCUAGCAAUGCCACACAACCUAGACGUCCAUCUGUUCCGUUCCAGCCUCAGCCGCAUUCUGCUAUGCAGCGAGGACGAGGAGGUAGAGCUUUUCGGGGAGGUCGUUCUGGAGGUUCUAGACCUAGAACCCCGACUUGUUUCACUUGUGGCCAGCUGGGCCAUGUUAGGAGGGAUUGUCCGACCGUGGGACAGUUCCAACCGGCUGUACCAUCUCACAUCACUUGUUUCACGUGUGGAGAGCGAGGACAUUAUGCGACAUCAUGUCCACGCACUCAUCUUGCUCAGCCUGUUGUUUCGAGUGCUCGACCCGCCAGACCAGUUAACCCACCUUUACCCUUACCUCCUGCUAAGCGUCAAGCCACUGCUGGUAGGGCUUACGCUUUAGAGUUACCAGGACCAUCCGGACCACCUCAGGGUCCGAUUUCAGGUUUGUUUUCUUAUCCGAUUGAGUGUUGCAUAAAUUAUUAAAAAUAAAAAAAUAAUUGAUUUGUGAAUUAGUGAUAUAAAAAUAUUAUAAAAGUGGUUGAGUAAGUAAUUGACGGUAAAGUCAAUUAUUGUCAGGGACUUUGCUUGUGGGUGGAAUAUCCGCCCACAUCCUUUUCGAUUCAGGAGCAACACAUAGUUUUGUAGCUCCCGAAGUAGCAUCCCAAUUCGAUGGAGAAUUCACUAAGGUGAAUUUAUCCAUUCCUGUUCUAACUCCCGGAGAUCAAGUUCUUGAAACUGAAGGCUGUAUUCUAAGAGUUCCAAUCAUUAUCCAAGAUAUGGUUUUUCCGGCUGAUUUGUUAGUUCUCCCCUUAGAGAGGUAUGAGGUAAUCUUAGGGAUGGAUUGGCUGUCAAGUUACCGAGCUCACCUUGAUUGUGGUCGAGGGAAGAUUGUUUUUGAGAGAGAUACCCAACCCCCUUUAGCUUACCAUGGCAUAGUACCAAGUGAUGGAGCGUCAUUAGUGUCAGCAUUGAGAAUUGAAAACGUUUUGGAGAAGGGUGAAGAAGUAUACUUAGUGACCUUAGUUGCUGGACCAGUAGAAGACGAGAAAGAGCAGAACAUGGAAGAAAUACCAGUAGUCAGAGAAUACGAGGACGUGUUUAAGGCAUUAGAGGGAUUGCCGCCGUCUAGGAGUAACCCCUUUAGUAUAACCUUAGAACCCGGAUCAGCUGCAAUAGCAAAGGCACCAUACCGAAUGGCACCAGCAGAACUCGCCGAGUUGAAGCAGCAGUUAGCUGAUUUGUUAGACAAGGGUUUCAUACGUCCUAGUUCAUCACCAUGGGGAGCACCCUUGCUAUUUGUAAAGAAGAAAGACGGAAGCAUGCGGUUAUGUAUAGAUUAUCGUGGAUUCAAUAACGUAACCAUAAAAGACAAGUACCCACUCCCAAGAAUUGAUGAGCUGUUAGACCAGUUACAAGGCGCAAGCUGGUUUUCGAAGAUUGAUUUAGCUUCGGGUUAUCAUCAGAUUCCGAUUUCCGAAACCGAUAUCAUGAAGACCGCCUUUAGAACCCGCUAUGGACACUUUGAGUUCGUAGUAAUGCCUUUUGGUCUUACCAAUGCCCCGGCUGCAUUUAUGCGACUGAUGAAUGAAGUAUUUCGGGAUUACCUGGAUGAGUUUGUUAUCAUAUUCAUUGACGACAUCCUCAUAUAUUCCCGAAGUGCAGAAGAACACGAAAGGCAUCUACGACUAGUUUUGGAGCGUCUCCGAGAUCAAAAGCUUUUUGCUAAGCUUAGUAAAUGUCGUUUCUGGAAAAGAGAAGUUGGCUUCUUAGGACAUCGAGUGUCAGAAGAAGGAGUUGCCGUCGAUCCAGAAAAGAUAGCUGCUAUUAAGGAAUGGCCGCAUCCGACUUCUGUUACCGAGAUUCGAAGUUUUCUCGGAUUGGCCGGCUAUUACAGAAAGUUUGUCCAAGCAUUUGCAAGCGUAUCAAAGCCUUUGACUCGUCUUACCGGUAAAGGGAUUGCUUAUGAAUGGAGUAUAGAAACCGAGAAAGCAUUCGAAAAGUUAAAAGAAGCUUUGACGACUGCACCUAUCUUAGCAUUGCCUAAGCCUAACCAACCAUACAACGUGUAUACGGAUGCAUCUCAUGUUGGUUUAGGUUGUGUGCUGAUGCAAGAAGAUAAGGUAAUCGCCUAUGCAUCUAGGCAACUAAGAAAGCAUGAAGUGAAUUAUCCGACACAUGACCUAGAGAUGGCUGCAGUAGUAUUUGCCCUUCGGAUUUGGCGAUCAUACUUGUAUGGUGAGAAGAUCCAAGUGUUCACUGACCAUAAAAGCCUUAAGUAUCUUUUCACUCAACCUGAUCUGAACCUAAGGCAAAGACGAUGGAUGGAGUUUGUAGCUGAUUACGACAUGCAGAUCCUAUACCAUCCAGGAAAAGCCAACGUUGUUGCUGAUGCGUUGAGUAGAAGGAAAGUUGAUGUAGAUGUUGAAAAAGAACUCCAGAACUUGGAAGCGGAAUUCAAGAUGAUUAGUUUGGCUGCCUUAGAAGGAGAGGAAAGAGAACCUCUAGAACUACAAGCAGUAAGCCAAGCUGGUUUACUUUCUCGUAUCCGAGAAUAUCAAAUGAGAGAUGUGAACCUGAAGAAGAUACGAGAGCAGUUGAAUGAAGGAAACUUCGGAGGAUAUCAAGUUGCAAGUGAUGGAACUUUGUUACUCAAUGGUCGAGUAACUGUUCCGAAAGGAGAAGGACUUCAAGAGGAGAUUUUAAGGACUGCACACCAUUCUCUCUUAAGCAUUCAUCCCGGGAGCACAAAGAUGUAUCGAGAUAUCAGAAGAUAUUACCACUGGCCAGGGAUGAAGAGAGAUGUUGCCAUAUGGGUUUCUCAGUGUCAGAGUUGCCAGCGGAUAAAAGCUGAACACCAAGUCCCAGGUGGCUUACUUCAAAGCCUACCUAUCCCUGAAUGGAAAUGGGAUGCAGUAGCAAUGGACUUUAUUUCUGGUUUACCUCGAGCACCCGGCCGUGGGAAUGAUGCAGUUUGGGUGAUUGUCGAUCGUCUCACCAAAUCUGCUCAUUUCCUACCGAUGAAACUUACAGACAAAGUUGAGACGUUAGCAGAGCUGUAUUUGGAGGAAAUAGUAAAGCUUCAUGGGGUACCAGCAAAUAUAGUUUCAGACCGAGACCCGCGCUUUACAGCUGAAUUUUGGCGAGCCUUUCAACAAGCCUUGGGAACUGAUUUGCAUAUGAGUACAGCGUUUCAUCCAGAAACCGAUGGCCAAACCGAAAGAACCAUUAGAACUCUGGAAGAUCUGUUAAGGUUGUGUAUCUUAGACUGGAAUGGUCCGUGGGAAAAGUUUUUGCCGCUGAUAGAAUUCUCCUACAACAAUAGCUACCACUCUAGUAUUGGUAUGUCACCAUACGAAGCAUUGUAUGGUCGACCUUGUAGAACGCCAGUAUGUUGGGCAGAAGUUGGUGAGAGAAGAAUUCUUGGUCCAGAAAUAGUAGAUGAGGCUGCAGAGAAAGUAAGGAUAAUUCAAACCAAUAUGAAGAAGGCUCAAGACCGACAAAAGAAGUAUGCAGACCGCGGUAGAAGAGAAGUCAUUUUUGCAGUAAAUGAUUUAGUCUUCUUGAAAGUAGCUGCACAAAAAGGAAAGGAUCGAUUUGGAAAAAUUGGGAAGCUAGCUACUCGUUAUAUUGGGCCAUACCGAAUUGUCGCCAGAGUUGGAGAAGUAGCCUAUAGACUAGAACUUCCACACGAUAUGCCUAUGCAUCCGGUAUUUCAUGUAUCGAUGUUGCGUAAGCAUAUACCAGAUCCGAAUAUGGUCGAGCCGCAGCGACCAGAGAACUUGCAACCUAACCUCACUUAUCCUGAAGGUCCUUUCCGAAUAGGCGAGCGUCGUAUCAAGAAAUUGAAGAAUAGGGAAAUUUCGCAAGUUCAAGUAUUUUGGGGAAAGCGACAGAGAGUUGUUAUAACAUGGGAGGAUGAAGAUAAGUUCCGAGUUGACUAUCCAGAACUCUUCUCAAAUACCCCAGUCGUCCAGUAAAGGGUGUACACUUGUUUUUUUGAGAAUUCGGGGACGAAUUCUUUUAAGGGGGGAAGAGUGUAAUAACCCUCAUGAGCCAAUAAAUUUUUGGUCGAGAAAAAUCCCGCUCGACCAGUUUUUAGUUGGUUUAACAAGGAUUAAUAAAAAUAAAAAUCGACCCGGUAGAUUAAUUUCUCGAAGGGACUGUCUUGUGGUUGAAAGACCUUCACUUGAUAGUUUGGUCGAGUCUUAAAUAUUUUGGUCGAAUUUUUAUUAAACUGGAAGAGAGUUUCCGAGAACAAGACGAGAGCCAAAGACAAGGAAUAUUUGGUUGAAAAAUUAUUGAAAAUUAUCAACCAACUGCUACAAGUAAUUUUGGACCAGACUCAUGUCUUCCACCAGCCUGCUUGCUCAGUCUUUAGUCACAUGACUUGCACCUGCCUGCUUGCCUAGCUUCUUCAGUAACUGGCACAUGACAAUCACAAGCUGCCUGCUUGCCUUGUUUCUUAGAUUGUCAUGUGAGAAGCACAUGAAAGGGCUGGAGUUUCUUCAGGUUAAGGAAAGGACAGCAGCUUGUGCUGAGAGUGCUGAAGCAGCUGGCCAGCUGUCCCCACUCAGCUUAGCUUUGUCCUGAGUGAAACCCUCACCUGAAGCAAGCUCACCUCACAUUUAACCCCUCUCCAGCUGCUUCCCACGUUCAGAACCCUGCAGAAAACUAGAGAAUUUCAGUGAGAAAGAGAGAAAGAAGAACAGAAAAAUCAGAGAGAAAAAUCAAGAAAAUAAAUCAAGAAAAAAUUGGUGGUGACCUAAUCUUCAACCUUAGCUCAGUUUCUUACCUUGGGAAAGAUCAGAAGGUGAGAUUUUUAAAUAAAACCCUAGACCUAGUUGAGUUCAGAUCAUGAUCAGACCUUGAUCUUUCUCUUUGAUCAGUCCAGCCACAAGCUUACCUUGGAGAAGAGGAUCAGCUGAGGCCAUCUAGUCCUUUGGUUCAUCUUGGUAAGCUUUGGUCUCCUUGCCUCAGUCAGUAUCUGAUCAGAACAGUUGAUGUUUAGUUUAGGUCUUGGUCGGAUCAGUUGUAUAAGUUCUGAUACAGUUCAGUUCUUGUUAAUUUCGGUUUGAAUCAACCUCUUAGAACAACCAGCUAUGAUAUUUUGAUCUGGCUUUGAGUAAACCGAUUUGAGCUCAGUCUGAUCUUGUCCUGAACUUUGGUAGACUGACUAGAACCGAGCUGAACUUGUAUAGUCUGAGCAGAACCAAGCUUGAACUGAUCUGAUCUAAGGUGUUAAGGCAUGAACCAAACUGAUCUUGUGAUCAUACCACUCUGUUUCAGGUCAGAGGUAGAGUAAAGCUUGAAGUAUCCAGUCCUGUCCAUUCAGCCUUGUUCAAGUGGAACUCAAGUCUUGUCCAAGCCAGUUUCAAGACUAAUCUUUAGGUGAGUCUAGAGAGAAGAUGAGAUAGAUCAUGAAUGUGUACAUGAUUGAGUUUAAAUUGUAGUAUCUCAAUUAGAUAGUAAAGUCUUUGAAUCCUUUAAGAAGUGUAUGGGUUUACUUAGUGUAAACACUUACACUUAAAGAUUAAUCAAAAGGUUAAAGUGAGGUUAAUCAUAAUCAUAGUACUUGUUCCCAAGUACUAAUCUUUAUUAUGAAAUAAUCAUGGUUUUGAUUAAGGAUUAAUCAUGGUUUAAUUAAGGAUUAAUCUUGGUUUAAUUAAGGAUUAAUCUUGGUUUAAUUAAGGAUUAAUCUUGGUUUAAUUAAGGAUUAAUCUGAAAUUAAUUAAAGAGUAAUCAUGAUUAAUUAAGUACUAAUCUUGGAUUAAUUAAAGAUUAAUAUGAGAUUAAUUAAGGAUUAAUCUAGGAUUAAUUAAGAGUUAAUUAUGAUUAAUUAAGGAUUAAUUAUGGAUUAAUUUUGGAAUAAUUAUGGAAGUAAAAGCAUGUGAAAUCUUGUUAUAUUCACUAUCCCUAAAGCCCCCGCAUUACCGUGACUUGGUCCUGCGAAUGGAACAAGGUCAUGAAGACACGAUGAUGGGGUAGCUCCCUGGAGACCGUGUACUGCAUGACGAUGCAGUGUCGGAUUGUUCAUACCGGACAUUCGACAAUGAUGGUGAUGCUAACUCACUAGUCUCGGUUAGCCUUAGUGGUUUCUCGGGUCUAGUAUAUAUAUUGUAUUAUAUGAGUAUGGUAACGGGCGGGUGUUGUGGAAGUGAUGUUUAAAAUAAGAAUUCACAAUGAUGAUCGAUAUUAAAGUAUAGUACUAGUACUUGCAUGAUCAUGUAUAUGCAUUUGAUAAUUGCUUGAUUUAUUAUUGAUUGUGUUGUGAUUCUAGAUUCACUGAGUAAACUAGUUGCUCACGACUCAUUUGUGUGUGCAGGUAACCCUUAGGCGGGAGACACUUAAAUCUUUUGGACGGAAGGAGCGGCCAACCAGCGGUAGUAUUUUGUUGUCCUUGCAACGUACAUUUUGAUGUAUAAUUACUUAAAACGUUGUUGGGCGAUAGGCCGUAGGGUAAACUAUAACAGUUUGUAAGAUGUUUAAAGUAAAUAAAUAAUGUAUAAAAGAUGUUUAUAAAUCACGAGUUCUCAUAUGAUAUUAGUCCUUGUCCGGGACGAACUAACUAUCGAAUAUUGCUUUAUCGGGUUGAAAAGCCUAGAGUAAUAUCCGAUAGGAGAAUCUGUGUUCUUUGGUUGUUGGUCUAAGGUGAUCGGAUUUAUUUCGAGAACCUCGGGUCGACCAUCAGGGAACAUCGACCGUGUCAUUUCCGGUUAUCUACGAUCGGGGGUGUCACAGAUGGUCCUAUUGGGACGUCGACCGAUACACCUUUGCCAACGUCGAUCGAUAGUCAGUUGAGAACAUCAAUCGACGGGUUCUUGCCAGGCCUAUGCGCGAGUAUAAUAUGCUUUAUUAAGAUACUAAAUUGGCGGUUAGCCCUCUCUAGCAGUCCUAAUAUUAUAGAUAGAUUUCAGGAUGGGAUAACAAGGGUGCUUGAGUAUGCAAUCCUAUGAUCAAGUUCUAGUUAGCAAGGCUAAAACAAGCAAUGAAUACAAAUCUAUCAUGAAUAUCACAACAAGGCAAAUCUAUAGUUUGGGGCUAAUCCCACAAACCUAUCUGAACCCUGGAUCUAAUAAUUGAACUACUCAGACAUAGCAGAGCAAUUCAUAACAAUGAAGAAAUAGAAAUUCAUAGUAUAGAUGAAAAGAAAUGAGAAGAAGGAGUUCCAAUCACAAGUGAUCUUCUCUCCAAAACUCUCUCUUCUCUCUCAAAGUAAAACUGUAACAAAAAGCUCUCUUCUGCCGUCAAAACACUUAGGCAGUAUAUAAUCUACUAGGUUAAAAACUCGUCAGGGCAUUUUCGUAAUUUGGCUUGGCCUUGGGUUUUAAGUCCGCUGGAUCCAAAAUGUCGCGUGUCUAAUUUCUCGACAUCGAUCGAUGGUACUUGCGUACAUCGAUUGAUAAUAAUCUUCAUCAGUCGAGGCAUCUCUUGGUGUCGAUCGAGAGCACUGAUGCGCAUCGAUCGAUUGUUCUUCCUCUCGUCGACCUCUACAUGGUGAUACCACUCAAAUUACCCUAAGGAGUGUUACUCUCAUCAAAAGAGGUUCAGAUGUAGUUAUUAGGGAUCGAAUCCACAAGGAGCUAGGGAACAAUUAAAUCUAGUGUUUAUUAAUUCUAAAGGUUGUAAAUGUUUAAAUGGAAUAGCAAUAGUAACAAGCGAGUAAAUAUAAAUGUAACUUGGUUGGAAAUGAUAUUAGAUGCAGGGCCACUAUUCAGAUGUUGGAGAUUAUAAUACUUAUAGAUGCCUAACUGUUGCAUGCAUGAUAUAUUAGAGCUCAUUCGCUUAACUCAGUGAUCAGCUGUCGCAUGUACCACUGGUUAAUAGACUAGAUCUCGUGUCUCACCGGUUAGUAUGCAGACACAAGAGAGUGUCGAUCGAUAGUCUAUUAAGACGUCGACCGAUACACCUUUGCCAACAUCGAUCGAUUGUCAGUUGAGGACAUCGAUCGACAGGUUCUAGCCAGGCGUAUGAAAUGCUCUACUAAGAUUCUAAAUUGGCGGUUAGCCCUCUCUAGCAGUCCUAAUAUGAUAGAUAGAUGUCAGGAUGGGAUAACAAGGGUCCUUGAGUAUGCAAUCCUAUGAUCAAGUUCUAGUUAAUUACUCUAAAACAAGCAAUGAAUACAAAUCUAUCAUGAAUAUCACAACAAGGCAGAUCUAUAGUUUGGGGCUAAUCCAACAAACCUAUCUGAACCCUAAACCUAACAGGUGGAUCUACUCAGAAAUGAAAACAGAAAUCAUAGAUGAAUAGAUAUAAAACUGAAAUAGAAUAGAUAAGAAAACUAAUGGAGUUCCAGGAGGACUAUGAUAGGAGUUCCUCCCUUCUCUCCUAAGAGAAACAAUGGAAAUGAAAGUGUGUAGAAAGCGUAGAAAGCGUAGCCGUCAACAAUGGCUUAGAAAUAACAUAAAUAGGGUUUCUGGUCGUCCAAGGGUAUUUUGGUAAUUUGUGGCUUCUAGGGCUUCACGCAGUCAUAAAAUAUACAAGGCCCAUGAUCUGUAAUCUCCAUCAAUCGAUGUUCAGAGUGCUGCAUCGAUCGACGCGGCUUCCUCUUCUCGGCAGCUUCCUCUGGCGAGGCAGACUGACCACUCUUCAGUAAAACGGGCAUAACUUCUGCUACAGAAUGCUGAUUGACCUGAGACCGGUGGCAUUGGAAAGCUAACUCAAUUCUCUUUCUUGUUUCGAAAUAUGGGCUCAAUCUAACGGUCGGAAAGUCUCCAUCAAUAGCUAAACAUCUGACGCAUCUGUGCAACUCUGCACCUCCAAAUGCUCCAUAAGAUUCCAAAAUCACCAUAUUUCUUCUAAACGUCUCUGAACCUGUAAAUAUUCUAAAUAGAUUCCAAAACAUAAUAAUUGUAUCUUAAAACACUUUAAAACACUUAUAGACCAUGAUUAAAAAUUGAUAAAAUAUAUGGUCUAUCAAGGACCGCCUACAAAACACCGUUACGAACAACACCAUUCCACCCCCUUUAUGGCAAAUCAUGUCAUCUACCAGUCGAACUGGAACAUAAAGCAGCUUGGGCUACCAAACUUUUGGACUUUGAUAUCAUACCAGCUGCAGAAAGGAGACUCAUCCAGCUUAACGAGCUUGAUCAAAUCAGACAUUUAGCUUUCGAAAAUUCAAAAAUCUAUAAAGGACUAAAGCUUAUCACGAUAGAAAGAUCAUAUCCCGGCACUUCGAGCCAGAUGAUCAAGUCCUCCUUUAUAACUCUCGAUUGACAUUAUUUCCUGGAAAGCUAAAAUCCCGUUGGUCUGGACCCUUCACCGUAACGAACGUUCAACCCUCCGGAGCUAUCACCUUACAAAAUGAGAAAGGCCAGGAAUUUACGGUGAAUCGCCAACGAGUUAAGCAUUAUUGGGCCAAACCACCAGCGAAAGUGCCCAUGGUGCUGUAUGAACCUGAUAAUUAGUUUAAUCAGGAAGUCCAGCUAAAGACUUAAAAAUUAAGCGCUGAAUGGGAGGCAGCCCAUUUUUAUAAAAGAAAAAAAAAGAAUAAUAAUAAUAAUUUAAUUUAAAAAAUCAUUAAUUAAAAUUAAUAAAUUAUAUUUACUAGUAAUUAAUAGUAAUUUCCGUAUUUCUUAAUAUUAGCAUUAUUUACAAAAUUUAGAAAUUAGAAUUUGUCUUUAAAGAGGACAUCGAUCGGCGAGGCAUUACUGCCAUCGAUCGAUGCAGGCAUAUCGACGGUUUUAACACUAACUUCACUCAAUAUCAACCCAGUUCGUCUUCCACACUCACAAACGAAACCAAAAACAAAAACCCCAUUAUCUCUCUCGAUUCUCGACGGAUUUCGUCCGUUCUUCGCCUAAAUCCACUCGAUUUUUUACUCUGUAACUGUUAAAUCCACUCCCGAAAUCAACAAUCAAGGUAUGCACUCGAAAUUUUCAAUUUUUCGAAAAAUUAGGGUUUUCGUUUUGAGUUGGAUUAGAACGCUUGAUUUAGUGCGAUUGAGAGAUGUUUUUGUAGUUCAUAUUGCUUAUCUAGAGUUCGGUUUGUGAUUUCCAUGCAUUUAGAUUCGUAUAAACGCGAUUUGGAGUUGAGUGAUUUUGCAGGUUUCGCGAUUCCACAUCGGUCGAUAUGAACUUGUUCGCAUCGACCGAUGCUCUCUUGUCCGAUUGUUCCGACACGACGAUAUCGAUCGAUGUUCAGUAUAACCCAUCGAUCGAUAAGACAUUUUAUCGACAAUGCUAACCUUCUUUUCUUCUUGGUUUCAGAUGAGCAGCUCAGAGACAAACGCACGAAACAGAGAACUCAGGUCGAAAAGGAGGUUCGACGAGACUAGCAGCUCCUCCAACCCACAGCGUCAUCCAUGGCCUCGCGCCGAAAACACACCAUUCAAUGUCCCGGGCUAUGCUGAUCCUAAGGCAGCGAUCAACAGCAACGAGUGCCGUCAGCGUCCUCUGUCCGAUGACUGGGACGACUACGACAGCCUCUUCUACAAUGCCUGGCUAGGAAUUUCUAUCGAGCCCACCAAAUUCCUCGACCGACCCAUCCUGAAGAAGCUCGGGAUCGAGGGAGAUAUUAAGGACAUGAUCACACAGCUAGGACUCGGUACCAUGCCCUCUCGCGCUUAUGACCUCUACCCCGAUCUCGUCCGCCAGUUCAUGGCCACUGUCAAGGUCACCUACAGGACUUCAGCUGCGAGGGUAGCGGGAGAUGGCACUUUGACCUUCUUCGCCAGAGGGACACGCUACAGGAUCACUAUCUCCGAGCUCUGCCGCAUCUACGGUUUCGAUGAGAGCAUCGCCUCUUACACGGUCCCACCUUUCUCACACAUUGAGGGAUUCUGGGACAUCGUCGGCACAGGAGUUUGGGACACGAACAGGGCCGUGCUAUCAGACAUCCGCUACUUCCUACGGCUCGUUGCAAACACACUUGUUUGCAAGAUGGAGCCCAACAAGGCCAGGAUAAAGGAGCUCACACUACUUUUCUGCGCAGUGAACGGCGUGGUGGAUUUGGUUGAGUUGGACGAGGAUGGCGAGGUAAGCCCGCCGAACCUCGGAGCUGUCUUUGCCACGCAUUUGGUGGAGCUGAAGAAGAAGCCCUUCACCAGCAAGGGCAAGAACAAGAAGGAGACAGUUGGGAGUCUUCUGACCUCGAUUUUCCAGUAUCUCGGCAUCCACCUUGACUCUCGCUCUGCCGACCGCGACCACGCCUUCCUCGAUGAGCAGCACUUGAUGCACUCGCUAUGGCUCGAGGAAGGGAAGCUCUGGCGCCUCAGGAUCCGCGACGAGCAUCGCCUUCUACCCCUACCAGAUAGGAGGAUCACUGACUUCUGCAACAACGUGGAGCAGCUUUGAUGCAUGCCAGACGAGGCAUUCCUCCGCAACCCGCAGAACAUGUCAUGCCGACCUCCCAGCAUUCGCCGUACCAGAGCUCGGGACGCACAUGCACCUCCUCUUCCUGACUUCCCGAACAUCCCGGACAUCCCUAUGCACGACCAGGGAGACUUUCAGAGGUUCGUGGUGGACGCUCUUCAGGCCAUCUGGGCUAGAGUGUCUUGUCGGAGCAGGAGAGCCACAGGAGCGCAGGCACCAGCACCAGCAGCACGCAGGGACCCAUCCCCAGAGGCCGAUGAGGCGACUGAUGAGGACACCAAUUAGUCCUCCCAUCUCUAUCUCUUCUCCUCUUAUUAUGAACUUGUUUAUUUAUUUUCCGAACUUGUAGGAUUUAUGUUUUUAAACUUAUAUUUAUGUUUGAGGAUGCUUAUUAUUUCUUAUGCUUGAUUGUCUAACAGAGCUAACAUUAGGCAAGGGACUUCGAGUUUGACUCCAAGCACAUGCGAAAAUGUCUGUGCUUCGCCAUCGAUCAAUUUAGAGAGGAUUACAUCGAUCGAAUCUGGGCGAGUAACAUCGAUCGAUAUGGAGAGGAUUACAUCGAUUGAUGUGUAGUACAGAUAGGUACUUCAUUCUUACUCUAACAUUCUCAAACAUCUAACUUGAUUUUAACCUACCCUUGGACACUUUGCACCGAGUCGGUGCAAUUUAAGUCUGGGGGAGGUAGUUACUAACACCAUUUUCUUGAGUUUUUGUCAAAAAUCUUUUCAAAAAUAAUUUUAUUGAGUGAAGAAGGGGAUUAUGAACUAAUGAUUUCUACUUGAAUGUCUAACCACUUUCUAGCACCAUUCUAGAUUUACUGACUCCAGAUAAUACUAUAGAUGUUAAAGUGGAUCAACCAGUCAACUAUACACACUUGCUAGCUUGUUAGAAAGAACCGAAGCUAACCUCCAACACUAACCUGACUUCACUGCUUGUUUUGGGGCUUGGUAUACAUGGGAUCGGAUUUUUCAGACAAGUCUGGAAGGUAACGCCUGGUUUAGAUUAUUUAUCACAUUUUCUCUCUCUAAAUUUCGACCCUAGAUUAGUUAGUGAGUACACCCAAAAAAAAAAGAUCUAUUGUUUAAUUAGGAUGAGUCUGAACAGGACUUGGUGGCUAAAACCAUUAAGGCUUGAUUCAUAAAGACUCAAAUAAAAGAGUUCAAAACGGGACUUGGAGGCGGCAAUCUUCAAAGCUCGCUUUCGCAAAGAACUCUUGGAUAUAGGUCAAAAAGAAGUGAACAGAACUUGGUGGCAACCACCAUUAAGUUUUGAUUCAUGGAAGCCUAUCCAAUCUUGGUCACUGAUCCUGCAAUGGAAGCAGACUUUGACCCAAGAAAGAAAUUUAGAGAGAGAGAAACUAGGAACUAACUUUUACCUGCAGCUCCAGAUACUUGUCUGAAAUCCUUGCAUCCUGUGAUUGAUACUCCCAAGGUAAAGCCUACACUUUUUACAUUAAGAAAUGAGGUCUGUUGAGGAGAUUGAUAAUAAGAUUAGUUAAGAUUGUUGGCUAGAUGAUUUUGGUUGCUAAGCUAGGAUAUUGCAUAAUGUAUAUUUGUAAGAAGGAACCUUAGAUGUGGAAUGCAAUAUUAUAGAGGUGAUAAUUUCAAUGUUUCAAAUCUGUGAGUCCCUGAUGUUUUCAACCCUCUUCCAGAGAGAUUGUCCAUUGGUUUAACUUGAGGACAAGUCAAAAGAUAAGUCUGGGGGAGUUGAUAUACCAUGAUUUUCACCCGUUUUUAUACAUGGCAUAUAAAGGUUUUAAGAUGUAUUAAUCAUGUUUUAGAGUCUUUUUAAAGCAAAUACAGGUUUAUUCACUUGAUGGAAGGAAAUGAUACUUUUGGGACAUUUUGGAAUGCUUUUACGCAAGGAAAAUCGAUCGACGCUUGAAGAGCAACAUCGGUCGAUCAUAAUCACUUACCAUCGAUCGACAUACAUUUAUGUGCAUCGAUCGAUACCCAGUCACACGGAUGAAAUCGCAAAUUAAAAGAUUUCAUUUCCCAGAAGAUCUAUUAUUUACAACUUAAGUCCCUAGCCGCCUGUUAGGCUAUAUGUACUAGGGUUUUGUAUCAUUUCUAGCAGACACUUGCAAAAAGACCUAGUUUUGGAGAAAGAGCAUUUUGGCUACCAUUACGAGAGCUUAAGAAUGGAGAGAUAGAUCUGAAACUGCAAAACAGAGAAGAUCUUGAACUCCUUUAUUUCUAUUACUCUAUCUAUUUGUGUUCUAUGUUUCAUUUGAGUUUAUUUCACACCAUCAUGACUUUGUCUCUCAUGAAUAUGUUUGAGUAAAUCAAUUGUUAGAUUUAGGUUUCUCACCAUGGUUGAAAUUAUGUACUGCUAAUAUGACUGUUAAAAAGGUGUUUUGAUUGUUCUUUCAUUGCUUAUGGACUUAAUGCUAAAAUUGAGAUUGAUCACCUUCAUUUUAGAUCUUAGGAUUAAUUGAGUCCAACUAACCGUUUCCCCUCAAUACCUGAACCCAUUUGCGUGAUCUAACUAACUCAGGCGCAACGACAAUUGGUCUGAGAAGGUUAAAGAACAAGUUAAACCCGUUCGCAAAGCUCGCUAGAAUAACUGUCGAUCGACGUAACUAUCGUUCUGUCGAUCGAUCGUUACAAAGGUGUAUUGGUCGAUGUACAUCAAGUCACAUCGAUCGACACUCUCUCGAGAUCAAAGUACGACAUUUGAGAUUCGAGAUCUAGUGAAGAUAACCUAUCCGGUUAAAUCAAUGUUUAGUUCAAGAACCAUUAAACCCUUUAGUCUAAACUAAGUGCAUACAUUUUAUACCUGAGAAUUGCCUGAAUCUAGCUGCUUUCCCAAUCUUGAAACCACUUCAAUUCAAUCUAUUGAAUCACUGUUGUUUUCGAUUUAUCAUUUACUGCUUUUAAAACUAUUAAAACCUUUUAGUCUAUCUUCAUUUCUAAUUAUUUAAGUCUGUUGAGUAAUCCUAGAGUCUCUGUGGAUUCGAUCCCUAAGUACUACAUCUGAACCUCUUUUGAUGAGAGUAACACUCUUUAGGGUAAUUUGAGUGAUAUCAUUUAGCAUCUUUCUUUUGCAUUAAAUAUUUGAUGGCAGCGUGAUUAGUGUGAACUACCACUCGUGAGCCAAUCAAGUACUGACGGAAUUUUUCAAAAGCGUAAACUACAGCUAAUAGUUCUUUUUCUGUUGUUGCGUAAUCAAGCGUGCGGCUGGCGUAGUAAAUCGCGUGUAGCUUUUUGUCUUUCCUUUGGCCUAAAACAGCUCCAAUUGCGAAAUCGCUCGCAUCGCACAUGAUUUUGAAAGGAAGGUUCCAGUCGGGGGCUUGUACGACGAAGGCAGUGAUAAGAGAUUUCUUUAAAUCUUCAAAAGCUUUCAUGCAUUCAGGGGUAAAAUCGAAUUUAAUAUCCUUGCAUAAUAGGUUAUUUAGAGGUCUAGCGAUUUUGCCGAAGUCCAGUAUAAAUCUCCUGUAAAAUCCGACGUGUCCGAGAAAACUUCGCACAUCUUUAACAGUUUUGGGCGGAGGUAAACUGGUCAUUGCUUCAAUCUUAGCUCUAUCUACCUCUAUACCAGCGACAGAAACCUUAUGUCCUAACACUAUUCCAUCGUUAACCAUGAAAUGGCAUUUUUCCCAUUUUAGGACAAGGUUCUUUUCUUCGCAUCUUUCCAAUACUUUGCAUAAAUUAUCAAGGCAACUCUUAAAAUCUGAUCCGUAGACUGAAAAGUCAUCCAUGAAUAUUUUCAUGAAGUCCUCGAUCAUAUCCGUAAAGAUUGACAUCAUGCAACGUUGGAAAGUGGCAGGGGCGUUACAAAGACCAAAUGGCAUUCUGCGAUAUGCGAAAGUUCCAUAGGGGUAUGUUAACGUUGUAUUUUCUUGAUCAUCCGGGUGUAUAGGAAUUUGGAAAAAUCCGGAAUAUCCAUCAAGAAAACAGUAAUACUGGUGAUUAGCUAAUCUCUCCAGCAUCUGAUGAAUAAAGGAAAGGGGAAAAUGGUCUUUCCUAGUAGCGGCAUUCAAUUUCCUAUAAUCAAUACACAUCGGAUGACCAGUAACAGUACGAGUCAGAAUGAGUUCGUCCUUUUCAUUCUUCACUACAGUGAUACCUCCCUUUUUAGGUACAACAUGUACAGGGCUUACCCAUUUGCUAUCCGAAAUAGGGUAAAUAACUCCAGCAUCAAGGAGUUUUAUAAUUUCCUUUUUAACUACUUCCUUUAGAUUCGAAUUUAAUCUCCUUUUCUGCUCUAUUGAUGUUUUAGCGUCAUCUUCCAAGUUGAUUCGAUGCAUGCAAAGAUCGGGAGAGAUUAUAGGAAUGUCAUCGAGAGAAUAUCUGAUCGCUUUCCUGUACUUGCGCAAUUUAUUUACUAAUAAAACAAGUUCUCCACUAGUGAGAUUGGCGUUGACGAUUGAUACCAUUCAAAUUACCCUAAGGAGUGUUACUCUCAUCAAAAGAGGUUCAGAUGUAGUACUUAGGAAUCGAAUCCACAAGGAGCUAGGGAACAAUUAAAUCUAGUGUUUAUUAAUUCUAAGAGUUGUAAAUGUUUAAAUGAAAUAGCAAUAGUAACAAGCAAAGCAAAUAGUAAAUGUAACUUGGUUGGAAAUGAUAUUAGAUGCAUGGCCACUAUUCAGGUGUUUGAGAUUAUAAUAUCUAUAGAUGCCUAUUUGUUGCAUGCAUGAUAUGUUAGAGCUCAACCGCUUAACUCAGUGAUCAGCUGUCACAUGUUUCACUGGUUAACAGGCUAGAUCUCGUGUCUCAACGGUUAAUAUGUUGACAACGAAAGAGUGUCAAUCGACGGUCCUAUUGGGACGUCGACCGACACAUCUUUGCCUAAUUCGACCGAUAGUCAGUUGAGGACAUCGAUCGACGGGUUCUAGCCAGGCCUAUGCGCGAGUAUGAUAUGCCCUAUUAAAAUACUAAAUUGGCGGUUAGCCCUCUCUAGCAGUCCUAAUAUGAUAGAUAGAUGUCAGGAUGGGAUAACAAGGGUGCAUGAGUAUGCAAUCCUAUAAUCAUGUUCUAGUUAGCAAGGCUAAAACAAGCAAUGAAUACAAAUCUAUCAUGAAUAUCAUAACAAGACAUAUCUAUAGUUUGGGGCUAAUCCCACAAACGUAUCUGAACCCUGGAUCUAAUAAAUGAACUACUCAGACAUAGCAAAGCAAUUCAUAACAAUGAAGAAAUGGGAAUUCAUAGUAUAGAUGAAAAGAAAUGAAAACAACGAUCUCCAAUCACAAGUGAUCUUCUCUCAAAAACUCUCUCUCUCUCUCUCUCAAAGUAAAACUGUAACAAAAAGCUCUCCCUGCCGUCAAAACACUUAGGCAGUAUAUAAUCUACUAGGUUAAAAACUCGUCAGGGCAUUUUCGUAAUUUGGGUUGGACUUGGGCUUCAAGUCCGCUGGAUCCAAAUGUCGCAUGUCCAAUGUUUCAACAUCGAUCGAUGGUACUUGUGUACAUUGAUCGAUAUUAAUCUUCAUUUGUCGAGGCAUCUCAUGGUGUCGAUCGACACCACUGGAGGUGCAUCGAUCGAUUGUUCUUCCUCUCGUCGACCUCUACAUGGUCAGCUCGGGUGAAAUGUCUUUUAAGCUCCAAAACGCUCCAAAGUCAUAGCUUUACUCCGAAUGCAGAUGAACCUGAAAACAUACCUAGAAGAGUAGAAAACAUAGAUAUAUAUAUAUAUAUAUAUAUAUAUAUAGUAAAACACCUAUAUACCAUGGAUGAAAACGGGUCAAAUCCAAGGUAUAUCAAUCACCCUUUAAACCUAGAUUUUAAGAUUAAUUGGGAUCAAGCCAUUGCUUGACUCAAUACCUGAAAAUUAACUAGUAUGAUCUAACUGACUAGAUACAGACGAGAGUUGAUAUAGUGAGUUUGAAAAUAUAAAUUAAACCUGUCCGUAAAACUUUCUGGAAGAAGUAUCGAUCGACACAUCGAUAUCCCUGUCGAUCGAUAUUUUGAAAGGUGUAUCGAUCGAUAUUUUGAAAGGUGUAUCGAUCGAUAUUCAUAAAGAAUUAUCGAUCGACAAUUUCUCGUGUCUAACAUACGAGAGCUAAAAUGCGAGAUCAAGAUUAGAUAAUCAGAUUGAUUAUAUCUUAAGUUUAAAUUCAAGAAUAAUUAAUAUCAAUAAACCUCUACAAACCCAAAUUAAGUUUACUUAUCAUACCUGGGAAUAUACCUGAAUCUAGCUAUUUCUCCAAACUGUUAACAACCUCAAAACAAAUCAAUCAAGAAAUAAAAUUGCUCACCACUCCAUUUACUGCUUUAAAACUUAUAAACCAUUUAAUCUAGAUUUAUUUCAAGACCAUAAUCUAUUGUGUAAUCCUAGAGUCUCUAUGGAUUCGAUCCCUAAGUACUACAUCUGAACCUCUUAUUUGAGAGAGUAAUUCACUCCUUAGGGUAAUUUGAGUGAUAUCCGUUAGCUUAUGACUAAUAAACAUCGACAUUAAAGGUAAAUUGGUCAUAAGGUUAUGACCAGUGUACGACUAAUAUAUGAGACGUAAAUGUACGUCACCUUUACGACAAAUGUAUUUACUUUUAACUUACGACCAACUUAUUGAGCCGUAAAACUACGUCUGAUAUAUGACUAAUUUUUCUAGACGCAAUAUUAUGACCAAUGUGCCUCUAAUUAUUAAUUACGAUCAUCUUGUAACGACCAAUAGAUUUUCGAAGUUAAUUGGUCCUAAAGCCCAUAUUACGACCAACUAGCUACUAAUACUAUAGUCGUUAAGGUCCUGUUUUCUUGUAGUGAAAAGUCCCCAGAAAAUAUUUCUCGCAAUAUAAAUUCCGUAUAAUUUUUAUCCACAAUAAGAAGCAAACAUUGUUGGGGUCAAAAAUGUUAAUCUCGAAACAAACGUCCAAAACCUGUGUUUCUGUAUGAAAGCUUUCUCGACACACUCUCGACAAAAUUUCCUGAGCAAAAGACUCGAGAGAAAUGGAUCACAGAACCAAACAAGCAGUCCAACUCGUUUGUUCGUACGUUUUAAGGUGCAGAACUGCACAGACGAGUCAGAUGUUUAGCUAUGGAUGAAGACCUUCCCGUGGUAUGAUUGAGCUUUGAGUUAGCUUUCCAAUGCCACCGGUCUGAGGUCAAUCAGCAUUCUGUAUCAUAAGUUAUGUCUGUUUUAUUGAAGGGUGGACAGACCACACCGUCCAGCUCGGUGGAUGGCCGAGCUGGAUCGACCAUGCGACCAGCUCGGCCAUCCGCCGAGGUGAACCAGUCCAGCUCGCCAUCCGCCGAGGUGAACCAGUCCAGCUCGGCGGAUGGUCGAGCUUGGUCGACAACACGACCAGCUCGUCCAUCCGCCAAGCUGAACCAGUCAAGCUCUGCGGAUGGCUGAGCUGGAUCGAACACGCGACCAGCUCGGCCAUCUGCCGAGCUGGAUUGACAACACAACCAGCUCGGCCAUCCGCCCAGUCCAGCUCGGCGGAUGGCCGAACUGGAUCAACACACGACCAGUUCGGCCAUCCGCCGAGUUGGAACGAUCGUGCUGUCAUAGUCCCAUCCUCGUAGCUCCCACCUUCGGGAUUGGAUCGAACAUGCUCUUGUUUCAUUUCGAUCAGAGUCACCGAUGGAACUUUACGAUUUAAAACCGCAGUAACUCAUUGUUGGGGAAAAAUAUUCCAUGAAGAGCAUACUCCAGCUUCCGUCUUCCAGGUUUAUCCCCCCGGGGUCCGGGUUCCUGUCUCUGGGUCCCGGGUCCCUGUCCCCGAGUCUGGGACCUUCCUCCGUCUUCCAGGCCAAGUGAUUUCUCCUGCCUUCCUCCGUCAACCGCUUAACUCAGUGGAUCAGCUGUCGCAUGUUUCACUGGUUAACAAGCUAGAUCUCGUGUCUCAACGGUUUGUAUGUCGACAACGAGAGAGUGUCGAUCGAUGGUCCUAUUGGGACGUCGACCGAUACACCUUUGCCAACGUCGAUCGAUAGUCAGUUGAGAACAUCGAUCGACGGGUUCUUGCCAGGCCUAUGCGCGAGUAUAAUAUGCUCUAUUAAGAUACUAAAUUGGCGGUUAGCCCUCUCUAGCAGUCCUAAUAUUAUAGAUAGAUUUCAUGAUGGGAUAACAAGGGUGCUUGAGUAUGCAAUCCUAUGAUCAAGUUCUAGUUAGCAAGGCUAAAACAAGCAAUGAAUACAAAUCUUUCAUGAAUAUCACAACAAGGCAGAUCUAUAGUUUGGGGCUAGUCCCACAAACCUAUCUGAACCCUUGAUCUAAUAAUUGAACUACUCAGACAUAGCAGAGCAAUUCAUAACAAUGAAGAAAUAGAAAUUCAUAGUAUAGAUGAAAAGAAAUGAGAAGAAGGAGUUCCAAUCACAAGUGAUCUUCUCUCCAAAACUCUCUCUUCUCUCUCAAAGUAAAACUGUAACAAAAAGCUCUCUUAUGCCGUCAAAACACUUAGGCAGUAUAUAAUCUACUAGGUUAAAAACUCGUCAGGGCAUUUUCGUAAUUUGGCUUGGCCUUGGGUUUUAAGUCCGCUGGAUCCAAAAUGUCGCGUGUCUAAUGUCUCGACAUCGAUUGAUGGUACUUGCGUACAUCGAUUGAUAUUAAUCUUCAUCAGUCGAGGCAUCUCUUGGUGUCGAUCGAGAGCACUGAUGCGCAUCGAUCGAUUGUUCUUCCUCUCGUCGACCUCUACAUGGUGAUACCACUCAAAUUACCCUAAGGAGUGUUACUCUCAUCAAAAGAGGUUCAGAUGUAGUUAUUAGGGAUCGAAUCCACAAGGAGCUAGGGAACAAUUAAAUCUAGUGUUUAUUAAUUCUAAAGGUUGUAAAUGUUUAAAUGGAAUAGCAAUAGUAACAAGCGAGUAAAUAUAAAUGUAACUUGGUUGGAAAUGAUAUUAGAUGCAGGGCCACUAUUCAGAUGUUGGAGAUUAUAAUACUUAUAGAUGCCUAACUGUUACAUGCAUGAUAUAUUAGAGCUCAUUCGCUUAACUCAGUGAUCAGCUGUCGCAUGUACCACUGGUUAAUAGACUAGAUCUCGUGUCUCACCGGUUAGUAUGCAGACACAAGAGAGUGUCGAUCGAUAGUCUAUUAAGACGUCGACCGAUACACCUUUGCCAACAUCGAUCGAUUGUCAGUUGAGGACAUCGAUCGACGGGUUCUAGCCAGGCGUAUGAAAUGCUCUACUAAGAUUCUAAAUUGGCGGUUAGCCCUCUCUAGCAAUCCUAAUAUGAUAGAUAGAUGUCAGGAUGGGAUAACAAGAGUGCUUGAAUAUGCAAUCCUAUGAUCAAGUUCUAGUUAGCUAGGCUAAAACAAACAAUGAAUACAAAUCUAUCAUGAAUAUCACAACAAGGCAGAUCUAUAGUUUGGGACUAAUCCCACAAACCUAUCUGAACCCUGGAUCUAACAGUUGAACUACUCAGACAUAGCAAAGUAAUUCAUAUCAAUAGAUAAAUAGAAACUCAUAAGAAUAGAUGAAAAGAAAUAAAAAACAAGGAGUUCCAAUCACAAGUGAUCUUCUCUCCCAAAUGAAACUUGUAACAAAACUAGGUCUAGAAAAAGCUAUGUUCUUCUGCCGUCAAAAACACUAGGCAGUAUAUAUUCUACUAGGUUAAAAACUCGUCAGGGUAUUUUGGUAAUUUGGCUUGGCCUUGGUUUUUAAGUCUGCUGAAUCCAAAAUGUCGCGUCUGGUGUCUCGACAUCGAUCGAUAUUAAUCUUCAUCUGUCGAGGCAUUUCCUGAUAUCGAUCGUCAGUGCUGAUGCGCAUCGAUCGAUUAUUCUUCCUCUCGUCGACCUCUAAGUGGUCAGCUCGAGUGAAAUGUCUUUUAAGCUCCAAAAUGCUCCAAAGUCAUAGCUUUACUCCGAAAUGCACCUGAACCUGAAAACAUACCUAGAAGAGUAGAAAACAUAGAUAUAUAUAUAUAUAUAUAUAUAUAAAACACUUAUAUACCAUGGAUAAAAAUGGGUCAAAUCCAAGGUAUAUCAACUCCCCCAGACUUACCCUUUUGCUUGUCCUCAAGCAAAACAUACAGGCAGUCUCUCUGAAAGAGGUUUGAAAAUAUUUAGGAUUUAAGAUUUUAAAACAUAGAAAUCUUUCCUCAACAAUUUUGCAACCACAUUUAAAAAGUCCUAAUCACAAAAGCACACUAUGCAAUAUCCUAGCUUAGCAACCAUUUCUAACAUAACACAACUCAUCAAUUCACGUCUGACAUCCCCUCUAUGAUUUCAUUUCUUAGCAUAAAUAUAAAGUGAAUGCUUUACCUUGGGAGUAUCGAUCACAUGAUGCAAGGAUUUCAGACAGGUAUCUGGAGCAGCAGGUAAAAGUUAGUUCCUAGUUUCUCUCUCUCUAAAUUUCUCUCUUGAGUCAAAGUCUGCUUCCAUUGCAGGAUCAGUGACCAAGAUUGGACAGGCUUCCAUGAAUCAAAACUUAAUGGUGGUUGCCACCAAGUUCUGUUCACUUUUUUUUGACCUAUAUCCAAGAGUUCUUUGCAAAAGCGAGCCUUGAAGAUUGCCGCCUCCAAGUCCCGUUUCGAACUCUUUUAUUUGAGUCUUUAUGAAUCAAGCCUUAAUGGUUUUAGCCACCAAGUCCUGUUCAGACUCAUCCUAAUUAAACAUAAGAUCUUAUUUAAAUUUUUUUUUAUUAUUAUUAUUAUUAUUUUUUAAAAAAAUACUCACUAACUAAUCUAGGGUCGAAAUUUAGAGAGAGAAAAUGUGAUAAAUAAUCUAAUCCAGGCGUUACCUUCCAGACCUGUCUGAAGAAUCCGAUCCCAUGUAUACCAAGCCCCAAGACAAGCGGUUAUGUCAGGUUUAGUGUUGGAAAUCAGCUUUGGUUACUUCAUACGGUUCAAGGUAAGUGUGUAGUUGAUAGGUUGAUCCGCUUUAGCAUCUUUAUUGCUAUCUGCAAUCAGUAAAUCUAAAAUGAUGCUAAAGAUUGGUUAGAUAUUCAUGUUUAAAUCAAUAUAGGAUUAUAGUCCCUAUUUUCAAUAGCUAAGCAUAAUUUAUUUGAAAUUCUUUUUUACAUAAGAAUAAAAUAAAUUAUAUCAGUAAAUCUCCCCCCAGACUUAAAUUACACUGUCCCAGUGUAACUCAGCCGGAGUAAUGAUGAAUAGUUUAUAAUGUACGAAAUGUAACAAGUAAGGAAGAUACAUCUGACCGGAUUAGAUAUCGAUCGAUGUGUAAGUGUUACAUCGAUCGUCGUGUGGUUGCCAAUGUCGAACGAUGUCGACGUCUCGUCGUCGGUCGAUAUACUUGGGUCUCCUAAAUCUGAAAGAAAUAAAACAAAAGAAAUUAAAUGCUAGCUAAUAAAACCAAAAUACCUAAUAGUGGGUUGCCUCCCACUCAGCGCUUGGUUAUAGUCAUUUAGCUUGACUGUGGUAGUGAUUGGCUAUUGGGUGGAGAAUCAGCUGCUUGUUGGAAAGCAAGCAUCCACGUCAUCUCUGCGCAUUCUGGACCAAGAUGCAAUGAAACUUCUUGUGGCCUCAUCAUUUCUUGUCCAUUUGUCAUCCAUCUUCUCAAGUACUUUGGAGUUGUUCUGUAGCCUUUCUUGAAUGUUGUCAAUUCUGACAUGGUGCCAGCCUAUGUUGUCAUAGGCGUAUGCUGAAAGUUAUGUCAGUUCCUUUUGCAUUGACUCUACCGUCUUGUGUAUCAGCUUCUCGCCGAUUGGUGUAGACUCGGCAUCGAUCGAUGCGAUUAUGUGUUCGUUGGUCGAUCUCAGCGAGUUGCCAUCGAUCGAUUUCGCUAGCGUCCUGUCGAUCGAUGCUGAUAUCUGAUGUUGAGCCGCGUGUUGCCUCUGAAUGGAUUUGACUUCUUUCUGUAGCCAUUUUGCGUGGUUGUCUAGUCCACUGAUUUUGUUGUCGAAUGGAAAGUAGAUGUCAUCGCAGCGUUUGUCAAGUCGUUCCUCCAUGGUGUCUAGAGCAGUGUAGAUCUUGGAUGUGAUCUUGUCAACCUCUGCUGCUGUGUAAGGAAGUAACUCCACAGGUUUCUUGCCAUCGAUCCAAGGCCCUCGUAGCCUGUCGAUCGAUCCUGAUUUUGCCUGCAAAAAACUUUGAUUAGUAAUGUUCUCAAUAUCCUUUUGGGCAUGAAGUAAUUGACUAGACAGUUUGUUUAAAUAUGUCAUGAUUGGUGAUAUAAAACGGUCAUGCAUAUCCUCGUAAGUCCUCAGCCUCUCAUUCAUGGCUGAGACUUUGGCGUCGAGCGAUGUGAAGGUACACAUGUCGAUCGAUGUGGCUGGUUGUUGGUCCUUCAUGCGAAUGGUGUCCAGAUCUUGCUGUAGUAGCUCGAUUUUAGUGCUUAGCCAGUCCACGUUGUUGUUGAGAGGGCAAUAAACGUCGUUUAUCCUUGUGUCGAUGUAUGAGACUUCCUAUUCAUCCUUGUGUUGUGUUGAACAUUGCGGUUCUGCAGGGAUCUGAGCUGUAGGAAGACUGACGUCGAUCGAUGUUGCACGUGGUGCGUCGAUCGAUGCUGAGGUCGUAGCUUCCUUCUCAAGUUGCUGACGUAAACUCUCAAUUUAUGUCCUCAUUUCUGCCAUACAUCUGAAAAGCUCAUUGUAGCCUCGAUCCAAAGGCUGAUGUGUGUCUUCUACCAAUGUUUUGAGCUCCUCUCCCAGUUUCUCAUGAGCUCCACAAAUACCAAACACCAUCUCAUCGAUUUCAUCUUUGGUGUAGAGUUCUGGUGCCAGUCUUAUGAGUGUGAAGGAAGUGGCAUGUUCUGGAAGACAGAUGUGGCUCUCUUCAAAAAGAGAUGCUCUUUCCAGUAUUUUCCUGAUGUUGUCCUUUGUGGCAGGUAUCAUCUCACCAGCUACGCCUCGUGCGUGUCCACGCUCAUCUCUGUAGACUCCAUACUCGUCCCUUUGUUCCCAAGUGAACUUUCUGGCUCCGUUCAUGUCGAAAGCGCGGUUCCCACAUUAAUAUCGUCUGUCGAUCGACGUCGGUUCAUCCCUAUCGAUCGACGUUGGUGUUACCCUGUCGAUCGAUGUCCCCGUUGUACCGUCGAUCGAUACUUGCCCUUUUGGUUGGUGUGAUAGAUCGGGUUGAUCUCUGUUGUGGUGACUCCUGCAUGGUUGUUAGGAUUUGUUUGAAUGACGACUGGAGUGCCACGUUGCUGUGAGAAUAGGUUGUCAGGUCCAUUGGCCACUUGAAGGAUGUCUGCGAUGUCCUCUCUGGACACUUGUAAAAUCCUUCCAUCCAUUGCACGUGUGUUGCCAUCUGGGUCCCUGAAAAUACCAAAUUCAUCAGGUGUUAGAAAACCGUAACCAAUGUUUGCAUAAUCAUUCAAUUUAGAAAUAGAAAGAUUAGGGUUUAGAGUAGUAUCGAUCGAUGUAGAUACAGUUACAUCGAUCGAUGGCAGUGUAAUUUCUGCAGAACUUGUGUUCUUGAGAUGAUUGCUCUUCAUGGAUUUUUCUGUUGAUGUAGAAGGAAGAGUGUUCAUCUUUUUUGCUUGUGUGUUUGCUCUGAUGUGUGUAGGUGGUUUCGGAGGUGCAAAACGAUUUAUAUAGGUAUCUAUAAACCUAGUUGGGGAGGGAAUAUUCUCCUGCUCCUGGAUUUUCGCUGCGGCGCGAAUAUCGAUCGAUGUUCCUUUACGGGUUUCGAUCGAUGUGAGCGGUUGUUUUGCUGGACGAGGGUGGGUAUCGACCGAUGUGGAGUGCACAGCGGCGAAGGAUGUUGGAAACAUGUUGGUGAACUUAUGUGUUUCAAGUCUUUCAUCCUACAAAGACAUUUCUACUGCACGUUCUUUCCAAUAAUCCUCAUCGUAUUCCUCGGUAUGUUCCUCAUUAGGUGAAGUAAUUACAGUGUCAACUGCAAAACUUUCAUGGAAACCACUGUCUGCCCAACCGCCUAUGGAAUAAUCAUCAUGUCCUCUCUUUCUUGGAGGUUGGAAGGCAAAAUGUUGGUAACAAUGUUUUGGUGAAGCGAAAUGGUCAAGUGGGUGCAUUACUUCGAGUGACGUGUUGUUGCGGUCAUCGGUCACCAUUGACACAUUGGAAUCGAUCGAUGAAAAUGUUAGGGUGUCGAUCGAUUCUGAGUACUCCGUUUCGUACUCCGAUUCAUACUCUGCUCCACAAUGGCAUACGCCAAUGAAGCCGAGUUCUUUCCCAUAAUCCACAGAAUUAAUGACCUUUCUCUUAGGUCGGAUGGGGUCGUAGUGGAUGUUUGGGUCUAUGAGCGUUAGACACAAUUUGUUCUUGUUCAUGUCACAUACGGCUCCUACUGUAGCUAGGAAAGAUCUUCCAAGCAGAAGUGAAGAGUUCCAGUUAAGCUCGAUGUCUAGGAUAGGAAAGUCUACAGGGACAAGGGCAUUACCAAUCUGUACCUCCAGAUCUCUUAUGAUACCUCCUGAUCGUUUCUCUAAAAGAUCCACGAAGGUGAAGGAUUCUGUUGAGGGUUCGAUGGUCAAACCAAGCUGGUCUGCCAUGAUCCUAGGGAGGAUACUAACUGAUGCUUCUGUGUCAAACAUUGAAUGGGGAUUUUCAACACCCUUGACUACGCAUGGUAUUGCAAACUUCCCAGGAUCACUCUUCUUCGUCAAUGUGAUCCUGUGUUUCAUCUUCUCUCUGACUUGAUGAAACAUUCUCUUAAUGUCCUCCUCGGUUACCUUUGUUUCUCUGAAGAACAUCCACAACCGGUGUGUGAAGUAAGCUUCAUCAAAAGGUUUUUCGAUUGGGAUUCUGAGGACUCGUUUAGUGAAACCAUCCAUCUCCUUAUCGUUAGCUUCCCUCUUAAGGUUUUUAGGAAUUUUCUCCUUUCUUUUCCUUAACCUUCACCCUUCAGAUUCUUGUUCUUCUUGAACAGAUUCUGGUGAAUUAUUUAAAGGGCUGGGUUUUGGUUCGGGUGGAUUUGCUAAUGGUUUAGGUGGUGGUCUGAGUGCGUUGAUGUAAUUAUUAUCGAUUGAGGGUAACCGCACUCGGUAUGUCACAGGUGCCUGUCGAUCGAUGGGAGGUGUGUUGUGACGAUCGACGUCGGACUCACUCUGUCGAUCGAUGGUUGGCUUAACCGACCGAUCGAUUUUAUCAUAGAAAGGGGAGGGUGGGUGAGGAUGCUUAGAUGCGAAUUCUUCAUGAGUUAGAAUUCGAACCGCAUUGCAUUCAGUCGAUUUGGCAGACGACGUCGAUCGAUGACUGGAGUAAUCCGUCCAUCGAUCUUCAUCAUGAUCUGUCGAUCGAUGCGAGUUCAUCGACAUCGGUCGACACCAUUGGGAUCCGCCGAGACUCAUGGAGCUUUCGAUUUCGAAAUCUCCUUCCUCAAGCUUUUCAUUUCUCACCACUUGCCAGAAAUCAUCAUCUAUGAUGGCAUUUACGUGGUGUUUUCCUUUGUCGGCUCCUGCCUCUCUAGCGAAAGCUUCUUGCCUCUUUAUAGUCUCGCCCGUCUGAAUUACUUGGGUUUCAAGUUUUCUCACCUGAGUCCCUAAGGUCUCGAUUUUGGUGUUCAGAUUGUUGUAGGCAGAGUCUAUCUUACCGUUGAAAUCCACAGUGAUUUGUUGUUGUCCCAACAGUACUCGAUCAAGCAUCUCUUCGAUCUUGCUUUCCUGAGUCUGGGAUGGUGGAUUUUGGUAGUAAGAGUUCGAGUAGCUCUUGCUGUUGUUGAAGGGUUUUUGAAAUUGUGAAUUUUGGUUACUUAUUUGGCCAUUUCCAAAGAAGUUUCUGUUUCCGCCCUGGUUUCCAAAUUUCUGGAAUCCGGUACCUCCGAUGUAAUUCACAUUUUCUUCUCCUUCGGUAUCUGCUACUUCUCCUUCAGCUGAACAGACUUGCUUCCUAAGAAGCUCGUGCACGACAUCUAACUUAGCUCUUACUUCGUCCAUCUGUUCCUUCCCGAUAGAGGCUACAGACUUCUUCCGUUCAGAGUCAGUGUUUUUGGUGCUGCUGCUGUUAGCAAGGUUUUCGAUAAGUCUCACAGCUUCCAACGGAUUCCGAGUAGUGAAGUUUCCUUCACUCGCAGUAUCAAGGGCCAUUUGAUACUGUAAGGCGAGACCUCGGAAGAAAGUGCUUAGCAGCUGCACUUCGUUAAAUCCAUGGUGUGGACAGUCUCGCUGGAAGAACCUAAAUCUAAUCCACCCAUCUUUGAAGGAGUCUCCAGCCUUCUGCGAGAAUGUGGAAAUUUUGUUCCGAAGUUCUUCAGCGCGCGCCUCAUCGAAGAAGUUUCGUAAGAAAGCAUUCUUGAUGUCGCUCCAGGAUGUUAAAGAUCCUGUGGGUUGCUGCCUAAGCCAGUGCAUCGCUUCUCCAUUCAGCGUGUAUCUGAGAAGAUUGCACAGCAGGUAAUCUUCAGGAACUCCUUCCAUCCGAAUAACAGCGAUUAGAUCCUCGAACCGUUCCAAAUGGUCCAUAGGAUGCUCGUGCGGUAACCCAGAGUAGGGUAUCUGCGACACGAGAGUGUAGUAUUGAGGCUUCAGCUCGAAAUUCUGCUUCUGGAUCUCCAGAAGUCGAAUAGCUGAUUUGUUGGAAUAGUACUCAUCUGGGCGAUGUAGUCGGCCAGUGGUUUCGAUCGAGCGUCCUCAUCUACAGGUUAAGCAGCUCCUGUAGCACCAGCAUUAGGGAUUACAGUUCCCUGAGCAUCUAUUUUCUGACGUGUUGCAUUACGCAGAUGACCGGCCUGGUCAUACAGGUUUCCGUUCUCGUCCUGAGUUAGAAUAAUAAUGUUUACCAUUUUUGACGACACGGUAUCGAUCGACGUACGCGGUGUAGUAUCGAUCGUUGUCAAACGAUUGGGAUUGAUCGACGAUAAUGGUCUUGUGUCGGUCGACGGUUGGUUGUGCGUAUCGAUCGACGACGAAGUGGUUGCGUCGAGCGAUGUGGAACGUUGACCUCUACGGAUGAUGCGUUCCAAAUGAGCAGGAUCGUCUGAGAACAGCAAGUCGGAAUGAGUUCGUCUUUUUCAUUCUUCACUACAGUGAUACCUCCCUUUUUGGGUACAACAUGUACGGGGCUUACCCAUUUGCUAUCCGAAAUAGGGUAAAUAACUCCAACAUCAAGGAGUUUUAUAAUUUCCUUUUUUACUACUUUCUUUAGAUUCGGAUUUAAUCUCCUUUGCUGCUCUAUUGACGUUUUAGCGUCAUCUUCCAAGAUGAUUCGAUGCAUGCAAAGAUCGGGAGAGAUUCCAGGGAUGUCAUCGAGAGAAUAUCCGAUCGCGUUCCUGUACUUGUGCAAUUUAUUUAGCAAUAAAGCAAGUUCUCCACUAGUGAGAUUGGCGUUGACGAUAACAGGGUAGGACUGGUCAUAAAGGUAAGCGUACUUAUGACAGCUGGGUAGAGGUUUUAAUUCUACCUUUGGUGCUUUAUCCUUAGACCAAUUUGAUUGCGAGGGAGGUUGUCGAUCGAUGGUAUCUUGUAGGUAUUGAUCGAUGACAACUUCUGAGUCGUCAUUUUCUUCUACGUUUGCAACUUCGAUACUAGCGUCCAUUAGUCGCAUGUAAUCGUCUGUCCUAUCUGAUAUGCUGAAAAUUUCAUUUUCCACGUGGUUAAGGGUGUCUUCUAAGGGGUUGUCUGAAAACAUGUUUAUGAAAGAGUCUUUUUCAUCCUCAGAAACUUUUUCGACGUAGAAGGCCUGGUCAUCUAUUAGGGGUCGCUUAAUCAGUUUUUCCAUAUCAAAAGUCAUCGAGAUAUCCCCUAUGUUCAAAUUAAUUCAUCCUUCUUUGACGUCAAUGAUUGCUUAGCUAUGAAUGGCCAACCCAGAAUGAGGGGGUCUUUGGGUUCUUGUCUGUAUUUUAACACAACAAAAUCCGUAGGCACGAUGCAAUCAUUAAUCUUUAUGGGAACAUCUUCGAGAAUUCUUUCGGGUACCCUGAUAGAUCUAUCAGCUAAAACCAGGGUGAUCGGAGUUGGCAUAAACUCUUUAUAUCCUAAAGUUACUGCAACAGAGUAAGGCAUAAGGUUCACGCUAGAGCCGAGGUCACAUAAUGAUCUAGGAAAACGCGUGUUUUCUAUUUUACAAUCUAGGACGAAACUACCAGGAUCUGGUCUUUUUGUUGGAGUUUCUCCUCUAAUCAUAGCGCUUACUUCUUCUGAAAUCAUCAUCACGCUAUGUUCUGAAAUUGGGUAGUUUGGAGAUGUCAUGUCCUUUAUAUACUUCUUAAUCGAAGGUGCUAUCUUUAUAGCAUCACUAAGGGACAUCUCAACAGAAAUCUUAUCUAAGGCUUUCUUGCAGAUCGCGUUUUCUAAUGAUUUCUUAGUUUGCUUUUUAGGAGGAAAAGGGGGAAAAGUUCUAUAGACUCUUUCAAUUAUGGGUUCGGGUUGAGUAGACCGUCGAUCGACUGGUUUUUCGUCCUCAAUCUUCGUAUCUUCUUCAAAUUCUAAAUCUAUUGCCUUUUCCUUAGCCUUUUCAGCGGUGGUUUUCCGAUUCUCUUGAGAUGGAUUUGGAUCAAGAUCGUUAAAAAGAAUAGGAUGAGAAUUGCUUUUGCCGGUUUUGUCAGUGUUGUCAGGUUUUCCAACAUCUGUGUUAUUCCUCGUAUCUGCUGCGAGGUUUUUCCCAAUGCGCAAUAUUACGGCACUGACUUGACGUCUCGGGUUUAAAUUAGUUCUCCCGGGAAGACAUCCUGCAUCUCUUUUUAUGGCAAGUGCAAUCUCAGCUACUUGACCUUCUAAUUUUUGGAUUAGUUCUCCCAAAGAAUCUGCUUUCUCCAUUAAUUCUCCGUAAACCAUAUUUAUUUUCCCGUAAAACUCCGAUUUUGUCUUACGGUUGCCAGUAAGAGCUUGUCUGAUAUUGAAUCUCUCUCUUUCGGUACGUGAUUUUACAGCAGUGUCAUAAUCUUGGGUAAAGCUAUCGACAUUAAGCACAUAGUAGGGAUCAGAACAGUUCGUUCCUUCAUCCAAAUAAUCAUUGGUGUCAGACAAAGCGUCGUCGUCGAUCUGGGCUAUAUCAGAUCGGUGUUUGUUUUGAAAAAAGGAAUGAAGGGACUUAAGGGAAUUCUUAAUUUCUAUCAAAUCAGAAUUGUCUUUUGGACUUGUGGAAUUUUCUAUCUCUUCAUCCAUCCUUUCAUUGGAUCUUCUCGUUGUCAUAUUCUUGAUAAGGCGUCUAGCUUCUUCGGGAUUCCUAGUGAUGAAAUUUCCAUCACUCGCUGUAUCGAGUGUGUUUUUUUAGCUCAAGUUAACACCUCCAUAAAAGAUGUUAAGAAGUUGUGGUUCUGAAUAACCAUGAUGGGGACAUUCAAGUUCAUAGGCUCUGAAUCUUCCCCAGGUGUUUUUAAACGAUUCGCGUGGACCUUGGCGAAAUGUAGAAAUUUGCUUUCUUACUUCCCAGUAGCGUUCAUCAGUGAAAAAUUCUCUAAGGAAGGCACUUCUAAUCUCUUCCCAACAAGUGAGUGAUCCUGCUGCUAAACAGUUUAACCACCUGAGGGCUUCUCCUUCUAGGGAGAAUGAGAAUAGUUUGCAACGGUCAUAUUCAUCUAGUAUUAAUUCUUCCAAAGUUUCAAUGUGAUCUUGUGGGUGCUCUGGGAGGGAUCCACGUAAUGGGUUUUGACGAACCAUACGGAAGUAAUAUGCGUUAAACUUAGAUUUCUUGGUAUCGUCUCCUGGUAUUUUGAGAGCGGACCUAUUGGAAUAGGUCCUACCAGGAUCAAGGUAGUCUUGCAUGGACAAAUUUAUAUCUUCACCUUCAGUUAAGGUGGAAUUUUCCUUAACAGGGAUUUCAGUCUCCUGUUCAGUUUGGCUAGCUUCAUUGCUCGUUUGACCAUUUAGUUCAGUUUGGACUACUUUCUCAUUAGCGGGCUUGGUAAGAUAAAACUUACCUGCUUCCGGCUGGGUGGUAUUGAUCGAUGUUGGCAGCUCCGUAUCGGUCGAUUUUUCUGACUCAAUGUCGCUCGAUGGAAACAUGUCUCCGUCGAUCGAUGGUUGGUCGCGCUCUGUGUUCUCCAUUCUUUGUGUCUGCGUAACAGAUUAAGAAAGAAAACUUUAGCAAGUUUUUCGUAACAAGUCUAUACUAAAUUCUAAAUUAAAUCUAAUGGUAAUAAGAAAGAGUCCCCGGCAACGGCACCAAAUUUGAUAUCACUCAAAUUACCAUAAAGAGUGUUACUCUCAUCAAAAGAGGUUCAGAUGUAGUACUUAGGGAUCAAAUCCACAGAGACUCUAGGAUUACUCAACAGACUUAAAUAAUUAGAAAAGAAAAUAGACUGAGAGGUUUUAGUAGUUUUAAAAGCAGUAAAUGAUAAAUACAAAACAAUAGUGAAACGAUAGAUUGAAUUGAAGUGGUUUCAAGAAUGGGAAAGCAGCUAGAUUCAGGUAAAUCUCAGGUAUGAAAUGCAUGCACUUAGUUUAGACUAAAGGGUUUGAUGGUUUUUGAACUAAACAAUGAUUUAACCGGAUAGGUUAUCUUCGCUAGAUCUCGGAUCUCAACUGUCGUAUUUUAAUCUCGAGAGAGUGUCGAUCAUUGUGACUUGAUGUAAAUCGACCGUUACACCUUUGUAACGAUCGACCGACAGAACGAUAGUUGCGUCGAUCGAUGGUUAUUCUAGCGAGCUUUGCGAACGGGUUUAACUUGUUCUCUAACCUUCUCAGACCAACUGUCGUUGCGUCUAAGUUAGUUAGAUCACGCAAGUGGGUUCAGGUAUUGAGGGGAAACGGUUAGUUGGACUCAAUUAAUCCUAAGAUCUAAAAUGAAGGUGAUCAAUCUCAAUUUUAGCAUUAAGUUCACAAGCAAUGAAAGAUCAAUCAAAACACAUUUUUAAAUAGUCAUAUUAGCAGUACAUAAUUUCAACCAUGGCAAGAAACCUAAAUCUAACAGUUGGUUUACUCAAACAUAUUCAUGAGAGACAAAGUCAUGAUGAUGUGAAAUAAACUCAAAUGAAACAUAGAACACAAAUAGAUAGAGUAAUAGAAGUAAAGGAGUUCAAGAUCUUCUCUAUUUUGCAGUCUCAGAUCUAUCUCUCCAAUCCUAAGCUCUUCUAAUGGUAGCCAAAAUGCUCAUUCUCCAAACUAGGUCUUUUUGCAAGUGUCUCCUAAAAUGAUACAAAACCCUAGUACAUAUAGCCUAACAGGCGGCUUGGGACUUAAGUUGCAAAUAAUAGAUCUUUUGGGAAAUGAAAUCUUUUAAUUCGCGAUCACACUUGUGUGACUGGGCAUCGAUCAAUGCACAUGUGUGUUUGUCGAUCGAUGAUAUGUGAUUAUGAUCGACCGAUGUUGCUCUUCAAGCGUCGAUCGAUUCUCCUUACAUAAAAGCAUUCCAAAAUGUCCCAAAAGUAUCAUUUCUUUCCAUCAGGUGAAUAAACCUGCAAUUGCUUUGAAAAGACUCUAAAACAUGAUUAAUACAUCUUAAAACUCUUAUAUACCAUGUAUAAAAACGGGUGAAAAUCAUGGUAUAUCAGCCACCAACGGCCAGUCCCAAUAAACACAAACGCGGCCAUCUUGGCCCACACAAAUUUCAAACACACAAUAAAGGCCAUACUCGGCCGAGAAUAUAUAAUAAUGGCCAGACACGGCCAGAACAUAAGAUAAGGGGAAACCCGUUCCCAUCAGACACCACUUACACCUUCAAGGAUCGAGAACGCAGUUUCCAGACAUGGAGGCUCCAAACGUGCUUAUUGGUCGAUCCUGUAAGAUCCGAUCCUGGAUUCGUCAAUCCAACCAGACCGCAGCUUACUUAAUCAUUUCAUUCAGUUAGAUCACUUUACUUCCGAUUCCAUAUGUAAUAUUUUUCUAAGUAUUUUUCAGAGUUCUGAGGUUCAUUCAAUCAUAAUUAGACAAUCAGAUUCAAGUAAAGCAAAUUCUUAUUUUAUAGAUACUUAAACAAGAUCCAUACAACAUCCAUUCAUUCUUAAUACAUAAGUUGCAUACUAGGCUAUCAUAAGAUCACAAGCACAAUAGGUUAUCAGUAUUUCACAUCUAUCAACAAGCACCCAAUCACCACACAUCUUCCCACGACUGGAGUCCUCACAGUUCCUUUCCUUUACCACGGUCCAAGUCUGUACCUGAAACCACAAACACAACACACAACACAAGGAUCUAUCAUUGCAUGGCUGGUUCCUUAACUAAUCAUCAAACUACACUUCAGGCCCCAAUCUGGCCGAUUUUUAAAGUGAUCUAAAAAUUAAUUAAAAUUCACUAAAGCUCAUGAUAAAUCCCAACUAAGAGAUUUCCAUAAUCAGAAUCCAAGGAAUCGACCAUCAGGACGGCUCGGUAAACACUCGGACCCGGCCACACUGGUCUGGACCGGAACACUCCGCCAAGCUGAAGUGAGCUGAUCACCAGCUGUCCCCAGCUGAGUGAGCUAGUCCAUCAGCUCCCAUGAGCUGAACAAAACUGAGUGAGCUGACACUACACUCUAUUGAGCUGGUUUCAUACUCUAUUGAGCAGAUUAAGCUUGACCCGGGCCUUUCCCAGCUACCGGAUCACUCGCCCAGCUCUAUUUAACUUGUCUCCAUCGUAUCCAGGUUAAGUCUCAGCUGUCUGACGUCCUUAACCAUCUAUUCGGGCCAUGGUACGCUUGUCUCAAGGUCAGAUGACCUGUUCAGCACAUUGCCUCGCACCACAGCCCGUCUGGAUGAUCCUAUCUAGGAUCGGGGACAUGACAGAUCCACCUCUUCAUCCUCGCCCGCAACAUCAAUCACAACCUCCUCCAUAUCAGGCGAGACCGGGACUGGAUCCCAGAAUCCUCAGAUCCUUGCCUUGAUUAGAGGGAUCAGGUUCUCAUCAUGAGCAUAGUCGUUCAUACCACCAUUCAUGGUGGACAUCUCGUCAUCAAAGUCGAAGUCAUCCCUUUGCGCCUUCCACAACGACCCGACAGAACCUCGACACUCACGAAAAUCGAGUGCGCCUACUAGAGACGGCCAUACUCAACCGCAAAUUGAGAAGCACGGUUCCCCAUCACAGCAGCAACCUCUCUCCUGCCCCGUCUCUCCGCUCUGCGAAUAGCCUUGGAGUGGUCGUGACCAGCCUUCAGCUCUCGUUCCACGGCCUCGCUCUGCACCCGGGCGAGGGUCUUCCCCGCCUUCUCCGCUUUGAAACGGUAAACCAUCGCCUCAUGAGUCCUUGCCUUAAGGGCCGAGCUGAUCAUGUUCACUCCCUAAAAAAAACCAUCAAUAAGAGUCUCGAAAAUAAAAUAGUCCAGAUUCAAGAUAGUCAAAAACAAAGGAAACUAACCCAUUAAUUAAGCGUGAUCCUUCUGAAACGACUUUUGAUCUCUCGGGUAUGUCCUACAGGUGCAGGUAAGUCAAAAUUCGAAGGAAGCCCGUCAAGGAACGCAUCGAAAUUCCUGUGUGGAAAGGGGACCUCACUUGUGCCGCUCCCAUCACCAUAAGGAAGGUUCGGAACCCAUCUAGGCAGCAUGAAAUCAUCCACGGGAAAGUCAAAAUCUUCGAGAUCAAUGCCUUUGUCCUUUGACUGCUUAGUUGUUCCCCUUUUCGUGGGAACGCUGCGAGGAACAGAAUCAUCCGAAUCCGUGCUGGGUUCUUCGGCCACUUGGACACCAGGGCCAGCAUGAUGACACCUCAACGCGCUGCAAACCCUUUGCGGCGUGAAGAACUUCCAGUAAAAUGGACUGUUCCGCAGAAGGUCCCGCAUGAUAACCGUGUCACUAGGAAACGUGAUGCUUCCGGCUGGGUGGUAUUGAUCGAUGUUGGCAGCUCCGUAUCGGUCGAUUUUUCUGACUCAAUGUCGCUCGAUGGAAACAUGUCUCCGUCGAUCGAUGGUUGGUCGCGCUCUGUGUUCUCCAUUCUUUGUGUCUGCGUAACAGAUUAAGAAAGAAAACUUUAGCAAGUUUUUCGUAACAAGUCUAUACUAAAUUCUAAAUUAAAUCUAAUGGUAAUAAGAAAGAGUCCCCGGCAACGGCACCAAAUUUGAUAUCACUCAAAUUACCAUAAAGAGUGUUACUCUCAUCAAAAGAGGUUCAGAUGUAGUACUUAGGGAUCAAAUCCACAGAGACUCUAGGAUUACUCAACAGACUUAAAUAAUUAGAAAAGAAAAUAGACUAAGAGGUUUUAGUAGUUUUAAAAGCAGUAAAUGAUAAAUACAAAACAAUAGUGAAACGAUAGAUUGAAUUGAAGUGGUUUCAAGAAUGGGAAAGCAGCUAGAUUCAGGUAAAUCUCAGGUAUGAAAUGCAUGCACUUAGUUUAGACUAAAGGGUUUGAUGGUUUUUGAACUAAACAAUGAUUUAACCGGAUAGGUUAUCUUCGCUAGAUCUCAGAUCUCAACUGUCGUAUUUUAAUCUCGAGAGAGUGUCGAUCAAUGUGACUUGAUGUACAUCAACCGUUACACCUUUGUAACGAUCGACCGACAGAACGAUAGUUGCGUCGAUCGAUGGUUAUUCUAGCGAGCUUUGCGAACGGGUUUAACUUGUUCUCUAACCUUCUCAGACCAACUGUCGUUGCGCCUAAGUUAGUUAGAUCACGCAAGUGGGUUCAGGUAUUGAGGGGAAACGGUUAGUUGGACUCAAUUAAUCCUAAGAUCUAAAAUGAAGGUGAUCAAUCUCAAUUUUAGCAUUAAGUUCACAAGCAAUGAAAGAUCAAUCAAAACACAUUUUUAAAUAGUCAUAUUAGCAGUACAUAAUUUCAACCAUGGCAAGAAACCUAAAUCUAACAGUUGGUUUACUCAAACAUAUUCAUGAGAGACAAAGUCAUGAUGAUGUGAAAUAAACUCAAAUGAAACAUAGAACACAAAUAGAUAGAGUAAUAGAAGUAAAGGAGUUCAAGAUCUUCUCUAUUUUGCAGUCUCAGAUCUAUCUCUCCAAUCCUAAGCUCUUCUAAUGGUAGCCAAAAUGCUCAUUCUCCAAACUAGGUCUUUUUGCAAGUGUCUCCUAAAAUGAUACAAAACCCUAGUACAUAUAGCCUAACAGGCGGCUUGGGACUUAAGUUGCAAAUAAUAGAUCUUUUGGGAAAUGAAAUCUUUUAAUUCGCGAUCACACUUGUGUGACUGGGCAUCGAUCAAUGCACAUGUGUGUUUGUCGAUCGAUGAUAUGUGAUUAUGAUCGACCGAUGUUGCUCUUCAAGCGUCGAUCGAUUCUCCUUACAUAAAAGCAUUCCAAAAUGUCCCAAAAGUAUCAUUUCUUUCCAUCAGGUGAAUAAACCUGCAAUUGCUUUGAAAAGACUCUAAAACAUGAUUAAUACAUCUUAAAACUCUUAUAUACCAUGUAUAAAAACGGGUGAAAAUCAUGGUAUAUCAGCCACCAACGGCCAGUCCCAAUAAACACAAACGCGGCCAUCUUGGCCCACACAAAUUUCAAACACACAAUAAAGGCCAUACUCGGCCGAGAAUAUAUAAUAAUGGCCAGACACGGCCAGAACAUAAGAUAAGGGGAAACCCGUUCCCAUCAGACACCACUUACACCUUCAAGGAUCGAGAACGCAGUUUCCAGACAUGGAGGCUCCAAACGUGCUUAUUGGUCGAUCCUGUAAGAUCCGAUCCUGGAUUCGUCAAUCCAACCAGACCGCAGCUUACUUAAUCAUUUCAUUCAGUUAGAUCACUUUACUUCCGAUUCCAUAUGUAAUAUUUUUCUAAGUAUUUUUCAGAGUUCUGAGGUUCAUUCAAUCAUAAUUAGACAAUCAGAUUCAAGUAAAGCAAAUUCUUAUUUUAUAGAUACUUAAACAAGAUCCAUACAACAUCCAUUCGUUCUUAAUACAUAAGUUGCAUACUAGGCUAUCAUAAGAUCACAAGCACAAUAGGUUAUCAGUAUUUCACAUCUAUCAACAAGCACCCAAUCACCACACAUCUUCCCACGACUGGAGUCCUCACAGUUCCUUUCCUUUACCACGGUCCAAGUCUGUACCUGAAACCACAAACACAACACACAACACAAGGAUCUAUCAUUGCAUGGCUGGUUCCUUAACUAAUCAUCAAACUACACUUCAGGCCCCAAUCUGGCCGAUUUUUAAAGUGAUCUAAAAAUUAAUUAAAAUUCACUAAAGCUCAUGAUAAAUCCCAACUAAGAGAUUUCCAUAAUCAGAAUCCAAGGAAUCGACCAUCAGGACGGCUCGGUAACCACUCGGACCCGGCCACACUGGUCUGGACCGGAACACUCCGCCAAGCUGAAGUGAGCUGAUCACCAGCUGUCCCCAGCUGAGUGAGCUAGUCCAUCAGCUCCCAUGAGCUGAACAAAACUGAGUGAGCUGACACUACACUCUAUUGAGCUGGUUCCAUACUCUAUUGAGCAGAUUAAGCUUGACCCGGGCCUUUCCCAGCUACCGGAUCACUCGCCCAGCUCUAUUUAACUUGUCUCCAUCGUAUCCAGGUUAAGUCUCAGCUGUCUGACGUCCUUAACCAUCUAUUCGGGCCAUGGUACGCUUGUCUCAAGGUCAGAUGACCUGUUCAGCACAUUGCCUCGCACCACAGCCCGUCUGGAUGAUCCUAUCUAGGAUCGGGGACAUGACAGAUCCACCUCUUCAUCCUCGCCCGCAACAUCAAUCACAACCUCCUCCAUAUCAGGCGAGACCGGGACUGGAUCCCAGAAUCCUCAGAUCCUUGCCUUGAUUAGAGGGAUCAGGUUCUCAUCAUGAGCAUAGUCGUUCAUACCACCAUUCAUGGUGGACAUCUCGUCAUCAAAGUCGAAGUCAUCCCUUUGCGCCUUCCACAACGACCCGACAGAACCUCGACACUCACGAAAAUCGAGUGCGCCUACUAGAGACGGCCAUACUCAACCGCAAAUUGAGAAGCACGGUUCCCCAUCACAGCAGCAACCUCUCUCCUGCCCCGUCUCUCCGCUCUGCGAAUAGCCUUGGAGUGGUCGUGACCAGCCUUCAGCUCUCGUUCCACGGCCUCGCUCUGCACCCGGGCGAGGGUCUUCCCCGCCUUCUCCGCUUUGAAACGGUAAACCAUCGCCUCAUGAGUCCUUGCCUUAAGGGCCGAGCUGAUCAUGUUCACUCCCUAAAAAAAACCAUCAAUAAGAGUCUCGAAAAUAAAAUAGUCCAGAUUCAAGAUAGUCAAAAACAAAGGAAACUAACCCAUUAAUUAAGCGUGAUCCUUCUGAAACGACUUUUGAUCUCUCGGGUAUGUCCUACAGGUGCAGGUAAGUCAAAAUUCGAAGAAUGGGAAAGCAGCUAGAUUCAGGUAAAUCUCAGGUAUGAAAUGCAUGCACUUAGUUUAGACUAAAGGGUUUGAUGGUUUUUGAACUAAACAAUGAUUUAACCGGAUAGGUUAUCUUCGCUAGAUCUCAGAUCUCAACUGUCGUAUUUUAAUCUCGAGAGAGUGUCGAUCAAUGUGACUUGAUGUACAUCAACCGUUACACCUUUGUAACGAUCGACCGACAGAACGAUAGUUGCGUCGAUCGAUGGUUAUUCUAGCGAGCUUUGCGAACGGGUUUAACUUGUUCUCUAACCUUCUCAGACCAACUGUCGUUGCGCCUAAGUUAGUUAGAUCACGCAAGUGGGUUCAGGUAUUGAGGGGAAACGGUUAGUUGGACUCAAUUAAUCCUAAGAUCUAAAAUGAAGGUGAUCAAUCUCAAUUUUAGCAUUAAGUUCACAAGCAAUGAAAGAUCAAUCAAAACACAUUUUUAAAUAGUCAUAUUAGCAGUACAUAAUUUCAACCAUGGCAAGAAACCUAAAUCUAACAGUUGGUUUACUCAAACAUAUUCAUGAGAGACAAAGUCAUGAUGAUGUGAAAUAAACUCAAAUGAAACAUAGAACACAAAUAGAUAGAGUAAUAGAAGUAAAGGAGUUCAAGAUCUUCUCUAUUUUGCAGUCUCAGAUCUAUCUCUCCAAUCCUAAGCUCUUCUAAUGGUAGCCAAAAUGCUCAUUCUCCAAACUAGGUCUUUUUGCAAGUGUCUCCUAAAAUGAUACAAAACCCUAGUACAUAUAGCCUAACAGGCGGCUUGGGACUUAAGUUGCAAAUAAUAGAUCUUUUGGGAAAUGAAAUCUUUUAAUUCGCGAUCACACUUGUGUGACUGGGCAUCGAUCAAUGCACAUGUGUGUUUGUCGAUCGAUGAUAUGUGAUUAUGAUCGACCGAUGUUGCUCUUCAAGCGUCGAUCGAUUCUCCUUACAUAAAAGCAUUCCAAAAUGUCCCAAAAGUAUCAUUUCUUUCCAUCAGGUGAAUAAACCUGCAAUUGCUUUGAAAAGACUCUAAAACAUGAUUAAUACAUCUUAAAACUCUUAUAUACCAUGUAUAAAAACGGGUGAAAAUCAUGGUAUAUCAGCCACCAACGGCCAGUCCCAAUAAACACAAACGCGGCCAUCUUGGCCCACACAAAUUUCAAACACACAAUAAAGGCCAUACUCGGCCGAGAAUAUAUAAUAAUGGCCAGACACGGCCAGAACAUAAGAUAAGGGGAAACCCGUUCCCAUCAGACACCACUUACACCUUCAAGGAUCGAGAACGCAGUUUCCAGACAUGGAGGCUCCAAACGUGCUUAUUGGUCGAUCCUGUAAGAUCCGAUCCUGGAUUCGUCAAUCCAACCAGACCGCAGCUUACUUAAUCAUUUCAUUCAGUUAGAUCACUUUACUUCCGAUUCCAUAUGUAAUAUUUUUCUAAGUAUUUUUCAGAGUUCUGAGGUUCAUUCAAUCAUAAUUAGACAAUCAGAUUCAAGUAAAGCAAAUUCUUAUUUUAUAGAUACUUAAACAAGAUCCAUACAACAUCCAUUCGUUCUUAAUACAUAAGUUGCAUACUAGGCUAUCAUAAGAUCACAAGCACAAUAGGUUAUCAGUAUUUCACAUCUAUCAACAAGCACCCAAUCACCACACAUCUUCCCACGACUGGAGUCCUCACAGUUCCUUUCCUUUACCACGGUCCAAGUCUGUACCUGAAACCACAAACACAACACACAACACAAGGAUCUAUCAUUGCAUGGCUGGUUCCUUAACUAAUCAUCAAACUACACUUCAGGCCCCAAUCUGGCCGAUUUUUAAAGUGAUCUAAAAAUUAAUUAAAAUUCACUAAAGCUCAUGAUAAAUCCCAACUAAGAGAUUUCCAUAAUCAGAAUCCAAGGAAUCGACCAUCAGGACGGCUCGGUAACCACUCGGACCCGGCCACACUGGUCUGGACCGGAACACUCCGCCAAGCUGAAGUGAGCUGAUCACCAGCUGUCCCCAGCUGAGUGAGCUAGUCCAUCAGCUCCCAUGAGCUGAACAAAACUGAGUGAGCUGACACUACACUCUAUUGAGCUGGUUCCAUACUCUAUUGAGCAGAUUAAGCUUGACCCGGGCCUUUCCCAGCUACCGGAUCACUCGCCCAGCUCUAUUUAACUUGUCUCCAUCGUAUCCAGGUUAAGUCUCAGCUGUCUGACGUCCUUAACCAUCUAUUCGGGCCAUGGUACGCUUGUCUCAAGGUCAGAUGACCUGUUCAGCACAUUGCCUCGCACCACAGCCCGUCUGGAUGAUCCUAUCUAGGAUCGGGGACAUGACAGAUCCACCUCUUCAUCCUCGCCCGCAACAUCAAUCACAACCUCCUCCAUAUCAGGCGAGACCGGGACUGGAUCCCAGAAUCCUCAGAUCCUUGCCUUGAUUAGAGGGAUCAGGUUCUCAUCAUGAGCAUAGUCGUUCAUACCACCAUUCAUGGUGGACAUCUCGUCAUCAAAGUCGAAGUCAUCCCUUUGCGCCUUCCACAACGACCCGACAGAACCUCGACACUCACGAAAAUCGAGUGCGCCUACUAGAGACGGCCAUACUCAACCGCAAAUUGAGAAGCACGGUUCCCCAUCACAGCAGCAACCUCUCUCCUGCCCCGUCUCUCCGCUCUGCGAAUAGCCUUGGAGUGGUCGUGACCAGCCUUCAGCUCUCGUUCCACGGCCUCGCUCUGCACCCGGGCGAGGGUCUUCCCCGCCUUCUCCGCUUUGAAACGGUAAACCAUCGCCUCAUGAGUCCUUGCCUUAAGGGCCGAGCUGAUCAUGUUCACUCCCUAAAAAAAACCAUCAAUAAGAGUCUCGAAAAUAAAAUAGUCCAGAUUCAAGAUAGUCAAAAACAAAGGAAACUAACCCAUUAAUUAAGCGUGAUCCUUCUGAAACGACUUUUGAUCUCUCGGGUAUGUCCUACAGGUGCAGGUAAGUCAAAAUUCGAAGGAAGCCCGUCAAGGAACGCAUCGAAAUUCCUGUGUGGAAAGGGGACCUCACUUGUGCCGCUCCCAUCACCAUAAGGAAGGUUCGGAACCCAUCUAGGCAGCAUGAAAUCAUCCACGGGAAAGUCAAAAUCUUCGAGAUCAAUGCCUUUGUCCUUUGACUGCUUAGUUGUUCCCCUUUUCGUGGGAACGCUGCGAGGAACAGAAUCAUCCGAAUCCGAGCUGGGUUCUUCGGCCACUUGGACACCAGGGCCAGCAUGAUGACACCUCAACGCGCUGCAAACCCUUUGCGGCGUGAAGAACGUCCAGUAAAAUGGACUGUUCCGCAGAAGGUCCCGCAUGAUAACCGUGUCACUAAGAAACGUGAUGCUUCCGGCUGGGUGGUAUUGAUCGAUGUUGGCAGCUCCGUAUCGGUCGAUUUUUCUGACUCAAUGUCGCUCGAUGGAAACAUGUCUCCGUCGAUCGAUGGUUAGACCACCAAUUUAGUAGUAUUAUGAAAUUUUACUAAAUUAAUUGACAAAAAAAUAUAACGAUGCCCAUGUUCCAUGAAAGAGAGUUUAAUAUACAUUAAUACAAAUGUAGAAUGUGUUUAGAAAUUUUAAAUCAACACUAAAGAUCAUAAGCUUCAGUAUAUAGAACAUUUACCGAAAAACUCGUAGGGGUUGUUAACUCAUAGAUUUUGAGAAAAAUUCAAAAAUAUGAAAAUUCUGUUUAAAUGCAUAGUUGCAUCCUUCACUAACAUAUGAUGAAGGUCAAAGAGGUAUGGAACUUUUUUUUUUGUCUCCUUUACUCUAGAGAAUAGCGAUUUAUAGUGGUUAGUCCACCAAUUUAGGGAGUAUUAUGAAGUUUUACUAAAUUAAUUGUCAAAAUAUUAUAGCGAUGCCCAUGUAACAUGAAAGAGAGUUUAAUAUACAUUAAUACAAAUGUAGAAUUUUUUUAUAAAUUUUAAAACAACACUAAAGAUCAUAGGCUUCAGUAUAUAGAACAUUUACCGAAAAACUCAACAUUUUCGUAGGGGUUAACUCAUCGAUUUUGAGAAAAAUUGAAAAAUAUGAAAAUUCUUUUUUUUAUUGCAUAGUUGCAUCUUUUACUAACAUAUGAUGAAGGUCAAAGAGGUUUGGAACUUUUUUUUGUCUCCUUUGCUCUAGAGAAUAGCGAUUUUAUAGUAGUUAGUCCCUCAAUUUAGGGAGUAUUAUGAAGUUUUACUAAAUUAAUUGAGAAAAAAUUAUAGCGAUGCCCAUGUACCAUGAAAGAGAGUUUAAUAUACAUUAAAAUAAAAAUGUAGAAUGUGUUUAGAAAUUUAAAAACAACACUAAAGAUCAUAGGCUUCAGUAUAUAGAACAUUUACCGAAAAACUCAAUAUUUUCGUAGGGGUUAACUCAUAGAUUUUAAGAAUAAUUCAAAAAUAUGAAAAUUCUGUUUUAAUACAUAGUUACAUCCUUCACUAAUAUAUGAUGAAGGUCAAAGAGCUUUGGAACUUUUUUUUGUCUCCUUUGCUCUAGAGAAUAACGAUUUUAUAGUGGUUAGUCCACCAAUUUAGGGAGUAUUAUGAAGUUUUACUAAAUUAAUUGACACAAAAUUAAAAUGAUGCCCAUCUACCAUAAAAUAUAAAUUGAUAUACAUUAAUACAAAUGUAGAUUGUGUUUAGAAAUUUUAAAUCAACACUAAAGAUCAUAAGCUUCAGUAUAUAGAACAUUUACCGAAAAACUCAAUAUUUUCGUAGGGGUUGUUAACUCAUAGAUUUUGAGAAAAAUUCAAAAAUAUGAAAAUUAUGUUUUAAUGCAUAGUUGCAUCCUUUACUAACAUAUGAUGAAGGUCAAAGAGGUUUGAAACUUUUUUUGUCUCCGUUGCUGUAGAGAAUAACAAUUUUAUAGUGGUUAGUCCACCAAUUUAGUAAUAUUAUGAAAUUUUACUAAAUUAAUUGUCAAAAAAUUAUAACGAUGCCCAUGUACCAUGAAAGAGAGUUUAAUAUACAUUAAUACAAAUGUAGAAUGUGUUUAGAAAUUUUAAAACAACACUAAAGAUCAUAGGUUUCAGUAUAUAGAACAUUUACCGAAAAACUCAACAUUUUCGUAGGGGUUAACUCAUCGAUUUUGAGAAAAAUUGAAAAAUAUGAAAUUUUUUUUUUUAUUGCAUAGUUGCAUCCUUCACAAACAUAUGAUGAAGGUCAAAGAGGUUUGGAACUUUUGUUGUCUCCUUUGCUCUAGAGAAUAGCGAUUUUGUAGUGGUUAGUCCACCAAUUUAUGGAGUAUUAAGAAGUUUUACUAAAUUAAUUAUCAAAAUAUUAUAGCCAUGCCCAUGUAACAUGAAAGAGAGUUUAAUAUACAUUAAUACAAAUGUAGUAUUUUUUAUAAAUUUUAAAACAACACUAAAGAUCAUAGGCUUCAGUAUAUAGAACAUUUACCGAAAACCUCAAUAUUUUCGUAGGGGUUGUUAACUCAUAGAUUUUGAGAAAAAUUCAAAAAUAUGAAAAUUAUGUUUUAAUACAUAGUUGCAUCCUUUACUAACAUAUGAUGAAGGUCAAAGAGGUUUGAAACUUUUUUUGUCUCUGUUGCUGUAGAGAAUAACAAUUUUAUAGUGGUUAGUCCACCAAUUUAGUAGUAUUAUGAAAUUUUACUAAAUUAAUUGACAAAAAAUUAUAACGAUGCCCAUGUACCAUGAAAGAGAGUUUAAUAUACAUUAAUACAAAUGUAGAAUGUGUUUAGAAAUUUUAAAACAACACUAAAGAUCAUAGGCUUCAGUAUAUAGAACAUUUACCGAAAAACUCAAUAUUUUUGUAGGGGUUGUUAACUCAUAGAUUUUGAGAAAAAUUCAAAAAUGUGAAAAUUCUGCUUUAAUGCAUAGUUGCAUCCUUCACUAACAUACGAUGUUUGGAACUUUUUUUGUCUCCGUUGCUCUAGGGAAUAGCGAUUUUAUAGUGGUUAGUCCACAAAUUUAGUAGUAUUAUGAAAUUUUACUAAAUUAAUUGACAAAAUAUUAAAAUGAUGCCCAUCUACCAUGAAAGAGAGUUUAAUAUACAUUAAUAAAAAUUUAAAAUGUGUUUAGCAAUUUUAAAACAACACUAAAGAUCAUAAGCUUCAGUAUAUAGACCAUUUACCGAAAAACUCAAUAUUUUCAUAUGGGUGUUAACUCAUAGAUUUUAAGAAAAAUUCAAAAAUCUGAAAAUUCUGUUUUAAUGCAUAGUUGCAUCCUUCACUAACAUAUGAUGAAGGUCAAAGAGGUUUGGAGCUUUUUUUUGUCUCCUUUGCUCUAGAGAAUAGCAAUUUUAUAGUGGUUAGUCCCCCAAUUUAGGGAGUAUUAUGAUGUUUUACUAAAUUAAUUGACAAAAUAUUAUAGAGAUGCCCAUGUACCAUGAAAGAGAGUUUAAUAUACAUUAAUACAAAUGUAGAAUGUGUUUAGAAAUUUAAAAACAACACUAAAGUUCAUAGGCUUCAGUAUAUAGAACAUUUACAGAAAAACUCAAUAUUUUCAUAGGGUUAACUCAUAAAUUUUGAGAAAAAUUCAAAAAUAAGAAAAUUCUGUUUUAAUGAAUAGUUUCAUCUUUCACUAACAUAUGAUGAAGGUCAAAGAGGUUUGAAACUUUUGUUGUCUCCGUGGCUCUAGAGAACAGCAAUUUUAUAGUGAUUAGUCCACCAAUGAAGUAGUACUAUGGAAUUUUACAAAAUUAAUUGACAAAAUAUUAAAACAAUGUCCAUAUACCAUGAAAGAGAGUUUAAUAUACAUUAAUACAAAUGUAGAAUGUGUUUAAUUUUUUUUAAAGAAAAAUGAAAGAUCAUAAGCUUCAGUAUAUAGAUCAUUUACCGAAAAACUCAAUCUUUUCACAGAUUUUGAGAAAAAUUCAAAAUUAUCAAAAUUCUGUUUUAAUGCAUAGUUGUAUCCUUCACUAACAUAUGAUGAAGGUCAAAGAGUUUUGGAACUUUUUUUGGUCUCCGUUGCUGUAGAGAAUAGCAAUUUUAUAAUGGUUAGUCCACCAAUUUUGUAGUAUUAUGAAAUUUUACUAAAUUAAUUGACAAAAAAUUAUAACGAUGCCCAUGUACCAUGAAAGAGAGUUUAAUAUACAUUAAUACAAAUGUAGAAUGUGUUUAGAAAUUUUUAAAUCAACACUAAAGAUUAUAAGCUUCAGUAUAUAGAACAUUUACCGAAAAACUCAAUAUUUUCGUAGGGAUUGUUACCUCAUAGAUUUUGAGAAAAAUUCAAAAAUAUGAAAAUUAUGUUUUAAUGCAUAGUUGCAUCAUUUACUAACAUAUGAUGAAGGUCAAAGAGGUUUGGAACUUUUUUUUGUCUUCUUUGCUCUAGAGAAUAGCGAUUUUAUAGUGGUUAGUCCCCUAAUUUAGGGAGUAUUAUGAAGUUUUACUAAAUUAAUAAACAAAACAUUAUAGCGAUGCCCAUGUACUAUGAAAGAGAGUUUAAUAUACAUUAAUACAAAUGUAGAAUGCGUUUAGAAAUUUUAAAUCAACACUAAAGAUCAUAAGCUUCAGUAUAUAGAAUAUUUACCGAAAAACUCAAUAUUUUCGUAGUGGUUGUUAACUCAUAGAUCUUGAGAAAAAUUCAAAAAUAUGAAAAUUCAGUUUUAAUGUAUAGUUGCAUCAUUUACUAACAUAUGAUGAAGGACAAAGAGGUUUGAAACUCUUUUUGUCUCCUUUGCUCUAGAGAAUAGCGAUUUUAUAGUGGUUAGUCCACCAAUUUAGGGAGUAUUAUGAAGUUUUACUAAAUUAAUUUUCAAAACAUUAUAGCGAUGCCCAUGUACCAUGAAAGAGAGUUUAAUAUACAUUAAUACAAAUGUAGAAUGUGUUUAGAAAUUUUAAAACAACACUAAAGAUCAUAGGCUUCAGUAUAUAGAACAUUUACUGAAAAACUCAAUAUUUUCGUAGGGGUUAACUCAUAGAUUUUGAGAAAAAUUGAAAAAUAUGAAAAUUCUUUUUUUAAUGCAUAGUUGCGUCCUUUACGAACAUAUGAUGAAGGUCAGAGAGGUAUGGAACUUUUGUUGUCUCCGUUUCUCUAGAGAUUAGCGAUGUUUUAGUGGUUAGUCCACCAAUGAAGUAGUAUUAUUGAAUUUUACAAAAUUAAUUGACAAAAAAUAAAACAAUUCCCAUCUACCAUGAAAGAUAGUUUAAUAUACAUUAAUACAAAUAUAGAGUGUGUUUAAAAUUUUUUAAAAAACACUAAAGAUCAUAAGCUUCAUUAUAUUGAACAUUUACCGAAAAACUCAAUAUUUUCGUAGGGGUUAACUCAUAGAUUUUAAGAAUAAUUCAAAAAUAUGAAAAUUCUGUUUUAAUGCAUAGUUGCAUCCUUCACUAAUAUAUAAUGAAGUUCAAAGAGGUUUGGAAAUUUUUUUUUGUUUCCUUUGCUCUAGAGAAUAAUGUUUUUAUAGUGGUUAGUCCACCAAUUUAGGAAGUAUUAUGAAGUUUUACUAAAUUAAUUGACAAAAAAUGAAAAUGAUGCCCAUCUACCAUAAACUAUAAUUUGAUAUACAUUAAUACAAAUGUAGAAUGUGUUUAGAAAUUUGAAAACAACACUAACGAUCAUAAGCUUCAGUAUAUAGAACAUUUACCGAAAAACUCAAUAUUUUCGUAGGGGUUAACUUUUAGAUUUUGAGAAAAAAUCAAAAAUAUGAAAAUUCUGUUUUAAUGCAUAGUUGCAUCCUUCACUAACAUAUGAUGAAGGUCAGAGAGGUUUGGAACUUUUUUUGGUCUCCGUUGCUGUAGAGAAUAGCAAUUUUAUAGUGGUUAGUCCACCAAUUUAGUAGUAUUAUGAAAUUUUACUAAAUUAAUUGACAAACAAAUAUAACGAUGCCCAUGUUCCAUGAAAGAGAGUUUAAUAUACAUUAAUACAAAUGUAGAAUGUGUUUAAAAAUUUUAAAUCAACAGUAAAGAUCAUAAUUUUCAGUAUAUAGAACAUUUACCGAAAAACUCAAUAUUUUCGUAUGGGUUAACUCAUAGAUUUUGAGAAAAAUUCAAAAAUAUGAAAAUUCUGUUUAAAUGCAUAGUUGCAUCCUUCACUAAUAUAUGAUGAAGGUCAAAGAGGUAUGAAAUUUUUUUUUUUGUCUCCUUUGCUCUAGAGNNNNNNNNNNNNNNNNNNNNNNNNNNNNNNNNNNNNNNNNNNNNNNNNNNNNNNNNNNNNNNNNNNNNNNNNNNNNNNNNNNNNNNNNNNNNNNNNNNNNAAGCUUGAUUUGGAUCAUAAAGUGGUGGAGAAUCACCAGGAAGUUGAAUAUAUCUCAUAGGAGUUGGGAUGAAGAAGUUAUCCCACUUUCAAAUCAGGUGAUUCCAGUUUCCAGUUUGGGAAUAGGGCAGCUUCUUCGUCGUUCCAAUCAAAGCAGGAUGAAUCACUUUGUAAGAAGCUUGAUUUGGAUACAUAAAGUGGUGUAGAAUCACUCGGAAGUUGAAUAAAUUUCAUAGGAGCUGGGAUGAAGAAGUUAUCCCACUUUCAAAUCAGGUGAUUCCAGUUUCGCAGUUUGGGAAUAGGACAGCUUCUUCGUCGUUCCAAUCAAACCAGGAUGAAUCACUUUGUAAGAAUCUUGAUUUGGAUACAUAAAGUGGUGGAGAACCACCAGGAAGUUGAAUAAAUCACAUAGGAGCUGGGAUGAAGAAGUUAUCCCACUUUCAAAUCAGGUAUUUCCAGUUUCGCAGUUUGGGAAUAGGACAGCUUCUUAGUCGUUGCAAUCAAACCAGGAUGAAUAAGUUUGUAAGAAGCUUGAUUUGGAUACAUAAAGUGUUGGAGAAUUACCAGGAAGUUGAAUAAACCGCAUAGGAGUUGGGAUGAAGAAGUUAUCCCACUUUCAAAUCAGGUGAUUCCAGUUUUCUUUAAUUUGGGAAUAGGACAGCUUCUUCGUCGUUCCAAUCAAAGCAGGAUGAUCACUUUGUAAGAAGCUUGAUUUGGAUACAUAAAGUGUUGGAGAAUCACCAGAAGUUGAAUAAAUCUCAUAGGAGUUGGAUGAAGAAGUUAUCCCACUUUCAAAUCAGGUGAUUCCAGUUCCCAGUUUGGGAAUAGGCAGCUUCUUCGUCGUUCCAAUCAAACCAGGAUAAAUCACUUUUGUAAGAAGCUUGAUUUGGAUACAUAAAAAGUGUGGAGAAUCACCAGGAAGUUGAAAAAAUCUCAUAGGAGUUGGGAUGAAGAAGUUAUCCCACUUUCAAUUCAGGUGAUUCCAGAUUCCCUGUUUGGGAAUAGGACAGCUUCUUCGUCGUUCCAAUCAAACCAGGAUGAAUCACUUUGUAAGAAGCUUAAUUUGGAUACAUAAAGGGGUUGAGAAUCACAACGAAGUUGAAUAAAUCUCAUAGGAAUUGGGAUGAAGAAGUUUUCCCACUUUCAAUUCAGGUGAUUCCAGUUUCCGAGUUAGGGAAUAGGACAGCUUCUUCGUCGUUCCAAUCAAAGCAGGAUGAAUCACUUUGUAAGAAGCUUGAUUUGGAUACAUAAAGUGGUGGAGAAUCACCAGGAAGUUGAAUAAAUCUCAUAGGAGUUGGGAUGAAGAAGUUAUCCCACUUUCAAAUCAGGUGAUUCCAGUUUCCCAGUUAGGGAAUAGGACAGCUUCUUCGUCGUUCCAAUCAAACCAGGUUGAAUCACUUUGUAAGAAGUUUGAUUUGGAUACAUAAAGUGGUGUAAAAUCACCAAGAAGUUGAAUAAAUCUCAUAGGAGUUGGGAUGAAGAAGUUAUCCGACUUUUAAAUCAGGUGAUUCCAGUUUGCAGUUCGAAUAGGACAGCUUCUUCGUCGUUCCAAUCAAAGCAGGAUGAAUCACUUUUAAGAAGCUUGAUUUGGAUACAUAAAGUGGUGGAGAAUCACCAGGAAUUUAUAUAAAUCUUAUAGGAGUUGGGAUGAAUAAGUUAUCCCACUUUCAAAUCAGGUGAUUCCAGUUUCCCAGUUUGGGAAAUAGGACAGCUUCUUCGUCGUUCCAAUCAAAGCAGGAUGAAGCACUUUGUAAGAAGCUUGAUUUGGAUCAUAAAGUGGUGGAGAAUCACCAGGAAGUUGAAUAUAUCUCAUAGGAGUUGGGAUGAAGAAGUUAUCCACUUUUAAAUCAGGUGAUUCCAGUUUCCCAAUUAGGAAUAGGAAAGCUUCUUCGUCGUUCCAAUCAAAGCAGGAUGAAUCACUUGUAAGAAGCUUGAUUUGGAUACAUAAAGUGGUGGAGAAUCACCAGGAAGUUGAAUAAAUCUCAUAAGAGUUGGGAUGAAGAAGUUAUCCCACUUUCAAUCAGGUGAUUCCAGUUUCCCUGUUAGGGAAUAGGACAGCUUCUUGUCGUUCCAAUCAAACCAGGAUGAAACACUUUUGUAAGAAGCUUGAUUUGGAUACAUAAAGUGGUGUAGAAUCACCAGUAAGUUGAAUAAAUCUCAUAGGAGUUGGGAUGAAGAAGUUAUCCCACUUUUAAAUCAGGUGAUUCCAGUUUCGCAGUUCGGAAUAGGACAGCUUCUUCGUCGUUCCAAUCAAAGCAGGAUGAGUCACUUUUUAAGAAGUUUGAUUUGAAUACAUAAAGUGGUGGAAAAUCACCAAGAAGUUGAAUAAAUCUCAUAGGAGUUGGGAUGAAGAAGUUAUCCGACUUUUAAAUCAGGUGAUUCCAGUUUCCCAGUUAGGGAAUAGGAAAGCUUCUUCGUCGUUCCAAUCAAAGAAGGAUGAAGCACUUUGUAAGAAGCUUGAUUUGGAUACAUAAAGUUGUGGAGAAUCACCAGGAAGUUGAAUAUAUCUCAUAGGAGGUUGGAUGAAGAAGUUAUCCGACUUUUAAAUCAGGUGAUUCCAGUUUCCCAGUUAGGGAAUAGGAAAGCUUCUUCGUCGUUCCAAUCAAAGCAGGAUGAAUCACUUUGUGAGAAGCUUGAUUUGGAUACAUAAAGUGGUGGAGAAUCACCAGGAAGUUGAAUAAAUCUCAUAAGAGUUGGGAUGAAGAAGUUAUCCCACUUUCAAUUCAGGUGAUUCCAGUUUCCCAGUUAGGGAAUAGGACAGCUUCUUCGUCGUUCCAAUCAAACCAGGAUGAAUCACUUUGUAAGAAGCUUGAUUUGGAUACAUAAAGUGUUGUAGAAUCACCAGUAAGUUGAAUAAAUCUCAUAGGAGUUGGGAUGAAGAAGUUAUCCCGCUUUUAAAUCAGGUGAUUCCAGUUUUGCAGUUUGGGAAUAGGACAGCUUCUUCGUCGUUCCAAUCAAAGCAGGAUGAAUCACUUUGUAAGAAGCUUGAUUUGGAUACAUAAAGUGUUUGAGAAUCACCAGGACGUUGAAUAAAUCUCAUAGAAGUUGGGAUGAAUAAGUUGUCCCACUUUCAAAUCAGGUGAUUCCAGUUUCCCAGUUUGGGAAUAGGGCAGCUUCUUCGUCGUUCCAAUCAAAGCAGGAUGAAGGACUUUGUAAGAAUCUUUAUUUGGAUACAUAAAGUGUUGAGAAUCACCAGGAAGUUGAAUAAAUCUCAUAGGAGGUUGGAUGAAAAGUUAUCCCACUUUCAAAUCAGGUGAUUCCAGUUUCCCAGUUUGGGAAUAGGACAGCUUCUUCGUCGUCCAAUCAAACCAGGAUGAAUCACUUUGUAAGAAGCUUGAUUUGGAUACAUAAAGUGUUGAGAAUCACCAGGAAGUUGAAUAAAUCUCAUAGGAGUUGGGAUGAAGAAGUUAUCCCACUUUCAAAUUAGGUGAUUCCAGUUUCCCAGUGGGAAUAGGACAGCUUCUUCGUCGUUCCAAUCAAACCAGGAUGAAUCACUUUGUAAGAAGCUUGAUUUGGAUACAUAACGUGGUGAGAAUCACCAGGAAGUUAAUAAAUCUCAUAAGAGUUGGGAUGAAGAAGUUAUCCCACUUUCAAAUCAGUGAUUCAAGUUUCCCUGUUAGGGAAUAGGACAGCUUCUUCGUCGUUCCAAACAAAGAAGGAUGAAGACUUUGUAAGAAGCUUGAUUUGGAUACAUAAAGUGGUGGAGAAUCACCAGAAGUUGAAUAAAUCUCAUAGGAGUUAGGAUGAAGAAGUUAUCCCACUUUUAAAUCAGGUGAUUCCAGUUUCCCAGUUAGGGAAUAGGACAGCUUCUUCGUCGUUCCAUUCAAACCAGGAUGAAUCACUUUGUAAGAAGCUUGAUUUGGAUACAUAAAGUGUGUGUAGAAUCACAGUAAGUUAAAUAAAUCUCAUAGGAGUGGAAUGAAGAAGUUAUCCCACUUUUAAAUCAGGUGAUUCCAGUUUUGCCCAGUUUGGAAUAGGACAGCUUCUUCGUCGUUCCAAUCAAAGCAGGAUGAAUCACUUUUUAAGAAGCUUGAUUUGGAUACAUAAAGUGGUGGAGAAUCACCCAGAAUUUAUAUAAAUCUUAUAGGAGUUGGGAUGAAUAAGUUACCCACUUUCAAAUCAGGUGAUUCCGGUUUCCCAAUUUGGGAAUAGGACAGCUUCUUCGUCGUUCCAAUCAAAGCAGGAUGAAGCACUUUGUAAGAAGCUUGAUUUAGAUUCAUAAAGUGGUGGAGAAUCACCAGGAAGUUGAAUAUAUCUCAUAGGAGUUGGGAUGAAGAAGUUAUCCCACUUUUAAAUCAGGUGAUUCCAGUUUCCCAAUUAGAGAAUAGGAAAGCUUCUUCGUCGUUCCAAUCAAAGCAGGAUGAAUCACUUUGUGAGAAGCUUGAUUUGGAUACAUAAAGUGGUGGAGAAUCAACAGGAAGUUGAAUAAAUCUCAUAAGAGUUGGGAUGAAGAAGUUAUCUCACUUUCAAUUCAGGUGACUCCAGUUUCCCUGUUAGGGAAUAUGACAGCUUCUUUGUCGUUCCAAUCAAACCAGGAUGAAACACUUUGUAAGAAGCUUGAUUUGGAUACAUAAAGUGGUGUAGAAUCACCAGUAAGUUUAAUAAAUCUCAUAGGAGUUGGGAUGAAGAAGUUAUCCCACUUUUAAAUCAGGUGAUUCCAGUUUCGCAGUUUCGGAAUAGGACAGCUUCUUCCUCGUUCCAAUCAAAGCAGGAUGAGUCACUUUUUAAGAAGCUUGAUUUGGAUACAUAAAGUGGUGGAGAAUCACCAGGAAUUUAUAUAAAUCUUAUAGGAGUUGGGAUGAAUAAAUUAUCCCACUUUCAAAUCAGGUGAUUCCAGUUUCCCAGUUUGGGAAUAGGACAACUUCUUCGUCGUUCCAAUCAAAGCAGGAUGAAGCACUUUGUAAGAAGCUUGAUUUGGAUUCAUAAAGUGGUGGAGAAUCACCAGGAAGUUGAAUAUAUCUCAUAGGAGUUGGGAUGAAGAAGUUAUCCCUCUUUUAAAUCAGGUGAUUCCAGUUUCCCAGUUAGGGAAUAGGGAAGCUUCUUCGUCGUUCCUAUCAAACCAGGAUGAAUCACUUUGUGAGAAGCUUGAUUUGGAUACAUAAAAUGGUGGAGAAUCACCAGGAAGUUGAAUAAAUCUCAUAAGAGUUGGGAUGAAGAAGUUAUCCCACUUUCAAUUCAUGUGAUUCCAGUUUCCCUGUUAGGGAAUAGGACAGCUUCUUUGUCGUUCCAAUCAAACCAGGAUGAAUCACUUUGUAAGAAGCUUGAUUUGGAUGCAUAAAGUGGUGUAGAAUCACCAGUAAGUUGAAUAAAUCUCAUAGGAGUUGGGAUGAAGAAGUUAUCCCACUUUUAAAUCAGGUAAUUCCAGUUUCGCAGUUUCGGAAUAGGAUAUCUUCUUCGUCGUUCCAAUCAAGGCAGGAUGAAUUACUUUCUAAGAAGCUUGAUUUGGAUACAUAAAGUGUUUGAGAAUCACCAGGACGUUGAAUAAAUCUCAUAGGAGGUUGGAUGAAGAAGUUUUCCCACUUUCAAAUCAGGUGGGUUUUCCGGUUUGGGAAUAGGGCAGCUUCUUCGUCGUUCCAAUCAAAGCAGGAUGAAGGACUUUGUAAGAAGCUUGAUUUGGAUACAUAGAGUGUUGUAGAAUCACCAAGAAGUUGAAUAAAUCUCAUAGGAGAUUGGAUGAAAAAGUUAUCCCACUUCCAAAUCAGGUGAUUCCAGUUCCCAGUUUGGGAAUAGGACAGCUUCUUCGUCGUCCAAUCAAACCAGGAUAAAUCAAUUUGUAAGAAGCUUGAUUUGGAUACAUAAAGUGUUCGAGAAUCACCAGGAAGUUGAAUAAAUCUCAUAGGAGUUGGGAUGAAGAAGUUAUCCCACUUUCAAAUUAGGUGAUUCCAGUUUCCCAGUUAAGGAAUAGGACAGCUUCUUCGUCGUUCCAAUCAAACCAGGAUGAAUCACUUUGUAAGAAGCUUGAUUUGGAUACAUAACGUGGUGGAGAAUCACCAGGAAGUUAAAUAAACCUCAUAGGAGUUAGGAUGAAGAAGUUAUCCCACUUUCCAUCAGGUGAUUCAAGUUUCCCUGUUAGGGAAUAGGACAGCUUCUUCGUCGUUCCAAACAAAGAAGGAUGAAGCACUUUGUAAGAAGCUUGAUUUGGAUACAUAAAGUGGUGGAGAAUCACCAGUAAGUUGAAUAAAUCUCAUAGGAGUUAGGAUGAAGAAGUUAUCCCACUUUUAAAUCAGGUGAUUCCAGUUUCACAGUUACGGAAUAGGACAGCUUCUUCGUCGUUCCAUUCAAACCAGGAUGGAUCACUUUGUAAGAAGCUUGAUUUGGAUACAUAAAGUGGUGUAGAAUCACCAGUAAGUUAAAUAAAUCUCAUAGGAGUUGGAAUGAAGAAGUUAUCCCACUUUUAAAUCAGGUGAUUCCAGUUUUGCAGUUUCGGAAUAGGACAGCUUCUUCGUCGUUCCAAUCAAAGCAGGAUGAAUCACUUUUUAAGAAGCUUGAUUUGGAUACAUAAAGUGGUGGAGAAUCACCCGGAAUUUAUAUAAAUCUUAUAGGAGUUGGGAUGAAUAAGUUAUCCCACUUUCAAAUCAGGUGAUUCCGGUUUCCCAAUUUGGGAAUAGGACAGCUUCUUCGUCGUUCCAAUCAAAGCAGGAUGAAGAACUUUGUAAGAAGCUUGGUUUAGAUUCAUAAAGUGGUGGAGAAUCACCAGGAAGUUGAAUAUAUCUCAUAGGAGUUGGGAUGAAGAAGUUAUCCCACUUUUAAAUCAGGUGAUUCCAGUUUCCCAAUUAAGGAAUAGGAAAGCUUCUUCGUCGUUCCAAUCAAAGCAGGAUGAAUCACUUUGUGAGAAGCUUGAUUUGGAUACAUAAAGUGGUGGAGAAUCAACAGGAAGUUGAAUAAAUCUCAUAAGAGUUGGGAUGAAGAAGUUAUCCCACUUUCAAUUCAGGUGAUUUCAGUUUCCCUGUUAGGGAAUAGGACAGCUUCUUUGUCGUUCCAAUCAAACCAGGAUGAAACACUUUGUAAGAAGCUUGAUUUGGAUACAUAAAGUGGUGUAGAAUCACCAGUAAGUUGAAUAAAUCUCAUAGGAGUUGGGAUGAAGAAGUUAUCCCACUUUUAAAUCAGGUGAUUCCAGUUUCGCAGUUUCGGAAUAGGACACUUCUUCGUCGUUCCAAUCAAAGCAGGAUGAGUCACUUUUUAAGAAGCUUGAUUUGGAUACAUAAAGUGGUGGAGAAUCACCAGAAAUUUAUAUAAAUCUUAUAGGAGUUGGGAUGAAUAAAUUAUCCCAUUUUCAAAUCAGGUGAUUCCAGUUUCCCAGUUUGGGAAUAGGACAGCUUCUUCGUCGUUCCAAUCAAAGCAGGAUGAAGCACUUUGUAAGAAGCUUGAUUUGGAUUCAUAAAGUGGUGGAGAAUCACCAGGAAGUUGAAUAUAUCUCAUAGGAGUUGGGAUGAAGAAGUUAUCCCUCUCUUAAAUCAGGUGAUUCCAGUUUCCUAGUUAGGGAAUAGGAAAGCUUCUUCGUCGUUCCUAUCAAACCAGGAUGAAUCACUUUGUUAGAAGCUUGAUUUGGAUACAUAAAAUGGUGGAGAAUCACCAAGAAGUUGAAUAAAUCUCAUAAGAGUUGGGAUGAAGAAGUUAUCCCACUUUCAAUUCAGGUUAUUCCAGUUUCCCUGUUAGGGAAUAGGACAGCUUCUUUGUCGUUCCAAUCAAACCAGGAUGAAUCACUUUGUAAGAAGCUUGAUUUGGAUGCAUAAAGUGGUGUAGAAUCACCAGUAAGUUGAAUAAAUAUCAUAGGAGUUGGGAUGAAGAAGUUAUCCCACUUUUAAAUCAGGUAAUUCCAGUUUCGCAGUUUCGGAAUAGGAUAUCUUCUUCGUCGUUCCAAUCAAGGCAGGAUGAAUUACUUUCUAAGAAGCUUGAUUUGGAUACAUAAAGUGUUUGAGAAUCACCAGGACGUUGAAUAAAUCUCAUAGGAGGUUGGAUGAAGAAGUUUUCCCACUUUCAAAUCAGGUGGGUUUUCCGGUUUGGGAAUAGGGCAGCUUCUUCGUCGUUCCAAUCAAAGCAGGAUGAAGGACUUUGUAAGAAGCUUGAUUUGGAUACAUAGAGUGUUGUAGAAUCACCAGGAAGUUGAAUAAAUCUCAUAGGAGGUUGGAUGAAAAAGUUAUCCCACUUCCAAAUCAGGUGAUUCCAGUUCCCAGUUUGGGAAUAGGACAGCUUUUUCGUCGUCCAAUCAAACCAGGAUAAAUCAAUUUGUAAGAAGCUUGAUUUGGAUACAUAAAGUGUUCGAGAAUCACCAGGAAGUUGAAUAAAUCUCAUAGGAGUUGGGCUGAAGAAGUUAUCCGACUUUCAAAUUAGGUGAUUCCAGUUUCCCAGAUAAGGAAUAGGACAUCUUCUUCUUCGUUCCAAUCAAACCAGGAUGAAUCACUUUGUAAGAAGCUUGAUUUGGAUACAUAACGUGGUGGAGAAUAUACCAGGAAGUUAAAUAAAUCUCAUAAGAGUUGGGAUGAAGAAGUUAUCCCACUUUCAAUUCAGGUGAUUCAAGUUUCCCUGUUAGGGAAUAGGACAGCUUCUUCGUCGUUCCAAACAAAGAAGGAUGAAGCACUUUGUAAGAAGCUUGAUUUGGAUACAUAAAGUGGUGGAGAAUCACCAGUAAGUUAAUAAAUCUCAUAGGAGUUAGGAUGAAGAAGUUAUCCCACUUUUAAAUCAGGUGAUUCCAGUUUCACAGUUAGGGAAUAGGACAGCUUCUUCGUCGUUCCAUUCAAACCAGGAUGAAUCACUUUGUAAGAAGCUUGAUUUGGAUACAUAAAGUGGUGUAGAAUCACCAGUAAGUUAAAUAAAUCUCAUAGGAGUUGGAAUGAAGAAGUUAUCCCACUUUUAAAUCAGGUGAUUCCAGUUUUGCAGUUUCGGAAUAGGACAGCUUCUUCGUCGUUCCAAUCAAAGCAGGAUGAAUCACUUUUUAAGAAGCUUGAUUUGGAUACAUAAAGUGGUGGAGAAUCACCCGGAAUUUAUAUAAAUCUUAUAGGAGUUGGGAUGAAUAAGUUAUCCCACUUUCAAAUCAGGUGAUUCCGGUUUCCCAAUUUGGGAAUAGGACAGCUUCUUCGUCGUUCCAAUCAAAGCAGGAUGAAGAACUUUGUAAGAAGCUUGGUUUAGAUUCAUAAAGUGGUGGAGAAUCACCAGGAAGUUGAAUAUAUCUCAUAGGAGUUGGGAUGAAGAAGUUAUCCCACUUUUAAAUCAGGUGAUUCCAGUUUCCCAAUUAAGGAAUAGGAAAGCUUCUUCGUCGUUCCAAUCAAAGCAGGAUGAAUCACUUUGUGAGAAGCUUGAUUUGGAUACAUAAAGUGGUGGAGAAUCAACAGGAAGUUGAAUAAAUCUCAUAAGAGUUGGGAUGAAGAAGUUAUCCCACUUUCAAUUCAGGUGAUUUCAGUUUCCCUGUUAGGGAAUAGGACAGCUUCUUUGUCGUUCCAAUCAAACCAGGAUGAAACACUUUGUAAGAAGCUUGAUUUGGAUACAUAAAGUGGUGUAGAAUCACCAGUAAGUUGAAUAAAUCUCAUAGGAGUUGGGAUGAAGAAGUUAUCCCACUUUUAAAUCAGGUGAUUCCAGUUUCGCAGUUUCGGAAUAGGACAACUUCUUCGUCGUUCCAAUCAAAGCAGGAUGAGUCACUUUUUAAGAAGCUUGAUUUGGAUACAUAAAGUGGUGGAGAAUCACCAGAAAUUUAUAUAAAUCUUAUAGGAGUUGGGAUGAAUAAAUUAUCCCAUUUUCAAAUCAGGUGAUUCCAGUUUCCCAGUUUGGGAAUAGGACAGCUUCUUCGUCGUUCCAAUCAAAGCAGGAUGAAGCACUUUGUAAGAAGCUUGAUUUGGAUUCAUAAAGUGGUGGAGAAUCACCAGGAAGUUGAAUAUAUCUCAUAGGAGUUGGGAUGAAGAAGUUAUCCCUCUCUUAAAUCAGGUGAUUCCAGUUUCCUAGUUAGGGAAUAGGAAAGCUUCUUCGUCGUUCCUAUCAAACCAGGAUGAAUCACUUUGUUAGAAGCUUGAUUUGGAUACAUAAAAUGGUGGAGAAUCACCAAGAAGUUGAAUAAAUCUCAUAAGAGUUGGGAUGAAGAAGUUAUCCCACUUUCAAUUCAGGUUAUUCCAGUUUCCCUGUUAGGGAAUAGGACAGCUUCUUUGUCGUUCCAAUCAAACCAGGAUGAAUCACUUUGUAAGAAGCUUGAUUUGGAUGCAUAAAGUGGUGUAGAAUCACCAGUAAGUUGAAUAAAUAUCAUAGGAGUUGGGAUGAAGAAGUUAUCCCACUUUUAAAUCAGGUAAUUCCAGUUUCGCAGUUUCGGAAUAGGAUAUCUUCUUCGUCGUUCCAAUCAAGGCAGGAUGAAUUACUUUCUAAGAAGCUUGAUUUGGAUACAUAAAGUGUUUGAGAAUCACCAGGACGUUGAAUAAAUCUCAUAGGAGGUUGGAUGAAGAAGUUUUCCCACUUUCAAAUCAGGUGGGUUUUCCGGUUUGGGAAUAGGGCAGCUUCUUCGUCGUUCCAAUCAAAGCAGGAUGAAGGACUUUGUAAGAAGCUUGAUUUGGAUACAUAGAGUGUUGUAGAAUCACCAGGAAGUUGAAUAAAUCUCAUAGGAGGUUGGAUGAAAAAGUUAUCCCACUUCCAAAUCAGGUGAUUCCAGUUCCCAGUUUGGGAAUAGGACAGCUUUUUCGUCGUCCAAUCAAACCAGGAUAAAUCAAUUUGUAAGAAGCUUGAUUUGGAUACAUAAAGUGUUCGAGAAUCACCAGGAAGUUGAAUAAAUCUCAUAGGAGUUGGGCUGAAGAAGUUAUCCGACUUUCAAAUUAGGUGAUUCCAGUUUCCCAGAUAAGGAAUAGGACAUCUUCUUCUUCGUUCCAAUCAAACCAGGAUGAAUCACUUUGUAAGAAGCUUGAUUUGGAUACAUAACGUGGUGGAGAAUAUACCAGGAAGUUAAAUAAAUCUCAUAAGAGUUGGGAUGAAGAAGUUAUCCCACUUUCAAUUCAGGUGAUUCAAGUUUCCCUGUUAGGGAAUAGGACAGCUUCUUCGUCGUUCCAAACAAAGAAGGAUGAAGCACUUUGUAAGAAGCUUGAUUUGGAUACAUAAAGUGGUGGAGAAUCACCAGUAAGUUUAAUAAAUCUCAUAGGAGUUAGGAUGAAGAAGUUAUCCCACUUUUAAAUCAGGUGAUUCCAGUUUCACAGUUAGGGAAUAGGACAGCUUCUUCGUCGUUCCAUUCAAACCAGGAUGAAUCACUUUGUAAGAAGCUUGAUUUGGAUACAUAAAGUGGUGUAGAAUCACCAGUAAGUUAAAUAAAUCUCAUAGGAGUUGGAAUGAAGAAGUUAUCCCACUUUUAAAUCAGGUGAUUCCAGUUUUGCAGUUUCGGAAUAGGACAGCUUCUUCGUCGUUCCAAUCAAAGCAGGAUGAAUCACUUUUUAAGAAGCUUGAUUUGGAUACAUAAAGUGGUGGAGAAUCACCCAGAAUUUAUAUAAAUCUUAUAGGAGUUGGGAUGAAUAAGUUAUCCCACUUUCAAAUCAGGUGAUUCCGGUUUCCCAAUUUGGGAAUAGGACAGCUUCUUCGUCGUUCCAAUCAAAGCAGGAUGAAGCACUUUGUAAGAAGCUUGAUUUGGAUUCAUAAAGUGGUGGAGAAUCACCAGGAAGUUGAAUAUAUCUCAUAGGAGUUGGGAUGAAGAAGUUAUCCCUCUUUUAAAUCAGGUGAUUCCAGUUUCCCAGUUAGGGAAUAGGAAAGUUUCUUCGUCGUUCCUAUCAAACCAGGAUGAAUCACUUUGUGAGAAGCUUGAUUUGGAUACAUAAAAUGGUGGAGAAUCACCAGGAAGUUGAAUAAAUCUCAUAAGAGUUGGGAUGAAGAAGUUAUCCCACUUUCAAUUCAUGUGAUUCCAGUUUCCCUGUUAGGGAAUAGGACAGCUUCUUUGUCGUUCCAAUCAAACCAGGAUGAAUCACUUUGUAAGAAGCUUGAUUUGGAUGCAUAAAGUGGUGUAGAAUCACCAGUAAGUUGAAUAAAUCUCAUAGGAGUUGGGAUGAAGAAGUUAUCCCACUUUUAAAUCAGGUAAUUCCAGUUUCGCAGUUUCGGAAUAGGAUAUCUUCUUCGUCGUUCCAAUCAAGGCAGGAUGAAUUACUUUCUAAGAAGCUUGAUUUGGAUACAUAAAGUGUUUGAGAAUCACCAGGACGUUGAAUAAAUCUCAUAGGAGGUUGGAUGAAGAAGUUUUCCCACUUUCAAAUCAGGUGGGUUUUCCGGUUUGGGAAUAGGGCAGCUUCUUCGUCGUUCCAAUCAAAGCAGGAUGAAGGACUUUGUAAGAAGCUUGAUUUGGAUACAUAGAGUGUUGUAGAAUCACCAAGAAGUUGAAUAAAUCUCAUAGGAGAUUGGAUGAAAAAGUUAUCCCACUUCCAAAUCAGGUGAUUCCAGUUCCCAGUUUGGGAAUAGGACAGCUUCUUCGUCGUCCAAUCAAACCAGGAUAAAUCAAUUUGUAAGAAGCUUGAUUUGGAUACAUAAAGUGUUCGAGAAUCACCAGGAAGUUGAAUAAAUCUCAUAGGAGUUGGGAUGAAGAAGUUAUCCCACUUUCAAAUUAGGUGAUUCCAGUUUCCCAGUUAAGGAAUAGGACAGCUUCUUCGUCGUUCCAAUCAAACCAGGAUGAAUCACUUUGUAAGAAGCUUGAUUUGGAUACAUAACGUGGUGGAGAAUCACCAGGAAGUUAAAUAAACCUCAUAGGAGUUAGGAUGAAGAAGUUAUCCCACUUUCCAUCAGGUGAUUCAAGUUUCCCUGUUAGGGAAUAGGACAGCUUCUUCGUCGUUCCAAACAAAGAAGGAUGAAGCACUUUGUAAGAAGCUUGAUUUGGAUACAUAAAGUGGUGGAGAAUCACCAGUAAGUUGAAUAAAUCUCAUAGGAGUUAGGAUGAAGAAGUUAUCCUACUUUUAAAUCAGGUGAUUCCAGUUUCACAGUUACGGAAUAGGACAGCUUCUUCGUCGUUCCAUUCAAACCAGGAUGGAUCACUUUGUAAGAAGCUUGAUUUGGAUACAUAAAGUGGUGUAGAAUCACCAGUAAGUUAAAUAAAUCUCAUAGGAGUUGGAAUGAAGAAGUUAUCCCACUUUUAAAUCAGGUGAUUCCAGUUUUGCAGUUUCGGAAUAGGACAGCUUCUUCGUCGUUCCAAUCAAAGCAGGAUGAAUCACUUUUUAAGAAGCUUGAUUUGGAUACAUAAAGUGGUGGAGAAUCACCCGGAAUUUAUAUAAAUCUUAUAGGAGUUGGGAUGAAUAAGUUAUCCCACUUUCAAAUCAGGUGAUUCCGGUUUCCCAAUUUGGGAAUAGGACAGCUUCUUCAUCGUUCCAAUCAAAGCAGGAUGAAGAACUUUGUAAGAAGCUUGGUUUAGAUUCAUAAAGUGGUGGAGAAUCACCAGGAAGUUGAAUAUAUCUCAUAGGAGUUGGGAUGAAGAAGUUAUCCCACUUUUAAAUCAGGUGAUUCCAGUUUCCCAAUUAAGGAAUAGGAAAGCUUCUUCUUCGUUCCAAUCAAAGCAGGAUGAAUCACUUUGUGAGAAGCUUGAUUUGGAUACAUAAAGUGGUGGAGAAUCAACAGGAAGUUGAAUAAAUCUCAUAAGAGUUGGGAUGAAGAAGUUAUCCCACUUUCAAUUCAGGUGAUUCCAGUUUCCCUGUUAGGGAAUAGGACAGCUUCUUUGUCGUUCCAAUCAAACCAGGAUGAAACACUUUGUAAGAAGCUUGAUUUGGAUACAUAAAGUGGUGUAGAAUCACCAGUAAGUUGAAUAAAUCUCAUAGGAGUUGGGAUGAAGAAGUUAUCCCACUUUUAAAUCAGGUGAUUCCAGUUUCGCAGUUUCGGAAUAGGACAACUUCUUCGUCGUUCCAAUCAAAGCAGGAUGAGUCACUUUUUAAGAAGCUUGAUUUGGAUACAUAAAGUGGUGGAGAAUCACCAGAAAUUUAUAUAAAUCUUAUAGGAGUUGGGAUGAAUAAAUUAUCCCAUUUUCAAAUCAGGUGAUUCCAGUUUCCCAGUUUGGGAAUAGGACAGCUUCUUCGUCGUUCCAAUCAAAGCAGGAUGAAGCACUUUGUAAGAAGCUUGAUUUGGAUUCAUAAAGUGGUGGAGAAUCACCAGGAAGUUGAAUAUAUCUCAUAGGAGUUGGGAUGAAGAAGUUAUCCCUCUCUUAAAUCAGGUGAUUCCAGUUUCCUAGUUAGGGAAUAGGAAAGCUUCUUCGUCGUUCCUAUCAAACCAGGAUGAAUCACUUUGUUAGAAGCUUGAUUUGGAUACAUAAAAUGGUGGAGAAUCACCAAGAAGUUGAAUAAAUCUCAUAAGAGUUGGGAUGAAGAAGUUAUCCCACUUUCAAUUCAGGUUAUUCCAGUUUCCCUGUUAGGGAAUAGGACAGCUUCUUUGUCGUUCCAAUCAAACCAGGAUGAAUCACUUUGUAAGAAGCUUGAUUUGGAUGCAUAAAGUGGUGUAGAAUAACCAGUAAGUUGAAUAAAUAUCAUAGGAGUUGGGAUGAAGAAGUUAUCCCACUUUUAAAUCAGGUAAUUCCAGUUUCGCAGUUUCGGAAUAGGAUAUCUUCUUCGUCGUUCCAAUCAAGGCAGGAUGAAUUACUUUCUAAGAAGCUUGAUUUGGAUACAUAAAGUGUUUGAGAAUCACCAGGACGUUGAAUAAAUCUCAUAGGAGGUUGGAUGAAGAAGUUUUCCCACUUUCAAAUCAGGUGGGUUUUCCGGUUUGGGAAUAGGGCAGCUUCUUCGUCGUUCCAAUCAAAGCAGGAUGAAGGACUUUGUAAGAAGCUUGAUUUGGAUACAUAGAGUGUUGUAGAAUCACCAGGAAGUUGAAUAAAUCUCAUAGGAGGUUGGAUGAAAAAGUUAUCCCACUUCCAAAUCAGGUGAUUCCAGUUCCCAGUUUGGGAAUAGGACAGCUUUUUCGUCGUCCAAUCAAACCAGGAUAAAUCAAUUUGUAAGAAGCUUGAUUUGGAUACAUAAAGUGUUCGAGAAUCACCAGGAAGUUGAAUAAAUCUCAUAGGAGUUGGGCUGAAGAAGUUAUCCGACUUUCAAAUUAGGUGAUUCCAGUUUCCCAGAUAAGGAAUAUGACAUCUUCUUCGUCGUUCCAAUCAAACCAGGAUGAAUCACUUUGUAAGAAGCUUGAUUUGGAUACAUAACGUGGUGGAGAAUAUACCAGGAAGUUAAAUAAAUCUCAUAAGAGUUGGGAUGAAGAAGUUAUCCCACUUUCAAUUCAGGUGAUUCAAGUUUCCCUGUUAGGGAAUAGGACAGCUUCUUCGUCGUUCCAAACAAAGAAGGAUGAAGCACUUUGUAAGAAGCUUGAUUUGGAUACAUAAAGUGGUGGAGAAUCACCAGUAAGUUGAAUAAAUCUCAUAGGAGUUAGGAUGAAGAAGUUAUCCCACUUUUAAAUCAGGUGAUUCCAGUUUCACAGUUAGGGAAUAGGACAGCUUCUUCGUCGUUCCAUUCAAACCAGGAUGAAUCACUUUGUAAGAAGCUUGAUUUGGAUACAUAAAGUGGUGGAGAAUCACCAGUAAGUUGAAUAAAUCUCAUAGGAGUUAGGAUGAAGAAGUUAUCCCACUUUUAAAUCAGGUGAUUCCAGUUUCACAGUUAGGGAAUAUGACAGCUUCUUCGUCGUUCCAUUCAAACCAGGAUGAAUCACUUUGUAAGAAGCUUGAUUUGGAUACAUAAAGUGGUGUAGAAUCACCAGGAAGUUGAAUAUAUCUCAUAGGAGUUGGGAUGAAGAAGUUAUCCCACUUUUAAAUCAGGUGAUUCCAGUUUCCCAAUUAGGGAAUAGGAAAGCUUCUUCGUCGUUCCAAUCAAAGCAGGAUGAAUCACUUUGUGAGAAGCUUGAUUUGGAUACAUAAAGUGGUGGAGAAUCAACAGGAAGUUGAAUAAAUUUUAUAAGAGUUGGGAUGAAGAAGUUAUCCCACUUUCAAUUCAGGUGAUUCAAGUUUCCCUGUUAGGGAAUAGGACAACUUCUUUGUCGUUCCAAUCAAACCAGGAUGAAACACUUUGUAAGAAGCUUUAUUUGGAUACAUAAAGUGGUGUAGAAUCACCAGUAAGUUGAAUAAAUCUCAUAGGAGUUGGGAUGAAGAAGUUAUCCCACUUUUAAAUCAGGUGAUUCCAGUUUCGCAGUUUCGGAAUAGGACAGCUUCUUCGUCGUUCCAAUCAAAGCAGGAUGAGUCACUUUUUAAGAAGCUUGAUUUGGAUACAUAAAGUGGUGGAGAAUCACCAGGAAUUUAUAUAAAUCUUAUAGGAGUUGGGAUGAAUAAAUUAUCCCACUUUCAAAUCAGGUGAUUCCAGUUUCCCAGUUUGGGAAUAGGACAGCUUCUUCGUCGUUCCAAUCAAAGCAGGAUGAAGCACUUUGUAAGAAGCUUGAUUUGGAUUCAUAAAGUGGUGGAGAAUCACCAGGAAGUUGAAUAUAUCUCAUAGGAGUUGGGAUGAAGAAGUUAUCCCUCUUUUAAAUCAGGUGAUUCCAGUUUCCCAGUUAGGGAAUAGGAAAGCUUCUUCGUCGUUCCUAUCAAACCAGGAUGAAUCACUUUGUGAGAAGCUUGAUUUGGAUACAUAAAAUGGUGGAGAAUCACCAGGAAGUUGAAUAAAUCUCAUAAGAGUUGGGAUGAAGAAGUUAUCCCACUUUCAAUUCAUGUGAUUCCAGUUUCCCUGUUAGGGAAUAGGACAGCUUCUUUGUCGUUCCAAUCAAACCAGGAUGAAUCACUUUGUAAGAAGCUUGAUUUGGAUGCAUAAAGUGGUGUAGAAUCACCAGUAAGUUGAAUAAAUCUCAUAGGAGUUGGGAUGAAGAAGUUAUCCCACUUUUAAAUCAGGUAAUUCCAGUUUCGCAGUUUCGGAAUAGGAUAUCUUCUUCGUCGUUCCAAUCAAGGCAGGAUGAAUUACUUUCUAAGAAGCUUGAUUUGGAUACAUAAAGUGUUUGAGAAUCACCAGGACGUUGAAUAAAUCUCAUAGGAGGUUGGAUGAAGAAGUUUUCCCACUUUCAAAUCAGGUGGGUUUUCCGGUUUGGGAAUAGGGCUGCUUCUUCGUCGUUCCAAUCAAAGCAGGAUGAAGGACUUUGUAAGAAGCUUGAUUUGGAUACAUAGAGUGUUGUAGAAUCACCAAGAAGUUGAAUAAAUCUCAUAGGAGAUUGGAUGAAAAAGUUAUCCCACUUCCAAAUCAGGUGAUUCCAGUUCCCAGUUUGGGAAUAGGACAGCUUCUUCGUCGUCCAAUCAAACCAGGAUAAAUCAAUUUGUAAGAAGCUUGAUUUGGAUACAUAAAGUGUUCGAGAAUCAGCAGGAAGUUGAAUAAAUCUCAUAGGAGUUGGGAUGAAGAAGUUAUCCCACUUUCAAAUUAGGUGAUUCCAGUUUCCCAGUUAAGGAAUAGGACAGCUUCUUCGUCGUUCCAAUCAAACCAGGAUGAAUCACUUUGUAAGAAGCUUGAUUUGGAUACAUAACGUGGUGGAGAAUCACCAGGAAGUUAAAUAAACCUCAUAGGAGUUAGGAUGAAGAAGUUAUCCCACUUUCCAUCAGGUGAUUCAAGUUUCCCUGUUAGGGAAUAGGACAGCUUCUUCGUCGUUCCAAACAAAGAAGGAUGAAGCACUUUGUAAGAAGCUUGAUUUGGAUACAUAAAGUGGUGUAGAAUCACCUGUAAGUUGAAUAAAUCUCAUAGGAGUUGGGAUGAAGAAGUUAUCCCACUUUCAAAUCAGGUGAUUCCAGUUUCCCAGUUUCGGAAUAGGACAGCUUCUUCGUCGUUCCAAUCAAAGCAGGAUGAAUCACUUUGUCAGAAGCUUGAUUUGGAUACAUAAAGUUGUGAAGAAUCACCAGGAAUUUGAAUAAAUCUCAUAGGAGGUUGGAUGAAGAAGUUAUCCCACUUUCAAAUCAGGUGAUUCCACUUUCCCAGUUAGGGAAUAGGAUAGCUUCUUCGUCGUUCCAAUCAAACCAAGAUCAAUCACUUUGUAAGAAGCUUGAUUUGGAUAGAUAAAGUGGUGUAGAAUCACCAGGAUGUUGAAUAAAUCUCAUAGGAGUUGGGAUGAAGAAGUUAUCCCACUUUUAAGUCAGGUGAUUCCAGUUUUGCAGUUUCAGAAUAGGACAGCUUCUUCGUUGUUCCAAUCAAACCAAGUAAAAAUCUUCAUAGUACCGAAUAUGGAAGACUUCCAUCUACUCUAACCGACAAGAACCGACAUAUAGACGACUAUAUAAAGGGAACCGAAACCCUAGAUUAAGGGAUUAACACUUUUAGACUUAGAGAUUAUACUUAGACGGCUAGGGUUAGGGUUCAUACCAAAAAUACUUGUAAUCCUUGCUUGUCCUUGCUUGUCUACUCAAUAAAGAUCUCUUCAAGUCUCUUACUCUCUAAUCUCUCAUAAAUGAUAUCACUCAAAUUACCCUAAGGAGUGAAUUACUCUCUCAAAUAAGAGGUUCAGAUGUAGAACUUAGGAAUCAGAUCCACAAAGACUCUAGGAUUACCCUAAUUGAUCUGUUUUGAGGUUGUUAACAUUUGGGAGAAAUAGUUAGAUUCAUGUAUAUUCUUAGGUAUGAUAAGUAAUACUUAAGUUGGGUGUUUAGGGGUUUAUUAAUAUUAAUUGUUCUUGAAUUCAAACUAAGAUAUAGUCUAUUUGAUUGUCUAAUCUGGAUUUCGGAUUUCAACUUUCGUAUGUUAAUCACGAGAAAGUUUCGAUAGAUAAUUCUUUAUGAAUAUCGAUCGAUAUACCUUUUAAAGUAUCGAUCGACAGGGCUAUCACUGCGUCGAUUGAUACUUCUUCCAGAAAGCUUUACGUACAGGUUUGAUUUAUAUUCUCUAACUUACUAGAUCAACUCUCGUCUGUAUCUAGUCAGUUAGAUCAUACUAGUUAAUUUUCAGGUAUUGAGUCAAGCAAUGACUUGAUCUCAAUUAAUCCUAAGAUCUAAGAUUUAUGGUUUAUCAACUCUAAGCUUAGUAAUAAGAACAACUAGAUGAAGAACUAAUUAAAUCACCCUAACAGAAAUUUAAGCUAGCAAUACAUAUAUCAACCUAUAUGAGAAACUUAAAUCUAACAGUGAGAUUACUCAGACAUAUUCAGAAAAGGCAUGGUUAUGAUGGUCUGAAUAAUAUUGCAAUAGAUAAAUAAACAUAAUAGAGUAAAGAAACAAAGGGGGUUCAAUAUUUUCUCUCUCUCCAAUCCUACGCUCUCUCUCUAGAAUAGUAUGAAGCAUUGCCAUCAACAAUGCCUUAGAAAACAGUAAAAUAGGGUUUCUGGUCAUCCAGGGGUAUUUUGGUAACUUAGUGUGGCUUCUGGGCUUCAAAAGGUCUUGAAAUAUGCUUGGCCCACGUUCUGGCAUCCAUAUCGAUCGAUGUCAAGAGUUCCGCAUCGAUCGACAUACGUUCCUCUUCUCGACAUUUUCCUCUCGCAAGGCAGACUGACCACUCUUCAGUACAAUGGGCAUAACUUCUGCUACAAGAUGCUGAUUUACCUGACACCGGUGGCAUUGGAAAGAUAACUCAAAUAUCUAUCUUUUGUCCAAAGAUGAACUCAAUAUAACGGUGGGAAAGUCUCCAUCCAUAGCUAAACAUCUGAUGCAUAUGUGCAGUUCUGCACUCAAAAUGCUCCAAAAUCACCAUAUUUCUCCAUAAUGUACCUGAACCUGAAAAUACUCUAAAUAGACUCUAUAUAUUAGUAAAUAUAUAUUAAAACACUUAUAUACCAUGGCUGAAAGUGGGUAAAAUCCAUGUUAUAUCUACUCCCCCAGACAUACUCUUUUGUUUGUCCUCAAACAAAACAUACUAGAGCAGUCUCUCUGAAAGAGGUUUGAAAACAGCAGGGAUUCUCAUGAUUUAAAACUUAGAAUCAUCACCUCUACAAUAUUACAAUCCACAUCUAAGAAGUCCUACUCAGAAAAGCACAUUAUAUCAUAUCCUAGUUUAGCAACCAAAUUCACCUAGCCAACAACUUAGCAAAUCAUGUUUUACAUUCCCGUCUACCAACCUCAUUUCUUAACAUAAAUAAAAGUGCAAGCUUUACCUUGGGAGUAUCAAUCACAGGAUGCAAUGAUUUUCAAACAAGUAUCUGAAUCUGCAGGUAAAAGUUAGUUCGUAUCUUUUUUCUCUACUAAUUUCUCUCUUUAGUCAAAGUCUGCUUAUAUUGCAAGAUCAAUGACAAAGAUUGGACAGGCUUCCAUGAAUCAAAACUUAAUGGUGGUUGCCACCAAGUCAUGUUCACUUCUUUUUGACCUAUAUCCAAGAAUUCAUAUGAAUCGAACCUUGAUGAUUGCCGCCACCAAGUCCCGUUCGAAUUAUUUUUGUAGGAAUCCUUAUGAAGCAAGCCUUAAUGGUUGUAGCCACCAAGUCAUGUUCGGAUUCCACUUAACUAACACAUGUAUAUAUAUAUAAUUUCUAUUUUUCUUUCUUUUUCUUUUUUUUUUCUUUUUCGUUUUUUUUUUUUUUGAAAUAAAUAUCUCUACCAAUAAAUCUAGGGUCGAAAUAGAGAAAGAAAAGGUGAUAAAUCUACACAAGGUUUUACCUUCUAGACUUGUUUAAAGAAUCCGUUCCCAUGUAGACCAAGCUCCAAGACAAGCAGUUGUGUCAGGUUUAGUGUUGGAGGUCAGUUUUGGUUCCUUCAAACAAUCUUAACAAAUGUGAUUAGUUGACAGGUUGAUCCACUUUAGUAUCUUUAGUACUAUCUGCAAUCAAUAAUUCUAGAAUGGUGCUAGAGAGUGGUUAGAUAACAAGUAAAAGUCUAAUAAGUUCAUUAUCCCCUUCUUGACUCAAUAAAACUCUUUUGAAAACAUUUUGAUAAGACUCAUGAACACACUAAUAUCAGUAAACAUCCCCCAUACUUAAAUUACACUGUCCCUAGUGUAUAUCUAGUUGGAGUUAUGGUGAGAAAUAAUCAUAAGUACACAAUUUAACAAGUUAUAACAAUAUACCUGACCAAGUAAGUGUCGAUCGAUGGAAAGGAGUUGCCAUCGGUCGGUGCAGGUGAUGUACGGUCGAUCGAUAUCGACAUGCUCUCAUCGGUCGAUUUUAUAAUUGUCUACUCGGAUUUUUUUAUUUAUUUAAACUAAAUCCUAAAUAUCCUAAAACUAGAAAUGGGUUGCCUCCCAUUCAGCGCUUAUUUUGAGUCUUGAGCUCGACUCGAGGUCUGAAUGUCUAAUUAUCAUGAAGAAGGCCUAAGUGUAAAGGCCUGCUAAUUGGCGGUUUAGCCCAAAAGUGUUUCACUCGUUGUCCAUUCACUGUAAAUUCUUCUCCUUUAUCGUUUAUAAGUGUGAUGGCUCCAUAAUGUUUGACAUCCACAACAGUGAAAGGACCUGACCAACGAGAUCGGAGUUUUCCAAGAAACAGCGUAAGUCGAGAGUUAUAUAACAGCACUUGAUCAUUUGGUUCGAAGUUCCUGGAGAUGUUCUUUUUAUCAUGAUAUGCUUUCGUUUUCUCUUUAUAGAUCUUUGAACUCUCAUAGGCUAAUUGUCUUAUUUCUUCCAGCUCGUUAAGCUUAAUUACUCUCCUUUCGGCAGCUGGUUUGAUGUCGAAAUUUAAUAAUUUUAUAGCCCAUGCUGCCUUAUGUUCUAGCUCAACCGGUAAGUGACAAGAUUUUCAAUAGAGUAGGUGAAAUGGGGUUGUUCCUAGUGGGGUUUUGUAUACAGUUUGGUAGGCCCAAAGUGCAUUGUCCAGUUUUCUAGACCAAUCUUUCCUAGAAGUUCCUACGGUCUUUUCUAAGAUUUCUUUGAUCUGUCGAUUUGAGACUUCUACUUGUCCACUUGUUUGCGGAUGGUAGGGUGUAGCAACUCUAUGGUGAACUCCGUUCUUCCGGAGCAAUCCGUCAAAAUCUUUGUUAAUAAAAUGGAAGCCACCGUCGCUUAUGACUAUUCUAGGAACUCCAAAUCUUGGAAAAAUAAUGCUCUUGAAAAGCUUGAUAACUACAGAUGCGUCAUUUUUUGGGGAGGCUACUGCUUCGACCCAUUUUGAUACAGAAUCAACAGCGACUAGUAUGUAUUUGUUCCCAUACGAAGAAGGGAAAGGACCCACGAAAUCUAUUCCCCAACAAUCAAAGACUUCUACCUCUACAAUAGAUUUCUGUUCCAUUUCAUGUCUUUUACUGAUUUUCCCCCUUCGUUGGCAUCUGUCGCAUUGUGCUAUGAAUGCAUGAGCAUCGGGAAACUUGGUCGGCGACCAGAAUCCUGCCUGAAGACUUUUAGAUACCGUUUUAAAGGUUGCAAAAUGUCCAGCGUAGUCGGAUCCAUGGCAUUAGAAUAAAAUAUCAGGGAUUUCAGUUUCGGCGACGCAACGUCUAUAUAUCCCGUCAGAGAAAUGUUUGUAGAGAUAUGGUUCGUCCCAGUGAUAUCUCCUAACUUCUCUUAAAAAUUUCUUCCUUGUAUAACCUCUUAGCUCUUCGGGUUCCACGUCAGCAGCUAGAUAGUUUACGAUAUCAGCGUACCAAGGUCUAUUCUUUAAACCUUUUUCGACUGCGUGCACUUCCCGAUGCAGACUUUGAUCUACGGGGGAAUCAUGGUGAGCAUGCAGCUCUUUGUACGCGACAUUAACUAUUAUAACGAAGGUUUUGGGAUUUGUGUCUUUGUUUAGAUCAUUUGAAGUGUCGAUCGACAUACUAUCACCGUCAUAAAUUGUCAUGGUACUGCCGUAAUCGAUCGACAUAGCAUUAUUGUCGUCGAUCAACAGGUCCUCGGAAGUGAGACAUACAUUCCCGAUGAACGAAUCCGUUCGGUAAACGCUUUCAGUUGGUAAGAAGUCAUCGAUAGGGAAGUCGUUUUCUAUUCUUAUCCGGGAAAGAUGAUAUGCAACUCCGUUUUCUACUCCUAUUUUUUCUUUAAUCUCAAUGUCGAAUUCUUGAAGUAAAAGGAUACAUCGCAUGAGACGUGGUUUCACAUCUUUCUUUUGCAUCAAAUAUUUAAUAGCAGCAUGGUCAGUAUGGACAAUGACUCGCAAACCGACCAGGUAUUGGCGGAACUUUUCGAAUGCAUAAACCACGGCGAGCAGUUCUUUUUCUGUUGUUGCGUAAUUCCUUUGUGCCUCGUCGAGCGUUCUACUGGUAUAGUAAACUGCAUGUAGCUUUUUGUCUUUUCUUUGGCCUAGAACUGCUCCUACAGAGAAAUAACUCGCAUCGCACAUGAUUUCGAAAGGAAGAUUCCAGUCAGGUGCUUGUACGAUGGGGGCAGUUAUCAAAGCUUUCUUUAUUUCCUCAAAAGACUUUACGCAUUCUGGUGAGAAGACGAAUUUAACUUCUUUAGAGAAAAGAGAGGUGAGAGGUCUAGCAAUUUUGCUAAAAUCAUGUAUGAACAUUGAUAUACCUUGGAUUUGACCCAUUUUUAUCCAUGGUAUAUAAGUAUUUUACUAUAUAUAUAUAUAUCUAUGUUUUCUACUCUUCUAGGUAUGUUUUCAGGUUCAGGUGCAUUUCGGAGUAAAGCUAUGACUUUGGAGCAUUUUGGAGCUUAAAAGACAUUUCACCCGAGCUGACCACUUAGAGGUCGACGAGAGGAAGAAUAAUCGAUCGACGCGCAUCAGUGCUGACGAUCGAUAUCAGGAAAUGCGUCGACAGAUGAAGAUUAAUAUCGAUCGAUGUACACAACUACCAUCAAUCGAUGUCGAGACACCAUACGCGACAUUUUGGAUUCAGCAGACUUAAAAACCAAGGCCAAGCCAAAUUACCAAAAUGCCCUGACGAGUUUUUAACCUAGUAGAAUAUAUACUGCCUAGUGUUUUUGACGGCAGGAGUACAAAGUUUUUCUAGACCUAGUUUUGUUACAAGUUUCAUUUGGGAGAGAAGAUCACUUGUGAUUGGAACUCCUUGUUUCUAUUUCUUUUCAUCUAUUCUAUGAGUUUCUAUUUAUCUAUUGAUAUGAAUUGCUUUGCUAUGUCUGAGUAGUUCAACUGUUAGAUCCAGGGUUCAGAUAGUUUGUGGGAUUAGCCCCAAACUAUAGAUCUGCCUUGUUGUGAUGUUCAUGAUAGAUUUGUAUUCAUUGCUUGUUUUAGCCUUGCUAACUAGAACUUGAUCAUAGGAUUGCAUAUUCAAGCACCCUUGUUAUCCCAUCCUGACAUCUAUAUAUCAUAUUAGGAUUGCUAGAGAGGGCUAACCGCCAAUUUAGAAUCUUAGUAGGGCAUUUCAUACUCGCGCAUAGGCCUGGCUAGAACCCGUCGAUCGAUGUCCUCAACUGACAAUCGAUCGAUGUUGGCAAAGGUGUACCGGUCGACGUCUUAAUAGACUAUUGAUCAACACUCUCUCGUGUCUGCAUACUAACCUGUGAGACACGAGAUCUAGUCUGUUAACUAGUGGUACAUGCGACAGCUGAUCACUGAGUUAAGCGAAUGAGCUCUAAUAUAUCAUGCAUGCAACAGUUAGGCAUCUAUAGGUAUUAUAAUCUCCAACACCUGAAUAGUGGCCCUGCAUCUAAUAUCAUUUCCAACCAAGUUACAUUUAUAUUUACUCGCUUGUUACUAUUGCUAUUCCAUUUAAACAUUUACAACCUUUAGAAUUAAUAAACACUAUAUUUAAUUUUUCUCUAGCUCCUUGUGGAUUCGAUCCCUAACUACUACAUCUGAACCUCUUUUGAUGAGAGUAACACUCCUUAGGGUAAUUUGAGUGGUAUCAAAUAUCCUGUAGAAUCCGGCAUGCCCGAGAAAACUUCUCACGUCUUUUACGUUCGUGGGUGCAGGCAAACCGGUCAUUACUUUAAUUUUUGCUUGAUCUACUUCUAUACCAGCAGCGGACACUUUAUGAUAGGACGAUUCCAUCAUUAACCAUGAAGUGGCAUUUUUCCCAAUUUAGAAUGAGGUUCUUUUCUUCACAUCUUGCCAAAACCUUACAUAGGUUAUCGAGACAGUUUUUGAAACUGGAUCCAUAUGCAGAGAAAUCGUCCAUGAAGACUUCCAUGAAAUCUUCUAUCAUAUCAGUAAACAUUGACAUCAUGCAUCGUUGGAAAGUGGUAGGGGCAUUACAAAGACCGAAUGGCAUUCUGCGGUAUGCGAAUGUUCCGUACGGGCAUGUAAAGGUGGUCUUUUCUUGAUCGUCAGGAUGUAUAGGGAUUUGGAAAAAUCCAGAGUAUCCGUCAAGAAAACAGUAGUAUUGGUGAUUUGCCAAUCUUUCCAACAUUUGAUCAAUGAACAGUAAGGGAAAGUGAUCUUUUCUGGUGGCAGCGUUUAGCUUCCUAUAAUCGAUACACAUUCGUUGUCCAGUGACAGUUUGCGUGGGAAUGAGUUUGUUUUUAUCGUUCUUAACCACUGUAAUUCCGCCUUUCUUAGGUACAACAUGCACGAAGCUCACCCAGUUGCUAUCAGAAAUUGGAUAGAUGAUUCCAGCAUCUAGAAGUUUGAUAAUUUCCUACUUGACAACUUCUUUGAAGUUUGGGUUUAGCCUUCUUUGAUAUUCCACUGACGAUUUGGAAUCGUCUUCUAAGUGAAUUCGGUGCAUGCACAGAUUUGGAAUCGUCUUCUAUGGGGGUUUUCUGCAGAAGUGAUUUCUACAGUGCUUGGAGAAAGGCGUUUUCCGCUUCUUAGUAACACAGUACAAACUUGGCGGCUUGGGUUGGUAUCAGUUUUUUCAGGAAGGAAUCCUUCAUCUCUUCUGACAAACCCAAUGUUAUGCGCAACUUGGCUAUCUAAUUUAUUGACAUGUUUACUCAAAGUUUCAAACUUAUCAUGUAAAUCAGAAUAUACGGAAUCCAAUCUUUCAUCAAAAAGCGCACUCAUUUUCUGCUGGCUUUUUAGAACUUGACCAAUCAUAGAUUCCAGCUUGCACCUAUGAGUCUGUCCUGCCUCGUAGGUCCUUAUGAAGCUCAUGUUUCGCUGCUGAUCGGCAAGUCUUUGUUUGCGAAAGCCAGUUUCAUCGAUCAGGUAUACAUGCUGUUCUGCAUCUCCUUCACGUAGCAAGGCCUGACUCUCUUCGGUAAACCAAACUUGCUCAUCUCCAAUCACAAAGGCAUGAGCUAAAUAUAACGUUUCUUUCCCCUCAGAUAUCGGAUCUCCAUUCGAAUUCUCGGCCAUCUUCCUCCUCUCUAGAUCAGUCUUCUUGGCACUAGUGCUAGAAGCAACCUUUACAAUGAGCCUUAUAGCUUCUUCAUGUGUCUUAUUUUUGAAGUUCCCUUGAAUCGCAACGUCCAAAGUCGCUUGGUAUGUCAGGUGGAGACCUCUGAAGAAAAUAUUAAAUAGCUGGAUUUCGGGAAAACCAUGGUGUGGGCAGUCUCACUGGUAGGCUUUGAAUCUCAACCAAGAAUCAUUAAAAGCUUCAGUAGUGCCUUAAGAAAAAUUAUAGAUCUUAUUCCUAAAUUCCUCGGUUCGUGCAUCAUCGAAGAAGUUGUUGAGGAAGGCGCUUUUGAUAUAACUCCAGCAAGUGAAAGAUCCUGGCUGCAAUUGUUUCAGCCAGUGCCUCACAUCUCAAGCAAGGGAGUGCGUGAAGAGUUUGCAAAAUAGGUAGUCUUCAGAGACUCCAUGCACCUUGAUGUUAGAUACAAAGUCCUCAAGUGUUUCGAUAUGGUCUAUGGGAAUUUCAUUAGGAAGACCACGAAAGGGGUGCUGACAUACUAGAGAGAAAUAUUUGGGUUUUAGUUCAAAGUCUUUUCUUUGAAUUGCUGGAGGACGGAUCGCAGACCUGUUAGUGUAGAACCGAUCAGGUCUGAUGUAAUCUCCGAGCGUUUGGUGAUGCUCCGGUCAAGCAUCCAAAACAACAGCUACUCCAAUAGGAAUUGGAGCCCUAUGUCUAUAAUUAAUUUGGUUUGAUGCAUGGCAUACUCGACCUUUUUGAUUUCCUAGAACCACUUUUUCUUUAUUGAAACAUGUAAGAACAUACUUACUUGCUUCUGGCAGGAUGGCGUCGAUCGAUAUUGGUAGCGGAGUGUCGAUCGAUUUUUGUGUUGACCCAUCGCUCGAUGUUAUUGUCUGAGCGUCGAUUGAUUUUGGGCCAAAAUUCAUGUCUUCCAUCUUAAGUACCUGUGUCAGCAGGGAAAGAGGGAAAACUUUAGCUGAUUCAGUAACAAAAUCUAGACUAUAUUCUAAACUUAAUCUAAUGGUAAUAAGAAAACGUUCCCGGCAACGGCGCCAAAUUUGAUAUCACUCAAGUUAUCCUAAGGAGUGAAUUACUCUCUCAAAUAAGAGGUUCAGAUGUAGUACUUAGGGAUGGAAUCCACAGAGACUCUAGGAUUACACAGUAGAUUAUGGUCUUGAAAUAAAUCUAGAUUGAAUGGUUUAUAAGUUUUAAAGCAGUAAAUGGAGUGGUGAGCAACUUUAUUGCUCGAUUGAUUUGUUUUGAGGUUGUUAACAGUUGGGAGAAAUAGCUAGAUUCAGGUAUAUUCUCAGGUAUGAUAAGUAAAACCUAAUCUGGAUUUCAGAUUUCAACUUUUGUAUGUUAAUCACGAGAAAGUGUCGAUCGAUAAUUCUUUAUGAAUAUCGAUCUAUAUACCUUUCAAAAUAUCGAUCGACAAGGCUAUCGCUGCGUCGAUCGAUACUUCUUCCAUAAAGCUUUACGAACAGGUUUGAUUUAUAUUCUCUAACUCACUAGAUCAACUAUCGUAUGUAUCAAGUUAGUUAGAUAAUACUAGUUUAUUUUCAGGUAUUGGGUCAAGCAAUAACUUGAUCCCAAUUAAUCCUAAGAUCUAAGUCUUAGGGCUUAUCAACCUUCAGCUUAGUAGUAAGAACAACUAGAUGGAGAACUAAUUAAAUCCCCCUAACAUCAAUUCAAACUAGCAAUACAUGUAUCAACCUAUGAGAAACCUAAAUCUAACAGUGAGAUUACUCAAACAUAUUCAUAAAAGACAUGGUUAGGAUGGUCUGAAUAAUAUUGCAAUUGAUAAAUAAACGAAAUGGAGUAAAAAAACAAAGGGAGUUCAAGAUCUUCUCUCUCUCAAGGUGUACAUAUCGCUCUCUCCAAUCCUAAGCUCUCUCUCUCUCUAAAAUAGGGUUUCUGAUCGUCCAGGGGUAUUUUGGUAACUUCGUGUGGCUUCUGGGUUUUAAAAGGUCUUGAAAUAUGCUUGGCCCACAUUCUGGCAUCCAUAUCGAUCGAUGUUUACGUAGACAGGUGAUACCACUCAAAUUACCCUAAGGAGUGUUACUCUCAUCAAAAGCGGUUCAGAUGUAGUACUUAGGGAUCGAAUCCACAAGAAGCUAGGGAACAAUUAAAUCUAGUGUUUAUUAAUUCUAAAGGUUGUAAUGUUUUAAAUAAAAUAGCAAUAGUAACUAGCGAGUAAAUGAUAAAUGUAACUUAGGUUGGAAAUGAUAUUAGAUGCAGGGCCACUAUUCAGGUGUUGGAGAUUAUAAUUCCUAUAGAUACCUAACUGUUGCAUGCAUGAUAUAUUAGAGCUCAUUCGCUUAACUCAGUGAUCAGCUGUCGCAUGUACCACUGGUUAACAGACUAGAUCUUGUGUUUCACCGGUUAGAUGCUGACACAAGAGAGUGCCGAUCGAUAGUCUAUUACAACGUCGACGGAUACACUUUUGCCAACAUCGAUCGAUUGUCAGUUGAGGACAUCGAUCGACGGGUUCUAGCCAGGCCUAUGCGCGAGUAUGAAAUGCUCUACUAAGAUUCUAAAUUGGCGGUUAGCCCUCUCUAGCAAUCCUAAUAUGAUAGAUAGAUGUCAGGAUGGGAUAACAAGGGUGCUUGAAUAUGCAAUCCUAUGAUCAAGUUCUAGUUAGCUAGGCUAAAACAAGCAAUGAAUACAAAUCUAUCAUGAAUAUCACAACAAGGCAGAUCUAUAGUUUGCGGCUAAUCCCACAAACCUAUCUGAACCCUAGAUCUAACAAUUGAACUACUCAGACAUAGCAAAGCAAUUCAUAUCAAUAGAUAAAUGGAAACUCAUAGAAUAGAUGAUAAGAAAAUGAAACAAGGAGUUCCAAUCACAAGUGAUCUUCUCUCCAAAUGAAACUUGUAACAAAACUAGGUCUAGAAAAGAAAAGCUCUCUCUGCCGUCAAAACUUAGGCAGUAUAUAUUCUACUAGGUUAAAAACUCGUCAGGGCAUUUUGGUAAUUUGGCUUGGCCUUGGUCUUUAAGUCUGCUGAAUCCAAAAUGUCACGUCUGGUGUCUCGACAUCGAUCAAUGGUACUUGUGUACAUCGAUCGAUAUUAAUCUUCAUCUGUCGGGGCAUUUCCUGAUAUCGAUCAUCAGCACUGAUACUCAUCGAUCGAUUAUUCUUCCUCUCAUCGACCUCUAAGUGGUCAGCUCGGGUGAAAUGUCCUUUAUGCUCCAAAAUGCUCCAAAGUCAUAGCUUUACUCCGAAAUGCACCUGAACCUGAAAACAUACCUAGAAGAGUAGAAAAAUAGAUAUAUAUAUAUAUAUAUAUAGUAAAAUAAUAAUAUACCAUGAAUAAAAAUGGGUCAAAUCCAAGGUAUAUCAACUCCCCCAGACUUACCCUUUUGCUUGUCCUCAAGCAAAACAUAUAGGCAGUCUCUCUGAAAGAGGUUUGAAAAUAUUUGGGAACUUAAGAUUUUAAAAACAUAGAAAUCUUUCCUCAACAAUUUUGCAACCAAAUUUAAAAGUCCUAAUCACAAAAGCACACUAUGCAAUAUCCUAGCUUAGCAACCAUUUCUAACAAAACACAACUCAUCAAUUCACGUCUGACAUCCCCUCUAUUGAUUUCAUUUCUUAGCAUAAAUAUAAAGUGAAUGCUUUACCUUGGGAGUAUCGAUCACAUGAUGCAAGGAUUUCAGACAGGUAUCUGGAGCUGCAGGUAAAAGUUAGUUCCUAGUUUCUCUCUCUCUAAAUUUCUCUCUUGAGUCAAAGUCUGCUUCCUUUGCAGGAUCAGUGACCAAGAUUGGACAGGCUUCCAUGAAUCAAAACUUAUUUGUGGUUGCCACCAGGUUCUGUUCACUUCUUUUUUGACCUAUGUCCAAGAGUUCUUUGCGAAAUCGAGCCUUGAAGAUUGCCGCCUCCAAGUCCCGUUUCAAACUCUUUUAUUUGAGUCUUUAUGAAUCAAGCCUUAGUGGUUUUAGCCACCAAGUCCUGUUCAGACUCAUCCUAAUUAAACAAUAGAUCUUACUUAUUAUUAUUUUUUUAUUAUUAUUUUUUUUAAUACUCUAUAUCUAAUCUAGGGUCGAAAUCUAGAGAGAGAAAAUGUGAUAAAUAAUCUAAACCAGGCGUUACCUUCCAGACCUAUCUGAAGAAUCUGAUCCCAUGUAUACCAAGCCCCAAGACAAGCGGUUAUCUCAGGUUUAGUGUUGGAAAUCAUCUUUGGUUACUUCAUACGGUUCAAGGCAAGUGUGUUGUUGAUAGGUUGAUCUGCUUUAGCAUCUUUAGUGCUAUCUGCAAUCAGUAAAUCUAAAAUGGUGCUAAAGAUUGGUUAGAUAUUCAUGUUUAAAUCAAUAUAAGAUUAUAGUCCCUAUUUUCGAUAGCUAAGCAUAAUUUAUUUGAAAUUCUUUUUUACGUAAGAAUAAAAUAAAUUAUAUCAGUAAAUCUCCCCCCCCCCAGACUUAAAUUACACUGUCCAAGUGUAACUCAGCCGGAGUUAUGAUGAAAUGUGUAUGAUGUACGAAAUGUAACAAGUAGGUAAGAUACAUCUGACCGGAUUAAAUAUCGAUCGAUGGGUAAGUGUUACAUCGAUCGUCGUGUGGUUGCCUUUGUCAAACGAUGUUGACCUCUCGUUGUCGGUCGAUAUUCAAGUCCUCCUUCUUGGUUCUCCUAAAUCUGAAAGAGAUAAAACGAAAGAAAUUAAGUGCUAGCUAGAAAACCGAAGUAAAAUACCUAAUAGUGGGUUGCCUCCCACUCAGCGCUUGGUUAUAGUCAUUUAGCUUGACUGUGGUAGUGAUUGGCUAUUGGGUGGAGAAGCAUCUGCUUGUUGGAAAGCAAGCAUUCGCGUCAUCUCUGCGCAUUCUGGACCAAGAUGCAAUGAAACUUCUUGUGGCCUCAUCAUUUCUUGUCCAUUUGUCAUCCAUCUUCCCAAGUACAUUGGAGAUGUUAUGUAGCCUUUCUUGAAUGUUUCAAUGCUGACCUGGUGCCAGCCUAUGUUGUCAUAGGCGUAUGCUGAAAGAUCUGCCAGUUCCUUUUGCAUUGACUCUACUGUCUUGUGUAUCAGCUGCUCGUCGAUUGGUAUAGAAUCGGCGUCGAUCGAUGCGAUUACGUGUUUGUUGGUUGAUCUCGGUGAGUUGCCGUCGAUCGAUUUUGCUUUUGUCUUGUCGAUCGAUGCAGAUAUCUGAUGUUGAGCUGCGAGUUGCCUCUGAAUGGUUUUGACUUCUUUCUGUAGCCAUUCUGCGUGGUUGUCUAGUCCACUGAUUUUGUUGUCGAAUGGAAAGUAGAUAUCAUCGUAGCGUUUGUCAAGUCGUUCCUCCAUGGUGUCUAGAGCAGUGUUGAUCUUGGAUGUGAUCUUGUCAACCUCUGCUGCUGUGUAAGGAAGUAACUCCACAGGUUUCUUGCCAUCGAUCCAGGAUCCUCUUAGCCUGUCCAUCGAUGCUGAUUUUUCCUGCAAAAAACUUUGAUUUGUAAUGUUCUCAAUAUCCUUUUGGGCAUCAAGUAAUUGACUAGACAAUUUGUUUAAAUCUAUCAUGACUGGUGAUAUAAAACGGUCAUGCAUAUCCUCGUAAGUCCUCAGCCUCUCAUUCAUUGCUGAGACUUUGGCGUCGAGCGAUGUGAAGGUGCACAUGUCGAUCGAUGUGGCUGGAUGUUGGUCCUUCUUGCGAAUGGUGUCCGGAUCUUGCUGUAGUAGCUCGAUUUUAGUGCUUAGCCAGUCCACGUUGUUGUUGAGAGGGCAGUAAACGUCGUUUAUCCUCGUGUCGAUGUAUGAGACUUCCCAUUCAUCCCUGUGUUGUGUUGAACAUCGCGGUUCUGCAAGGAUCUUAGCUGUAGGAAGACUAACGUCGAUCGAUGUUGCACGUGGUGCGUCGAUCGAUGCUGAGGUCGUAGCUUCCUUCUCAAGUUGCUGACGUACACUUUCAAUUUUUGUCCUCAUUUCUGCCAUACAUCUGAAAAGCUCAUUGUAGCCUCUAUCCAAAGGCUGAUGUGUUUCAUCUACCAAUGUUUUGAGCUCCUCUCCCAGUUUCUCAUGAGCUCCACAAAUACCAAACACCAUUUCAUCGAUUUCUUCUUUGGUGUAGAGUUCUGGUGCCAGUCUUGUGAGUGUGAAGGAAGUGGCAUGUUCUGGAAGACAGAUGUGGCUCUCUUCAAAAAGAGAUGCUCUUUCCAGUAUUUUCCUGAUGUUGUCCUUUGUGACAGGUAUCAUCUCACCAGCUGCGCUUCGUGCGUGUCCACGCUCAUCUCUAUAGACUCCAUAUUCGUCCCUUUGUUCCCAAGUGAACUUUCUGGCUCCAUACAUGUCGAAAGCGCGGCUCCCAAAUUCAUAGCGUCUGUCGAUCAACGUCGGAUCAUCCAUAUCGAUCGACGUCGGAUCAUCCAUAUCGAUCGACGUUGGUGUUACCAUGGCGAUCGAUGUCUCCGUUGUACCGUCGAUCGAUGCUUGCUCUUUUGGUUGGCGUGAUAGAUCUGUGUUGAUCUCUGUUGUGGCGACUCCUGCGUGGUUGUUAGGAUUUGUUAGAAUGACGUCUGGAGUGCCACGUUGCUGUGAGAACAGGUUGUCAGGUCCAUUGGCUACUUGAAGGAUGUGUGCUAUGUCCUCUCUGGACACUUGUAAAAUCCUUCCAUCCAUUGCACGUGCGUUGCCAUCUGGAUCCCUGAAAAUACCAAAUUCAUCAGGUGUUAGAAAACCGUAAUCAAUGUUUGCAUAAUUAUUCAUUUUAGAAAUAGAGAGAUUAGGGUUUAGAGUAGUAUCGAUCGAUGUAGAUACAGUUACAUCGAUCGUUGGCAGAGUAAUUUCUGCAGAACUUGUGUUCUUGAGAUGAUUGCUCUUCAUGGACUUUUCUGUUGAUGUAGAAGGAAGAGUGUUCAUCUUAUUUGCUUGUGUGUUUGCUCUUAUGUGUGUAGGUGGUUUCGGAGGUGCAAAACGAUUUAUAUAGGUAUUUGUAAACCUGGUUAGGGAGAGAAUAUUCUCCUGCUCCUGAAUUUUCGCUGCGGCGCCAAUAUCGAUUGAUUUUCCUUUCGGUGGGUCGAUCGAUGUGAGCGGUUGUUUUGCUGGACGACGGUGGGUAUCGACUGAUGUGGAGUGCACAGCGUCGAACGAUGUUGGAAACGUGUUGGUGAACUUGUGUAUUUCAAGUCUUUCAUCCUGCAAAGACAUUUCUAUUGCACGUUCUUUCCAGUAAUCCUCAUCGUAUUCCUCGGUAUGUUCCUCAUGAGGUGAAGUAAUUACAGUGUCAACUGCCAGCAAAACUUUCAUGGAAACCACUGUCUACCCAACUGCUUAUGGAAUAAUCAUCAUGUCCUCUCCUGGUUGGAGGUUGGAAGGAAAAAUGUUGGUAACAAUGAUUAGGUGAAGCGAAAUGGUCAAGUGGGUGCAUUACGUCGAGUGACGUGUUGUUGUGGUCAUCGGUCACCAUUGACACAUUGGAAUCAAUCGAUGGAAAGGUUGGGGUGUCGAUCGAUUCCGAGUACUCUGUUUCGUACUCGGAUUCAUACUCUGCUCCACAAUGGCAUGCGCCAAUGAAGCCAAGUUCUUUCCCAUAAUCCACAAGAUUAAUUACCUUUCUCUUAGGUCGGAUGAGAUCGUAGUGGAUGUUUGGGUCUAUGAGCGUUAGACACAAUUUGUUUUUGUUCAUGUCACAUACAGCUCCUACUGUAGCUAGGAAAGAUCUUCCAAGCAGAAGUGAAGAGUUCCAAUUAAGCUCGAUGUCUAAGAUGAAAAUCUACAGGGACAAGGGCAUUACCAAUCAGUACCUCCAGAUCUCUUAUGAUGCCUCCGGAUCGUUUCUCUAAAAGAUCCACGAAGGUGAAGGAUUCUGUUGAGGGUUCGAUGGUCAAACCAAGCUGGUCUGCCAUAAUCCUAGGGAGGAUACUAACCGAUGCUCCUGUGUCACACAUUGAAUGGGGAAAUUCAACACCCUUGACUAUGCAUGGUAUUGUAAACUUCCCAGGAUCACUCUUCUUCGUCAAUGUGAUCCUGUGUUUCAUCUUUCCUCUGACUUGAUGAAACAUUCUCCUAAUGUCCUCCUCAAUUACCUUUGUUUCUCUGAAGAACAUCCACAAUUGGUGUGUGAAGUAAGCUUCAUCAAAAGGUUUUUCGAUUGGGAUUUUGAGGACUCGUUUAGUAAAACCAUCCAUCUCCUUAUCGUUAGCUUCGCUCUUAAGGUUUUUAGGAAUCUUCUCCUUUCUUUUCCUUAACCUUCUCCCUUCAGAUUCUUGUUCUUCUUGAACAGAUUCUGUUCAACUAGUUAAAGGGUUGGGUUUUGGUUCGGGUGGGUUUGCUAAUGGUUUAGGUGGUGGUCUGAGUGCAUUGAUGUAAUCAUUAUCGAUUGAGGGUAACCGCAUUUGGUAUGUCAGAGGUGCCUGUCGAUCGAUGGGAGGUGUGUUGUGACGAUCGACGUCGGACUCACUCUGUCGAUCGAUGGUUGAGUUAACCGAUCGAUCGAUUUUUUCAUAGAAAGGGGAGGGUGGGUGAGGAUGCUUAGCUGCGAAUUCUUCAUGAGUUAGAAUUCGAACCGCAUUGCAUUCAGUCGAAUUGGCAGACGACGUCGAUCGAUGACUGGAGUAAUCCGUCCAUCGAUCUUCAUCAUGGUCUGUCGAUCGAUGCGAGUUCAUCGACAUCGGUCGAAACCAUUGGGAUCCGCCGAGACUCAUGGAGCUUUCGAUUUCGAAAUAUCCUUCCUCAAGGUUUUCAUUUCUCACCACUUGCCAGAAUUCGUCAUCUAUGAUGGCAUUUACGUGGUGUUUCCCUUUGUCGGCUCCUGCCUCACUAGCGAAAGCUUCUUGCCUCUUAAUAGUCUCGCCCGUCUAAAUUACUUGGGUUUCAAGUUUUCUCACCUGAGUCCCUAAGGUCUCGAUUUUGGUGUUCAGAUUGUUGUAGGCAAAGUCUAUUUUACCGUUGAAAUCCACGAUGAUUUGUUGUUUUCCCAACAGUACUCGAUCAAGUAUUUCUUCGAUCUUGCUUUCGUGAGUCUGGGGUGGUGGAUUUUGAUAGUAAGAGUUCGAGUAGCUCUUGCUGUUGUUGAAGGGUUUUUGAAAUUGUGAACUUUGGUUACUUCUUUGGCCAUUUCCAAAGAAGUUUCUGUUUCCGUCCUGGUUUCCAAAUUUCUAGAAUCCGGUACCUCCGAUGUAGUUCACACCUUCUUCUCCUUCUGUAUCUGCUACUUCUCCUUCAGCUGAACAGACUUGCUUCCUAAGAAGCUUGUGCACCAUAUCUAACUUAGCUCUUACUUCGUCCAUCUGUUCCUUCCCGAUAGAGCACUACAAGAAAUAUGUAUAUUCUUAGCGCGGAAAAUAUGCUAUAGUAGACCUUUUAUAGCGAAUUCAUAAAUGCUAUGUCAUCGGCAGCCAUCGUAGGGUACCCUUCUAUGAUAGCGUUUUAUCUUGAUGCUACGAAAUGUGUGGAUAUGGUAACAAUAACUGGGUGAUAUUAUUAACUCCACUAUAGCACGCUUAUUUUUGUUAUAAUAUAUUUACGAUUCAUUUUCCGUGCUAUGAUAGGUCCUUCAUCAAUAGCAAUUUCCAACUGCUAUUAUAUUUUGUGCUAUUAUAUGUAUGUAUAGUACAAUAGCUGUUUGUAAUUGUUGUACUAAAAUUUUUUAUAGCUCCCACAAAUCGAUAGUAAUGUAAUUCGUAGGUUUAUUUUAAUGCUAUGAUAGUUGAUUAUAACAGUUUAUUUUUUGCUAUUGUUGACUUGUUCCAGAGCUAUGGUUUGGUUCUCGAAAAUGGUUUUCAAUCUGAAAUCUUAUAAUAAAACUUAAUCGUUUUUAAAACUUAACCAUUCAUAAACGUCAUACAUAUGUCUUAAGAAAAUAAAGAUCACACAUUCAGUUUCAGAACAGAAAGACAUAAGCGAACAUAAUAAGCAACAUAAGCUGAUUACCAAACAUAAGUUUAAAACUAGCAACUUCUGGACCAAACUUCUUCAUUCCCCCUGCAGGCUGCAAAAUAUCAAUACCUCUCAUCAGUUAAGCAAUACUCAUCAGUUAAGCAAUUACCAUUUACAGUUUAAAAACGCAAAGCACAACACUUACAUCAGACUAAAAGAUGACCAAUUUAUCAAUUGGCCAUGCAAUUGACGAACCAUGUGCAUCUUUCACAGACUCAAUUUCAUCUGAUUUCCUCCAAACUUCUGCAUCAUGUACCUUCACAACAUCUACCCACACUCUAGCUGCAUUAGGACCCAAGCGUGCAAAAUGGACCAUUUGAUCUGGGUCUGUUGAAUGCACACGACCUUCAGCAACAACUCGUUUCCUCUCACCAAUGUCCAUCAAUUUGCACUUCUGAUUCACUGUCAUAGCUCCAUGAUUAAGCUGACAAGUUUACAAUAGAAACCAUCUAAAACUCAUACAUCUCAAAGAAUAUAACAAGAUUAUAUCACAAGAUGAUUUCGAAGAGGCAAAAUAUUACCUGAAUUGUGGAUUGAGACUUUUCAUUCAGAGUUUUAGAAGUUGUUGCUCCUGAUUUUUCAGUAGGAAACUUAGAACCUACACCUGCAGCUCUUGCUUUUCCUACAGAUGCUUGUUGUCUUGGUGCUUCUGGUGGGUUUUGAAAGACCACUUUUCGAGCAGGCCAUGAAAUAAAAGAGGAUAAGCAGUCGUCAAGAUAUGCCUCAUCCAUCGUCGGCCUCCAUAAAUAUGUACCACUUUCAUGUACCACAUCAAGAAACACUUUCACUGCUUUCGGUCCGAGAGGAAGUCCAUUCACCAAUGCAUUCGGUUCUUGUGUCUGCCAACGUCCUUCACCAACAACUAAAUUAUCAUCAGAUAAAUCCAGUAAUUUGCAUUUGUUGAGAGAGUUAGAUCUCGAGCCCUGUGAAAGACAUUGUGAAAAAAUUUCAUCAAAGACCAAAUCAUUACCUUAACUACUAUGAGAAUGCUACAAAAACCCUUACCAGUGGUGCAAUGUCUUCUGGUUGGAGCCCCUGACCUAGUUCAACACAUUUAUUCUUAGGCCAUGCAAUAACGUGUCCUACAGCUUCCUUAAUUGUGCACAUAUUACUCGAAGGUCUCCACAGGAAAGCUUCAGGUUCCGUAGCAGCAUCAACCAAGACUUUAGCAUCCAUAGGGCCUAAUCUACUUUCAUUCACUAUAUCAUCUGGGUCUGAAGAAACAAUACGACCCUCAGCAACAUUCCCAUCUUCAUCAGCCCAAUCAAUAAGAAGACACCUCUUUUGUGAUUUUGUGUUCACACUCUGUUACAUGUUCAGUUGAAAAUAUGUGAGUGAAACAUAAGAACUAAAUCAUUGAUCUGUUACAUACAAUUGAUGACUUACUCUUGCAGCCGAGUUUUCACCCAUUUCAUUGUCUUCUCUCUGUAAGCAAACAUUAUUAUUAGGUCCUUUCACAAUCAUAAAUCUUAAACGUUUGUAAGGGACUAACCUGUUUUUUAACUUUCGCAAGUUCAGCUUGUAACUCAUUAACCUUUGCCUGGAGAUGAAUCUGAUUCUCUUGCAUUUCAGAAAUAGACUUGUGCUUCACUUGGAAGCAAGCUAAUCUGGUCUUACUCAUAUUCCUGCCCAUUGCUCUCAUACGACCAGGAUUAUCAGGUCCUAACAGUUGGUUGAGUUCAUCUUCAUCUUGAUUUGUGCCAGAUGAUUGAUUAGUACCUUGCACAAUCUCAGCUGCCUUUCGCUGUGCAUCAGAAAACAAACCAAAAAAAUUAGAAGACAACAUCAGUAAAAGAGAUCAUCAUGUUUGUAACUCACAAUCUUCUCAGCGGCAUUCGUGUUAAUCGGAGUCCCAUCUUUUCUGGUACGUGACUUCACCCAGACUUUAAGCCUCGACACUUCAGAUGGGUUGGCAGAACCUUUUUUCUAUGGAAAUAUUAUAUAUCAGUAGCCUUAUAUCAUCAGUUAUAAUGAAAGAACAUUUAGCAUGUAGGCUUACCAUCUCUUCUGCUAGUCUCACCAUACCCUUGCGACUACAUGUGUGAGGUAUCUGGUUGCGUCUUCUCUCCUUGUAGCUAUCACUCAGAGCCUAUAAUAUGAUAUGUUAAUAUGUGAUCUACUUAGCAUAUAAAGAUCUUACUCAAUUCUAAAUGUAUACCUUGAAUUCAGUGCUAGUUUUCAGCUUAACGAAUUUGCGCCACUCAACAGGGGGAACGUUCUUCGGUCUGAGAUUCAUCCUUUGUUGGUUAUUGUCAGCUGCAUUAAUCUGAGUAACUAAGCGUGACUUGGAUGACCUCCAUAAUCCUCCCAUCUGCUUAAGCACUGCAGUUCUUUGAUAUUCCUCAUCAACUUCAAACCUUGCCUGCAUUCACAUAGUAAACAAAUCAGUAGUAUAUAUCGUUAACUUAUUUAAUUUGCAUAUACCAUAGUAUUGAAAUUGUACCUGAACCGAUUUCCAGAGCACUGUCUUCACAUCUUCGGUGAUUUUUUUCCAACAUUCAAUUGUGACAGGAACAUGUUCCCUUACCAAUGGUCCUAAAUAUGAAGACAAUUUCACAGAACCAGGACCGUAAGGUUCUCCCAUGAAAGUGAAAUCUACAUGCACUCUGCUGUUUGGAUCUUUAGCUAUGUCUUUCAUCAUUGUUGGUCCACGCUUUCUUUUACGGGAGUUUGAAUCUUCUGGCUCUGGAACUGUAGUCUGUCCGAUCUCACCGUCAGGCUCACUAUCAUCUCGUUGUGUCUCAGGUUGCUCAUCUUCAUCUUGUGGUUGUGUCUCAGGUUGCUCAUCUUCAUCUUGUGGUUGUGUCUCAGGUUGCUCAUCUUCAUCUUGUGGUUGUGUCUCAGGUUGCUCAUCUUCAUCUUGCGGUUCUGCCAAAUGCUGCUCACCUGUAUCUGCUUCUAUCUCAUGUUGCUGACCUGGUACCAAAGUACACACGAACUCAACAUCAUCAUCUGCUUGUUUUGCUUUAUUUUUUGGCUUCCUUCCUCUUUUGUUUUUCUUUGGACCGGCCAUAUCAAUUUACCUGAAAAAAAUUAUGAAAGGAAGAAUUAAUUCCAAGCUAACACACUGAUAAAUCCAAUCAAACAGACCAAGACCAACCAAUCAAACAAUCAACAAGCAGACAGACAAUGACCAAGCCAAACAAACAUACAGACAAUGAAAAUAAUAAAAAAGGAUACGAUUCACACAUAUAUGCCUUCACAAUCAGUUCUGACGUUCUCUGCCUCAUCAAUGUCAACUUCCAUGUCGAUAUUUGAAGGCAAUGGCCCAAUGUCUGCAGUCCCCUCUUGAAUAUCUUCCUUACUGUAUCUUCUCGAAGGACCUCUCAUAACAGUAUACCAGUGUGAUGACUCAUCUUCCCGAGAGUAAAAGACUUGCUUUGCUUGAGAUGCUAGAAUGUAAGGAUCACUUGCAAAGGAUGCUUGACUAUGAUGGAGGUUAACAAGGGUGAAACCAUCUUCAAUCUUCACUCCAUUACCCUUUACUGCCCAUUCACACCGGAACAGAGGGACAUAGAAGACAUUAUAAUCAAUCAAAAUGAUGUCAGUUACUCUGCCGUAAUAAGAAACCAGAUCGACGACCUGUGAUGUAUCUCUAGCACUAGAUCUACAGACUGCUCUAGCCUCAUAAUAAACCCCACUAUUCUGACUUCUUCUAUCAAUUGACGUUGUGUGAAACCUCUGCCCAUUAACUAUGAAUCCUGUAUAAGACCUUGCAGAACAACGUGGACCAUAAGCUAUCCACUUAAGUGUUUCUUCAUGCUCGGUAGAAUCAAGAGGCACCUAACAAAGUAAAAUCAAGUCAAAAACAUGUCCACUUAACUAUGAAUUAUAAAAACAAGUCAGUAACCUGUUCUUUUAGCCAAGUUGCGAAAUGCUUUGUGUGCAUACUCCAUAAGGUUGAUGCAUCUCGAUGACAUUUUGCAUAUGUGUCUUGUAAAUACUGUAGAUGCUCACUUGUAAGAAAAUUAAAGCACAAGAAAUGGAUCAGUUGGUUAAUCAGAAAACAAAUAAAAACAAGUGAGUUUAGAUACUUACUCUACGUAUGGUUCGACGAUAGCCAUGUUUUGGAUGAUAGCAAGAUGUGCUAUUUUCUUUUCCAUUUCAGUCAGAGUAAUUGAAGUGCUCUUGGAUAUUGGACGACCUUCUAAGAUGGAGUUGUUCUCAUACUCUGUGUUUCUGUCUGUUUUUUCUUCAACGUUUGUUGUCUUCUUCAAAAAUUCACUGCAAAAUCUGAUACAUUCUUCAGCUAAAUACGACUCAGCAAUGCAUCCCUCAGGUCUUGCAGGAUUUCUCACAAAGUCUUUGAGGACUUUCAUGUACCUGAGAGGAAAGCAAGUGUAGAUUGAUUAGUGAAAGUGAGUAUAGCCAAAAUUUAAAACAGUCAUAUAAAUAAUACCUCUCAAAUGGGUACAUCCAUCUAAAUUGGACAGGUCCACCAAGGCGGGCUUCUCUUCCUAGGUGCACAGUCAAAUGGACCAUGAUAUCAAAGAAGCUUGGAGGGAAAAAUCUUUCAAACAAGCAUAGAGUCUCAACAAUCUCAGCUUCCAUAACCAACAGCUUCUCCCUAUCAAUCACUCUCUGACACAACAUAUUGAAGAAUGCGCACAACCUCAAAAUGGCUAGCCUAGGUCCUUUAGGUAACAAUCCUUUAAGCGCGAUCGGAAGAAGUUGCUGCAUCAAAACAUGAUAGUCAUGAGAUUUCAAACCUGAUACUUUACAGUCAUCUAGUGAAACACCUCUUGAAAUGUUUGAGCAAUAUCCAUCUGGCCCUUUGAAGUCAAAUAGUCGUCUGCAAAAGAUCUUCUUCUCGGCCUUAGACAAAGACCACGGUGCUGGAGGAAGAUAUGUUCGUUUUCCUUGGAUUUUAGGGUGCAACUCCGGCCUAAUACCAAGAUCCUCCAGAUCUUUGCGAGCAGCAAGACCAUCCUUAGAUUUCCCACAGUGCAACAAUGUGGAAACUAAACUCGCAGCCACAUUUCUCUCCACAUGCAUGACAUCCAAGUUGUGUCUCACAGGAAGUUCCUACGUAAAACAGAAAAAACAUAAAAAAAUCAGUACUCAACAUCUGAGCUUAAAUCAGAGAAAAAAAAUCAUAAACAGAAACAGAAAAAUUCAUCAACAGAAACAGAAAAAUUAAUACCUCCCAGUAUGGUAGUCUGAAGAAGAUUGAUCUCUUCUUCCACCGAGAUAUCUCAUCUUCAUCUACUUGAACAUUUUCCUCUUCCUCUUCCUCUUCCUCUGAUUCACUGGAUAAAGCCUCAACAUCAGAGCUUACUUCAGUACUCUGAAUCCUUUUCCUCUUACUUGCAGAUCUUUUAAAAUUUCCAAAGUCAUUGUUGAAGUUUCUCAGAUUUUGAGAAAUUUCACGACCUGUCAGUAUUCUACCCCUUCUUCCUUGUUCGGAUUUUCCAUCAAACCACCUUUUCUUUCCCCUAAAACUAUGAGCUGGUGGCAGACCCUUUCUGUGGCACAUGUAGACAUGUUUCCUGCUGAACUUUAGCCACAUACUAUCUGUCUUCUUUCCACAUAACGGACACCCCAUUUUCCCCUUAACUUUACAGCCUGCAAGAUUCCCAUAAGCUGGGAAAUCACUGAUCGUCCAAAGCAGCAUUGCCUUAAGAUUAAAAGUACUACGACUUACAGCGUCGUAGGUUACCUCUCCACUGCUCCACAGAUGGUUUAGAUCGUCGAUGAGGGGUUCUAAGUACACAUCGAUGCUAUUACCAGGCUGUUGUGGACCAGGAAUCAACAAGGAAAGCAUGAUGUUCUCCUUCUUCAUGCAUAGGUCAGGCGGCAAGUUGUAGUUCACUAGCAAAACAGGCCAGCAACUGUACAUCGAAUUCUUCAUAUUGAAGGGAUUAAAUCCGUCAGUUGAAAGACCAAGCCUCAGGUUCCUUUCUUCUGCUGCAAAGGCCGGGUGUUUUGCAUUCAUCUGAUCCCAUGUGACUGAAUCAACCGGGUGUCGAAGUUUUCCGUCAGUGCUUUUGUUGGUGAAGUGCCACCUCAAAUCUUUUGCCAUUUGCUCAGACCUGAACAUCCUCUUCAGUCUUGGUAUGAUGGGAAAGUAACGUAAUACUUUCUGUGGGACGCCUUUCUUCUUCUCGCCAGUGUGCAUAUUGGUCUUCCAUCUUGAAGCCUUGCAUUUUGGACACUUUUCAAGCUUCUUGUACCUCUUUCUGAAUAGACAGCAGUCAUUGACGCAUGCAUGAAUCUUCUCGUAGCCCAUAUCAAAGGAUUUCAGAAAUUUCUUUACCUCAUACAACGAAGUGUGGAGCACAUUAUCCUCUGGUAACAUCUCCGGUAAGGUCUCAAGCAGAUCGUUGAAGCUCUUGUCAGACCACCCAUUCUGUGUCUUCAGUCUGAAUAAAGAAACAAUGGCGGAUAGCUUGCUGUGUGAUGCACAACUCGGAUACAACGGAGUCUCUGCUUCAGCUAUCUUUGCCAAGAAUUCAUCUUCUUUCUUGUCGUCUCCCUCUGCCAUCUCAGAUAACUCUCCAGUACCAGCUAACUCUUCAUCAAAACACUCAGCGGCUCUGUAUAACCCGAAGAUCUCAUCAUUCCACUGACUUGUGCUGCUUUCAGAUACAACUCUAGACUCCAAUUCUCCAUGAAGAUACCAAUCAGACCGCUUCUUGUAAGACUCAUCCAUUCCCCUAGUAACUAGAUGAUCAACUACCACAGCUCCUGAGUGACGAUCAAUAUUACGGCAGUCAAUGCAGGGACAAACAAUCAUAUCAGUUCCUCCCUGACCUCCAGCCACAUCUCGUACAAAAUUUGAAGCCCCUCUCUCAUACGCAGGAUCAACUCUGCAAUGGAGCAUGAAAAGCAAAACAAAAAUAAACAGAGUUAAGUCUCUCAACACAUACUGAAACAUAUCAAAUAAUAACAAAAAUAAACGAAUUAAGUACCUGCUAAGAUGAACCCAUGCCUUAUCCACCAUUAUAUUGCUAAACUGAAACUGAAACUUCACUAACAAUUUUUUGACAAAUUGUCAUCAGAGUCAUCAGUAUAAUCACUCAGAAUACUCAGAACUUGUCCUCGAUUUCAUAGUAAAAGCAGUCAAAGUCAUCAGUAUAAUCACUCAGAAUACUAUAAUACCACACAACGCAACGAUUCUGAACAAAUCUACUACGAUUCUAAGCAAAAACGAAAACUGAUUCACACAACACAAUGACAAUCAAGCUAACUAUCAACACAGAGAUGAGAUGAAAUCAAAUCAGGAAAGAGCUGAGCUAACUAACAACACGGAUUUGAGCUAACUAUCGACACAGAGAUGGCGUAAUGGCGACCUUCGAUACCUUCAGGGACGGAAAUGGUAUCGGAAUGGUGGAUGACGGAGCUUUAAUUGGCGGAUGGGAGAGGCGGAACUCGAUUAGAGGUCUAAUGGAAAGAGGGGAAAAUUAGGAUUAUGUGAGAAAGAGGGAAAAAUUAGGGAAGAUAGAGGGAAAACACGAUUAGAGAGAGGGAAAGUGAGAUGAUUAAUGAUUUUUUACUAAGUGUGUACGCGGAAUAGCUAAUUUUGGGUUCCCGCUUAAUGAAAAACUAUCAUAGCAAUUAUAUAGCGCUAUUAAACUAAAUUUUUUUUCUUAGAGUUCUUACAAUAGCAAUUCGGUAAAACGAGCUAUCGUACUGUGCUAUCAAUGUGGACUUUUUUUGUAGUGGAGGCUACAGACUUCUUCCGUUCAAAGUCAGUGUUUUUGGUGCUGCUGCUGUUAGCAAGGUUUUCGAUAAGUCUCACAGCUUCCAACGGAUUCCGAGUAGUGAAGUUUCCUUCACUCGCCGUAUCAAGAGCCAUUUGAUACUGUAAGGCGAGACUUCGAAAGAAAGUGCUUAGCAGCUGCACUUCAUUAAAUCCGUGGUGUGGACAGUCUCGCUGGAAAAACCUAAAUCUAAUCCACGCAUCUUUGAAAGACUCUCCAGCCUUCUGCGAGAAUGUGGAAAUUUUGUUCCGAAGUUCUUCAGCGCGCGCCUCAUCGAAGAAGUUUCGUAAGAAAGCAUUCUUGAUGUCUCUCCAGGAUGUUAAAGAUCCUGUUGGUUGCUGCCUAAGCCAAUGCAUCGCUUCUCCAUUCAGCGUGUAUCUGAAGAGCUUGCACAGCAGGUAAUAUUUGGGGACUCCUUCCAUCCGAAUGGCAGCGAUUAGAUCCUCGAACCGUUCCAAAUGGUCCAUAGGAUGCUCGUGCGGUAACCCAGAGUAGGGUAUCUGCGACACGAGAGUGUAGUAUUGAGGCUUCAGCUUGAAAUUCUGCUUCUGGAUCUCCGGAAGUCGAAUCGCUGAUCUGUUGGAAUAGUACUCAUCUGGGUGAUUGUAGUCGGCCAGUGGUUUCGAUCGAGCGUCCUCAUCUACAGGUUGAGCAGCUCCUGUAGCAUCAGCAUCAGGGAUUACAGUUCCCUGAGCAUCUAUUUUCUGACAUGUUGCAUUACGCAGAUGACCAGCCUGGUCAUACAGGUUUCCGUUCUCAUCCUGAGUUAGAAUAAUAAUGUUUACCAUUUUUGACGACACGGUAACGAUCGACGUACGCGGUGUAGUAUCGAUCGUUGUCAAACGAUUGGGAUCGAUCGACGAUGACGGUCUGGUGUCGGUCGACGGUUUGUUGUGUGUAUCGAUCGACAACAAAGUGGUUGCGUUGAGCGAUGUGGAACGUUGACCUCUACGGAUGGUGCGUUCCAAAUGAGCAGGAUCGUCUGAGAACAGCAAGUCUUUCUCCUUGUUGUUUCUGGUACCGCUGGGCAUGCACCUGAAAAGACAAGAAAAAGAAAGAUUGUUAGAAAAGGGGAUAAAGAAAAGAAUAAGAAUUAAUAAAACUAAAUCUAAUGGCGAUCAAAGCUCCCCGACAACGGCGCCAAAUUUGAUACCACUCAAAUUACCCUAAGGAGUGUUACUCUCAUCAAAAGAGGUUCAGAUGUAGUACUUAGGGAUCAAAUCCACAAGGAGCUAGGGAACAAUUAAAUCUAGUGCUUAUUAAUUCUAAAGGUUGUAAUGUUUUAAAUAAAAUAGCAAUAGUAACUAGCGAGUAAAUGAUAAAUGUAACUUAAGUUGGAAAUGAUAUUAGAUGCAGGGCCACUAUUCAGGUGUUGGAGAUUAUAAUUCCUAUAGAUGCCUAACUGUUGCAUGCAUGAUAUAUUAGAGCUCAUUCGCUUAACUCAGUGAUCAGCUGUCGCAUGUACCACUGGUUAACAGACUAGAUCUUGUGUCUCACUGGUUAGAUGUAGACACAAGAGAGUGUCGAUCGAUAGUCUAUUAAGACGUCGACCGAUACACUUUUGCCAACAUCGAUCGAUUGUCAGUUGAGGACAUCGAUCGACGGGUUCUAGCCAGGCCUAUGCGCGAGUAUGAAAUGCUCUACUAAGAUUCUAAAUUGGCGGUUAGCCCUCUCUAGCAAUCCUAAUAUGAUAGAUAGAUGUCAGGAUGGGAUAACAAGUGUGCUUGAAUAUGCAAUUCUAUGAUCAAGUUCUAGUUAGCUAGGCUAAAACAAGCAAUGAAUACAAAUCUAUCAUGAAUAUCACAACAAGCCAGAUCUAUAGUUUGGGGCUAAUCCCACAAACCUAUCUGAACCCUGGAUCUAACAAUUGAACUACUCAGACAUAGCAAAGCAAUUUAUAUCAAUAGAUAAAUAGACACUCAUAGAAUAGAUGAUAAAAAAAUGAAACAAGGAGUUCCAAUCACAAGUGAUCUUCUCUCCAAAUGAAACUUGUAACAAAAAUAGGUCUAAAAAAGAAAAGCUCUCUCUGCCGUCAAAACUUAGGCAGUAUAUAUUCUACUAUGUUAAAAACUCGUCAGGGCAUUUUGGUAAUUUGGCUUAGCCUUGGUCUUUAAGUCUGCUGAAUCCAAAAUGUCGCGUCUGGUGUCUCGACAUCGAUCGAUGGUACUUGUGUACAUCGAUCGAUAUUAAUCUUCAUCUGUCGAGGCAUUUCCUGAUAUCGAUCGUCAGCACUGAUGCGCAUCGAUCGAUUAUUCUUCCUCUAGUCGACCUCUAAGUGGUCAGCUCGGGUGAAAUGUCCUUUAUGCUCCAAAAUGCUCCAAAGUCAUAGCUUUACUCCGAAAUGCACCUGAACCUGAAAACAUACCUAGAAGAGUAGAAAGUAUAGAUAUAUAUAUAUAUAUAUAUAUAUAUAUAUAUAUAUAUUGUAAUAUAAUAAUAUACCAUGGAUAAAAAUGGGUCAAAUCCAAGGUAUAUCAAUAGGGCUGGGCGGAUGUGGGUGUUUUGCUGCGAAUUCCUCACAAGUCAUGAUCCUCACAGCUUUGCAAGAUGCGAUGUAUUCCGUAGGUGUUGUCGAGCGAUGUCCAGGAGAGGACGUCGAUCGAUUUUGGAUGACACAUGUCGAUCGAUGUUCGUGGCUUGGCGUCGAUCGACACCAAUGUGAUCCGCGGAAACUCAUCAGACUUUCUACUUCGAAAUCUCCUUCUUGCAGCUUCUCUUCCUUCACCACUUGCUAUAAAUCAUCCCCAAGGAUGGCUUUCACGUGGUGUCUCAUAACAUCAUCUUCUAUCCUUUUUGUUAAGGUUCCUGCCUCUUAACAGCUUCUCAUGUCCGAACAACCUGCAUCUCUAGCUUCUUCACAUGAGUGCUCAAACUUUUUGUUGAGGAAAAAAUUCCAUGAAGAGAUUACUCCAGGUUCCAGGUUCCUUCCCCCGGGUUCCAGGUUCCCGACUCCAGCUUCCAGGGUCCUGCCCCCUGGUCAGGGUCCCGCCUCCGGGUUCCGACUUCUGGCUUCCAAGUUGAAUGGUUUCUCCUACCUUAGACACGAAGAGAUCCUCUUAAAUCCAAGAGAAAAAGGAAGUAUUCCAACAUAUAGGCCGUUCUUAAGAAAAUUGGAAAUAUUCUAUUAUCUAAGGAUACAUUGAAUAUUUCCAAACCCUAGGAGGGGGCACGACCUCCACUAUAAAUAUAGGUUUCUAAACCUAAGGAGGAAGGGGGGGGGGGGAAGACGUCCAUAAACAGACCUCACAAGUUCUACAGCCGCCAAGGCAAUAUUCUAACCCUAGAAGACCUUUUCCUUCGACAUGCCUAUGAUAGGCUGAUCCCGAUGAUUGUUCCCGACAAGAUGAAGUCAUACAUGUGGGAGGGGGCCCAAACUAGCGCCAAACUGUGGGAACCAAAAUUCGCACUGUCGAUUUAUGUUUAAAUUAGGAAAGGGAGUACCCUAGUUUCCCAGAGGUCCCGAAUAUCUAUUAGAACCACAUGCCAAGCAAUCAGAACACGAAACGAAAACAAUAAUAAAACAAGAAAUCGUAAAAAAAGCAAAAAAUGUCUUAUUCCGAAUUCGCAUAUGAGCGUUACAACAAGGUAGAAGCCUAGGCUAUGAAAGCUGUCGGCGAGAUCCCUAGUUCUAACAACCUAAGACUGCAAAAUCUAGUUGAGUCGCAGCUCGAAAUAACAAAUACGAAAAGUUGCCUAAUUGUUCUAAGUGAUAAGUUUGCUGUGUAAAAGUUCUCUUUUCUGCCUCUCACCUAGGACUCCUUAUAUACUCGCUCCUAGGUCGGUUUACGCUUUUCCCGUUCUGCCCUUAAGCCGUCAUAGCUUAAAAAUGGAGAUAUUCCGUCUUUUCCAAUCUUCGUGAUUAUCUUCGGAAACUUCAGAUUUAUCCGCGGAAACUUGACAUUUAUCCUUUUCUUACGAACCAAGCAUAAACCAUCAUAUGGCUUAUGGGCUUUUGGUUAAGAAAUCAUAAGUGGGCUUCGAGCUGCGUUUUAGCCCUCAUUGGGCCGUCUUUGACUCGAGACGUUUAUUACGGUUUCUUCGAUAAAAACAAACUUCCUGCGGUUUUUAUCAUAAAGUUCGAUUGAUGACUCCGAGUGACGAAAAACAUGAAAUGGUUUUGCUAUGGUUUUUGGGAGAUAGCAUUAAAGAGUAGACGAGAAUGCAUGGAUUCGUGUUGUGUCGAUGUUUUAAGAGAGCUCGGUCGCUACGUAGAGACCGAGCCGUGUACGUGCUCGGUCACUACGUAGCGACCGAGCUUGGCCCGAGCUUGGUUGCUACGUAGCUCUCUACUUAAGGAGAAGAAGGCCAGGAAGGCCAAGUCUUCGGAGGUGUGUCGACUUCAACGUCAGAUCGAGAAUGACGUAGGAUCGACGACCGAAGGGAUCGAAGAGGCCAAGGAUGCGCUCCGAGCUGAGUUCCAGGCGCAUUUGGCGAAGAUCUCUGCCUUUAUUGGCUCCCUCGAGUGCAUCCGCAGUAGAGAUUUGGCCUUGGUGACUGUCGAGGGCGGGAUGGCUAUAGUUUGCGCACUCCAGAGGGAGACUCCUCCGUCCUUAAAGGCCGAAGAGACCAGGUUGUCCGAUUGUAAGGGAGAUUCGGCGGCCGUAGAUGGGGAUUUUGAUCUCGUCCUGGCUGACCUGAAAUCCGCGUGCUUCCUCCCGACGUGUUCAAAAGACCCAGAGGGGAAAGAUCCCAUGGUCGGGGAAAAUGGAGGCGACGCGGCCCCGAGCAUGGACGAGGUGAUGGGCGAAGAGGAGGCUUGACUUCAGAAGAUGGCCAUGGUAACGAUCUCUCGUGAGAGAUUUUUUUUUUGUUUAUGUUUAUGUUUUGGCCUUGUAUCGCCUUGUUUUAUAUUUCGGGACUGGCCGUUUGUGGCUUUGAUUCCCUGCCGCUCUGCGGCUUUUGUUAUUUUUUUUUAUGAAUGGAUAAUCAGUUUGCGUUUACGUGAGUAAGUGUAUGGAAGGCGGAUUAUGAGUUGUCGUCUCAUAUCUCUUUCCGAUGUGAAAUGCUUUAUUCGCGAUCUGUUUCGAGCGUUUUCCGCGAAAUCCUAAUUUUGCGGGAUAUCUGAAGACGUCAAAUGUAAGCAUCGAGACAUGUUUUAGGAUCUCAUGUCUUCUUUUCGAUAUCAUGCCUUGAGAUGUUAAGACCAGUGCGAUGGGUUUAGGGUAAGACCUAGGUUUACUUUCGGUUUUAAGAUUUAUGCGGUGACUGGCCGACUAUUGAUUUUCUUGCUGUGAUUUUAACCUGACUCGUAACGAUUUAAAGUCCGCGAUAUGUUCUCGGCUUAUACGACUUGUCUGAUACAAAUCGAGCAUCUCUCCAGAGACGACUUUUAAGCCAACUGGAAGUGCUUGACCAAAAUUUCGGAUUUCUUUUGUAGCGAUAUUAUCCUUGUGUCGGAUGUACGAGGGUCAUCUUCGUGAGAUGCUGUUUCUGUUUAGGACGUUUAAGAGUUCGAUGUGAUCAGCAACGAACUUGUGGUAGAUAUUACCAUUUGGGUCUUCGCGAAGAAUAUGUGUUUUGCGGAGAUGUUAGUGCGUAUAUCAUUUUUCAAUAGUUUCGUUUUGUCGGAUGGGAAACAACUUCUUAGCGAUUUUUGCAAUGUCUAACAGCGCCGGAGGUUGAUUUGUCCCUAAUGACUGGUUUACUUGCGAGUUUUUUCAGGACUCGGAUAUAAUUUGUUGGAUGAAGAUGAUUUGCUCGGUUUUGAAGGGUAUAAGUUUCAGAAAUAUCGAGGGCGUGGUGGGAUAUUUUGAACUUUGGAGUAUGCGAGUAUACGUACCCACUCCCCCCCCCCCUUUUAGAUAGGGGGGACAGCUGAAUUCGUCUUUCGACAAACUGCCUACGUACCCCUUAUGGAGAUCAAGCCGUCUCGUAGUUUGGUUGUUGCGAAGUGGUUUAUUUAGUGAUAGUAUUUUUUGAGAUGCAUUGCGUUCCAGGUUCUCGGGAUUUUUACGCCUUGCAUGUUGGCUAUCUCGUAGGAGCCUGGUCGAACGACUUUUACGAUCUUGUAGGGUCCUUCCCAGUUCGUUCCAAGUUUUCCCGCGUUUUGUUCAGCGGUGUUUUGGAAUAAUUUGCGAAGAACCAACUCUCCUUCGUUGAAUCUGCGAUUCCGUACGUUGGAAUGAUAAUAUUUUGCGGCUGCGUGUUGGUAAUUCUGCAUUCAGACGAGCGCUCGAUCCCGGCGCUUGUUAACGAGGUCAAGAUCGUCUAGAAGCAUAGCGUUAUUGGGCUCUUCUCAUUCGGGCAAUAAUCUCCUUCACACACCAGGGAACUCGACUUUUGCGGGAAUCAUGCAUUAUGUCCCGUAGACGAGGGCAAAAGGUGUUUCUCCUGUUGCUCGUCUUUGGGUUGUGGGAUGUGUCCAGAGGACUCCCUCGAGUUCGUCUACCCACCUGCAUUUUUUGGCGUCUAGACGGUUCUUAAGUCCGUCUAGAAGGGUCUUAUUGAUCGUCUCGGCUUGUCCGUUUUAUUGCGGGUAUCUGGGAGUCGACUUGUUUAGUCGUAUCUUCCAUUUUUCACAAAACGCUUCGAAUCGGGUGGAGAUGAACUGAGAUCCUUUCUCAGUUACGAUUUCGUAAGGAAUUCCAUGUCUACAAAUAAUGUUUUUCCAUACGAAAUUUUCAACUUGAACAUCUUUGAUACUUGCGUACGAGUCUGCCUCUACCCACUUUGCGAAGAAAUCUGUGAGGACUAAGAGGAAACGCUUUUGCUUUGAAUUGAGAAGGGGUCCGACGAUAUCCAUGGACCAGCACAUGAAAGGAUACGGCGACGUGAUGAAAAAAAAUAACUUCUGCUGGUUUUCGGAUGGUCGGAGCAUGCUUUUGGUAUUUUCUGCACUUUCGUGCGAAUUUCUCACAAUCCUCCGAUCAUCGUUGGCCAGUAGUAUCUGUGGCGUUUGAUUUUUACUGCUAGUGACCUUCCACCGGAAUGGUUUCCGCAGGACCCAGAAUGGACUUCUUCCAUGACGUUUCUCGCUUUUUGUCCUUCCAAACACGUCAUGAGUGGUCUGGAAAGUUUCCAUUUGUAAAUUUCACCGUCGACCGUUACGUAACGCGCGGCCUGCGUUCAGAUUUUACGGGCCGCCCAUUUUUUGGGAGGUAACUUUCCAUCGGUGAUGUAGGCUCGAAUCGUUUCCAGCCAUGGCGUAUUGUAGCCGUAGUUGGAUUGUUCUGAUUUCUCCUCCGGCUGUCCUGCGACCUCUUCUACAUCGUCGUCUUGAUCCCCGAUGAGGUUGAUGAUGAUUGGUGGUGCGAUACUCGGGUGUUCGAUGAAUUUGACCGGAAUCACUCUUUUAAGACCUGGGUCGGAACUCGAUGCCAGGGCUGCGAGAGCAUCGGCUUGGACGUUCUCAGAACGGGGGAUUCGCGUAAGAGCGAAGCAAUCAAAUUCUUUGGCUAGAUUCUGGACCAGUUUGAGAUACGCAUCCAUUCUUUCGUCCCUCGCUUCGUAUUCUCCGCUAUAUUGACUUGCAACUAGCUGAGAAUCACAGUAGGCAUGGAUGUUACGUAUCCUCAAUCGGUGAGCUAAACGUAGCCCUGAAAUGAGUGCUUCGUACUCGGCCUCGUUGUUGGAUGCGUGAAAUUCCAAUCUGAAUGAUUGUUCUAAGAUUUCACUGGUUGGUGAAGUGAGGCGGAUUCCGAUGCCCAAUCCUUGCUUAGAUGAGGAUCCGUCCACGUGAAGAAACCAGGUUGAAUUUGGUUCCUUGUUGGUCACGGUCCCCGUUGGUCACGGUCCCCGUUGGUCACGGUCUCUGUUGGUCACGGUCCCAGUUGGUCACGGUCCCCGUUGGUCACGGUCCCUGUUGGUAGUUCGACUAAAAAAUCUGCGAGUACCUGGGAUUUCGCGCUUGUACUCGGUCGAUAUUCGAUAUCGUACUCGGUCAACUUGACUGCCCAUUUGGCUAGUCGGCCCGACUGACUGGGCUGUGCAGAAUCGUCCGUAGGGAGAAAGUCGUGAGGAUGACGAUUGUGUGUGAUUGGAAAUAUGGUCUUAGCUUUCGCGCCGAAGUUACAACUGCGUAUGCUAGUUUUUCCAUCAACAGAUACCUUGACUCAGCAUCUAGCAAUGUGUUGCUUAUAUAAAAAAUAGGUUGAUGUUCGCCGCGCUCUUCCCUGAUUAGACGCCGCUCACAGCCGUUGCUGAUACUGCGAUAUAUAAGAACAAGGGUUCUCUUUCGACAGGUUUUGCGAGAAUUGGAGGAGUGGCCAAGUAUCGUUUCAACUGUUGAAAAGCAUUUUCGCACUCUUCUGACCAUUCAAAUUUUUUAUUCCCCCGCAAGAUAUCGUAGAAAGGUAGGCACUUGUCUGUCGACCUGAGAUGAAUCGGUUAAGUGUUGCGACUCUACCGGUCAAUCUCUGGACUUCCCGUUUAUUCUUGGGUGAAUCCAUCUCGAUAAAUGCAUUGAUCUGUUUUGGAUUAGCUUCGAAACCACGGGAUUUGACUAGGUAUCCGAGGAAUUCUCCCAAUGCUACGGCGAAUCUGCAUUUUACCGGGUUGAGCUUCAUGUUAUGGGAAUUCAGUUGUGCGAAACAUUCCUCAAGUUGAGAUAAGUGAUCUCUUGCCUGGGUAGAGCUCGUGUGUUGUAUAGCAGAUAGGAGCUAUCCCGAUGGUGUGCAGCGUUUCGAACACGUCCUCGUCGAUCCCAAGAUCAGCCAAAGUCUCCGCGUGGCAGAAACGAGUGGGUAACAUGUCAACCCGGAGGAUGGCGUUGUAGCGCGCUGCUGUCCCCUUAUCCCACCCCUCGCAGUUGAAAUCCAAGAGCAAUGGGCUGUCGAGAUCAAUUGGUUCACCCUCUUGUUCCCGGGGCCAUGGGUAGGUCGCAGAGGUUUGUUGAUGUGCUUGAGGGGGUGGCGUGUUGCAUGUAGCUUUCUUUCACUUGGCGGAUUGCUUAGUUUUGGCCAUCGAGUUUUUGCGAUUUGGAUGGGGACUGUCGAGCCUCGUACCUGUAGAAACUGGUGAAGUGAACUGCAAAGACAGAGAGAACUCGAAAUUCCAAACGAGUGAGAAGCCAAAACCACUUAAAACGGUUGAGAAUCAAAGAUUUUGUGGUUGCUUAAAAAUCGCAGGGGGAAGGGUCACUGUGCGGCACAGUGAAAGGGGAAAGUGGAAGGGUGAAGCCUUAAAUAGGAAAAACCCUAACUACCCCCGAAUUUUUUUAUUUAUUUAUUUUUUUUUUGGUUCGGAACACUUACAUGGAAUAGUCAAUGGGUUGUUCUACCAGAAGAACAGUUCUUUGGUUGUUCUGACUGAAGAGUCCAACUUUUUUUUCUUAUUUUUGACCUACAAAAUAAAUCUGAAAAGAAAUAUAAUAAACUAUGGAAAUCAAUGUACAUACUAACCAGUGGGUUGCCUCCCACCAAGCGCUUGGUUAAAGUCAUUAGCUUGACUUGGAUCAGCCUAAUGGGGGAUCGCUUAGGACUCUUCUCCCUCUGCGAUGGUGGAGUCAGCAAGGUAAUGCCUGACGCGCUGUCCGUUCACUACGAACUCGUCUCCUUUUCUGUCCAGUAACACAACGGCUCCGUAGGGUCGAACUUCCUUAACAGUGAAGGGCCCCGACCACCUAGACUUUAACUUGCCUGGGAACAAUCUCAGCCUCGAAUUGAAAAGCAAGACCUUAUCGUUGGGUUCGAAAUGUCUCGCAAUAAUUCGCUUGACAUAGUAGGCCUUGGUCUUCUCCUUGUAAAUUUUGGAUCUUUCAUAGGCGAGGUGCCUUAUCUCCUCCAGCUCAAGAUUAGAAUCAUGCGUCUCUCGGUUGCUGGCUUGAUGUCAAAAUUCAGUAGCUUGACUGCCCAUGCAGCCUUGUAUUCGAGCUCGACAGGGAGGUGACAUGCCUUACCAUAUACCAGGUGAUAGGGGGUCGUCCCUAGCGACAUUUUGUUGGCUGUUCUGUAGGCCCAUAGUGCAUCGUCCAGCUUAAGUGACAAGUCCUUUCGUGACGUGUUGACAGUUUUCUGGAGGAUGCUUUUGAUCUCCCUAUUGGAAACCUUAACCUGUCCACUCGUCUGUGGAUGAUAUGUGGUUGCCACCUUGUGCUUUACUCCAUUCUUCGUCAGGAGGCCCUGAAAUGCCUUGUUGAUGCAGUGUGUUCCACCAUCGCUAAUUUCCACCCGAGGCACUCCAAAUCUCGGAAAGAUGAUGGCUGUUCUGUAGGCCCAUAGGGCUCGCCAUCGCUUCUACCCACUUAGAUACAUAAUCUACGGCGACGAGGAUGUACUCAUUCUUGAAGGACGGAGGAAAUGGUCCCAUGAAAUCGACUCCCCAAUCGUCGAAUACUUCAACCUCUAGAAUGUAAUUCUGAGGCAUCUCAUUCCUCUUGCUGAUUUUCUCAAGUCGCUGGCAUGCAUCGCACCUGGCUAUGUAGGCGUGAGCAUCCCUGAACAUUGUUGGCCACCAGAAUCCUGCUUGAAGGAUUUUGGAAACCGUUCUGAAUGUAGCGAAGUGGCCUGCGUAAGAUGAACCAUGGCAGUGAUGUAGGAUUCCGGGAAUAUCUGCCUCUGGAACACACCUUCUGAAUAAGCCAUCCUUUCCAUGUCUGUACAAGAACGGUUCAUCCCAAACAUAAUGCCUCGCCUCCCUUAAAAUUUUCCUCUUGUCGUUUCCGGUGAAAUUAAGAGGUUGCUUUUCAGCAGCUAGAAAAUUCACAAUUUCAGCAAACCACGGGAGGUUAGAGUACUGCUUUUGGAUCACUUUGACCGGAUAUUCCGCGAUGUGAGAACAAUCGGGUCUCCUUCCCAGAGGUUGUUCUGCGAUGCUGGAACAGUCUGAUGUGAUUCCCAGAGGUUGUUCCGCGAAACGCAGACCAACCACGUUGAUGUGUUCCACUGGGUGUUCUUCAUCAAGAGUUGUGUCGUCCUCAAUAUUCCUUCUGGACAGGUGGUCUGCAACCCCAUUCUCGCCGUGAUUUUGUCUAAGCGAUUGUUGAAGAAUGCCAGCCUUGGGAGACUCCUCUCUUAUCCUUUAUCUCAAGAUCGAAUUCUUGGAGGAGAAGAAUCCACCUUAACAACCUCGGUUUCGCAUCUUUCUUUGUGAGCAGAUACUUAAGAGCAGCAUGGUCUGUGUGCACAAUCACCUUAGAUCCCACCAGGUAGGAUCUGAACUUCUCGAAUGCAAAAACAAUAGCCAGAAGUUCUUUCUCUGUCGUAGCGUAUCUGCACUGAGCUUCAUCCAUAGUUUUGCUUGCGUAAUAGAUCACAUGAAGUUUCUUAUCCUUGCGCUGCCCAAGUACUGCUCAAACUGCAAAGUCGCUUGCAUCAGUCAUGAUUUCAAAGAGGAGAUCCCAGUCUGGCGGUUGCACAACAGGUGCGCUGACUAGAGCUCCUUUGAUGGUGUGGAACGCAGCUAGACACUCACUGUCGAAAUCGAACUUGAUCUCCUUGCAGAGCAGUCUGGUGAGUGGUCUCGCUAUCCUUGAGAAAUCCUGGAUAAAAUGUCUGUAAAACCCAGCGUGACCCAUGAAACUCCUGAUGGCUUUCACAUUUGUUGGUGGUUGCAAACUCCUCAUCACCUAGAUCUUUGCCUUAUCCACCUCAAUGCCUUUCUCGGAGAUCUUGUGCCCCAGAACAAUCCCAUCUGUGACCAUGAAGUGGCACUUCUCCCAAUUGAGCACCAGAUGUUUCUCCUCACACCUUUUUAGUACUCUGCACAAUUUUGACAAACAGACACUAAAGGAGCUUCCAUAGACACUGAAAUCAUCCAUAAAAACUUCCAUAAUGUCUUCAAUCAGGUCAGUAAAGAUUGACAUCAUGCAGCGCUGAAAUGUUGCUGGCGCAUUGCACAAGCCGAAUGGCAUUCUCCUGGAAGCAUACGUUCCGUAGGGGCACGUGAACGUCGUCUUUUCCUGAUCAUCUAGAUGGAUAGGGAUCUGUAAGAAACCUGAAUAACCAUCUAAAAAGCAAUAAUAUUGGUGGUUAGCCAAUCUCUCAAGCAUUUGAUCAAUAAAAGGGAGUGGAAAGUGAUCCUUUCUAGUUGCUGCAUUUAGUUUCCUGAAAUCAAUGCACAUGCGAUGUCAUGUCACUAUCCUAGUAGGGAUCAAUUCAUUCUUUUCAUUCGUGAUAACAGUGAUCCCACCUUUCUUAGGUACUACAUGAAGAGGGCUAACCCAUUUACUAUGAGAUAUGGCAUAGAUCACACCUGCUUCAAGAAGUUUCAUAAUCUCUUUCUUAGCAACAUCUUUUAGAUUCGGGUUUAACCUCCUCUGAUGUUCGACAGAAGUCAUUGAUUCAUCUUCUAGUUGUAUUCUAUGCAUGCAUAAAUCAGGUGAAAUGCCAGGUAUGUCAGCUAGUGAAUAUCCUAAUGCCUUACGUUAUUUCCUAAGCUCACACAAAAGCAAUGCAGUUUCCACAUUAUUUAGUUCAGCAUUCACAAUGACAGGAUAGGUGGAAUUUGGACCUAAGAAAGCGUACCUGAGCCCCUUAGGAAGGGGUUUUAGCUCAACCUUGGGAGCUUUAAGCUCGCUCCAGGGGUCCUUUGGUUGGUUCGACAGAACAGGCGAGUUUGGUGUAGGGGUCGCUCCAGCUGGGGUGGUGUCGUCCCUGUUGCUCUCCUCCCCCAGCUUAGACUCGCUACCAUUCUUCCCAUACUCCUUGUGGAGUCAAGCAUCUUGGCAUACCCAUGUGCAUCAAUGUUUACGACACUCUGCUCGGCCUCAGCUCUUACUAAUGCAAGCUCCAGUGGGUCUUCGGUAAGAAUCUCCUCGAUCAUUCCUUCGCGAGGUUGGAGCGGAUUAAUCCCUUCAUCAACCUCAAAGGUCUGCCCAUCCAACAUCGGCUUCUUUAGCAACUCAUCUAUCUCGAAUUGCAUAACUAUGUCCCCAAGAUUCAGAUCAAUCUUCCCCUGUCGCACAUCAAUGAUGGCUCCAACAAUACAUAAGAAUGGUCUUCCCAAGAUGAGAGGAUCUUUAGACUCUUCUUCCAGCUCCAGAACAACGAAGUCUGCUGGAACAGAGGUGUUUCCAACUUUUACUUGGAGAUCCUCUAGAAUACCGACCGGAGAUUUGACUGAUCUAUCUGCGAACACCAAGGACAUCUUAGUUGGUUUGAAAUGCGUGUAUCCUAGACGUCGAGCUACAGAGUAGGGCAUGCAGUUCUACAGAGUAGAAUUGCAUUGCACUCCUUAGGAUUUUUGUCUGUUUUACCAGGUAGAACACCAAGGACAUCUUAGUUGGUUCACGCUGGAUCCAAGAUCAACCAAGGAGCAUGCAAAAACUGUUUUCCCAAUCUGGAUAGGGAUGACGAACUUGCUGGGGUCUCCUCGCUUCUUUAUCUAUCUGUUAUGAAGCACUGCACUGCACUCCUUAGAAACUGUCAUGAAUUCGCUCUCCUCUGAUAUUUUUCCUGAGAUCAAUCCUUUCAUAAAGCUGCGCAUGGAGGGCAUCAUUUGGAUCACAUCCAUCAGGGGGAGUCGGACGAUUAGAUCCUCCAGCAUCUUCCUGCACUUCAUCUCCUCUAUGUCCUUACGAGUACCCUUUGCUGGAACAGGGUAAGGGACUUUAGGAAUGUAUUCGCGAGGAGGAACAACCUCUGGGAUUGGGCGAACAGCUUCAGCUGGUUGUUCUGGCCCUGGUGAACUUGUUUCAACUGCUGGUUCUGUAUUCCCCUCUACUGCCAGGGUAUCGGCUGGUAGUUGUUCCGACUCUUUCUGCUUCCCUUUCUCAGCCGUGGUGAACCUCCUCUUCUCCGGCUUGGAAAGUUGCUUCCCGCUCCUUAGCUGAACUGCAUUGCACUCCUUAGGAUUUUUGUCUGUUUUACCAGGUAGAGUACCUUGCUGCCUCUUGACACUCUCAACAGUCUGAGCUAUCUGAAUGUCCAUGUGUCUCAUAUGGCUCGCGACAUUAUCAUACUUGGUGCUCAAAUCUCCAAACAUAUGGUUCAUUUUGGUAUUAAUCUCGGUAGUAACCUGGUUUAGAGCUUUCCCUUGGAGCUGUUGUCCUUGGUGUAGCUGCUGCAACAUAGUUUUGUUUCAUCUUGCGGAACCGCGACAGAGGCGGAAGUAGCAGGCUGAGUGUUCUGGUGCUUCUGCAUCUGAGGUUGAUUGUUCUAUGGUUGGCUUAGAAAAUAGGUUCGGGGUUGGUAGUUCUUUUGAUACCCCGCAUACUGACCUUGACUGCUCUGUGCCGGAUCAACCGGUUUCUCCUGCUUAGGCCAGAAAAGUUGUGGAUUGUUCCUUACGUUAGGGUUUGGGUGGUAGUUCUUUAGCUGCCACCCUUGCCCAUUUACGUAGCUCACUUCCUGCUGAUCUUCUCCUGCUUGUUCAGCUUCAAACGCCUUGUCGCCUGCACUCUUCUUAGGAGUUGCUUCUUCCAUUAUGAAAACUUGGCUCUGGUUUCCCUUAAGCAGUUGGUCCACCUUCGCCGCAAGAUCAUCUAUAUUGUUCACACUUUUGGAGCGAUCGUGCUCCUUGUUCUUGUUGAGUGAACUUGAAGCCAUGUUCUCAAUCAACGCGAACGCACUAGGUGUGGUUUGAGUCAUGAGGUCUCCGUUACUAGAAGAAUCAAGGGUGUUUCGGAACACAUAGCUCACUCCAUCAUAGAACACCUCCAAUAUGUAAUCAUCAUCAGACCCAUAGUGUGGGCACUCUCUCUGGUACUCCUUGUACCUUUCCCAAGCUUCAUGAAAGGUUUAUCAGAUUUCUGCUUGAAAUUGGAGAUUCUAUGCCUUAGAGCCGUGGUUUUGGACUUUGUGUAGAAGUGGCUUAGGAAUGCUGAUCGAACCUGGUCCCAUGAGGUGAGAGAACCGGUUGGGAGAGAUUGCAGCCAGCGAGAAGCUUUCCCUUCAAGAGAGAAUGGGAACAGCGAGCAUUUGACAUAAUCUGGUGGCACUCCAUUAGAGCAAGAGAAAUUGCAGAUCCUCUCAAAGGCCUCUAUGUGGUCCAUUGGAAUGUCUGAAGUGAGGCCGCUGAACGUGCUCUUCUGUACCAGACCUACCAGUGCAGGUUUGAUCUCAUAAUCUUGUAGAGUACAGGGUGGAGAGCUGAUGGGGGAGAAGUUAGUAGCGAAGUUUGGCGGAAGGUUUCGCUCCCUAAUAAGAGCACCACGCUCUUCUCGUGUGGCGUUCUCGGCUGCUUGGUCCUCAGCAGUUUGUUGCUGAUUUUGGAUGGUUUGCUGCAUCUGCAACAUCUGUUGUUGCUGAGUCUGUAUUUGUUGUUGAAUGAGUGCCAAUGCAGCAGUGAGGUCAUCCAUGUUGACGUGAUCACCCAUGUUGGUGUUGGUUGUUCUUGGCUGUUGACGGUUCUGUCUUUCUAAUCUUGUGAGUUCUUUGUUGGUCAGUUGAUGUAGUGGUCCUUGUGCUUUGCUCCGAGUAUGUCUACUGGUCAUGCACUUGGAUCAUCUGUUCCAACAAAGAAAUAAAGCAAGUUAGAUAUCUCACACUAAAUAUUAAACCGAAAAAGAAAGGUAAAGCUUAGUCCCCGUCGCAACGGCGCCAAAACUUGGUACACUAAAAAUGAAUCCUUGCUACUGUCAAGUUAACAGUGGUAAUUGUAAUAUUUGAGAUUCAAUCCUGAGGACCAGUUUACUUUUUACUCUUAUGAGUUCAAUAAUAAGCUGAGAAACAAGUGGGGUUUUGGGAAUUCAUUGUGACGCAAGUAACUAGAAUACCUAGAUGGUUCAAAUUUGAUUUAAAUGAAGCCGGCUUAGGGUUAUUAAUCGGAUGUCAAUGCAGAACUGAACAACUAUUCAAGUGCAAUGAGGUGCACUCUAGAAUUCAGAUCACUCGGCUAGAACAAUCCACUAUCGUGGUCUUGCUCCCUUUGCAUAUCGGUCUUGAAUCCUAAGUUCUCACUUGGAACAAGACACGAUAACAAGCCUUAGAGACAAGAUCUGAUUAGUUCACGUAAUACCCUAAUAUCUACUCUCGCUGAUUAGGGAUACAAAGCUCAUUCAAUAUAUGUCAAUUUAUCUCCUAAGCGGUUAGCUAGGUGAUUAAAUCAGAGAUCGACAGUUCAUGCGGCUAACACCCUACAACCCUAAGCAAGCUUAGCCUACUACUCAAUCAUAAAGCAGGAUGACACAAACAUGGUUUCUGAAUAAUACUGCAUAUAAAAUAAAGUAGAAAGACAAGGGUUCAGGAUGAUCUUCUCGUGAGAAUGAGAGAUGAAGCCUUCUCCCUUACAAGUUGCUUAAUCCAAAGAAAAUAGUUAUAGGUCUCUUGCAAAAACUAGCGUCCGAAAAAGAAAUGAUAGCAUAGGCCUUUUUAUAUGGAGGCGCUGGUGGUAAAGAGAUAAGAGAGAGUGGAAUCUAGGGCAAACUUCCAGAAUUGGAACUUUCCUUAAUGAUCGGGAACAGUCAAACGCUUGUUCUCUUCGGGAACAACCUUCGGGUUGUUCUAGAUGACUGUUCCGCAUCGAAUCCUUCAAAACGGCAUCCGACUUCCAGAAUCUCUCUUCUUUACUCUUUCACCUGCUCCAAACCUGGAAUGAUAUCAAUUAAACACGAAUUAGGACUUAGAAUUAGCUCAAAGCACACAUAUAAUGGUACUAAAAACACCAUAUAUCAUGGUUCGGGUGGUUUGGUUGGGAUCCAUAGUCGCGCUUAGGAAACUUAGAUCGGUUUCUUAGCAAAGAUGUUUUUCAUUUAUCUUUCCACAGUCGGUGCCAAAAUGUAGAACCUAAAAUCUACACUAAGUAUUUGAAAGUGAUCGGGAGUUUGAUCUAGGGAAGAUAAAAGAUGUAGGCAACAAUAUCUUUAGAAAACAACGAUGUUAAUAGUUUCCAGUAGGCAAAAAUGGACUUUAUUGAUGAAUAGGACCGAAUACAAUAAGUUGAACUAGAUUGAAUUACACAAGUGAGAUCGUUAAAGAAAAGGAUCUAAGAACAGGAGAAAACAAAGUCGAUGUAUGUGUGUAGCUCUCUCUCUAGGGUUUUCAACGUGUUCUUCUUCAUGUCCCUUCUCAUUUCUUUAUAGCGAGUCGACUUCGCGAUCUCUGUAGCUGUUCUGCGACCUUUGUAACUGCUCCGCGAUCUUAGUAACCGCUCCGCGAUCUCUGGGGGCCUCGACUUCUUUGCUUUUGAGCUCGGUUGCUUGCUACGGGUUUUGAUCCUUACAGCACAUCACUUUGAUCGUGGCCCGUUAAGGUAUUACCCAAAAUUGGGUCCAACAUCUGGGAUGUAACGAACUUCACUCAAUGUGACCGAUGAUCCAUCUUUGUUGUCUAUGGUUAUUUUUCCCAUUCCUCAAACUAUGCACAAUGAGUUGUGACCCAUCAUCACUUUAUUCCCGUCAUAUUCCACAAACUCUGAUAGAAGAUCCCUUUGUUGCGUGAUAUGAAAAGUGCAACCUGAUUCCAACACCCACUCUUCAUUUGAUACCAUCAGACUGUCUGUCAGGGCUAUUAACCCUGGAAGAUUCUUUGCCACGUUUGCUGAGUUUUCUAAAUUUGAGGAGUGAGAUGUUUUUUGUGUUCUGGACAGUCUCGUUUCCAGUGUCCAUCGCUUCCACAUAUCCAACAAGUUUUAUCUUGUUUUACAUUCUACUUUCCUAUUGACCUGAAUCUGCUCUUUCGUUUGCUGUUCCAUUGCUUGUUAUUUCUUGAGUCAUUUCUGGUCGAUGUUCUUCCCCUUGACUCACUGUAAAGACCCUUUGAGUGUAUGCCUCUUGUUGUCAACCCCUUCUGCUUUAUCUCUGCCUCUUUUGAGUAUGCCAUAGUGAUGACUUUGUUGACUGUCAGCAUGUCUUUCCGGUUCCAUAUUGUAUGGUAUGUACCAAUGGCUCACAGGCUGUAGUCAGCCCAGAGAGUAGUUGAAUGGCUUGAUCCUCGUCUGAGAUGUCGAUCUUGAUACUUGCCAAAUCAGCUAGAAGCUUUAGGAAAGAGUCAAAGUUCUCUUCCAUUGGUUUAUUUUCUUCCAUCCUGAAGCAAGAAAACUUCUUCUUGAGAUAUAUUCAGUUUGGCAAAGACUUUGUUUGGUAGUCUCUCUCAAAUUCUUUCCCCAUUCUAAGAGAUAUAGUCUCAUUCAUAAUCUUCAUCAAGAUCAAAUCACUGGGACAAGUGGUGAAUAGACUCCUAGCUCUUAGAUAUCUUUCUGCCUUCUUUAGGUCUUUCUUUACUUCGACACCUUCCUCUAGCUUUGCUAUAUCAAAUUCAAAAGUGGUUUCUUUCUAAAGUACUGAUACCAGGCCUUGAAUCGCUAACUGUGUCAUCAUCUUAAAUUUCCAAAGUCCAAAGUCACCGUUCCUAUCGAACUUCUCGAUCUCGAACCUCCCUGGCGUCGGAUCCAUCCUCUUUGAUGUGUGAUUCCUCGCUUCUUGUCACUUGCAGAUAACCAAGAAAACAAUCCCACAACAACUAGAUGCACAACCAAAGAUUCAAGAUCAGAUCGAUUUAGUAUAAGAGUAGAAUUGAACUUCCUUUAUAAUCCCAAUCAACCUCUUCUCGUUGAUUGGUGCUCCUCGAUCUUUACUCCUCGUAGAACCAGAUCGUUCUUCUGAAUCCGGACCUCGAUCAUGUCUUCUGAAUCCUUUGAAUGCUCUAGCCUAGCUCUGAUACCACUUGUAGAAUAAUCUGAUACACACUUGUAUUGUAUCUCAAUGAUCUCUCUUGACUAUCGAACGCUUUGAUUCUAUCGAUCUCUCACGUCUCUCGUAGUUUGAAGAUCGCGACUCCACUCACACACUCGAAAACCCAGAACGCAACACGAAAGAAAACAAUUGACAAGAAAACACCCAAAGUUUUAGAGUUCCCCAGAUUUUGGGUACAUCUCCUUCAGGAUCGGUACCUGGAAUUCGUUAUCUCUUUGGAGUGUUACACGAGAUUCUUUACAACAAUGGCAGAAUCAUCUGCUUCGGUACCUGGAUAACAUGAGAAGAAGACGAGGCUGUUAGGUUGUUAUGAGGUGUUAUCCUCUGCUUCUCAUCCUUCUCCUUUUAUAUGCACAUGUAACUUCAGCUCCUGGGUUUCACUCUUUCACCAGAGGCCGAGCAUAAUCUUUAUCGCUCUUCUUUAUUAUUGACGUCCAGGCCCAGUUGUCAACGACAGGCCCAGUCCAGAUCAACUCAGUCACUUGCCAAUCUCACAUAGAAUAUUUUUGGAAUAUAACUUUUUUAUAUGUUUUAAAAAUUAUGUAUUGCCAUUUUUGAUCUACAUUAAAUAUGUAUUGUCAUUUUUUUUUGUCAGCAAACAAAGCAGACUCAUGUAGACUCUGCGAACCACCCCGAUAGCUCUGCAUCCAUAUGGACGACAAAUGACGGUUGCUUUCUUGCACUGCGUGCGAGACUGUCCGCCUUUGAGUUUUGUGUCUGUGGUAUAUGAAUGAUCUCUGAGCUGUUAAAACUCCUCUUUAAAACUUUUAUGUCUUCCAAAUAGCUUGCAAAGGCUGGCCACUCUUCUGGUUCCGACACCAUCUUCACCAAUUGAGCACUAUCUGUUGCAAAAGUAACCCAUGCUUGUCUAAGAUUCCUCAUACAUUCCAUUGCCCAUAUAAGGGCCUCUAUCUCUGAGUGUAGUGGCGACUGACUCGCUCUCGUGUUCCUUGCUCCCAUUAGUCCAUCGUAGCCUUCCAGGGUACUAUACCAUCCUUGCCCUGAAAAGCUAUCCUCAUUUUUCCAAGAUCCGUCUGUAAAACACCAUCUACCUGGUAUACUCGUUAUUAUCGAAGAUACAUGAAUUUGGGUGCGUUCCAUGUCUUGAGUCUGAGAAUUUUGUGCUUCCACCCAAAGUAACGAUUCCAUUUCUGCCAGUUUAAGAGUAUCUCUCGGGUCCAUAUCCAAAUUGCUAAAAACUUUAUUGUUUCUACCUUUCCAUAUAUACCAGAGAAUCCAAGCAAAUGAAUGAUCCUCCAUUUCAGGAGAAAGUCUCCAAAAUAAAUGAUCCAUAUUGGUAAACAAAGAUUGAGUGGGAAAAAUAUUUGGAUUCAUCGGGAUCCGUGAAAGUGCCCAGACCUGAACCGCCGGUGGACAUUCAAAAAACACGUGAUUAGCUGAUUCCUCGGGAGCACCACAUCGGUCACAAACAGUAUCUCCUUGCAUUCCUCUUGACCUCAAAUUUUUCUUAACCACUAUACAUCCCGUCAAUAGUUGCCAUAAACAAUGUUUCAACUUGGGUGGGCAGCGUAACUUCCAACAGAACGUCUUCAAAGGUGUUAUCGAAGGGCCAAACUGGGGUGGCAUUAUUUCUCUAUCCGGAUAUACUCGUUCCACUUCAUAUCCAGAUUUAACCCUAUAUUUUCCAUUCUUUGUAAAAUGCCAUCCAUUCCGGUCUUCUAGAUGAGAUCUACUGAUAGGAAUACUUUGAAUAAUUUUCACAUCUUGCGGAUCCACCAGAGCCCGAAUAACCUGUAGGUUCCAUGAUCGUGACGUUCCAUCGAUAAGAGCAUCCACUGUUAGGUCCGGGUAAAGAUUGUGUUGAUUUUUAUUUGCUGGUCUCGGGCGAGUGGAUGGAAGCCAAGGGUCAUUCCAUACUGAUAUAGAUGAUCAUGUUCCCACCCUUUGAUUAGUCCUAUGCUAACCAGAGAUCUAGCAGAGACAAUACUACCCCAACCAUAAGAUGACAAGUAUGAUCUAAUGGGUUCCAGGGGUGAAGCAUUCCUGAAAUAUCUCCCUUUGAAUACACGAGAAAAUAAAGUAUUCGGUUUGUCCAUUAAUCUCCAAAAUUGUUUCCUAAGCAUAGCUGUAUUAAAAUCUGUGAGAUCUUUGAAUCCCAAACCUCCAUCGUCCUUAGAGCUACACAGUUUGUCCCAUGAUUUCUAAUGCAUACCUCUCUUGUUACCCCCUGGACUCCACCAGAACUGUGCUACAGCACUAACUAAUUUCUUCAUUGUUUAGCAAGGCUAUAACCACAGAUUUUAUAAUCACUUCCUUACCCCCUCUGGUGAAAAACUUAAAAGUCCAACCAUUUACUCUGCUAUUUAGACGCUCCUGAACAAAUCCAAAAACUUGCACCUUUGAUCCUCCCAUAUUUUCUGGGAUGCCCAAAUAAGACCCCAUUCCUCCUAAAUUAUGUAUACCUAAGAUAUCUCGAACUUCCUGUCGUGUAGCUUCUGCAAUCUUGUGUCCAAAUUGAAUCGAAGAUUUUUCAAAAUUUAUUUGUUGUCCUGAAGCCCCUUCAUAUUCUUUGAGAAUCCUAAGAAUUGUCUGACAUUCUUCCUUCUGAGCUUUGCAAAAGAAAAGGCUAUCGUAUGCAAAUAAUAAAUGGGAAAUUGGGGGGCAGGCCCUAGCAACCUUUAGACCCGUUAGUUGCUUAUUUCGUUCUGCCUUUUUAAUAUUUGCGACCAAUGCUUCCGUACACAUAAUAAACAGAUAAGGGGAUAGAAGGUCCCCCUGACGUAAUCCCCUAUGUGGUAUUAUAUGUCCUUUUGGCUGUCCAUUCAAUAAAACCUUAUACUGAACCGAGGAAAUGCAUUACAUCAUUAAUUGGAUCCAAUGCUGGCCGAAUCCCACCUUGGUUAGUAGUUCUUGGAUAAAGAUCCAUUUAACUUUGUCAUAAGCUUUGCUCAUAUCCGUUUUUAUUGCCAAAAAUUUAUCCUGACACGAUUUAUUAGUUCGCAAACCAUAGAACAUCUCCUGAGCUAUAAGAAUAUUAUCUGAUAUUAAUCAUCCAGCAAAAAAAGCCGAUUGCGUCUACGAGAUCAGUGAUGGAAGACAGACCUUUAAUCUUUGACAUAAUACCUUAGAUAUAAUCUUGUAUCCUACAUUACAUAAGCUGAUAGGUAUGAGUUCAGUCAUCCUUGUGGGUCUCUCCGUUUUAGGAAUCAGACAAAUAUUUGUAGUGUUUAACCUUGUGUCCAAAUUUCCCGAUGCCAAAAAACUAUUGACCAUUUCCAAUAGAUCAUUUUUUAUUAUAUGCCAUGAGUGUUGAAAAAAGAGAGCCGUCAUUCCAUCCGGCCCAGGAGCUUUCUCCGGAUGCAUCAUGAAUAAGCAUGUCGAACUUCCUCCUCAGUUGCCAACCGAACAAGCCGUUGAUUCAUUUGUGGUGUAAUUGAGGGUGUAAUCUCAUCUAAAAAACCAUCAAAACCAGUAGGAGUUGUUGUCUGAAACAGAUCUUCAAAAUAAUCCACUGCCACCUUUUCUACCCCCUGCUCCUCAAUUAUCCAGUUUCUAUCAGAAUCAUAUAGACCCACAAUUCUAUUACGAGCACGACGUUGUUUUGUUAGAGCAUGAUAGAAUUUUGUAUUGAGAACCCCAGAAGUGUGCCACAUAUUACGACUCUUUUGUUGCCAGUACUCUUCAUCAUCCUUAUAAGCUUCCUGUAACUUCCUUGAGACCUCUAGAAUAUCUUCUUGGGUUCUAGUAUUAUCCGUUUGGACUUCAAGUGCUUUCUGGAGUUCUCCAAUUUUCUCUUUCCCAUAAGGUGGAUUAUUCUUCCGCCAUGUAGAGAUCUCAUGAUGGCAGUUUGUAAUUUUUGAAACGAAAUCCCCCGGAUUCGCCUCUGAGAAUUCACCCCACCCUCUUGCAAUCGAGUCCAAUAAGCCUUCUUGUCCAAUCCAUCUCUUGUCAAACCGAAAUUUUCCCCUCCGUCUUGUUAUUUUAUUGUCCAGAAAAGCCACCACCGGUCGAUGAUCGGACCCCACCAUUCUCAAAUAUUCUGUGUAAGAGCAUGGAAAAAGUGUAUCCCAAUCUUCAUUCGCUAAAGCUCGAUCCAACCGGCACCGAACCAUAACUUUUUUCUUUUUUCCUUGUUUCCUUCUUCCUUGCCAGGACAUCUGAUUUCCUCGGACUGGGAACUCCAAAAGUUCAGUAUUCCUAAUCAUGUCAUUAAACGGUACAAAAGAUCCUGCACUGCGUAUGCCCCCCCCCCCCAUCUUUUUCAUGAUUCCCAGUUAUCUCAUUCAAAUCUCCAAUAAUAAACCACGGCUCUGACCUUGCUAGGCCAUACCUUGUUAACCGUUCCCAAACUUGAUCCCGUAACUGUUGAACCGGCUCUCCAUAAACAAAGGUCAUAUAAACUUUUUUUCCAAGGGCCAAAGUUUCAACAUCAAUCAUACGAUUACUAGUAUAUAGAAUAUCAACCUGGUAUUCAUUAUUGUAAAACAAUGCCAAACCUCCACUCGCACCAACCGGGUCCACUGUAACUAAAUUAUCAUAACCAAAAUGAGACUGAAGACCCUGAAGGUAAACUAAAUCUUGUUUUGUCUCGGAGAGAAACCAAAAAUCCGGUCUAUGUUUAUGCCAUAUUUCCCGUAAAUAACUAAUUGUCCAGUGACUUCCCGCACCUCUACAAUUCCAACUCAAUACUAUCAUAAAAACCUUUUAGAAAAAACUCAUUAGAGCUAGAUUAUCGGGUGUGAAGAAACUCUGGGUAACCAGACUCCACUCGACAGAAAACUGAUAUUUCAUUAUGUAUUGUCAUAUACAUGUAUAUAUAUAUAUAUAUAUAUGAAUUAUGGUUCAUCUAUUUAGUUUCCAUUAUUUUCUGUUUUAAAAUAAAUUUAUUAAAUAAAUAAAUGUAUUUUAAGUGGUAAUAUUUUGUAUUAUUUGUUGUUUUCAUAGUAAGUAAUAUUUUUUUAUUAAAUUUCUAUUUGAACUUCAAACAAGAAUAAUUAAUAAUAUAUAGUAAAAUUAUAAAACAAAGUAUAUAUAACUUAUAUUUAAACAUAGAAUUAAAAUUUUAAGUUUACGUUUAAACAUAAAAUUAUAUUUGUUUUUGCUGUUUUUUAAAUAGGCUUAUGUGUGUUUUGGUAAUGAUAUUAUAUUUUAUUAUAUCACAAUAAAUAUUUUACUAUUGAUAAUAUUUUCAUUUCAUUAUUUUAUAAGCAAAAACCAAAAAAAAAAUUAACCAAAAUAUAAAAUCAUAAUUCAUGGUUUUCAAAAAUUUAAAAUAUAAUGCAAAAUUAAAAAAAAAAUCCAAAUCUAAAAUAAAAAAAACCAACAACUAAAAACAAAAUUAAAAAUUAAAAAUCUAGAAACCAAACAAACAAUCAUCUCCAUAAAUGGAUCUUGAUUAGAUUGGUAGUCUGGAUCUAAUUGUUUUAGGUUCGGUUAAUAAUUAGUUAGAAAGGUAGUGUCAAAUUGUUUUUGUUAUAAUUUCUAUUUAAAAAAUAAUAAUUUAAAUAAAUAAAAGAGGAAAGUCUCCAAACAAGAAUUUUUUUCAGCCAUUUUAUAUCUUUUUUGGUAAAAAAUUCCCAACAUAAACUACAAACGAUUUUAUUUUUGCAAAGAGUACAUAUUAUAACUCGAACAUAGAUACAUUACAUUACGAAAGUUUAUUCACCUAAUUUCUUUUAUUUGACUUAAGUAACUUUUACAAACUCACCAUGGUUUUACUUAUAGUCAUAUACACAUACAUGUCACAGUUGUAUACAGGACUGUGUGUAUACAUAGAUGAAAUCAUCCAUGGUGGUUAAAGUAUUGAUAGAUUUAGUUGCCAGGCUGAGUCUGAACAGCUUCUGGACCGUGUCCACCGUGGCCUCCUCUUCCUCCGUGUCCCCCGUGGCCUCCUCUUCCUCCCUUGUAUCCUCCACCUCUUCCUCCGUUGUAUCCUCCACCGCCGUUGUAUCCUCCUCCCCCGUUAUAUCCUCCACCUCCCUUGUAUCCUCCACCUCCGUUGUGUCCUCCUCUGUUAUAUCCUCCUCGUCCGUUGUAACCUUCAUUUCCGCCAUGGCCACCACCAUAUCGAUCAGGUUGCACAGUUUCCUCACUCUCUGUUUUCACCGUACAUAUCCAAAACAAAGCACCUCAAUAUUAUUUCAAAGAUAUCUUUUAGCACGUGCAUAUGUGCAUUCCACUCCCCGAUUUUUGAAAUAAAUUUCGAUUAAAACUAUUCAAAUAUAUAUAAUUUCGGAUCUCGGUCAAAAAAGAUAAAUCGCAUCAUUAUAUACCUUCAAUAUAAAAUUUAGACCGAACAUCUAAAUGAUUUGAGAUGGCCUGAUACGUAUAAAAGGUUUCAAUAUCAUACAUAUCGUCUUCUUUUUUUCUUUUUUAAUAAAACUGGGCUAAUCUCCUGGAGAGCCUACCAGGAAAAGACAAACCCGGUUCCUCUACGGAGGAGUUAGAUAUUCACACCGCCUAGCUACACAUAUCGUUUUUUUUACUAGACAAAUAUUCCCUGCCUUUUUAAUAUAAGUCAGUUUUAGAAUUAUGCACACAGAUAAAAAAAUUAUUAUUUUUUAUAUUUUCUAACAAAAAUAUCAUUAAUUAUUUAUCUAACCACGAAUCAGUCAAUAAUAAAAUAGAAAGUAUAUUAUCAUUAGUUAUAUAAAACUAAGUGUUAAUAAAUUUUACAUAGAAAAUCGAAAAAAUCAUAUAAUUUAGAACAUAAAAAUUUCUAAAACGACUUAUAUUAAAAAACGGAAGGAGUAGAUAACAACAUCAUACUUAAAUGUGUUUUGACUUAGCAAGUCCAAAUAAUUAACCAGCAUUAAUUCAAACAAACUUUCUGGACUUAAAACGGACGAAAUGGUAUGAUGAAAUUUUGAAAUAGUACUUUAGCACCACAGCCUUUGGAACUACUUUUAUUUUUAUAUAGAAUAAUAAUUUUACGUACCCGACUUCUGUGCAGAUGCUGCGGCCAUUUCUGACACAACGAGAAGAAUUGCAAAGACACCCAGCAUAAUCAAAGUCUUUGAAGCCAUUUUUUUUUUUUUGCUAAAUUGUAAAUAUCAUAUAAUGAAAGGUUUAGGGUUUUACAAGCCUAAAUUGUGAUACCUUGGCAAAAAGAAAGAAAAAACAAGGCAGUCACAAAAAGUUAGAGUAGAAACAUUUAGUUAUCUAAUCCAAAGUUGCAUAAGAGAUUUGAAGCUUCUCCUAUGUCUUCGCGCACUUAUCGUGUUGCGAACCUCCCUGUCGAUGGAGCUGAAGGUCGUCUGGGUUGGGCAGAAUCCUGAGAGAUGCACCGCUGAAUUACAUUGCCUCCAGACGUUGUAGAGGAGAGAUUGUGUGGCCAGCUUCUUGAGCGUUGUUGGUGCUGAGGCAGAGGGGGCUCGUACCCAGGACAGAAGCUCUUCCCAAGACAGAAAAGCCCUACGAAGAGGAUCCAAUCGCGCAAAAAUGAAGCUCCAAAUGGCAUUGCUGUAGUUGCAGGAGAGGAAAAGAUGCUCUCUGGUUUCUUCAUGGUUGUUACAGAAGCAGCACGCCGUUUGAAUAUUGAGACCCCACGAGGCAAGCCUGACCUUCGUUGGUAAACGGUUGAGGUUCGCUAGCCACAUGAUGAACGCCUGUCUUGGAAUGGCUCCACUGAACCAGACUGCGUUGGCCCAAGUCUUUUUUGGUGAUCUUGGUCUCAGGACCUCCCAUGUCUUGGAAGAGGAGAAGCCCUUGCAGUCUUUGGAGUCGACUACCCAUUCGAACACGUCUGAUUCUGUCUGGUGUAGCGGAAGCUGGAUGGUCGUUAAGUGGAUAUGGAGAGCGAGAGCGUUGUCUGAUCUAGGCUGAGGAAGCUUCCAUGUCGUUUCAUUUGUAGCGUCUCUAACGGAGGCUGAGAUAGGUACUCUACAGACCCUAGGACCCGAAUCACCUAAGAAUUUGAUUAGCUGGCCAAAGGGAGUCCAACUAUCGAACCAGAACUUUGAGUUUGCUCCAUUGUGAACUCUGCACUUUAAGAACUGCUCUGCCAGUGGUCUGAGGGAGAGGAUCGAGUUCCAAGAUGCCGAGUCCGAUCUCUUGCUUUCUAAUGCCCAGAAGCUAUCAUUCUGUAGAUGGUGGUGGGUGUGCCAUUGCACCCAUAGGGAGUUAGUGCCCGAGAAUAAUAGCCAAAUAAACCGCAGGCACAACACCUUGUUCCAGUCAUUGAAACUCCUUAAGCCAAGGCCUCCUUCUGUUUUCGGUAGACAGACUGUUUUCCAAGCCACUUUUGCUGAGACUCUAUUCUCAAUAUUUCCAGCCCAUAGGAAACGUGAGCAGAAGGAUUCUAUCUUUUUCAGACAGCCCUUGGGUAAUAUGAACGUUGUCAUCCAAAAAUUUACAGUUCCAUUUAUGACAGAAGACAAUAGCUGGAGUCUCCCUGCAUAACUCAACAUUUUAACAGCCCAUGACCUGAAUGUACCAACUAGGUUCUGUAUCAAAGGGUCAUACUCCGAUAUCCUAAGCUUUCUAUGCAUCAGCGGUAAACCGAGAUAGCGAAUAGGGAGCUUACCAAUUGGGAACUCGUAUCUAGCGACUUCCGCAGUUUCCAAGGGGUUGAGACCAGCAACGAAGAGCUCUGACUUGUCUCUGUUAACUUGCAGCCCUGACCAGCUGGCAAAAUCAUCUAAGGUUUCUGCGAUUUCGUGCAGAGAAUUAGAGCCCCCAUCAAAGAAGAUCAUCACAUCAUCAGCAAACAUCAAGUGAGAGAUAUUAACAUCAGCGGUUCUAGGAUGGUAUGAGAUGUAACCCAAGUCAAAUCUAGCAGAUAAAAGUCUGGAGAAGACUUCCAUUGCUAGCACGAAUAGGUAAGGCGACAGCGGGUCCCCCUGCCUAAGACCUUUCGAGCUCUUGAAAAACCCAUCAGAAAUGCCAUUUACUGAAACAGAGAAUGUUGGAGUCGUGAUACACUCCUGAAUCCAGCCAAUGAAGAUCUCAGGAAAGUUGAUGGCUCUGAGGGUAGAGAUAAUGAAGUCCCAUCUGAUUGAGUCGAAGGCCUUCCGCAAGUCAACCUUGAGCAUACCCCUCUUUGAGAUGUUUUUCCUGUUGUAACCAUGGACAAUCUCCGUUGCUAGAAGAACAUUUUCAGACAACAACCUGCCUUUGAUAAACGCAGACUGCGACGGUGAGAUGACAUUGUAGAGUAUCUCUUGAAGGCGGUUUGUUAGCAGUCUGGAUAUCACUUUGUAUAGAGUAUUGACGCAGGAUAUUGGUCGAAAAUCCUUAGUCCUAUCAGCAUUAGAAGACUUGGGGAUGAGGAUCAGAGAGGUUGCAUUCCAUUGCUUUAAGAGUUUGCCCGAUCUGAAGAACUCCAGAAUAGCUUCUGUUGCCUCAACGCCCACAAUACUCCAAGCCCCUAUGAAGAACUCUGCUGGGUAACCAUCUGGACCACUAGUUUUGUUCGAGGGCAGAGCAAAAAACGCUUCUCUAAUUUCUUGCCUAGUGAACUCCCUAAUAAGAUCCUCCUUCUGUACCUCAGUGCAUCGGUAGGGCAAAAGCAGAGAGAGAUCUUGAGGGUCUAAAGAAGAGGGGUCAUGCUCUGCGCCUAGCAAGUCUGAAAAGUAAUUCAGGCAGAGGCUUUGGAUCGCAGCCUGUCCCUCCACUCUCGUGUUUUGAUCAUCUAAGAGAUAAUGAAUAUGAUUAGAUGCCCUUCUCGUUGCGAUAAGUCUGUGGAAAUACGCUGAGUUGCAGUCGCCACCUUUAAUUGAGUUUAUGUGAGAUCUUUGAAAUAAGAAUCUCUCCUCGGCUUUGGAAAGGGUUACCCAUCUGUCCAUCUCCACUCUCUCUGCUACCGCAUUUGCAUCAGUUGGUCUUAGGAGGAGGAUUUGCUGCGCAGCUAGUAGCUUCUCGUGAGCCUCCUUUACUCUCUUUUCCAGGUUUGAAUAGUUCUCCUUGCUGAAGGUUCGAAUACCCGCCUUUAUCAUUUUCAACUUCCUAGCGAUGGUGAGCAUCGCUGAUCCAGUGACAUUUGUAGAGUACCAAAGAUCUGUAAGGUAAUCAAGAAACUGCUCGUUGUGAAGCAAGAAGUUGUAGAAGCGGAAUGGUCUCUUUUCUCUAGUCGAUGCCGCCUUCAAGAGAACAGUAGCCACUGCGUGGUCCGAGAAGUCUGGUUCCCCAAAGAUAGCAAUAGAGUCCGGGUUGCUGGAGAGCCAGUUAUCGUUGACAAGUACUCUAUCAAGUUUCUUGGCGAUGACAUUAGUCUUGCUUUUAUUUGUCCAAGUGAAGGUCGGCCCCUUGAAUGACAGAUCAGCCAAAUCAGCUUCCAAUAGAGUCUCCCUGAACAACCUUGUUUUAGUGUCAACGUUUAGAGAUGUCGGUCUGGAGUGUUCUUGGGGGUGAAGCGUUUGGUUGAAAUCUCCUAAGACCAUCCAAGGCCUGUUUUUGAUUCUCGGAUCAUCACUCAAACUGAUAAUCUCCUUCCAAAGUUCCCGUCUCUGCUCCUCCUCAUUUGAGGCAUAUAUAACGGUGAUAAUAUAAGCAGAAGGCUGGUUAGGAAGUUGGACCUCUGAAGUAAUCGAUUGUAGGGAUUUGUGUAACACUGUUACCAUGACAGAAGGGUGCCACACUACCCAGAUCUUCCCAAUCUCCGAGAAACUGUAGUUCUCCACAAAUUGCCAGCCAGGUAGAAUGCCGGUUAAGAACUUCUGAAUCUUUGGCUGCUUUACAUGGGUUUCUAUAAUACCCCCAAAAAGUGGUUUAUUUAGCUUCCACCAUUUUCUAAAUCCGCUGCGGUGACUAUAUACGUUGAACCCGCGCACAUUCCAGCAAAAAAAGUCUAUAUACAUUGAUGAUUAGUGUUUUGAGGGAAGAGCCCCUCGGUUUUUCUUCUUACUUCUCCUGGAUAACACCCUGAUGAAGUUCUCAUGGUCGUCGUGGUAGCCAUCUGAUUCACCAGAGUAGGUGUCAGAGGAGUCAUGCUCUAGGUCAGAUGAUUUCUCUUCCUCAGUGCCUUCGCUAAGCUUGACUCUUUCGUUUCCCGGGGGGGUUUUUUCAGCAGGGGUAAGGCCACUACUAUCACCUUUAUCCUGAACUAUCGUCGGAGGUAAUGUGACAAUUGGUUCCUGAACACGUUUCCCAUUAUCACGAACUUGCCACUGCAGCUGUGGAGCCUUAUCUUUGAAGCCAUUUUCUUUAACCGAAUUUAAGUUAUAACACUCUCUUUGUCGAAAAACAAAUGAUGAAUAAAAUGUCAGUCUGCAUGAUCUCUAUUUAAAGAGAAAGAGGAGCAGCGGAUGAGAAAAGCCAAAUAACAAAAAUUCAAUAAAAAUAAUUUAAUUUUUUAAUUAAAAGAAAAAGAGGCAGAAUUUAUCACAACAUUGGAUUUGGAACUUUAUAGAAUUUGAACACCUACUAAGUUCCAGAAAAUCUAAAAUUAAGAUAAAAUGUUGAAAAAUUAUUACAGUUUCUUUAAAAAGAUUUAAAUCAAUUUUAUAAUAUUUAAAAAAAUAUUUAAACCUUUGAAUUUUAUUUUAAUGAAAAUUUAUGUUCUUUAAAAUUUUAUUUUUAUUACUUAUUAAUUUAUAUAAAAUAUAUAAAUAUACAAAAUAAUAUUUCUAAAUAAACUUUAUUUAUCUGAUUUCAUUUUUUUAUUUUUAUGUAAAAGUGAAAAAUAAAGAAGAAUUUAUUUUGUAAGAAAUUUCAAAUAACAUCAUCAUAGGAAGUGAUAUUUUUAUUCAUUAACUUUUAACCAUAUAAGUUAUUUUUAUAAUUCCACCACUUCUUAUUUGAUAGAUUUUAAUGACUAAAUCUAUAUUUCCAAUAAGUUAGAAUUUCGAAGAACUAAUACAAAUUAUGAACUCAAUAACUUUGGAUUUCAAAUUAUUUCUGUAAAUGUUAAAUACAAUAUAACUGAUGAUUUUGGGGGAAAAUGAAAUCCUAUAAACUUACUAAUCGGUUAAUUCAAUAAUUACUCUAAAAUAUUUUCUAGAGAGACUUCUUGGAUGAGGAGUUUGAAAAGUAAUUAAGUAGAAAGUGAAAAGAAGUUAUUUUGUUAAAUAUUUAAGAUGGGUUUACUUAAUUCAUUUAACUGUUAUGAAAAAUGUGUUCUCAAUAUAUUCUAUUUAGGUUAUUUCCUACUUUUCAGUUUUAGAUCUUGUUAAGCUUGAAUGUACCAUGCGUAAGAAGAAUAUAAUGACCCACAUUCUGGUCCAAUGAAUUCAGAUCGAGGCCCAAACCCAUCCCCAUAAGCCCAUGAUAUUUUCUAUAAAAACUCAGCACUCUACUUUGUUUUCUUCACCAAAAAUCAUCAAGAAAAGUUUAGAGAGAAGAAGUUAAUGGGAGAAAUGAGGAAUUGUUACAGAACCUGAGCCACCACUGGGUUCGUCGGAGCCUUCUCACGCCGUGACUGUGUCGAGCACGCCACCACCGUUAACCGCCCAAGGUAACACGGAAACCACAUGCAUUAGCUUCAAUUUCGGGUCUGUUUAGUAAAUCGCCCAUUACUUCCUAACCAUUAGCUUCAUAACUUCCGUUUAGCUUCAGCUGCAUGCAAGACCAACAUUGUGUUCCUCUUGUGGAGACGAAGCCAUAGACACCAACCACACCGUGAUCGGAGCCCGGACGAAGCCGCUAGAGCUUCCCGAAGUUUCGCUACGAUCGGAGUCCGCCGGAGCCGCCACGCAUUCCGGCCACUUGCCACCGUCUCCGACCAUCGUUCGCCGGAGCCGUCGUGCCCGGCCACCGUCCGUCCGCCGCCGAGAAGCUGCCACCGUAUCGCCGCCUCUCCGCUGCCGUCGGCGAUUUCCCGGUAAACCGCCGCCACCCUCCGCCGUCGCCGCCGUCACCACCGGUGACCGUCGCCGGUAACUCGGCCAAGUCCGGUGAGACAACUCGGUGACUCAGUCAACUGGUGGUUUGACUGGUUUAAUUGGUUUAAAUCGAUUUUGGGUUGGUUAGGUUAAACCGGUUGGUUAUUGGAAAUUGAUUUUGGAUAGAAGUAAACCGGUUUGCAAUUAAUUAGGAUCUGGUUCAAUUAAAAAUCAAAAUCGGCUGAGUUAAACCGGUCGGUUCAGUUUGAUUUCAAUUUGGUUAAGGGUUGACCGGCUUGGGUCAGAGUUGACCAGGUUGACCUUUGACCUGCGGAUUGACUUUUUGGUAAACUUUAACCAGACCCGUUUUAAACCGUUCGAAAGCCGUUCUGACUCAGAAUUUUGCCCUGAUUUCAGAUUAAGAGUCUAUUUGAGCAGCUGGAGUUCAUAGAUACCACAUUUCCCUAUUGCUCAGGUGAGGGUCUAUUCUCGAACUUCUCGUAUACGGCUUAGGACCUCGAAUAAGUAUAACUUAUUUCUAAUAUGUUCUAUCUGCUUGAAAUCGAGUCAGUCAUUGCUUGUUUAGUUAUUAGGUUCUUUGCUUAAAUCGAAAUUAGGUGGUUAGAGGAUUCAACAUCGAUUGUUUCACUUAAUGUAAAUGCUUAGCUAGGAUUGUUUUUGUGUGGAGACGGAUACAGAGACAGACUUAUGUAUGCCGGAUCGUAUGAGGUUAUGGCCAACUAUAGUCGACCGGUUGAGCUGUAGCCUGGAAGGAUCGAUAAAUCGUCCAUGGGCGGUGUCCGAGCACUAUCUCGAGCUGUGUUAUGUUUUUGGCCUUUUAGUGGGCAGCGAGUGCGCGCCUCGCUAGAACAAUUUUUUGUUGUUUGGAUACUUUAGGUGCCGUGUUUGACAUGUAUUAGAAUUAAAUUAUAUUUAUUUGGAGUGCUAUGUCCGGGUCCAUGGACUUUAGGGUAGCAUCUCAUACCUCAUUGGGUGAUUACCCUGUCGCUCACCCCUCACUCUGACCGAUGAGCAGGGGUGAUUAUCGGACUGGUGCUAUUGGGCUUUUGGGCUUCUAUCGCUUUUAUCGCUUUUACCGUUAUCGGGCUUUUAGGCCUUUGGACUUGGUGGCAACCACCAUUAAGUUUUGAUUCAUGGAAGCCUGUCCAAUUUUGGUCAAUGAACUUGCAAUAGAAGCAGACUUUGACUUAAGAGAGAAAUUAAUAGAGAGAAAAGAUAGGAACUAACUUUUACCUACAGAUCCAGAUACUUGUUUGAAAAUCCUUGCAUCCUGUGAUCGGUACUCCCAAGGUAAAGCUUGCACUUUUAUUUAUGUUAAGAAAUGAGGGUGGUAGAGGGGAAUGUCAGACAUGAUUUGCUAAGUUGUUGGCUAGGUGAAUUUGGUUGGUAAGCUAGGAUAUGGUAUAAUGUGCUUUUGUGGUUAGGACUUCCGAGAUGUGGAUUGAAAAAUUGUAGAGGUGAUGAUUCUAAGUUGUACAUCAUGUGAGUCCCUACUGUUUUGAGAGACUGCAUGUUUGUUUUGCUUGAGGACAAGCAAAAUGUUAAGUCUGUGGGAGUUGAUAGACCAUUGAUUUUACCCACUUUCAGCCAUGGUCUAUAAGUGUUUUAAUAUAUAUUUACUACUAAAUAGAGUCUAAUAGAGUCUAUUUAGAGUAUUUACAGGUUCAAGUACGUUCUAGAAAAAUAUGGUGAUUUUGGAGUCUUUUGAGGUGCAGAACUGCACAGGCGCGUCAGAUGUCUAGCUAUGGAUGGAUAUCUUCCCACCGUUAGAUUGAGCCCAUCUUUUGACACAAAAUAGUGAUUUGAGUUAGAUUUCCAAUUCCACCAGUUUGAGGUCAAUCAGCAUCCUGUAGCAGAGGUUACAAUCGUUUUACUGAAGAGCGGUCAGUCUGCCUCGCAAUAGGAAGCUGUCAAGGAGAUAAAAGAUUGUCGAUCGAUGACACAACAUUGGUGACAGUGAUGCCAGAAUAUGGGCUGAGCAUAUUUUAUGACCGCUGAAGCCCAGAAGCAACCUCAAAUUACCAGAAUACCUUUGGACGACCAUAAACCCUAUUCAUGUUAUUCAUAAGCCUUUGUUGACGGCUACACGCUCUUUAAGAUUUCUUGGAUUCUUGUUCUAGGUUAGGAGAGAAAGGAGAAACUCCUUCAGAGUCCUCCUGGAACUCCAUUCGUUUUGGUUUUAUAUUAUUUAUGCUUUUCAUCUAUGAUUUCUAUGACAAACUUCAUGCCUGAAUAGAUCCACCUGUUAGGUUUAGGGUUCACAUAGAUUAUGAAGGAUUAGCCCAAAAUAUAGAACUGCUAAGUAGUGAUAUUCAUCAUAGGAUUGUUCUUACUACUUGUGUUCUAGAGUCAUGAACUAUAACCCUGAUCUUAGAAUCAUUAGGCACAAUUGCGAACGCUUGGUCUUUUCUCUGAACUGAAUUCUAUUGAGAUAGGAUUGCUAGAAACAUACGAGAGUUGAUUUUGGAACCCUAGGGAACACAUAUUCAACCCGAUCGUAAAGCUUGCUAGAAGCAAUAUCGAUCGAUGAUCCAAUAGAUUAAUCGAUCGAUAUUGUGAAAGGUGUAUUGAUCGAUAUUCUUAUAGAAUAAUCGAUCCACACUUUCUUAUGAUCAGUAAACGAGAGUUGAGAUCUAAGAUCUGGAUAGUAGACUGCAUAUACAAUGGAAUUUGUUAGAUUUGUACUCCCAGUUGAGUUCUAUAAUAUCUUGCAACCAACAAUUAGCCUCUAUAUCAUUAAAAUCCUCAUUACCUGAAUAGAAACCCUAGAUCUAGUAACCAUCCUCCCAUCAAACAACUCUUUGCCAAGCUGAACAAUUGUCUUGUUCAACAUGUUUACUGCUUUAUUUACUGCUUUGCUAUAUUUAUUUACCGAUGUAUAAACUAUUAGCCUAGCUUAAUCAUAUAACUAUUAGAUCUAAUUUGUUCCUUAGCUCCAUGUGAAUUCGAUCACUAUGUACUACAACUCGACCUCUUAUUUGAGAGAGUAUAAAUCACUCGUUAGGGUAAUUUGAGUGAUAUCACAUUUUUCUCUCUCUAUUUCGACCCUAGAUUUAUAGGUAGAGAUAUUUAUUUAAAAGAAAAAGAAAAGGAAAAGGAAAGAAAAAAAAUAAAAAUAAUAAUAGGUAUUAGUUAGGUGGAAUCCAAACAGGAUUUGGUGGCUACAACCAUUAAGGCUUGCUUCAUAAGGGUUCCAACAAAAAGAAUUCCAACGGGACUUGGGGGCGGCAAUCAUCAAGGUUCGAUUCACAUGAAUUCUUGGAUAUAUGUCAAAAAGAAGUGAACAUGACUUGGUGACAACCACCAUUAAGUUUUGAUUCAUGGAAGUCUGUCCAAUCUUAGUCAAUGAUCUUGCAAUACAAGCAUACUUUGACUUAAGAGAGAAAUUAGUUGAGAGCACUUUUAUUUAUGUUAAGAAAUGAGGUUAUAGAGGAGAAUGUCAGACAGGAUUUGCUAAGCUGUUGGCUAGGUGAAUUUGGUUGCUAAGCUAAGAUAUGGUAUAAUGUGCUUUUGUGAUUAGGACUUCUUAGAUAUGGAUUGCAAUAUUGUAGAGGUGAUGAUUCUAAGUUUUAAAUCAUGUGAGUCCCUGCUGUUUUCAAACCUCUUUCAGAGAGACUGUCCGUGUGUUUUGCUUGAGGACAAGCAAAAAGGUAAGUCUGAGGAGUUUGAUAGACCAUGGAUUUUACCCACUUUCAGUUAUAGUCUAUAAGUGUUUUAAUAUAUAUUUACUACUAUAUGGAGUCUAUUUAGAGUACUUACAGGUUCAUGUACGUUCUAGAUAAAUAUGGUGAUUUUAGAGCGUUUUGAGGUGUAGAACUGCACAGGCGCGUCAGAUGUCUAGCUAUGGUUGGAGACCUUUCAACUGUUAGAUUUAACCCAUAUUUUGACACAAUAUAGAGUUUUGAGUAAGAUUUCCAAUUCCCACUGGUUUGAGGUCCAUCAGCAUCCUGUAGCAGAAGUUAUGAUCGUUUUACUGAACAGCGGUCAGUCUGCCUCGCAAGAAGAAGCUGUCGAGGAGAUGAAGGAAUGUCAAUUGAUAACACAGCAUUGGUGUCGAUUGACAGUGAUUCCAGCAUAUGGGCUGAGCAUAUUUUAUGACCAUUGAAGCCCAGAAACAACCCCAAAUUACCAGAAUACCCUUGGCCGACCAGAAAUCCUAUUUAUGUUAUUUAUAAGCAAUUGUUGACGGCUACACGCUCUUUAAGCUUUCUUUGAUUCUUGGUAUAGGUUAAGAGUGAAAGGAGGAACUCCUUCUGAGUCCUCCAGGAACUACAUUGGUUUUUGUUUUAUAUUAUUUAUGCUUUUCAUCUAUUCAUCUAUGAUUUCUGUGACAAACUUCAUGUCUGAAUAGAUCUUCCUGUUAGGUUUAGGGUUCAAAUAGGUUAUGAAGGAUUAGUCCAAAAUAUAGAACUGCUAAGUUAUGAUAUUCAUCAUAGGAUUGUUCUUACUGCUUGUGUUCUAGAUUCAUGAACUAGAACCCUGAUCUUAGAAUCUUUAGGCACAAUUGCGAAUGCUUGUUCUUUUCUCUGAACUGAAUUCUAUUGAGCUAGGAUUGCUAGAAAUAUAGGAGAGUUGAUUUAGGAACCCUAGUGAACACAUAUUCAACCCGAUCGCAAAGCUUGCUAGAAGCGAAAUCGAUCGAUAAUCCAAUAGAUUAAUCGAUCGAUAUUUUGAAAGGUGUAUCGAUCGAUAAUCCUAUAGAAUAAUCGAUCGACACUUUCUUGUGAUUAGUAAACGAGAGUUGAGAUCCAAGAUCUGGAUAUUAGACUGUCUAUACAAUGGAAGUUGUUAGAUUUGUACUCCUAGUUGAGUUCUAUAAUAUCUUGCAAGCAUAAUUAGCCUCUAUAUCAUUAUAAUCCUCAUUACCUGAAUAGAAACCCUAGAUCUAGCAACCAUCCUUCCAUGAAACAACUCUUUGCCAAGCUGAACAAUUGUCUUGUUCAACUUGUUUACUGCUUUAUUUACUGCUUUGCUAUAUUUAUUUACUGUUUUAUAAACUAUUAGCCUAGCUUAAUCAUAUAACUUUUAGAUCUAGUUGGUUCCCUAGCUUCCUGUGAAUUCAAUCUCUAAGUACUACAACUCGACCUCUUAUUUGAGAAAGUAUAAAUCACUCCUUAGGGUAAUUUGAGUGAUAUCACGUCUUCUCAGCUCCCAUGAGAUGAAUCAAACUUUGAACAACGGUAUUCGAAGAAUCACUCAUAGAAAAACCUGCAACAAUAUGAAUGCUAGUUAAUUUACCUGAGGACACCAAAGGAAAACUAAACAAAAAGCGCUGCAUAACUAUCGACGAAUAUGACCCAUUCGAAAGGGAUGAGCCUAAAGUUAAAGCUCCCAACUAAGGCAUUGUUAACUUCAAAUAAAAAGUACUUCUCACGAGAAACGCCGCAAUUCAGCAAUCCGCCAAAGCAAUACUUUUCCAUAGGUAUGAGAGAGAUGGUCCCUUCUGAUCCUCUUUUUUUCUCAAAGAUCGAUAGAAGGUUCCCGGUGUUCAGGGGGAGCAGCUGAUCUUUGGACCUUACGGAGAGCACAUUUGCUAUUCAAUCAUAGUUUGCCGACAUAUGACGAAAACGUGAAUCCCAACUGGGCCAGAACCUUAAGAACAAACAUAACGAUCGGGAAAGACAGCUCAUAUACAUCGAAAUAUGACAUGUGGGAACAACAAAACUAUGGUUUAACUGUUCCAAACCGGUGUUCUCCGGCAAGAGAAUUUUUAUUGGAGAUGAUUGCAUGUGUCUUUGUCUGAAUAAAACCAAAUACCCUUCGGUCAUGAGGGAUUUAGGAUGAGGACGAACAUACUAUUUUUUUGCCGACGACAAUCUCUUAAAAGAAAAAUAGGAGCGAUGCAUUCUCGUCGAUACGACACCAAUCCAUGCAUUCUCGUCUAUCCUUCGACACUAUUUCCCAAAGACCGUGGCGAACUCAGCUCAUGUUUUCCGAUCAUUCUAAAUCAUCGAUCAAACUUUGCGGAAAAAACCGCGGGAAGUCCAUUCUUUAUCAAAAGAAGUCGCGAUAAACGUUUCGAGUCGGAAGACGGUCCUAAGGGACCUAAGACACGACUCGAGGCCCAUCUCAAGGUUUCUUAACCAAAAGCCCGUAAACCGUAGGACGGUUUACCCUUGGUUCGCAAGGGAAGAUAAAUGUCAAGUUUCCGUGGAUAUAUACGGAAUUUUGAGGAUAAUUACGAAGAUCGAAAAAAAUGAAAUAUCUCCAUUUUUUGCUAUGACGGCUUAAGGGCAGAAGAGUAAAAGCGUAAACCGAUCUUGGAGCGAGUAUAUAAGGAGUCCUAGGCGAGAGGCAUGGGGGGGGGGGGGAACUCUUUUAGACUAAGAAUUCUCUGCACUUAGAAACUUUAGGCUUUAUUCUCGACAAGUUAGGUUUCUAUGAUUGGCAUUCAAUUACUAGACGAACUCGCCCAGGCAGUUCGAUCUCUUGUCCUGCUCUAUCAAUUGAAAUACGUUCGGCUUGAUCUUCGAAAGGGGUACGUAGGCAGCCUUUAAAAAGGUUCAGUCCGAAAUCAAUCAAAAACCUUUUAUGUAUCUUUUUUGUUUUUUGUUAUCGAACUGCGACUCAACUAGGUUUGAGCUUUUAGGCCGCUAGAACUAAGUAACUCGCUGACAGCCUUUGCGGCCAAAGCUUUUAUGAUCUCUUGUCAUGAUCACAACGCUCUUACGCGGACUCGAAAUAAGAUCUACUGUUAUCUCUAAACUUGUUUAUUAUCUUUUCAUGAUUUCCGCAUAUAUUUGGUCACUUGUCAUUGGCUCUCGCAGAGAUCCGGAACCUCUGGAAAAUUAGGGUUUCCCUAGUUUUCUAAUUUAAACGGAAAUCGACAGUGCGAAUUUCGGUUCUCACACGAAUUUUCGACUUUUCUUAUCCCUAUAAACUAUGUCUGUCCCGUGUUAAAAAUACAUAUUUUUUAGAAAUCAAAUUUUGUAAGAAAUAAUAUGCUAUAUUUUUACAGAUAUAUUAAUCAAUAUUACUUGUUAUGUUGAAUAACCAUUGUUUAUCCAAGAAGUUUUUUCCUUUUCUUGCAGUCUACCUAAUCCAGUCAAACAUUAAAGUAAAUAAGGAGAUUAUGAAAGUAUGAAUAUAUUGGUCCUCAUAUGGUGGGUUGGAUUCAUUUGUGAAUAUAUUUCAAAAUCUAUUAAUGGCAACCCCACCAGUUUUUUAGAUUGUUUAUUACCAAUGUCUUAAACACAGCGCAGUCACACACGUAUAGAUAUAGGAUUUCAUUUUUUGGUUAUAAUUGUUUUAUUAUUAGAAACUGUUAUCAUCAUUGGAUCCUCUUGGAAAAGUCCUUGCCGACAGAUUUUAAACAGCCGUAUACAGACAAAUAUAUUCAGUGAAAGUAAAGCAUAGAGUAGCAUCGCAACACGUAGUAACUACCAACGAAGGUGCAAAAUUUGCUUGGCUAUCUCUAAUCAUAAUACGAAUAUUCUAAUGGAUUUCAUUUGAUUAGAUUAACGCUUGGCUAUAGUUAGUUUACGACGAGUCGAUGAAAAUAUCCAUCCAAAUCACCUUAACAAAGCAGAACAAAGAAUAAAAUCACGCAGCUCUUAGAUUUAAAUAAAAAUAUAAUUAAGAAUAAAAAUGGAUUAGUAACCAUUACCACUAACUACUUUAGAAAGAUCUUUGAAUUAUCUAAGCCAAAAAAUAUUGAAGAGGCACUAGCUUAAGAGGCACUCGCUAGCUUCUCAAUCAUGCAGAGAGACAAGGAAAGAUAACGGGGAUGCGCGUCAUUCGCACGUGUCCUUAGAUAUUUCAUCUUCUCUUUGCUGAUGAUAGUUUUUUUUCUGUAAGACGGGAUCCCGUGAGUGUGAAAAAAUAAUGAAAGUAGUCAGGAAGUAUAGUAAAGCAUCAGGUCAAUGUAUCAACUUUUAUAAAUCGUCCUUACUCUUUAGUAAGUGGACUAAUACAAAUAUUAGACAAGAGAUUAAAGAUGCACUUGGAAUACAAAACGAAGGAAGAAUGGUUCCAAGUGCAAACUUUUUGCAAUUCUCAAGGAUACGUUGAUGCAUAGAGUGAAUGGAUAAACAAGUAGAUGGCUCUCAAAAGAAGGGAAGAAAGUGUUAAUUAAAUCCAUUCUGCCAGCUCUUCCGACUUACGUUAUGUCUACUUUCCUGCUCCCUUUGAAGAUAUGUGAUAACCUAGGAAGUGUCAUUGCUCAAUUGUGUUGGGCUUCAAAUCCACCAAAAAGAGGAAUACAAUGGGCGAAAUGGGAAAAAGUCUGCUUACCAAGAGAGGAGGGAGAUAUUAGUUUUCGUAUGAUCCAUGAUUCAAUCUGGCGCUAAUGGCAAAACAGUUAUGGAGUCUAGUUCAGUUUCCUCACUCUGACUCUUUGGUUGCCCGGGUCUUGAGGGGAAGAUAUUAUAGAUUGAGUUCACCACUCAGAGUAAACUCUGCUAGCAGUCCAUUGUUAUUACUGAGAAUCAGACAUAAGAUACAUUCAGGUUAUGAAGUCAAGGUGUGGGAGGAUACGUGAAUCCCAACGACCCCUGCGAGAUCAGCUAUCCAUGUAGCGCCAGUUAUGCAUCCUAAUCCGAGAGUUAGCGAUUUCAUUAAUCAAGUAUCAAAGGAUUGGGAUGUUGGUCUAUUGGAGAACUAUAUCAAUCUUGAUGACAUACCGCUUAUUAGGAGUUUGGCCAUAAGCUCAACUCAUCGUCGUGAUACAUUCUGCUGGAACUAUACAAGGAGUGGCCAAUACACGGUUAAAUCUGAAUAUUGGGUGGCUCAUAAUUUAUUAAAGGCAGAGGAGGAGAAGGAGGUCUUGGAGCCGAGUAUCACUAAGCUUCAAGCCUUUGCUUGGAAGUUAAAGGCGCCUAAAAAGAUAUGUCAUCUUAUAUGGCAAUUGUUAACUGGUCAUGUGGCAGUAACGAGGAACUUAGCAAGAGGCAAUAUGAGGUAUGAUAACUACUGCCCAAGAUGUGGUGAACUAGAAGUAUUUGUAACCCAAGCCAUAUUCGAAUGUCCACCAGCUCUACAAGUUUGGUCCUUAUCAUCAACUCCAAUAAGCCCAUAUAUAUAUCCACUACCAAGCGACCACACAAAUAUGGAUUACCUAUUCUGGAGGAAAAAAACAUUAUCGAACCAGAACAAGACAUGAAUCCUUAUCCCUGGAUAAUCUGGUAUAUUUGGAAGGCUAGGAAUGACAAAAUUUUGAGGGGGAUAGACAGAGAUCCUUUGGAGCUAGUUCGACAUGCAGAAAGUGAAUGUCAAGCCUGGUUUGAUGCGAACGAAGUGGUACAACCAGUGGUACAAGAUAACAAUACUGAGGAACCCCAAGUCAUAAGCUUGGGUAAUAUUUGCUUGUUAGAUGGAUCUUGGACAGCCUCUGCUCACUUUAGUGGAUGUGGAUGGGUCUGGAUGGACAGUGGCGGAAACAUUCAACUUAUGGGGACAAGAAACUUCACUCGACGCGAAUCAGCAUUGCAUUCAGAAGUAGAAGCACUGCGGUUGUCAAUUGAGAACAUGCUUCAACAUUCAACAUGCCAGAGUUUUGGGACAGAUUGUAAGGACCUGACUGCAAUGAUAAAGGAGCCUCAUGUCUGGCCAAGAUUUGCGAUGGAAUUGGAAAGCAUAGAGACGUUACAGAUAUGCUUCCCGGAUUUUAACAUCAUUCAUGUUCCACGAACGCGCAAUCAGAUUUCAGAUUUUUUAGCUAAAACUGCUAGAUCUUUCUGCAGAGAGUUACAUUUUAUUGGUUGUUUUAUUCCGGUCUGGUUACCCAGACCACCUCAAGCUUAAGUAAUAAAAUGACCUUUUGACAUCAGAAAAGAAAAACGUAAAGGAAGCUUGAGAAAUCAGAAAUGCGUGGAUGAGAUGAGCACUAACAACGGUUAUCGAGUGUAGACAUGUAUAUUUUUUUUGCAACAUGUACAUUCUAAGUAUCAAAUCACGUAGUAGCGAUCGAAGGCGGAUAAAGAAUGGUUGGGUAUUAGAAUACCUAUUUGAAGCAUAUGUUAAAGAAAUGAAAAAAUAAUUCGGGAAUAGGAUAUUGCAAUAACAUAUUUAACAGAUGAAAAUUAUAAACACGACGUACUGCCAUUACCCAUGAUAGUACUUCAAUUUUAUUAAUCUAGGAUAUUCAGACUUUUGUAUAAGUUUAGAGUAAUUUUCAAAAUAGAUGCACCCCAUGGAUAGUAUCUCUCUCUACAUAAUCAUAAUCAAGUGGACUGUCCAUAUUCAUGUAAAUCCCCAUGAUAACGUGAUCUAGUUUCGCCGCAGUAAGUGGAUCGAAUCUAAAAUGUGUUGGCGUGCCAAUUUGUCUCUUUAACUCGGUCAUAAGGAUCCUGACAAUGAUAAUAAUUAUAUAGUUGAUAAUAUAUCAGAUUUUGCCAAACUUAAAUGACAUUUUGGAGGAAAAAGGAUUCAGGUUCGGAAUACAUUUUUAGGAAAGCUAAACAUAAUUGUUUAUUUAAUUGUUUUAGUCAUUAUAACAUCAAAAUGUUAUUCUAUUAUUCAAAUCGAUGUGGACUGAGAAUCCAAACCGAAAUAAAAUAACCAACAUAAACUAGACUUCUAUGAAAAUUUUGUGCACUCCUGAAAUGUUAAAAGAUUGGUGACAACUCAUCAUGUAGGAGUGUUGUUAAAAGAUGAGGUCUUGGGUUCGAGUAACGCCAAACGAACAAAUAACCUACCGGUGGAUGUGGAGGUGUUUCCUCCCACGGUGAGGGGUUAGGAUCGGUGCCCAGCAAGGCUGUGAGCCGGGUUCCGAGUCAGCGGGACGGGUUGUCAGAUAAAAAGUCAACUUUUUGUGACAACCCGUCCACUCACUAGGACCCCAGGCUCACAGCCUGACAGGACACCAACCUUAACCCCUCCAUUAUGAGUUCUCUCUCACUCCAUAAUUAGGUUGUUGGUGCGCUCGACAUUCCUCGAACUCAAGACCUCACCAUUUAACAAAACUCCCACAUGACGAGAUAUCUCCAAUUGAUCAUAUCAAUAACCUACCGGUGGAUGUAGAGGUGUUUCCUCCCACGGUGAGGAGUUAGGGUCGGUGCCCUGCAGGGCUGUGAGCUUGGGAUCCUACUGAGUGGGACGGGUUGUCACAUUAAAAGUCGACUUUUUAUGUGACAGCCCAUCCCGCUCACUCGGAAUCCGGCUUACUCGGGAGUUAUAUGCUUAUAGCACCCCGACCCCAUGGUUAAUGGGUCAUCCACGCCCGCUCUCUCGGCAUGUGGGCCCCAUCUCGUUCCAACAGUUGGUUCAUAAUUUUUUUUAAAAGGCUCAAAAUCAUUGUUUACUGACCUUGCAAUCACCUGACCUUUCAAUGUACUUUGGUCUCACUCACACGGUACCGCGAAUCACUUCCCGAUAGGUCACCCAUCAUUUCACUACUCCAGCCCAAGUAUGUUUAACCCAGGAGUUCUAAACGGAUGUGUUACGGAAAAGGUAAGUCACCUCUGGUAACAUGGGUAGCCAAAUCAAUUCUCUUAAGCCUUUCCAUAUAUCACAACUAGGGAUGUUACAAUUAUGCAACGUCCUCGUUGCGUCCCACGACAGGUCUCAAGACGCCUCUCAGGUCAGAACCGAGAUGGCUAACCAGCUCUGAUACCACUUGUAAUUCCCCGACCACCCAUGGCUAAUGGGUCACCCACGCCUGCUCACUUGGCCCGUGGACCCCGUCCCGUUUCAAUAGUCAGUUUGUAAUUUUUUUCAAAGCCUCGAAAUCAUUGUUUACUGACCCUGGAAUCACCACCUGAAUUUUUCCGUGCUUUGGCCUCACUCACAUGGUUUCGCAAAUCACUUCCCGAUAGGUCACCUAUCCUUUCUGUCACAUCCCGGGCCCGAGCCCAAUUUUUAGUGACAAUGCCCGUGAUGAUUUGGCCCAUGUAGAGAAAACCCUAGGGUUUUUCCCUUCUUCUUCUAUAAAAAGGAGGCAGCCCCUAAGAUUUUCUCCAGAGACUCAAAACCUAGCAAAGCCCUGCCCAGUUGGAGAGAGAGCAGCCGCCGGCUACCAAACCACCACCAGAGCCACCGCGAGUCACCGUAGCACUGCCGGCGACCGUGUAAUCUCACCGAAGAGGAGAUCUCGCCGUGUUUCGAUUCCUUCUCGUCGUUUCCUUGAGUCUUCUACUCUUUUUCUUCUAGAUCCAGCAACUAGUGAGGGUAAAGAAACCCUAAACACUCUCUUUUAGAUCUCUCCUAUCUCUUUCUUCUUCUUGAUCUAUGAUCUAGGGUUUGGGUGGAAACCAACCCUUGUUCUUGUAGAUCUGGUUAGUAAGGACCCGUAGAACUCAGAUCUACAUCAACUCUCUCAUCUCGCAGAUCUAGGCUAAGGUGAGGGCUUGUUGCAAUCUCUGUCUCCUUCUAUCAUUAUCUCAUCAUGGUAGAAAUGUCUAGGUUGAUCAUUCAUCCAUACUUGUUACUUUCUAUAGAUCUACUAAUAUAAAUAAAUAUACAUAUGAUAAAUAUAAAUAUCUUGAUGCUUGAUGUGUGAAAAACAUAGAUCUAUUGCUAAGGUUGUUAAAAUAUGGUUGAAUGAUGUUUGAGGAUUGAAUGUGAUGAUUGUAUUGAUUGGGGUUAUUGUAUAAGAGUAUGAUAUCUAUAUAAUUGGGAGAUGUAAACGAGUUAGAGAAAGGCGUAAGGCCUAUGUGUGCCGGUGUAACGUGGUGGAAUGACAUAUAUGUAUGUCUCGGGCGUUACAUCGUUUCUUGUUGGGUCAUGUGGCAAUCGUUUGAGUUGGCAUGAUUCAUCGCCAGAGCGGACAUGCGCCGUGCCUGUAUGUGAAGUAAAGAUGUAGUAACACGGAUCACGUGGAGACAGCGUGAUGUGGCGUGACCGUGUGAAUGUGGUGGCCCGGAUCACGUGGAGACAGCGUGAUGUGGCGUGAUCGCGUGAAGGUGUGGAACUCACGGAGACAGUGUGAUGUGGCAAGUUCUCACACGACAACAUGAGAGGCGUGGAGACAGCGUGAUGUGGCGUUAGUCUCAUGUUGGCACCGUCGGGGUUUAUCCUCGUUUCUUGUUGAUUGCUUUCGAUUUACUGAAUGUUUAAGUUAGAUGCUUAAGCUAUGUUGUGUGAUGAUUGUUGGUGAUUGAUUUCGGGGCUCCUAGAGCUUCCCUCACUGAGUAUUUGUCGAAAUACUCAGCCCUCCUUUCUUUUUCAGGUGAGUUCGAGGAAGUGCAGGAGUGGUCAUCUCGGUGUGAUGCUGGUUUUCGGGUUGUUUGGUUUUAUUUAAGUUAUUUCAUUUUAAGACUUGGUGAUUUGGUUUUAAGCGUUUCCUAUUCGUUUUAGUACGAUUUUGUAAGACAUUUGGAUUCGAUCCUUGGGAAUGAGAUUUGCAUUGGCCUUUUGAGUGUUUCUUGUUGAUGAAGGCAAUGUGAAUUCAUGCCGUCUCGGUUAAGCAAGAUAUGGGUGUGAUACUUUCACUACUCCAGCCCAAUCAUGCUUGAAUUUCCCCGUGAUUUGGCCUCACUCACAAGUAACGCCAAGCGCACCAAUAACCUACCGUUGGAUGUGGAGGCAUUUUUUCCCACGGUGAGGGGUUAAGUUCGGUGCCCUGCAGGGCUGUGAGCUGGGUUUUGAGUGAGCGGGACGGGUUGUCACAAAAAAAAAUCGCUUAACAACACUCCUCUAGGAUGAGUUUUCACCAAAAAUCGCUUAACAACACUCCUCUAGGAUGAGUUUUCACCAAUUGAUCUGCAGAUCAAUUGGUGACAACUCAUCCUAGAGGAGUGUUGUUAAAGGGUGAAGUCUUGGGAUCGAGUAACGCCAAGCGCACAAAUAACCUUCCGGUGGAUGUGGAUGCGUUUCCUCCCAUGAUGAGUGGUUAGGGUCGGUGCCAUGCAAGGCUGUGAGCUGGGUUCCGAGUGAGCGGGAUGGGUUGUCACACUUUUCAAUUCUUCGGUGUUAUCUUCUAGUGAGUUCAUUAACUGAUCUGCACAGUGCAUUCAUGUGUCUUCUUUGUGUGUUCUCCGUGUCUGCAAUCUGUUUUGUAAUUUGUGGUUUUUUUUGGGCGAUUGUAAAAAUUCUCUCUAGUUUUUAUAAAGCGCCAGAAUGUGCUAGGUGCAAGGGUCUUUGAAGUGUUUCUUCCUCUCUCUCUCUCUCUCUGCGACGGUCCCAAUACUUGGAUUGUUUGAUCAAUCUGAACAGGAUGGUUCCUCCUCAUUACAUGCAGGUACUGAGUCCAAAAGGCAAAUUAUUUCCAUUUCAACCAAUCUUUCUUGUGAAGAAGGUUUGCUCUGGUAAAGGAGUUCCUCAGGCUAGGAUCUUCUUCACUUUACCUAUCCUUCCUUUCAAGCGCUUCAUAGUCUACAGUAAAUCGUUAUUGGAUGGCGAAUGUGAUCUUUAAUUGUUACUUACUCGGAUUAACUAAACAAGUAGGAAAGAUUAGUAAGAUCCGGAAUUUCUUACAAUUUGUUUGCGUAAUCCGAAUUUCAAAUCUGCUUAUGAUAGUUGUAUGGGGUUUAUUCAUUUCCAUCAGAGUCGUGCGAGCUUUUAUAGCUGCCCGAAACAAAAAAUAAAAAAAUAAAAUCAUUUUUCAAAAAUACAUCAAAAUUAUUAAAUAAUAUUAUUAUUGACAAAAAAACAGCAUCAUUACAUUACAAACAACUAAUAAUUAAAUAAGCAAAAAAAUAGUUCUAAACUAUAACAAAUUUCUAUUUAUGCUAGGAAAAAGUAUAAACAAAUUUGAAAAUAAGAAAAAAAUAUUUUAAAAUUUCCAUUGUUAUUAUUUUGCAUAGAUAAAAUAAUUAAGUAACUCAAUAUUUUUAAUUGAUUUUCAAACGAAGAUAAAAGCAUUACUAUACAAACUUAAAAUAUUUAUAGACUAAACACAAAUUUGAGAUAAAUAUUGAGAAAGAAUAAUAUUACACUCAGAAGUGAUAACCACCGAAAUAUGAAUAAAGUAACUUGUAAACUUCUAAUUAUGUAAAGCAUUAUUAUUUUUAAUUAUUUAUUAUUUGUCUCAGUUAAAACAAAUAGAUUUAAAACAAAAGUAUAUAAUAGUUUAACCGUAUGAGUUAUUACUAGAGGUGGCCAAUGUAAAUGCAAGAACUAACCCACAAAGUAAAGCAGAGAGUACACCAGAAAAUAUCUUUACAAAGAUAUGUGUUAUUACUAGUAUUCUUUUAAAGUGAACUUACAAGUCUCUCUUUAAACAGAACCCGAACAAGAUCAAGACCCUUCUUGACUUGCUCCCCUAGCCUCACACGUCCUAAGAUUGAAUACAAGAUCUCUAGAACCUCUACCCCUUAGCCCUUAGUGUUAUUCACUCGCUUACAAGCUUAGUGAACUCCACUCUUAUGCUAAGAAUACAAUUCUCCCUAAUCCACAUGUCGAGUAUGACUAUAUAUACAAUACAGCCAAGUCGGCUAUCCACGCCUAUCUAUCCAAUAUUCACUAUCUACCCAAAUAAGGCAACCCUAAAACCUGUCCAAAGUCUUUAAGAAACUUCCCAUCGUGAGAUCUCCCUUCUCCAAGGUGAAUCUCUUUAAGCUUGCUCCCCAAGAUGUCUUCGUAUUAACUUCGCCUUGGUCCGCAUUCCAUUCUUCAAGUCGCAAUCUUCAUCUUGACUUGUUCAUCCGCACGUACACUUCUCUGUUACAGACUCUGCUCUAUUCACUGAUGUACUUGCGUCUGUAUCAGAACAUCUAUCUGAUCUUUGCAUCUACAAUCUCCCCCUUUUAGUUUGGAUGCCUCUCAAGUACCUGCACAGAUCCACUCAAACAACCACACACAUUCGAACACAUAUAUCCUGAAUAAUAUGUGCAUUAAACUGAAAUGAAGGUUCAAAAUAUGAAAGUUCAAGAGUUAGAGAUAAACAUAAAACCAAAACCACAAAAACCAGGAACAUUGUUUUAUCUCUCACUCCCCCAUAAUUAAAUAAACCGAGAAAAAUUAAAAUUUUCUCCCCCAUAAUCUAGUUUUCCCAUAUUGUAAACUGUUGUCGUUUAACAUGAGUUUAAGUUCUUUUCAACAUUGUCUCAAACAAGUCUGAGUUACAAAGUUGUGCCUUUAUCUGUUCGUAAUAUAUUCUUUCACCGGUGAGCUCUUCAUGUCCACAUCUUAAAUCAUUUGAUCAUAAAUGUUCCUGAUUUGUAGCCCCUCUGUAAACCCCAUAUAUAUGAUUCUCAUCUUUGAUGAUCCAAUCUGCAUAUGCACAAAACUCAUUGAUUCCUCUUAGAUUUAACCAUCUUCUAGAAAAUGUUUCUCUCUGCCUCUCCAGUUCGUCAAACCGGCGUUCCGGCGUCCGUCACGCAACCUUCGAGUAUCUCCGUCUUGGUCGUAGUAGUCAGAGCAUAGCCUCUGGCUUCCUCGCUUCUGGGAUUCCAUGAACUUCAAGAAAGACAGGGAGUUUGUCGGAAUCACGGUUCUCUUCCUUGAUGAAAACGUAAGUUAAUCUUCGAUCUAUCACACUUAUUUAACAUAUCUGUUUUAAUUGAUUUCCUGACUCUUUGUUGAAUAAUAUUAUUUACAGAUUCCGUGAUUCAUGGGUUUACUCCCGUCGCACGUGCUAAUCCUUACAUGUCAUCUUUUGAAAGCAGGUUCCAUUGUGAAAGUCGAUCGUUUUGAGGUUGCUAGGUGCUCAAGCAUGUACAAGAUAACUGAUCAUCCAUUCCUAAUUUGUUUUAUCUCACUAACCAUUAUUGUUGAAGUCAUCACAGGUGCUCCGGAGAUCUAUCUCCAGUCAAGAUUCGACUGUUCGACAAUCUCCAAGUGAUUGCGAACAAAAACCUAGAACUCCCAGGUAUAUUAUCAUGUUGCAUCUGGGUUUAUAUUAUGUUUUGAUAUCAUAACUGAUAUUUAAACUCGCAGAUGUGGUUGGGCAAAUAUGUUAUGUCCAGGGCACUAACCUCACCAAAGAAACAACUCGAGUCGUUAUUCGUCUCUUCAUUGAUCCGUAAGAAAAAAUAAACACAUAAUUUCCUUUAUAUUAUUGUCUAUAUUGUGCUAACAUCAAUAAUAAAAAAUAUUUCAUACCCAAGAUUUGUGGUCGUCUAUUUAUCUCCCUUACUUAUCAAUCUAAUUUUACAUAAAUCUUUAUUUUACAGCUUAAAAGAAAUCACAAUAACCCAAACAAUCAAAACACCAAAAACUAGAAUCUCAAAAAAGAUGCAUCAUUAAUGAUCACCUCUCUUUUUGUCUAGUCUUACAAAUAAACUUCAAAAUAAGUAUACCAAACCAAUCAAACUCAACAAAAACUCAAUGACACAUAAAUUGAGCCAACUAAACAAAUACAAACUACACGGCCAGCUAUUUAACAAUUUACAAACUACCAAGAUCAGUAAAAUUACUUAAACAAAAAAGCAGAUUAAGUUACAAACUCUGAUAAAUACAAAUAACAAUGAUUUUUGUUUACAUAUUACCCAUCAAACAAAAGAGAAACAAACACAGUCACACCAGGAGAUACAAGACACAAUCCCAACAGACACAAAGGAGGCAAGAACAUCUCCACUUGCUCACUCCUCUUAUCUUAUGAAAAUAGCUUACAUGCUCAAUGUCAACAGACCAAAGCUAUUGUCUUCUUAUGAAAAAUACAUAUAUUCGUUUAAAAGCCAUUAUGGCCCAAAUACUAAUUGUCACUCAUUUUAUAGUUAUUUCUACAAGUCUUCAUGUAUUUGUUUUAAAGGUCCGAUAAAAGAAACAAGUUUAAAAUUAAAAAAAGCAUAUAAUCAACAUAAUAAGAAUAAAAUAAUAUUACUUAAUAUACACAACUUACACAACUAGACUGGAGAAAAAAUAUUCAGAAACAAAAGUACUCUCGAUAACGUUAAUAUAAUUUAUGUAAUCUCAACAGUACAAGUAACAAAUUAAAAACAAACAAACAAUAAGUCUCCAACACCACAAACUAUAUCAAUCACAUUAUUAACACAGUUUAGUCUUUCAUGAGUGAAGAACAUUGCAUACACAGUUCAUCAUCACAACUCUAACCCUAUAACAAUAAAAUACUUAAAAAAUAAUGAUCAACCCAAAACGCAAAAUUCAGAACUACAAUAACUCUAACAAAUAUUAAGACGAAUCAAGAACUAUAUCCACAACUCCGCGCCAAGAGCUUGGAGGCAAUGCCCUAGUUUAUUUAAAUACACCAGCAUAUAAAAAUGAAUAGUAUGAAUACUUAACCGUGGCCAAUAACACAACUAAAGACUUUAUUCGAUGCAUUAUGAAAAAAUGAUGCCCUAAGCGAAAAUUUCUUUUCCUAUAAGGCACGCACGGCACGGCACGGUACGGCACUGAUUUCCAUGUAUGAUUUGGUUGUAUAAUUUUGUAUUGUAUGUUUUAGGAUGAAAUAAAUAAAAUUAUAUAUUAAAAAAAGGUAUUGUCAAUAACAUUGAACGUUGUUGGAUACGUGGAGUCUCGGGUGUAUUGUUUCGCUAAACUCUUUUACUGAUGUUAUGGAACUAAAUGAUUUUUCAAAUUUCUUUUUUUUUUCUUUUUCUUUGUGAAACGGGAAAUUGUCAAAAGACAUCAUUGCCGUGAGCGUUCGGGUGCGCAUACGUUUUCUGUUUUUUUUUUCUUUUUUGGCAACAAACGGCUAUUCUAUUACUCAAAUUUGAAGUGGUUUGGAUAACCAGACCGGAAUAUAAAUACCAACAAAACACAACGAUCUAUGAAAAGAACGGGUAACAAGUCAGCAAUUCCAUUUUGCACCCUUGGGAAGUAUUGAAUUUUGAAGUUCGGAAAAUGCAUCUUGAGAAUUUGAAUGGCCUCCAGCUCAGCUGAGAAGUUUGGCCAUGCUUGUGGAUCAUUCAUUAUUGCAAUCAGGUCCUUGCAAUCCGUUCCAAAUUUCUGACAUGUCGAGUGCUGUAGCAUGCUCUACAUUGCCCAUCUUAAUGCUUCCAGUUCAGAGUGGAGUGACGUUUCGCGCCUCCUUAAGUUCCUUGUUCCCAUUAGUUGCAUCUUCCCUCUGUCAUCCUUCCAUACCCAUCCAAGUCCACUGAAUUGAUCUGUAGAGGUCCAUGAACCAUCAACCAUACAGAUGUUUCCAAGCUUAAGGCAUGUGUUUCUUCAACCAUUUGUGUCUGUGGAGGAGCAGGUAUAGAUUCCUUUGCACUAUACUAUGCAUGACACUCACUCUCUGCGUAUCUGACUAACUCCAAGGGGUCCCUAUCUAUACCUCUGAACAGCUUAUCGUUCCUUGCUUUCCAUAUGUACCAAAUUAUCCAAGGAUAUGGGUCUCUAUAAUUUUGUGCUUCCAUAAUACUAUUCUUCCUCCAAAAGAGAUAAUCCAUGUUAGUGUAGAUACUCUCAGUAGGGAAAGUCUGAGAGCUAGACGGUGUUGAUGACAGUUCCCAUGCUUGUAUUGCCGGUGGGCAUUCAAAGAUCGCAUGAGUAGCCGUCUCUUCCGGCUCUCCACAUCUUGGGUAGUAGUUAUCACAUCGCAUAUUGCGACAUACCAGAUUCCUUGUGACAGCUACCUGCCCAGCAAUAAACUGUCAUAUAAGAUGACAAAUCAUUUGUGGUGCAUUGACUUUCCAAGAAAAGGCUUGAAGUUUGCUUAUGUUGGGCUCAACAACUUCUUUUUCCUCCACAUCUCUCAGAAUAUUUGUAGCUACCCAAUAUCCUGAUUUUACAGUAUAUUGUCCAUUUUUGGUGUAGCUCCAACAAAAAGUAUCGCGUCGAUGAGUAGGGCUUAUGGCCAGACUCUAAAUAAUAGAUAUAUCCUCUCGUUCUACAUAUUGAUCUAGUAUCCGAGUAUCCCACUCCUUUGAUUCAAAAUCGAUAAGAUUACUGACUAACAUCUUUGGAUUAAAUAAUGGGGCUCUGGGGCGCGCCGGUCUUGCUGGAAUCGAAUGAAUCCAUGGAUCUUGCCAAACAUUAAUUUGGGUGCACUUUACUCAUGAUGCCCAAGAGUAAAAGUUUUCUUGCCGGUAUGAAACUCAUCCACACAUACGAUGGACUAUCCACUGCACCGAUUCGCAAAGGCAAACUCAAUCGAUAGUAUCUUCCCCGAAGAACUCUCGCCACUAGUGAAUCUGGGAAUAGUACAAGACGCCAAAGCUGUUUCGCCAGAAGGGCAAGGUUAAAUUCGUGGAUCAUGCGAAAACCAAUACCUCCCUCCUCUCUAGGGGCACACAUCUUCUCCCAUUUAGCCCAGUGGAUCCCAUGCUUUGGUGAAUUUGAACUCCACCAGAAUUGUGCGAUGGCAUUCGCAAGGUUUUCACAUAUCUCCAAAGGGAGUAGGAAACUGGACAUGACAUAUGUCGGAAGAGCUAACAGGAUAGAUUUUAUUAGAACUUCUUUUCCACCUUUUGAUAGCCAUAUCUACCCGUCCAUCCAUUCACUCUGUGUAGUAGUUUUUCUUUCAAGAACACAAAUAGCCUACACUUGGAUCCACUAAUAUCCUCUGGAAUUCCUAAGUAGGAUCCCAUCCCCCCUUCAUUAUGGAUACACAAGUGUAUCUUUAGUCAGCUGUCGAUCAUUAGCAGGAAUCCUCUUACCAAAGAGUAAUGAGGAUUUAUGAAAGUUAAUACAUUGUCAUGAUGCUUUCCCAUAUUUUGUGACUACUUUCAUAACUUCUUCACAUUCACGGGGUUCUGCCUUACAAAAGAAAAGGCUAAUCAGCAAAGAGAAGGUGUGAUACCGAGGGGCAAGCGCAUGCGACUCGUGUCUCUGUUAUCUUCCCUUGAUUCUCUACAUGAUUAAGAAGGCUAACGAGCGCUUCCGUGAAUAGAAUAAAUAUGAAAGGAGACAGAGGAUCUCCUUGACGUAAACCUCUACCUGGAACAAUAUUUUCCCUUGCCUCUCCAUUCAUGAGUACUUUGUACUUGACCGAGGUAAUACACUCAUAAUCAAGCCAAUCCAUAUUUCUGAAAAACCCAUCUUCCGCAUGACAGCGUCAAUGAAUAACCAAUCAAUCAUAUCAUAUGCUUUACUCAUAUCCGUCUUUAUGCCCAUUCUCUUGACUCGUCUACCUUGUUUGGUUCUUAGAGCGUGAAACAUCUGCAGAGCUAUCAUGAUAUUAUCUGUGAUCUGUCUCCCUGCAACAAAAGCUGACUGGGUUUCUGAUAUCCGUUGUGGGAGGACCUUCUUCAAUCUUUGGCAUAAGACCUUAGAUAUUAUUUUAUAACUGACAUUGCACAGGCUGAUAUGUCUAAAUUUUGUCAUCUCUUUCGGCUUAUCCGUCUGUGGAAUUAGGCAGAUAUUAGUAUCAUUUAAUCCAUGCACCAUUGUUCCUUCGAAAAGAAACUGAUUAACCAUAAGACUUAAUUCCUCUUUGACAAUAUCCCAAAACUUCUGAUAGAAAAGAGCCGUCAUUCCAUCUGGCCCAGGGGCUUUUUCUGGGUGCAUUGCGAAAAGAGACAGUUUUACCUCCCAUUCAGUUACUGGUCUUGUGAGGUCCUCAUUUACUGCCCCAGUAAUCGAUGUUGAUACCUCUGUCAAAGCAUCGUCUAUAUCCUCCGGGUUUGAAGACUCAAAAAUUUGCCUGAAAUAGCUAGUAGCAUUGGCUACUAAUCCUUCCUCAUCCUCCACCAUGUUUCCAUUCUCGUCUAGAAGUUGUGUGAUCCUAUUCCUCGCUCUUUUCUGCUUCACCAGCGCAUGAAAAUAUUUAGAGUUCUUAUCACCUUCCCUUAACCAGAGAACCGUACUCUUCUGUCUCCAAAACAUCUCUUCUGCCUUAAGAGCAGUAGUUAGUUCCUUAAGCGCGUCAGCUAUUUCCUCAGAGGUAGCAUCAUCAUUUCAAUAUAGAUCGUCCACCUUUUCUUUAAGCUCCUCCACUUGCUUUUCUGUAUUCACAAUGUUUUGUCUCCUCCAUUGACUCAAUGCCUUCCUACAACUGGCAAUAUGAUCUAUUAUAUUAGCUUCUGGUGGCAAAUCCUCUGACUUCCAACCUUCCAAAAUGACUUGCCUUAGUUCUUAAUUAUCCAACCAGCGUUUAUCAAAUUUAAAUUUUUUUUUCUUUCUCACUGGUUUUGUUUAUAGUUAAAAAAAGAAUUAUUUUAUACAGUUUAUAAUUAUCGUACAUUAUUUUUGUUUGUGUUUCUUUUCAUUUAUAUAAUACUGAUUCCUUUAUUUUUCUCUAGGAGUUACUCACUUUCACUUGUUCUUUUUUUCUUAACUUAUAUAAGACUAACUUUAUAUGUUUCAUGUGAAUUUACUAUACAUAGUAAUUAUGGAUGCUGCAAUAUAUGUUAAUUGGGUGUUAUUUUGUAUUGUAAUUCUUUGUUGUGUGUGUUUCCAGAAAUAUGUUGUGUCGGGAACUUAAUUUAAUAAUAGUACGAAAGUGUUAAAUACUAUUAUGUUAUUUUAUAUUCCCAUAACUUGUAAACAUUAUUGUGAGUGCUUAAUAAGUUCUUCUUAUAUUCUUUCUCGACUUGCAGCUGCCACUCCUCUUCGCUUUAGCUCGUUCCAGCUCUCCGCGGUCGGUGCUCCUCACCUCUGUCUGGAGUGGGCUGUUCUGCUUUCUUUUGUUCGGUUAUGCUUCUCUGCUUAUUCAGUUUUCAGCAGGGAAGUUGAGGAGUCGCUACUUUGGGAAAGAUUAUCUGGUGGUUGAGGUGACAGAUCUAUUCAUUGUAAUUGUGUGGCGUUUGGCGGUUCAUCGGCGAUCUGUCUACCUCUUCUUGUCUCGUCUUAAGUGAUCUUUCGAUCAAAAUGGUGUUUUGGCCUCUCUCUGGUUCGUCUGCUCUUUCUCAAUGGCAGGGAUUUGAGUACUGUCCCUGCUUCAGUCAAGUGCGGUGGUCAGGGUGCGACGUCUCAUCUCAGAUUAGUGGCAUCUCUUUUCGGCGUGUGCAUAUUCUCCUUUCCUGAGGUUAUGCCUAGGCGGAUGUCUUGGGUCUGUUAGCUCUGGCGUGAGCACCUCUUCGGUGAUGGCUGGGGGUGGUGCUUCAAUGUGGUGGAGUUCAGAGUUUCCCCUUUGUUUGCUCUUCGGAUCUAUCUAGAUCUGUUAUGGUUUCCAGCGUGGCUUCGCUUCAAAGGUUAUGGACAUGUGAUUAUUCAAUUGAGUUUUGGUCCGCUGCAGUGUUGGUGGUGAUUAGGUGUUGAAUAGAGGCAUCGGUCUGACUUUGGCGGCUCUGUUGCAAUCUUGGGAGAUGAUUCUUCAGGAUUUUAUAGCUUGAGAAUGCUGGCCGGAGGCAACUUUUCUGACUGCUAGUAGAAGCUCCUAUGCCGCCGGGUGUAGCUUGAUCUUCUGAAGUUGGUUCGUUUUUGCAUAGUUCUUGGAGAAGCUAUAGGCUCUUCUCACUUGUGAGGUUUGAGGGCAGGUCUCGGAAGGAGGAGCUCGUGGCAACAAAGAUGAGGAUUCCAGUUCUUUGGAUCUGCGGCAACUUUGCAAAUGUUUGAGUUCUAUACUCGGAAUUGGUGCUUUAUCAUCCAUGAUCCCCUUAAUUUAUUUUGAGGUGUUUUUUUUUUGUUGUUUUUGCUUGUUUUCCUUUGUAGCAACUCCAUAAUUGUUUUGCCAGUAGUGCCAAAUUGAACUCAUGGAUCAAUCUGAACCCAAUUCCUCCUUCCUCUUUUGGUAAACAAACUUUUUCCCAUUUCGACCAGUGUAUGCCUCUUUUAGGGGGAUUCGAACUCCACAAGAAUUGUGCAAUGGCACUAGCGAGGUUCUCACAAAUCUCUAAUGGAAGCAAAAAUGUCGACAUAACGUAUGUCGGGAGAGCGAGUAGAAUGGACUAAAACUUAAUGUUUAUGUAGUAUAUUGCUUCAGCAAUUAUAUUCAGUUUAAACUAAAACUUUUGACCUUUAAUUAAGUCCUACAAUCAAAGCCUUACAACAUUUUUAUGAAGAAAAAUUUAUGUAUUUAAUUUAAACUCUCCCUUGACCUUUGUAACAUAUCCAAUACCAAAUUACCAAUCAUGACAAAACCCUAUACCAUAAAAUAUAAAAACGGUCAGUUGUUACAUAUACAAUCAUUAUAUGUAUCAAAUAAAUGUUUUAUUUAUAAGUAUGAACUUAUCAUAUUUAAGAUAACUAAUCACCACACAAAUUGCAUAUCUUUCUCACGAACAAUAUUUUACAUUUCGGAAUAUGGAAUAUAUGGAUCAUUCGAACUUCGAAGUAUGGAUCUUUCAUAACUGUAAAGAUUAUCCACUAGAUUUCCAUUUCAUUUCUAAAUCCCUAUUCAGGCUCAAUAUAUUAACAAGAUCAGCAAAUAAUAAUACUGAGCUUUAAUUUUGUUAGACAACCGACGCACAAAAAGGUAUCUUUCCAGAGAUACCAAUCAAAAUAUACAUAAAAUUUUGCAUUACAAACUAAUAAAAGAUGAUCUACGCUAUAUGCUAUCCAUUCAGUUACAAAUUAAGAAAUGCAAUAUCCUAAAUUAUAUUUUUAAUUUUCUAUAUUAGUUAGUUUCUAAACCCGAUUCGCUAGGAAAAUAUUAUUGAAUAUCCCCGUGACCUGUUUAACAUUAUUUUCCAGUACUAUAUAUACACCGUAAUUGGCAGAGGUGGCAGCUAACACAAAAUACCAAUAACUACAUAGAAAACAUGAAGCUUACAGAGAAGUUAUCAUACCUCUCCGAAGUGAAACCUUUCAAAACGAAUUGGUGGAUCCACGUGAAAGCUGUUCACAUGCACAUUUAAACAAUUCAAUCAACAAUUUGGUGACACAACAGAAUCAUUUUCUAUGACAAGGUAAACGAUUAUAAGCUAAUUUAGUCAAGAAAUAUUUGAUAUUUCAUUCGUUCGUCAUGACUUAUUAAUUAUUCAUAUCUUUGUUACAGUGUAUUAAAAUUCUUGCAACAAGAAAAAAUAUUUGGUUAGUUUGGGGAGGACUGCCGUAUGGGUGAUUAGAAAAACCUUGAAGUGUUUUACUUAAUUUCAGCACUGGUGAAUACCGACCUACCGCUCACUGUUUAUAAAAUGGGUUUUAUAGACCUCACCAUAAUUACUCCAUACGAAUUCAGUAGUGACCGAUAUGUUUCUUUCUUUUAUGGAGUUUGAAACUAUUUUGAAUGGAAGACUAAACACAAGUUUCUUGAUUGAUAAGUUUAAAAAGUCGUGAUUGUUUAAGAAAAUCGUGAUUGUUUGAAUUUUGUUUGACUGAAUUUUGACUAAUGUUACGUGUUGUGUUUUAUGUAGAUGUUGUGGGGCAAGCAAUAUUUAUUGGAGAGCUACAAACCCUCCAAUGUAGUAGAAAAUAAAGAAAGAAAAUAAAAUUCACACUUGGAGGCAUAAAGUAAGUUUAGUUAGAAAGCUCAAUUUAAAUAUCAUUCUGUUAAAAUGUAAAAUAAUAUUGUAUAUCCAUAACGUUAUAUUCAUUAGUAAAUCAAAACAACUACUAUUCAUAUACACUAAUUACAACAUAAGCACACAAAAAAAAAAUAACAAAAGGAGAGCUAAUGAGUAUCUGUUAAGAUUAUUUUCUCAGUUGUUAGUUGAAAAGAGCUUCUUCUUAAAACAGAACCAGUACUGAACAGUGUCUGGAAAGGUAUGGCGAUCCUGUUUUACUAAACAAGAAAAAAUGUUUGUUUGAAGUUGUCUUUUAGUAGUUUUACGAACAUAAACAUAUGGCCAGUGAAGAACAAAUCAUUAUUUUACAAGGUUCAUUGAACAAUAUAUUAUACAAACUUUAUAAAGAUAGACUUGAGAUCAACUUAUCUUAACAGAGUUUGUUGUAUUUUAUUUAUAUAAAUUAAAAUUAGCUUUUGAAUUAUUAGAGCCUAAAUUACAUGUAAAUAGAUCUAAAUUAGCUUCUGAAUUUUUAUUGUAGAGCCUAAAUUGUCUGAAAAAAAUAAUUCCACAAUAAGAAACAUAAUAUAUUUUCUUUAUAGAAUACUUAGCUUUAGUAGUGUUUCAAAAAAAAAAAAAAAAGAAUACUUAGCUUUAGUAAAAAAAUAUCUUCUUCUCUUUUUGUAACUUCAGCUAUGAGGAGAAUCCUCCGUUAUCAUACGUAAACAACUUGGACACAUACAUAAGAAGUAAGAACACAACACAUCUUACUGAUUGCACCAAAAACACACACAUCUUACUGAAACAAAAAUCGAAUUGGGUAGUUAAAUAUUAUAUGGAAAGAGUGCGAUGAAUCCUAGGGUUGAGAACUGUAAUGCAACAGAGCUGAGAUGUGAAAAAGCUGAGGAAAAAGAUCUAGAGCAACUGUCUGCUAAGACUGCUCUAGGCGCAGAAGAAAGAAUAGAGCAGCUUGCUAGCUCUGAAGUGACUGCUCCCGACGAACCUAUUGAGAUUUCACCAGUGCGAGUCUAUGUUCCUAAGGUUCCAUAUCCAAUUCCACCUAGACAUUUGAUGGAUCCCAUUAGUGCAGAACAACUGGCCGGGUUUAUGAAGAUGGUGAGAAGGCUUCCUCAAAAUAUCUCAUUUGAACAUGCUUGGGAGAUUCGACCAUUGCAUUUGUUCUUCAAAAACUGCAGAGAAUCUCGGGAGAAAAUCAAGGCACUCUUUACUGAAGCACUGACAGCAUCGCUGAAGGUACUGCCUAAUGUUGAUGACCCUGAAAAUUUGUUUUUCCUUGUUCCAUUGCUGGAGUGGAAUUCAAGGAAGCUCUUUGUGAGUAUGGGUCUAGUGUAAACCUUGUCUCAAAAGCGAUUGUAGACGAGCUGGGCAUUGUUGAUGUGUGUAAACCUUGUCUCAAAAGCGAUUGUAGAUGAGCUGGGCAUUGUUGAUGUUGAGCCUUCUCAUGUGAAGCUGGCUUUUACCAACUCUUCCAUGGCAGUCCCUUAUAGAACUAUUCACAAUCUUCCUGUCCAGGUUGGGGACUGCAUGCUCCAUACCGAAUUUCAGGUUGUUGAUAUGAGCAAAGAUCAUGAGAUGCCUUUGAUCUUUAGGAGGUCAUUUAUGGCUACAGUUGGAGCAAAUCAAGCAAUAAUCGACCUGCCUAAUAAGAGAGUCUCCUUCUCCAACAUCAACAAGAAGGUUUUCUACAAGGCUGUCCCAAUCAGAUCACAAAUUCGAUACGCCUCUUGCAUCUCAAUGGUUAAUGGAGAACAGUUGAAAAUUGUUCCUAAAGUGUUUGGAAAAAAGGCUGAGAUCAAAGAAGUCCUGGAUGGAGAUCCUCACACUGAUACAACGAAACUCAGUGGAAAUGCAAAGCUGAAUGAAAAAGUCCACAAGAAAAGGCUCAAGGGUGCCCUAUGAUGAGUUUGAUACCUCGCUUGUGUGAUGAGAAUGUAUUGAGCAUGAGGUAAAGUGCAAGGGAACCUCUAAACCUUUCUCUAAAGUCAGAGUAAUUCUCACACAUGAGCUGAAAGAGAAAGAAGAAGCUGUUAUGAAAGGGUUGUUGAGCAAAGUCUUGAAGCUGAAUAUGUCUAAUUGUGGAGCUUGUUUUGGAACAAGCCGUCAGGCUCAACACGACUGAUCCAUGUCUCCAAGUCAAGCUAGUGACUUAAACCAAGCGCUUGGUGGGAGGUAACCCACUGGUAAGUGUAAAUAUAAGUUGGUUUUGUUUUUGUUUGUUUAUUUUUCGUUUUAGUUUAUUGAGUCUCAGGUCAAAAAACAGAAAAAUACGAAAUACUUAAAAAUUCUAGGUUGCUGAAGGAGCGACUGCUCCAGGCGGAGAUCUUGCAAUGGAACACCCAGAAUUUUCGUGGAGCGCCUGCUCCACUCAGGUAAGUAUCUCACAAAAAAAUAUAUAUAUUUAUUCUUGUUUUCACCUUCUCUCUGAUUUAUUUCACACCAGGGACGUUGUGAAGUAAGUCUGGGGAGUGUUUCGUCGUUUAUUAACUUGUUUCUUUAUUUUUUUUACUUUUGGGUCAGUUUGAGUCAGUUUUUAGGAUUGAGUCAGUCAAAACUUUGUGGGAAUUAGAACCUUAUUUUGUGCUGAUCACUAACCACCUCGUUCUUUAGUUAUCUUAUUCAGUAACCUUAGUAGUGGCGAAAGACACACAUGUGGACCUCGAACACCCUGAUAUAUCUCACUUGAUUCUCUAGAAGUUCUCAGCCGAUCAGUUUACACUAGGUAGACUUAACUCCACCUAACUUGAACCUAAUAUUGACUGAAAUUCUUCCUGUUAUGGGGAUUAGAUCAGGGAAACGAAAACUGAUAUCACUCAAAUUACCCUAAGGAAUGAUUUUGCUCUCUCAAAUAAAAGGUUCAAUUGUAGUACUUAGGGAUCGAAUCAACAAGGAGCUAGGGAACCUAAUAAAUCUAAUCAGACUAGUUAAGCUAGAUGGUUUAAUUGUUUAAAUGUAAAGUUGCAAUUGUUUGAGCACGCAAUUUCUCGAUUGAUUGGUUGAGGUUUUGGUGCUUAAAAGAAAAUAGUAGACCUAGGGUUUUUAUUCAAGAAAUUUGGAGUUAUAAUCCUAUAGAUGCCUAACAAGUUGCAUGCAUGAUAUUGUAGAGCUCAACACUUAUAAAAGAACCACUAGGCUCUCGCUUUCUAGAUUCGUCUAUUGACCAGUGUCGAUCGAUGAUUCCAUAUGAAUAUCGAUCGAUGCACUAUUCGAAACGUCGACUGGUUAUUCUAUUUGAAUUACGAUCGACGUCGUUGGUCAAGCGUUAAUGUGCGGGUUGAAUGUGCUCACUAACCUCACUAGAUCAGCUCUCGCCUUACUCUUAGCAAGAUCUUAGCUCAAUUAGAAUGGUUUCAGGAUGAGAUGAAAGCUUACGCUUAUACCUAAUAAUCCUAGGGCAAGUUCUAGGUAGCUAAUCUAGAAUCAGGCAUUAUUGAUUAAUAUCACAACUUAGCAAUCUAUAGUUGGGGCUAAUCCCUUAUAACCUUUUUAAACUCUAAAAUCUAAUAAGGGAACUAUUCAGACAUGACUAAGCAAUUCAUAACAGCAAAUAGGUAUAAAAACUGCAUUAGAAUAAUAGAUAAAUAUAAAUGGAGUUCCAAUCACAAAUAACUUUGGAUCUUCUCUUCAAUCUACUAAAAAUCCUAGAAAACCUUUGCUGUGAAAAUAGUAAAACAAGAAAAGCACACUUUGCCUCUAACAUGUUGACAAAGUUUAUAUAAUUAGGUUAAAACUCUUCAGGGGUAAUCUUAUAAAUUGGUGAAGACUUGGGCUCUAAGUCGGCUGUGACCAAACAUGCUUUAUGCGCGCUUCGCUAUCGAUCGAUGUCAAGAUGUGAGCAUCGAUCGAUCAUUCCUCUUCAAUAUCGACCAAUGGUCGAGCUCGAUGGUCAUCUCGGGUGCUUACUCGAAAUAUCUCCAAAAUGCUCCAAAAUCAUCACUUUCCUCCAAAUCACUCCUGAUCCUAUAAAUACUCUAAAUAGACUCUAUAAUAUAAUAAUUAGUAAUUAAGAAACUUAUAAACCACGGGUAAAAGUGGGUCAAAUCCAUGGUCUUUCAAGAACACGCUCAGAACUUUUUAUCCUUUUUAUCCAUCUUUCUGAUCCUGAGUGGCUAGCUCAUCUUUAGCUAGUGCCCACCCUGCACGUCAGUCUUUAUUCCACUUUCAUGCAUUUGUUUUUCAGUGUCAUAUGUGUAGAUAUGUCCAAAAAGGUCAGAGAGGAAAGCAUCAACGCAACUUCUUACUCGGUUCCAGGGACCGAACUCAGGGUUCCUUCUAGCAGGGACCUGGAGCGUUCCCUUAUCGGGGACCCGAGGGUCUUGGUCCUGCCUGGAGGCUGGAGGAAAUGAUACCGGGGUAUUUUUCCCCAAAGUUUGCCCCUUAUUUCUCGAUUUUGUCAUCAAAUUCGGCGAAUAAUCUGUGCACUCCAGUCAACCGGGGUUGCUCAUUCUCAGCAGGCUUACCUUAGGCAGGACCCUGUUCCAUUGAUCUUGCUAUCCUGGGUUCCAUCAAGCCGGAACUCAUUCUGAACCCAGGUGAGGAUCGGUUCCUUCGUGUUUGAUCGGAGCUAGUUGUAGUUUCUCUUAUCUUCUGGAGAUAACAGUGUUGGAACUCUGAUGUUUAGGCUGCGUAUAGGCUGGAGAGAGUCGGAGAGAUGAUACUGGUAAUAGGUUCCUCAAGGUCCCGUUAGUUUUUUGGGUCCCUAGGAUUGACUGAUAUUUUCCCUCAUCGUGCUUCGAGACUCGUUUUCCCAUGCAGUCUCAUAUUUUUGACGCGUGUAAGUCAAUCCUAGGGUUUUUGAUUUUGUUUCCCCAUUUUUGCUGCAUGGACUUUUGGGUUUCUUUUUCUUUCUCACCAAAGUCUCGCGCGAUCUCUGUUGCUCAGGCCUAGGUCUUCACUCUCUCAGGUAACACCCUCUUUCUCCCCAUCCUUUAUUCCAAACUUUUUAGGAUGUCAAACUGGCUAGAUCUCGUCCUCGGCUCUUCUUCGAUAGGUACUAGGGUUCAUUCAAGACGUAGGGUUGGAAACGAGGCCAAUGAAUCCAUUGAUUCCUCAGAAUCUUCUCUGGAUCUGACCGCCGAAAUAGAGGAACUCAGGAAUGCUACCGUUGGAGAGGUUCUGCCAUCUCCGGGAGGAGACAGAUUUUCGCUGGUGUGUCUUCUAUGGGUAAUAGGAGUAGAGGAGGUUGCAAACUGGAUAAUGAGGUUUCGUCAUCCUGACGAAGUUACCAUUCGGAUCCCUGGUCCUUUUGAUAGGGUUUUGGAUUUUGAGCUGGGUGAGAUCCCUGUAUAUGCAGGUUUCUUCGAAUCGGGUUUCAGAGACCAGGUUCCUUCUUUGGUGGCCAAGAUCUUGAAAGUAGUGAGGAUCUCCCCUGGACAGCUGAAUCCUCCUUCGUGGAGGAUUUUGAUAGCUAUGCAUAAUCUCGGUGAUCUUGAGGGUAUUACCGUUGGAGUCGCUGAGGUUCUAUACUGUUAUUCCAUCUCUCCUUUGAACGGUGGGGAGUUUAGGUAUCAUUUCCGUCCUCGUGGAAAAGCGCUUCCUGUGUGGGAGCUUUCGAAGGCUGAGAAAAAACAUUGCCUUGUCUUCAUGGGGUGUUGGACUUCGAAGUUUGCUUUUAUGCCUUUUCCUGGAUCUCCCCCACUUGGUGUGCAGCUGGUGGGUCAUAGAAACUGCCAUGACUUUCUUUAAAUGUCUGAUGCUGAUGUCUUUUGUUUUCUUACACAGCCAUAUCUCACUCGGAUUAUCCUUCAGGAAGGGAUACGGUCUAGCAGCUGUUGGAGCUUCCCCUUGAGCACCGCAAAGUCUCUUUCCUUGUAAGCGAUGAAGCACUAGAUCGGUGUAGCGUUAGAGGUAAGCUUUUCUAUCGUAGUUUUUCCCGUUUUCCUUCUAUGAACUCAAGCCAGGUUGGUUAUGUCUUUCAGGCGUGAUGUCGGGUUCUAGAGGUGAUGAGGCCUUGGCGGAAUAUAAGAAAGCUCUUGAGGCGAUGUCCGCAAGGAAGGCUGCAGCCAAGGAAACUGCUCCCGUUGAAGAUGAAGAGGUCUAAUUUUUUGGUAGUACCAGGCGUCAGCCGACUACCGUCACAGCUCCUUCGUCCUCCAAGAAAAAGUCUAAAGUCUCUGGCUCUGCUCUCAAAUCCUCCCCUCCCGUCUCUGAUAAUUGGUCCAAGGUUCUGGCCAAUUUGAAUGCAAAGGUGUUCCCUCUGACUCCUGCGUGUCUGGCAUCGGAUGGGGACUCUUCUAUGGUCAUCCGCUCUCUUCAGGGUGGACUACUCCAGGUAGCAUAUCAUGUUCUUUGUCUUGCUUUCGCAACGUCUCUCUUUAUAGGUGUUGGAGUCAAAAUCGGUCACGACGAAAUCAAUGUCUGAAAAUCCGUAAAAAUCAGCAUGAACGUUUUUACGAAAACUAAUCUUCGUAAAGAUAUCUUUACGAAGAGCCUUGCGGUAAAAUCUUGUUCAAAUCUCAAUCGAACCACUAAAUACCGAUUGUCCGAAGGCAACGGACAUGUAUCCAAAUCGGCUGCGGACAAGCUCGGGUAUGAAAAUCGGACCGCGGACAAGCCAAGCUCGAUCAAUACGCGGCGACCAAGCAUGCACACAGCUCGGUCGCUACGUAGCGACCGAGAGUCCAUCCCGCUCGGUCGCUACGCAACGACCGAGCUCGAGCCAAGCUCGGUGACUACGUAGCGACCUAACGGGACGGACACUAGGUCGCUACGUAGCGACCGAGAUCUUCAGAAAAGUCGAUUCGACACCAGUCCAUUCAUUCUCGUUUAUCCUUCGAUGCUAUCUCCCGAAGACCGUAGCAAACUCAGUUCAUGUUUUCUGCCAUUCUAAAUCAUCGAUCAAACUUUGCGGAUAAAACAGCGGAAAGUUCGCUUUUUAUCGAAAGAAGUCGCAGUAAACGCUUCGAGUCGGAAGACGGCCCAAAGGGACCUAAAACAUGAUUCGAGGCCCAUCCUACGACUCCUUAACCAAAAGCUCGUAAACCGUAGCACAGUUUACGCUUGGCGCACAAGGAAGGAUAAAUGUCAAGUUUCCGCGGAUAAAUACAAAAUUUUAAGGAUAAUUACGAAGAUCAGAAAAAAUAGAAUAUCUCCAUUUUAUGCUAUGACGACUUAAGGGCAGAAGAGUAAAAGCGUAAACCGUCCUUAGAGCUAGUAUAUAAGGAGUCCUAGGCGAGAGGCAUGGAGAGAUAGCUUUUUAGACUCGGAAUUCUCUGCACUUAGAAACUUUAGGCUUUAUUCUCGACAAGUUCGGUUUCUAUGACUGGCACUCAAUAACUAGACGAACUCGCCCAGGCAGUUCGAUCUCUUGUCCUCCUCUAUCAAUUGAACUACGUUCGGCUUGAUCCUCGAAAGGGGUACGUAGGCAGCCUUUAACAAGGUUCAGUCCGAAAUCAAUCAAAAACCUUUUCUGUAUCUAUUUCGUCUUUUGUUAUCGAGCUGCGACUCAACUAGGUUUGAGCUAUUAGGCCGCUAGAACUAAGUAACUCGCUGUAAGCCUUUGCGGCCAAAGCUUUUAUGAUCUCUUGUAAUGAUCGCAACGCUCUUACGCGGACUCGAAAUAAGAUCCACUGUUUUCUCUAAACUCGUUUGUUAUCUUUUCAUGAUUUCCACAUAUAUUUGGUCACUUGUCGUUAGCUCUCGCAGAGAUCCGGGACCUCUGGGAAAUUAGGGUUUUCCUAUUUUCCCAAUUUAAACGGAAAUCGACAGUGCGAAUUUCGGUUCCCACAAUAGGUUGGAUUAUGUUGAUGCAGGUGGCGUCUCAACUAUUCCAUCUUGGGGAAAGGAUGGAAGAUAAGACUACUGUCCUGGCCAAAUUGGAUGCGUUGACCGCUCAGCUGCGUGAGGAGAAAGACGCUGUCUUGGCCAAAGGGAGUGAAAUUAAGGCCUUGAAGCUCGAGGCACAGAAUCAGGAAGAGGCACUGGAGCGUGUGGCAGCGGAGAACGCUUCUUUGCUGAAGCAGUUGGAGGACAAGGAGGAGGACAUAUGUGAGUUGAGAUACGCCGCGGAGGUCUUCGAUAAUGAGAACGCAAUGGCCGUAAAUGGUGCCAAGGUUGUGGCCCGUUGGGAGCUGAUGCGAGAAUGGCUUCACCGUCAUACUGACAGUUGGGAGCCUGCGACAGCCCUGGAGCAAUACAAGACCGUGAAGACUACUGAGGCUGAGCUUUUUGGUCUUCAUAUUCCUUGUUUUGAUGAUGAGCCAGAGGUUCCUGAGAGGGGUGAUACCACUCAAAUUACCCUAAGGAGUGUUACUCUCAUCAAAAGAGGUUCAGAUGUAGUACUUAGGGAUCGAAUCCACAAGGAGCUAGGAAACAAUUAAAUCUAGUGUUUAUUAAUUCUAAAGGUUGUAAUGUUUUAAUAAAAUAGCAAUAGUAACAAGUGAGUAAAUGAUAAAUGUAACUUAGGUUGGAAAUGAUAUUAGAUGCAGGGCCACUAUUCAGGUGUUGGAGAUUAUAAUUCCUAUAGAUGCCUAACUGUUGCAUGCAUGAUAUAUUAGAGCUCAUUCGCUUAACUCAGUGACCAGCUGUCGCAUGUACCACUGGUUAACAGACUAGAUCUUGUGUCUCACCGGUUAGAUGCAGACACAAGAGAGUGUCGAUCGAUAGUCUAUUAAGACGUCGACCGAUACACCUUUGCCAACAUCGAUCGAUUGUCAGUUGAGGACAUCGAUCGACGGGUUCUAGCCAGGCCUACGCGCGAGUAUGAAAUGCCCUACUAAGAUUCUAAAUUGGCGGUUAGCCCUCUCUAGCAAUCCUAAUAUGAUAGAUAGAUGUCAGGAUGGGAUAACAAGGGUGCUUGAAUAUGCAAUCCUAUGAUCAAGUUCUAUUUAGCAAGGCUAAAACAAGCAAUGAAUACAAAUCUAUCAUGAAUAUCACAACAAGGCAGAUCUAUAGUUUGGGGCUAAUCCCACAAACCUAUAUGAACCAUGGAUCUAACAGUUGAACUACUCAGACAUAGCAAAGCAAUUCAUAUCAAUAGAUAAAUAGAAACUCAUAGAAUAGAUGAAAAGAAAUAGAAACAAGGAGUUCCAAUCACAAGUGAUCUUCUCUCCAAAUGAAACUUGUAACAAAACUAGGUCUAGAAAGAAAAGCUCUCCUCUGCCGUCAAAACACUUGCAGUAUAUAUUCUACUAGGUUAAAAACUCGUCAGGGCAUUUUGGUAAUUUGGCUUGGCCUUGGUUUUUAAGUCUGCUGAAUCCAAAAUGUCGCGUCUGGUGUCUCGACAUCGAUCGAUGGUACUUGUGUACAUCGAUCGAUAUUAAUCUUCAUCUGUCGAGGCAUUUCUUGAUAUCGAUCAUCAGCACUGAUGCGCAUCGAUCGAUUAUUCUUCCUCUCGUCGACCUCUAAGUGGUCAACUCGGGUGAAAUGUCCUUUAAGCUCCAAAAAUGCACCUGAACCUGAAAACAUACCUAGAAGAGUAGAAAACAUAGAUAUAUAUAGUAAAGUACUUAUAUACCAUGCACAAAAAUGGGUCAAAUCCAAGGUAUAUCAACUCCCCCAGACUUACCCUUUUGCUUGUCCUCAAGCAAACCAUACAGGCAGUCUCUCUGAAAGAGGUUUUAAAAUAUUUAGGGAUUUAAGAUUUUAAAAACAUAGAAAUCUUUCCUCAACAAUUUUGCAACCACAUUUAAAAAGUCCUAAUCAGAAAAGCACACUAUGCAAUAUCCUAGCUUAGCAACCAUUUCUAACAUAAAACAACUCAUCAAUUCACGUAUGACAUCCCCUCUACUGAUUUCAUUUCUUAGCAUAAAUAUAAAGUGAAUGCUUUACCUUGGGAGUAUCGAUCACAUGAUGCAAGGAUUUCAGACAGGUAUCUGGAGCUGCAGGUAAAAGUUAGUUCCUAGUUUUUCUCUCUCUAAAUUUCUCUCUUGAGUCAAAGUCUGCUUCCAUUGCAGGAUCAGUGACCAAGAUUGGACAGGCUUCCAUGAAUCAAAACUUAAUGGUGGUUGCCACCAAGUUCUGUUCACUUCUUUUUGACCUAUAUCCAAGAGUUCUUUGCGAAAGCGAGCCUUGAAGAUUGCCGCCUCCAAGUCCCGUUUCGAACUCUUUUAUUUGAGUCUUUAUGAAUCAAGCCUUAAUGGUUUUAGCCACCAAGUCCUGUUCAGACUCAUCCUAAUUAAACAAUAGAUCUUAUUUAUUUAUUUAUUUAUUUUUAUUAUAUUAUUAUUUUUUUUUUAAUACUAACUAAUCUAGGGUCGGAAUCUAGAGAGAGAAAAUGUGAUAAAUAAUCUAAACCAGGCGUUACCUUCCAGACCUGUCUGAAGAAUCCGAUCCCAUGUAUACCAAGCCCCAAGACAACCGGUUAUGUCAGGUUUAGUGUUGGAAAUCAGCUUUGGUUACUUCAUACGGUUCAAGGCAAGUGUGUAGAUGAUAGGUUGAUCUGCUUUAGCAUCUUUAGUGCUAUCUGCAAUCAGUAAAUCUAAAAUGGUGCUAAAGAUUGGUUAGAUAUUCAUGUUUAAAUCAAUAUAGGAUUAUAGUCCCUAUUUUCAAUAGCUAAGCAUAAUUUAUUUAAAAUUCCUUUUUACAUAAGAAUAAAAUAAAUUAUAUCAGUAAAUCUCCCCCCCAAACUUAAAUUACACUGUCUCAGUGUAACUCAGCCGGAGUUAUGAUGAAUAGUUUAUGACGUACGAAAUGUAACAAGUAGGUAAGAUACAUCUGACCGGAUUAGAUAUCGAUUGAUGUGUAAGUGUUACAUCGAUCGUCGUGUGGUUGCCUAUGUCUCUGAAUGGCUUUGACUUCUUUUUGUAGCCAUUCUGCAUGGUUGUCUAGUCCACUGAUUUUGUUGUCGAAUGGAAAGUAGAUGUCAUCGCAGCGUUUGUCAAGUCGUUCCUCCAUGGUGUCUAGAGCAGUGUAGAUCUUGGAUGUGAUCUUGUCAAAUUCUGCUGCUGUGUAAGGAAGUAACUCCACAUGUUUCUUGCCAUCGAUCCAGGGUCCUCUUAGCCUAUCGAUCGAUGCUGAUUUUGCCUGCAAAAAACUUUGAUUAGUAAUGUUCUCAAUAUCCUUUUGGGCAUGAAGUAAUUGACAAGAAAAUUUGUUUAAAUCUAUCAUGACUGGUGAUAUAAAACGGUCAUGCAUAUCCUCGUAAGUCCUCAGCCUCUCAUUCAUUGCUGAGACUUUAGCGUCGAGCGAUGUGAAGGUGCACAUGUCGAUCGAUGUGGCUGGUUGUUGGUCCUUCUUCCGAAUUGUGUCAAGAUCUUGCUGUAGUAGCUCGAUUUUAGUGCUUAGCCAGUCCACGUUGUUGUUGAGAGGGCAGUAAACAUCGUUUAUCCUUGUGUCGAUGUAUGAGACUUCCCAUUCAUCCCUGUGUUGUGUUGAACAGCGCGGUUCUGCAGGGAUCUGAGUUGUAGGAAGACUGACGUCAAUCGAUGUUGCACUUGGUGCAUCGAUCGAUGCUGAGGUCGUAGCUUCCUUCUCAAGUUGCUGACGUAAACUCUCAAUUUAUGUCCUCAUUUCUGCCAUACAUCUGAAAAGCUUAUUGUAGCCUCUAUCCAAAGGCUGAUGUGUAUCUUCUACCAAUGUUUUGACCUUCUCUCCCAGUUUCUCCUGAGCUCCACAAAUACUAAAAACCAUCUCAUCGAUUUCAUCUUUGGUGUAGAGUUCUGGUGCCAGUCUUGUGAGUGUGAAGGAAGUGGCAUGUUCUGGAAGACAGAUGUGGCUCUCUUCAAAAAGAGAUGCUCUUUCCAGUAUUUUCCUGAUGUUGUCCUUUGUGACAGGUAUCAUCUCACCAGCUGCGCCUCGUGCGUGUCCACGCUCAUCUCUGUAGACUCCAUAUUCGUCCCUUUGUUCCCAAGUGAACUUUCUGGAUCCAUACAUGUCGAAAGCGCGGUUCCCACAUUCAUACCGUCUGUCGAUCGACGGCGGUUCAUCCAUAUCGAUCGACGUUGGUGUUACCCUGUCUAUCGAUGUCUCCGUUGUACCGUCGAUCGAUGCUUGCUCUUUUGGUUGGCGUGAUAGAUCUGGGUUGGUCUCUGCUGUGGUGACUCCUGCGUGGUUGUUAGGAUCUGUUUGAAUGACGUCUGGAGUGCCACUUUGCUGUGAGAAUAGGUUGUCAGGUCCAUUGGCUACUUGAAGGAUGUCUGCUAUGUCCUCUCUGGACACUUGUAAAAUCCUUCCAUCCAUUGCACGUGCGUUGCCAUCUGUGUCCCUGAAAAUACCAAAUUCAUCAGGUGUUAGAAAACCGUAAUCAAUAUUUGCAUAAUCAUUCAAUUUAGAAAUAGAAAGAUUAGGGUUUAGAGUAGUAUCGAUCGAUGUAGAUACAGUUACAUCGAUCGAUGGCAGUGUAAUUUCUGCAGAACUUUUGUUCUUGAGAUGAUUGCUCUUCAUGGAUUUUUCAGUUGAUGUAGAAGGAAGAGUGUUCAUCUUAUUUGCUUGUGUGUUUGCUCUGAUGUGUGUAGGUGGUUUCGGAGGUGCAAAACGAUUUAUAUAGGUAUCUAUAAACCUAGUUAGGGAAGGAAUAUUCUCCUGCUACUGGAUUUUCGCUGUGGCGCGAAUAUCGAUCGAUGUUCCUUUGUGGGUGUCGAUCGAUGUGAGUGGUUGUUUUGCUGGACGAGGGUGGGUAUCGACCGAUGUGGAGUGCACAGCGUCGAACGAUGUUGGAAACGUGUUGGUGAACUUAUGUGUUUCAAGUCUUUCAUCCUGCAAAGACAUUUCUAUUGCACGUUCUUUCCAGUAAUCCUCAUCGUAUUCCUCGGUAUGUUCCUCAUUAGGUGAAGUAAUUACAGUGUCAACUGCAAAACUUUCAUGGAAACCACUGUUUGCCCAACUGCCUAUGGAAUAAUCAUCAUGUCCUCUCCUGGUUGGAGGUUGGAAGGCAAAAUAUUGGUAACAAUGAUUUGGUGAAGCGAAAUGGUCAAGUGGGUGCAUUACGUCGAGUGACGUGUUGUUGUGGUCAUCGGUCACCAUUGACACAUUGGAAUCGAUCGAUGGAAAUGAUGGGGUGUCGAUCGAUUCCGAGUACUCUGUUUCGUACUCCGAUUCAUACUCUGCUCCACAAUGGCAUGCGCCAAUGAAGCCAAGUUCUUUCCCAUAAUCCACAGAAUUAAUGACCUUUCUCUUAGGUCGGAUGGGGUCGUAGUGAAUGUUUGGGUCUAUGAGCGUUAGACACAAUUUGUUUUUGGUCAUGUCACAUACAACUCCUACCGUAGCUAGGAAAGAUCUUCCAAUCAGAAGUGAAGAGUUCCAGUUAAUCUCGAUGUCUAAGACAUGAAAAUCUACAGGGACAAGGGCAUUACCAAUAUGUACCUCCAGAUCUCUUAUGAUGCCUCCUGAUCGUUUCUCUGAAAGAUCCACGAAGGUGAAGGAUUCUAUUGAGGGUUCGAUGGUCAAACCAAGCUAGUCUGCCAUGAUCCUAGGGAGGAUACUAACUGAUGCUCAUGUGUCACACAUGGAAUGGGGAAAUUCAACACUCUUGACUACGCAUGGUAUUGCAAACUUCCCAGGAUCACUCUUCUUCGUCAAUGUGAUCAUGUGUUUCAUCUUCUCUCUAACUUGAUGAAACAUUCUCCUAAUGUCCUCCUCAGUUACCUUUGUUUCUCUGAAGAACAUCCACAACCGGUGUGUGAAGUAAGCUUCAUCAAAAGGUUUUUCGAUUGGGAUUCUGAGGACUCGUUUAGUGAAACCAUCCAUCUCCUUUUCAUUAGCUUCCCCCUUAAGGUUUUUAGGAAUCUUCUCCUUUCUUUUCCUUAACCUUCUCCCUUCAGAUUCUUGUUCUUCUUGAACAGAUUCUGGUGACCUAUUUAAAGGGUUGGGUUUUGGUUCGGGUGGGUUUGCUAAUGGUUUAGGUGGUGGUCUGAGUGCAUUGAUGUAAUCAUUAUCGAUUGAGGGUAACCGCACUCGGUAUGUCAUAGGUGCCUGUCGAUCGAUGGGAGGUGUGUUGUGACGAUCGACGUCGGGCUCACUCUGUCGAUCGAUGGUAUGCUCAACCGAUCGAUCGAUUUUAUCAUAGAAAGGGGAGGGUGGGUGAGGAUGCUUAGCUGCGAAUUCUUCAUGAGUUAGAAUUCGAACCGCAUUGCAUUCAGUCGAAUUGGCAGACGACGUCGAUCGAUGACUGGAGUAAUCCGUCCAUCGAUCUUCAUCAUGGUCUGUCGAUCGAUGCGAGUUCAUCGACAUCGGUCGACACCAUUGGGAUCCGCCGAGACUCAUGGAGCUUUCGAUUUUGAAAUCUCCUUCCUCAAGCUUUUCAUUUCUCACCACUUGCCAGAAAUCAUCAUCUAUGAUGGCAUUUACGUGUUGUUUUCCUUUUUCGGCUCCUGCCUCUCUAGCGAAAGCUUCUUGCCUCUUUAUAGUCUCGCCCGUCUGAAUUACUUGGGUUUCAAGUUUUCUCACCUGAGUCCCUAAGGUCUCGAUUUUGGUGUUCAGAUUGUUGUAGGCAGAGUAUAUCUUACCGUUGAAAUCCACGGUGAUUUGUUGUUGUCCCAACAGUACUCGAUCAAGCAUCUUUUCGAUCUUGCUUUCCUGAGUCUGGGGUGGUGGAUUUUGGUAGUAAGAGUUUGAGUAGCUCUUGUUGUUGUUGAAGGGUUUUUGAAAUUGUGAAUUUUGAUUACUUCUUUGGCCAUUUCCAAAGAAGUUUCUGUUUCCGCUCUGGUUUCCAAAUUUUUGGAAUCCAGUACCUCCAAUGUAGUUCACAUCUUCUUCUCCUUCCGUAUCUGCUACUUCUCCUUCAGCUGAACAGACUUGCUUCCUAAGAAGCUCGUGCACCACAUCUAACUUAGCUCUUACUUCGUCCAUCUGUUCCUUCCCGAUAGAGGCUACAGACUUCUUCCGUUCAGAGUCAGUGUUUUUGGUGCUGCUGCUGUUAGCAAGGUUUUCGAUAAGUCUCACAGCUUCCAACGGAUUCCGAGUAGUGAAGUUUCCUUCACUCGCCGUAUCAAGAGCCAUUUGAUACUGUAAGGCGAGACCUCGGAAGAAAGUGCUUAGCAGCUGCACUUCAUUAAAUCCGUGGUGUGGACAGUCUCGCUGGAAAAACCUAAAUCUAAUCCACGCAUCUUUGAAGGACUCUCCAGCCUUCUGCGAGAAUGUGGAAAUUUUGUUCCGAAGUUCUUCAGCGCGCGCCUCAUCGAAGAAGUUUCGUAAGAAAGCAUUCUUGAUGUCGCUCCAGGAUGUUAAAGAUCCUGUGGGUUGCUGCCUAAGCCAGUGCAUCGCUUCUCCAUUCAGCGUGUAUCUGAAGAGCUUGCACAGCAGGUAAUCUUCGGGGACUCCUUCCAUCCGAAUGGCAGCGAUUAGAUCCUCGAACCGUUCCAAAUGGUCCAUAGGAUGCUCGUGCGGUAACCCAGAGUAGGGUAUCUGCGACACGAGAGUGUAGUAUUGAGGCUUCAGCUCGAAAUUCUGCUUCUGGAUCUCCGGAAGUCGAAUAGCUGAUCUGUUGGAAUAGUACUCAUCUGGGCGAUUGUAGUCGGCCAGUGGUUUCGAUCGAGCGUCCUCAUCUACAGGUUGAGCAGCUCCUGUAGCAUCAGCAUCAGGGAUUACAGUUCCCUGAGCAUCUAUUUUCUGACCUGUUGCAUUACGCAGAUGACUGGCUUGGUCAUAGAGGUUUCCGUUCUCAUCCUGAAUUAGAAUAAUAAUGUUUAUCAUUUUUGACGACACGGUAUCGAUCGACGUAUGCGGUGUAGUAUCGAUCAUUGGCGAACGAUUGGGAUCGAUCGACGAUGACGGUCUGGUGUCGGUCGACGGUUGAUUGUGCGUAUCGAUCGACGACGAAGUGGUUGCGUCGAGUGAUGUGGAACGUUGACCUCUACGGAUGGUGCGUUCCAAAUGAGCAGGAUCGUCUGAGAACAGCAAGUCUUUCUCCUUGUUGCUUCUGGUACCGCUGGGCAUGCACCUGAAAAGACAAGAAAAAUAAAGAUUAUAAGAAAAGGGGGUAAAGAAAAGAAAAAGAAUUAAUAAAACUAAAUCUAAUGGCGAUCAAAGCUCCCCGGCAACAGUGCCAAAUUUGAUACCCCUCAAAUUACCCUAAAGAGUGUUACUCUCAUCAAAAGAGGUUCAGAUGUAGUACUUAGGGAUCGAAUCCACAAGGAGCUAGGGAACAAUUAAAUCUAGUGUUUAUUAAUUUUAAAGGUUGUAAUGUUUUAAUGAAAUAGCAAUAGUAACAAGCGAGUAAAUGAUAAAUGUAACUUAGGUUGGAAAUGAUAUUAGAUGCAGGGCCACUAUUCAGGUGUUGGAGAUUAUAAUUCCUAUAGAUGCCUAACUGUUGCAUGCAUGAUAUAUUAGAGCUCAUUCGCUUAACUCAGUGAUCAGCUGUCGCAUGUACCACUGGUUAACAGACUAGAUCUUGUGUUUCACCGGUUAGAUGCAGACACAAGAGAGUGUCGAUCGAUAGUCUAUUAAGACGUCGACUGAUGCACCUUUGCCAACAUCGAUCGAUUGUCAGUUGAGGACAUCGAUCGACGGGUUCUAGCCAGGCCUAUGCGCGAGUAUGAAAUGCCCUACUAAGAUUCUAAAUUGGCGGUUAGCCCUCUCUAGCAAUCCUAAUAUGAUAGAUAGAUGUCAGGAUGGGAUAACAAGGGUGCUUGAAUAUGCAUUCCUAUGAUCAAGUUCUAGUUAGCAAGGCUAAAACAAGCAAUGAAUACAAAUCUAUCAUGAAUAUCACAACAAGGCAGAUCUAUAGUUUGGGGCUAAUCCCACAAACCUAUCUGAACCCUGGAUCUAACAGUUGAGCUACUCAGACAUAGCAAAGCAAUUCAUAUCAAUAGAUAAAUAGAAACUCAUAGAAUAGAUGAUAAGAAAAUGAAACAAGGAGUUCCAAUCACAAGUGAUCUUCUCUCCAAAUGAAACUUGUAACAAAACUAGGUCUAGAAAAGAAAAGCUCUCUCUGCCGUCAAAACUUAGGCAAUAUAUAUUCUACUAGGUUAAAAACUCGUCAGGGCAUUUUGGUAAUUUGGCUUGGCCUUUGUUUUUAAGUCUGCUGAAUCCAAAAUGUCGCGUCUGGUGUCUCGACAUCGAUCGAUGGUACUUGUGUACAUCGAUCGAUAUUAAUCUUCAUCUGUCGAGGUAUUUCCUGAUAUCUAAGUGGUCAGCUCGGGUGAAAUGUCUUUUAAGCUCCAAAAUGCUCCAAAGUCAUAGCUUUACUCCAAAAUGCACCUGAACCUGAAAACAUACCUAUAAGUGUAGAAAACAUAGAUAUAUAUAUAUAUAUAUAGUAAAGUACUUAUAUACCAUGGAUAAAAAUGGGUCAAAUCCAAGGUAUAUCAAGGGGCGGUGCGCCGGAGCCUGCUGACGAUCCUCCCACCAACUGACCUUCUUGUUCCAGAACUCUUACCCCCGUGAAGGGGUUUCUUUCAUUUUAUAGUUGCCUUUGAUAAGGGUUGAAAACUUUGAACCAGGCCUCUGUGCCUUUUGUUGUUUUAAGACUUUGGCUCUGUUGUGCCGUUUUGAAGUAUGCUUCUGGAUUCGCAUCUUUUCUCCUUUCGUAGAUGAUAUCCGUAUUGUUUCUGCGAUUUUCAAUCUUUCGAAAGUUUGCAGGUCAUUGAGUGACCUCGGGGCCUCGAGGCUUGACUCACGAGUCGUAAUCGAAGCAUUGUUGAGCUAAGCGUUGAUUGCUUGAGGGUCUCUUACAGGACCUGGGCCGCAUGGGCUCUAGAUUUCAUGAACGUCGGAGGACCCACGGAUCCUGGGUAUUGAGGUUCCUUGGAACCUCUAGACCCUAGAAUGAUUAGGUGACCCUAUGAAUCUCCCAUAAUUGGAUCUCCUCUGGGACCCUUGACUCACUUGGAGAGUUUUGAUAAGCUUAGGACCCUGAGGUCGUUGUAGGGAACCGGUGGGUUCCGGACCCUGAGGUCUUGAGUUGGACACAUGAUCUUUGGACCCUGAAGUCUUUUUAGGGAACCAAUAAGUUCUUGGCCCUGAGGCUUGUCUGAGCCCGGAGUUCUUUCUCAGAACCCGGAAUUAAGGUUUAAAAGGGACCGCAUUCUUCCACCCUAGGUGAGGCCACUCUCGGUAUCUGUUGGGGUAUCGCAUUCUACCGCUUGGAAGCUGGUCACUAUCGAGUUCCCAUGCUGCAUUCUGCUUUCUGCAGAAAGUCACUAUCAGACUUAGAGGGUGCUGGUGUGGGUGAAAACCCAAGUGCCAGGCCUUGCUACUUUCCACGUCUGGAGAAGUAGGAUAUUAUGUGGUGCUCUUGGACUUUUGCACUUGCUCAAGGGGAAUUAUACCUCGUGUCCCCUGUAUUAUUCUAGCACGUAGCGUUUUAAUACAGGUACUUUCACAUUUUUGGUAUUUUUGUUUGGGACCCCGAUAUGUCUGAGGCUAUACAUGGGUUUUAGGUAGUAUUGAUGUCAUACUCGGGCUUGCGCAGACCCAUUCCUACCUUAUGUCUCAUACCCAUUUUGUUUUUUCGUGGUCGUACCACUUGUCAUUAAGGGUUGGCCAGGAUCGAAGGUCUCUUGGACCUGAUCCAGCUCGUUUACCCCUUUUAAGUAUUAUGGCAUUACUACUACUCUUUUAUAGUAAGAACUAUUUUAUUAUAUAAGCUUUGUUCGGAGACGUUUCAGCGUAUAUAAGAGUAGGAAAACAUAAUGCUUAAAUAAUAGAUAAAAUAAUUAAUAGAAAUCAUGGUCCGAAGACCAUACAAGAUAUCAGCUUGCGAGGUAUCCCGGUGGUUAGGCCAUGUUUUACCUCUUGCUGCUAGGCGAUCUGCAGGGUUUGACUUGCUUUUGGGACGAGCAUCCUUGCUAGAGGGUUCCUCCUUUUUUUGCAGGGUUUUGCCUCUUUCUUGGGUCUAGGGACCGUGGUCGAGACUCGUUUCAUGCCCCAGCCUUUAGUGUUCGGGGACCACUGUCUUCUGUAGAUGAAGGUUUUCAGUACUUCCACGAAACGUGUAGUCACAUUCAUCCACUGGAGGGACCAGGUUCGGAGGUCUCCUGUCUGGCUAAGUGUCUCCCUCCUGCGUCUGUGGGGCGCUCUUUGCUUCGGAUCCGUCCGAUGUACCUUCUGAGGAGGUCUCCUUGAAGUACUUGUGCCCCAUUAUUUAUCUGUGAGACCACUGGCUGAUACCUGGUAAGGUUCUCGGUGAUCUUGUCUAUGUGAGGCGGGGUACGAGGGUCCUGCGAGGACCAGGUCUUGUGAGCAUAUGCAACUUUGAAGGGCUUCGGGGGAGACCAUGCGAAGCGGUCAACAUAGGUUGUCUGAGGAUUCCUCGGGUUCUUGGAAUGAUUCAGGGUCCGCUUUCUCAAGAACAACCCCCAAUUACUUGUAUCAUUGACCUUUGAUCCCUGGGUUCGUGGGGUUCGAGGUCUUCUCUGUAAUUGCUAUAAGACCUUGGUCUUCCCCUUCAGGGUGGUCUGGUAGCAGGAUCGAGAGUUCUCUUGGUCUCUCCUAAUUACUCUGAUGCCCCAGGGUGUAGGAAACUUCACCAUCUGGUGAAGGGUUGAGGGGACUGCUCCCAUGUCGUGAAUCCAGGGUCGUCCCAAGAUCAUGUUAUAUGCUGAUUGGGAAUCUACGACCAGGAAUUUGGUAGACAUGUUGACCCCUUCAGCGUAUACUGGGAGGAUAGCCUCUCCGGCGGUUUGCUUGACCUCGAUGCUGAACCCGAUGAGUGGGGUUACCUUGCGCGUCAGGGUGCUCUCCUCCAGCCCUAGAUCUUGGUACACCAUCUAGAAGAUAAUUUUUCUGGAGAUGCCGUUAUCUACUAGUAUUCUUUUCACCAAGCAGUUCGCUACGGUGAGAGAGAUAACUAGAGCAUCAUGGUGGGGAGCUAGGAUCUUCUCUUGCUCUUUAGCUGUGAAGCUUAUCUCGUCCGUGCCUAGAAGUAGGCACUUCGGUUGGACUGUUUCCAGACCAUGCUUACCGUUACGGGUGCUUUUCUUUACGGCUGCAUGGCUUACUCCGGUCACUUCUGAGCCUCCGGAUAUGACAUAGAUCACCCGAUCUUGGCGAGGUGGUGAGGCUGGUGAAGCUCCUUUGGAUCUUCCUACUGUUUCUUUGCUGAGGUGGGCCUGGGCUUUCUCUGAGAGGAAUUCUCAGAGAUGCCCCUUUUGGAGCAGUUCGUUGACCUCGAUCCUCAGGGCGAUGAAGUCUUCGGUUUUGUGGCCAUGAUCGCUGGGGAAGUCGCACAAGAGUUCCGGGUUCUGGAAUGAGUCAGGUGCUUUCAGAUUUGGAGGCCACUUAACCUGUUGGCCCAUCUGUCUCAGUGCGUUGACCAGAUCUUGUGUUGAUAUUGAGAGAUGGGAGUGACACACUAAAAAUGAAUCCUUGCUACUGUCAAAUUAUCAGUGGUAAUUGUAAUAUUUUAGAUUCAAUCCAGAUGACCAAUUUACUCUUUACUCUUAUGACUUCAAUAUUAAGCUGAGAAGCAAGUGGGUUUUUUUUUUAAAACAAUUGUAACGCAAGUAACUAGAAUACCUAGAGAUUCAAAUUCGAUUUAAAUGAAAGCCGGCUUAGGGUUAUUCAUCGGGUGUCAAUGCGGAACCGAACAACUAUUCAAGUGCAAUGAGGUGCAGUCUAGAACUCAGAUCACUCGCCUAGAACAAUCCACUAUCGUGGACUUGCUCACUUUGCUGAUCGGUCUUGAGUCCUAGGCACUCACUUGGAACGAGACCCGAUAGCAAGACUUAGAGAUCAGGUCCGAUUAGUUCACUUAAUACCCUAAUAUCUACUCUCGCUGAUUAGGGAUAUGAAGCUCAUUUAAUAUAUGUCAAUAUAUCUCCUAAACGGUUAGCUAGGUGAUUAAACUAAAGGUCGAACAUUAAGUGAUCAAUUCAAUACAAGCAGUAAGAAGAAUAUGAAUGAAGAACAGUUAAGGUCACUCAUUUGUGUUCAGCUCAUGCGAUUAACAUCCUACAACCCUAAGCAAGCUUAGCCUACUACUCAAUCAUAAAGCAGGAUGACAUAGACAUGGUUUCUGAAUAAUACUGCAUAUAAUAUAAAGUAGAAAAACAAGGGUUCAGGAUAAUCUUCUCGUGAGAAUGAGAGAUGAAGCCUUCUCCCUUACAAGUUGCUCAAUCCAAAAUAGUUCUAGGUCUCUUGUAAAACUAGCGUAAGAAAAAAAAAUAGAAAUGAUAGCAUAGGCCUUUUAUAUGGAGGCGUCGAUGGCAAAGAGAUAAGAGAAUGGAAUCUAGGGCAAACUUCCAGAAUGGGAAGUUUCCUUAAUGACCGGGAACAGUCAGACGCUUGUUCUUUUUGGGAACAGCCUUCGGGUUGAUCUAACUGGCUGUUCCGCAUCGAAUUCUCCAAAAUGACAUCUGACUUCAUGAAGCUCUCUUCUUUGCUUUUUCACCUGCUCCAAACCUGGAAUAAUAUCAAUUAAGCACGAAUUGGGACUGAGAAUUAACUCAAAACACACAUAUAAUGGUAUUAAAAACACCAUAUAUCAAUUCCCCCAGACUUAGAUCCUUGUUUGUCCUCAAACAACGCCAAGUCUCAAGAACAGGGAGAAAGGUUUGAAAGAGUGGGAACUCGCUUGAUCUCAAUAACCAUACUCUUACCACAAAUCUCUGAACCGUACAAGCUGUAGACUCAGACCACAAACCCUUACCAGAACACCCACGAUCGCUGUUUGAGAAUCAGCUCCAUACUAUGUAUCUCAUACUUGAAAAAGGGUACACUAUCGAGACAAAACUCCUUGAAUUCAAUUAUGGACAGCGUGAGCUUCUCAUCACAGGCACUAUUCAGGGUAGACGGCCUAGGUAAGGAACAGACUAUUUCAUGAUGGAGCUAGGAGUGUUUAGGAGCUACCAAAUUUAAGUGGAUGCAGGAUAUCGCGCAAAAUAGCAGGAGAGGACGGAUCCAUUGAUGUCCACAUCCCUUACUCGUUUCUGCUUCACGGACGCAGUUGUUCUUUCCUUCGGAUCAACUGUGGGACUGUUCUUAAGUUCUUGACUUCCCUUUUCUACUCUUCAAAAUUUGGAACCAACUCCUUGCUCAACCUUCCCAGUGGCGAGUAUUUUUCGGAUUCACCUUCCCCAUCUCCAUCACUAUAAAGUAGAUAGAAACAAUAUAUAUAAAUUUGUUUUUUUGGAUUUUUUUUUUACACGGUGAUAGGGUUGCGAGGGAGAUGCAACAUAAUGAAUGUUUUGCAGCCACUUGAAGGACCCUAAGAUCGGCUCACUCGAAUGGAUCAGAUUUGGAUAUGAACUCCGAAUGGAGAACUAGAUGGAUUGAAGGGUCGCACGAAGGUUGCGAAAUGGCCUUCGAUAUUCCCGGGUUCAGUUGGUGCUUGAUAUGACUCACAUGAACAACAAAAGAAUGUGGGAACCGAAAUUCACACUGUCGAUUUCCGUUUAAAUAAGGAAACUAAGAAAACCCUAGUUUCUCAGAGGACCCGGAUAUCUGUUAAUUACCACACGUCAAGCAAUCAGAACACGAGAAUAACAACGAUAAAAAUAAGAAAUCGAAAAGAGAGCAAAGUAGAUCUUAUUCCGAAUCUGCGUAUGAGCGUUACAACAAGGUAUAAGCCUGGGCUCGAGAGCUGUCGGCGAGAUUCCUAGUUCUAGCAACCCUAAGACGGCUAAACCUAAUUGAGUCGCAGCUCGAAAUAACAAAAACGGAAAACUGCCUAAAUUGCUCUAAAUGCUAAGUUUGCUCUGAAAAAGUCCUCCCUCUGCUCCUCGCCUAGGACUCCUUAUAUACUAGCUCCAAGGUCGGUUUACGCUUUUACUCUUCUGCCCUUAAGCCGUCAUAGCAUAAAAUGGAGAUUUUCCAUUUUUUCCGUUCUUCUUAAUUAUCUUGAAAACUUCCGUAUUUAUCCGCGGAAACUUGACAUUUAUCCUUCCUCGUGGGCCAAGCGUAAACCAUGCUGUGGUUUACGGGCUUUUGGUUAGGAAAAUCGUAGGAUGGGCUUCGAAUCGUGUUUAGGUCCCUUUGGGCCGUCUUCUGACUCGACACGUUUACUACGAGUUUUCCGCGGUUUCUAAUCCGCGAAGUUUGAUCGAUGAAUUAGAAUAGCAGGAAACAAGGACUGAGCUUGCUACGGUCUUCGGGAGAUAGCAUUCGAAGGUUUUGAUGAGAUUGCAUGGACUGGUGUCGUAUCAAUGUUCGGAAAGGUUCAAUCGCUACACAGCGACCGAACUUUGGCUCGAGCCCGCUCGCUACGUAGCGACCGAGCGGGACAAUCGCUCGGUCGCUGCGUAGCGACCGAGCUUGGCUGAGCUCGGUCGCUACGUAGCGACCAAGCGAGACGAUCGCUCGGUCGCUACGUAGCGACCGAGCUUUGGCUCGAGCUUGGUCGCUACGUAGCGACCGAGUGGGACGAUCGCUCGGUCGCUGCGUAGCGACCGAGCUUGGCUCGGGUUCGGUUGCUUCGUAGCGACCGGACAGCGUGUAUACGUAGCGACCGAGCUUGGUUUGUUCGGUUUGAAUCCCAAAGGAUACUUCUUCGUAAAAACCUCGUAUAGGUUAUUUUUACGAAAAUUACAUCUCUUCUUUUACUAACUCUUUCGGAAAUACGAUCUCUGAGGAUUUUCGGGUGGUAAUUCCGUCGUAACCGUUUUUGACCCCAACAGUUAGCCCCCCAGCCCGUUAGGAUCAUGUAUCGUAGGAUCCUAGCGUGCGGUUAGGCAUGUUUGGCAAGUUAGGCGUGAUGGAUGGAAUUAAUAUUCGAAAGUCCGAGCUUGAAUAGUAAAUCCUCAUAUGUUAUAAGAAGAGAGGUAACUUGUUCCAUAAUUUUUUCACUUUCUUGUUUUUCUCUAAGAUCUUUCAAAAAAGAAAUUUCUAUCUUUCUCUCCACCCUUUUCCUCUAUUCUCUCAAGAGAAGUGUAAUGAUGUCGAGCAAGAAAAAGAUUGCGAAAAAAGGGUCUUCGUCCGCGAGUCCUUAUGAAGAGCUCGUCGUUCCAAAGAUGGAGUUCGUGCCUCACUCGGUCCAUCUUGCCGAGAACGAGGCAUGGUGGGUUGCUCACUAUGGCUCGUUGACCCCUCCCAAAGAGAAGCCGUUCCCGGUCCUGGUCCAUCGUGGAGUCGAGGAAGAGGAUGCAAGCAGGACUACUGACGAGUUUCUCGCGACGAUGCGAUCGUUCUACCACAUCCCGGAUGUUGUGGAGUUCCGGUUCCCUGCCGCGGGGAAUGUGCUAACAAUCCCCCGGAGGGUUACUUUACUUGUUAUGAGGCGUUCGUAGUGCGUUGUCGCCUCUGGUUCCCAAUACCCGAAAUUCUCGUCCGAGUGUUGGACCGUUUCGAAGUUGCGAUAAGUCAGUUGACACCCCUUGCCAUUCAGCACCUUAUUGGGAUCCUGAUCCUAAGCUACGAGCAUGGCCUUUCCCUUUCCGUCAAUCAUUAUGAAGCGCUUUUGAGGCUUCAACUUGUCAGGGGUACGGAUAAGCAUAGGUUGGUCCCUCGGAAAUUUAUGUCAGUGGUUACGAAGUUUAUUUCGAACUUCAACUCGUGGAAGAAGUUCUUUUUCUUUGUCCGUAUAGACGCUGCAUCCGCCGAAGAGAGUUGCAUUCCAUUGUUCCGGAGGUUUCCGAAUGAUCGUCCCUUCAUCAACCCUUUUGCUCCGUUCCCCGAGGACAUCAUUUCGGUGAGGGAUCUUCUCAGGAAUGGUCCCUUCUUCUGGACUUCUUUUACGCCGAAGAGGGUUCGGAAGGCACUGAGAUUCGUGCAACCCGGUCCUGCUUUGGAUGCGGACACGGGAAGCGACUCCGAACCCGACGACCAGAAUCCCGUCGAAGCUCCGACAGCUGCGCCGGAGUCGAGCUCUUGGAAGGGAAAAGAUGUCGAUCUUGGCGACAUAGAGUUUUCGAUGGAUGACUCUAUGCUUCCAGGAUGGGAUCCGAACCUUGCUUACGGCGACGGAGCGGUUCGAGCGAGGCCCCUAUUCCGGAUUUCGAUGAUUUCUUUGCUGGGCUGCCAUCGGGUUUCGAUGCUCCUCCUCCUACGAAAGAAUCGGCGAGGCCGAGAGUCGUUGCGGAAGGAUCUCGCAUCAUCAAUGGGGUUAGUUUUUUUUUGAGAAUUUUUUGGUGAUUGUCCUAUGUAUAUAUUUAUAACAUGCCAAUCGAUUUUGCAGGGCCUGAGCUUGCUGGGCUCGGCCAUUGAGGCGGGCCAUAGAGAAGCCAUGGUCUACCGCUUCAAGGCGGAGAAAGCGGAGCGGGAUCUCACUCGCGUGCAAGGCGAGAUGCUGGAGCGAGAGGCUCAGCUUACUCGUGAUCAUGCGCGGGCUGUUCGUAAAGCGGAGAGGAAAGGCAAAAGAGAAAUCGUCGAGGUGAUGAAGACUCGUGCAUCUCAGUUCCAGGUUGAGUACGGGAACCUCAAGAAUGCCUUUACCUCGGUGGGUGACUUUCGCGAGUGCCGUGGUUCGGUCGGAAGUCUUUGGAGGACGCGAGCCGAUGACUAUAUAUUUGAAGAGGAAAUGAGCUUGAUGAAGAGUGGGAUGAGUGACCGUGCCCACGCUGAGGCGCUUAUCCCUCCGAUCGACGAGAGGAUUCAAGGGUUCUGGGAUUCUAUCCCGGUUUCCCCUGAUACCGAGGAGGUUCCGACCGAUUUUCCCGAUGGUGGCGAGGAAGUGGAUCGUCCCGCUGAUGCGUUUGGUGCUUCGUUGUCCGGGGACUUUGACUUUGGAUCAUGAGGGAUGGAUCAGUUAUCCUUGUUUUCGGCCGAGUGUGGCCCUUUGAAUUUGGAUUUCGUUUAGGCCUAGAUGGCCGUAUUUGUAUUUCCGGGACUGGCCGUUAGUGGCUUUGAAUCCCUUGCCGCUUUACGGGGUUUAUUUAUAUGAUAAAUGUUUUGUUUCGAGUUUUCCUGAGUAGGGUUGAAGUAAAUACGAGUUGUCGUCUCGUAUGUAGUUCUGAUUAGACGUUCAAUCUGUUGGUUCGUUCGUGAUUUUCGUAAAAAUUUACUUAUCUUUACGAUUUUCGAGAAUAUUGAGAUACGAACGGAGAGACAUGGUUUAUGAUCUCGUAUCUUUUAGAUAUCAUGCCUUGAGAUGUUUGAGACCAGAGCGUUGGGUUUAGGGCAAGACCUAGGUUUACUUUCGGUUAAGGUUUGUGCGGUGACUAGCCGGCUAUCGUUUUUCCUGUUGCGAUUUCUUCCUGACUCGCACCGAUUUAAAGUCCGCGAUAUGUUCUCGGCUUAUAUGACUUGUAUGGUACGAAUCGAGCAUCUUCUCAGAAUCAACUGGAAGUGCUAAACCAAAAUUUCGGAUUUUUGUUGUAACGCGCUUUUGUCCUUGUGCUGGACGUUUUUAAAGAUUAAAAGAGUGAUUGGAUUGCGUUUGUUUAAGACGGCUGGCGUGUUCAUCGGGGCCAAUCGACGAAUGAGGUGUAAGGAUUUUGGUGGUCGCGUUUGGACAAUUUGUUAGCAUUGUCCUCGAAUUUUAACUUUUGCGACGUCUCGCAGUUAUUUCGAGGAUUAUGCGUGUGUUUGCGUGUUUGAAAGAUGAUAAUCUUUACGAUUUUUGGGCCGGAAGGGGCCACUUACAAGAGUCUUAACGUUUUCAGGCGUGUCCUGAAAGUUUCUUUUGUGUUUUACUGAAGCGUAAACGUUUUCGAUAAGAAAAAACAACGUAUAUUGUAUUAAAAGUUUUUGAAGUUUCUAAAAACUCGAUUACAAUAAUGAAGAUUUUUCUAAGUGGGAGUAUACGAGUAUACGCACCCACUCCCCCCCCUUUAUUAGAGAGGGGGAUAGCUGAACUCGUCUUUUGACGAGCUGCCUACGUACCCCUUUCGAGGAUCAAGCCAUCUCGUAGUUCUGUUUCAUGCCGCGAGUGUUCUUACUCGGCGGUAGAUGUCGCGAUGUCCACCUUGACCGUGUCGAUCGUGGCUGGGUCGACGCUAUUUUCCGGAUGUUCCGGUUGAGCUGUUGCGUGGGCUUCGGAUUUAUGUCGAGCCUCGACAUCCGAUGCGUUUGCGUUGAUAGACGAUUUUACUUCGUCUUCUCCCGGGACGCUUUUGGCUGAAGAUCGAUCUAUCUUCGCGCGUUUGCCGUUUGUGGAAGUCGUGAUUUGCCUUAACUUAUGCUCCGCGAGGAAGCAUAGUCGCGACUGUUUUUGGCAUCCCCAGAUGGCCGCGACUCCGCUCGGCGUCGGGAACUUGAGACCCAGGUGGUAGGUUGAUGGAACUGCCUGCAUGGCGUUGAGCCAUGGGGUUCCCAUGAUUACGUUGUAUAUAGCGGGAUGAUCGACUACCGCGAAUUCGAUGAUUUUUGUGAUCUCUUUGGCCAUGACUGGCAAUUGGAUUGAUCCGAGAGUCAUCGACACUUCGCCUGAAAAACCCGUGAGCGGUUUUGGCGUCGGAAUUACUUCUCCGAGUUUGAUACUCAUCCGCUUGAAAGUGUCGCGGAAGAUUACGUUGACCGUGCUUCCCGUGUCGACGAGUACCCUUCCGACUUCUAAAUCUCGUAUGACGAGAUCUAUGACGAGCGGGUCGCAGUGAGGUUGGUCGAUACCGCCGGCUUCUUCUUCUGUGAAGGUGAUCGAGCAACUUUGGCCGUCUCGAGGAGGAGACCAUGUAGGCCAAUUUGCACUUGACUCUGCCUUCCGUUGGUAAGCCUUGAUGGCCGACACGGUAUCGCCGCAGUAUUGUGAUCCUCCGAUGAUCAUAUUGACUCUGUGACGAUUGUUAUCGUUCCCUUUGUCAUCCGGCCUCCUACCGCGUUUAUCCCCAGGAUGGUUUCGUUGAGGGGAUUUUUCAGCGGGCGGAUUUCUAUCCGUCUUUGGAGGCCGAUCAGAAUCGAGGAUGAGAUCCUUGACGCUAGUUACUUCCGAAAGCUCUCCAGCGAGUAGCUUCGCGGCCAGUCUUGCUCCCAAGACUUUGCAAUUGGUCGUGGAGUGUCCUCGGGAUUGGUGGAACUCGCAGAAGGUGUUUUCGUCAUACCCUUGAUUGCGAGUCCAUGUGUUGCUCGUGGUCCGGCCUUGAUCCGAACUGAUCGCAUAGUUAUGCGCCCCUUGGAGAUCUUCCCCCUCAUGAUGGACGUACUUGUCGUUACGAGAGUUCUUCUUUUUCCCCUUCGGAUCUGCGUCUUUCGAGGAUGGUCUUGCCGGCUUAUGUUUUUGCGAUAAGACUUUAGUUUCUUCCUCGACUAUGAUGUAGUCCGUUGCUUUGUGGAGUGCGUCCUGGAUCGUUCGCGGUUUGUCGAGAGUUAUCCAUUUUCUGAAUUUCGACUUGUACCAGAGCGUCUUUCUCAGCGCGUCGAUGGCCACUUUGUCGCUUAUCCCGCUGACCCUGGACAUUAUCAGCUUGAACCGACUGAUAAAUUUGCGGAGGGGUUCGUCUUCCCUCUGGGAGAGACUCCAGAGAUCAACAUCGGAGGUUUCCCUGUCUAUGAAUACAGAGUACUGUUUGAGAAAUUCCGAUGCGAGCUGUCGAAAACUUCUGAUGGUGUUGCGACGAAGGCGUGCAAACCAUUCGAGCGCUGCUCCUUCGAGAUUCUCGACGAACAGGCGGCAAUAGCCGGCAUCUUUUUCGCUGUCCUUCCGUCUUGCUCUUCCCAUCGCGAUGUGGAAAGCCUGAAGGUGCGCUUUCGGAUCGGCCGUACCAUCGUACUUCGGUACUUUGAUCUUUCCUGGAUCGGACACCCUCAUGUCCGAAAUGCGACUGGUAAAGGGGGUCUUUCGAGCUCCUUCCAGCAGUCGAUCGAUCUCGGGGGCAUGAUGGAUUUGAGACUUUACGGCUCUCACUUCUGCCGCAGUCUUAGUGAUGUAGUCGCGAAGAUCGCGGAUAUCCGAUGUCUCGUCAGUAGAUUUUCGAGCCUGUCGGCGUUUACUGCGAGUGAGUUUGGUUUGCCUUUCGGCUAGUUCCUCUUGUUCGUUCCAAUAGGCGACUUCUUCUUCUUCCGUCAUUGGUUUUUCGAACGGGGAGUCUUCCCGAGCGGAUCGGCUUCUGGUCCUUCUUGGGAUUCUGUCGACAUCCUCGUCGGUGUCGUUGGAGACAUCGCUAGGAUCCAGGUCAAUGUGUUCGGCUUCGUUAUCCUCCGAGUCCUUUGCAGGGGGCGGAAGAUUUUCAGGGUUCCCCUUUUCGACGGGAGAUUUCUCGCUAGGGUUUUGACCGGAAGGUCGUUCCCGCGCGAGUCCUGCUCUAUCGAGUAGGGUGGCGAAGUCGAGCAUCUUCCCAUGGAUUUUGGUGGUUCCGCGGGGACGGAUAGCUUGGGUCAUUGCCGUUAAGGUUUCAACCUGUUUGGUCAAGGUAUUCACGAGCUUAUCCUGUUCUUCCGACCUUUUCUCAUAGGUGGCGAACAUCUUUUUGAACUCCUCGAGCGUCGCGGCGUUGGCUUGCGCGUUGGCCGCGGAUACGUCCGCUACUGGAGUGUGGAGAUCGGUGCUGCUGCCUCCAUUAAGAGGAGUUUGCACGUUAUCCGCGUCGUUCGUUGACAUGUCAGAUUGUGUGUGGCUUUUGCGGGUUAGAUUGAUCUGUAAAUUCCCCUCCUUCUAGCGCCAAACUGUGGGAACCGAAAUUCACACUGUCGAUUUUCGUUUAAAUAAGGAAACUAAGAAAACCCUAGUUUCCCAGAGGACCCGGAUAUCUGUUAAUUACCACGUCAAGCAAUCAGAACACGAGAAUAACAACGAUAAAAACAAGAAAUCGAAAAGAGAGCAAAGUAGAUCUUAUUCCGAAUCUGCGUAUGAGCGUUACAACAAGGUAUAAGCCUGGGCUCGAGAGCUGUCGGCGAGAUUCCUAGUUCUAGCAACCCUAAGACGGCUAAACCUAAUUGAGUCGCAGCUCGAAAUAACAGAAACGGAAAAUUGCCUAAAUUGCUCUAAAUGCUAAGUUUGCUCUGAAAAAGUCCUCCCUCUGCUCCUCGCCUAGGACUCCUUAUAUACUAGCUCCAAGGUCGGUUUACGCUUUUACUCUUCUGCCCUUAAGCCGUCAUAGCAUAAAAUGGAGAUUUUCCAUUUUUCCCGUUCUUCAUAAUUAUCUUCAAAACUUCCAUAUUUAUCCGCGGAAACUUGACAUUUAUCCUUCCUCGUGGGCCAAGCGUAAACCAUUAUGUGGUUUACGGGCUUUUGGUUAGGAAAAUCGUAGGAUGGGCUUCGAAUCGUGUUUAGGUCCCUUUGGGCCGUCUUCCGACUCGACACGUUUACUACGAGUUUUCCGCGGUUUCUAAUCCGCGAAGUUUGAUCGAUGAAUUAGAAUAGCGGGAAACAUGGACUGAGCUUGCUACGGUCUUCGGGAGAUUUUGACGAGAAUGCAUGGACUGGUGUCGUAUCGAUGUUCGGAAAGGUUCAAUCGCUACACAGCGACCGAAUUUUGGCUCGAGCCCGGUCGCUACGUAGCGACCGAGUGAGACGAGUGCUCGGUCGCUACGUAGCGACCGAGCUUUGGCUUGAGCUCGGUCGCUACGUAGCGACCGAGCGGGACGAUCGCUCGGUCGCUACGUAGCGACCGAGCUUGGCUGAGCUCGGUCGCUACGUAGCGACCGAGCGAGACGAGCGCUCAGUCGCUACGUAGCGACCGAGCUUGGCUGAGCUCGGUCACUACGAAGCGACCGAGCGGGACGAUCGCUCGGUCGCUACAUAGCGACCGAGCUUGGCUGAGCUCGGUCGCUACGUAGCGACCGAGCGAGACGAGAGCUCGGUCGCUACGUAGCGACCGAGCUUUGGCUCGAGCUUGGUCGCUACGUAGCGACCGAGCGGGACGAUCGCUCGGUCGCUGUGUAGCGACCGAGCUUGGCUCGGGUUCGGUUGCUUCGUAGCGACCGGACGGCGUGUAUACGUAGCGACCGAGCUUGGUUUGUUCGGUUUGAAUCCCAAAGGAUACUUUUUCGUAAAAACCUCGUAUAGGUUAUUUUUACGAAAAUUACAUCUCUUCUUUUACUAACUCUUUCGGAAAUACGAUCUCUGAGGAUUUUCGGGUGGUAAUUCCGUCGUAACCGUUUUUGACCCCAACAAAGAAGAAUCUUGAACCGUUGCUUGAUAUGACUCACAAGACCAACGAGUUUGAGGGGUGUUUACUUGGAUAUGACUCAUCAAGAAACUAAAAACAAGUUCUAAACGAAGAACAAAGAGUUUAACUCAAACUUUAGACUAAAACGAUUUCUUAUUUAUUAUAAUGAAAGAGUUUUGUAGAUCUAUAAAUUAAAUAGAAAAGUUGAUCUAGAUCUAGUCAUUAAACAAAAUAAAGACAGAUUAUUAAAUGUGACUGAUCGGCUUCUGUCCAGGUUCGUUGUAUCCUGAAGCAUGGACCGCGGUAAGGAGAAGGACGGAUGUGGGACUGUCCGUAUGAGCCACCAUGUCCGGAUCAUGAACCAGACUGGAACAAGUGCGUCCUAUGUCUUUAGAAAGGUGAAGGAUCCUUGCCUUAGUGAGAUUUGGCUGAUCAAAGUGCAUGAACUGAUCAAAAGGGUCGAUCAGUCCAUCAGUACGGUCGCCUGUACGUGCAGUAUGGGCCAAUCGAGCCAGAAGAGAGAAGUCUCGAUCAUUUUGUGAAACCUCAUGAUCCAAGUCAAGUCUGGCAUGAUCUUUCUCAAGUCUGGGAUGAUCUUUCUCAAGUCUGGCUUUAUCUUUCUCAAGUCUGGUUUGAUCCAAGUCAAGUCUGGCAUAGUGAAAAACAUGAACCUCGGUUGAAAUGUUCAGAACGACCUGAACUCCAUGCUGAGAUGGUUCCAUGUACUGAUCCGUGGACUGCGGCACAUCAUUCCCUCCCUCUUCAAAAGGAUUUGUGCUCAAAUCCAUUGUACAUGUAUCAAAAGGGAAUAAAUCAGAUACAAAGGAUUUAAAAUUCAUGGAAAAUUCAAUGAAGGAAGAUUUUGGACAGAAACUUCCUUAGAGGUUUGAACUCGUUUCCCUCAAGUAUAUCCGGUUCCAUGUUCCACGAACACAAGUCUUUAGGAAUUCACCUGUGCUUGCUCUCCUUGGAAACUUUGGUUCGUUGAGGAUCGGUUUUGGCUCAGGCCGCUUCUUUCUUGGUCUGGAAUCUCCUUUAGAAGUCGGGUACUUGCAGAUAGACAGACUGGAGAACCUCCGGUUCGAAAAUUCAUAACUGCUUCCUCGAUUAAGCGUUUCACGUGAUUCCAAGCCUCCGUGAAUCCUUGGUCAGUUGGCUUUCCAGAAAAAUUAGAUUCAUGACAAAAGACCUUCUGAAUGUUCAGAUAUUCUUUUUGGACUGAAACCCUAUCUCUGACAUCUCCAAGGUAGCCGGUUUGGACAACAAGGCUUCUCCAAAUCUCAGGCUGUUGGGCACGGUCAAUGCUUUCAUUUCUCAGAGGCUGAACCUGUCUUUCCUGGAUACUCAAAACAAACACUAAAAGACCAAGAUCAAAUGUGCAAGACAAAUACUUGUUCAAAUCAAAAAUCAAGAUAUCUUUUCAGAGAACAAGUUGCACACAUUUCAGCUUGUCAAGAUGCACAUCAAAGUAGACAUUACAGACCAGAAUUUUAUCAAGAUAUGCAACAAUAGUAUUAAUUUUCAAGACGUGCAUAUCCUGCUCAGCAUCUGAACACACAAACUUAAGUUCAAAAUGAGAAUCAACUAUCAAAGACUCAAGAUGUUUUUCAAAGAAAGUGUUGUAAACCACAAUUUCACCAAGGCUCAAAACAACACAAUUAUCAAGAAUUGAUCUCAGAGAAUGCCAAGUUUUAUCAGUUUCAGAACUCAAGAGAUCAAGCUGCAAAACAUAAUCACAAAAAUCAAGAUCACAAAAAUCAAUUUCAGUUUCAAGUGAUUUCUGUUCAAACAUCUUUUUAAUCAAGAAAUCAUCCAAUACACAAGAGGAUGCAAUCAAAUUAUGAGUGAUCAUUGCAUGUUUAGAAGAACUCAGAUCAAAGCUAUUCUUUUUGAAAACAAACGAAUCAAAAGAUUUUCUAGCAUAAAAAUCAGUUUGUUUCAAAUCAAGCUCAAGAGAUUUUUCAAAACGAUCAAAGCCUUUGCUAUGCUUUAAGAACUGAUCAAAACUCAAAAUAAAUUCAGACUUGAUGCCAUUGCCUUUUUGAAAACAUUUUUGAUCAAGAAGUUUCUCAGGUUUAAACAAUUUUCAAGAAUUAAUCAUGUUUUCAAAAACAGAUUUUGAAACACAAAAAUCUUUCAUCUUGUCAAGACCAAAACGAAUCACUAUCAAGAGAACUGAUCUUAACAAACAUAUCAGGCUGAGAAUUAAGCAAAUCAGAUUACUCACAGUGCGCUUGAAGUUCAAAAGACAAAGGGGUAUGAGUUGUGCCGGGAUCAAAGCAAAGAUGGCUCUCCAUAACGAUGGAUGUGAUGUUGGUUGCUUCUUCAUUAAAGACUGGACCAGGUUCGUCCUCCUCAUCAAAGAUAGGAUCUAUAUCUUCACCAAAAGAUAUCCUAGUGUCAAGACAUGGUCUUUGAUGUGGUAAAUCUAGAUCCUCUAAAACCCGUGGAGAGAAAACAAGACUACUCGGAUGCUCCGGUUGCAAAAUGGUUAGUUCUACAAUAGCAUGUUCAAUAUCAGUUACAAACUCAGGUUCAAGAGAAGAAAGAUUAUAAUUUUUCUCACAAGAAAACAAGCUUUCAAUUGGCUCUUCAUCAUAUUCAUCAUAGAUGGGUAAAGAAUCUGAAAAAUCUUUCAACUCCUCAACAUGGGUUUCAGAUUUACCUUUGGAUUUCUUGCUGACGAAUAAGGAUGGCUCAGCUACAGGUGCACGUUUGGAUGUGCUCUUCUUUUGGUUCUUGCUGAUGUCCUUGAGGGCUUUCAUCAUUCCCUUCUCAAAAUUGUCACAUAUCUCUUGGACAUCAAACUGAAGGAAUCGCCUCUUUGGAUUAGCUUCACCUUGGGACGACUUGAAAGGUUCAUUGCACCUCCUGUUUGGCCUAUCCUGCACACUAACAAACUCAUCAAAAUUAUUCAAAGAAUAUUUAAAUGAAGAUUGAGAGAUAGUUUGUUGUGGGGAUUUCUCCUUACUACUUUUCCUUUGAAGACCAAACAUCAUAACCUGAAAAUCUCAACACAAAAGUUAGAAAAUAAAACAUCACACUCUCAAGUGUUUAAUCUCACCCACUCAAGUGUUUCUCUCAGAAUUUGGAUGGUCACACAACAAGUUUUCACUCGAAGUUCUAAGAAGAACAAAUCAAAGAAACUCAAUGGACAAAAUCCAAGCAAACACAAGGGAAUUUUAAAAGAGAGAAAGAUAAGAGAUUUUUGGUUUUGGGAAUCCGUUUUAACCACCUCAAAGGCUGGAUUUCUCCUCAGCCAGCAGGCUUUCUCUUCCACCACCAAUCCCCAAAUGAAAAAACUUUUCGAAUUUUUUUUUUUAAUAGAUCUUUUUUUUUGAUAGAUUGAGGAUGGUAAUGAGGGGCCCGGAUUCAAGAUAGAUAGAUGAAGAGUGUUUAUUAAGAAAAGGAAGAUGAGAAAGAUGAAUGAUUCAGAAGAUACCAAACGAGCGGCUCUGAUACCACUUGAAGGACCCUAAGAUCGGCUCACUCGAAUGGAUCAGAUUUGGAUAUGAACUCCGAAUGGAGAACUAGAUGGAUUGAAGGGUCGCACGAUGGUUGCGGAAUGGCCUUCGAUAUUCCCGGCUUCAGUUGGUGCUUGAUAUGACUCAGAAGGCCACCAAAAGAAGAAUCUCGAACCGUUGCUUGAUAUGACUCACAAGACCAACGAGUUUGAGGGGUGUUUACUUGGAUAUGACUCACCAAGAAACUAAGAACAAGUUAUAAACGAAGAACAAAGAGUUUAACUCAAACUUUAGACAAAAAUGAUUUCUUAUUUAUUAUAAUGAAAGAGUUUCAUACUUAUAGAGUUUUGCAGAUCUAGGAAUUAAAUAGAAAAGUAGAUCUAGAUAUAGUCAUUAAAUAAAAUAAAGACAAAUUUUUAAAUGUGACUGAUCGGCUUCUGUCCAGGUUCGUUGUAUCCUGAAGCAUGGACCACGGUAAGGAGAAGGACGGAUGUGGGACUGUCCGUAUGAGCCACCAUGUCUGGAUCAUGAACCAGACUUGUGACACCCCCGAUCUGGUCUAAGUAUAAGUUGACUCGACCAGCCGUGCAACAAUCAAACAAGAACAUGCACAGCCGAUCACUCGUAACUGAAACCAAACCGAGAAGCCACAAUGUAUACAUAAACGACUAACCCGAAGUUCCCGAAAUAAAUCCAGGUACCUUAGGCCAACCGCCUAAGUACACAUAUCCUAUUAGGUACAACCCGAGGCUUUACAACCUUAAGAGUAAUACCCAAUAGUUGGUUCGUCGGGACAAGGACUAAUAUCAUUUGGAACCCGUACUUUAAAAACAUUCUUUAUACACUAUAUACUUAUUCAUUUAAAAGAAUCUUACGAAAUCUUAUAGAUUAACCUCGAGGUUUUCGGUCAACAAACCUUAUACAUAAAGUAUAUCAAAACAACUGGAUAGAUAAUAAAACUACCGCUGGCUACUGCCGUUCCUUCCCAUCCUAGAGUAAAGGUCUCCCAUCUACUGGUUACCUGCAUAUCAAAUGAGUCAUGAGUAACUAGUUUACUCAGUGAGUCUAAUCCCACACCCAAACACAUAUCAAUAGUAUCCCGAGCAAGAGACACCAUUUGAAUGCAGUAGAAUUAUAUUCCAUAAUUAAUAUAAUUAUAUGGCCUCUCAAUCCAUCCAUGUGAAUCUAUCUUAAACAUCACAUCCACGAUACCCGCCAAUCACUCAUACUCUUAAUAUAUAUAUAUAUGCUAAACCCGGAAAACCACCAAGGCUAACCGAGCCUAACGGGGAAUAAAUAUAACCAUCAUCUCCAUCAGAUAUUCCAAGAUAGAACAUCCAACGCUGCAUGCAUUUACACGGCCUCCAGGGUGCGACCCAUCAUCCUGUCUUCAUGACCUUGCUCCAUAUCGCAGGACCAAUUCACGGCAAUGCGGAACUUUCGGGAGAGUGAGUAUACAAUAAGAAUUCACAUGAUUCACACUUAUUAAUAGAAUACUUAUAGAUUAGUACUUGAGAACAAGUACUAAGGCUCGGGAUAACCUCAAAGAAUUAUUCUUAUUAAUUCUUAAGUAUUUAAACUAGAUAAAUACUUCAUAUAUAAAUAUGGAUCAAGGGAUAAUACUUAAUCAAUCAACCAUAAUUACUCUUUAAUUAAUCCAUGAUUAAUCCUUAAUUAAUCAAUGAUUAUCCCUUAAUUAAUUCAUGAUUAAUUCUUAAUUAAUCAACCAUAUUCAAUAUGCAAUCAUGCAUACUCAUUCAUAAUUCAUUCAUCAUCUAUCUAGACUCACCUUUAAAUCCAUGAGAUUGGCUAAGGAAGACUAGACUCGAGCUCAAGCUAAUCACACUUCACUUCUGGAUCACUCUCGGUUCAGAACCAGCACAAGGAUCCGGCUGAUCCGAAUACUCUCCUUGGCCAUCUGAACUCAAAACAUAACAGUUGGAACAUAAGGUUCACUAGUCUGGUUCAAGAAGAAACUCAACUCAGUUCAUAACAUUUCAGUUCAGUUCGGUUCAAGACAGAUUGAUACCAUGUUCAGCUCGGUUCAAGCUUUAACAAUUUAACUCGGUUCAUAUCAGCUUAGUUCAUGCUCAGCUAACUCCGGUUCUAAUCAGUUCCCAACAGCUUAACUCAGUUAUACUCAGACGACAUCAGUUCAAGACAAUUUCAGACCACAGACAGCUCGGCUAAGAUCAGAUCAGAACAUACUCAGUUCAAUUCAGUUCUAAACAAGAUCAAAUCAGUUCGGUUUAAUUCCCAUAAUUCUUAUCAGUUCGUCUACUGGUUCCAUGAGACUGAUUAAAUCAUAAACCAACCAAGACAGAAGAGAAAAAGACCUUAGACAACUGAUCCUGACAGGUUAACCAACAUACAGCAAUUGGUUCUCAUCAAAACAUGGCUGAAUCAAGAAGCUGAAGCUUACCGGUUUUACUCAACUAAUUAAACUUGACUGGUUGUCUCUCUUCAAGCUAACCACGAAUUAACCUGAUCAACACCACAAGAAUCCAUGGUUGGAUUUAUUCAGAAUUUAUCUCCAGUGUAGGCAAACCAACAAAACUUCUCACAUAAACUUAUCCACAACCAUCUUACCGAUCAAAAUCAAAGGCUGAAGAACAUCGGUGAUUCUCUACUUCAGGACGCGGAACUGAUAUCACUCAAAUUACCCUAAAGAGUGUUACUCUCAUCAAAAGAGGUCGAGUUAUAGUACUUAGGGAUCAAAUCCACAAGGAGCUAGGGAACCGAUUAGAUCUAAUAGUUAUAUGAUUAAGCUAGGCUAAUAGGUUUUAAAGCAGUAAAUAAAACAAGUAAUAAAUAAAGCAAUAAACAAGAUGAACAAAAUAAUUGUUCAGCUUGGCAAGGAGUAGUUUGAUGGAGGGAUGGUUGAUAGAUCUAGGGUUUCUAUUCAGGUGUUGGAGAUUAUAAUUCCUAUAGGUACCUAUUUGUUGCAUGCAAGAUAUGUUAGAGCUCAACCGCUUAACUUAGUGAUCAGCUGUCGCAUGUUUCACUGGUUAACAAGCUAGAUCUCGUGUCUCAACGGUUAGUAUGUUGACACGAAAGAGUGUCGAUCGAUGGUCCUAUUGGGACAUCGACCGAUACACCUUUGCCUACGUUGACCGAUAGUCAGUUGAGGACAUCGAUCGACGGGUUCUAGCCAGGCCUAUGCGCGAGUAUGAUAUGCCCUACUAAGAUACUAAAUUGGCGGUUAGCCCUCUCUAGCAGUCCUAAUAUGAUAGAUAGAUGUCAGGAUGGGAUAACAAGGGUGCUUGAGUAUGCAAUCCUAUGAUCAAGUUCUUGUUAAUUACUCUAAAACAAGCAAUGAAUCCAAAUCUAUCAUGAAUAUCACAACAAGGUGUAUCUAUAGUUUGGGGCUAAUCCCACAAACCUAUCUGAACCCUGGAUCUAACAGGUGGAUCUAUUCAGACAUGAAGUUUGUCACAGAAAUCAUAGAUGAAAUAUAACUGAAAAAGAAAUGAUUAAGAAAACCAAUGGAGUUCCAGGAGGACUCUGAUAGGAGUUCCUCCCUUCUCUCCAAAGAGAAACAAUGGAAAUGAAAGCGUAUAAAAAGCGUAACCGUCAACAAUGGCUUAGAAAUAACAUAAAUAGGGUUUAUGGUCGUCCAAAGGCAUUCUGUUAAUUUGUGGUUACUUCUGGGCUUCACGCAGUCAUAAAAUAUACAAGGCCCACGAUCUGAGAUCUCCAUCGAUCGACGUGCAGAGUGCUGCAUCGAUCGACGCGGCUUCCUCUUCUCGGCAGCUUCCUCUCGCGAGGCAGACUGACCACUCUUCAGUAAAACGGGCAUAACUUCUGUUACAGGAUGCUGAUUGACCUGAGACCGGUGGCAUUGGAAAGCUAACUCAAAGCUCUAUCUUGUUUAAAAAUAUGGGCUCAAUCUAACGGUCGGAAGGUCUCCAUCCAUACCGAACAUCUGACGCGUCUGUGCAACUCUGUACCUCCAAAGGCUCCAAAAGACUCCAAAAUCACCAUAUUUCUCCUAAACGUCCUUGAACCUGUAAAUACUCUAAAUAGACUCCAAAACAUAAUAAUUGUAUCUUAAAACACUUUAAAACACUUAUAGACCAUGAUUAAAAAUGGGUAAAAUAUAUGGUCUAUCAACUCCCCCAGACUUACCCUUUUGCUUGUCGUCAAGCAAAACAGACUGGCAGUCUCUCUGAAAGAGGUUUUGAAAACAACAGGGAAUCACAUGAUUUAAAACUUAGAAUCAUCACCUCUACAAUAUUGUAAUCCACAUUUAAGAAUUCCUAAUCACAGAAGCACAUUAUACAAUAUCCUAGCUUAGCAACCAAAUUCACCUAGCAAACAUCUUACCAAAUCAUGUCUGGUAUUCCCCUCUACCAACCUCAUUUCUUAACAUAAAUAAAUGUGUAUGCUUUACCUUGGGAGUAUCGAUCACAAGACACAUGGACUCUUACCCCAACAUGUAUCUGAGUAAACAGGUAGUCUUGUUCUGGUUUCUUUUACUCUAUAUCUCCCUUCUUUGAAACCUUUUUAUCUCAAUUCCAAUGAACAAAGAUGCUGAUGCAGUCCAUCUUAUUCACCUUCUUUUCGAUUUUUUUUAUUUUUUAUUUUUUUAUUUUUUAUUUUUUUUAUUUUUUAUUUUUUCCUUUUUCUUUUCUUGACAAAGUGUAGGCGAAUAGUGGGGUCAUCGGUAAUGUACCUACCCCUCGCUUCCAACAAUGUGUGAUCAUUCUAUUAGAGUAGAAUAAUGAGGUCAUCGGUAAUGUACCUACCCCUCGCUUCCAACAAUGUGUGAUCAUUCUAUUAGAGUAGAAUAAUGAGGUCAUCGGUAAUGUACCUACCCUUCUAAACCGCAAGAAAUCAUCUCAAUCUUUUAUUUUAUUUUAUUAGGAUGCCAAUGGGAGGAGAUAAGGAAACCAGAAUCACUCAGACUUUUACCUUUCAGACCUGAAGGAGGAAUCCGAUCCAGUGUAUACCAAGCCCCAAGACAAGCAGUUAAGUCAAAUUAGGUUCGAGGUCAGUUUCGGUUCCUUCAAACAAUCUCAGCAAGUGUGAACAUAGUUGACAGAUUGAUCCACUUUAGUAUCUUUAGUACUAUCUGCAAUCAGUAAGUCUAGAAUAGUGCUAAAGAGUGGUUAGAUAACAAGCAUAAAUCUAAUAAGUUCAUUAUCCCUUUCUUGACUCAAUAAAAACAUAUUUUGAAAGUAUUUUAAAUAAGACUCAUAAACGUAGAUAAAUGUUAGUAAUCCCCCCAGACUUAUAUUACACUGUCCCCAGUGUAACACAGUCGGUGGUAAGGUGAAAAUCAUAAAGUAGAAGUACAAAAUUUAACAAGUAAGAACGAUAACCUGCUCAGUAUCGAUCGAUACAAUGAAGUGACAAUCGAUCGUUGUUGAUGAAGUGUUGUCGAUCAAUAUCGAGAUGGUCUCAUCGGUCGAUGAUCUGAGCAACCGUCUACAUGGAUCUGUUUUUUUUUUUUCAUUACUAAAACACAAUAUCAGUAGAACCUCCCCCAGACUUAGAUAACGCUGUGACCAGUGUAUAUCCAGUCCGAGUUAUGGUGUAAAGUAAAUCAUAAGUACUCAAUUUAACAAAUUAGAAUGAUAUACCUGACCGGAAUGGAUGUCAAUCGAUGUAAACAUGUUGUCAUCGGUCGUGGAAGAUGUAGCAAUGUCGAUCGAUAUCGACUUGUUCUCGUCGGUCGCUAUCAUGACAAUCGUUUACUUGGGUCCGUAUUCUAAACAUCUAACUUAAACCUAAUAUUAAUAUAACCUUUCCCAAACUUAAAUAACAUUGUGACCAAUGUUAUUCAGCCUAAGAUCGGUGGGAGAAUAAAUCAUAAGGACAAUAUUUAACAAGGAAGAACAAUAUACCUAACUUUUAUGUGAAUAUUGACCAACACAGUUAAGUGGCGAUCGAUACCCUUGAUACUCUGUCGAUCGAUGUUAGCUAGCCAUCAUCGAUUUCUAUGGAAACUCGUCUUCCUCGGAUCUUUUCCUUGUACCUAACAUAAAUAAAACACUAAAAAUCUAAAAGUUAAUAAUAUAUAACUAAUAAAACCAAUUAACUAAUAAUUUUAUUUUAUUUUUUGUUUUAUUUUUUAUUUUUUUUUACCUGAAAAUAUUAGAAAACAAGAAAAAUCAGUAAUAAAUGAAAAUUAAAUCAUAUUUAAAACAAACCUAACAGUGGGUUGCCUCCCACUCAGCGCUUAUUUUUAGUCAUUAGCUUGACUUCUGGAGAUAUGAUUAAGUCCGCAUAAGAAUGAGAACUUGCUCCAAACCAAGUCUCAAUGUCUACUCUUUGAAGCUUUAUCAUUCUUGUGUGAAAGCCUUCUCCAUAGACCCUUCUCCUUUGUCUAUCAUAUCAACAAUAAGGAGUGCUCUAAGUUUUGCAUAUGGAUGUGAGAAGCAUUUGCUGCGCACUCUUGAUUUUCUGAUACUAUCUGAGAAGUAAGGAGUCAAUGGUAAUUGAGAACCUCCUUUGGUUCGUUUCCGCUUCUUCCAAUUUCUCCCCUUCUUUCCCAAAGACUUGUGUAAUCUCACUCUGGAUUUCCUGGUAUCAUCUGAGAAGUGAGGAAUCAAUGAUAUCUGAGAACCUUCAUUGAUUCUAUUUUUCUUCUUCCAGUUCCUCCACUUCUUUCCCCCAGACUUGUCUGAAUGCGUGGUGGUAUCUCCAUAAAAAAUAUUUCCACACAAUUCAUACUCAUUCUGCUCUGAUUCGCGUCUGGUGUCGACUGAUGGUAUUUGAUCGGUAUCGAUCGAUGAUGAAGUGUUAGUGUCGAUCAAUUCCGAUUUGCUCAUGUCGCUCGAUGGUGCUUCUGCUGGGACUUCAUCUACUUCAUCUCUAAAUCGCAGCCCUCUUUGAGAAGCUUCUACAUGAUGUUGAUCAUUCAAUACUUCAAUGAAAGAACUCAGAUACACACCUUUAUCUGGUGGGAUAGGAGAUUCAACUUCAAACACUGCACAUGGAACCAUAAUCUUCACAGGAUCAUGUAUCCUCUUCACUCUUUUGCAAAUCCCAACAGUUUCUUCUGCGCAUAUAGGUGGUCUUAGAUGUUUGGGGACAUCAAUGUGUGAUGUCUUAGACAUGUGCAUUAUCUCCUCAAUCGGUCCUGGUUCAAUUGGGUAUCCAGAUAGUCCAUCCAAACAUGGGUGUCGAUCGAUGCAAUCGGGUGGGUAUCGAGCGAUACAGUCGGGUGUAUGUAGAUUCAUGAUGUGUAGCGACCGUCGAUCGAUUGCGUAGGGUGGGUGUUGAUCGAUUAUGCAGAGAGUGUAUCGAUCGAUCUCAUCAGGUUGAUGUCGAUCGAUGUCGUCAGCCUUUGGUGAAAUUUUCAGACCUCUUCCCGAAGUGUGCUGAUCAUCAAAUUUUUGCUUCGGGUUCUGGUCUAAAUCCUCAAGCCAUUCCUCCAGCUCCAAGAAGUCUUCCAUAGUUACUUCUUCACUCGAAUCCAAAUCUCCAAGCUGUUGUCCAUCCUCCAACUCCAAGAAUUUUUCUAGUUCCAAGAAGUCUUUCAUGGUGAUUUCUUUUUAUACUUUUUGGUCAGGAUAAAAACUUGAUACAUCGAUGAUCUUCAGUGUCGAGUCUGCAAUGUCCUGAGGACAACUCGAUUUUUCAGGGAUUUCAAGUGGAAUUGAUCGACAACAGGAGUUUGUGUCGAUCGAUGUUGGAAGGCUGGGGUCGAUCGAUGUUGAGGUCGGAAUGUCGAUCGGUUCUGAGCUCAUGUCAGUAAUACCGACUUCUUAUAUUCUGCUCAGCUCUCCAGAUACAUGUUGUUCAUCAUCUUCCACCAUAUAUUCCAUCAUAGAUCUCAUCUCAAUCUCUAGACUUGCUGCAGCAUCAUAGAGAAAUUUGUUGAGGAAGGCGUAUCUGAUGUCAUUCCAGGUAGUGAGAGAUCCUAGUGGCAACUUCAUGAACCAAUAUGCUGCUUCUCCAGCAAGAGAGUAUGAGAAUAAUUUGCAUAAAUAGGUCUUCAAAGACUCCAUUGCAUUUGAUGGUCGAUGCCAGAUCUAUAAAUGUCUCCAGGUGGCUAGUGGGAUCUUCAUGAGGAAAACCAUGGAAAGAAUGUUGACCCACAAGAGAGAUAUAUGCAGGGUGCAGCUCAAGGACAGUAUUCUGAAGUGCUGAACGACGCAAUGCAGACCUUUUAGCAUAAGCAUCCUCAGGACUGUUAUAGUCUCUAAUUGCCUUCGGUCGUCCAGUCCUAACAUUCACAGUUAUAGCAUCAGGGAUUGUAGAAGGUAUCGAUCGAUGACAAAUAUCUGUAUCGAUCGUUUCUGAAGUGCGGAUAUCGAUCGAUUCUGAGUUACUACUGUCGAUCGAUGCUGAAGUCGGACCUUUUGUAUCAGCUUCUUCUACUUUGCUCUGCUCUCCUGAUACAUGAUAUUCAUCAUCCUCAACUAUAUCAUGGUUGACCAGCUUUUCUCUGUUCAGUUCGUCCUUCUGCUUACUCUCAUCUGCAUGGUGAACCUGAAUGUCUGGCUGCUUGACAUGAGUUGUCGGUGUUUCAAUAUCUCCAUUCUCGUCGCUGUAGACGAAGUCAAGAAUCUGACUUGUAGUAAUCAUUAUUCCUUUCUCCCGUUCUUUAAUCAUGUUAUCAAGCCUUUUACUUCGAGUUGCUACAGUCUCGCUGAAAAAUUUGCCUAUGAAGGCUUCUUUGAUGUCUUCCCAGCAGGUUAGAGAUCUUGGUUGCAGUUUACUGAACCAGCUAAAAGCAUCUCCAGAUAAACAAUAGGGGAAGAUCUUGCAGAAAAUGUGGUCUGGAGAUAUUUCAUCGUGCUUGUUUGCUGAGGCUAACUCCUCAAGUCUCUUGAUAAGAUCUUUAGGAUCCUCAUGAGGAAGACCGUAAAAUGGAUCCUCACUUCACCAAUCAUACCAUUGACUUGUCAGAUUAAAGGUAUUCGUCUCAGCCACAUCAAUUACAUCAGGGUUUACACUACCCUCUGCAUUAAUUAAUUGUCCUGUGAGGCUGCAAGGGCGACCUUCUUCGUCUCGCCAAAUACCUUUCUUAUCAAUCUUAAGUAUGAGCGCUUCGACCUUCUCUGUCUCUCCGUAAGUGAUGUUCAUCAUUGGAGGAACAGUGCCGCGAUGAAUAGUGUUUUGACGAACAGUGUCGCAAUGAACAGUGUUCGGAUGAACAGUAUCGCGAUGAACAAUGUUAGGAUGAACAGUAUUCGGGUGAACAGUGUCGAUCGAUGGAAGAUGAAUAGGGUCGACCAACACGGGAUGAACAGUGUCGAUCGACGGGAUAUGAAUAGUAUCGACCGACAUGGGAUGAACAGUGUCGAUCGACGGGAUAUGAAUAGUGUCGACCGACACGGGAUGAACAGUGUAGAUCGACGGGAUAUGAAUAGUGUCGACCGACACAGGAUGAACAGUGUCGAUCGACGGUAGGUGAAUAGUAUCGCGAUGAACAAUACUAUGAUGAAUAGUAUUAUGAUGAAGAGUACCUGGAUGAACAGUAUCUCGAUGAAUAGUAUUGCGGUGAAUAGUACCCCAUAUGAACAGUAACAUGCUGAACAGUCCCCGGAUGAAUAGUACCGCGAUGAAUAGUGUUUUCCGACACAUGAUGAAUAGUGUCAUUCGAUGCUUGGCUCACGCUAUCGAUCGAUGUUGCUUCGAGGGUGUCGAUCGAUACAUCCCUCAUAGACUUACGGAUCGUGCAUAAACCAACAGGUUCCUUCUUUGAAGGACCUAGAAAUCCUCUCUUCAUUGUUUUCUGGUACUAAGAGUUAUGUACCUGAAAUAGAAGAAAAAAUUUUAUGAGUUUUUCGAACAGUAACAAAACCUAGACUAAAUCUAACUAAACAAGAUCUAAUGGCGAUCAAAGCUCCCCGGCAACGGCGCCAAAUUUGAUAUCACUCAAAUUACCCUAAAGAGUGUUACUCUCAUCAAAAGAGGUCGAGUUAUAGUACUUUGGGAUCGAAUCCACAAGGUGCGAGGGAACCGAUUAGAUCUAAUAGUUAUAUGAUUAAGCUAGGCUAAUAGGUUUUAAAGCAGUAAAUAAAACAAGUAAUAAAUAAAGCAAUAAACAAGAUGAACAAGGUAAUUGUUCAGCUUGGCAAGGAGUAGUUUGAUGGAGGGAUGGUUGAUAGAUCUAGGGUUUCUAUUCAGGUGUUGGAGGUUAUAAUUCCUAUAGGUACCUAUUUGUUGCAUGCAAGAUAUGUUAUAGCUCAACCGCUUAACUUAGUGAUCAGCUGUCGCAUGUUUCACUGGUUAACAAGCUAGAUCUCGUGUCGAUCGAUGGUCCUAUUGGGACAUCGACCGAUACACCUUUGCCUACGUUGACCGAUAGUCAGUAGAGGACAUCGAUCGACGGGUUCUAGCCAGGCCUAUGCGCGAGUAUGAUAUGCCCUACUAAGAUACUAAAUUGGCGGUUAGCCCUCUCUAGCAGUCCUAAUAUGAUAGAUAGAUGUCAGGAUGGGAUAACAAGGGUGCUUGAGUAUGCAAUCCUAUGAUCAAGUUCUUGUUAAUUACUCUAAAACAAGCAAUGAAUCCAAAUCUAUCAUGAAUAUCAAAACAAGGUGGAUCUAUAGUUUGGGGCUAAUCCCACAAACCUAUCUGAACCCUGGAUCUAACAGGUGGAUCUAUUCAGACAUGAAGUUUGUCACAGAAAUCAUAGAUGAAAUAGAUGUAAAACUGAAAUAGAAAUGAUUAAGAAAACCAAUGGAGUUCCAGGAGGACUCUGAUAGGAGUUCCUCCCUUCUCUCCUAAGAGAAACAAUGGAAAUGAAAGCGUGUAGAAAGCGUAGCCGUCAACAAUGGCUUAGAAAUAACAUAAAUAGGAUUUCUGGUCGUCCAAAGGCAUUCUGGUAAUUUGUGGUUACUUAUGGGCUUCACGCAGUCAUAAAAUAUAUAAGGCCCACUAUCUGGGAUCUCCAUCGCGAGGCAGACUGACCACUCUUCAGUAAAACAGGCAUAACCUCUGCUACAUGAUGCUGAUUGACCUGAGACCGAUUGCAUUGGAAAGCUAACUCAAAGCUCUAUAUUGUGUAAAACUAUGGGCUCAAUCUAACGGUCGGAAGGUCUCCAUCCAUAGCUAAAUAUCUGACGCGUCUGUGCAACUCUGCACCUCCAAAGGCUCCAAGAGAUUCCAAAAUCACCAUAUUUCUCCUAAACGUCCUUGAACCUGUAAAUACUCUAAAUAGACUCCAAAACAUAAUAAUUGUAUCUUAAAACACUUUAAAACACUUAUAGACCAUGACUAAAAAUGGGUAAAAUAUAUGGUCUUUCACAAACCUUCAGCUCUUAAACACUCCAAAACGCACUGAUUAAAUUCACAGAAGGGUGAGAAAGGGUCGUUCAUGCUCACUUCUCUUCUCUGAUUUUUUUCUGAAUUUUUGCAUGAGUUUUUCUCACAGAUUUUUCUCUUUUCUUUCUCUCUUUCUCUCUGAAAUUUUAUCUGGUUUUUCUUGUGCAACAGGACGUCCACAAGAGAGAAGAAGGUAUUUUAUAGCAUAAGGGGUUGCUUCAGCUGAGGGUUUACUUAAACCAAAGCAAGUUGCUGUCCUUUCCCUCCUUUGAAGAAAGAUUAUUUUGUUUUUAUUAAACAAGCAACCAGCUUGUGACUUUCAUGUGACUUUAGUGAAGCAUGCAAGCAGGUAGGUGCAGCUCAUGUGACUGAUUUACUGAAAAAGCAAGCAGAAUAGCUGGUGAAGGUAUUAGACUGGUCGGAAUUUAGUUAAGAAACUUAACGACAAUUUCGGACAGUUUUCGACUAAAAAUUUUCAUCCUUCGAAUCUUGUCUUGCUUUCAACUAAGCUUGCCUAGCUUAAGUAAAUUCGACCAACAUUAUUAACACUCUACCAGAACUAUCAAUGAGAGGCCUUUCGGCCACAAGACAGUCCCGUCUAGGGUUUCUAUUCAGGUGUUGGAGGUUAUAAUUCCUAUAGGUACCUAUUUGUUGCAUGCAAGAUAUGUUAGAGCUCAACCGCUUAACUUAGUGAUCAGCUGUCGCAUGUUUCACUGGUUAACAAGCUAGAUCUCGUGUCUCAAUGGUUAGUAUGUUGACACGAAAGAGUGUUGAUCGAUGGUCCUAUUGGGACAUCGACCGAUACACCUUUGCCUACGUUGACCGAUAGUGAGUUGAGGACAUCGAUCGACGGGUUCUAGCCAGGCCUAUGCACGAGUAUGAUAUGCCCUACUAAGAUACUAAAUUGGCGGUUAGCCCUCUCUAGCAGUCCUAAUAUGAUAGAUAGAUGUCAGGAUGGGAUAACAAGGGUGCUUGAGUAUGCAAUCCUAUGAUCAAGUUCUUGUUAAUUACUCUAAAACAAGCAAUGAAUCCAAAUCUAUCAUGAAUAUCACAACAAGGUGUAUCUAUAGUUUGGGGCUAAUCCCACAAACCUAUCUGAACCCUGGAUCUAACAGGUGGAUCUAUUCAGACAUGAAGUUUGUCACAGAAAUCAUAGAUGAAAUAGAUGUAAAACUGAAAUAGAAAUGAUUAAGAAAACCAAUGGAGUUCCAGGAGGACUCUGAUAGGAGUUCCUCCCUUCUCUCCUAAGAGAAACAAUGGAAAUGAAAGCGUGUAGAAAGCGUAGCCGUCAACAAUGGCUUAGAAAUAACAUAAAUAGGAUUUCUGGUCGUCCAAAGGCAUUCUGGUAAUUUGUGGUUACUUCUGGGCUUCACGCAGUCAUAAAAUAUAUAAGGCCCACUAUCUGGGAUCUCCAUCGCGAGGCAGACUGACCACUCUUCAGUAAAACAGGCAUAACCUCUGCUACAUGAUGCUGAUUGACCUGAGACCGAUUGCAUUGGAAAGCUAACUCAAAGCUCUAUAUUGUGUAAAACUAUGGGCUCAAUCUAACGGUCGGAAGGUCUCCAUCCAUAGCUAAAUAUCUGACGCGUCUGUGCAACUCUGCACCUCCAAAGGCUCCAAGAGAUUCCAAAAUCACCAUUUUUCUCCUAAACGUCCUUGAACCUGUAAAUACUCUAAAUAGACUCCAAAACAUAAUAAUUGUAUCUUAAAACACUUUAAAACACUUAUAGACCAUGACUAAAAAUGGGUAAAAUAUAUGGUCUUUCACAAACCUUCAGCUCUUAAACACUCCAAAACGCACUGAUUAAAUUCACAGAAGGGUGAGAAAGGGUCGUUCAUGCUCACUUCUCUUCUCUGAUUUUUUUCUGAAUUUUUGCAUGAGUUUUUCUCACAGCUUUUUCUCUUUUCUUUCUCUCUUUCUCUCAGAAAUUUUAUCUGGUUUUUCUUGUGCAACAGGACGUCCAGAAGAGAGAAGAAGGUAUUUUAUAGCAUAAGGGGUUGCUUCAGCUGAGGGUUUACUUAAACCAAAGCAAGUUGCUGUCCUUUCCCUCCUUUGAAGAAAGAUUAUUUUGUUUUUAUUAAACAAGCAACCAGCUUGUGACUUUCAUGUGACUUUAGUGAAGCAUGCAAGCAGGUAGGUGCAGCUCAUGUGACUGAUUUACUGAAAAAGCAAGCAGAAUAGCUGGUGAAGGUAUUAGACUGGUCGGAAUUUAGUUAAGAAACUUAACGACAAUUUCGGACAGUUUUCGACUAAAAAUUUUCAUCCUUCGAAUCUUGUCUUGCUUUCAACUAAGCUUGCCUAGCUUAAGUAAAUUCGACCAACAUUAUUAACACUCUACCAAAACUAUCAAUGAGAGGCCUUUCGGCCACAAGACAGUCCCGUCUAGGGUUUCUAUUCAGGUGUUGGAGGUUAUAAUUCCUAUAGGUACCUAUUUGUUGCAUGCAAGAUAUGUUAGAGCUCAACCGCUUAACUUAGUGAUCAGCUGUCGCAUGUUUCACUGGUUAACAAGCUGGAUCUCGUGUCUCAACGGUUAGUAUGUUGACACGAAAGAGUGUCGAUCGAUGGUCCUAUUGGGACAUCGACCGAUACACCUUUGCCUACGUUGACCGAUAGUGAGUUGAGGACAUCGAUCGACGGGUUCUAGCCAGGCCUAUGCGCGAGUAUGAUAUGCCCUACUAAGAUACUAAAUUGGCGGUUAGCCCUCUCUAGCAGUCCUAAUAUGAUAGAUAUAUGUCAGGAUGGGAUAACAAGGGUGCUUGAGUAUGCAAUCCUAUGAUCAAGUUCUUGUUAAUUACUCUAAAACAAGGAAUGAAUCCAAAUCUAUCAUGAAUAUCACAACAAGGUGGAUCUAUAGUUUGGGGCUAAUCCCACAAACCUAUCUGAACCCUGGAUCUAACAGGUGGAUCUAUUCAGACAUGAAGUUUGUCACAGAAAUCAUAGAUGAAAUAGAUGUAAAACUGAAAUAGAAAUGAUUAAGAAAACCAAUGGAGUUCCAGGAGGACUCUGAUAGGAGUUCCUCCCUUCUCUCCUAAGAGAAACAAUGGAAAUGAAAGCGUGUAGAAAGCGUAGCCGUCAACAAUGGCUUAGAAAUAACAUAAAUAGGAUUUCUGGUCGUCCAAAGGCAUUCUGGUAAUUUGUGGUUACUUCUGGGCUUCACGCAGUCAUAAAAUAUAUAAGGCCCACUAUCUGGGAUCUCCAUCGCGAGGCAGACUGACCACUCUUCAGUAAAACAGGCAUAACCUCUGCUACAUGAUGCUGAUUGACCUGAGACCGAUUGCAUUGGAAAGCUAACUCAAAGCUCUAUAUUGUGUAAAACUAUGGGCUCAAUCUAACGGUCGGAAGGUCUCCAUCCAUAGCUAAAUAUCUGACGCGUCUGUGCAACUCUGCACCUCCAAAGGCUCCAAGAGAUUCCAAAAUCACCAUAUUUCUCCUAAACGUCCUUGAACCUGUAAAUACUCUAAAUAGACUCCAAAACAUAAUAAUUGUAUCUUAAAACACUUUAAAACACUUAUAGACCAUGACUAAAAAUGGGUAAAAUAUAUGGUCUUUCACAAACCUUCAGCUCUUAAACACUCCAAAACGCACUGAUUAAAUUCACAGAAGGGUGAGAAAGGGUCGUUCAUGCUCACUUCUCUUCUCUGAUUUUUUUCUGAAUUUUUGCAUGAGUUUUUCUCACAGAUUUUUCUCUUUUCUUUCUCUCUUUCUCUCUGAAAUUUUCUCUGUUUUUCUUGUGCAACAGGACGUCCAGAAGAGAGAAGAAGGUAUUUUAUAGCAUAAGGGGUUGCUUCAGCUGAGGGUUUACUUAAACCAAAGCAAGUUGCUGUCCUUUCCCUCCUUUGAAGAAAGAUUAUUUUGUUUUUAUUAAACAAGCAACCAGCUUGUGACUUUCAUGUGACUUUAGUGAAGCAUGCAAGCAGGUAGGUGCAGCUCAUGUGACUGAUUUACUGAAAAAGCAAGCAGAAUAGCUGGUGAAGGUAUUAGACUGGUCGGAAUUUAGUUAAGAAACUUAACGACAAUUUCGGACAGUUUUCGACUAAAAAUUUUCAUCCUUCGAAUCUUGUCUUGCUUUUAACUAAGCUUGCCUAGCUUAAGUAAAUUCGACCAACAUUAUUAACACUCUACCAGAACUAUCAAUGAGAGGCCUUUCGGCCACAAGACAGUCCCGUCUAGGGUUUCUAUUCAGGUGUUGGAGGUUAUAAUUCCUAUAGGUACCUAUUUGUUGCAUGCAAGAUAUGUUAGAGCUCAACCGCUUAACUUAGUGAUCAGCUGUCGCAUGUUUCACUGGUUAACAAGCUAGAUCUCGUGUCUCAACGGUUAGUAUGUUGACACGAAAGAGUGUCGAUCGAUGGUCCUAUUGGGAUAUCGACCGAUACACCUUUGCCUACGUUGACCGAUAGUGAGUUGAGGACAUCGAUCGACGGGUUCUAGCCAGGCCUAUGCGCGAGUAUGAUAUGCCCUACUAAGAUACUAAAUUGGCGGUUAGCCCUCUCUAGCAGUCCUAAUAUGAUAGAUAGAUGUCAGGAUGGGAUAACAAGGGUGCUUGAGUAUGCAAUCCUAUGAUCAAGUUCUUGUUAAUUACUCUAAAACAAGCAAUGAAUCCAAAUCUAUCAUGAAUAUCACAACAAGGUGGAUCUAUAGUUUGGGGCUAAUCCCACAAACCUAUCUGAACCCUGGAUCUAACAGGUGGAUCUAUUCAGACAUGAAGUUUGUCACAGAAAUCAUAGAUGAAAUAGAUGUAAAACUGAAAUAGAAAUGAUUAAGAAAACCAAUGGAGUUCCAGGAGGACUCUGAUAGGAGUUCCUCCCUUCUCUCCUAAGAGAAACAAUGGAAAUGAAAGCGUGUAGAAAGCGUAGCCGUCAACAAUGGCUUAGAAAUAACAUAAAUAGGAUUUCUGGUCGUCCAAAGGCAUUCUGGUAAUUUGUGGUUACUUCUGGGCUUCACGCAGUCAUAAAAUAUAUAAGGCCCACUAUCUGGGAUCUCCAUCGCGAGGCAGACUGACCACUCUUCAGUAAAACAGGCAUAACCUCUGCUACAUGAUGCUGAUUGACCUGAGACCGAUUGCAUUGGAAAGCUAACUCAAAGCUCUAUAUUGUGUAAAACUAUGGGCUCAAUCUAACGGUCGGAAGGUCUCCAUCCAUAGCUAAAUAUCUGACGCGUCUGUGCAACUCUGCACCUCCAAAGGCUCCAAGAGAUUCCAAAAUCACCAUAUUUCUCCUAAACGUCCUUGAACCUGUAAAUACUCUAAAUAGACUCCAAAACAUAAUAAUUGUAUCUUAAAACACUUUAAAACACUUAUAGACCAUGACUAAAAAUGGGUAAAAUAUAUGGUCUUUCACAAACCUUCAGCUCUUAAACACUCCAAAACGCACUGAUUAAAUUCACAGAAGGGUGAGAAAGGGUCGUUCAUGCUCACUUCUCUUCUCUGAUUUUUUUCUGAAUUUUUGCAUGAGUUUUUCUCACAGAUUUUUCUCUUUUCUUUCUCUCUUUCUCUCUGAAAUUUUCUCUGUUUUUCUUGUGCAACAGGACGUCCAGAAGAGAGAAGAAGGUAUUUUAUAGCAUAAGGGGUUGCUUCAGCUGAGGGUUUACUUAAACCAAAGCAAGUUGCUGUCCUUUCCCUCCUUUGAAGAAAGAUUAUUUUGUUUUUAUUAAACAAGCAACCAGCUUGUGACUUUCAUGUGACUUUAGUGAAGCAUGCAAGCAGGUAGGUGCAGCUCAUGUGACUGAUUUACUGAAAAAGCAAGCAGAAUAGCUGGUGAAGGUAUUAGACUGGUCGGAAUUUAGUUAAGAAACUUAACGACAAUUUCGGACAGUUUUCGACUAAAAAUUUUCAUCCUUCGAAUCUUGUCUUGCUUUUAACUAAGCUUGCCUAGCUUAAGUAAAUUCGACCAACAUUAUUAACACUCUACCAGAACUAUCAAUGAGAGGCCUUUCGGCCACAAGACAGUCCCGUCUAGGGUUUCUAUUCAGGUGUUGGAGGUUAUAAUUCCUAUAGGUACCUAUUUGUUGCAUGCAAGAUAUGUUAGAGCUCAACCGCUUAACUUAGUGAUCAGCUGUCGCAUGUUUCACUGGUUAACAAGCUAGAUCUCGUGUCUCAACGGUUAGUAUGUUGACACGAAAGAGUGUCGAUCGAUGGUCCUAUUGGGAUAUCGACCGAUACACCUUUGCCUACGUUGACCGAUAGUGAGUUGAGGACAUCGAUCGACGGGUUCUAGCCAGGCCUAUGCGCGAGUAUGAUAUGCCCUACUAAGAUACUAAAUUGGCGGUUAGCCCUCUCUAGCAGUCCUAAUAUGAUAGAUAGAUGUCAGGAUGGGAUAACAAGGGUGCUUGAGUAUGCAAUCCUAUGAUCAAGUUCUUGUUAAUUACUCUAAAACAAGCAAUGAAUCCAAAUCUAUCAUGAAUAUCACAACAAGGUGGAUCUAUAGUUUGGGGCUAAUCCCACAAACCUAUCUGAACCCUGGAUCUAACAGGUGGAUCUAUUCAGACAUGAAGUUUGUCACAGAAAUCAUAGAUGAAAUAGAUGUAAAACUGAAAUAGAAAUGAUUAAGAAAACCAAUGGAGUUCCAGGAGGACUCUGAUAGGAGUUCCUCCCUUCUCUCCUAAGAGAAACAAUGGAAAUGAAAGCGUGUAGAAAGCGUAGCCGUCAACAAUGGCUUAGAAAUAACAUAAAUAGGAUUUCUGGUCGUCCAAAGGCAUUCUGGUAAUUUGUGGUUACUUCUGGGCUUCACGCAGUCAUAAAAUAUAUAAGGCCCACUAUCUGGGAUCUCCAUCGCGAGGCAGACUGACCACUCUUCAGUAAAACAGGCAUAACCUCUGCUACAUGAUGCUGAUUGACCUGAGACCGAUUGCAUUGGAAAGCUAACUCAAAGCUCUAUAUUGUGUAAAACUAUGGGCUCAAUCUAACGGUCGGAAGGUCUCCAUCCAUAGCUAAAUAUCUGACGCGUCUGUGCAACUCUGCACCUCCAAAGGCUCCAAGAGAUUCCAAAAUCACCAUAUUUCUCCUAAACGUCCUUGAACCUGUAAAUACUCUAAAUAGACUCCAAAACAUAAUAAUUGUAUCUUAAAACACUUUAAAACACUUAUAGACCAUGACUAAAAAUGGGUAAAAUAUAUGGUCUUUCACAAACCUUCAGCUCUUAAACACUCCAAAACGCACUGAUUAAAUUCACAGAAGGGUGAGAAAGGGUCGUUCAUGCUCACUUCUCUUCUCUGAUUUUUUUCUGAAUUUUUGCAUGAGUUUUUCUCACAGAUUUUUCUCUUUUCUUUCUCUCUUUCUCUCUGAAAUUUUAUCUGGUUUUUCUUGUGCAACAGGACGUCCACAAGAGAGAAGAAGGUAUUUUAUAGCAUAAGGGGUUGCUUCAGCUGAGGGUUUACUUAAACCAAAGCAAGUUGCUGUCCUUUCCCUCCUUUGAAGAAAGAUUAUUUUGUUUUUAUUAAACAAGCAACCAGCUUGUGACUUUCAUGUGACUUUAGUGAAGCAUGCAAGCAGGUAGGUGCAGCUCAUGUGACUGAUUUACUGAAAAAGCAAGCAGAAUAGCUGGUGAAGGUAUUAAACUGGUCGGAAUUUAGUUAAGAAACUUAACGACAAUUUCGGACAGUUUUCGACUAAAAAUUUUCAUCCUUCGAAUCUUGUCUUGCUUUCAACUAAGCUUGCCUAGCUUAAGUAAAAUUCGACCAACAUUAUUAACACUCUACCAGAACUAUCAAUGAGAGGCCUUUCGGCCACAAGACAGUCCCGUCGAGGUAUUAAAUCACCGGGUCGACUUUAUUUUUAAAUCUGAUCGACCAACUCCAAACUGGUCGAGCGGAGUUUUUCUCGACCAAAAAUUAACUGCCUCGUGAGGGUUAUUACAUUCUUCCCCCCUUAAAAGAAUUCGUCCCUGAAUUCUAAAAACAUAGCUGUACAGACUUUUACUGAACACUGGAGUCUCUGCAAGAAGUUUAAAAUAACCAACUCUGAACUUAUCCUCGUCUGCCCGUGUCAAACCAACUGAUGGGUCCCCAAAUACUUGAAGUUUUAUAAAUUUUUCCUUUUCUCCAAUCUUCUGAUAUGGUGCUCACCUAUCCGCAAAGGACCUUUAGGAUAGGCUAAAUAGGGUUACAAGUUUUCUAGUCUCAGCAGUUCUAUCAUACUGGGUCUGAUAUAAGAUUACGCAAAAUCGGCUUACCAAUAGCAUAACUAAAAGAAGUUCCGGUUUAGAGAUAACCAUUUCAACUCUGAACAACUCGGUACAGACCAAAUAACAGAUUUGCGGAUUUUCCCAACUUUUCUAAAACAAUUCUUUCUUUUCUGAGCAAACACUUUCUCGAUAACCAACUCUUCAUCGCGCAUAACUUUCAUAUACUGCGGUCUACAUACUUCCUUUGACAUCAUUGAAUCUCUGAAUACCAUUACUUCUGAAACCUUUCUAUCUGCUUUCCUCCAGUUCAAUAACAUGGAAAUAUGGAACGUCAGGUGAUGUGCCAUACGUGAAGGUAACAUCUUCAGUCUGGUCAAUGUCAACUUGAUUAACCGUGCAACAAUCAAACAAGAACAUGCACGAUCAAUCACGCUAACAUGAUUCAGACCAAGGGUGCCACUCUUAAAUACACACACACACACUUAUUCUAGGAAUGAUUUCCCUUACAGUAUUCCAUACCCUUCUUAUCUACCUGAGAUACUCUUCAAAAACUUCUGAACGAUUCAAUCUCACUAAAGUUUCACAUAUCCAAGUCUUGUUCUAUUACUUUCUGAUUUCCUUCUUCUGUAUAGUAACUGAGGAAACAACAAGUCCGCCUAUACCAAACCUGAUUUACCAACGAAGUACUCUUGUAUGAUGACUUCACAUUUUCUCUCUUAAUACAUCUUCCGAUCUCUUAACAACUUGAGCAUUCCCAUAUGCCUUAUGGUUAUGCCUUUUUCCUUGCACACUUAAAUCUUCCUUGGGAUUUACUUCACAUCUGCUUAAUUGUAGGUUGAAUUUGGGUUCAUUCUCCCACAUCUCCACUUUAUGAACCUGUACAUGACACAGUCCUCAUACUAUUCUUCGAAAUUCUCUUCACCCAGUUCCUUCUAUGAAUUCCUUAGAUUCUCAUCCUUCAACUGAGUUCCUCAAAUACGAAUGAAUAAGCCAUCUUGAUUUUCUACUUGCAAUCUUGAAGGUUCUCUAUUCUCUCCCUAUACGGCAGCAAAAUAAAUCACUCCCAAUUCCCCUUCAUGAUUCUUGAUAUCCUACUCAAUAUCAUCAUUAAUAUCACUUCCUCUUAAAGCAUAAGCAGCAAUAUUUGCUCUUCCUAAGGCUUCUUUGAUCAGUGAAAACUUGCAUUCUUUCUCCAUAUUGAAAUGAUCACUAAAUUUGAUGUGCAACAGAACUGCCACCAACUCCAACUUGUGCAUCAAAUAGUAUUCCUUAUGCUUCUUUAGCUCCCUUGAUGCAUAAACGAUUACCAUAUCGUCUUGCAUUAGCAUUCACCUAGACCAACACAUAAUACAUCCAUGUAGUAGUAUAUGGCUGGUUAGGCUCAUGCAAGUCUAAGAUAUGCAUAGACGUAGAUACUUCCUCUAAUUGAUUGCAUACUUCAUCAAUACUUUUAUUCCAUUCCAAGGUAACACCAUUCUUAGUCGAUCAACUCAUUGGUGGAUAUGGUUUCUAACUCUUGAACAAACUUCUGAUGGUAACCGGCCAAUCCACAGAACUUCGAAUCUCGAUAACUGAAAUUGAGUACGACCAUUAUGUAGUAGUAGCGAUCUUUUGUAAAUAUGCAACAACUCCUUGUUCCAUUUACUGACUAAGGGAUCUAACUUCCAAUUUCCAUGCAGAAAUACUUACUACAACGUGAAGCGUCCAUCAAACGUCGUUAGAAUAAAACUGCGCCUUGCGACCGAUCUUAACCAUUCUUCAAUUCUAGAACUUGAUACUUUACCCUGAUGGUCAUGUCCUUGAUAUUAUACUCGAAAAUAACUGCAAACUCUGGUUCUUCUUCUUUACCACUGACAUGGGUACACUCCACAGAAAAUAACUAAGUCGAACGAAACCUUUCUCCAAACAAAUCUUCUGACUGCUACUUGAAUUCGGCAAGAACCACUUGGUUUGAUGCCUAGGCUAUUGCAGCGAAUCAAGGUUCAACCAGAAUACUUGACAGGUUACUUCUGGAUGUCAACAAAUUUUCCACUUUCUUAAACAUAGCUUCAUGUUCCCUAGUUAUCUAACUGUCCUCGAUACUCUGCUUCUUGUUACUUUCUCUCCGCCCAAUUAUGAUGAUAACUGAAUACGCCACUUCACCGUUUCCCAAAAGGUUCCCAACUCUCCAGACUGAUAUGAGCGAGGCUCCAACACUUAGUAGAAUACCACUGCAGGCCAACGGUAACUGGUCUUCUCUCAAAGACUUCCUUCCUCAACAACAUCCUAAUUGAGCUCGAUAACUAGAUAGCCAAUCUCACUCUAGAUAGAAACAAACCGCUCUAAUGGAAGUACUAAGGAAUGGGGAUGGGAUACGAAGGCAUACCAUAACUCUAAAUGGCAGCCAGUACUUCCACGAAUAAGAACAGUGUACCUGAAUUAACUAAAGUGAAUCCUUCCUAAAACAGUGACACUACCCGUGAACUACAUCUAUGUGUUGUUCCCGCAUCAAACACAAUAUGGGCGGAAAAUUCUGUCCAUAGAGGCAAGGUCUCAUACGACACCUUGAUCACUCCUUCACUUAUUUAUUUAAUCCCUCAUAAAUUUUAAAAAUGCACACAACACGCAAUGGGAUAAGAAGCAAUCCUGUGAUUGGACCUUUUCAGAGGUUUUGACGGUCCAGGCAACUAUAAAGUGUAGGCUCUACCCAAAUAGCCAAACACUUAGUUAGUGACUAAUGGUAAGGAAAGCGAACAAGUUUAACAAGCGGUACCCUAGGUAUAGGGAAAAAGAUCGGGUAACUUCAUGGGCCAUGGUAGUAUAACCUCUGUACUCAUUACUGGCACCACCGAAGCGCGAAUGACGUAAGCGAUCGAGUAUUUUAUAUACUUGAACAAUCAUCACCUUACUCUCCUUGCUAGCCAAAACCAAAACAACUCAGGGUCCUCGGUCUUGAUCUGAUGAAACGUCCAACAAAAAUUAUCUCCAUCGACUUUCUUGAUUCAUUACUUGAAACUGACCUUCUAUCUGAAUAGGUUGAUAGUUAAAUAAUCUGCAUGAAUUGGUAAACUUCUUUAGUAAAAACGGCUUCUGUAGAAUUCAUGUGAUCCUCCACCAACUCCUCAUAGCUCUUGAGCUUUAUAGUUCGGGUUACUCUGAGAUUAAUGGCUGAGUCACAAUAGUACAUCUUCAUGAUCUUUAGCUCAUCCUCCAAACCAUAAUCGAUGAAUCAGAUUAACUUGACUUCGAAAUCUUGGCGGAAACAUCUCACUGUGCGAACUCCAUAUCGGUCCCAUGUUUUGGGUAGAAAACACUCCAUUUUGAACUCUUGAAAGAAAUCCGCCUAACUUGGACUAACAUUUCCCAAAUGAUGCUUGACACUUAAUCACCAACUUAUUGUAUCAUUCUUGAUGAUGUAUGGUUCCAUAUCCUUCUUGCAAUCUUCUGAACAAUGGGCCACGUUAGUUGUUCUGCUCCUAGUGUUGCAUUCGAAAUCUUCCUCUAUACAAAAUCUACAUCGAAUGGUUUAGUACUUGUCGGUGUUGUCCCAACUUCUUUAUCUUGUUCACAAACUUCAAGAAGUCUUGUUGCAACGGAAUGGUGCUGGUGCGUCCAUCGUCUUGUACUACUACUGAACUAUCUCCGCCACCAACGUUAAGCUUGAAACAAGUGCUGAAUCAAUCAUGCUUGUACGUCUCUGGUUCUGGUACGUUUGGGCAUAAGCUGGAUUGAAAUGAGCAGCCGAAAGAAUAUGUCAUAUGAAGUCGGAUAUUCUGAACCGGAUCAUCACCAACAACGUCAACUUUGACUUCAAUAAAACAUGGGCCGAAGAUGUAAUUGAUGUGUCAACUCUGUCUCAUAUAUCUUUGAAUAUCGAUAUCCACACUAGAAGUUGUAGGAACCGCAUGAAAGCAUGAUGAUACCAACUCCGACAAUGAUGGUAGCUGAUAUACCUUGGAUUUGACCCAUUUUAAUCCAUGGUAUAUUAUUAUUUUACUAUAUAUAUAUCUAUGUUUUCUACUCUUCUAGGUAUGUUUUCAGGUUCAGGUGCAUUUCAGAGUAAAGCUAUGACUUUGGAGCAUUUUGGAGCAUAAAGGACAUUUCACCCGAGCUGACCACUUAGAGGUCGACGAGAGGAAGAGUAAUCGAUCGAUGUACACAAGUACCGUCGAUCGAUGUCGAGACACCAAACGCGACAUUUUGGAUUCAGCAGACUUAAAGACCAAGGCCAAGCCAAAUUACCAAAAUGCCCUGACGAGUUUUUAACCUAGUAGAAUAUAUACUGCCUACGUUUUGACGGCAGAGAGAGCUUUUCUUUUCUAGACCUAGUUUUGUUACAAGUUUCAUUUGGAGAGAAGAUCACUUGUGAUUGGAACUCCUUGUUUCAUUUUCUUAUCAUCUAUUCUAUGAGUUUCUAUUUAUCUAUUGAUAUGAAUUGCUUUGCUAUGUCUGAGUAGUUCAACUGUUAGAUCCAAGGUUCAGAUAGGUUUGUGGGAUUAGCUCCAAGCUAUAGAUCUGCCUUGUUGUGAUAUUCAUGAUAAAUUUGUAUUUGUUGCUUGUUUUAGCCUAGCUAACUAGAACUUGAUCAUAGGAUUGCAUAUUCAAGCACCCUUGUUAUUCCAUCCUGACAUCUAUCUAUCAGAUUUGCUAGAGAGGGCUAACCGCCAAUUUAGAAUCUUAGUAGAGCAUUUCAUACUCGCGCAUAGGCCUGGCUAGAACCCGUCGAUCGAUGUCCUCAACUGACAAUCGAUUGAUGUUGGCAAAAGUGUAUCGGUCAACGUCUUAAUAGACUAUCGAUCGACACUCUCUUGUGUCUGCAUCUAACCGGUGAGACACAAGAUCUAGUCUGUUAACCAGUGGUACAUGCGACAGCUGAUCACUGAGUUAAGCGAAUGAGCUCUAAUAUAUCAUGCAUGCAACAGUUAGGCAUCUAUAGGAAUUAUAAUCUCCAACACCUGAAUAGUGGCCCUGCAUCUAAUAUCAUUUCCAACCUAAGUUACAUUUAUCAUUUACUCGCUAGUUACUAUUGCUAUUUUAUUUAUAACAUUACAACCUUUAGAAUUAAUAAACACUACAUUUAAUUGUUCCCUAGCUCCUUGUGGAUUCGAUCCUUAAGUACUACAUCUGAACCUCUUUUGAUGAGAGUAACACUCCUUAGGGUAAUUUGAGUGGUAUCAAAUUUGGCGCCGUUGCCGGGGAGCUUUGAUCGCCAUUAGAUUUAAUUUUAUUAAUUCUUAUUCUUUUCCUUACCCCCUUUUAUAACAAUCUUUCUUUUUCUUGUCUUUUCAGGUGUAUGCCCAGCGGUAACAGAAGCAACAAAGAGAAAGACUUGCUGUUGACAGACGAUCCUGCUCAUUUGGAAAGCACCAUCCGUAGAGGUCAACGUUCCACAUCGCUCGACGCAACCACUUCGUCGUCGAUCGAUACACAUAACCAACCGUCGACCGACACCAGACCGUCAUCGUCGAUCGAUCCCAAUCGUUCGAUAACGAUCGAUACCGUGUCGUCAAAAAUGGAAAACAUUAUUAUUCUAACUCAGGAUGAGAACGGAAACCUUUAUGACCAGGCCGGUCAUCUGCGUAAUGCAACAUGUCAGAAAAUAGAUGCUCAGGGAACUGUAAUCCCUGAUGCUGAUGCUACAGGAGCUGCUCAACCUGUAGAUGAGGACGCUCGAUCGAAACCACUUCCGGAGAUCCAGAAGCAGAAUUUCGAGCUGAAGCCUCAAUACUACACUCUCGUGUCGCAGAUACCCUACUCUGGGUUACCGCACGAGCAUCCUAUGGACCAUUUGGAACGGUUCAAGGAUCUAAUCGCUGCCAUUCGGAUGGAAGGAGUCUCCGAAGAUUACCUGCUGUGCAAGCUCUUCGGAUACACGCUGAAGGGAGAAGCGAUGCAUUGGCUUAGGCAGCAACCCACAGGAUCUUUAACAUCCUGGAGCGACAUCAAGAAUGCUUUCUUACGAAACUUCUUCGAAGAGGCGCGCGCUGAAGAACUUCGAAACAAAAUUUCCACAUUCUCGCAGAAGGCUGGAGAGUCCUUCAAAGAUGCAUGGAUUAGAUUUAGGUUUUUCCAGCGAGACUGUCCACACCACGGAUUUAAUGAAGUGCAGCUGCUAGGCAAUUUCUUUCGAGGUCUCGCCUUACAGUAUCAAAUGGCUCUUGAUACGGCGAGUGAAGGAAACUUCACUACUCGGAAUCCGUUGGAAGCUGUGAGACUUAUCGAAAACCUUGCUAACAGCAGCAGCACCAAAAACAAUGACUCUGAACGGAAGAAGUCUGUAGCCUCUAUCGGGAAGGAACAGAUGGACGAAGUAAGAGCUAAGUUAGAUGUGGUGCACGAACUUCUUAGGAAGCAAGUCUGUUCAGCUGAAGGAGGAGUAGCAGAUACAGAAGGAGAAGAAGAUGUGAACUACAUCGGAGGUACCGGAUUCCAGAAAUUUGGAAACCAGGACGGAAACAAAAACUUCUUUGGAAAUGGCCAAAUAAGUAACCAAAGUUCACAAUUUCAAAAACCCUUCAACAACAGCAAGAGCUACUCGAACUCUUACUAUCAAAAUCCACCACCCCAGACUCAGGAAAGCAAGAUCGAAGAAAUAAUUGAUCGAGUACUGUUGGGACAACAACAAAUCACCGUGGAUUUCAACGGUAAGAUAGACUCUGCCUACAACAAUCUGAACACCAAAAUCGAGACCUUAGGGACUCAGAUGAGAAAACUUGAAACCCAAGUAAUUCAGACGGGCGAGACUAUUAAGAGGCAAGAAGCUUUCGCUAGAGAGGCAGGAGCCGACAAAGGGAAACACCACGUAAAUGCCAUCAUAGAUGAUGAAUUCUGGCAAGUGGUGAGAAAUGAAAACCUUGAGGAAGGAGAUUUCGAAAUCGAAAGCUCCAUGAGUCUCGGCGGAUCCCAAUGGUGUCGACCGAUGUCGAUGAACUCGCAUCGAUCGACAGACCAUGAUGAAGAUCGAUGGACGGAUUACUCCAGUCAUCGAUCGACGUCGUCUGCCAAUUCGACUGAAUGCAAUGCGGUUCGAAUUCUAACUCAUGAAGAAUUCGCAGCUAAGCAUCCUCACCCACCCUCCCCUUCUAUGAAAAAAUCGAUCGAUCGGUUAACUAAACCAUCGAUCGACAGAGUGAGUCCGACGUCGAUCGUUACAACACACCUCCCAUCGAUCGACAGACACCUCUGACAUACCGAGUGCGGUUACCCUCAAUCGAUAAUGAUUACAUCAAUGCACUCAGACCACCACCUAAACCAUUAGCAAACCCACCCGAACCAAAACCCAACCCUUUAACUAGUUCAACAAAAUCUGUUCAAGAAGAACAAGAAUCUGAAAGGAGAAGGUUAAGGAAAAGAAAGGAGAAGAUUCCUAAAAACCUUAAGAGGGAAGCUAACGAUAAGGAGAUGGAUGGUUUUACUAAACAAGUCCUCAGAAUCCCAAUCGAAAAACCUUUUGAUGAAGCUUACUUCACACACCGGUUGUGGAUGUUCUUCAGAGAAACAAUGGUAACUGAGGAGGACAUUAGGAGAAUGUUUCAUCAAGCCAGAGGAAAGAUGAAACACAGGAUCACAUUGACGAAGAAGAGUGAUCCUGGGAAGUUUGCAAUACCAUGCAUAGUCAAGGGUGUUGAAUUUCCCCAUUCAAUGUGUGACACAGGAGCAUCGGUUAGUAUCUUCCCUAGAAUUAUGGCAGACCAGCUUGGUUUGACCAUCGAACCCUCAACAGAAUCCUUCACCUUCGUGGAUCUUUCAGAAAAACGAUCCGGAGAUAUCAUGAGAGAUCUGGAGGUACUGAUUGGUAAUGCCCUUGUCCCUGUAGAUUUUCAUGUCUUAGACAUCGAGCUUAACUGGAACUCUUCACUUCUGCUUGGAAGAUCCUUCCUAGCUACAGUAGGAGCUGUAUGUGACAUGAACAAAAACAAAUUGUGUCUAACGCUCAUAGACCCAAACAUCCACUACGAUCCCAUCCGACCUAAGAGAAAGGUAAUUAAUUCUGUGGAUUAUGGGAAAGACCUUGGCUUCAUUGGCGCAUGCCAUUGUGGAGCAGAGUAUGAAUCGGAGUACGAAACAGAGUACUCGAAAUCGAUCGACACCCCAACCUUUCCAUCGAUCGAUUCCAAUGUGUCAAUGGUGACCGAUGACCACAACAACACGUCACUCGAUGUAAUGCACCCACUUGACCAUUUCGCUUCACCUAAUCAUUGUUACCAACAUUUUGCCUUCCAACCUCCAACUAGGAGAGGACAUGAUGAUUAUUCCAUAGGCAGUUGGGCAGACAGUGGUUUCCAUGAAAGUUUUGCAGUUGACACUGUAAUUACUUCACCUCAUGAGGAACAUACCGAGGAAUACGAUGAGGAUUACUGGAAAGAACGUGCAAUAGAAAUGUCUUUGCAGGAUGAAAGACUUGAAAUACACAAGUUCACCAACACGUUUCCAACAUCGUUCGACGCUGUGCACUCCACAUCGGUCGAUACCCACCCUCGUCCAGCAAAACAACCGCUCACAUCGAUCGACACAUCGAAAGGAAAAUCGAUCGAUAUUCGCGCCGCAGCGAAAAUUCAGGAGCAGGAAAAUAUUCCCUCCCUAACCAGGUUUACAGAUACCUAUAUAAAUUGUUUUACACCUCCGAAACCACCUACACACAUCAGAGCAAACACACAAGCAAAUAAGAUGAACACUCUUCCUUCUACAUCAACAGAAAAAUCCAUGAAGAGCAAUAAUCUCAAGAACACAAGUUAUGCAAAAAUUACUCUGCCAUCGAUCGAUGUAACUGUAUCUACAUCGAUCGAUACUACUCUAAACCCUAAUCUCUCUAUUUCUAAAAUGAAUAAUUAUGCAAACAUUGAUUACGGUUUUCUAACACCUGAUGAAUUUGGUAUUUUCAAGGAUCCAGAUGGCAACGCACGUGCAAUGGAUGGAAGGAUUUUACAAGUGUCCAGAGAGGACAUAGCAGACAUCCAUCAAGUAGCCAAUGGACCUGACAACCUGUUCUCACAGCAACGUGGCAGUCCAGACGUCAUUCUAACAAAUCCUAACAACCACGCAGGAGUCGCCACAACAGAGAUCAACACAGAUCUAUCACGCCAACCAAAAGGGCAAGCAUCGAUCGACGGUACAACGGAGACAUCGAUCGCCAGGGUAACACCAACGUCGAUCGAUAUGGAUGAUCCGACGUUGAUCGACAGACGCUAUGAAUGUGGGAGCCGCGCUUUCGACAUGUAUGGAGCCAGAAAGUUCACUUGGGAACAAAGGGACGAAUAUGGAGUCUACAGAGAUGAGCGUGAACACGCACGAAGCGCAGCUGGUGAGAUGAUACCUGUCUCAAAGGACAACAUCAGGAAAAUACUGGAAAGAGCAUCUCUUUUUGAAGAGAGCCACAUCUGUCUUCCAGAACAUGCCACUUCCUUCACACUCACAAGACUGGCACCAGAACUCUACACCAAAGAAAAAAUCGAUGAAAUGGUGUUUGGUAUUUGUGGAGCUCAGGAGAAACUAGGAGAGGAGCUCAAAACACUGGUAGAUGAAACACAUCAGCCUUUCGAUAGAGGCUACAAUGAGCUUUUCAGAUGUAUGACAAAAAUGAGGACAGAAAUUGAAAGUUUACGUCAGCAACUUGAGAAGGAAGCUACGACCUCAGCAUCAAUCGACGCACCACGUGCAACAUCGAUCGACGUAAGUCUUCCUACAGCUAAGAUCCUUGCAGAACCGCGAUGUUCAACACAACACAGGGAUGAAUGGGAAGUCUCAUACAUCGACAUAAGGAUAAACGACGUUUACUGCCCUCUCAACAACAACGUGGACUGGCUAAGCACUACAAUCGAGCUACUACAGCAAGAUCUGGACACGAUUCGCAAGAAGGACCAACAUCCAGCCACAUCGAUCGACAUGUGCACCUUCACAUCGCUCGACGCCAAAGUCUCAGCAAUGAAUGAGAGGCUGAGGACUUACGAGGAUAUGCAUGACCGUUUUAUAUCACCCGUCAUGAUAGAUUUAAACAAAUUAUCUAGCAAUUACUUGAUGCCCAAAAGGAUAUUGAGAACAUUACUAAUCAAAGUUUUUUGCAGGAAAAAUCAGCAUCGAUCAACAGACUAAGAAGACCCUGGAUCGAUGGCAAGAAACCUGUGGAGUUACUUCCUUACACAGCAGCAGAGGUUGACAAGAUCACAUCCAAUAUCUACACUGCUCUAGACACCAUGGACGAACGACUUGACAAACGCUGCGAUGACAUCUACUUUCCAUUCGACAACAAAAUCAGUGGACUAGACAACAACGUAGAAUGGCUACAGAAAGAAGUCAAAGCCAUUCAGAGGCAACUCGCAGCUCAACAUAAGAUAUCAGCAUCGAUCGACAUGACAAAAGCAAAAUCGAUCGACGGCAACUCACCGAGAUCGACCAACAAACACGUAAUCGCAUCGAUCGACGCCGAAUCUAUACCAAUCGGCGAGCAGCUGAUACACAAGACAGUAGAGUCAAUGCAAAAGGAACUGACAGAUCUUUCAGCAUACGUCUAUGACAACAUAGGCUGGCACCAGGUCAGCAUUGACAACAUUCAAGAAAAGCUACAGAACAUCUCCAAUGUACUUGGGAAGAUGGAUGACAAAUGGACAAGAAAUGAUGAGGCCACAAGAAGUUUCAUUGCAUCUUGGUCUAGAAUUCGCAUAGAUGACGUGGAUGCUUGCUUUCCAACAAGCAGAUGCUUCUCCACCCAAUAGCCAAUCACUACCACAGUCAAGCUAAAUGACUAUAACCAAGUGUUGAGUGGGAGGCAACCCACUAUUAGGUAUUUUACUUCGGUUUUCUAGCUAGCAAUUAAUUUCUUUCGUUUUAUCUCUUUCAGAUUUAGGAGAACCAAGUAGGAGGACUUGAAUAUCGACCGACGACGAGAAGUCGACAUCAUUCGACAUAGGCAACCACACGACGAUCGAUGUAACACUUACCCAUCGAUCGAUAUUUAAUCCGGUCAGAUGUAUCUUACCUACUUGUUACAUUUCGUACAUCAUACACAUUUCAUCAUAACUCCGGCUGAGUUACACUGGGACAGUGUAAUUUAAGUCUGGGGGGGGAGAUUUACUGAUAUAAUUUAUUUUAUUCUUACGUAAAAAGGAAUUUCAAAUAAAUUAUGCUUAGCUAUCGAAAAUAGGGACUAUAAUCUUAUAUUGAUUUAAACAUGAAUAUCUAACGAAUUAUUAGCACCAUUUUAGAUUUACUGAUUGCAGAUAGCACUAAAGAUGCUAAAGCAGAUCAACCUAUCAACUACACACUUGCCUUGAACCGUAUGAAGUAACAAAAGCUGAUUUCCAACACUAAACCUGACAUAACCGCUUGUCUUGGGGCUUGGUAUACAUGGGAUCGGAUUCUUCAGAUAGGUCUGGAAGGUAACGCCUGGUUUAGAUUAUUUAUCACAUUUUCUCUCUCUAGGUUUCGACCCUAGAUUAGUUAUAGAGUAUUAAAAAAAAAAAUAAUAAUAAUAAGUAAGAUCUAUUGUUUAAUUAGGAUGAGUCUGAACAGGACUUGGUGGCUAAAACCAAUAAGGCUUGAUUCAUAAAGACUCAAAUACAAGAGUUCGAAACGAGACUUGGAGGCGGCAAUCUUCAAGGCUCGCUUUCGCAAAGAACUCUUGGAUAUAGGUCAAAAAAAGAAGUGAACAGAACUUGGUGGCAACCACCAUUAAGUUUUGAUUCAUGGAAGCCUGUCCAAUCUUGGUCACUGAUCCUGCAAUAGAAGCAGACUUUGACUCAAGAGAAAAAAUUUAGAGAGAGAGAAACUAAGAACUAACUUUUACCUGCAGCUCCAGAUACCUGUCUGAAAUCCUUGCAUCCUGUGAUCGAUACUCCCAAGGUAAAGCAUUCACUUUAUAUUUAUGCUAAGAAAUGAAAUCAGUAGAGGGGAUGUCAGACGUGAAUUGAUGAGUUGUGUUAUGUUUGAAAUGGUUGCUAAGCUAGGAUAUUGCAUAGUGUGCUUUUGUGAUUAUGACUUUUUAAAUGUGGUUGCAAAUUUAUUGAGGAAAGAUUUCUAUCUUUUUAAAAUCUUAAGUUCCCAAAUAUUUUCAAACCUCUUUCAGAGAGACUGCCUGUAUGUUUUGUUUGAGGACAAGCAAAAGGGUAAGUCUAGGGGAGUUGAUAUACCUUGGAUUUGACUCUUUUUUAUCCAUGGUAUAUUAUUAUUUUAUAUAUAUAUAUAUAUAUAUAUAUAUAUAUCUAUGUUUUCUACUCUUCUAGGUAUGUUUUCAGGUUCAGGUGCAUUUCGGAGUAAAGCUAUUACUUUGGAGCAUUUUGGAGCAUAAAGGACAUUUCACCCGAGCUGACCAUUUAGAGGUCGACGAGAGGAAGAAUAAUUGAUCGAUGCGCAUCAGUGCUGACGAUCGAUAUCAGGAAAUACCUCGACAGAUGAAGAUUAAUAUCGAUCGAUGUACACAAGUACCGUCGAUCGAUGUCGAGACACCAGACUCGACAUUUUGGAUUCAGCAAACUUAAAGACCAAGGCCAAGCCAAAUUACCAAAAUGCCCUGACGAGUUUUUAACCUAGUAGAAUAUACAUUGCCUAAGUUUUGACGGCAGAGAGAGCUUUUCUUUUCUAGACCUAGUUUUGUUACAAGUUUCAUUUGGAGAGAAGAUCACUUGUGAUUGGAACUCCUUGUUUCAUUUUCUUAUCAUAUAUUCUAUGAGUUUCUAUUUAUCUAUUGAUAUGAAUUGCUUUGCUAUGUCUGAGUAGUUCAGCUGUUAGAUCCAGGGUUCAGAUAGGUUCGUGGGAUUAGCCCCAAACUAUAGAUCUGCCUGGUUGUGAUAUUCAUGAUAGAUUUGUAUUCAUUGCUUGUUUUAGCCUAUCUAACUAGAACUUGAUCAUAGGAUUGCAUAUUCAAGCACCAUUGGUAUCCCAUCCUGACAUCUAUCUAUCAUAUUAGGAUUGCUAGAGAGGGCCAACCGCCAAUUUAGAAUCUUAGUAGAGCAUUUCAUACUCGCGCAUAGGCCUGGCUAGAACCCGUCGAUCGUUGUCCUCAACUGACAAUCGAUCGAUGUUGGCAAAAGUUUAUCGGUCGACGUCUUAAUAGACUAUCGAUCGACACUCUCUUGUGUCUGCAUCUAACCGGUGAGACACAAGAUCUAGUCUGUUAACCAGUGGUACAUGCGACAGCUGAUCACUGAGUUAAGCGAAUGAGCUCUAAUAUAUCAUGCAUGCAACAUUUAGGCAUCUAUAGGAAUUAUAAUCUCCAACACCUGAAUAGUGGCCCUGCAUCUAAUAUCAUUUCCAACCUAAGUUACAUUUAUCAUUUACUCGCUAGUUACUAUUGCUAUUUUAUUUAAAACAUUACAACCUUUAGAAUUAAUAAACACUAGAUUUAAUUGUUCCCUAGCUUCUUGUGGAUUCGAUCCCUAAGUACUACAUCUGAACCUCUUUUGAUGAGAGUAACACUCCUUAGGGUAAUUUGAGUGGUAUCAGUAGCAAACCCGAUCACGUCCUUAGCUCACCCGAGCAUGAUGAUAAUGGAUUGAAGCAUUACCGGAUUGAACCAAAACAUGUCGAUAACAAACCGAAUCAUGACGGUAGAAAGCUCAAUCAUGACUGUAGGAAUCUCGAUCUUGACAGGAUCAAAAUUGGUAAGUACACUCCACUCCGUCGAGCUUGCCUUGAUGCAUCUCGUAUGAAAGAUAACAGUAAGGUAACAACCCAUGACUAUCUAUCCUAAGAUGAAGGAACCAGCCAGCACAUCCUAAUUAUCCUUGCGACUCAUUUUUACUCGAAAAACUUUUGAAACAAGUCCCAUUCAAGCAUCGUAUAACCAUGCUCUGAUACCACCUUUGUGACACCCCCGAUCUGGUCUAAGUAUAAGUUGACUCGACCAGCCGUGCAACAAUCAAACAAGAACAUGCACAGCUGAUCACUCGUAACUGAAACCAAACCGAGAAGCCACAAUGUGUACAUAAAUGACUAACCCGAAGUUCCCGAAAUAAAUCCAGGUACCUUAGGCCAACCGCCUAAGUACACAUAUCCUAUUAGGUACAACCCGAGGCUUUACAACCUUAAGAGUAAUACCCAGUAGUUGGUUCGUUCGGACAAGGACUAAUAUCAUUUGGAACCCGUACUUUAAAAACAUUCUUUAUACACUAUAUACUUAUUCAUUUAAAAGAAUCUUACAAAAUCUUAUAGAUUAACCUCGAGGUUUUCGGUCAACAAACCUUAUACAUAAAGUAUAUCAAAACGACUGGAAGGGUAAUAAAAGUACCGCUGGCUAAUGACGUUCCUUCCCAUCCUAGAGUAAAGGUCUACAAACUACUGGUUACCUGCAUAUCAAAUGAGUCAUGAGUAACUAGUUUACUCAGUGAGUCUAAUCCCACACCCAAACACAUAUCAAUAGUAUCCCGAGCAAGCGACACCAUUUGAAUGCAGUAGAAUUAUAUUCCAUAAUUAAUAUAAUUAUAAGGCCUCUCAAUCCAUCCAUGUGAAUCUAUCUUAAACAUCACAUCCACGAUACCCGCCAAUUACUCAUACUCUUAAUAUAUAUAUGCUAAACCCGGAAAAUCACCAAGGCUAACUGAGCCUAACGGGGAAUAAAUAUAACCAUCAUCUCCAUCAAAUAUUCCAAGAUAGAACAUCCAACGCUACAUGCAGUUACACGGCCUCCAGGGUGCGACCCCAUCAUCGUGUCUUCAUGACCUUGAUCCAUAUCGCAAGACCAAUUGACGGCAAUGCGGAACUUUCGGGAGAGUGAGUAUACAAUAAGACUUCACAUGAUUCACACUUAUUAAUAGAAUACUUAUAGAUUAGUACUUGAAAACAAGUACUAAGGCUCGGGAUAACCUCAAAGAAUUAUUCUUAUUAAUUCUUAAGUACUUAAACUAGAUAAAUACUUCAUAUAUAAAUAUAGAUCAAGGGAUAAUACUUAAUCAAUCAACUAUAAUUACUCCUUGAUUAAUCUAUGAUUAAUCCUUAAUUAAUCAAUGAUUAUCCCUUAAUUAAUUCAUGAUUAAUUCUUAAUUUAUCAACCAUAUUCAAUAUGCAAUCAUGCAUACUCAUUCAUAAUUCAUUCAUCAUCUAUCUAGACUCACCUUUAAAUCCAUGAGAUUGACUAAGGAAGACUAGACUCGAGCUCAAGCUAAUCACACUUCACUUCUGGAUCACUCUCGGUUCAGAACAUGCACAAGGAUCCGGCUGAUCCGAAUACUCUCUUUGGCCAUCUGAAUUCAAAACAUAACAGUUGAAACAUAAGGUUCACUAGUCUGGUUCAAGAAGAAACUCAACUCAGUUCAUAACAUUUCAGUUCAGUUCGGUUCAAGACAGAUUGAUACCAUGUUCAGCUCGGUUCAAGCUUUAACAAUUUAACUCGGUUCAUAUCAGCUUAGUUCAUGCUCAGCUAACUCCGGUUCUAAUCAGUUCCCAACAGCUUAACUCGGUUAUACUCAGACGACAUCUGUUCAAGACAAUUUCAGACCAUAGACAGCUCGGCUCAGAUCAGAUCAGAACAUACUCAGCUCAAUUCAGUUCUAAACAAGAUCAAAUCAGUUCGGAUUAAUUCCCAUAAUUCUUAUCAGUUCGUCUACUGGUUCUAUGAGACGGAUUAAAUCAUAAACCAACCAAGACUGAAGAGAACAAGACCUUAGACAACUGAUCCUGACAGGUUAACCAACAUACAGCAAUUGGUUCUCCUCAAAACAUGGCUGAAUCAAGAAGCUGAAGCUUACCGGUUUUACUCAACUAAUUAAACUUGACUGGUUGUCUCUCUUCAAGCUAACCACGAAUUAACCUGAUCAACACCACAAGAAUCCAUGGUUGGAUUUAUUCAGAAUUUAUCUCCAGUGUAGGCAAACCAACAAAAUUUCUCACAUAAACUUAUCCACAACCAUCAUACCGAUCAAAAUCAAAUGCUGAAGAACAUCGGUGAUUCUCUACUUCAGGACGCCAAACCUUCAGCUCUUAAACACUCCAAAACUCACUGAUUAAAUUCACAGAAGGGUGAGAAAGGGUCGUCCAUGCUCACUUCUCUUCUCUGAUUUUUUUUCUGAAUUUUUGCAUGAGUUUUUCUCACAGAUUUUUCUCUUUUCUUUCUCUCUUUCUCUCUGAAAUUUUCUCUGGUUUUUUCUUGUGCAACAGGACGUCCAGAAGAGAGAAGAAGGUAUUUUAUAGCAUGAGGGGUUGCUUCAGCUGAGGGUUUACUUAAACCAAAGCAAGUUGCUGUCCUUUCCCUCCUUGGAAGAAACAUUAUUUUGUUUUUAUUAAACAAGCAACCAGCUUGUGACUUUCAUGUGACUUUAGUGAAGCAAGCAAGCAGGUAGGUGCAGCUCAUGUGACUGAUUUACUGAAAAAGCAAGCAGAAUAGCUGGUGAGGGUAUUAGACUGGUCGGAAUUUAGUUAAGAAACAUAACGACAAUUUCGGACAGUUUUCGACUAAAAUUUCUCAUCCUUCGAAUCUCGUCUUGCUUUCAACUAAGCUUGCUAUGGGAACCGAAAUUCGCACUGUCGAUUUCCGUUUAAAUAAGGAAACUAGGAAAACCCUAACUUCCCAGAGGACCCGGAUAUCUGUUAAUUACCACACGUCAAGCAAUCAGAACACGAGAAUAACAACGGUAAAAAUAAGAAAUCGAAAAGAGAGCAAAGUAGAUCUUAUUCCGAAUCUGCGUAUGAGCGUUACAACAAGGUAUAAGCCUGGGCUCGAGAGCUGUCGGCGAGAUUCCUAGUUCUAGCAACCCUAAGACGGCUAAACCUAAUUGAGUCGCAGCUCGAAAUAACAAAAACGGAAAGUUGCCUAAAUCGCUCUAAGUGCAAAGUUGCUCUGAAAAAGUUCUCUCUCUCUGCUCCUCGCCUAGGACUCCUUAUAUACUAGCUCCAAGGUCGGUUUACGUUUUUACUCUUCUGCCCUUAAGCCGUCAUAGCAAAAAAUGGAGAUAUUCCAUUUUUCCCGAUCUUCACAAUUAUCUUCAAAACUUCUGUAUUUAUCCGCGGAAACUUGACAUUUAUCCUUCCUCGUGGGCCAAGCGUGAACCAUGCUGUGGUUCACGGGCUUUUGAUUAGGAAAAAUCGUAGGAUGGGCCUCGAGUCGUGUUUUAGGUCCUUUUGGGCCGUCUUCCGACUCGACACGUUUACUACGAGUUUUCCGCGGUUUCUAAUCGAAGUUUUGAUCGAUGGAUUAGAAUAGCGGGAAACAUGGACUGAGCUUGCCACGGUCUUCGGGAGAUAGCAUUCGAAGGUUUGACGAGAAUGCAAGGACUGGUGUCGUAUCGCUGUUCGGAAAGGUUCAAUCGCUACACCGCGACCGAUCUUUGGCUCGAGCCCGGUCGCUACGUAGCGACCGAGCGGGACGAUCGCUCGGUCGCUACGUAGCGACCGAGCUUUGGCUCGAGCUCGGUCGCUACGUAGCGACCGAGCGGGACGAUCGCUCGGUCGCUACGUAGCGACCGAGCUUUGGCUCGAGCUCGGUCGCUACGUAGCGACCGAGCGGGACGAUCGCUCGGUCGCUACGUAGCGACCGAGCUUGGCUCGAGCUCGGUCGCUACGUAGCGACCGAGCGGGACGAUCGCUCGGUCGCUACGUAGCGACCGAGCGGGACGAUCGCUCGGUCGCUACGUAGCGACCGAGCGUGGCGGACGUUUGUCGCUGCGUAACGACCUGUUUCGAGCUUUCCUCGGAUAUCUCGGUUCUUUCUUUCGCGAAGCUUUUUCGUAAGGAAGAAUCUUUCUCCGAAAAGUACUCUUCGGAGAAACUCUUAUUUUCUUAUUCAGACGUUUUGAAUGUUAAAUUUGUCAUAACCGUUUUUGACCCCAACAGUUAGCCCCCCAGCCCGUUAGAGUUGUGACUCUAGCGGGCGGAUAGAUGACUUUUACAAGGUUGAGUGUAUUGGACGAAAUUUACAUUUAAAACUCCGCGAAAUAAAAGUUGUCGAGGCGACGUUCCGAACCCAUACUUCUAUAUGUAAUGAGCUCUUGUCAUUCAUUCUCUUCACACCUUUCCUUCUUCAUUUCUUCAAAAACCUCUCUAGCUUCAUAACUUUCCUUUCAACAUGUCUUCCUCCCAAGGUGAUAAGAAGGAUUCCGACGUCGAGAUGGGUGAGGCCACUUCUCCGGCUCCAGUUCCAACUUCUCCGGCGGAAGUGCCGGCUUGUGUUGCCGGUCAUCUUUCUUUCCGAGAGAAACUAGUUCGUCGUCAAGCCGAGAAAGGAUUGGCUCAGACUGGCUCCGAGUUUCCGUCUUCCUCCGAGCAGGUCGUUGCCCCGUGUCAUGGGACUGACGUCGCGGCUCCCCUCCCGCAAGUCCUACCUGCGGGAUCUUCCACGACUCCGAUCCUCGUCGAGGACAAAGAAAAGGCAGCUGACUCUAUGCCUCCGCCUCCGGCCAGAAAAGAAAUCGUUCUGGCGUUGCGUGCUCCUAGCGCUGUCCAGGUUACUCAGCCUAAGAGUCGGAAGAGGAAACUGGCCAAGAGCGGUGACGGGGAGACUUCGCAGCGAGGUGGGUCGAGCCUAGCAUCGGGACUUCGUGGAAAGGUUUGUUUCUUGUUUGAAUUCUCGAUCGUCUUUCGUGCAUUCUCUUUACGGACUUAAUCUUAGGAAUUUUUACCGUUCGCAGUUCAUAUCGUUGAUCGAUGGGAUGAUCAGCGAAUGCGGCUCUGAGACCAGUCGUCUUUCCGGGGAGUUGGUGGAGCUUCAGGGGAGAUGGUCCGAAACCGAGGCUAUGUUGACGGCUGUCGAGGAUUCUCACUCUGCGAAAGUGUCGAAGCUCGAGGUUGCGAUAGGAGAGCUUGAGAGGGACCUCGGGAAGACGGCGAGUUCUUUACUUAAGGAAAAGAAGGCCAGGAAGGCCAAAUCCUCGGAAGUGCGUCGACUCCAGCGUCAAAUCGAGAGCGACGCUGGACUAGCGCGCCGCGGGAUCCAAGAGGCUACGGAUGCCCUUCGCGCGGAGUUUCAGGUCGCUUGGCGAAGAUUUCCGCUUCCCUGGAUUCCCUCGAGUGUAUCCGGAGCAGGGAUUUCGCUUUGGCGACGAUUGAGGGCGGGAUGGCCGUAGUUCGGUCGUUCCAAAGUGAGACUCCCCCGACCUUGGAGGCCGAAGAGGCCCGACUGUCCGGCUGUAAGGGAGAUAUGGCGGCCGAGGAUGGCGAUUUCGGUCUCAUCCUGGCCGACCUAAAAUCCGCUUGCUUCCUUCCGACGUGUUCAGAAGACCCAGAGGGGAAAGAUCCGAUGGUCGGAGAGAAUGGAAGUGACGCGGCUCCAGGCUCGGACGAGGCGGCGGGUGAAGAGGGGGCGUAAGUUCUGAGGGUGAUUUGGGUUAAAUCUCUUGCGAGAGAUUUGUUUUUUUUUUUUUAUGUCUUUAUGUUUUGGCCUUGAAUGGCCUUGUUUGUAUUUCGGGACUGGCCGUGUGUGGCUUUGAAUCCCUGCCGCUCUGCGGCUUUAUAAUAUGAUAAUCGGAUAACGCUUUUUAUGAAUUUGUGAAUAGUGAGGAGGAAGGUGAUGAGUUGUCGUCUCAUAUCCUUCUUCGAUUGUGAAAUGUUUUAUUCGAGACCUGUUUCGAGAGUUCUUCCGCGAGAUGUGAACUCCGCGGGGUGCUGAAGGUAUCGAACGUAACAUAGAGGCGUGGUUUAAGAAUCUCUUAUCUUUCGAUAUCAUGCCUUUGAGAUGUUAGAGACCAGUGCGCUGGGUUUAGGGCAAGACCUAGGUUUACUUUCGGUUUAAGGAUUGUGCGGCGACUAACCGGCUAUCGUUUUUCCUGUCGCGAUUUCUUCCUGAUUCGUAUCGAUGUAAAGUCCGCGAAAAGUUCUCGGCUUAUACGACUUGUUUGAUACGAAUCGAGCAUCUCUCCGGAGACCGGAAGUGCUGGACCAAAAUUUCGGAUUUCUUUUAUAGCGCUAUUAUCCUUGUGUCGGAUGUAAGAGAGUCAUCUUCAUGAGAUGGCUAUGUCUGUUUAGGACGUUUGUGAGUUCGAUGUGAUCAGCAUCGGACUUGGUGGCGUGUGCCGUUGUUUUGAUUAAUUUGCGCAAAAUAAAUGUUAAUGUGUGCAUAUAUGUGUCUUUUUGUGGAGAUUUCGUUUGCUCGGAAGAAACCAUCUUUGAGGCAUCUUUUGCGACGUCUCGCGAUGCUAAAGGUUUGAUUCUCCCAAGCGGCCGAAUAAUCUCCGAAGACCUCGUGUGGUUUCACGGGUGAGGAUGUUUUGAUAAGUCGAAAACACCAAGAGUGCGGUAAGAAGUUUUUCGAUUUUUUUGGGAGUAUACGAGUAUACGUACCCACUCCCCCCUUUUUUAAUGAGGGGGGACAGCUGAAUUUGCCUUUCGGCAAACUGCCUACGUACUCCUUGCGGAGAUCAAGCCGUCUCGUAGUUCAGUGAUUGCGAGUUGGUUCGUUUAGUGAUAGUAUUUUUUGAGAUGCAUCGCAUUCCAGGUUCUAGGGAUUUUUACGCCCUGCAUGUUGGCUAUUUCGUAGGAACCUGGUCGGACGACUUUUUCGAUUUUAUAGGGACCUUCCCAGUUUGCUCCGAGUUUUCCCGCGUUUCGUUCAGCGGUGUUUUGGAAAACUUUGCGAAGGACCAGAUCUCCCUGAUUGAACCUACGAUUCCGUACGUUGGAAUUAUAGUAUCUUGCAGCGGCGUGCUGGUAGUUUUGAAUUCGGAUGAGCGCUCGAUCCCGGCGUUCGUUAAUGAGGUCGAGAUCGUCCAAGAGCAUAGCAUUGUUGAGUUCCUCUCGUUCGGGUAAGAACCUUCUUCGAACACCGGGAAAUUCUACUUCUGCGGGAAUCAUGCACUCCGUCCCGUAUACCAAGGCGAAGGGAGUUUCUCCCGUUGCUCGCCUUGGGGUGGUACGGUGAGACCAGAGGACUCCCUCGAGUUCGUCGGCCCAUCUUCCUUUUUUGGCCUCCAAGCGUUUCUUCAGUCCGUCGAGAAUGGUCUUGUUGAUUGUUUCAGCCUGUCCGUUGCACUGCGGAUAUCUGGGAGUUGACUUGUUGAGUCGUAUCUUCCACUUUUCGCAGAAUGCCUCGAAUCGGGUGGAAAUGAAUUGAGACCCGUUAUCGGUUACGAUUUCGUAAGGAACUCCAUGCCUACAGAUGAUGUUUCUCCAUACGAAAUUCUCGACUUGGACGUCUUUUAUACUCGCGUACGAGUCGGCCUCUACCCAUUUUGAGAAGAAAUCGGUAAGCACUAGAAGGAAACCGCUUUUGCUUUGAAUUAUGCAGAGGUCCGACAAUAUCCAUGGCCCAGCGCAUAAAGGGAUAGGGCGAUGUGAUGGAGGAAAGAACUUCGGCCGGUUGUCGGAUAGUUGGCGCAUGCCUUUGGCAUUUUUCGCAUUUUCGUGCGAAUUUCUCGCAAUCUCCGAUCAUUGUUGGCCAAUAGUAUCCAUGGCGUUUGAUUUUCACGGCUAGUGAUCUUCCGCCGGAAUGGUUGCCGCAUGAGCCGGAAUGUAUUUCCUCCAUCACUUUCCUCGCCUUUUCUCCUUCCAGGCACGUCAAGAGUGGUCCGGAGAAUCUCCACUUGUAGAUUUCGCCGUCCACUGUUACGUAGCGUGCGGCUUGUGUUCGGAUCUUGCGAGCUGACCAUUUUUCGGCGGGCAGUUGCCCGUCGAUAAUGUAGUCUCGAAUCGUCUGAAGCCAUGGGGUAUCACAACCGUAAUCGGAUUGCUCCGAUGGUGGUGGUAUCGUAAUCUCUUCUUCCUCGUCGUCUUGACCUUCUAUGAGAUUGACAACGACUGGCGGUCCGAUACUCGGAUGUUCGAUGAAUUCGACCGGAAUUACCCUUUUGAGUCCUGGAUCGGAACUUGAUGCUAAGGCCGCGAGGGCGUCCGCCUGGACAUUCUCGGAACGGGGGAUCCGGGUAAGGGCGAAACAGUCGAAGUCUUGAGCUAGACCUUGGACCAGUUUGAGGUACGCGUCCAUCCGUUCGUCUCUGGCUUCAUAUUCUCCGCUGAAUUGACUGGCCACUAACUGGGAGUCGCAGUAAGCAUGGAGAUUACGUAUUUUUAAGCCGUGAGCCAAACGUAGACCUGCGAUCAAUGCUUCGUAUUCGGCCUCGUUGUUUGAGGCAUGGAAUUCCAGUCUGAACGAUUGUUCCAGGAUCUCGCUCGUUGGAGAUGUGAGACGGAUCCCGAUACCCGAUCCUUGCUUGGAUGAGGAUCCGUCGACGUGGAGGAGCCAGGUGGAAUUUGGUUCUUCGUUGGUUAUUGCUCCCGCUGGAAGUUCGACCAAAAAGUCUGCGAGCACUUGUGACUUUGCGCUCGUCCUUGGUCGGUAUUCGAUAUCAUACUCGCUCAACUCGACCGCCCACUUGGCCAAUCGGCCUGAUUGACUUGGGCUAUGCAAAAUUGUCCGUAAGGGAAAAGUCGUUAGGAUAACAAUCGUGUGGGAUUGGAAAUAUGGUCGUAGUUUUCGGGCCGAUGUUACGACCGCGCAUGCCAAUUUUUCCAUCAACGGAUACCUAGAUUCGGCAUCGAGCAAGGUUUUGCUUAUGUAAAAAAUAGGUCUCUGUUCCCCGCGUUCUUCCCUGAUCAGGACUCCGCUUACGGCUGUUGCCGAUACCGCGAUGUAUAAGAAUAAAGGCUCCCCUUCCACGGGUUUUGCGAGGACUGGAGGAGUAGCUAAAUAACGCUUCAGCUGUUGGAAGGCGUUUUCGCACUCUUCCGUCCAUUCGAACUUUUUAUUCCCUCGCAGGACGUCGUAGAAGGGCAGGCACUUAUCUGUUGAUCGUGAAAUAAAUCGGUUAAGUGCUGCGAUUCUGCCGGUCAGUCUUUGGACUUCCCGUUUAUUCUUCGGCGAAGCCAUCUCGAUUAGAGCGUUGAUCUGUUUUGGAUUUGCUUCGAUACCGCGGUUGGUCACCAAGUAGCCGAGGAAUUCUCCUGAUGCCACGGCGAAUCUACAUUUCGUCGGGUUGAGCUUCAUGUUAUGGGAGUUUAGUUGUGCAAAGCAUUCUUCGAGAUGUGACACGUGAUCUCUUGCUUUGAGGGAUUUGACAAGCAUGUCGUCAAUAUAAACUUCCAUCGUUUUUCCGAGUUGUUUGGAGAACAUUCGGUUCACGAGUCGUUGGUAAGUUGCUCCAGCGUUUUUGAGGCCGAAGGGCAUUACCUCAUAACAAUAGGUUCCGCGAUCGGUAAUGAACGCAGUCUUCUCACGAUCGUCGGGAUUCAUCCUAAUUUGAUUAUAACCUGAGAAAGCAUCCAUGAAGGAUAAGAGUUCGUUGCCCGCCGUUGCUUCUACCAAUCGAUCGAUAUGUGGUAGAGGGAAGCUAUCCUUUGGACAUGCCUUGUUUAGGUCGGUAAAAUCUACGCAAACUCGCCAUUUCCCGUUUUUCUUUUUGACUACUACGGGGUUGGCGAGCCAGUCCGGGUAUCUUACCUCUGUUAUCGACCCAACUUUAAGCAGUUUUUCGACCUCAUCGUUUACCGCGGUAGCACGUUCGGGUCCCAGCUUCCGUCUUUUCUGUUUGACGGGUUUGAAUGUUGGAUCGAUAUUCAGCUCGUGACAUGUUAUGUUAAUGUCAAUCCCUGGCAUGUCUUCCGCAGCCCAUGCGAAAGUGUUAAGGUUCUUUUUAAGACAGGUUAUGAGUUCUGUCUUUAGUGGCUCGUGGAGAUUGGCUCCAAUCUCGACGCAGCGUUCUGGGAAGGCUUCGUCGAGACAGAUUGUUACCACGGGUUCACAAGUUGGCUCGCGUUUUUCGUCUAGAGCUGCGAAGAUACGAGAUUGCCAGAAGAAUUCCGCUGAAUCCUGACUUCGCGUAUCUUUGCUGGAGGUCUUUUUCUCCGCUCUCUUAGGAGCAAUUUCGUGGAUCGGUCUCUUUCGUUUUAGUUCCGCGGCGAAACAGACCUGUGAAACUCUUGGAUUUCCCCAGAUUACCUCGACUCCGUUGGGGGUCGGGAACUUGAGGCAAAGAUGGUAGGUUGAUGGGAUUGCGCGCAUGGUGUUCAGCCAUGGUGUUCCCAUGAUAACGUUGUAAGACGCGGGGCGGUCAACGACUAGAAACUCUGUGAUGUUUGUCACGGUUCCGGCUUUGACAGCGAGUCUAAUCGAUCCAUAGGCCAUGGUCGUUUCCCCCGAAAGCCCUAGCAGUGGGCUUGGGCAUUUUGCGAUCUCGGAUUGACUGAUCCCCAUCUUUUCAAGAGUGUCUUUGAAGAUGAUAUCGGCCGAGCUUCCGGUAUCGAUUAGUACUCUAGCGACGUCGAUAUCUCGAAUUGUCAACUCGAUAACAAGGAGAUCGUUCCGAGGUUUGGCUCGAUCGACCGUUUCUCCCCCCUUGAACGAGAUGACAUUCGCGCACGUCGAAUCCCGCAUGUCGUUCCUGAUCGUUGAGUGGUUUUUGCGGGUUAGAUUGAUCCGUAAGUCCCCCUCCUUCUAGCGCCAAACUGUGGGAACCGAAAUUCGCACUGUCGAUUUCCGUUUAAAUAAGGAAACUAGGAAAACCCUAGUUUCCCAGAGGACCCGGAUAUCUGUUAAUUACCACACGUCAAGCAAUCAGAACACGAGAAUAACAACGAUAAAAAUAAGAAAUCGAAAAGAGAGCAAAGUAGAUCUUAUUCCGAAUCUGCGUAUGAGCGUUACAACAAGGUAUAAGCCUGGGCUCGAGAGCUGUCGGCGAGAUUCCUAGUUCUAGCAACCCUAAGACGGCUAAACCUAAUUGAGUCGCAGCUCGAAAUAACAAAAACGGAAAGUUGCCUAAAUCGCUCUAAGUGCUAAGUUUGCUCUGAAAAAGUUCUCUCUCUCUGCUCCUCGCCUAGGACUCCUUAUAUACUAGCUCCAAGGUCGGUUUACGUUUUUACUCUUCUGCCCUUAAGCCGUCAUAGCAAAAAAUGGAGAUAUUCCAUUUUUCCCGAUCUUCACAAUUAUCUUCAAAACUUCCGUAUUUAUCCGCGGAAACUUGACAUUUAUCCUUCCUCGUGGGCCAAGCGUGAACCAUGCUGUGGUUCACGGGCUUUUGAUUAGGAAAAAUCGUAGGAUGGGCCUCGAGUCGUGUUUUAGGUCCCUUUGGGCCGUCUUCCGACUCGACACGUUUACUACGAGUUUUCCGCGGUUUCUAAUCGAAGUUUUGAUCGAUGGAUUAGAAUAGCGGGAAACAUGGACUGAGCUUGCCACGGUCUUCGGGAGAUAGCAUUCGAAGGUUUGACGAGAAUGCAAGGACUGGUGUCGUAUCGCUGUUCGGAAAGGUUCAAUCGCUACACCGCGACCGAUCUUUGGCUCGAGCCCGGUCGCUACGUAGCGACCGAGCGGGACGAUCGCUCGGUCGCUACGUAGCGACCGAGCUUUGGCUCGAGCUCGGUCGCUACGUAGCGACCGAGCGGGACGAGCUCGGUCGCUACGUAGCGACCGAGCGGGACGAUCGCUCGGUCGCUACGUAGCGACCGAGCUUUGGCUCGAGCUCGGUCGCUACGUAGCGACCGAGCUUGGCUCGAGCUCGGUCGCUACGUAGCGACCGAGCUUGGCUCGAGCUCGGUCGCUACGUAGCGACCGAGCGGGACGAUCGCUCGGUCGCUGCGUAGCGACCGAGCGUGGCGGACGUUUGGUCGCUGCGUAACGACCUGUUUCGAGCUUUCCUCGGAUAUCUCGGUUCUUUCUUUCGCGAAGCUUUUUCGUAAGGAAGAAUCUUUCUCCGAAAAGUACUCUUCGGAGAAACUCUUAUUUUCUUAUUCGGACGUUUUGAAUGUUAAAUUUGUCGUAACCGUUUUUGACCCCAACACUUGCCUAGCUUAAAUUAUAUUCGACCAACAUUAUUAACACUCUACCAGAACUAUCAAUGAGAGGCCUUUCGAACACAAGACAGUCCCGUCGAGGUAUUAAUUCACCGGGUCGACUUUAUUUUUAAAUCUGAUCGACCAACUCCAAACUGGUCGAGCAGAGUUUUUCUUGACCAAAAAUUAACUGCCUCGUGAGGGUUAUUACAAGACUGAACCAAGUGCGUCCUAUGUCUUCAGAAAGGUGAAGGAUCCUUGCCUUAGUUAAAUUUGGCUGAUCAAAAGGGUCGAUCAGUCCAUCAGUACGGUCGCCGGUACGUGCAGUAUGGGCCAAUCGAGCCAAAAGAGAUAAGUCUCGCUCAUUUUGUGAAACCUCAUGAUCCAAGUCAAGUCUGGCAUGAUCUUUCUCAAGUCUGGGAUGAUCUUUCUCAAGUCUGGCAUGAUCUUUCUCAAGUCUGGCAUGAUCUUUCUCAAGUCUGGCAUGAUCUUUCUCAACUCUGGCAUGAUCCAAGUCAAGUUUGGCAUAGUGAAAAACAUGAACCUCGGUUGAAAUGUUCAGAACAUCCUUGAUAUACCUUGGAUUUGACCCGUUUUCAUCCAUGGUAUAUAGGUGUUUUACUAUAUAUAUAUAUCUAUGUUUUCUACUCUUCUAGGUAUGUUUUCAGGUUCAGGUGCAUUUCGGAGUAAAGCGAUGACUUUAUAGCAUUUUGGAGCUUAACGGACAUUUCACCCGAGCUGACCACGUAGAGGUCAACGAAGGGAAGAACAAUCGAUCGAUGUGCAUCCAGUGCUGUCGAUCGACACCAAGAGAUGCCUCGACAGAUGAAGAUUAAUAUCGAUCGAUGUACAGAAGUACCAUCGAUCGAUGUCGAGACAGAGGACGCGACAUUUUGAAUCCAGCGGACUUUAAAACCCAAGGCUAAGCAAAAUUACGAAAAUGCUCUGACGAGUUUUUAACCUAGUAGAUUAUAUACUGCCUAAGUGUUGUGACGGCAGGAGAGCUUUUUGUUACAGUUUCACUUUGAGAGAGAAUAUAGAGUUUGGGAGAGAAGAUCACUUGUGAUUGGGACUCCUUGUUUUCAUUUCUUUUCAUCUAUACUAUGAAUUUCCAUUUCUUCAUUGUUAUGAAUUGCUUUGCUAUGUUUGAGUAGUUCAUUUAUUAGAUCCAGGGUUCAGAAAGGUUUGUGGGAUUAGCCCCAAACUAUAGAUCUGCCCUGUUGUGAUAUUCAUGAUAGAUUUGUAUUCAUUGCUUGUUUUAGCCUUGCUAACUAGAACUUGAUCAUAGGAUUGCAUACUCAAGCACCCUUGUUAUCCCAUCCUGACAUCUAUCUAUCAUAUUAGGACUGCUGGAGAGGGCUAACCGCCAAUUUAGUAUCUUAAUAGGGCAUAUCAUACUCGCGCAUAGGCCUGGCUAGAACCCGUCGAUCGAUGUCCUCAACUGACUAUCGGUCGACAUAGGCAAAUAUGUAUUGGUCGACGUCCCAAUAGGACCAUCGAUCGACACUCUUUCGUUCUCGACAUACUAACCGUUGAGACACGAGAUCUAGCCUGUUAACCAGUGAAACAUGCGACAGCUGAUCACUGAGUUAAGCGGUUGAGCUCUAACAUAUCAUGCAUGCAGCAAAUAGGCAUCUAUAGGUAUUAUAAUCUCCAACACCUGAAUAGUGGCCCUGCAUCUAAUAUCAUUUCCAACCAAGUUACAUUUACUAUUUACUUCGCUUCUUACUAUUGCUAUUUCAUUUAAACAUUUACAACUAUUAGAAUUAAUAAACACUAGAUUUAAUUGUUCCCUAGCUCCUUGUAGAUUCGAUCCCUAAGUACUACAUCUGAACCUCUUUUGAUGAAAGUGAUACCACUGAAAUUACCCUAAGGAGUGUUACUCUCAUCAAAAGAGGUUCAGAUGUAGUACUUAGGGAUCGAAUCCACAAGGAGCUAGGGAACAAUUAAAUCUAGUGUUUAUUAAUUCUAAGAGUUGUAAAUGUUUAAAUGAAAUAUAGCAAUAGUAACAAGCGAAGUAAAUAGUAAAUGUAACUUGGUUGGAAAUGAUAUUAGAUGCAGGGCCACUAUUCAGGUAUUGGAGAUUAUAAUACCUAUAGAUGCCUAUUUGCUGCGUGCAUGAUAUGUUAGAGGUCAACCGCUUAACUCAGUCAUCAGCUGUCGCAUGUUUCACUGGUUAAUAGGCUAGAUCUUGUGUCUCAACGGUUAGUAUGUCGACAACGAAAGAGUGUCGAUCGAUGGUACUAUUGAGACGUCGACCGAUAUACCUUUGCCUACGUCGACCGAUAGUCAGUUGAGGACAUCGAUCGACGGGUUGUAGCCAGGCCUAUGCGCGAGUAUGAUAUGCCCUAUUAAGAUACUAAAUUAGCGGUUAGCCCUCUCUAGCAGUCCUAAUAUGAUAGAUAGAUGUCAGGAUGGGAUAACAAGGGUGCUUGAGUAUGCAAUCCUAUGAUCAAGUUCUAGUUAGCAAGGCUAAAACAAGCAAUUAAUACAAAUCUAUCAUGAAUAUCACAACAAGGCAGAUCUAUAGUUUGAGGCUAAUCCCACAAACCUAUCUGAACCUUAGAUCUAAUAAUUGAACUACUCAGACAUAGCAAAGCAAUUCAUAACAAUGAAGAAAUAGAAAUUCAUAGUAUAGAUGAAAAAAAAUGGAAACAAGGAGUUCCAAUCACAAGUGAUCUUCUCUCCAAAACUCUCUCUUCUCUCUCAAAGUAAAACUGUAACAAAAAGCUCUCUCUUGCCGUCAAAACACUUAGGCAGUAUAUAAUCUACUAGGUUAAAAACUCGUCAGGGCAUUUUUGUUAUUUGGCUUGGCCUUGGGUUUUAAGUCCGCUGGAUCCAAAAUGUCGCGUGUCUAAUGUCUCGACAUCGAUCGAUGGUACUUGUGUACAUUGAUAUACCUUGGAUUUGAGUCCAUGGUAUAUAAUUAUUUUACUAUAUAUAUAUCUAUGUUUUCUACUCUUCUAGGUAUGUUUUCAGGUUCAGGUGCAUUUUGGAGUAAAGCUAUGACUUUGGAGCAUUGGAGCAUAAAAGACAUUUCACCCGAGCUGGCCACUUAGAGGUCGACGAGAGGAAGAAUAAUCGAUCGAUGUGCAUCAGUGCUGACGAUCGAUAUCAGGAAAUGCCUCGACAGAUGAAGAUUAAUAUUGAUCGAUGUACACAAGUACCGUCGAUCGAUGUCGAGACACCAGACGCGACAUUUUGGAUUCAGCAGACUUAAAGACCAAGCCCAAGCCAAAUUACCAAAAUGCCCUGACGAGUUUUUAACCUAGUAGAAUAUAUACAGCCUAAGUGUUUGACGGCAGAGAGAGCUUUUUCAUUUCUAGACCUAGUUUUGUUACAAGUUUCAUUUGGAGAGAAGAUCACUUGUGAUUGGAACUCCUUGUUUCAUUUUCUUAUCAUAUAUUCUAUGAGUUUCUAUUUAUCUAUUGAUAUGAAUUGCUUUGCUAUGUCUGAGUAGUUCAACUGUUAGAUCCAGGGUUCAUAUAGGUUUGUGGGAUUAGCCCCAAACUAUAGAUCUGCCUUGUUGUGAUAUUCAAGAUAGAUUUGUAUUCAUUGCUUGUUUUAGCCUUGCUAACUAGAACUUGAUCAUAGGAUUGCAUAUUCAAGCACCCCUGUUAUCCCAUCCUGACAUCUAUCUAUCAUAUUAGGAUUGCUAGAGAGGGCUAACCGCCAAUUUAGAAUCUUAGUAGGGCAUUUCAUACUCGCGCAUAUGCCUGGCUAGAACCCGUCGAUCGAUGUCCUCAACUGACAAUCGAUCGAUGUUGGCAAAAGUGUAUCGGUCGACGUCUUAAUAGACUAUCGAUCGACACUCUCUUGUGUCUGCAUCUAACCGGUGAGACACAAGAUCUAGUCUGUUAACCAGUGGUACAUGCGACAGCUGAUCACUGAGUUAAGUGAAUGAGCUCUAAUAUAUCAUGCAUGCAACAGUUAGACAUCUAUAGGAAUUAUAAUCUCCAACACCUGAAUAGUGGCCCUGCAUCUAAUAUUAUUUCCAACCUAAGUUACAUUUAUCAUUUACUUGCUAGUUACUAUUGCUAUUUUAUUUAAAACAUUACAACCUUUAGAAUUAAUAAACACUAGAUUUAAUUGUUCCCUAGCUCCUUGUGGAUUCGAUCCCUAAGUACUACAUCUGAACCUCUUUUGAUGAGAGUAACACUCCUUAGGGUAGUUUGAGUGGUAUCAAAUUAGGCGCCGUUGCCGGUGAGCUUUGAUCACCAUUAGAUUUAGUUUUAUUAAUUCUUAUUCUUUUCUUUACCCCCUUUUCUAAUAAUCUUUCUUUUUCUUGUCUUUUCAGGUGCAUGCCCAGCGGUUCCAAAAGCAACAAGGAGAAAGACUUGCUGUUCUCAGACGAUCCUGCUCAUUUGGAACGCACCAUCCGUAGAGGUCAACGUUCCACACCGCUCGACGCAACCACUUCGUCGUCGAUCGAUACGCACAACCAACCGUCGACCGACACCAGACCGUCAUCGUCGAUCGAUCCCAAUCGUUCAACAACGAUCGAUACUACACCGCGUACGUCGAUCGAUACCGUGUCGUCAAAAAUGGUAAACAUUAUUAUUCUAACUCAGGAUGAGAACGGAAACCUGUAUGACCAGGCUGGUCAUCUGCGUAAUGCAACAGGUCAGAAAAUAGAUGCUCAGGGAACUGUAAUCCCUGAUGCUGAUGCUACAGGAGCUGCUCAACCUGUAGAUGAGGACCCUCGAUCGAAACCACUGGCCGACUACAAUCGCGCAGAUGAGUACUAUUCCAACAGAUCAGCGAUUCGACUUCCGGAGAUCAAGAAGCAGAAUUUCGAGCUGAAGCCUCAAUACUACACUCUCGUGUCGCAGAUACCCUACUCUGGGUUACCGCACGAGCAUCCUAUGGACCAUUUGGAACGGUUCAAGGAUAUAAUCGUUUCCAUUCGGAUGGAAGGAGUCCCCGAAGAUUACCUGCUGUGCAAGCUCUUCAGAUACACGCUGAAUGGAGAAGCGAUGCACUGGCUUAGUAUGUUGACACGAAAGAGUGUCGAUCGAUGGUCCUAUUGGAACAUCGACCGAUACACCUAUGCCUACGUCGACCGAUAGUCAGUUGAGGACAUCGAUCGACGGGUUCUAGCCAGGUCUAUGCGCGAGUAUUAAAUGCCCUACUAAGAUUCUAAAUUGGCGGUUAGCCCUCUCUAGCAAUCCUAAUAUGAUAGAUAGAUGUUUGGAUGGGAUAACAAGGGUGCUUGAAUAUGCAAUCCUAUGAUCAAGUUCUAGGUAGCAAGGCUAAAACAAGCAAUGAAUACAAAUCUAUCAUGAAUAUCACAACAAGGCAGAUCUAUAGUUUGGGGCUAAUCCCACAAACCUAUCUGAACCCUGGAUCUAACAGUUGAACUACUCAGACAUAGCAAAGCAAUUCAUAUCAAUAGAUAUAUAGAAACUCAUAGAAUAGAUGAAAAGAAAUAGAAACAAGGAGUUCCAAUCACAAGUGAUCUUCUCUUCCAAAUGAAACUUGUAACAAAACUAGGUCUAGAAAAAGCUCUGUUCUUCUGCCGUCAAAAACACUAGGCAGUAUAUAUUCUACUAGGUUAAAAACUCGUCAGGGCAUUUUGGUAAUUUGGCUUGGCCUUGGUUUUUAAGUCUGCUGAAUCCAAAAUGUCGCAUCUGGUGUCUCGACAUCGAUCGACGGUACUUCUGUACAUCGAUCGAUAUUAAUCUUCAUCUGUCGAGGCAUUUCCUGAUAUCGAUCAUCAGCACUGAUGCGCAUCGAUCGAUUAUUCUUUCUCUCGUCGACCUCUAAGUGGUCAGCUCGGGUGAAAUUUCCUUUAAGCUCCAAAAUGCUCCAAAGUCAUAGCUUUACUCCGAAAUGCACCUGAACCUGAAAACAUACCUAGAAGAGUAGAAAACAUAGAUAUAUAUAGUAAAAUACUUAUAUACCAUGGAUAAAAAUGAGUCAAAUCCAAGGUAUAUCAGUGGGAUUAGCCCCAAACUAUAGAUCUGCCUUGUUGUGAUAUUCAUGAUAGAUUUGUAUUCAUUGCUUGUUUUAGCCUUGCUAACUAGAACUUGAUCAUAGGAUUGCAUAUUCAAGCACCCUUGUUAUCCCAUCCUGACAUCUAUCUAUCAUAUUAGGAUUGCUAGAGAGGGCUAACCGCCAAUUUAGAAUCUUAGUAGGGCAUUUCAUACUCGCGCAUAGGCCUGGCUAGAACCCGUCGAUCGAUGUCAUCAACUGACAAUCGAUCGAUGUUGGCAAAGGUGUAUCGGUCGACGUCUUACUAGACCAUAGAUCGACACUCUCUCGUUUUCUGCAUACUAACUGUUGAGACACGAGAUCUAGUCUGUUAACCAGUGGUACAUGCGACAGCUGAUCACUGAGUUAAGCGAAUGAGCUCUAAUAUAUCAUGCAUGCAACAGUUAGGCAUCUAUAGGUAUUAUAAUUUCCAACACCUGAAUAGUGGCCCUGCAUCUAAUAUCAUUUCCAACCAAGUUACAUUUAUUAUUUACUCGCUUGUUACUGUUGCUAUUUCAUUUAGACAUUUACAACCUUUAAAAUUAAUAAACACUAGAUUUAACUGUUCCCUAGCUCUUUGUGGAUUCGAUCCCUAAGUACUACAUCUGAGCCUCUUUUGAUGAGAGUAACACUCCUUAGGGUAAUUUUAGUGGUAUCAGCUACAGAACAUCUCCAAAGUACUUGAGAAGAUGGAUGACAAAUGGACAAGAAAUGAUGUGGCCACAAGAAGUUUCAUUGCAUCUUGGUCCAGAAUGUGCAGAGAUGACGUGGAUGCUUGCUUUCCAACAAGCAGCUGUUUCUCCACACAAUAGCCAAUCACUACCACAGUCAAGCUAAAUGAUUAUAACCAAGCGAUGAGUGGGAGGCAACCCACUGGUGAUAUAAAACGGUCAUGCAUAUCCUCGUAAGUCCUCAGCCUCUCAUCCAUUGCUGAGACUUUGGCGUCGAGCGAUUUGAAGGUGCACAUGUCGAUCGAUGUGGCUGGAUGUUGGUCCUUCUUGCGAAUGGUGUCCAGAUCUUGCUGUAGUAGCUCGAUUUUAGUGCUUAGCCAGUCCACGUUGUUGUUGAGAGGGCAGUAAACAUCGUUUAUCCUCGUGUCGAUGUAUGAGACUUCCCAUUCAUCCCUGUGUUGUGUUGAACAUCGCGGUUCUGCAAGGAUCUUAGCUGUAGGAAGACUGACGUCGAUCGAUGUUGCACGUGGUGCGUCGAUCGAUGCUGAGGUCGUAGCUUCCUUCUCAAGUUGCUGACGUACACUUUCAAUUUUUGUCCUCAUUUCUGUCAUACAUCUGAAAAGCUCAUUGUAGCCUCUAUCCAAAGGCUGAUGUGUUUCAUCUACCAAUGUUUUGAGCUCCUCUCCCAGUUUCUCCUGAGCUCCACAAAUACCAAACACCAUUUCAUCGAUUUCUUCUUUGGUGUAGAGUUCUGGUGCCAGUCUUGUGAGUGUGAAGGAAGUGGCAUGUUCUGGAAGACAGAUGUGGCUCUCUUCAAAAAGAGAUGCUCUUUCCAGUAUUUUCCUGAUGUUGUCCUUUGUGACAGGUAUCAUCUCACCAGCUGCGCUUCGUGCGUGUCCACGCUCAUCUCUAUAGACUCCAUAUUCGUCCCUUUGUUCCCAAGUGAACUUUCUGGCUCCAUACAUGUCGAAAGCGCGGCUCCCAAAUUCAUAGCGUCUGUCGAUCGACGUCGGAUCAUCUAUAUCGAUCGACGUUGGUGUUACCCUGGCGAUCGAUGUCUCCGUUGUACCGUCGAUCGAUGCUUGCCCUUUUGGUUAGCGUGAUAGAUCUGUGUUGAUCUCUGUUGUGGCGACUCCUGCGUGGUUGUUAGGAUUUGUUAGAAUGACGUCUGGAGUGCCACGUUGCUGUGAGAACAGGUUGUCAGGUCCAUUGGCUACUUGAAGGAUGUCUGCUAUGUCCUCUCUGGACACUUGUAAAAUCCUUCCAUCCAUUGCACGUGCGUUGCCAUCUGGAUCCCUGAAAAUACCAAAUUCAUCAAGUGUUAGAAAACCGUAAUCAAUGUUUGCAUAAUUAUUCAUUUUAGAAAUAGAGAGAUUAGGGUUUAGAGUAGUAUCGAUCGAUGUAGAUACAGUUACAUCGAUCGUUGGCAGAGUAAUUUCUGCAGAACUUGUGUUCUUGAGAUGAUUGCUCUUCAUGGACUUUUCUGUUGAUGUAGAAGGAAGAGUGUUCAUCUUAUUUGCUUGUGUGUUUGCUCUUAUGUGUGUAGGUGGUUUCGGAGGUGCAAAACGAUUUAUAUAGGUAUUUGUAAACCUGGUUAGGGAGAGAAUAUUCUCCUGCUCCUGAAUUUUCGCUGCGGCGCGAAUAUCGAUCGUUUUUCCUUUCGGUGUGUUGAUCGAUGUGAGCGGUUGUUUUGCUGGACGAGGGUGGGUAUCGACCGAUGUGGAGUGCACAGCGUCGAACGAUAUUGGAAACGUGUUGGUGAACUUGUGUAUUUCAAGUCUUUCAUCCUGCAAAGACAUUUCUAUUGCACGUUCUUUCCAGUAAUCCUCAUCGUAUUCCUCGGUAUGUUCCUCAUGAGGUGAAGUAAUUACAGUGUCAACUGCCAGCAAAACUUUCAUGGAAACCACUGUCUACCCAACUGCCUAUGGAAUAAUCAUUAUGUCCUCUCCUGGUUGGAGGUUGGAAGGAAAAAUGUUGGUAACAAUGAUUAGGUGAAGCGAAAUGGUCAAGUGGGUGCAUUACGUCGAGUGACGUGUUGUUGUGGUCAUCGGUCACCAUUGACACAUUGGAAUCGAUCGAUGGAAAGGUUGGGGUGUUGAUCGAUUCCGAGUACUCUGUUUUGUACUCCGAUUCAUACUCUGCUCCACAAUGGCAUGCGCCAAUGAAGCCAAGUUCUUUCCCAUAAUCCACAAGAUUAAUUACCUUUCUCUUAGGUCGGAUGGGAUCGUAGUGGAUGUUUGGGUCUAUGAGCGUUAGACACAAUUUUUUUUUGUUCAUGUCACAUACAGCUCCUACUGUAGCUAGGAAAGAUCUUCCAAGCAGAAGUGAAGAGUUCCAAUUAAGCUCGAUGUCUAAGAUGAAAAUCUACAGGGACAAGGGCAUUACCAAUCAGUACCUCCAGAUCUCUUAUGAUGCCUCCGGAUCGUUUCUCUGAAAGAUCCACGAAGGUGAAGGAUUCUGUUGAGGGUUCGAUGGUCAAACCAAGCUGGUCUGCCAUAAUCCUAGGGAGGAUACUAACCGAUGCUCCUGUGUCACACAUUGAAUGGGGAAAUUCAACACCCUUGACUAUGCAUGGUAUUGUAAACUUCCCAGGAUCACUCUUCUUCGUCAAUGUGAUCCUGUGUUUCAUCUUUCCUCUAACUUGAUGAAACAUUCUCCUAAUGUCCUCCUCAGUUACCUUUGUUUCUCUGAAGAACAUCCACAAUUGGUGUGUGAAGUAAGCUUCAUCAAAAGGUUUUUCGAUUGGGAUUUUGAGGACUCGUUUAGUAAAACCAUCCAUCUCCUUAUCGUUAGCUUCCCUCUUUAGGUUUUUAGGAAUCUUCUCCUUUCUUUUCCUUAACCUUCUCCCUUCAGAUUCUUGUUCUUCUUGAACAGAUUCUGUUGAACUAGUUAAAGGGUUGGGUUUUGGUUCGGGUGGGUUUGCUAAUGGUUUAUGUGGUGGUCUGAGUGCAUUGAUGUAAUCAUUAUCGAUUGAGGGUAACCGCAUUUGGUAUGUCAGAGGUGCUUGUCGAUCGAUGGGAGGUGUGUUGUGACGAUCGACGUCGGACUCACUCUGUCGAUCGAUGGUUGAGUUAACCGAUUGAUCGAUUUUUUCAUAGAAAGGGGAGGGUGGGUGAGGAUGCUUAGCUGUGAAUUCUUCAUGAGUUAGAAUUCGAACCGCAUUGCAUUCAGUCGAAUUGGCAGACGACGUCGAUCGAAGACUGGAGUAAUCCGUCCAUCGAUCUUCAUCAUGGUCUGUCGAUCGAUGCGAGUUCAUCGACAUCGGUCGAAACCAUUGGGAUCCGCCGAGACUCAUGGAGCUUUCGAUUUCAAAAUCUCCUUCCUCAAGGUUUUCAUUUCUCACCACUUGCCAGAAUUCGUCAUCUAUGAUGGCAUUUACGUGGUGUUUCCCUUUGUCGGCUCCUGCCUCACUAGCGAAAGCUUCUUGCCUCUUAAUAGUCUCGCCCGUCUAAAUUACUUGGGUUUCAAGUUUUCUCACCUGAGUCCCUAAGGUCUCGAUUUUGGUGUUCAGAUUGUUGUAAGCAAAGUCUAUCUUACCGUUGAAAUCCACGGUGAUUUGUUGUUGUCCCAACAGUACUCGAUCAAGUAUUUCUUCGAUCUUGCUUUCGUGAGUCUGGGGUGGUGGAUUUUGAUAGUAAGAGUUCGAGUAGCUCUUGCUGUUGUUGAAGGGUUUUUAAAAUUGUGAACUUUGGUUACUUCUUUGGCCAUUUCCAAAGAAGUUUCUGUUUCCGUCCUGGUUUCCAAAUUUCUAGAAUCCGGUACCUCCGAUGUAGUUCACACCUUCUUCUCCUUCUGUAUCUGCUACUUCUCCUUCAGCUGAACAGACUUGCUUCCUAAGAAGCUCGUGCACCAUAUCUAACUUAGCUCUUACUUCGUCCAUCUGUUCCUUCCCGAUAGAGGCUACAAAAUUCUUCCGUUCAGAGUCAGUGUUUUUGGUGCUGCUGCUGUUAGCAAGGUUUUCGAUAAGUCUCACAGCUUCCAACGGAUUCCGAGUAGUAAAGUUUCCUUCACUCGCCGUAUCAAGAGCCAUUUGAUACUGUAAGGCGAGACUUCGAAAGAAAGUGCUUAGCAGCUGCACUUCAUUAAAUCCGUGGUGUGGACAGUCUCGCUGGAAAAACCUAAAUCUAAUCCACGCAUCUUUGAAGGACUCUCCAGCCUUCUGCGAGAAUGUGGAAAUUUUGUUCCGAAGUUCUUCAGCGCGUGCCUCAUCGAAGAAGUUUCGUAAGAAAGCAUUCUUGAUGUCUCUCCAGGAUGUUAAAGAUCCUGUUGGUUGCUGCCUAAGCCAAUGCAUCGCUUCUCCAUUCAGCGUGUAUCUGAAGAGCUUGCACAGCAGGUAAUCUUUGGGGACUCCUUCCAUCCGAAUGGCAGCGAUUAGAUCCUCGAACCGUUCCAAAUGGUCCAUAGGAUGCUCGUGCGGUAACCCAGAGUAGGGUAUCUGCGACACGAGAGUGUAGUAUUGAGGCUUCAGCUUGAAAUUCUGCUUCUGGAUCUCCGGAAGUCGAAUCGCUGAUCUGUUGGAAUAGUACUCAUCUGGGCGAUUGUAGUCGGCCAGUUGUUUCGAUCGAGCGUCCUCAUCUACAGGUUGAGCAGCUCAUGUAGCAUCAGCAUCAGGGAUUACAGUUCCCUGAGCAUCUAUUUCCUGACAUGUUGCAUUACGCAGAUGACCGGCCUGGUCAUACAGGUUUCCGUUCUCAUCCUGAGUUAGAAUAAUAAUGUUUACCAUUUUUGACGACACGGUAUCGAUCGACGUAUGCGGUGUAGUAUCGAUCGUUAUCAAACGAUUGGGAUCGAUCGACGAUAACGGUGUGGUGUUGGUCGACGGUUUGUUGUGUGUAUCGAUCGACGACAAAGUGGUUGCGUCGAGCGAUGUGGAACGUUGACCUCUACGGAUGGUGCGUUCCAAAUGAGCAGGAUCGUCUGAGAACAGCAAGUCUUUCUCCUUGUUGUUUCUGGUACCGCUGGGCAUGCACCUGAAAAGACAAGAAAAAGAAAGAUUGUUAGAAAAGGGCGUAAAGAAAAGAAUAAGAAUUAAUAAAACUAAAUCUAAUGGCGAUCAAAGCUCCCCGACAACGGUGCCAAAUUUGAUACCACUCAAAUUACCCUAAGGAGUGUUACUCUCAUCAAAAGAGGUUCAGAUGUAGUACUUAGGGAUCAAAUCCACAAGGAGCUAGGGAACAAUUAAAUCUAAUGCUUAUUAAUUCUAAAGGUUGUAAUGUUUUAAAUAAAAUAGCAAUAGUAACUAGCGAGUAAAUGAUAAAUGUAACUUAGGUUGGAAAUGAUAUUAGAUGCAGGGCUACUAUUCAGGUGUUGGAGAUUAUAAUUCCUCUAGAUGCCUAAAUGUUGCAUGCAUGAUAUAUUAGAGCUCAUUCGCUUAACUCAGUGAUCAGCUGUCGCAUGUACCACUGGUUAACAGACUAGAUCUUGUGUCUCACCGGUUAGAUGUAGACACAAGAGAGUGUCGAUCGAUAGUCUAUUAAGACGUCGACCGAUACACUUUUGCCAACAUCGAUCGAUUGUCAGUUGAGGACAUCGAUCGACGGGUUCUAGCCAGGCCUAUGCGCGAGUAUGAAAUGCUCUACUAAGAUUCUAAAUUGGCGGUUAGCACUCUCUAGCAAUCCUAUUAUGAUAGAUAGAUGUCAGGAUGGGAUAACAAGGGUGCUUGAAUAUGCAAUUCUAUGAUCAAGUUCUAGUUAGCUAGGCUAAAACAAGCAAUGAAUACAAAUCUAUCAUGAAUAUCACAACAAGGCAGAUCUAUAGUUUGGGGCUAAUCCCACAAACCUAUCUGAACCAUGGAUCUAACAAUUGAACUACUCAGACAUAGCAAAGCAAUUUAUAUCAAUAGAUAAAUAGACACUCAUAGAAUAGAUGAUAAGAAAAUGAAACAAGGAGUUACAAUCACAAGUGAUCUUUUCUCCAAAAAAAACUUGUAACAAAACUAGGUCUCGAAAAGAAAAGCUCUCUCUGCCGUCAAAACUUAGGCAGUAUAUAUUCUACUAUGUUAAAAACUCGUCAGGGCAUUUUGGUAAUUUGGCUUAGCCUUGGUCUUUAAGUCUGCUGAAUCCAAAAUGUCGCGUCUGGUGUCUCGACAUCGAUCGAUGGUACUUGUGUACAUCGAUCGAUAUUAAUCUUCAUCUGUCGAGGCAUUUCCUGAUAUCGAUCGCCAGCACUGAUGCGCAUCGAUCGAUUAUUCUUCCUCUCGUCGACCUCUAAGUGGUCAGCUCGGGUGAAAUGUCCUUUAUGCUCCAAAAUGCUCCAAAGUCAUAGCUUUACUCCGAAAUGCACCUGAACCUGAAAACAUACCUAGAAGAGUAGAAAACAUAGAUAUAUAUAUAUAGUAAUAUAAUAAUAUACCAUGGAUAAAAAUGGGUCAAAUCCAAGGUAUAUCAACAGGGCUGGGCGGAUGUGGGUGUUUUGCUGCGAAUUCCUCACAAGUCAUGAUCCUCACAGCUUUGCAAGAUGCGAUGUAUUCCGUAGGUGUUGUCGAGCGAUGUCCAGGAGAGGACGUCGAUCGAUUUUGGAUGACACAUGUCGAUCGAUGUUCGUGGCUUGGCGUCGAUCGACACCAAUGUGAUCCACGGAAACUCAUCAGACUUUCUACUUCGAAAUCUCCUUCUUGCAGCUUCUCUUCCUUCACCACUUGCCAUAAAUCAUCCCCAAGGAUGGCUUUCACGUGGUGUCUCAUAACAUCAUCUUCUAUCCUUUUUGUUAAGGUUCCUGCCUCUUAACAGCUUCUCCUGUCCGAACAACCUGCAUCUCUAGCUUCUUCACAUGAGUGCUCAAACUUUUUGUUGAGGAAAAAAAUUCCAUGAAGAGAUUACUCCAGGUUCCAGGUUCCUUCCCCCGGGUUCCAGGUUCCCGACUCCAGCUUCCAGGGUCCUGCCCCCUGCUCAGGGUCCCGCCUCCGGGUUCCGACUUCUGGCUUCCAAGUUGAAUGGUUUCUCCUGCCUUAGACACGAAGAGAUCCUCUUAAAUCCAAGAGAAAAAGGAAGUAUUCCAACAUAUAGGCCGUUCUUAAGAAAAUUGGAAAUAUUCUAUUAUCUAAGGAAACAUUGAAUAUUUCCAAACCCUAGGAGGGGGCACGACCUCCACUAUAAAUAUAGGUUUCUAAACCUAAGGAGGAAGGGGGGGGGGGAAGACGUCCAUAAACAGACCUCACAAGUUCUACAGCCGCCAAGGCAAUAUUCUAACCCUAGAAGACCUUUUCCUUCGACAUGCCUAUGAUAGGCUGAUCCCGAUGAUUGUUCCCGACAAGAUGAAGUCAUACAUGUGGGAGGGGGCCCAAACUAGCGCCAAACUGUGGGAACCAAAAUUCGCACUGUCGAUUUAUGUUUAAAUUAGGAAAGGGAGUACCCUAGUUUCCCAGAGGUCCCGAAUAUCUAUUAGAACCACAUGCCAAGCAAUUAGAACACGAAACGAAAACAAUAAUAAAACAAGAAAUCGUAAAAAGAGCAAAAAAUGUCUUAUUCCGAAUUCGCAUAUGAGCGUUACAACAAGGUAGAAGCCUAGGCUAUGAAAGCUGUCGGCGAGAUCCCUAGUUCUAACAACCUAAGACUGCAAAAUCUAGUUGAGUCGCAGCUCGAAAUAACAAAUACGAAAAGUUGCCUAAUUGUUCUAAGUGAUAAGUUUGCUGUGUAAAAGUUCUCUUUUCUGCCUCUCACCUAGGACUCCUUAUAUACUCGCUCCUAGGUCGGUUUACGCUUUUCCCGUUCUGCCCUUAAUCCGUCAUAGCUUAAAAAUGGAGAUAUUAUGUCUUUUCCAAUCUUCGUGAUUAUCUUCGGAUACUUCAGAUUUAUCCGCGGAAACUUGACAUUUAUCCUUUUCUUACGAACCAAGCAUAAACCAUCAUAUGGCUUAUGGGCUUUUGGUUAAGAAAUCAUAAGUGGGCUUCGAGCUGCGUUUUAGCCCUCAUUGGGCCGUCUUUGACUCGAGACGUUUAUUACGGUUUCUUCGAUAAAAACAAACUUCCUGCGGUUUUUAUCAUAAAGUUCGAUUGAUGACUCCGAGUGACGAAAAACAUGAAAUGGUUUUGCUACGGUUUUUGGGAGAUAGCAUUAAAGAGUAGACGAGAAUGCAUGGAUUCGUGUUGUGUCGAUGUUUUAAGAGAGCUCGGUCGCUACGUAGAGACCGAGCCGUGUACGUGCUCGGUCACUACGUAGCGACCGAGCUUGGCCCGAGCUUGGUUGCUACGUAGCUCUCUGCUUAAGGAGAAGAAGGCCAGGAAGGCCAAGUCUUCGGAGGUGUGUCGACUUCAACGUCAGAUCGAGAAUGACGUAGGAUCGACGACCGAAGGGAUCGAAGAGGCCAAGGAUGCGCUCCGAGCUGAGUUCCAGGCUCAUUUGGCGAAGAUCUCUGCCUUUAUAGGCUCCCUCGAGUGCAUCCGCAGUAGAGAUUUGGCCUUGGUGACUGUCGAGGGCGGGAUGGCUAUAGUUUGCGCACUCCAGAGGGAGACUCCUCCGUCCUUAGAGGCCGAAGAGACCAGGUUGUCCGAUUGUAAGGGAGAUUCGGCGGCCGUAGAUGGGGAUUUUGAUCUCGUCCUGGCUGACCUGAAAUCCGCGUGCUUCCUCCCGACGUGCUCAAAAGACCCAGAGGGGAAAGAUCCCAUGGUCGGGGAAAAUGGAGGCGACGCGGCCCCGAGCAUGGACGAGGUGAUGGGCGAAGAGGAGGCUUGAGUUCAGAAGAUGGCCAUGGUAACGAUCUCUCGUGAGAGAUUUUUUUUUUGUUUAUGUUUAUGUUUUGGCCUUGUAUCGCCUUGUUUUAUAUUUCGGGACUGGCCGUUUGUGGCUUUGAAUCCCUGCCGCUCUGCGGCUUUUGUAAUUUUUUUUUUAUGAAUGGAUAAUCAGUUUGCGUUUACGUGAGUAAGUGUAUGGAAGGCGGAUUAUGAGUUGUCGUCUCAUAUCUCUUUCCGAUGUGAAAUGCUUUUUUCGCGAUCUGUUUCGAGCGUUUUCCGCGAAAUCCUAAUUUUGCGGGAUAUCUGAAGACGUCAAAUGUAAGCAUCGAGGCAUGUUUUAGGAUCUCAUGUCUUCUUUUCGAUAUCAUGCCUUGAGAUGUUAAGACCAGUGCGAUGGGUUUAGGGUAAGACCUAGGUUUACUUUCGGUUUUAAGAUUUAUGCGGUGCUGGCCGGCUAUUGAUUUUCUUGCUGCGAUUUAACCUGACUCGUAACGAUUUAAAGUCCGCGAUAUGUUCUCGGCUUAUACGACUUGUCUGAUACAAAUCGAGCAUCUCUCCAGAGACGACUUUUAAGCCAACUGGAAGUGCUUGACCAAAAUUUCGGAUUUCUUUUGUAGCGAUAUUAUCCUUGUGUCGGAUGUACGAGGGUCAUCUUCGUGAGAUGCUGUUUCUGUUUAGGACGUUUAAGAGUUCGAUAUGAUCAGCAACGAACUUGUGGUAGAUAUUACCAUUUGGGUCUUCGCGAAGAAUAUGUGUUUUGCGGAGAUGUUAGUGCGUAUAUUAUUUUUCAAUAGUUUCGUUUUGUCGGAUGGGAAACAACUUCUUAGCAAUUUUUGCAAUGUCUCACAGCGCCGGAGGUAGAUUUGUCCCUAAUGACUGGUUUACUUGCGAGUUUUUUCAGGACUCGGAUAUAAUUUGUUGGAUGAAGAUGAUUUGCUCGGUUUUGAAGGGUAAAAGUUUCAGAAAUAUCGAGGGCGUGGUGGGAUAUUUUGAACUUUGGAGUAUGCGAGUAUACGUACCCACUCCCCCCCCCCCUUUUAGAUAGGGGGACAGCUGAAUUCGUCUUUCGACAAACUGCCUACGUACCCCUUAUGGAGAUCAAGCCGUCUCGUAGUUUGGUUGUUGCGAAGUGGUUUAUUUAGUGAUAGUAUUUUUUGAGAUGCAUUGCGUUCCAGGUUCUCGGGAUUUUUCCGCCAUGCAUGUUGGCUAUCUCGUAGGAGCCUGGUCGAACGACUUUUACGAUCUUGUAGGGUCCUUCCCAGUUCGUUCCAAGUUUUCCCGCGUUUUGUUCAGCGGUGUUUUGGAAUAAUUUGCGAAGAACCAACUCUCCUUCGUUGAAUCUGCGAUUCCGUACGUUGGAAUUAUAAUAUUUUGCGGCUGCGUGUUGGUAAUUCUACAUUCAGACGAGCGCUCGAUCCCGGCGCUCGUUAACGAGGUCAAGAUCGUCUAGAAGCAUAGCGUUAUUGGGCUCUUCUCAUUCGGGCAAUAAUCUCCUUCACACACCAGGGAACUCGACUUUUGCGGGAAUCAUGCAUUAUGUCCCGUAGACGAGGGCAAAAGGUGUUUCUCCUGUUGCUCGUCUUUGGGUUGUGGGAUGUGUCCAGAGGACUCCCUCGAGUUCGUCUACCCACCUGCAUUUUUUGGCGUCUAGACGGUUCUUAAGUCCGUCUAGAAGAGUCUUAUUGAUCGUCUCGGCUUGUCCAUUUUAUUGCGGGUAUCUGGGAGUCGACUUGUUUAGUCGUAUCUUCCAUUUUUCACAAAACGCUUCGAAUCGGGUGGAGAUGAACUGAGAUCCUUUAUCAGUUACGAUUUCGUAAGGAAUUCCAUGUCUACAAAUAAUGUUUUUCCAUACGAAAUUUUCAACUUGAACAUCUUUGAUACUUGCAUACGAGUCUGCCUCUACCCACUUUGCGAAGAAAUCUGUGAGGACUAAGAGGAAACGCUUUUGCUUUGAAUUGUGAAGGGGUCCGACGAUGUCCAUGGACCAGCACAUGAAAGGAUACGGCGACGUGAUGAAAAAAAAUAACUUCUGCUGGUUUUCGGAUGGUCGGUGUAAUAAUCCUCACGAGCCAAUAAAUUUUUGGUCAAGAAAAAUCCCACUCGACCAGUUUUUAGUUGGUUCGACCAUGAUUAAUAGAAAUAAAAAUCGACCCGGUAGAUUAAUUUCUCGACGGGACUGUCUUGUGGUUGAAAGACCUUCACUUGAUAGUUUGGUCGAGUCUUAAAUAUUUUGGUCGAAUUUUUAUUAAACUGGAAGAGAUUUUCCGAGAACAAGACGAGAGCCAAAGACAAGGAAUAUUUAGUUAAAAAUUAUUGGAAAUUAUCAACCAACUGCUACAAGUAAUUUUGGACCAGACUCAUGUCUUCCACCAGCCUGCUUGCUCAGUCUUUAAUCACAUGACUUGCACCUGCCUGCUUGCUUAGCUUCUUCAGUAAAUGGCACAUGACAAUCACAAGCUGCCUGUGUGCUUGCUUCCUCCUUUAAUUAUGAGAAAAAGACCAAAAUAGCACUAAAUCAAGUUUUUGUUCCCAAACUAGCACUCAAGGCCAAAAGUCACAAAAAUAGCACUCAAGGGGUGGGGUUUAGGGUUUAGAAUUUAGGGUUUAGGGUUUAGAGUUUAGGUUUUAGGGUUUAGAGUUGAAAAGUGAGGUUUUGGGGAUAAGAUUUCAAAUUUUGAAAAAUAAAAAAAUUUAAAUUUUUCAAAAAAUAAAAUGCUAUUUUGGUCAUUUUAGUUUUUGAGUGCUAUUUUUGUGAUAUAAACUUAGAAAUGUGCUAUUUUGGAGAUUUGCCCUUUAAUUAUUUAUGAUUGGCUGGAAACUACUUCAUGGGAGGGAAAGGACAGUAUGGUGUAGAUGAUGAAACAGGUUGCCAGCUGUCUGCUCUCAGCCAAGCUUUGUUAUGAGCUAAACCCUCAGGUGAAGCAACCACAGCUUGUAUUUAACCCUCCUCCAGCUGCUUCCCACGUUCAGAACCCUGCAGAAAAACCUAGAGAAUUUCAGUGAGAAAGAGAGAAAGAAGAACAGAAAACUCAGUGAGAAAAAUCAAGAAAAAAAUUGGUGGUGACCUAAUCUUCAACCUUAGCUCAGUUUGGUUCUUGAGAAAGAUCAGAAGGUGAGAUUUUUAAAUAAAACCCUAGACCUAGUUGAGUUCAGAUCAUGAUCAGACCUUGAUCUUUCUCUUUGAUCAGUCCAGCCACAAGCUUACCUUGGAGAAGAGGAUCAGCUGAGGCCAUCUAGUCCUUUGGUUUGUCUUGGUAAGCUUUGGUCUCCUAGCCUAAGUCAGUAUCUGAUCAGAACAGUUCAUGGCUACCUUAGAUCUGGGUCGGAUCAGUUGUUUAAGUUAUGAUACAGUUCAGUUCUUGCUUAGUUUCGGUUUGAAUCCAUCUCCUAAAACAGUUUGCUAAGGUGUUAGGGAUUGAUUGGAGUUAAACGAAACUAAACUCAGUCUGAUCUUGUCUUUUUUUUUUUUUUUGUCACUGAAUAUUUCAUUAGAAAAACUAAGAAGAAGAUUUGUGCUCAAAACGAUGGCCCAAAUCAAGAUGUCCGUUACAAAGAGAAAUAAGCUUGAAGAGCUUUUUUGCUAAAACAUCGGCAACUAAGUUGUCCGAUCUAGAAACAUGAUACAAAGAACAUGCUGCAAACCCAGAGGAGAUCGAUUGGAUGUCGUACACAAAACCAAUGAUUUCUUUAGACUGGAGAUCGCCGGAGAUAGCUCUGAUGAGCGUUAAACUAUCGGAGAGAACCUUGAGUGUGGAGAACUCCAAGGUUAGCGCCAUGCAAAGUGCUGAUCGAAUCACGAUGGCCUCUGCAAUAAAGGGUGAGCUGAUGAAGCUUUCUAAACACCGAAGUCCUAACUGACUUAAUUUUCCAUUGAGAAACACCAACGGUGGUUGAUAAGCUGAAUGUGAACAGCUCUGAAACUGGGCUAUGUGAACCCGUAAAAACAGAUGUGAAAGGCUCUCGAUAGCCAGAAUUUGGACCAGGCCCAUCAAAAUCAACACAAUAACCUCUUUGGUGACAAGCUUGGGUUUGACGGAGUACGGAAGACAUGAUAGAGACAACUUCAUCCUUCUAAAAACGCUGAGAAUGAUGAGGUAUGGUGACGGAGCAGAAGUUCUAAUCUGACCAAACCUUCGGACCUCGACAUUACCGUGACAAGACCAACGAGUUGUAAUCAAACUAAACCUGAGCAACCAGUCAUAUACCUCUUUCAAAAUGAAAAUAUGAGAGCGAGCGUUGUUAGAAAGGCGAAGAGUGCUGGUUAAGAGAUGAGGGUAUGGGCUCAAAACUUCAUCUUGAUUCAUGGGCCAGGCCCAAACUGAGAAGAAACCAGGGCUGACGUCAGCGCCUCCGGAUCUGAGAAGCUUGUUUGCCGCAGAAAGAGAGCUUGGAGAUAAGGUGGAUCUGAGAUGACGGUCGUCGGAAUGAAGUGUAGCGUUUGAACAAAGGCUCACAGCUGGUUCAAUGAUUCCACUUGCACCAAGCAGAGAAGCGGCUGUGACAAAAGUAACAGAAGAAGCGGCUGUGACGAGAGUAGCAGUAGAAGCGACAAGAGGAGGGUCCGGUGGGUCUGGUGGAACUGGCGGUUGAGGAGGCUGUCGCUGCUCUAGAGAUAUCAGAUCUGGAGGCUCUGGCUUACGAGGUAACAACGGAGGCUUGUACGUCCCUGAGCUGUGAGCAGGAGCGGAAAGGUUGAAGAAGCAGGAUCUCACCGGCAGCGGUAAGAUAGACGUCGUAAGAGCACUGCCGGGAGAGACGCCCGAUUUUCCAGCUUUUAAGAGCUUUUCAAUUCUCGGUGAUACGAUUCUCCGGUUCAACCCAGGCGGGUUCCCGAUAAUGAGAAGCAUGGCUUCUUAGAGUGAAGGUUGAACGGAGACCAACUUGCGCCGUGAAUCCAUGGAGGCUGGGAAGUGGCUCUGCAUCGGCUCCUUGGUUUGUGUGCCAGAGAGAAAAGUCUCCUCUCUCUUUCUAUCUCUAGUUUUUUCAAUGUCUGCAACUGUCUUUCAGUCUGAUCUUGUCUUGAACUGUUGUUAACUGAAUAGAACUGAACUGAUCUGAUCUGGUAUGAAAGGAACCGAGCUUGAACUGAUUUGAUUUAAGUUGUUUAGCUUGAACCGAACUGUCAGAUUGUUGAUGUUCUGAACCCAACCUUGCCCUGUUUUGAUCAGCUAAGGUGUGGAGCUUUGCUAGUCCCAUCCUAUCCAUUCAGUCUCUUGGUAAGCCACAAUCAAGUGAGUCAGAUGAGUUGUUGAGUUAACCAUAGUAACCGAUCAGAACCUUGUCCAUUCUCAGGUCCAUUCAGCCUUGUUCAAGUGGAACUCAAGUCUUGUCCAAGCCAGUUUCAAGACUAAUCUUUAGGUGAGUCUAGAUAGAUGUUGAGAUUGAUUGAGUUAGUAAAGUCUCUCAAGUUUAUAAGAAUGGUGUUAUGUUUACUUAUUGUAAACUAUACAUAAGAGUAAUCAAAAGGUUAGAGUGAGGUUAAUCAUAAUCAUAGUACUUGUUCUCAAGUACUAAUCUUAAUUAUGAAAUAAUCAUGGUUUUGAUUAUGGAUUAAUCUUGGUUAAUUAAGAAUUAAUCUUGGUUUAAUUGAGAAUUAAUCUGAGAUUAAUUAAAGAGUAAUCAUGAUUAAUUAAGUACUAAUCUUGGAUUAAUUAAAGAUUAAUAUGAGAUUAAUUAAGGAUUAAUCUAGGAUUAAUUAAGAGUUAAUUAUGAUUAAUUAAGGAUUAAUUAUGAAUUAAUUUUGGAAUAAUUAUGGAAGUAAAAUCAUGUGAAGUCUUGUUAUAUUCACUAUCCCUAAAGCCCCCGCAUUACCGUGACUUGGUCCUGCGAACGGAACAAGGUCAUGAAGACACGAUGAUGGGGUAGCUCCCUGGAGACCGUGUACUGCAUGACGAUGCAGUGUCGGAUUGUCCAUACCGGACAUUCGACAAUGAUGGUGAUGCUAACUCACUAGUCUCGGUUAGCCUUAGUGGUUUCUCGGGUCUAGUAUAUAUAUUGUAUUAUAUGAGUAUGGUAACGGGCGGGUGUUGUGGAAGUGAUGUUUAAAAUAAGAAUUCACAAUGAUGAUCGAUAUUAAAGUAUAGUACUAGUACUUGCAUGAUCAUGUAUAUGCAUUGAUAAUUGCUUGAUUGUUAUUGAUUGUGUUGUGAUUCUAGAUUCACUGAGUAAACUAGUUGCUCAUGACUCAUUUGUGUGUGCAGGUAAACCUUAGGCGGGAGACACUUAAAUCUUUUGGACGGAAGGAGCGGCCAACCAGCGGUAGUAUUUUGUUGUCCUUGCAACGUACGUUUUGAUGUAUAUUUACUUAAAACGUUGUUGGGCGAUAGGCCGUAGGGUAAACUAUAACAGUUUGUAAGAUGCUUAAAGUAAAUAAAUAAUGUAUAAAAGAUGUUUAUAAAUCACGAGUUCUCAUAUGAUAUUAGUCCUUGUCCGGGACGAACUAACUAUCGAAUAUUGCUUUAUCGGGUUAAAAACCUAGAGUAAUAUCCGAUAGGAGUGUCUGUGUUCUUUGGUUGUUGGUCUAAGGUGAUCGGAUUUAUUUCGAGAACCUCGGGUCGACCAUCAGGGAACAUCGACCGUGUCAUUUCCGGUUAUCUACGAUCGGGGGUGUCACAAAGGUGGUAUCUGAGCAUUGUUAUACGAUGCUAGAAUGGGACUUGUUUCAAAAAACUUUCGAGUCAAAAAUGUGUCGCAAGGAUAAUUAGGAUAUGCUGGUUUGUUCCUUCUUUUAGGAAUUGAUAGACCUGGGUAGAAACUUACCAUGAUCUUUUGUUGCAGAUGCCACCGAGACAGGCACAUCGUGGUGGACAUUAUCUACCGAUACCUAUUUCAUCAUCUUCAGACUCCUCGCCGCCAUCUACUCCGGCACCACUUCCGACUCCUAGCUUUGAGGCUACACCUUCAGGCUCUAGCUUUGAGACUGACCCGUCUGAAGGGUCAUAUGAUCAGACACCGGAGCAGAUUCCUUUGUCUCCAGACCCAUACUUUAUGGACAUCGAGGUGGAUGUGGUACACGAUAGUCCAGUGCAUGGAGAUCAUCCCACAGCUUCUGCAUCUCCUGCCGCUGAUAUUCCACCAGCUCCUGCCGCACCUAUUCCGGCAGCACAACCUCAACCAGCGCCAACCGAUCCAGCUAUGAUAGCACUUCUGGAACUGAUGGCUGAGAUGGUGAAUUUGCAAUAUCAAGCAUUGAAUGCACAGCGAGAAGCACAGGGUGCUCAGCCAGCUCCAGUAACUACCACUUCUCACCCGGACUUCCUGAAGAUAGUCAUGAUUAUGAAGAACUUGGGGACGAAGCAUUACCAGGGAGGCACUGAUCCCUUUGAAGCUGAUGCGUGGCUUCACAAUCUCGAGCAGAACUUUGCUGCAACCCGUUGUCCGGAAGAAUUUAAAAAGGAUGUGGCUGUUUACUAUUUAGAGAAGGACGCCAUCAGUUGGUGGUUAUGCGUAGAGAGGAACUUUGGAGACUUCAAUCUGACUUGGGCUGACUUCCGUACAGCGUUCGUUCGAAAGUACUUCCCACCGGAAGCCCGUGAUCGAUUGGAGAUUAAAUUCAUGGAGCUAGUUCAGGGAGGAUUAUCUGUUAGGAAGUAUGAGGCAGAGUUCACCCGUCUCAGGAAGUAUGUCCACUAUGGUCGAGAGGACGAGAUGAUGAUUAUCCGUAAGUUCCUUCGAGGACUUAACCCAUAUAUCAGGAGCAGACUUGAGGCAGUAGAGUUUCAUAGGCUUGCUGAUCUUGUUGAGCGGGCUGUAAACGUUGAGGAGGCCAUUGCUGCUGCGAGAGCUUCUUCUAGCAAUGCCACACAACCUAGACGUCCAUCUGUUCCAUUCCAGCCUCAGCCGCAUUCUGCUGUGCAGCGAGGACAGGGAGGUAGAGCUUUUCGGGGAGGUCGAUCUGGAGGUCCUAGACCUAGAACCCCAACUUGUUUCACUUGUGGCCAGCUGGGCCAUGUUAGGAGAGAUUGUCCGACCGUGGGACAGUUCCAACCGGCUGUACCAUCUCACAUCACUUGUUUCACGUGUGGAGAGCGAGGACAUUACGCGACAUCAUGUCCACACACUCAUCUUGCUCAGCCUGUUGUUACGAGUGCUCAACCCGUUGUACCAGUUAACCCACCUUUACCCUUACCUCCUGCUAAGCGUCAAGCCACUGCUGGUAGGGCUUAUGCUUUAGAGUUACCAGGAUCAUCCGGACCACCUCAGGGUCCGAUUUCAGGUUUGUUUUCUUACCCAAUUGAAUGUUGCAUAAUUUUUUUUAAUGAUUUGUGAAUUAGUGAUAUAAAAAAUAAUAAUAAUAAAGUGGUUGAGUAAGUAAUUGACGGUAAAGUCAAUUAUUGACAGGGACUUUGCUUGUGGGUGGAAUAUCCGCCCACAUCCUUUUCGAUUCAGGAGCAACACAUAGUUUUGUAGCUCCCGAAGUAGCAUCCCGAUUCGAUGGAGAAUUCACUAAGGUGAAUUUAUCCAUUCAUGUUCUAACUCCCGGAGAUCAAGUUCUUGAAACUGAAGGCUGUAUUCUAAAAGUUCCAAUCAUUAUCCAAGAUAUGAUUUUUCCGGCUGAUUUGUUAGUUCUCCCCUUAGAGAGGUAUGAGGUAAUCUUAGGGAUGGAUUGGCUGUCAAGUUACCGAGCUCACCUUGAUUGUGGUCGAGGGAAGAUUGUUUUUGAGAGAGAUACCCAACCCCCUUUAGCUUACCUUGGCAUAGUACCCAGUGUUGGAGCGUCACUAGUGUCAGCAUUGAGAAUUGAAAGCCUUUUGGAGAAGGGUGAAGAAGUAUACUUAGUGACCUUAGUUGUUGGACCAGUAGAAGACGAGAAAGAGCAGAACAUGGAAGAAAUACCAGUAGUCAGAGAAUAUGAGGACGUGUUUAAGGCAUUAGAGGGAUUGCUGCCGUCUAGGAGUAACCCCUUUAGUAUAACCUUAGAACCCGGAUCCGCUGCAAUAGCAAAGGCACCAUACCGAAUUGUCGCUAGAGUUGGAGAAGUAGCCUAUAGACUAGAACUUCCACCCGAUAUGCCUAUGCAUCCGGUAUUUCAUGUAUCGAUGCUAUGUAAGCAUAUACCAGAUCCAACUAUGGUCGAGCAGCAGCGACCAGAGGACUUGCAACCUAACCUCACCUAUCCUGAAGGUCCUUUGCGGAUAUGCGAGCGUCGUAUCAGGAAAUUGAAGAAUAGGGAAAUUUUGCAACUUGAAGUAUUGUGGGGAAAGCGACAGAGAGUUGUUAUAACAUGGUAGGAUGAAGAUAAGUCUGAGCUGAUUACCCAUAACUCUUCUCAGAUAACCCAAUCGUCCAGUAAAGGGUGUACACUUGUAUUUUGAGAAUUCGGGACGAAUUCUUUUAAGGGGGGAAGAGUGUAAUAACCCUCACGAGCCAAUAAAUUUUUGGUCAAGAAAAAUCCCACUCGACCAGUUUUUAGUUGGUUCGACCAUGAUUAAUAGAAAUAAAAAUCGACCCGGUAGAUUAAUUUCUCGACGGGACUGUCUUGUGGUUGAAAGACCUUCACUUGAUAGUUUGGUCGAGUCUUAAAUAUUUUGGUCGAAUUUUUAUUAAACUGGAAGAGAUUUUCCGAGAACAAGACGAGAGCCAAAGACAAGGAAUAUUUAGUUAAAAAUUAUUGGAAAUUAUCAACCAACAGCUACAAGUAAUUUUGGACCAGACUCAUGUCUUCCACCAGCCUGCUUGCUCAGUCUUUAAUCACAUGACUUGCACCUGCCUGCUUGCUUAGCUUCUUCAGUAAAUGGCACAUGACAAUCACAAGCUGCCUGUGUGCUUGCUUCCUCCUUUAAUUAUUUAUGAUUGGCUGGAAACUACUUCAUGGGAGGGAAAGGACAGUAUGGUGUAGAUGAUGAAACAGGUUGCCAGCUGUCUGCUCUCAGCCAAGCUUUGUUAUGAGCUAAACCCUCAGGUGAAACAACCACAGCUUGUAUUUAACCCUCCUCCAGCUGCUUCCCACGUUUAGAACCCUGCAGAAAAACCUAGAGAAUUUCAGUGAGAAAGAGAGAAAGAAGAACAGAAAACUCAGUGAGAAAAAUCAAGAAAAAAUUGGUGGUGACCUAAUCUUCAACCUUAGCUCAGUUUGGUUCUUGAGAAAGAUCAGAAGGUGAGAUUUUUAAAUAAAACCCUAGACCUAGUUGAGUUCAGAUCAUGAUCAGACCUUGAUCUUUCUCUUUGAUCAGUCCAGCCACAAGCUUACCUUGGAGAAGAGGAUCAGCUGAGGCCAUCUAGUCCUUUGGUUUGUCUUGGUAAGCUUUGGUCUCCUAGCCUAAGUCAGUAUCUGAUCACAACAGUUCAUGGCUACCUUAGAUCUGGGUCGGAUCAGUUGUUUAAGUUAUGAUACAGUUCAGUUCUUGCUUAGUUUCGGUUUGAAUCCAUCUCCUAAAACAGUUUGCUAAGGUGUUAGGGAUUGAUUGGAGUUAAACGAAACUAAACUCAGUCUGAUCUUGUCUUGAACUGUUGUUAACUGAAUAGAACUGAACUGAUCUGAUCUGGUAUGAAAGGAACCGAGCUUGAACUGAUUUGAUUUAAGUUGUUUAGCUUGAACCGAACUGUCAGAUUGUUGAUGUUCUGAACCCAACCUUGCCCUGUUUUGAUCAGCUAAGGUGUGGAGCUUUGCUAGUCCCAUCCUAUCCAUUCAGUCUCUUGGUAAGCCACAAUCAAGUGAGUCAGAUGAGUUGUUGAGUUAACCAUAGUAACCGAUCAGAACCUUGUCCAUUCUCAGGUCCAUUCAGCCUUGUUCAAGUGGAACUCAAGUCUUGUCCAAGCCAGUUUCAAGACUAAUCUUUAGGUGAGUCUAGAUAGAUGUUGAGAUUGAUUGAGUUAGUAAAGUCUCUCAAGUUUAUAAGAAUGGUGUUAUGUUUACUUAUUGUAAACUAUACAUAAGAGUAAUCAAAAGGUUAGAGUGAGGUUAAUCAUAAUCAUAGUACUUGUUCUCAAGUACUAAUCUUAAUUAUGAAAUAAUCAUGGUUUUGAUUAUGGAUUAAUCUUGGUUAAUUAAGAAUUAAUCUUGGUUUAAUUGAGAAUUAAUCUGAGAUUAAUUAAAGAGUAAUCAUGAUUAAUUAAGUACUAAUCUUGGAUUAAUUAAAGAUUAAUAUGAGAUUAAUUAAGGAUUAAUCUAGGAUUAAUUAAGAGUUAAUUAUGAUUAAUUAAGGAUUAAUUAUGAAUUAAUUUUGGAAUAAUUAUGGAAGUAAAAUCAUGUGAAGUCUUGUUAUAUUCACUAUCCCUAAAGCCCCCGCAUUACCGUGACUUGGUCCUGCGAACGGAACAAGGUCAUGAAGACACGAUGAUGGGGUAGCUCCCUGGAGACCGUGUACUGCAUGACGAUGCAGUGUCGGAUUGUCCAUACCGGACAUUCGACAAUGAUGGUGAUGCUAACUCACUAGUCUCGGUUAGCCUUAGUGGUUUCUCGGGUCUAGUAUAUAUAUUGUAUUAUAUGAGUAUGGUAACGGGCGGGUGUUGUGGAAGUGAUGUUUAAAAUAAGAAUUCACAAUGAUGAUCGAUAUUAAAGUAUAGUACUAGUACUUGCAUGAUCAUGUAUAUGCAUUGAUAAUUGCUUGAUUGUUAUUGAUUGUGUUGUGAUUCUAGAUUCACUGAGUAAACUAGUUGCUCAUGACUCAUUUGUGUGUGCAGGUAAACCUUAGGCGGGAGACACUUAAAUCUUUUGGAUGGAUGGAGCGGCCAACCAGCGGUAGUAUUUUGUUGUCCUUGCAACGUACGUUUUGAUGUAUAUUUACUUAAAACGUUGUUGGGCGAUAGGCCGUAGGGUAAACUAUAACAGUUUGUAAGAUGUUUAAAGUAAAUAAAUAAUGUAUAAAAGAUGUUUAUAAAUCACGAGUUCUCAUAUGAUAUUAGUCCUUGUCCGGGACGAACUAACUAUCGAAUAUUGCUUUAUCGGGUUGAAAAGCCUAGAGUAAUAUCCGAUAGGAGUGUCUGUGUUCUUUGGUUGUUGGUCUAAGGUGAUCGGAUUUAUUUCGAGAACCUCGGGUCGACCAUCAGGGAACAUCGACCGUGUCAUUUCCGGUUAUCUACGAUCUGGGGUGUCACAGUCGGAGCAUGCCUUUGGUAUUUUUUGCACCUUCGUGCGAAUUUCUCACAAUCCUCCGAUCAUCGUUGGCCAGUAGUAUCCGUGGCGUUUGAUUUUUACUGCUAGUGACCUUCCACCGGAAUGGUUUCCGCAGGACCCAGAAUGGACUUCUUCCAUGACGUUUCUCGCUUUUUGUCCUUCCAAACACGUCAUGAGUGGUCUGGAAAGUUUCCAUUUGUAAAUUUCACCGUCGACCGUUACGUAACGCGCGGCCUGCGUUCAGAUUUUACGGGCCGCCCAUUUUUUGGGAGGUAACUUUCCAUCGGUGAUGUAGGCUCGAAUCGUUUCCAGCCAUGGCGUAUUGUAGCCGUAGUUGGAUUGUUCUGAUUUCUCCUCCGGCUGUCCUGCGACCUCUUCUACAUCGUCGUCUUGAUCCCCGAUGAGGUUGAUGAUGAUUGGUGGUGCGAUACUCGGGUGUUCGAUGAAUUUGACCGGAAUCACUCUUUUAAGACCUGGGUCGGAACUCGAUGCCAGGGCUGCGAGAGCAUCGGCUUGGACGUUCUCAGAACGGGGGAUUCGCGUAAGAGCGAAACAGUCAAAUUCUUUGGCUAGAUUCUGGACCAGUUUGAGAUACGCAUCCAUUCUUUCGUCCCUCGCUUCGUAUUCUCCGCUAUAUUGACUUGCAACUAGCUGAGAAUCACAGUAGGCAUGGAUGUUACGUAUCCUCAAUCGGUGAGCUAAACGUAGCCCUGAAAUGAAUGCUUCGUACUCGGCCUCGUUGUUGGAUGCGUGAAAUUCCAAUCUGAAUGAUUGUUCUAAGAUUUCACUGGUUGGUGAAGUGAGGCGGAUUCCGAUGCCCAAUCCUUGCUUAGAUGAGGAUCCGUCGACGUGAAGAAACCAGGUUGAAUUUGGUUCCUUGUUGGUCAUGGUCCCCGUUGGUCACGGUCCCCGUUGGUCACGGUCCACGUUGGUCACGGUCCCUGUUGGUAGUUCGACUAAAAAAUCUGCGAGUACCUGGGAUUUCGCACUUGUACUCGGUCGAUAUUCGAUAUCGUACUCGGUCAACUUGACUGCCCAUUUGGCUAGUCGGCCCGACUGACUGGGCUGUGCAGAAUCGUCCGUAGGGAGAAAGUCGUGAAGAUGACGAUUGUGUGUGAUUGGAAAUAUGGUCUUAGCUUUCGCGCCGAAGUUACAACUGCGUAUGCUAGUUUUUCCAUCAACAGAUACCUUGACUCAGCAUCUGGCAAUGUGUUGCUUAUAUAAAAAAUAGGUUGAUGUUCGCCGCGCUCUUCCCUGAUUAGACACCGCUCACAGCCGUUGCUGAUACUGCGAUAUAUAAGAACAAGGGUUCUCUUUCGACAGGUUUUGCGAGAAUUGGAGGAGUGGCCAAGUAUCGUUUCAACUGUUGAAAAGCAUUUUCGCACUCUUCUGACCAUUCAAAUUUUUUAUUCCCCCGCAAGAUAUCGUAGAAAGGUAGGCACUUGUCUGUCGACCUGAGAUGAAUCGGUUAAGUGUUGCGACUCUACCGGUCAAUCUCUGGACUUCCCGUUUAUUCUUGGGCGAAUCCAUCUCGAUAAAUGCAUUGAUCUGUUUUGGAUUAGCUUCGAAACCACGGGAUUUGACUAGGUAUCCGAGGAAUUCUCCCAAUGGUACGGCGAAUCUGCAUUUUACCGGGUUGAGCUUCAUGUUAUGGGAAUUCAGUUGUGCGAAACAUUCCUCAAAUUGAGAUAAGUGAUCUCUUGCCUGGGUAGAGCUCGUGUGUUGUAUAGCAGAUAGGAGCAAUCCCGAUGGUGUGCAGCGUUUCGAACACAUCCUCGUCGAUGCCAAGAUCAGCCAAAGUCUCCGCGUGGCAGAAACGAGUGGGUAACAUGUCAACCCGGAGGAUGGCGUUGUAGCGCGCUGCUGUCCCCUUAUCCCACCCCUCGCAGUUGAAAUCCAAGAGCAAUGGGCUGUCGAGAUCAAUUGGUUCACCCUCUUGUUCCCGGGGCCAUGGGUAGGUCGCAGAGGUUUGUUGAUGUGCUUGCGGGGGUGGCGUGUUGCAUGUAGCUUUCUUUCGCUUGGCGGAUUGCUUAGUUUUGGCCAUCGAGUUCUUGCGAUUUGGAUGGGGACUGUCGAGCCUCGUACCUGUAGAAACUGGUGAAGUGAACUGCAAAGACAGAGAGAACUCGAGAUUCCAAACGAGUGAGAAGCCAAAACCACUUAAAACGGUUGAGAAUCAAAGAUUUGGUGGUUGCUUAAAAAUCGCAGGGGGAAGGGUCACUGUGCGGCACAGUGAAAGAGGAAAGUGGAAGGGUGAAGCCUUAAAUAGGAAAAACCCUAACUACCCCCGAAUUUUUUUAUUUUUUUAUUUUUUUUUGGUUCGGAACACUUACCUGGAAUAGUCAAUGGGUUGUUCUACCAGAAGAACAGUCCUUUGGUUGUUCUGACUGAAGAGUCCAACUUUUUUUUCUUAUUUUUGACCUACAAAAUAAAUCUGAAAAGAAAUAUAAUAAACUAUAGAAAUCAAUGUACAUACUAACCAGUGGGUUGCCUCCCACCAAGCGCUUGGUUAAAGUCAUUAGCUUGACUUGGAUCAGCCUAAUGGGGGAUCGCUUAGGACUCUUCUCCCUCUGCGAUGGUGGAGUCAGCAAGGUAAUGCCUGACGCGCUGUCCGUUCACUAGGAACUCGUCUCCUUUUCUGUCCAGUAACACAAAGCUCCGUAGGGUCGAACUUCCUUAAUAGUGAAGGGCCCCGACCACCUAGACUUUAACUUGCCUGGGAACAAUCUCAGCCUCGAAUUGAAAAGCAAGACCUUAUCGUUGGGUCCGAAAUGUCUCGCAAUAAUUCGCUUGACAUAGUAGGCCUUGGUCUUCUCCUUGUAAAUUUUGGAUCUUUCAUAGGCGAGGUGCCUUAUCUCCUCCAGCUCAAGAUUAGAAUCAUGCGUCUCUCGGUUGCUGGCUUGAUGUCAAAAUUCAGUAGCUUGACUGCCCAUGCAGCCUUGUAUUCGAGCUCGACAGGGAGGUGACAUGCCUUACCAUAUACCAGGUGAUAGGGGGUCGUCCCUAGCGACAUUUUGUAGGCUGUUCUGUAGGCCCAUAGUGCAUCGUCCAGCUUAAGUGACAAGUCCUUUCGUGACGUGUUGACAGUUUUCUGGAGGAUGCUUUUGAUCUCCCUAUUGGAAACCUUAACCUGUCCACUCGUCUGUGGAUGAUAUGCGGUUGCCACCUUGUGCUUUACUCCAUUCUUCGUCAAGAGGCCCUGAAAUGCCUUGUUGAUGCAGUGUGUUCCACCAUCGCUAAUUUCCACCCGAGGCACUCCAAAUCUCGGAAAGAUGAUGGAGCUGAACACCUUAGUCGCCACUUUUGCAUCAUUAGUAGGGCUCGCCAUCGCUUCUACCCACUUAGAUACAUAAUCUACGGCGACGAGGAUGUACUCAUUCUUGAAGGACGGAGGAAAUGGUCCCAUGAAAUCGACUCCCCAAUCGUCGAAUACUUCAACCUCUAGAAUGUAAUUCUGAGGCAUCUCAUUCCUCUUGCUGAUUUUCCCAAGUCGCUGGCAUGCAUCGCACCUGGCUAUGUAGGCGUGAGCAUCCCUGAACAUUGUUGGCCACCAGAAUCCUGCUUGAAGGAUUUUGGAAACCGUUCUGAAUGUAGCGAAGUGGCCUCCGUAAGAUGAACCAUGGCAGUGAUGUAGGAUUCCGGGAAUAUCUGCCUCUGGAACACACCUUCUGAAUAAGCCAUCCUUUCCAUGUCUGUACAAGAACGGUUCAUCCCAAACAUAAUGCCUCGCCUCCCUUAAAAAUUUCCUCUUGUCGUUUCCGGUGAAAUUAAGAGGUUGCUUUUCAGCAGCUAGAAAAUUCGCAAUUUCAGCAAACCACGGGAGGUUAGAGUACUGCUUUUGGAUCACUUUGACCGGAUAUUCCGCGAUGUGAGAACAAUCGGGUCUCCUUCCCAGAGGUUGUUCUGCGAUGCUGGAACAGUCUGAUGUGAUUCCCAGAGGUUGUUCCGCGAAACGCAGACCAACCACGUUGAUUUGUUCCACUGGGUGUUCUUCAUCAAAAGUUGUGUCGUCCUCAAUAUUCCUUCUGGACAGGUGGUCUGCAACCCCAUUCUCGCCGUGAUUUUGUCUAAGCGAUUGUUGAAGAAUGCCAGCCUUGGGAGACUCCUCUCUUAUCCUUUAUCUCAAGAUCGAAUUCUUGGAGGAGAAGAAUCCACCUUAACAACCUCGGUUUCGCAUCUUUCUUUGUGAGCAGAUACUUAAGAGCAGCAUGGUCUGUGUGCACAAUCACCUUAGAUCCCACCAGGUAGGAUCUGAACUUCUCGAAUGCAAAAACAAUAGCCAGAAGUUCUUUCUCUGUCGUAGCGUAUCUGCACUGAGCUUCAUCCAUAGUUUUGCUUGCGUAAUAGAUCACAUGAAGUUUCUUAUCCUUGCGCUGCUCAAGUACUGCUCCAACUGCAAAGUCGCUUGCAUCAGUCAUGAUUUCAAAGAGGAGAUCCCAGUCUGGCGGUUGCACAACAGGUGCGCUGACUAGAGCUCCUUUGAUGGUGUGGAACGCAGCUUGACACUCACUAUCGAAAUUGAACUUGAUCUCCUUGCAGAGCAGUCUGGUGAGUGGUCUCGCUAUCCUUGAGAAAUCCUGGAUAAAACGUCUGUAAAACCCAGCGUGACCCAUGAAACUCCUGAUGGCUUUCACAUUUGUUGGUGGUUGCAAACUCAUCAUCACCUCGAUCUUUGCCUUAUCCACCUCAAUGCCUUUCUCGGAGAUCUUGUGCCCCAGAACAAUCCCAUCUGUGACCAUGAAGUGGCACUUCUCCCAAUUGAGCACCAGAUGUUUCUCCUCACACCUUUUUAGUACUCUGCACAAUUUUGACAAACAGACACUAAAGGAGCUUCCAUGGACACUGAAAUCAUCCAUAAAAACUUCCAUAAUGUCUUCAAUCAGGUCAGUAAAGAUUGACAUCAUGCAGCGCUGAAAUGUUGCUGGCGCAUUGCACAAGCCGAAUGGCAUUCUCCUGUAAGCAUACGUUCCGUAGGGGCACGUGAACGUCGUCUUUUCCUGAUCAUCUAGAUGGAUAGGGAUCUGUAAGAAACCUGAAUAACCAUCUAAAAAGCAGUAAUAUUGGUGGUUAGCCAAUCUCUCAAGCAUUUGAUCAAUAAAAGGGAGUGGAAAGUGAUCCUUUCUAGUUGCUGCAUUUAAUUUCCUGAAAUCAAUGCACAUGCGAUGUCAUGUCACUAUCCUAGUAGGGAUCAAUUAAUUCUUUUCAUUCGUGAUAACAGUGAUCCCACCUUUCUUAGGUACUACAUGAAGAGGGCUAACCCAUUUACUAUGAGAUAUGGCAUAGAUCACACCUGCUUCAAGAAGUUUCAUAAUCUCUUUCUUAGCAACAUCUUUUAGAUUUGGGUUUAACCUCCUCUGAUGUUCGACAGAAGUCAUUGAUUCAUCUUCUAGGUGUAUUCUAUGCAUGCAUAAAUCAGGUGAAAUGCCAGGUAUGUCAGCUAGUGAAUAUCCUAAUGCCUUACGUUAUUUCCUAAGCUCACACAAAAGCAAUGCAGUUUCCACAUUAUUUAGUUCAGCAUUCACAAUGACAGGAUAGGUGGAAUUUGGACCUAAGAAAGCGUACCUGAGCCCCUUAGGAAGGGGUUUUAGCUCAACCUUGGGAGCUUUAAGCUCGCUCCAGGGGUCCUCUGGUUGGUUCGACAGAACAGGCGAGUUUGGUGUAGGGGUCGCUCCAGCUGGGGUGGUGUCGUCCCCGUUGCUCUCCUCCCCCAGCUUAGACUCGCUACCAUUCUCCCCAUACUCCUUGUGGAGACAAGCAUCUUGGCAUACCCAUGUGCAUCAAUGUUUACGACACUCUGCUCGGCCUCAGCUCUUACUAAUGCAAGCUCCAGUGGGUCUUCGGUAAGAAUCCUCGAUCAUUCCUUCGCGAGGUUAGAGCGGAUUAAUCCCUUCAUCAACCUCAAAGGUCUGCCCAUCCAACAUCGGCUUCUUUAGCAACUCAUCCAUCUCGAAUUGCAUAACUAUGUCCCCAAGAUUCAGAUCAAUCUUCCCCUGUCGCACAUCAAUGAUGGCUCCAACAAUACAUAAGAAUGGUCUUCCCAAGAUGAGAGGAUCUUUAGACUCUUCUUCCAGCUCCAGAACAACAAAGUCUGCUGGAACAGAAGUGUUUCCAACUUUUACUUGGAGAUCCUCUAGAAUACCGACCGGAAAUUUGACUGAUCUAUCUGCGAACACCAAGGACAUCUUAGUUGGUUUGAAAUGCGUGUAUCCUAGACGUCGAGCUACAGAGUAGGGCAUGCAGUUCUACAGAGUAGAAUUGCAUUGCACUCCUUAGGAUUUUUUGUCUGUUUUACCAGGUAGAACACCAAGGACAUCUUAGUUGGUUCACGCUGGAUCCAAGAUCAACCAAGGAGCAUGCAAAAACUGUUUUCCCAAUCUGGAUAGGGAGGACGAACUUGCUGGGGUCUCCUCGCUUCUUUAUCUAUCUGUUAUGAAGCACUGCACUGCACUCCUUAGAAACUGUCAUGAAUUCGCUCUCCUCUGAUAUUUUUCCUGAGAUCAAUCCUUUCAUAAAGCUGCGCAUGGAGGGCAUCAUUUGGAUCACAUCCAUCAGGGGGAGUCGGACGGUUAGAUCCUCCAGCAUCUUCCUGCACUUCAUCUCCUCUAUGUCCUUACGAGUACCCUUUGCUGGAACAGGGUAAGGGACUAUAGGAAUGUAUUCGCGAGGAGGAACAACCUCUGGGAUUGGGCGAACAGCUUCAGCUGGUUGUUCUGGCCCUGGUGAACUUGUUUCAACUGCUGGUUCUGUAUUCCCCUCUACUGCCAGGGUAUCGGCUGGUAGUUGUUCCGACUCUUUCUGCUUCCCUUUCUCAGCCGUGGUGAACCUCCUCUUCUCCGGCUCGGAAAGUUGCUUCCCGCUCCUUAGCUGAACUGCAUUGCACUCCUUAGGAUUUUUGUCUGUUUUACCAGGUAGAGUACCUUGCUGCCUCUUGACACUCUCAACAGUCUGAGCUAUCUGAAUGUCCAUGUGUCUCAUAUGGCUCGCGACAUUAUCAUACUUGGUGCUCAAAUCUCCGAACAUAUGGUUCAUUUUGGUAUUGAUCUCGGUAGUAACCUGGUUUAGAGCUUUCCCUUGGAGCUGUUGUCCUUGGUGUAGCUGCUGCAACAUAGUUUUGUUUCAUCUUGCGGAACCGCGACAGAGGCGGAAGUAGCAGGCUGAGUGUUCUGGUGCUUCUGCAUCUGAGGUUGAUUGUUCUGUGGUUGGCUUAGAAAAUAGGUUCGGGUUUGGUAGUUCUUUUGAUACCCCGCAUACUGACCUUGACUGCUCUGUGCCGGAUCAACCGGUUUCUCCUGCUUAGGCCAGAAAAGUUGUCGAUUGUUCCUUACGUUAGGGUUUGGGUGGUAGUUCUUUAACUGCCACCCUUGCCCAUUUACGUAGCUCACUUCCUGCUGAUCGUCUCCUGCUUGUUCAGCUUCAAACGCCUUGUCGCCUGCACUCUUCUUAGGAGUUGCUUCUUCCAUUAUGAAAACUUGGCUCUGGUUUCCCUUAAGCAGUUGGUCCACCUUCGCCGCAAGAUCAUCUAUAUUGUUCACACUUUUGGAGCGAUCGUGCUCCUUGUUCUUGUUGAGUGAACUUGAAGCCAUGUUCUCAAUCAACGCGAACGCACUAGGUGUGGUUUGAGUCAUGAGGUCUCCGUUACUAGAAGAAUGAAGGGUGUUUCGGAACUCAUAGCUCACUCCAUCAUAGAACACCUCCAGUAUGUAAUCAUCAUCAGACCCAUGGUGUGGGCACUCUCUCUGGUACUCCUUGUACCUUUCCCAAGCUUCAUGAAAGGUUAAUCAGAUUUCUGCUUGAAAUUGGAGAUUCUAUGCCUUAGAGCCGCGGUUUUGGACUUUGUGUAGAAGUAGCUUAGGAAUGCUGAUCGAACCUGGUCCCAUGUGGUGAGAGAACCGGUUGGGAGAGAUUGCAGCCAGCGAGAAGCUUUCCCUUCAAGAGAGAAUGGGAACAGCGAGCAUUUGAUAUAAUCUGGUGGCACUCCAUUAGAGCGAGAGAAAUUGCAGAUCCUCUCAAAGGCCUAUGUGGUCCAUUGGAAUGUCUGAAGUGAGGCCGCUGAACGUGCUCUUCUGUACCAGACCUAUCAGUGCAGGUUUGAUCUCAUAAUCUUGUAGAGUACAGGGUGGAGAGCUGAUGGGGGAGAAGUUAGUAGCGAAGUUUGGCGGAAGGUUUCGCUCCCUAAUAAGAGCACCACGCUCUUCUCGUGCGGCGUUCUCGGCUGCUUGGUCCUCAGCAGUUUGUUGCUGAUUUUGGAUGGUUUGCUGCAUCUGCAACAUCUGUUGUUGCUGAGUCUGUAUUUGUUGUUGAAUGAGUGCCAAUGCAGCAGUGAGGUCAUCCAUGUUGACGUGAUCACCCAUGUUGGUGUUGGUUGUUCUUGGCUGUUGACGGUUCUGUCUUUCUAAUCUUGUGAGUUCUUCGUUGGUCAGUUGAUGUAGUGGUCCUUGUGCUUUGCUCCGAGUAUGUCUACUGGUCAUGCACUUGGAUCAUCUGUUCCAACAAAGAAAUAAAGCAAGUUAGAUAUCUCACACUAAAUAUUAAACCGAAAAAGAAAGGUAAAGCUUAGUCCCCGUCGCAACGGCGCCAAAACUUGGUACACUAAAAAUGAAUCCUUGCUACUGUCAAGUUAACAGUGGUAAUUGUAAUAUUUGAGAUUCAAUCCUGAGGACCAGUUUACUUUUACUCUUAUGAGUUCAAUAAUAAGCUGAGAAACAAGUGGGGUUUUGGGAAUUCAUUGUGACGCAAGUAACUAGAAUACCUAGAUGGUUCAAAUUUGAUUUAAAUGAAGCCGGCUUAGGGUUAUUAAUCGGAUGUCAAUGCAGAACUGAACAACUAUUCAAGUGCAAUGAGGUGCACUCUAGAAUUCAGAUCACUCGGCUAGAACAAUCCACUAUCGUGGUCUUGCUCCCUUUGCAUAUCGGUCUUGAAUCCUAAGUUCUCACUUGGAACAAGACACGAUAACAAGCCUUAGAGACAAGAUCUGAUUAGUUCACGUAAUACCCUAAUAUCUACUCUCGCUGAUUAGGGAUACAAAGCUCAUUCAAUAUAUGUCAAUUUAUCUCCUAAGCGGUUAGCUAGGUGAUUAAAUCAGAGAUCGACAGUUCAUGCGGCUAACACCCUACAACCCUAAGCAAGCUUAGCCUACUACUCAAUCAUAAAGCAGGAUGACACAAACAUGGUUUCUGAAUAAUACUGCAUAUAAAAUAAAGUAGAAAGACAAGGGUUCAGGAUGAUCUUCUCGUGAGAAUGAGAGAUGAAGCCUUCUCCCUUACAAGUUGCUUAAUCCAAAGAAAAUAGUUAUAGGUCUCUUGCAAAAACUAGCGUCCGAAAAAGAAAUGAUAGCAUAGGCCUUUUUAUAUGGAGGCGCUGGUGGUAAAGAGAUAAGAGAGAGUGGAAUCUAGGGCAAACUUCCAGAAUUGGAACUUUCCUUAAUGAUCGGGAACAGUCAAACGCUUGUUCUCUUCGGGAACAACCUUCGGGUUGUUCUAGAUGACUGUUCCGCAUCGAAUCCUUCAAAACGGCAUCCGACUUCCAGAAUCUCUCUUCUUUACUCUUUCACCUGCUCCAAACCUGGAAUGAUAUCAAUUAAACACGAAUUAGGACUUAGAAUUAGCUCAAAGCACACAUAUAAUGGUACUAAAAACACCAUAUAUCAUGGUUCGGGUGGUUUGGUUGGGAUCCAUAGUCGCGCUUAGGAAACUUAGAUCGGUUUCUUAGCAAAGAUGUUUUUCAUUUAUCUUUUCCACAGUCGGUGCCAAAAUGUAGAACCUAAAAUCUACAUACAUUAAGUAUUUGAAAGUGAUCGGGAGUUUGAUCUAGGGAAGAUAAAAGAUGUAGGCAACAAUAUCUUUAGAAAACAACGAUGUUAAUAGUUUCCAGUAGGCAAAAAUGGACUUUAUUGAUGAAUAGGACCGAAUACAAUAAGUUGAACUAGAUUGAAUUACACAAGUGAGAUCGUUAAAGAAAAGGAUCUAAGAACAGGAGAAAACAAAGUCGAUGUAUGUGUGUAGCUCUCUCUAGGGUUUUCAACGUGUUCUUCUUCAUGUCCCUUCUCAUUUCUUUAUAGCGAGUCGACUUCGCGAUCUCUGUAGCUGUUUUGCGACCUUUGUAACUGCUCCGCGAUCUUCGUAACCGCUCCGCGAUCUCUGGGGGGCCUCGACUUCUUUGCUUUUGAGCUCGGUUGCUUGCUACGGGUUUUGAUCCUUACGGCCCAUCACUUUGAUCAUGGCCCGUUAAGGUAUUACCCAAAAUUGGGUCCAACAUCUGGGAUGUAACGAACUUCACUCAAUGUGACCGAUGAUCCAUCUUUGUUGUCUAUGGUUAUUUUUCCCAUUCCUCAAACUAUGCAGAAUGAGUUGUGACCCAUCAUCACUUUAUUCCCGUCAUAUUCCACAAACUCUGAUAGAAGAUCCCUUUGUUGCGUGAUAUGAAAAGUGCAACCUGAUUCCAACACCCACUCUUCAUUUGAUACCAUCAGACUGUCUGUCAGGGCUAUUAACCCUGGAAGAUUCUUUGCCACGUUUGCUGAGUUUUCUAAAUUUGAGGAGUGAGAUGUUUUUUUGUGUUCUGGACAGUCUCGUUUCCAGUGUCCAUCGCUUCCACAUAUCCAACAAGUUUUAUCUUGUUUUACAUUCUACUUUCCUAUUGACCUGAAUCUGCUCUUUCGUUUGCUGUUCCAUUGCUUGUUAUUUCCUGAGUCAUUUCUGGUCGAUGUUCUUCCCCUUGACUCACUGUAAAGACCUGAGUGUAUGCCUCUUGUUGUCAACCCCUUCUGCUUUAUCUCUGCCUCUUUUGAGUAUGCCAUAGUGAUGACUUUGUUGACUGUCAGCAUGUCUUUCCGGGUCCAUAUUGUAUGGUAUGUACCAAUGGCUCACAGGCUGUAGUCAGCCCAGAGAGUAGUUGAAUGGCUUGAUCCUCGUCUGAGAUGUCGAUCUUGAUACUUGCCAAAUCAGCUAGAAGCUUUAGGAAAGAGUCAAAGUUCUCUUCCAUUGGUUUAUUUUCUUCCAUCCUGAAGCAAGAAAACUUCUUCUUGAGAUAUAUUCAGUUUGGCAAAGACUUUGUUUGGUAGUCUCUCUCAAAUUCUUUCCCCAUUCUAAGAGAUAUAGUCUCAUUCAUAAUCUUCAUCAAGAUCAAAUCACUGGGACAAGUGGUGAAUAGACUCCUAGCUCUUAGAUAUCUUUCUGCCUUCUUUAGGUCUUUCUUUACUUCGACACCUUCCUCUAGCUUUGCUAUAUCAAAUUCAAAAGUGGUUUCUUUCUAAAGUACUGAUACCAGGCCAUGAAUCGCUAACUGUGUCAUCAUCUUAAAUUUCCAAAGUCCAAAGUCACCGUUCCUAUCGAACUUCUCGAUCUCGAACCUCCCUUGCGUCGGAUCCAUCCUCUUUGAUGUGUGAUUCCUCGCUUCUUGUCACUUGCAGAUAACCAAGAAAACAAUCCCACAACAACUAGAUGCACAACCAAAGAUUCAAGAUCAGAUCGAUUUAGUAUAAGAGUAGAAUUGAACUUCCUUUAUAAUCCCAAUCAACCUCUUCUCGUUGAUUGGUGCUCCUCGAUCUUUACUCCUCGUAGAACCAGAUCGUUCUUCUGAAUCCGGACCUCGAUCAUGUCUUCUGAAUCCUUUGAAUGCUCUAGCCUAGCUCUGAUACCACUUGUAGAAUAAUCUGAUACACACUUGUAUUGUAUCUCAAUGAUCUCUCUUGACUAUCGAACGCUUUGAUUCUAUCGAUCUCUCACGUCUCUCGUUGUUUGAAGAUCGCGACUCCACUCACACACUCGAAAACCCAGAACGCAACACGAAAGAAAACAAUUGACAAGAAAACACGCAAAGUUUUAGAGUUCCCCAGAUUUUGGGUACAUCUUCUUCAGGAUCGGUACCUGGAAUUCGUUAUCUCUUUGGAGUGUUACACGAGAUUCUUUACAACAAUGGCAGAAUCAUCUGCUUCGGUACCUGGAUAACAUGAGAAGAAGACGAGGCUGUUAGGUUGUUAUGAGGUGUUAUCCUCUGCUUCUCAUCCUUCAUUUUAUAUGCACAUGUAACUUCAGCUCUUGGGUUUCACUCUUUCACCAGAGGCCGAGCAUAAUCUUUAUCGCUCUUCUUUAUUAUUGACAUCCAGGCCCAGUUGUCAACGACAGGCCCAGUCCAGAUCAACUCAGUCACUUGCCAAUCUCACAUAGAAUAUUUUUGGAAUAUAACUUUUAUAUGUUUUAAUAAAUAUGUAUUGCCAUUUUUGAUCUACAUUAAAUAUGUAUUGUCAUUUUUUUUUUGUCAGCAAACAAAGCAGACUCAUGUAGACUCUGCGAACCACCCCGAUAGCUCUGCAUCCAUAUGGACGACAAAUGACGGUUGCUUUCUUGCACUGCGUGCGAGACUGUCCGCCUUUGAGUUCUGUGUCUGUGGUAUAUGAAUGAUCUCUGAGCUGUUAAAACUCCUCUUUAAAACUUUUAUGUCUUCCAAAUAGCUUGCAAAGGCUGGCCACUCUUCUGGUUCCGACACCAUCUUCACCAAUUGAGCACUAUCCGUUGCAAAAGUAACCCAUGCUUGUCUAAGAUUCCUCAUACAUUCCAUUGCCCAUAUAAGGGCCUCUAUCUCUGAGUGUAGUGGCGACUGACUCGCUCUCGUGUUCCUUGCUCCCAUUAGUCCAUCGUAGCCUUCCAGGGUACUAUACCAUCCUUGCCCUGAAAAGCUAUCCUCAUUUUUCCAAGAUCCGUCUGUAAAACACCAUCUACCUGGUAUACUCGUUAUUAUCGAAGAUACAUGAAUUUGGGUGCGUUCCAUGUCUUGAGUCUGAGAAUUUUGUGCUUCCACCCAAAGUAACGAUUCCAUUUCUGCCAGUUUGAGAGUAUCUCUCGGGUCCAUAUCCAAAUUGCUAAAAACUUUGUUGUUUCUACCUUUCCAUAUAUACCAGAGAAUCCAAGCAAAUGAAUGAUCCUCCAUUUCAGGAGAAAGUCUCCAAAAUAAAUGAUCCAUAUUGGUAAACAAAGAUUGAGUGGGAAAAAUAUUUGGAUUCAUCGGGAUCCGUGAAAGUGCCCAGACCUGAACUGUCGGUGGACAUUCAAAAACACGUGAUUAGCUGAUUCCUCGGGAGCACCACAUCGGUCACAAACAGUAUCUCCUUGCAUUCCUCUUGACCUCAAAUAUUUCUUAACCACUAUACAUCCCGUCAAUAGUUGCCAUAAAAAAUGUUUCAACUUGGGUGGGCAGCGUAACUUCCAACAGAACGUCUUCAAAGGUGUUAUCGAAGGGCCAAACUGGGGUGGCAUUAUUUCUCUAUCCGGAUAUACUCGUUCCACUUCAUAUCCAGAUUUAACCCUAUAUUUUCCAUUGUUGUAAAAUGCCAUCCAUUCCGGUCUUCUAGAUGAGAUCUACUGAUAGGAAUACUUUGAAUAAUUUUCACAUCUUGCGGAUCCACCAGAGCUCGAAUAACCUGUAGGUUCCAUGAUCGUGAUGUUCCAUCGAUAAGAGCAUCCACUGUUAGGUCCGGGUAAAGAUUGUGUUGAUUUUUAUUUGCUGGUCUCGGGCGAGUGGAUGGAAGCCAAGGGUCAUUCCAUACUGAUAUAGAUGAUCAUGUUCCCACCCUUUGAUUAGUCCUUUGCUAACCAGAGAUCUAGCAGAGACAAUACUACCCCAACCAUAAGAUGACGAGUAUGAUCUAAUGGGUUCCAGGGGUGAAGCAUUCCUGAAAUAUCUCCCUUUGAAUACACGAGAAAAUAAAGUAUUCGGUUUGUCCAUUAAUCUCCAAAAUUGUUUCCCAAGCAUAGCUGUAUUAAAAUCUGUGAGAUCUUUGAAUCCCAAACCUCCAUCGUCCUUAGAGCUACACAGUUUGUCCCAUGAUUUCUAAUGCAUACCUCUCUUGUUACCCCCUGGACUCCACCAGAAUUGUGCUACAGCACUAACUAAUUUCUUCAUUACCGUUUUUGGAAUUCGAAAGCAUGACAUCACAUUGUUUAGCAAGGCUGUAACCACAGAUUUUAUAAUCACUUCCUUACCCCCUCUGGUGAAAAACUUAAAAGUCCAACCAUUUACUCUGCUAUUUAGACGCUCCUGAACAAAUCCAAAAACUUGCACCUUUGAUCCUCCCAUAUUUUCUGGGAUGCCCAAAUAAGACCCCAUUCCUCCUAAAUUAUGUAUACCUAAGAUAUCUCGAACUUCCUGUCGUGUAGCUUCUGCAAUCUUGUGUCCAAAUUGAAUCGAAGAUUUUUUCAAAAUUUAUUUGUUGUCCUGAAGCCCUUCAUAUUCUUUGAGAAUCCUAAGAAUUGUCUGACAUUCUUCCUUCUGAGCUUUGCAAAAGAAAAGGCUAUCGUAUGCAAAUAAAAAUGGGAAAUUGGGGGGCAGGCCCUAGCAACCUUUAGACCCGUUAGUUGCUUAUUUCGUUCUGCCUUUUUAAUAUUUGCGACCAAUGCUUCUGUACACAUAAUAAACAGAUAAGGGGAUAGAAGGUCCCCCUGACGUAAUCCCCUCUGUGGUAUUAUAUGUCCUUUUGGUUGUCCAUUCAAUAAAACCUUAUACUGAACUGAGGAAAUGCAUUACAUCAUUAAUUGGAUCCAAUGCUGGCCGAAUCCCACCUUGGUUAGUAGUUCUUGGAUAAAGAUCCAUUCAACUUUGUCAUAAGCUUUGCUCAUAUCCGUUUUUAUUGCCAAAAAUUUGUCCUGACACGGUUUAUUAGUUCGCAAACCAUAGAACAUCUCCUGAGCUAUAAGAAUAUUAUCUGAUAUUAAUCAUCCAGCAAAAAAGCCGAUUGCGUCUCCGAGAUCAGUGAUGGAAGACAGACCUUUAAUCUUUUACAUAAUACCUUAGAUAGAAUCUUGUAUCCUACAUUACAUAAGCUGAUAGGUCUGAGUUCAGUCAUCCUUGUGGGUCUCUCCUUUUUAGGAAUCAGACAAAUAUUUGUAGUGUUUAACCUUGUGUCCAAAUUUUCCGAUGCCAAAAAACUAUUGACCAUUUCCAAUAGAUCAUUUUUUAUUAUAUGCCAUGAGUGUUGAAAAAAGAGAGCCGUCAUUCCAUCCGGCCCAAGAGCUUUCUCCGGAUGCAUCAUGAAUAAAGCAUGUCGAACUUCCUCCUCAGUUGCCAACCGAACAAGCCGUUGAUUCAUUUGUGGUGUAAUUGAGGGUGUAAUCUCAUCUAAAAAACCAUCAAAACCAGUAGGAGUUGUUGUCUGAAACAGAUCUUCAAAAUAAUCCACUGCCACCUUUUCUACCCCCUGCUCCUCAAUUAUCCAGUUUCCAUCAGAAUCAUAUAGACCCACAAUUCUAUUACGAGCACGACGUUGUUUUGUUAGAGCAUGAUAGAAUUUUGUAUUGAGAUCCCCAGAAGUGUGCCACAUAUUACGACUCUUUUGUUGCCAGUACUCUUCAUCAUCCUUAUAAGCUUCCUGUAACUUCCUUGAGACCUCUAGAAUAUCUUCUUGGGUUCUAGUAUUAUCCGUUUGGACUUCUUCAAGUGCUUUCUGGAGUUCUCCAAUUUUCUCUUUCCCAUAAGGUGGAUUAUUCUUCCGCCAUGUAGAGAUCUCAUGAUGGCAGUUUGUAAUUUUUGAAAUGAAAUCCCCCGGAUUCGCCUCUGAGAAUUCACCCCACCCUCUUGCAAUCGAGUCCAAUAAGCCUUUUUGUCCAAUCCAUCUCUUGUCAAACCGAAAUUUUCCCCUCCGUCUUGUUAUUUUAUUGUCCAGAAAAGCCACCACCGGUCGAUGAUCGGACCCCACCAUUCUCAAAUAUUCUGUGUAAGAGCAUGGAAAAAGUGUAUCCCAAUCUUCGUUUGCUAAAGCUCGAUCCAACCGGCACCGAACCAUAACUUUUUUCUUUUUUCCUUGUUUCCUUCUUCCUUGCCAGGACAUCUGAUUUCCUCGGACUGGGAACUCCAAAAGUUCAGUAUUCCUAAUCAUGUCAUUAAACGGUACAAAAGAUCCUGCACUGCGUAUGCCCCCCCCCUUUCAUGAUUCCCAGUUAUCUCAUUCAAAUCUCCAUUAAUAAACCAACGGCUCUGACCUUGCUAGGCCAUACCUUGUUAACCGUUCCCAAACUUGAUCCCGUAACUGUUGAACCGGCUCUCCAUAAACAAAGGUCAUAUAAACUUUUUUCCAGGGACAAAGUUUCAACAUCAAUCAUACGAUUACUAGUAUAUAGAAUAUCAACCUGGUAUUCAUUAUUGUAAAACAAUGCCAAACCUCCACUCGUACCAACCGGGUCCACUGUAACUAAAUUAUCAUAACCAAAAUGAGACUGAAGACCCUGAAGGUAAACUAAAUCUUGUUUUGUCUCGGAGAGAAACAAAAAAUCCGGUCUAUGUUUAUGCCAUAUUUUCCGUAAAUAACUAAUUGUCCAGUGACUUCCCGCACCUCUACAAUUCCAACUCAAUACUAUCAUAAAAACCUUUUAGAAAAAACUCAUUAGAGCUAGAUUAUCGGGUGUGAAGAAACUCUGGGUAACCAGACUGCACUCGACAGAAAACUGAUAUUUCAUUAUGUAUUGUCAUAUACAUGUAUAUAUAUAUAUAUAUAUAUAUGAAUUAUGGUUCAUCUAUUUAGUUUGCAUUAUUUUCUGUUUUAAAAUAAAUUUAUUAAAUAAAUAAAUGUAUUUUAAGUGGUAAUAUUUUGUAUUAUUUGUUGUUUUCAUAGUAAGUAAUAUUUUUUUAUUAAAUUUCUAUUUGAACUUCAAACAAAAAUAAUUAAUAAUAUAUAGUAAAAUUAUAAAACAAAGUAUAUAUAACUUAUAUUUAAACAUAGAAUUAAAAUUUUAAGUUUACUUUUAAACAUAAAAUUAUAUUUGUUUUUGCUGUUUUUUAAAUAGGCUUAUGUGUGUUUUGGUAAUGAUAUUAUAUUUUAUUAUAUCACAAUAAAUAUUUUACUAUUGAUAAUAUUUUCAUUUCAUUAUUUUAUAAGCAAAAACCAAAAAAAAAAAAUUAACCAAAAUAUAAAUCAUAAUUCAUGGUUUUCAAAAAUUUAAAAUAUAAUGCAAAUUAAAAAAAAAAUCCAAAUCUAAAAUAAAAAAACCAACAACUAAAAAACAAAAAUCAAAAUUAAAAAUCUAGAAACCAAACAAACAAUCAUCUCCAUAAAUGGAUCUUGAUUAGAUUUGUAGUCUGGAUCUAAUUGUUUUAGGUUCGGUUAAUAAUUAGUUAGAAAGGUAGUGUCAAAUUGUUUUUGUUAUAAUUUCUAUUUAAAAAUAAUAAUUUAAAUAAAUAAAAGAGGAAAGUCUCCAAACAAGAAUUUUUUUUCAGCCAUUUUAUUAUUUUUUUGGUAAAAAAUUCCCAACAUAAACUACAAACGAUUUUAUUUUUGCAAAGAGUACAUAUUACAACUCGAACAUAGAUACAUUACAUUACGAAACUUUAUUCACCUAAUUUCUUUUAUUUGACUGAAGUAACUUUUACAAACUCACCAUGGUUUAAUUAUAGUCAUACACAUACAUGUCACAGGUGUAUACAGGACUGUGUGUAUACAUAGAUGAAAUCAUCCAUGGUUGUUAAAGUAUUGAUAGAUUUAGUUGCCAGGCUGAGUCUGAACAGCUUCUGGACCGUGUCCGCCGUGGCCUCCUCUUCCUCCGUGUCCCCCGUGGCCUCCUCUUCCUCCCUUGUAUCCUCCACCUCUUCCUCCGUUGUAUCCUCCUCGCCCGUUAUAUCCUCCACCUCCCUUGUAUCCUCCACCUCCGUUGUGUCCUCCUCUGUUAUAUCCUCCUCGUCCGUUGUAACCUUCAUUUCCGCCAUGGCCACCACCAUAUCGAUCAGGUUGCACAGUUUCCUCACUCUCUGUUUUCACCGUACAUAUCCAAAACAAAGCACCUCAAUAUUAUUUCAAAGAUAUCUUUUAGCACGUGCAUAUGUGCAUUCCACUCCCCGAUUUUUGAAAUAAAUUUCGCUUAAAACUAUUCAAAUAUAUAUAAUUUCGGAUCUCGGUCAAAAAAGAUAAAUCGCAUCAUUAUAUACCUUCAAUAUAAAAUUUGCACCGAACAUCUAAAUGGUUUGAGUUGGCCUGAUACGUAUAAAAGGUUUCAAUAUCAUACAUAUCGUCUUCUUUUUUUCUUUUUUAAUAAAACUGGGCUAAUCUCCUGGAGAGCCUACCAGGGAAAGACAAACCCGGUUCCUCUACGGAGGAGUUAGAUAUUCACACCGCCUAGCUACACAUAUCGUUUUUUCUUACUAGACAAAUAUUCCCUCACUUUUUAAUAUAAGUCGUUUUAAAAUUAUGCAUACAGAUUAAAAAAAUAUUAUUUUUUAUAUUUUCUUAAAAAAACAUCAUUAAUUAUUUACCUAACCACGAAUCAGUCAAUAAUAAAAUAGAAAGUAUAUUAUCAUUAGUCAUAUAAACUAAGUUUUAAUAAAUUUUACAUAGAAAAUCGAAAAAUCAUAUAUUUGGAACAUAAAAAUUUCUAAAACGACUUAUAUUAAAAAAACGGAGGGUAGAUAACAACAUCAUACUUAAAUGUGUUUUGACUUAGCAAGUCCAAAUAAUUAACCAGCAUUUAUUCAAACAAACUUUCUGGACUUAAAACGGACGAAAUGGUAUGAUGAAAUUAUGAAAUAGUACUUUAGCACCACAGCCUUUGGAACUACUUUUAUUUUUAUAUAGAAUAAUAAAUUUACGUACCCGACUUCUGUGCAGAUGCUGCGGCCAUUUCUGACACAACGAGAAGAAUUGCAAAGACACCCAGCAUAAUCAAAGUCUUUGAAGCCAUUUUCUUUAACCGAAUUUAAGUUAUAACACUCUCUUUGUCGAAAACAAAUGAUGAAUAAAAUGUCAGUCUGCAUGAUCUCUAUUUAAAGAUAAAGAGGAGCAGCGGAUGAGAAAAGCCAAAUAACAAAAUUCAAUAAAAAAAUUUAAUUUUUUAAUUAAAAGAAAAGAGGCAGAAUUUAUCACAACAUUGGAUUUGGAACUUUAUAGAAUUUGAACACCUACUAAGUUCCAGAAAAUCUAAAAUUAAGAUAAAAUGUUGAAAAAUUAUUACAGUUUCUUUAAAAAGAUUUAAAUCAAUUUUAUAAUAUUUAAAAAAUAUUUAAACCUUUGAAUUUUAUUUUAAUGAAAAUUUAUAUUCUUUAAAUUUUAUUUUUAUUACUUAUUAAUUUAUAUAAAAUAUAUAAAUAUACAAAAUAAUAUUUCAAAUAAACUUUAUUUAUCUGAUUUCAUUUUUUUAUUUUAUGUAAAAGUGAAAAAUAAAGAAGAAUUUAUUUUGUAAGAAAUUUCAAAUAACAUCAUCAUAGGAAGUGAUAUUUUUUCUUCAUUACUUUUAACCAUAUAAGUUUUUUUAUAAUUCCACCAAUCUUAUUUGAUAGAUUUAAUGACUAAAUCUAUAUUUCCAAUAAGUUAGAAUUUUGAAGAACUAAUACAAAUUAUGAACUCAAUAACUUUGGAUUUCAAAUUAUUUCUGUUAAUGUUAAAUACAAUAUAACUGAUGAUUUUGGGGGAAAAUGAAAUCCUAUAAACUUACUAAUCGGUUAAUUCAAUAAUUACCCUAAAAUGUUUUCUAGAAGAACUUCUUGGAUGAGGAGUUUGAAAAAUAAUUAAGUAGAAAGUGAAAAGAAGUUAUUUUGUUAAAUAUUUAAGAUGGGUUUACUUAAUUCAUUUAACUGUUAUGAAAAAUGUGUUCUCACUAUAUUCUAUUUAGGUUAUUUCCUAUUUUUCAGCUUUAGAUCUUGUUAAGCUUGAGCGUACAUGCGUAAGGAGAAUAUAAUGAUCCACAUUCUGGUCCAAUAAAUUCAGAUCGAGGCCCAAACCCAUCCCCAGAAGCCCAUGAUAUUUUCUAUAAAAACUCAGCACUCUACUUUGUUUUCUUCACCAAAAAUCAUCAAAAAAGUUUAGAGAGAAGAAGUUAAUGGGAGAAAUGAGGAAUUGUUACAGAACCUUGAGCCACCACUGGGUUCGUCGGAGCCUUCUCACGCCGUGACUGUGUCGAGCACGCCACCACCGUUAACCGCCCAAGGUAACACCGGAAACCACAUGCAUUAGCUUCAGUUUCGGGUCUGUUUAGUAAAUCGCCCAUAACUUCCUAACCAUUAGCUUCAUAACUUCCGUUUAGCUUCAGCUGCAUGCAAGACCACCAUUGUGUUCCUCUUGUCGAGACGAAGCCAUAGACACCAACCACACCGUGAUCGGAGCCCGGACGAAGCCGCUAGAGCAUCCCGAAGUUGCGCCACGAUCAGAGUCCGCCGGAGCCGCCACGCAUUCCGGCCACUCGCCACCGUCUCCGACCAUCGUUCCCCGGAGCCGUCGUGCCCGGCCACCGUCCGGAUGCCGCCGAGAAGCUACCACUGUAUCGCCGCUUCUCCGCUGCCGUCGGCGAUUUCCCGGUAAACCGCCGCCACCCUCCGCCGUCGCCGCUGCCCACCCUCCGCCGUCGCCGCCGUCACCACCGGUGAUCGUCGCCGGUGACUUGCCGGUAACUAGGCCGAGUCCAUGAGACAACUCGGUGACUCAGUCAACUGGUGGUUUGACUGGUUUAAAUCGAUUUUGGUUGGUUAGGUUAACCGGUUGGUUAUUGGAAAUUGAUUUUGGAUAGAAGUAAACCGGUUUGCAAUUAUUAGGAUCUGGUUCAAUUAAAAAUCAAAAUCGGCUGAGUUAAACCGGUCGGUUCAAUUUGAUUUCAAUUUGGUUAAGGGUUGACCGGCUUGGGUCAGAGUUGACCAGGUUGACCUUUGACCUGCGGAUUGACUUUUUGGUAAACUUUAACCAGACCCGUUUUAAACCGUUCGAAAGCCGUUCUGACUCAGAAUUUCGCCUGAUUUCAGAUUUAGAGUCUAUUUGAGCAGCUGGAGUUCAUAGAUACCACAUUUCCCUACUGCUCAGGUGAGGGUCUAUUCCCGAACUUCUCGUAUACGGCUUAGGACCUCGAAUAAGUAUAACUUAUUUCUAAUAUGUUCUAUCUGCUUGAAAUCGAGUCUGUCAUUGCUUAUUUAGUUAUUAGGUUUCGGCUUAAAUCGGAAUGAGGUGGUUAGAGGAUUCAACAUGGAUUGUUUCACUUAAUGNNNNNNNNNNNNNNNNNNNNNNNNNNNNNNNNNNNNNNNNNNNNNNNNNNNNNNNNNNNNNNNNNNNNNNNNNNNNNNNNNNNNNNNNNNNNNNNNNNNNGAGCCAAGCUCGGUCGCUACGUAGCGACGAGCGAUCGUCCCGCUCGGUCGCUACGUAGCGACCGAGCGAUCGUCCCGCUCGGUCGCUACGUAGCGACCGAGCUCGAGCCAAAGCUCGGUCACUACGUAGCGACCGAGCGAUCGUCCCGCUCGGUCGCUACGUAGCGACCGAGCUCGAGCCAAGCUCGGUCGCUACGUAGCGACCGAGCGAUCGUCCCGCUCGGUCGCUACGUAGCGACCGAGCUCGAGCCAAAGCUCGGUCGCUACGUAGCGACCGAGCGAUCGUCCCGCUCGGUCGCUACGUAGCGACCGAGCUCAGCCAAGCUCGGUCGCUACGUAGCGACCGAGCGAUGUCCCGCUCGGUCGCUACGUAGCGACCGAGCUCGAGCCAAAGCUCGGUCGCUACGUCGCGACCGAGCGAUCGUCCCGCUCGGUCGCUACGUAGCGACCGAGCUCGGCUCGAGCUCGGUCGCUACGUAGCGACCGAGCGAUCGUCCCGCUCGGUCGCUACGUAGCGACCGAGCUCGAGCCAAAGCUCGGUCGCUACGUAGCGACCGAGCGAUCGUCCCGCGGCGUACGUAGCGACCGAGCUCAGCCAAGCUCGGUCGCUACGUAGCGACCGAGCUCGAGCCAAGCUCGGUCGCUACGUAGCGACCGAGCGGGACGAUCGCUCGGUCGCUACGUAGCGACCGAGCUUCGAUCGAGCUCGGUCGCUACGUAGCGACCGAGCGGGACGCCGCUCGGUCGCUACGUAGCGACCGAGCUCGGCCCAAGCUCGGUCGCUACGUAGCGACCGAGCGAUCGUCCCGCUCGGUCGCUACGUAGCGACCGAGCUCGAGCCAAGCUCGGUCGCUACGUAGCGACCGAGCGAGUCCGCUCGGUCGCUACGUAGCGACCGGGCUCGAGCCAAAGAUCGGUCGCGGUGUAGCGAUUGAACCUUUCCGAACAGCGAUACGACACCAGUCCUUGCAUUCUCGUCAAACCUUCGAAUGCUAUCUCCCGAAGACCGUGGCAAGCUCAGUCCAUGUUUCCCGCUAUUCUAAUCCAUCGAUCAAAACUUCGAUUAGAAACCGCGGAAAACUCGUAGUAAACGUGUCGAGUCGGAAGACGGCCCAAAGGGACCUAAAACACGACUCGAGGCCCAUCCUACGAUUUUUCCUAAUCAAAAGCCCGUGAACCACAGCAUGGUUCACGCUUGGCCCCGAGGAAGGAUAAAUGUCAAGUUUCGCGGAUAAAUACGGAAGUUUUGAAGAUAAUUGUGAAGAUCGGGAAAAUGGAUAUCUCCAUUUUUUGCUAUGACGGCUUAAGGGCAGAAGAGUAAAAACGGUAAACCGACCUUGGAGCUAGUAUAUAAGGAGUCCUAGGCGAGGAGCAGGGGGGGGAACUUUUUCAGAGCAAACUUAGCCUUUAGAGCGAUUUAGGCAACUUUCCGUUUUUGUUAUUUCGAGCUGCGACUCAUUAGGUUUAGCCGUCUUAGGGUUGCUAGAACGGGAAUCUCGCCGACGCUCUCGAGCCCAGGCUUAUACCUUGUUGUAACGCUCAUACGCAGAUUCGGAAUAAGAUCUACUUUGCUCUCUUUUCGAUUUCUUAUCUUUAUCGUUGUUAUUUCGUUGUUCUGAUUGCUUGACGUGUGGUAAUUAACAGAUAUCCGGGUCCUCUGGAAACUAGGGUUUUCUUAGUUUCCUUAUUUAAACGGAAAUCGACAGUGCGAAUUUCGGUUCCCACAGUUUGGCGCUAGAAGGAGGGGGACUUACGGAUCAAUCUAACCCGCAAAAACCACUCAACGAUUCAGGAACGACCUGCGGGAUUCGACGUGCGCGAAUGUCAUCUCGUUCAAGGGGGGAGAACGGUCGAUCGAGCCAAACCUCGGAACGAUCUCCUUGUUAUCGAGUUGACAAUUCGAGAUAUCGACAUCGCUAGAGUACUAAUCGAUACCGGAAGCUCGGCCGAUAUCAUCUUCAAAGACACUCUUGAAAAGAUGGGGAUCAGUCAAUCCGAGAUCGCAGAAUGCCCAAGCCCACUGCUAGGGCUUUCGGGGGAAACGACCAUGGCCUAUGGAUCGAUUAGACUCGCUGUCAAAGCCGGAACCGUGACAAACAUCACAGAGUUUCUAGUUGUUGACCGCCCCGCGUCUUACAACGUUAUCAUGGGAACACCAUGGCUGAACACCAUGCGCGCAAUCCCAUCAACCUACCAUCUUUGCCUCAAGUUCCCGACCCCCAACGGAGUCGAGGUAAUCUGGGGAAAUCCAAGAGUUUCACAGGUCUGUUUCGCCGCGGAACUAAAACGAAAGAGACCGAUCCACGAAAUUGCGAGAAAAAGACCUCCGGCAAAGAUACGCGAAGUCAGGGUUCAGCGGAAUUCUUCUGGCAAUCUCGUAUCUUCGCAGCUCUAGACGAAAAACGCGAGCCAACUUGUGAACCCGUGGUAACAAUCUGUCUCGACGAAGCCUUCCCAGAACGCUGCGUCGAGAUUGGAGCCAAUCUCCACGAGCACUAAAGACAGACUCAUAACCUGUCUUAAAAAGAACCUUAACACUUUCGCAUGGGCUGCGGAAGACAUGGGAUUGACAUUAACAUAACAUGUCACGAGCUGAAUAUCGAUCCAACAUUCAAACCCGUCAAACAGAAAAGACGGAAGCUGGGACCCGAACGUGCUACCGCGGUAAACGAUGAGGUCGAAAAACUGCUUAAAGUUGGGUCGAUAACAGAGGUAAGAUACCCGGACUGGCUCGCCAACCCCGUGGUAGUCAAAAAGAAAAAUGGGAAAUGGCGAGUUUGCGUAGAUUUUACCGACCUAAACAAGGCAUGUCCAAAGGAUAGCUUCCCUCUACCACAUAUCGAUCGGUUGGUAGAAGCAACGGCGGGCAACGAACUCUUAUCCUUCAUGGAUGCUUUCUCAGGUUAUAAUCAAAUUAGGAUGAAUCCCGACGAUCGUGAGAAGACCGCUUUCAUUACCGAUCGCGGAACCUAUUGUUAUGAGGUAAUGCCCUUCGGCCUCAAAAACGCUGGAGCAACUUACCAACGACUCGUGAACCGAAUGUUCUCCAAACAACUCGGAAAAACGAUGGAAGUUUACAUUGACGACAUGCUUGUCAAAUCCCUCAAAGCAAGAGAUCACGUGUCACAUCUCGAAGAAUGCUUUGCACAACUAAACUCCCAUAACAUGAAGCUCAACCCGACGAAAUGUAGAUUCGCCGUGGCAUCAGGAGAAUUCCUCGGUUACUUGGUGACCAACCGCGGUAUCGAAGCAAAUCCAAAACAGAUCAACGCUCUAAUCGAGAUGGCUUCGCCGAAGAAUAAACGGGAAGUCCAAAGACUGACCGGCAGAAUCGCAGCACUUAACCGAUUUAUUUCACGAUCAACAGAUAAGUGCCUACCCUUCUACGACGUCCUGCGAGGGAAUAAAAAGUUCGAAUGGACGGAAGAGUGCGAAAACGCCUUCCAACAGCUGAAGCGUUUUUAGCUACUCCUCCAGUCCUCGCAAAACCCGUGGAAGGGGAGCCUUUUCUUAUACAUCGCGGUAUCGGCAACAGCCGUAAGCGGAGUCCUGAUCAGGGAAGAACGCGGGGACAGAGACCUAUUUUUUAUAAGCAAAACCUUGCUCGAUGCCGAAUCUAGGUAUCCGUUGAUGGAAAAAUUGGCAUGCGCGGUCGUAACAUCGGCCCGAAAACUACGACCAUAUUUCCAAUCCCACACGAUUGUUAUCCUAACGACUUUUCCUUACGGACAUUUUGCAUAGCCCAAGUCAAUCAGGCCGAUUGGCCAAGUGGGCGGUCGAGUUGAGCGAGUAUGAUAUCGAAUACCGACCAAGGACGAGCGCAAAGUCACAAGUGCUCGCAGACUUUUUGGUCGAACUUCCAGCGGGAGCAAUAACCAACGAAGAACCAAUUCCACCUGGCUCCUCCACGUCGACGGAUCCUCAUCCAAGCAAGGAUCGGGUAUCGGGAUCCGUCUCACAUCUCCAACGAGCGAGAUCCUGGAACAAUCGUUCAGACUGGAAUUCCAUGCCUCAAACAACGAGCCGAAUACGAAGCACUGAUCGCAGGUCUACGUUUGGCUCACGGCUUAAAAAUACGUAAUCUCCAUGCUUACUGCGACUCCAGUUAGUGGCCAGUCAAUUCAGCGGAGAAUAUGAAGCCAGAGACGAACGGAUGGACGCGUACCUCAAGCUGGUCCAAGGUCUAGCUCAAGACUUCGACUGUUUCGCCCUUACCCGGAUCCCCCGUUCCGAGAAUGUCCAGGCGGACGCCCUCGCGGCCUUGGCAUCAAGUUCCGAUCCAGACUCAAAAGGGUAAUUCCGGUCGAAUUCAUCGAACAUCCGAGUAUCGGACCGCCAGUCGUUGUCAAUCUCAUAGAAGGUCAAGACGACGAGGAAGAAGAGAUUACGAUACCACCACCAUCGGAGCAAUCCGAUUACGGUUGUGAUACCCCAUGGCUUCAGACGAUUCGAGACUACAUUAUCGACGGGCAACUGCCCGCCGAAAAAUGGUCAGCUCGCAAGAUCCGAACACAAGCCGCACGCUACGUAACAGUGGACGGCGAAAUCUACAAGUGGAGAUUCUCCGGACCACUCUUGACGUGCCUGGAAGGAGGAAAGGCGAGGAAAGUGAUGGAGGAAAUACAUUCCGGCUCAUGCGGCAACCAUUCCGGCGGAAGAUCACUAGCCGUGAAAAUCAAACGCCAUGGAUACUAUUGGCCAACGAAUGAUCGGAGAUUGCGAGAAAUUCGCACGAAAAUGCGAAAAAUGCCAAAGGCAUGCGCCAACUAUCCGACAACCGGCCGAAGUUCUUUCCUCCAUUACAUCGCCCUAUCCCUUUAUGCGCUGGGCCAUGGAUAUUGUCGGACCUCUGCAUAAUUCAAAGCAAAGCGGUUCCUUCUAGUGCUUACCGAUUUUUCUCAAAAUGGGUAGAGGCCGACUCGUACGCGAGUAUAAAAGACGUCCAAGUCGAGAAUUUCGUAUGGAGAAACAUCAUCUGUAGGCAUGGAGUUCCUUACGAAAUCGUAACCGAUAACGGGUCUCAAUUCAUUUCCACCCGAUUCGAGGCAUUCUGCGAAAAGUGGAAGAUACGACUCAACAAGUCAACUCCCAGAUAUCCGCAGUGCAACGGACAGGCUGAAACAAUCAACAAGACCAUUCUCGACGGACUGAAGAAACGCUUGGAGGCCAAAAAAGGAGAUGGGCCGACGAACUCGAGGAGUCCUCUGGUCUCACCGUACCACCCCAAGGCGAGCAACGGGAGAAACUCCCUUCGCCUUGGUAUACGGACGGAGUGCAUGAUUCCCGCAGAAGUAGAAUUUCCCGGUGUUCGAAGAAGGUUCUUACCCGAACGAGAGGAACUCAACAAUGCUAUGCUCUUGGACGAUCUCGACCUCAUUAACGAACGCCGGGAUCGAGCGCUCAUCCGAAUUCAAAACUACCAGCACGCCGCUGCAAGAUACUAUAAUUCCAACGUACGGAAUCGUAGGUUCAAUCAGGGAGAUCUGGUCCUUCGCAAAGUUUUCCAAAACACCGCUGAACGAAACGCGGGGAAAACUCGGAGCAAACUGGGAAGGUCCCUAUAAAAUCGAAAAAGUCGUCCGACCAGGUUCCUACGAAAUAGCCAACAUGCAGGGCGUAAAAAUCCCUAGAACCUGGAAUGCGAUGCAUCUCAAAAUACUAUCACUAACGAACCAACUCGCAAUCACUGAACUACGAGACGGCUUGAUCUCCGCAAGGAGUACGUGGCAGUUUGCCGAAAGGCAAAUUCAGCUGUCCCCCUCAUUAAAAAGGGGGGGAGUGGGUACGUAUACUCGUAUACCACCAAAAAAAAAUCGAAAAAACUUCUUACCGCACUCUUGGUGUUUUCGACUUAUCGAAACAUCCUCACCCGUGAAACCACACGAGGUCUUCGGAGAUUAUUCGGCCGCUUGGGAGAAUCAAACCUUUAGCAUCGCGAGACGUCGCAAAAGAUGCCUCAAAGAUGGUUUCUUCCGAGCAAACGAAAUCUCCACAAAAAGACACAUAUAUGCACACAUUAACAUUUAUUUUGCGCAAAUUAAUCAAAACAACGGCACACGCCACCAAGUCCGAUGCUGAUCACAUCGAACUCACAAACGUCCUAAACAGACAUAGCCAUCUCAUGAAGAUGACUCUCUUACAUCCGACACAAGGAUAAUAGCGCUAUAAAAGAAAUCCGAAAUUUUGGUCCAGCACUUCCGGUCUCCGAGAGAGCUCGAUUCGAUCAAACAAGUCGUAUAAGCCGAGAACUUUUCGCGGACUUUACAUCGAUACGAAUCAGGAAGAAAUCGCGACAGGAAAAACGAUAGCCGGUUAGUCGCCGCACAAUCCUUAAACCGAAAGUAAACCUAGGUCUUGCCCUAAACCCAGCGCACUGGUCUCUAACAUCUCGAAGGCAUGAUAUCGAAAGAUAAGAGAUUCUUAAACCACGCCUCUAUGUUACGUUCGAUACCUUCAGCGCCCCCGCGGAGUUCACAUCUCGCGGAAGAACUCUCGAAACAGGUCUCGAAUAAAACAUUUCACAAUCGAAGAAGGAUAUGAGACGACAACUCAUCACCUUCCUCCUCACUAUUCACAAAUUCAUAAAAAGCGUUAUCCGAUUAUCAUAUUAUAAAGCCGCAGAGCGGCAGGGAUUCAAAGCCACACACGGCCAGUCCCGAAAUACAAACAAGGCCAUUCAAGGCCAAAACAUAAAGACAUAAAAAAAAAAAAAAAAAAAAAAAUCUCUCGCAAGAGAUGUAACCCAAAUCACCCUCAGAACUUACGCCCCCUCUUCACCCGCCGCCUCGUCUGAGCAUGGAGCCGCGUCACUUCCAUUCUCUCCGACCAUCGGAUCUUUCCCCUCUGGGUCUUCUGAACACGUCGGAAGGAAGCAAGCGGAUUUUAGGUCAGCCAGGAUGAGACCGAAAUCGCCAUCCUCGGCCGCCAUAUCUCCCUUACAGCCGGACAGUCGGGCCUCUUCGGCCUCCAAGGUCGGGGGAGUCUCACUUUGGAACGACCGAACUACGGCCAUCCCGCCCUCAAUCGUCGCCAAAGCGAAAUCCCUGCUCCGGAUACACUCGAGGGAAUCCAGGGAAGCGGAAAUCUUCGCCAAGCGGACCUGAAACUCCGCGCGAAGGGCAUCCGUAGCCUCUUGGAUCCCGCGGCGCGCUAGUCCAGCGUCGCUCUCGAUUUGACGCUGGAGUCGACGCACUUCCGAGGAUUUGGCCUUCCUGGCCUUCUUUUCUUAAGUAAAGAACUCGCCGUCUUCCCGAGGUCCCUCUCAAGCUCUCCUAUCGCAACCUCGAGCUUCGACACUUUCGCAGAGUGAGAAUCCUCGACAGCCGUCAACAUAGCCUCGGUUUCGGACCAUCUCCCCUGAAGCUCCACCAACUCCCCGGAAAGACGACUGGUCUCAGAGCCGCAUUCGCUGAUCAUCCCAUCGAUCAACGAUAUGAACUGCGAACGGUAAAAAUUCCUAAGAUUAAGUCCGUAAAGAGAAUGCACGAAAGACGAUCGAGAAUUCAAACAAGAAACAAACCUUUCCACGAAGUCCCGAUGCUAGGCUCGACCCACCUCGCUGCGAAGUCUCCCCGUCACCGCUCUUGCCAGUUUCCUCUUCCGACUCUUAGGCUGAGUAACCUGGACAGCGCUAGGAGCACGCAACGCCAGAACGAUUUCUUUUCUGGCCGGAGGCGGAGGCAUAGAGUCAGCUGCCUUUUCUUUGUCCUCGACGAGGAUCGGAGUCGUGGAAGAUCCCGCAGGUAGGACUUGCGGGAGGGGAGCCGCGACGUCAGUCCCAUGACACGGGGCAACGACCUGCUCGGAGGAAGACGGAAACUCGGAGCCAGUCUGAGCCAAUCCUUUCUCGGCUUGACGACGAACUAGUUUCUCUCGGAAAGAAAGAUGACCGGCAACACAAGCCGGCACUUCCGCCGGAGAAGUUGGAACUGGAGCCGGAGAAGUGGCCUCACCCAUCUCGACGUCGGAAUCCUUCUUAUCACCUUGGGAGGAAGACAUGUUGAAAGGAAAGUUAUGAAGCUAGAGAGGUUUUUUGAAGAAAUGAAGAAGGAAAGGUGUGAAGAAAAUGAAUGACAAGAGCUCAUUACUUAUAGAAGUAUGGGUUCGGAACGUCGCCUCGACAACUUUUAUUUCGCGGAGUUUUAAAUGUAAAUUUCGUCCAAUACACUCAACCUUGUAAAAGUCAUCUAUCCGCCCGCUAGAGUCACAACUCUAACGGGCUGGGGGGCUAACUGUUGGGGUCAAAAACGGUUACGACAAAUUUAACAUUCAAAACGUUCGAAUAAGAAAAUAAGAGUUUCUCCGAAGAGUACUUUUCGGAGAAAGAUUCUUCCUUACGAAAAAGCUUCGCGAAAGAAAGAAUCGAGAUAUCCGAGGAAAGCUCGAAACAGGUCGCUACGUAGCGACCGAGCUCGAGCCAAGCUCGGUCGCUACGUAGCGACCGAGCGAUCGUCCCGCUGGGUCGCUACGUAGCGACCGAGCUCGAGCCAAAGCUCGGUCGCUACGUAGCGACCGAGCGAUCGUCCCGCUCGGUCGCUACGUAGCGACCGAGCUCGAGCCAAAGCUCGGUCGCUACGUAGCGACCGAGCGAUCGUCCCGCUCGGUCGCUACGUAGCGACCGAGCUCGAGCCAAGCUCGGUCGCUACGUAGCGACCGAGCGAUCGUCCCGCUCGGUCGCUACGUAGCGACCGAGCUCGAGCCAAAGCUCGGUCACUACGUAGCGACCGAGCGAUCGUCCCGCUCGGUCGCUACGUAGCGACCGAGCUCAGCCAAGCUCGGUCGCUACGUAGCGACCGAGCGAUCGUCCCGCUCGGUCGCUACGUAGCGACCGAGCUCGAGCCAAAGCUCGGUCGCUACGUAGCGACCGAGCGAUCGUCCCGCUCGGUCGCUACGUAGCGACCGAGCUCAGCCAAGCUCGGUCGCUACGUAGCGACCGAGCGAUCGUCCCGCUCGGUCGCUACGUAGCGACCGAGCUCGAGCCAAGCUCGGUCGCUACGUAGCGACCGAGCGAUCGUCCCGCUCGGUCGCUACGUAGCGACCGAGCUCGAGCCAAGCUCGGUCGCUACGUAGCGACCGAGCGAUCGUCCCGCUCGGUCGCUACGUAGCGACCGAGCUCGAGCCAAGCUCGGUCGCUACGUAGCGACCGAGCGAUCGUCCCGCUCGGUCGCUACGUAGCAACCGAGCUCGAGCCAAAGCUCGGUCGCUACGUAGCGACCGAGCGAUCGUCCCGCUCGGUCGCUACGUAGCGACCGGGCUCGAGCCAAAGAUCGGUCGCGGUGUAGCGAUUGAACCUUUCCGAACAGCGAUACGACACCAGUCCUUGCAUUCUCGUCUAACCUUCGAAUGCUAUCUCCCGAAGACCGUGGCAAGCUCAGUCCAUGUUUCCCGCUAUUCUAAUCCAUCGAUCAAAACUUCGAUUAGAAACCGCGGAAAACUCGUAAUAAACGUGUCGAGUCGGAAGACGGCCCAAAGGGACCUAAAACACGACUCGAGGCCCAUCCUACGAUUUUUCCUAAUCAAAAGCCCGUGAACCACAGCAUGGUUCACGCUUGGCCCACGAGGAAGGAUAAAUGUCAAGUUUCCGCGGAUAAAUACGGAAGUUUUGAAGAUAAUUGUGAAGAUCGGGAAAAAUGGAAUAUCUCCAUUUUUUGCUAUGACGGCUUAAGGGCAGAAGAGUAAAAACGUAAACCGACCUUGGAGCUAGUAUAUAAGGAGUCCUAGGCGAGGAGCAGGGGGGGGAACUUUUUCAGAGCAAACUUAGCACUUAGAGCGAUUUAGGCAACUUUCCGUUUUUGUUAUUUCGAGCUGCGACUCAAUUAGGUUUAGCCGUCUUAGGGUUGCUAGAACUAGGAAUCUCGCCGACAGCUCUCGAGCCCAGGCUUAUACCUUGUUGUAACGCUCAUACGCAGAUUCGGAAUAAGAUCUACUUUGCUCUCUUUUCGAUUUCUUAUCUUUAUCGUUGUUAUUCUCGUGUUCUGAUUGCUUGACGUGUGGUAAUUAACAGAUAUCCGGGUCCACUGGGAAACUAGGGUUUUCUUAGUUUCCUUAUUUAAACGGAAAUCGACAGUGCGAAUUUCGGUUCCCACAACGAUCGAUAUCAGGAAAUGCUUCGACAGAUGAAGAUUAAUAUCGAUCGAUGUACACAAGUACCGUCGAUCGAUGUCGAGACACCAGACGCGACAUUUUGGAUUCAGCAGACUUAAAGACCUAGGCCAACCCAAAUUACCAAAAUGUCCUGACGAGUUUUUAACCUAGUAGAAUAUAUACUGCCUAAGUUUUUGACGGCAGGGAGAGCUUUUUCUUUUCUAGACCUAGUUUUGUUACAAGUUUCAUUUUGGAGAGAAGAUCACUUGUGAUUGGAACUCCUUGUUUCAUUUUCUUAUCAUCUAUUCUAUGAGUUUCUAUUUAUCUAUUGAUAUGAAUUGCUUUGCUAUGUCUGAGUAGUUCAACUGUUAGAUCCAGGGUUCAGAUAGGUUUGUGGGAUUAGCCCCAAACUAUAGAUCUGCCUUGUUGUGAUAUUCAUGAUAGAUUUGUAUUCAUUGCUUGUUUUAGCCUAGCUAACUAGAACUUGAUCAUAGGAUUGCAUAUUCAAGCACCCUUGUUAUCCCAUCCUGACAUCUAUCUAUCAUAUUAGAAUUGCUAGAGAGGGCUAACCGCCAAUUUAGAAUCUUAGUAGAGCAUUUUCAUACUCGCGCAUAGGCCUGGCUAGAACCCGUCGAUCAAUGUCCUCAACUGACAAUCGAUUGAUGUUGGCAAAAGUGUAUCUGUCGACGUCUUAAUAGACUAUCGAUCGACACUCUCUUGUGUCUGCAUCUAACCGGUGAGACACAAGAUCUAGUCUGUUAACCAGUGGUACAUGCGACAGCUGAUCACUGAGUUAAGCGAAUGAGCUCUAAUAUAUCAUGCAUGCAACAGUUAGGCAUCUAUAGGAAUUAUAAUCUCCAACACCUGAAUAGUGGCCCUGCAUCUAAUAUCAUUUCCAACCUAAGUUACAUUUAUUAUUUACUCGCUAGUUACUAUUGCUAUUUUAUUCAAAACAUUACAACCUUUAGAAUUAAUAAACACUAGAUUUAAUUGUUCCCUAGCUCCUUGUGGAUUCGAUCCCUAAGUACUACAUCUGAACCUCUUUUGAUGAGAGUAACACUCCUUAGGGUAAUUUGAGUGGUAUCAGGCUCCUCCAAGCUUCUCACUGAAAUAAGCCACUGGUUUUCCAUCCUGCAUCAACACAGCACCAAUACCAACACUAGAAGCAUCACAUUCGAUUUUCAAAAGCUUUUGAAAAAUCUGGAAGUACAAGUAAAGGGGCGUGAGUCAACUUCCCUUUAAGGAUUUCGAAUGCUUCUUCCUGAGCUGGUCCCCAUUUGAACCCCACGUUCUUCUUGAUUACUUCAGUAAGAGGAGCGGCCAAGGUAUUGAAGUUCUGAACAAAUCGCCUAUAGAAGCCGGCAAGGCCAUGGAAGCUUCUCACUUCACCAAUGGUGGUCGGAAUCGGCCAGUCCCGGAUUGCUUGGACCUUCUGCUCGUCCACUCUCAAGCCAUCUGCACCUACAACAAAACCUAGAAAGACCACAUGAUCUGUGCCAAAAGAACACUUUCCAAGGUUAGCAAACAAACCUUCCUUUCUAAGGACUUCAAGAACAGAUUUCAAGUGAUGUUUGUGCUCAUCAAGGCUUAUGUCAUCAAAGUAAACUACAACAAAAUGACCAAUAAAAGAGCUCAAGACAUGAUUCAUUAGGUGCAUGAAAGUACUAGGUGCAUUAGUGAGACCAAAGGGCAUGACAAGCCACUCAUACAAACCUAGUUUUAUUUUAAAGGCCGUUUUCCAUUCAUCACCUUCUUUCAUCCUAAUCUGAUGAUAGCAACUUCUCAAAUCUAUCUUAGAAAAGUACUUAGAACCAUGGAGUUCAUCAAGCAUAUCAUCAAGACGAGGGAUAGGAUGUCGAUACUUUACCGUGAUGUUGUUUAUGGCUCGGCAGUCCACACACAUCCUCCAGGAGCCAUCCUUCUUUGGUACAAGUAGAACAGGCACGGCACAGGGACUGAGACUCUCUCUCUGAUGUAUCCCUUCUCAAGCAAGUCGUUGAUCUGUUUCUGCAGUUCCUUGGUCUCGACCGGAUUGGUGCGGUACGCUGGUCGGUUCGGUAGAGAGGCGCGCGGGACGAGAUCGAUCUGAUGCUCAAUGCCUCUCACCGGUGGCAAUCCUUUGGGAUUUUCUUCUGGAAACACAUCAGAAUAAUCCUGCAAGAUACCUAAUAACUCACUCGGAAUAUCCGGUGCAAGGUCAGAAGAAGAUGAGGCCAAGAGAGACUCGUUAUAAAUCAGUAAGAGAAAUAGCUUUUGAGAGCAAAGAGACUUCCUUACCUGACUUUCUUUGACAAAGAAGUUGGAGUUUCUGGUACAGGUCUCAGGUUUAUCAGCUUUAGAGUCUUGGUCUUGGUUCUUCUUAAGUUGGACCUGGUCUUGAUGGACUUCCGAAGGCGACAAAGGCACCAAGGUGAUCUUCUUUCCUUUAUGAUCAAAUGAGUGACGGUUUGUGAAACCAUCAUGCACUGCAUUCUUGUCAAAUUCCCAAGGCCGGCCCAAGAGAACAUGGCAAGCAUCCAUGGGAAGCACAUUGCAAACAACCUCAUCGUCAUAUCAGCCAAUGGAGAGUGGAACCGUGACUUGCUCCUUCACAUACUGUUCUCCAGACUCAUUGAGCCACUCCAACCUGAAAGGACGAGAAAGAGGCCGAGUAACAAGCCCAAGUUUCUUUACAAGAGUGUCACUAGCCACAUUAGUGCAACUUCCUCCAUCAAUAAUUAAGGAACAAACUUUACCAGAAAUGAGACAUCUAGAGUGAAAGAAAUUCUCCCUUUGAUCUUUGUCAUUGGAUUUUGGUUGGACACUCAAGGAACGCCUAGUAACCAGUAGUGAACCAUGGCUUGGCUUAUCAAGAACAUCCUCAUCAUAGAUCGGAUCAGAACUCUCCACAAAGGUCGAGCAAAACUCAUUGAUCACUCCAUCGACCUCCUCAUCAAAGAUGGGAUCAGUGGUGUUGUCCAAGACCUUCCUAGUAACAAGAAGGGGACCAUGAACUAGGAAGUCAAGUGCCUCUUCCUCAUCAUCAUCAUCAUACACUGGUCCGAGAUCCUUCUUGUCUUCUUCAGAUUCAACUUCUCCAUUUUCCAAGAGCACCAUCACCUUUUGGUUUGGACAUCGGUUGGCAUAGUGUCCAAGGCAAUGACACCUAAAGCAUUGGAUGUCUCUGGUUCGUUUGGUAGCCUCUUCUUUUUUCUCUGUAUCAACACGAGUAGGGACAUUAGUCUGAAAAGUUGUAUUCGUUGUGGAAGAAGACUUACCCUUGUCUUGAUAGUUUGGCUUGGAAGCAAAGGUCGGUUUAGUGAGACCCUUUCUCUUGACUUGUUGCUCGAUCAGCACGGCCUUGUGUAACAUCUGCUCCAUGCUGUCAUAGUCUUCCAGCUCCAUGCGGUCUUAUAUGUCCCGGUUGAGCCCGGUAAGAAAUCUGGCCAUGGUGGCGUCUAAGGGCUCUUCUACAUCAGCUUUGAUCAUCAAGGUCUCCAUCUCCUGGUGAUAGUCCUCAACUGACUUAGAACCUUGAAGCAAACGCCUGAGUUUAUGGUGUAGAUCUCUGUGGUAAUGGUCGGGAACAAAGCGUCUCCGCAGCAGCAUGGAAAGCUCAUCCCAUGUAUCAACUGGCGCCUCACCUGCUCUCCUCCUGCUAGUCACAACUCGAUCAUACCAGUUAAUAGCAUAGCCAGUAAACUCAGCAGCAGCAAGUCUAACCUUUUUAAUAUCAGAAAAAUUUUGACAAUCAAACACAAGUUCAAUUUUUCUUUCCCAUUCAAGAAAAGCAUCCGGAUCAUUUUUGCCAUCAAAACUUGGAAUUUUCAAUUUCAAACCACCCAAGCCAUCAUUGGUUCUUUCAUUUCUACCAAAAGGAUUGACAUCACUUCGGUUUUGAUGCCUAGGAACUCUCCUUCGACGGUUGAUGGAUUGAUCAUCAUCAUAAGACUCUUCUCGGAUUUCUAGGUCGGACCGGCUGUUCCUCCUUAGAUGGUCACGUCUGGUUCUGGUUCGUGGCUGAGUUGGAUGGCCCUGAAGUUCAUCUAGCCUCUAAUGGAUUGCCUCCAAACCUGUAUUCAACAAGUUAGACAUAGAGUCAUUGAGAGCACGCAUUUGCAAGUUAGAUAAUCCGGCAUGUGAAUUUCCGGGUCGGUUUCUUUCUUCUUCACUAUCCAUGGCUACCUGAAAACUUAAACAAUGUAAAGUUAGAUUAAAAACCUCACACACUCAGGUGUUUAUCCUUACCCACACACGUGUUUUACUCAAUUUAGUAGUCACACAAGAGAGUUUCCCUCAAAGUUCUAAGAGAACAAACUAGAUAACCCAAAAUGAGAAUCCCAAGUGAAACACCCAAGAGACAAGAUAGAAAGAUAAGUGAUUUAACAAGGGGAAUCCGUAUUAACCACCUCCAAGGCCGGAUUUCUCCUCGGCCAGCGGGCUUACUCUUCCACCACCAAACCACAAUUGAAAACUUUUGAUAUCUUUUCUUUCUUUUUUUUUUUUUUGAUUAGAUCUUUCUUUUUUUUUUAAUAUAUGGAUGGUAAAGAGGGGUCCGGAUUCAAAGAUAGAUAGAAGAAGAAUUUUUUUUUUUAUGAAGAAAAUGAUAGAUGAGAAAGAUGGAAUGAAAAGAGAUACCAGAAGAGUGGCUCUGAUACCACUUGAAGAACCCUAAGGAACGAACACUCAACUGGAUCUGUUGAUAUGAACUCGAUCUGAAGAGAUAGAUAACUGAUGGAUUGUUUAGUGACACAAAGGGAUGCGGAAGACCCAAUGAUACUACUAGAACUCUCAAUGGCCGCUUGAUUUGACACACAAGUCCGGCUCAAAGAAAGGGGAUUCACUUGGAGAUAGCUUCACCAAGGGAACAAGAAUGUUCUAAUCAAAGAACAAAGAAAGAAAACUCAAAAAUGAAUAAGGAAAAUCGAUUAUCUUAUUUCAAGGAUGUGUUCUCAUACUUAUACAACUUAUAGUCAAAGAUAAUAAAUAAAAAUGUAUGAAAAAGAGACCUAGAAAAUAGAUAGAAGACCAAAUCUAGUCAAAGCACAUAAAAUAAUGUUGACUGGUCGAUUUGAACUCUUUGGCUACUCUUGUCCAGGUUUGGUGUAACUGAUAGCACGUCCCGCGAUAAUGAGCAGUACACGGCCGGUACGGUCUUCAUGUACGGACGGUUGAUUUUCAUGGACUGUUCCGGGCCAAAAGGUGGCUAAGUCUUCGGACAACCUCAAGAGUCCUGCCUUAGAGAGAUUUGGCUGAUCAAAGUUCAUGAACUGAUCGAAGUGUCGGAUCAGUUCAUCAGAACGAUCGCCAGUUCGGCCGAGACGGCUUAAGAGAGAGAGACCAUGGUCGGAUUUGGAUUCCACUCGAUCAACUUCACUUCUGACUUGACCGAUGGACUUAGCAUGACGAACAGGACGGUAAAGGCGAACUUCAGUACGGUUGAUUUGGCCAUCUGGUCGCGGGUUAUUCUAAAGCUCCAAUCCGGACGAGUGCUGGUCGAGACGAUACACGGCCCGAGCAGUCUGUUUGGCCCGAUCAAUGGACUGAACCUCAGGUUUAUUUGGCUCAGCCCUUGAGACAAGCCACAGGGAGGCCAUGGUUUAUCGCUUCAAGGCAUAGAAAGCAGAAGAAGAUCUUGCACGUAUUCAAAACAAAAUUUUAGAGCGAUAUUCGAGACUUGCCAAGGAUCAUGCCAAGGCCGUCCAUCAAGCGGAAAGGAGAGGUAGGAGAGAGAUUGUCGAGAUGAUGAGAAACUGAUAGAACCAAAAUAUGGAAGGAUCACUUUAGCUGGGUGUUGGAUAUGAUCCGAGAAGGCAAACGGCACUUCUGGAACUGAGAUGGAUUGAAAGGAUCGUCAAGAGAUGCGGAAUGGCUCUUGAUAUACCCACGAUCUAAGGCUAACCACCUAAGAAAGAAUGUAAUGCGUUGGCUAACCACCAAACAACACACAAAGAUGAAUUGGCUGACCACCAAAUCAACAAGCCGGUUCAAACCGAUGAACUAGCUAAGAACUCUCUCUCUCACUCAGAGAAGAAACGAAAUAAACAACCAAAACUGAACUGAUUUUAUUCAUCAAAGGGACUACAUAUUUAUAAUGUUUUGUAGUCAAAGAUAAUUAAAGAAAUUGUGUAAAAAUAAUACAUAGAAAAUAUAAUCUUGACCAGAUCUGAAUUAAUGAGUCAAAGACUCAGUCUUCCAUGCAGAUUGGUCAAAGAUGACUCUUCAGCUGAUGUCCAGGUUCAUCCGAACCCAUUGGAUGCACGGCGGUAACGAUAAGGACUCCUACGGGAAUGUCCGGAUGGUCCGCUGGGUGAGAAUCCAUGUCUGUCUUCAGGUUCAUCACGACCCAAGCUAAGUCUAGCUUGAUCCAAGUCAAAUCUGGCAUGAUCUUUCUCAAGUCUGGCAUGAUCUUUCUCAAGUCUGGCACGGUGAAAAACAUGAACCUCGGUUGAAAUGUUCAGAACGUCCUGAACUCCAUGCUGAGCUAGUUCCAUGUAAUGAUCCGUGGACUGUGGCACAUCAUUCCCUUCCUCUUCAAAAAGAUUUGUCCUCAAAUCUGAAACAUUAAAAGGAAAAGGGUUAUAAGCAAAAGAAAAACGUUGCUCACCUUGAGUUUGGUCCGGUUUUUGAAUGGAAGAAGAUCUUUCUUGGUUUGCUUGAUGACCAAGAAUUUUUUCUUCAUCUAGCCCCUCCAUUGGGUCAUAUGUGAAGUCAUGGAAAAUUGGCAAUGGAUCUUUCUUUUCUGGCUCGGUUUCAACGUUCUCAUUCUCCAAAGUCACCAACGGUUUCUGUUUUUGGCACUUGUUAGCAUAAUGACCGAUCCUACGGCAUUUGAAGCACCUGGUAGAAUGAGCUUUGCUUGUGGGUUUCACAGCUUUGCUUUUAUCAGAAGACAACACAUUAGUUUUCAAAUCAGAAUUUGAAAGAGAAGAAAAAUUACUUUGCUGUUUAGGUGAAGUGUUGGUGUUUCCCUUCUUUUUGAGUUGUCGGAUAGUAUGAAUUGCCUUAUGCAACAUCUUUUCCAAACUGGCAUAAGCCUGAAGCUCAUUCUGAUCAAACACAUCACGGUUGCUUCUCUUGGCUUUGGUGAAGGGACGAUCACCACUUCUGACCCACUUCUCAUCAUCAUCGAACAUGUUUUGUCUCUUCCUUUCGUUUCUUUGCUUCUGCACAAAAUCAAACCCAUUAGAAGCAAACUGUUUCUUAUUUCCAAAAAUCAUUUUCUCUUUUUCUAACACGGUUUUAAAAGGAAAGUAAACGUCUUGUUGUGGUUUUGAAUUCUUGAGAAGUCCAAACAUCCUGAAAACACUUAACAAAAGAGGUAGCAAAUAAAAAUCCUCACACUCUCAAAGUGUUUAGCUCACGAUUUUUAGGUGAUCACUCAGAGUUCUUUCCACUGGUUCAAAGGAUGAUAGGCAGUCAAAAUUCAGCAAUCAAAACCCAAAAUAAACUUUUGUGGGAAAAAGAAAAGAUAAAGAAAGAUGAAGAGAUUUUUGAAAUGGAUCCGCCUUAACUGUCCUAAGGCUGGGUUUCUCUUCAGCCAGCAGGGUUUCUCUUCCACCACUCCCCCUGGAUUUCUCUUCAGAAGUGAUUCAAGCCAAAACUUUUACUCUUUAUUUUUUUGAUCGAUUUUUCUUUCUCUUUUUUUUUUUAAUAACUGGUGAUCACAAGGGAGUAAAGGAACAGCCCGGAUCCAACAAGAAAUAAGAAAAGAAAAUCGUGGAGAGAUGAGAAGAUGAAAAGAUGAAAUGAAAACAAACCAGCCAAAGUGGCUCUGAUACCACUUGAUAGAACCAAAAUAAGGAAGGAUCACUUUAGCUGGGUGUUGGAUAUGAUCCGAGAAGGCAAACGGCACUUCUGGAACUGAGAUGGAUUGAAAGGAUCGUCAAGAGAUGCGGAAUGGCUCUUGAUAUACCCACGAUCUAAGGCUAACCACCUAAGAAAGAAUGUAAUGCGUUGGCUAACCACCAAACAACACACAAAGAUGAAUUGGCUGACCACCAAAUCAACAAGCCGGUUCAAACCGAUGAACUAGCUAAGAACUCUCUCUCUCACUCAGAGAAGAAACGAAAUAAACAACCAAAACUGAACUGAUUUUAUUCAUCAAAGGGACUACAUAUUUAUAAUGUUUUGUAGUCAAAGAUAAUUAAAGAAAUUUUGUAAAAAUAAUACAUAGAAAAUAUAAUCUUGACCAGAUCUGAAUUAAUGAGUCAAAGACUCAGUCUUCCAUGCAGAUUGGUCAAAGAUGACUCUUCAGCUGAUGUCCAGGUUCAUCCGAACCCAUUGGAUGCACGGCGGUAACGAUAAGGACUCCUACGGGAAUGUCCGGAUGGUCCGCUGGGUGAGAAUCCAUGUCUGUCUUCAGGUUCAUCACGACCCAAGCUAAGUCUAGCUUGAUCCAAGUCAAAUCUGGCAUGAUCUAUCUCAAGUCUGGCAUGAUCUUUCUCAAGUCUGGCACGGUGAAAAACAUGAACCUCGGUUGAAAUGUUCAGAACGUCCUGAACUCCAUGCUGAGCUAGUUCCAUGUAAUGAUCCGUGGACUGUGGCACAUCAGAAACCGUGCUACUCAGUUCAAGACCGAGUAUGGAAACCUUAAGGAGGCUUAUUCCUUGGUGGGCGAUUUUGGCGAGUGUCGUAGUUAAGUUGGUACCCUUUGGAAGACGCAUGCGGACGUCUUUAUUUUCAAGGAUGAUAUGGAUAUCAUGAAAGAUGGCAUGAAUGAUCAUGCCCAUGCCGAGGCGCUUAUUUCCGCCGAUCGAUGGGAGGAUUCUGGGAUUCUGGGAUCCCAUCCCAGUUUCUCCUUAUACGGGGGAGGUCACGACCGAGGUUACUGGUGAUGAUGAGGAGGUGGACUGUCCCGCGGAAGCAUUUGGAGCUUCCAUGUCUGGGGGUUUUAACUUUGAUCUGUGAGAAUCGAAGUUAGCAUUUGACGGGAAGAAAUUUCCCCCUAUCUUGUGUUUAUGGCCGAGUGUGGCCUUUAUGUUGAAACUUUGUGUGGGCCUGUUUGGCCGCUUUGUUUUUAUCAGGACUGGCCGUUGGUGUCUCCGAAUUCCUACCACUCUGCAGUUUUAUAUAUGAUGAAUAUUUAUCGAACUACUUUGUUCUGAAUAUGUCUGAAAUAAAUAUGAGUUGUCGUCUCCUAUUUAAUUCUAGCAAGACGUUCAAUCUGUUGGUUUGCUCGAGAUGUGAAUUUUCGCAAAAAUUGUUUAUAUAUUUUUACGAAGUUUCAUGAACGUUAAGAUAUGGACGGAGAGACAUGUUUUAAGAUCUCGUAUCAUUUUUUAGAUACCAUGUCUUGAGAUUUUAAAGACCAGUGUGUUGGGUUUAGGGAAGACCUAGGUUUACAUUCGUUUUUAAGGUUUAUCCGGUGACUGGCCGGCUAUCAAUUUUCCUAUUGUGAUUUCAACCUGAUUCAUACUGAUUUAAAGUCUGCGAUAGGUUCUCGGCUUAUACGACUUGUAUGGUGUGAAUCGAGCAUCUCUCCAGCGACAAUUUUUAAGCCAACUGGAAGUGCUUGACCAAAAUUUCUGAUUUUUUAUAUAGCGCACUUUUAUCCUUGUGUCGGAUGUUUGAGGAUCAGAAUGAUCAUGGUGCGUUUGUUUAAGAAGGUUGAUGUGUUCGUCGGGACCAAUCAACGAGGAGCAUGUAAAUAUUCACUGAAAUUUUAUUGUCACGUUUGGACAGUUGUUCGUAUAGUUUCGAUUCUAACUUUGGCGUCGUCUCGCUGUUAUUUCGAAGACUAUACAAAUGUUUUAAAUUCUGAAAGGUUUGCGAACGUUUUGCGAUUUGGACCAGAUGCGGCUGUUGACAAGAAUUGAAUGUUUGUAGAGAUUUUUGCUUAGCUGAAUCGUAAGAGUUCAUAAAAUGCGUAUGGUAGUAAAAGUUUUAAAAAGCUCGAGUACAAUAAUGCAUGUUUUAAAAUGUGGGACUAUACGAGUAUACGUACCCUCUCCCCCCCCCCUUUUUUUUUAGAGAGGGGGAUAGCUGAACUCGUCUUUCGACGAUCUGCCUACGUACCUCUUUCGAGGAUCAAGCUAUCUCGUAGUUCUAUUUUAUGCCGCGAGUGUUUCUACUCGGCGGUUGGUGCUGUGUUGACUGCCUUAGUCGUGGUGACAGUGGCAAGAUCGAUGUCUUUGUCCGGGUUUUUCUUUUCCGGUUGAGUGACAGCGUUGAUUUUGGAAUCAGGCUGAGUUUUGAUAUCUGAGGCGUUUGCUUCAGUAGACGAUGUCGAGUCGUCUUUCUUUGAAGUGUUUUCAGCCAAAGGCUGAGUUAACUUCGUGCGUUUACGAUUUACCAUCGUGGUAGUUGUGAUUUGUCUUAACUUAUGCUCUGCGAGAAACCUAAGUCGCGACUGUUUCUGACAACCCCAUAUUACAGCGACCCCGCUCUGGGUCGGGAAUUUGAUGCCCAGGUGAUAUGUAGACGGAACGGCUUUCAUGGCGUCCAGCCAUGGGGUUCCCAUGAUCACAUUAUAGAUGGCAGGAUGAUCGACCACAACGAAGUCGAUGAUCUUUGUGACUUCCUUUGCCAGGACAGGUAGCCGGAUUGAUCCGAUAGUCAUUGAUGUUUUGUCUGACGAGACUCUUGCGACUUCCAGAUCUCAUAUGACGAGAUCUAUGACGAGUGGAUCGCAGUGAGGCUGAUCGAUUCCGCCGGCUUCCUCUUACGUGAAAGUUAUCGAGUCGCUUCGACCAUCUCACAGAGGAGACCAUGUUGGCCAAUUUGCACUUGACUCGGCAUUUCGCUGGUAGGCCUUGAUGGCCGAGACCGUGUCGUUACAGUACUGUGAUCCUCCGAUGAUCACGUUUACUCUACGAUGAUUGUUAUCGUGUGCUUUGUCGUCUGAUCUCCUUCCGCGUUUAUCCCCUGCUUGAUUUCUCCGAGGAGAAUUUUCUGCGGGUGAAUUUUUGUCGGUUUUUGGAGGACAAUCGGUCUCAAGGAUGAGAUAUUUAAUGCUGGCUGCUUCGGAGAGCUCUCCGGCUAGUAGCUUUGCGGCCAGUCUCGCUCUCAAGACUUUGCAGUUAGUCGUCGAGUGUCCUCGAGUCUGGUGGAUCUUUGUCGUAUCUUGGAUUGAGAGUCUAUGUAUUGCCCGAGGCUCUGCCUUGUUCCGAACUGACUGCGUAGUAUGUAGCGUUGUAGACGUGCGGCAGGAAUUUAGAACCAACAAUGGUUCAGGAGACAGUUGAUACACCCUAAAUCGGGAAGGAUCACUUUAGCUGGGUGUUGGAUAUGAUCGGAGAAGGCAAAUGGCACUUCUGGAACUGAUAUGGAUUUAAAAGAUCGUCAAGAGAUGCGGAAUGGCUCUUGAUAUACCCACGAUCUAAGGCUAGCCACCUAAGAAAGAAUGAAUGUGUUGGCUAACCACCAAACAACACACAAAGAUGAAUUGGCUGACCACCAAAUCAACAAGCCGGUUCACACCAAUAAACUAGCUAUAGAACUCUCUCUCUCACUCAGAGAAAAGAAGAAAACAAAAAUAAACUCAAACUUUGACUGAUUUUAUUAUGAGAAAUGUUUACAUAUUUAUACUACUCGAGGAAUAGAAAAAGACUUAAGAAUGUAUUAAAGACAAACUUAGUAAAUCGAAUCUAGAUGAGAAAUUUAAAGACAAUGUAUUAAAACUCUUGGAUCUCAGAUCUGGUCAAAGGGACUCUUCGGCUAACGUCCAGGUUCAUCUGAACCAAGUGGUUCGUUUGCGGUAAGGAUCAAGAUGUGGGCUGGACGAUCCGUACGGCCCAAAUUCGCGAGAAUUGAAGAUCUCCUGAUUUGCAAAUUGCAUAACUCUCACAUGUGAACUCCGUUUGAUCUGAUUCAUCUUCGAGGAGCUCUGUAAUUGAGUUGAGCACAUUCUCCAAGGAAUUUCAUGCAUAGAGGACUCGUGGUUUGGAAGAUAUGAGUCAAACAAUGAACAUAUAUCAUUACUGCUUUCCAUGAUCAAGCCAUGCAUGUCUGUUUUGCCCGAUGCGCUACUCAAGGGCGCAUCAUUCCCUUCCUCUUCAAAACGAUUUGUCCUCAAAUCUGUAACAUUAAAAGAAAAAGGUUUAUAAGCAAAGAAAUCAUAAUCAGAUUAUUGCUAACCUUGAGUUUGGUCUGGUUUUUGAAUGGAAGAAGAGCUUUCUUGGUUUCCUUGAUGACCACAGUUUUGUUCUUCAUAUGGCCCUUCCUGCAUUGACACAAAGCUUCCAAGACCAAGGUCAUAUGCACCAAUAUCAAGAGCAUUCAAAGGACCAGAAAAUUCAUCCUUGUUCAAAACGUUUUCAGAAUUCUUUUCAAACUAAGAAAUUAAUUCAAAACUACUUGGAUUCUCUGGUUGUAAAACAGUUAAUUGCAAGCAAGAUUCAUCAGGAAUUGAUUCAGAUUGAGAAGAAAAUAAAUUCUUAUGUACACAAGAUUUCAAACCUGCCAUUGGCUCAUGUGUGUAGUCAUUGAAAAUUGGCAAUGGGUCUGAAAAUUCUUCCUUUUCUGGCUCGGUUUCAACGCUCUCAUUCUCCAAAGUCACCAACGGUUUCUGGUUUUGGCACUUGUUCGCAUAAUGACCGAUCAUCUGGCAUUUGAAGCACCUGGUAGAAUGAGCUUUGAUUGUGUGUUUCACAGCUUCGCGUUUAUCAAAAGAAAACACAUUAGUUUUCAAAUCGGAAUUUGAAAGAGAAGAAAACUUACAUUGCUGUUUUGGUGCAGAAGAAGUGUUGGUGUUUCCCUUCUUUUUGAGUUGCUGAAUAGCAAAAAUUGCCUUAUGCAACAUCUUUUCCAAGCUGGCAUAAGUCUGAAGCUCGUUCUGAGCAGGCACAUCACGGUUGCUUCUCUUGGCUUUGGUGAAGGGACGAUCACCACUUCUGACCCACUUCUCAUCAUCGCACCUGUUUUGUCUCUUCUUUUGUUUCUGCACAAAGUCAAACCCAUUAGAAGCAAACUGUUUCUUAUCAAAAAUCAAUUGCUUCUUUUCAAAAACAGUUUUAAAAGGAAAGUAGACGUCUUAUUGUGGUUUUGAUUUCUUGAGAAGUCCAAACAUCUUGAAAACACUUAACAAAGUUAGCAAAUAAAAAUCCUCACACUCUCAAGUGUUUAGCUCACGAUUUUUAGAUGGUCACUCAGAGUUUUUUCACUGGUUCAAAGGAUGAUAGGCAGUAAAAAAUCAGCAGUCAAAACCCAAAACAAACUUUGUGGGAAAAAGAAAAGAGAGAAAAAAAAUAAAGAGAUUUUUCUGUGAAUCCGCCUUAACUGUCCUAAGGCUGGGUUUCUCUUCAGCCAGCAGGAUUUCUCUUUUACCACUCCCCCUGGAUUUCUCUUCAGAAGUGAUUUAAGCCAAAACUUUUACUCUUUUUUUUUUGAUCGAUUUUUUUUUCUCUUUUUUUUUUAAUAACUGGCAAUCACAAGGGAGUAAAUGGACAGGCCGGAUCCAACAAGAAAUAAGAAAAAAAAAUCGUGGAGAGAUGAGUAGAUGAAAAGAUGAAAUGAAAACAAACCAGCCAAAGUGGCUCUGGUACCACUUGAUACGCCCUAAAUCGGGAAGGAUCAUUUUAGCUGGGUAUUGGAUAUGAUCCGAGAAGGCAAAUGGCACUUCUGGAACUGAUAUGGAUUGAAAGGAUCGUCAAGAGAUGCGGAAUGGCUCUUGAUAUACCCACGAUCUAAGGCUAGCGACCUAAGAAAGAAUGAAUCUGUUGGCUAACCACCAAACAACACACAAAGAUGAAUUGGUUGACCACCAAAUCAACAAGCUGGUUCAGACCAAUGAACUAGCUAUAGAACUCUCUCUCUCACUCAGAGAAAAGAAGAAACAAAAAUAAACUCAAACUUAGACUGAUUUUAUUAUGAGAAAUGUUUACAUAUUUAUACUACUUGAGGAAUAGAAAAAGACUUAAAAAUGUAUUAAAGACAAACUUAGUAAAUCGAAUCUAGAUGAGAAAUUUAAAGACAAUGUAUUAAAACACUUGGAUCUCAGAUCUGGUCAAAGAGACUCUUCGGCUAACGUCCAGGUUCAUCUGAACCAAGUGGUUCCUUUGCGGUAAGGAUCAAGAUGUGGGCUGGACGAUCCGUACGGCCCAAAUUCGCGAGAACUGAAGAUCUCCUGAUUUGCAAAUUGCAUAACUCUCACAUGUGAACUCCGUUUGAUUUGAUUCUUCUUCGAAGAGCUCCGUAAUUGAGUUGAGCACAUUCUCCAAGGAUUUCAUGCGUAGAGGACUCGUGGUUUGGAAGAUAUGAGUCAAACAAUGAACAUAUAUCAUUACUGCUUUCCAUGAUCAAGCCAUGCAUGUCUGUUUUGCUCGAUGCACUACUCAAGAGCGCAUCAACAGUAGAGCACGUAGAGAUGCUUAAGACUCGGCUUAAGGAAGCCCAUGACCACCAGAAGAGCUAUGCAGAUAAGCGUCGUAAGGACUUGGAUUUUCAGGUAGGAGACUUAGUAUACCUGAAAAUGAGGACAUUCUAAGGAGGAUCUAAGACUCGAAAGCUAAAGAAGCUUAAACCGAGAUAUAUGGGACCAUACCCUAUUGUGGAGCGGAUUGGAGCAGUGGCUUACAGAUUGCGGUUAUCAGCAGAGUUGUCAGAUUUCCAAGAUGUGUUCCAUGUAUCAGUUUUGAGGAAAGUUGUGAGGGAACCAGAGCUCAUUUUGCAGCAGCCACCGAGUGAUCUUGAGAACAUUUUGUAUGCACCUUGUCAGCCAGUUGAGAUUUUAGAUCGGCAACUGAAAGCUGUUCAGGGGAUGAUGACCAGUUUAGUUAAAGUUCGUUGGGAGAGAGACGGGAUCCAGGAGGAACAUGGGAGGCGAGAAUCAGAUGAGGAUUGAUUAUCCAUAGCUUUUUCAGGACGGUAUUGGAUAGUCGGUUCAGUAGCCGAAUUCAGGGACGAAUUCUUUAUUAGUGGGGGAGAAUUGUAACGACCCAAAUCCGCAGGCCCAACAAGGCCCAAUUAAUUUGCAGAGAACCCUAGGCACUUCCUUAUAAAUUCUAUCCCCACACAUUAUUUUAUUCAGAAAAGUCUAAGGCGUCGAACCUCUGCAGAGUUUGAGCCGUCAGAGAGAGAUAUUGGUGAACUGUCUCAGCCACCGUCGACUGAUAUCAGAUCCAUCACGCCGCCGCCGUCUCACACCCUAGGUAAUCCGUGAACCGCCUUUUCCGAUUGGUUAGGUUUUGGCCGUUUAGUAAAUCGUCGAUAUCUCUCUAACCAUUGGGUUUCUCGCGAUUUCAAGGCUAUCAGUGUGUUUGUGACGUCGAGACGAGUCUGGGGCAGGAGUUUCAGCCGGAGAUCCACCGCGACGCGCCCACAUGCGCAGGAGAAAGAUUCGCGCGUGAAUCUCACGCGCCACCAUCUCCGUCGGACGUUCGCCGGAGCCACCGCAGCCGGCCACCAUCCGUUCGCCGUCAGUAAGCCGCUGCCGCAUCGCCGCCGCGUCUACGCCGCCGCCGGUGAUUUUCCGGUAAACCACCACCGUUGUUGGCCGCGACUCGCCGGUCGACACGCUGGUAACUCGGUGACUCGGCCGAGUCGACUCAGCGAGUCAAGCCGUUGACCAGUCAAGCCGGUUCGGUUGGUCAAUUGAUUUUGAUUAUUGAUUAAACUGAUCAGUUAUUGGAUUGAUUUUCGGUUAGUAUUAAACCGAUUUGAAAUCGAUUUGAAUCUGGUCCAGUUGAAAUCGAAUUCGGUUAAGGAAAACCGGGUGGUUCAAUUCGAUUUCAAUUUGGUCAAGGGUUGACCGGCUUGGGUCAGAGUUGACCGGGCUGACCUUUGACCAGCGGGUUUAGCUUUUGACCAGAUCGCCGGUUAUCCGUUUUGGACCGUUCGAAGGGCAUUCUCAUUCAAUUUUUCGCCCUGAUUUCAGAUUUGGAGUUUUUUUGAGCAGCUGGAGUUCAUAGCUAUCACUUUUCUACAUUGCUAAGGUGAGAGUCUAUUUCGUAAAUCCUGUACCAGUGUAGAAUUCUCUCUAUCGUCAUUUAGAUUUCAAAUCAUGAUCCGUCUGUUUGAAUUGAGUCUUGAUUGUAAGUUAGUUCAUUCAUUGUGAACUGGAACUAAGGGUCUAGAGGAUUCAACCUUUGAUUGGAUUGUGUGAUGUUAAGAAAUGCGGUAUAUAUAUGUAUGUACACAUAGUUAUGAGUAGGGACUAUGUGCGCGGGCGGGGGCUCAAAGAUGUCUGGGCUAGCGACGCUAUUUUACUUGUGCGGGCAGGGGUUCAGAGACGUCUGGACUUGCGAUGCUACGUGUGCGGGCGUGUGGUGUAGAGACGUUUGUACCAUGGAUGCUACUUGAGAGGGCGGGGGUACAGAGACUUAUUGUACUAGCGACGCUACGUAUUAUGUAUCCAUAUGAGGAGAUGGGGGUGUAUGGACUAGCUAUAUGCUAUCAUCGCAUUGUUUGUGUUUGUGUGAUGCGCUAGGCGUAGUGUGUGUUCAUGUUAGAGCUAAACUUCCAUAGUGGGAGUUCUAUUUACUCAAGUCAGUGGUUUGUGUGUUUAGCAUCCCAUACCUCACGGAGUAACUCCCCUGUUACUCAUCCCUUCUAUUCCUUUCCCUUUCAGGUGAGACUGACGAGCAUAAGUGAUUGCUAUCAGACUGGUGCUUUGGGAGUUUUAUUUACUUUCUUUUUCAGACUUGUGGUUUUAUGCUUUUACCGAUAUUUUCGAAAUUUAUUAUGUUAUUUGGAUUUAUGGCUAUUUAUUGGAUUUCUGGUUUGGACUUGAAUUUUGAGAAGUAAUAAAUGGAGAUUUCGGACUUUUUAUUUAUUUAAGUUAUUUUGGAAAAUACGGGUGUUACAAGAUUGUUACAUUUUUUUUGAAUCUAUUGUUUGAUUGUGAGAGAAGAAGAAAUUCUAUGGGGCAAGGGAAAAAGCUUAUGUUCUGGAAUUGCCGUGGCUUUUGGGGAAGGAGAGAAAUGAAGUGAUUUGAUAUGUUUUGAUUUAGAUGGUUAAGAUUAUGUUAAUUUAGUUUGAUUGGUUUUAUUAAUUGUUUAAUUGGUUUUAUGUUUGGUUAGAUUUCGGGAUUUUUGGUUUACAAUUGGUAAAUCAAGAUUUUGAAUUGGGUUUGACAAAACCAAGAUUUAUUGGGAAAUAAAACUACAACUUUGUUUAUGGGGAUAAAUUGAACGACAUCAUAGUUUGAGAGACAUUUGAUGCUAUAUGAUAGUUUUCGUGGAGAAAUAGCUCGUCUACCCAAAUAAUUUUAAUGAAAAAUUUAUGUGAAUUUUUUCAGUUUUUUAUAAAACUUUAAUUAAAUAUCAUCUCUAUUAAAAAGUACAUUUAGAAAUAAAUCUUUUAUUCAUGUGUAUAUUGCUAAAGUUGCCCCUCAUUUUAAGACUAAGCCACAGGUUGUCACUAAUGGUUAUAUAGUCAUUUACUCUCAAGUAAUGAAAAUCAGAUUAAUUGCAUAAUUAUCAAGAAAAAAUUAAUGCUCGUGAUAUACACUUACAUCCUCUUUUUUUACGCUGGAUAAUUAUGCUAUUACAACUAUGAAAAUUAUUACACUUACAUCCUUAGCUAUGCUUUAAAAAUGAUGGUGUGAUGGUUAAUGCCUUACUUGAGAGUAAAUGAAUAUUGUAUAUACAAGUAUUUUUACGUGCUAUCAUUUUUGAAUUUUUAACAAAUUACAAAAUUAUGAAAUAUCAAAUAUAUUGAAUAAUUCAAUAGUCAGUAACUAUUCGGUAUAUAACUAAAUUGGCGCGGAUAUAUUAUAUGGACUUUUCAAGGGUCCAAGGUUCAAAUCAAUGUAGUAUUUUAGAUAUCAAUCCAUUUCUAAGUGUUUCAAUUCAAUGAGAAUACAUGUUCAUACUUAAGCUAAGUGUAUUCAAUGUAAUGAAAUGAUUUGAUUAAGCUAACAUGACUCUAACACAAUUUACUAGCAACUUUUAAGCAAAUAGAUAAAGAAGGAGUCAUGGGUAUAGGAAUUUGAUUUCAGAUGACUAAGAUUUAAUCUAAAAUGGCAAAGUUUCAAUCAACACAUUUUUCUAAGUCUAGAUAACAAUUCUAAGCAAGUUCUUUGUCAAGACAAAAUCUCAUUUACUCUCAUUGAUCAAACAUCAAAUUACUUUGGUUUGUGUCAAUCAAUCAAUCAUUAAGAUUAGGGUAAGCUAAGAGCACGUUGAGUUGUCUCAGACAUUUCAUCGAACACUUUCCGGGCAAUGAAAUGUCUAGAUUUCUAAUCUAAAAUGGCCAACUCUAGAUUAACUUUAAGAUCACUCAAUCAAGCAAGGAAACAUAUUAAUCUAUUUUAAACAUUCUAGAUCAUCACUUGAUCAUCCUAAUCAUCCUAACCUAUGAAUCCAAAAAUGACUACUCUCACUCAUUAUCAUGGUAGACACUAAAUCAUUAGUUGAUCUAAGUUAAAACAUGAUUAAUGAUCAAAGCAAUCAAGCAAUCACAAAAGAUAAUGAUCAAGAUUAGAUCUUUCACCUAAAAGUGGCUUUUUGAUUAGAUAGAAAACAAGAUAUCCCUCAUUUUUAAGUCUAAAAUAUAUAUAUAUGAAUUCUAAAAACGAGUGAGCCAAUUAAAAAAUCUCAAAAGGCCCAUAAAAUAAAUAAAACUCAACCAAUCAAAGUGUGGGAGCGGCUUCAUCAUCCCUCUCCAAACACCCGCUCCAUGGAUCGUGUGAGGCACAGCGACCACUUCAGCCCGCUGCCCGUGACCGUUGCAAGCUCGACGUGUUGCAAACUUUCAAUAUCAAUUAAGAGAGAGAUAUUUAAAAUUGGGAGCUUAGAACCAAAAGACACACAUUCUAACCUUCAAUGUGACAUCCUAAGAGAAACAUAGCAAAUAGCAUGAGCCACUUUCUUAUUGCACUAUAGCUUCUCAAGGCCUAUCAAAACUCAUUUAUCUCUACACAAGUUACAUUGUCAUUCAACCAACAAGUUACUUAGCCAACUCUCACAUUUAUUCACACACACACACAAGGUGAAUUCUUGCAAAUUGAUCUCAAUCAUUUGGCUUGGUGAGAGAAGAUGGUCUAAUGUGAAGAAAAAUGGGUUUCAAUUGCAUUAUUUAUAGUGACUCACACUCAUGAAUAGGAGCAAGAUCAUUAUGCAAAAUUUAUCUAAGAAAAUGAGCAAUUCAUGCACACAAGGCUUGUUCUCA
rnacentral:lncRNA from 1 species